GCAUGAAUGCUUUAUCAGGUGGCACACAAAGGGGAGUACUAUUAUGGUGAAAGGCUCCUGACAUUUAUGGUAGACUCUGAGAGUACCAAUAGUUUUAUUGAUGCUUAAACUAUCAAAGAAACUAGGUUAAAGCCUACUUUCACUUUACCUAAUAGGAUAACGGUAGAUAAUGGAAAUUAUUGUACUGCACAUUUCAUUAUUUAGGCAUAACUUGGACCUUGAAAGGUAAGACCUUUAAGGAAGAUUUGGGAAUAAUCAACUUGGGUGGGUGUGAUAUAGUUUUGGGAAAUGAUUUUAUGAAGAAAUACAACCCAAUCAAGUUUGACCAUGAGAAGAAUUGUGUCACUAUAGUUAAGAAUGGAGCCAAGGUAAUACUAAAAGGGAUUUCCAAGGAUAGGAAGUUAAAUCUGAUCAUGCAACUCUAUAGGGAAGUUUUUGAAGAAAGGGCAUAUAAUCAAGGCUCAUAUUUUCUUGGUUCUACCAAUAUGUCUACGGGUUCAAAAGAUGUGGACCUUUACCUCAUCAAGUUGUUGCAAAGGUACAAGUCAAUGUUUGAAUAUCCUAGAACCUUAGCACCAAUCAAACUAUUGGAUCAUGCCAUUUGUAGAUGAUUUGUUAGAUGAACUUCAUGGUGCAACAGUUUUUUCAAAUAUGGAUUUGAGGGCAGUCUAUCAUCAGAUUAGAAUGAAGCUUGAGGAUGUACACAAGAAAGCAUUUCGGACUCACAUGGGCCAUUAUAAGUUCAAAGUGAUGUCAUUUGAUCUCACUAAUGCACCAGAUACCUUCCAAGUACUUAUGAACCAUAUUUCUCAACCUUACCUUAGCAAAUUAGUUCUAGUAUUCUUUGAUGAAAUUUUAAUUUAUAUUUUAAAUCUUACUAACCAAUUGCAACACAUGGAAGCUGUAUUUCAGGUUCUACAGGCUCAAAGCUUACUGGACAAAAGGUCAAACAACUCAUUUGGCCAAUCUAGAGAAGAAUACUUGGGCCAUGCCAUCAUUGUGGAGGGGUGUCCACAGACCCUAAUAAGGUACAAGUUAUGCUAGAUUGUCCUAUACCUAAGACAUUAAAGGGGUAUUACAGAAAGUAUAUUGCAAAUAAUGGCUUGAUCCGCAAACCAUUAUCCAGCUUGUUUAAGAAGGAUGAUGAAGCUUUCAAGGAGCUCAAAUUAGCUAUGUCUAGUAGACCUAUUCUAGCACUAUUAGAUUACUCUCAAGAGUUUAUUGUUGAAACUGAUGCUUGCAACAUUGGAAUUGCGAUAGUUCUCAUGCCACAAGGCUGACCUAUUGCUUACUUUAGCAACGUUUUAGAUCCUAAGCAUUGGGGAAAAUAUAUUUGUGAAAAAGAACAUUUGGCUCUGCUGAAUGUUAUGAAUAAAUGGAAAAACAACCUUCAAUAUAAGUAUUUCACUAUUAGGACUGAUCUUCAUAUUUGCUACAUCAAAGAGUAACCAAAACCAUUCAACAAGGGGUAGCUGAUGCCCUAUCUAGAAGAGAUGAAAAUGUUGAUAUGAAUGUCAGGCCUACUACUACACUUUCAGCCAUCAACACCAACUUGCCAAUUUGUAUUCAAGAAAUCUAUAACAGUUAUGAAAGAGGAAAAAAGUUUCAUGAUCUCAUUGUUCAGCAUGUUGUGAGCACUAUGGAACCUAGUUUGUACAAAUACACUUUUGAGGUUUUGAGAAGGAAAGAAAAUAUUAUAUAGGAGCCACUAGGAAUAUUAGAAAACAACUGAUCAACAUUUUUCAUUACUCUACUAUUGGACGUCAUUCUGGUCUGCAAGGUACAUUGAUGAGGUUGUCUCAGGUUUUAUUUUGGCCUGAAAUGAAGGAUAUGGUAGUUUCUUAUAUAUCUAAUUGUGAGAUAGGUCAAAUAAACUGCAACCCUUGUCGAUAUCAGAUCAUGCUUGGAGGCACAUCAGUUUAGACUUUAUAGAAGGACUUCUAAAAUCUCAAAUGAAGGGUGUUAUUUAUCUUGUGGUGGACAGAAUCUUAAAGCUUUCCUAUUUUAUGACACUCUCACACUAUUUUAAUGCAUUACAAGAGGUUUGGAAAUUUCUCAAGAGAGUCCAUACACUAUACGGGUUUCCUGAAUUAAUUGUAUCAUAUAGAGAUAAAAUCUUUCUCAGCAAUUUUUGGCAAGAGUUUUUCAAGUUGUAGGAACUUAGUUAAAGUUUAGUACUACUUAUCACCCCAGAGUGAUCGUCAGACUGAAAGAGUUAAUAGGUGUAUUGAAACAUAUCCAAUAUUUAUGAUAUCCAAUAGUCUUGUUUAAUGAAACAAUGGUUUCCCUUAGCAAAAUUUUGGUACAACACUAACUAUCACUGCAACUUACAAUAUUCUCCUUUUAAGACCCUCUAUGGGUAUUCACCCCCUCAUAUAUCUCUUGGAACUAUACCUGAUUCGAUAGUACUAGCUGAAGAUGACGUGAUUAUAUAGAGGCAACAAUUUCAACAAUUUCUUAAAGACACACUCUGGCAAGCUCAAAAUAUGAUAAUGGUUUAUGCUGAUCAAAAUAGAACUGAGAGAUAAUUCAUAGUGGGAUAUCUAGUGUUCCUCAAGCUCCAACCAUAUAGGCAGACUUCCAUAGCUUUGAAAAGAAACCUCAAGCUCAGUUCCAAAUAUUAUGGUCUUUCCACAAUGUUAGCUAAGGUUGGUCCGUGGAUUAUAAAUUGGAUCUACUUUCCCCUUCUCAUGUGCAUCCUGUGUUUUAUGUCUCUUCACUGAAGAAGAAAGUGGGGUCUCACAUUCUGGUAUAGACUAAUCUACUAUCCACCAGCUCAGAUGGCCAGUUCUUGGUGAAACCACUAGCUAUAUUACAGUACCAACUGGUUAAAAAGGGCAAUGUUGAAGUUGUCAAAUGCUGGUUCAAUAGACCAAUCUUACCCUUGAAGAUUUAACUUGGGAAGACAAAAAAUAAUGAAUUGCUAUCUAGGUUCCCUGAUUUUAUUGAUCUACCUUGAGGACAAUGUUUGUUUGUAGGUGGUAGAAAUGUAAUAAACUAGCUAAGUAAAGAAUUAAUUUGAAAGGCGCUGUCAAAUUAAAAUACGUGGAUGAUCAAGAUUAAUUGUAAAUAAAUGAGUUCCUGCAAUUAAUAUGAAAUUAGUGUUAGGAUUGAAAUCGAGAAGGCGUCAUGCGGAAGCUUACAGUUUGCAAACUAUAGAGAUGAUAAUUCAGAAAAAAAUAAAAGCAUACUAAAACGUAAUAUUAUGGAUAUGAUUUUGGCCAAUCGGCCUACAUAUUAAAAACUUAAUAAAAAGGUAUAAAAACUAAUUGAGAGAAAAUCUCACCCUACACAAAACUCUUAAAGGACUACUGUCAUGACCCAAGUCGAGGCUCUGGCCGCGACGGGCAUCCCGAACCAUCAAGGCCCGAGAGACCCCUUAGCAUGCAAUCAUAAGUAUAAUCCAUGCAUAAAUCAAAGUGUGGAAGAUAAAACUAUAUUCAAUGGAGAUUCAUUUUAAUACAAUCUAUGUAAAGAAAAUUUUGACAAUACAAUACUCAACUCUCGUCUACAAAGCCUAUAAUGAAAACUAUCUAGACCGGAACAAAUCCCCCGGUUGGACCAUAUAUUGAAAAACUCAACAUAUAUGUAAAUUCCUUCCAAAAGAUGGAUGGCUCAAUCAUUUCGGUCAUAUCCCAAGUGCUAUACUGAUGUGAUGGACCAUGGAACUAUACCGCAGAACCAAAAAUAUAGGGGUCAAUACACAAAGGUACUAGUACGUAGAACAAUCCAAAAAUAAGAUAUAAUUUAAAAUAAAAUAAGUGAGAUCAUUUUGUAACCUACUUAUCAUAACACAUUUGGAAAUACAUAGGCGUAAUCAAUAAGCUUCAAAACUAAUUUUGUAAACCACGAAUCAACUCUUUAUUUCUCUUCUGAGCUAGAUAGUACAUCUUACAAUCUGUAACUCCACGAACUAUAUGGUGUAACACUCCAACAUAGGAAGAAGUCCCACAUCGGAAAAACACAGGAGGUAUGCUGGGUAUAUAAGUAAGAAAGCCUUACUCCCUGGUGACAUAUUUUAAAGCCGUGCGGGCCUAGGACCAAAGAGGAUAAUAUCACUAGUGGGUUGGGGAGUUACAGGGGUCUCUCAAGCCUUGAUGGUUUAGGAUGCCCAUUGCGGCCAGGGCCCCUGCUCGGGUCAUGACAGAAUGGUAUUAGAGCCGCUCCUGUGCCAGCUUUGUCGAUGUGGGCCAUAAUUUAAAUUGAGUGUAGGCAAAUACCGGUAAGGCAGGACAAACCUCAGUCCUGAGUGUAGACAUAUCCCAUUCGGUGGGGCAAACCUUAGUGAGGAUGCUAAGUCCAUAAGGGGGUGUAUGUAACACCCCAACAUAGGAAGGAGUCCUACAUCGGCAAAACACAGGAGGGAUGUUGGGUAUACAAGAAAGAAAGUCUUACUACCUAGUGAUGCAUUUUAAAGCCAUGCGGGCUUAGGCCCAAAACAGACAAUAUCACUAGUAGGUUGGGAAGUUAUAGGGGUCUUUUGGGCCUUGAUUGUUCGGGAUGCCCAUCGUGCCCAGGGCCCCGGCUUGGGUCGUAACAUAUGGAAUCUUCCUUUGACCCGGCAGUCAAGACCUCAACCCAAGUUUGGCACAAGGGUUAGAGUCUCUGAAUCUCUACUAUGCCACAAGGUCGUCGCCAGCGUAUAUUUUAGGGAAACAUAAACCAGUGUUGACAAAUCACGAUUUUAGACAAUGAGUUAUCCGAACUUGUGCCUUUGUCUAGUAACCAUUUAACACUCUCAAGCCUAAUUUUAGACUCUUAAAACAUGUCUUCUUCUUAUAAUUAUUUCUCUCUUAUUCUAUUUCAUGCACAACAUAAUACGGUACCAUCAUACCCAGACUUGUAAGUCUUUCAUUUCAUACCACAACAUCUCUACUGUCCUAUUUAUUUAAAAACGUAUUAUUAACCACCCAAAAGAUUUAAAAGUCAGGUGUGAGUUCAUACUUCGAAAGCACAUGAAAAUAAAACAAUUUCUCUCUUCAAUACUUUAUCUACGGUGGUCAUCUUUUUUUGUCGAUUGUCUGCAACUGUCAAUUGGAAAUAUGAACACUUAUAAAUCAAGGAAAACACCCUCUUAUUUAGUCAUAAAAAUAGUACAAUUUAUACAUGACAGUAAAGCUUCAAACUCAAGCUUUUAUCUAUCCGUAUAAUCAACCCACAACAUGUAAAAACAAUGGGUUUCAUAGCAAGAGAGGGAAUUACAUAGAUCAUGAUCUCAUUUAACUUCUCAAACUUAAUAUCACAUGAACACAUGAAAACAUUUUGAAUUUAGGGUUCGACACCACAAUUCCUACAAGACUUUAUUAUAAAAUGGGAUUUUCAAUGCAUGUUCCUCAAUACUUUCAAAACCCAUUUUGGUAUGUACUCUUUAGAGCUUAUUUAAAAUAGUAAAUUUACGCCCAUGAGGUUUAGGAUAGUCCCACGUACCUUACAUUGUUGGAAACAUUGAGAAACCUUGACUCUUGAGGCUUGAUAUCUUAACCCUAGGUUACUUUUCUCCUCUUGAGCUUAAGGAAGAUGAACUAGGGCUUUGUGGGCAUUAAAACAUGAAUAAUGACCCUAAUUUAUUCUAUAGAUGUUUAGGGACGGUUAUGGAACAUGAAAGGACCUUAUUGCCCUUAAAAUAAUACAAAAAAUGAAGCCUUUAUGCUGCUGUACUUUAGCCAGGAGGUGCACAACCCAUGGCACAGGAAUAAAGUGGGUGACACAUGCCCCAUCACCUAGACUUUAGGUGGGAGGCGCAUGCCCCAUCACCUAGCCUAGACAGUGUCUCAUUUAAACACUCAUAACUUUUGACUCCAAACUCGGAUUAAUGAACAGUUGGUGGCGUUGGAAAGAAGACUUGAAGGGAUGUGAUUUGAUAUAUAGUAGGACAUAUGAAUCUUUAUAUCCUAGGAGAAAUAGUCACUGGAAUUUUAACCAAGUAAAAUCAUCAACUAAAAUUCAAUCGAUAGGAAAGUGCUCAACUUAACUUUUGAGCUAGGAGAUUCUUAUGGGGUAUAUUCAUCUCCAAGGACAUUCCCACACUAAGGAAGUGUCAUUUACACUUAUAUCUAAGUAGAAACAAUUGGGUUUGGGUCUAUAAAAGUAGGAAAGAUGGUUUAACCUUAGCCCAAAAAAGUGGGGUAUUACAUUAUCCCCCUCUUAGGAUCAUUCAUCCUCGAAUGAUUGGUAGGGAUUUGUUAAAGCUCUUAAAGUAUGGAAUAAAAAAGUAACCUCGCAUUGAACAUUUUUACUCAAAAAAUAUGCAAAGGCAUCAAACAAUAUUCAUGAUAACCCCAAGUGAAACAUGCAAGCAUAAAGUGAGAGAUAAUAAGAAUCGAUAUAGAGAUGACCUCGCACAUGAGUUCUAGGGAUCAUAAUUAUCACAUCAUAUGGUAUGAGUAUAUUUAGUGAUCAUAGGCCUGAUUUACAUUGGUAUUAAUCAUGAAAUAAGAUUUUGUGGAAGAUAAGAAAUAGAAAUAUUCUCUACCUUACAAGAUACAAUGAAUAAACCUAAAACUUAGAGACACUACUCAACUAUGCCCCAAAAAACAUAUAACAUACUCCAUCAUUUCCAACUUACAAUUCUCCCAUAACACAUCUAACCAUAAGAUUUUUGAGUCCCAUCGUAUAACACUUCUAUGUUCAAGCCUAACCCAGAGUAGAAAGUUGUUAACUUAAGCCACUGGACCCUGUACUCUACAUCCCAUUAAGAAAAUUACUUCACCUUAUCACUACCAUUAAACACACUCGAGUUUUAAAUCAAGGAGUACCAACCACAUAAAACAUUGUUUUGAUUUUUCAUCAAUCACAACAUUCAAGCCUAUCAUUACUACACCCACUUCAUAGAUCUCGACCAGUAAAUUCAAUCACUCUCACAAAGAUUUUCACCACAUAUCUCUGUCCUAACUAUUUCACAUAACGAAAGUUCAUCUCCUUGUUCCCCCUUCUCCUAUAACCUUAGCUCAAGAAAUCGCAUAAAAAUUUUCACCUUCAAGAAUAUCUACUCCCCUACCUAACACAUUACUAGUCUUCCACAAUCACCAUCAUACUAACAUAUGGAGGGUCAUUAAGGGACCCGAGCAUAAGUAUCAUGAAUGGAAGAAACACUACUUAAUUAUAAACCAUAUUUGUUGAUCUACUCAAGGUUGGACAUGAGGUGAAGAUACGAUAAAAUCAUGAAGGGCUUCAUAUAUCAAGUGUCUGGAUCAUAAGUAGAGAGUCACCCUGGCAUAAGCAAAACAUAGCAUAAGUCUUUAGGACAGAACAUAGUGAGAAACAUGAGUUCUUACAUCCUGAGUCGUAUAACAUAAGUUUGGAAUUCAUGAAGUCACCGAUUGAGACAAGGACUUCUACAACUAUCUCUUCUCAUUUUCAGAGAUGAAAUAGUCAUGAGUUGGCAUGGACCUUAUCACUUUGGCUAAUCCCGACGUAAAUUGAACUGGUACUAUAUAAAAAGCAUAAUUCUCUUAGAACUAAGCAUGAUAUAAGACAUGGAUUUCUUUAUGAGUCAUGAGCAUCAUAACAUAGAGCUUGAAUACAUGAAAGACUGGAUUACUAAGAGUCAUUAUUACUUCUAGUUUGGAGGUCAGAUCAUGAAUAUAAGUCCAUAGAGAACUCGAACCAUAGGCAUAGGCAUGACUUAAAUACAUGACGUAAGACAUUAGCUGAGUGACCUCUUAAAUUGAAGUAGGAUAAGUUUGCUUGAAUAGGAAUAGGUUUAUCAUGAAUCCUCUCCGCAACUUGCCACACUGAGAAAAUUCGAGAACUACCUUAAAUCACCAUCUCCCCGUUAGAUCAAAAUCACAAUCCUAAGCUUGAAGACAUAGCCUCACAUUAAAUAUACAAGUACAACACUCAGCAUAAUGGGGUAUCACCGUACACAUAAAAUCUAAACUUUCCCUGAUAAACUAUACUUUAAAGGCAUUGCUUUUCGGUAAUGCUACUCUUAACUUUCGCUAGCCUUUAUAGCCAUCACUCUGAAACUCACAUUCUCAUGAGCAUACAUAUUCACACUCCAUAUCACAUAAUGAUUCAUUCUCUACUACUCAACACACUAACAUUAGAUCUCCAAUCACAUAACUUAUGACUUAACAAAAUUUAUAAAACUAUACCAAAGGUGCAUAUUGCGUACCUAUAUUUCUUCAAUUCAACUCUAAAGUAAACAAUACAAAAACGUCUCAUACUUCUCUAUACUACAAAAUUCAAGAAUGUGAGCUAGGUAAACAUGACGCUUAUACACAUCAAACCUUAUCUAACAACAUACUACCUCGGGGUUCAACUUAUUCUUUAUAUACUUAUGCCCUCACCCACUUAAUGACUCGACCACAAUUCAUCAUUUUACCCUAGUCCUCAUGUAUAUAUAUCACAAUUAUCCACUCUUUUUUCACAAGUUUUCAACCUAGGCUAUUUCACACCUGACAUCAAGCCUGCUGAUUCAUCCCCACAAAAAAUGCAUCAUUAGUCUUAAGCUUCUAUUCUUAUCACCACAAUCCACAUGUAAAGUUCAAGCCUAUUAUAUAACCCCUAUUAUGUAACACUGAUGAAGCAUGUCACAUACUAUAAUAGUCCAUUAAAUUGGAAAAUCAACCCAACUACGUCAUUUAACCUAAAUACCGCCCACAAGUUCAUCUUUCCACAAUAUUACCACCGCAUAUUAGAAUCUACCACAUGCCUUCUCACAUGUAGUACUAGUUUACAACUACUAAAGAAAAGAAAGUCAAGGAGGUAAAGUCACAUAAUAUUGAUAAUCAAUCUUAAUCUUUUAAUAUAAUCCAUUACGAUCUUAUCAACACACCACUUUCUCACAUCAUAUUUACUUACCCAUAAAUACAUCCCCACUACCUUCAAAUUCCAUAUACACCAAUGAGUCUCUACCCAUAACUUAUUGAUUGAUCUACCCCUUCCAUUCAUAGCCUAUAAAUGAUUUAUACAACCAUCAUAAAAAUCAAUUCUGAGAUCCUUCCCUAUUUUGAAUAAAUAAUAAUCAUAGCAGUCACUUCCUUUAGAGAAUACCAUACAAUCUACAAAUAUUGCAACUACAUUAGUCUAUCACUAUAAAAUGACAACCCAUCCCUCAAUCAAUGGUUAUACAACUAAAACUAGCUUAUUAAUGCAAAAGUCAUCCUUACUCUAACUUCUAAAAUUAUGACUUCAUAUAACUAACUUUUGGACAAUCUUACUACUAAUAGGUCAUGACCCUUUAACAAAUACUACUAUUUGGGUGGAAAUAUUAUUCCAAGAUUCUACUACAUCUCAUUACCCUUAAGCAUGAAAUCUACAACAAGGAUUUUUAAAAGUACUAAAUACACUUCAUACCUCAAGGUGAAAAGCACGUUUUCAUUAAGAUAGAGGUAUGCACCUAAAUAAAUACACUUUGAUGCACUAAUGGACUCUUCUUAAGUCCUUGUACUAUUUCAUAACUCUAGAGAUAACUCAAUCAGAAAAGACCACAUCAUUAGGAAAUCUAAACUCUUGAACUCAUCUCGCCUCGAUAAUGAGAUAGAGCUAAUAAAAUUAGAGUAAAUAAGGAAUUUGGAUAACUUUAAUAUGGACAUCAUAAUGGAACGAUCUAGAGUAUGAAAGAAUAGAAAACAUCUCCUAAAUGCCUCGUAUCUUCCUUCUUAUAAGUAUGGCUUGCACACCCAUAAAAAGGUCUCUACUCAACACGGCUUCGUAGACACCCUGGGACUAUGGACUGUGAUCUAAUACCAAGUUUUUCAUGACCAGAUCCAAAGCUCUAGCAAUGACGGGCAUCCCAAACAAUCAAGGCUGAGAGACCCCUUAAUAUAUAAUCAUAAGCAUAAUCCAUACAUAAAUCAAAGUACGGAAGAUAUAAUAAUAUUCAAUGGUGAUUCAUUUUUAUACAAUCUGUGUCAAGAAAAUUAUGACAAUACAAUACUCAUCUCUCGUCGAUGAAGUCUCUAAUGAAAACUAGCUAUCUAGAUGGGGACAAAGCCCCCACCUGGACCAUAUAUUGAAACACUCAACAUAUAAGUAAAUGUCUUCCAAAAGAUGGAUUGCUCACCCAUUUAUGCUAUAUCCCAAGUGUUAUACUGAUGUGAUAGACCAAGGAACUAUACCGCAAAACCUAAAAUAUAGGGUGUCAAUACACAAAGGUACUGGUACGUCGAACAAUCCAAAAAUAACACACUGUUUAAAAUAAAAUAAGUGAGAGCAUUUUGUAUUGGACUUAUCAUAAAACAUUUGGAAAUACAUGGGCAUAAUCAAUAAGCUUCAAAACCACUUUUGUAAAUCACAACUCAACUCUUUAUUUCUCUUCUAAGCUAAAUGGUACACCCUAUAAUCUGUAAUUCCAUAGGCUAUAUGGAAUCCACCGUUGACUUGGUGGCCAAUCCCCUAACCUAAGUUUGUCGCAAGGGUUGAAGUAUCUGCAUCUCUGCUACACCAUAAGGCCGUCGCCAGUGUACAAUCUCUAUUUCAAGGCAACAUAAACCCAUAUUAAUAAAUCAUGAUUUUGGACAAUGAGUUAUCUGAACUCAUGCCUUCUUCUGGUAACUAUAUAACACUCUUAAGCCCAAUUUUAGACUCUUAAAAAUAUGUCUUCUUCUUAUAAUUAUUUCUCUCUUAUUCUAUUUUGGUCACAUCAUAAUAGGGUAUCGUCAUAACACAACAUCUCUGCUGCCCUUCUUAUUUCAAAGUAUUUAUUGACCACCCAAAAGAUUUAAAAUUCAGGCAUGAGUUCAUACUUCAAAAGCACAAAAAAACACUUUCUCUCUUAAUUACUUUCUCUACUGUGGUCAUUUUCUUAUCAGUUACUUGCAAUUCUCACUUGGAAACAUGAACACUUAUAAAUCAAGGAAAACACCCUCUUAUUUAGUCAUAGAAAUAGUACAAUUUAUACAUGACAGUAAAGCUUCAAACUCAAGCUUUUAGCUAUACAUAUAAUCAACCCACAACAUGUAAAAAUAAUAGGUUUCAUAGAACGAGAGGGAAUUACAUAAAUCAUGCUCUCAUUUAACUUCUCAAACUUAAUAUCACAUGAACACAUGAAAACAUUUCAAAUUUAGGGUUCGACACCAUAAUUUCUAAAGGCUUUAUCAUAAAAGGGACUUUCAAUGUAUGUUCAUCAAUACUUUUGAAGCUCAUUUCGUAUGAAUAAGUAUAUACUCAUUAGAGCUUGUUUAAAAUAGUAAAUCUAUGCUCAUGAGGUUUAGGGUAGUCUCACGUAGCUUAGAUUGAUGGAAACAUUGAGAAACCUUGACUCUUAAGGCUUAAAAUCUCAACCCUAGGUUACUUUUCUCCUCUUGAUCUUAGGGAUGAUGAACUAGGGAUUUGUGGGUGUUAAAAUGUGAAUAAUAACCCUAAUUUUGUCUAUACAUGUUUAGGGAUACUUAUGAAAUAUGAAAGGACCCUAUUGCCCUUAAAAUAACACAAAAAAGAGCCUUUACGCUGCUAUGCCUUAGCCAGGCGGUGUACAACCCGUGGUACAGCCUAAAGUGGGUGAAUCAGGCUCCAUCGCCUAACCAUUAGGUGGACAGCGUAUGCCCCAUUGCUUAUCCUGGAUAAUGCCUCACUUAAACACUCAUAACUUUUGACUCCAAACAAGGAUUAAUGAACAGACGGUGGCAUUGGAAAGAAGACUCGGAGGGUUUUUAAUUGAUAUAUAGUAGGAAACAUGAGUGUUUAUAACCUACGAGAAAUAGUCACUGACAUUUGACUCAAGUAAAAUCAUCAACUAAAAGCCAAUCGAUAGGAAAGUGCUUAACUUAACUUUUGAGCGAGGAGAUUGUUAUAGUGUAUAUUCAUCUCCAAGGAUGUUCCAACACUAAGGAAGUUUCAUUCAUACUUAUAUCUAAGUAGAAACCAUUGGGUUCAUGUCUAUAAACAUAGGAAAGAUUAUUCAACCUUAGCCCAAAAAAGCGAGGUGUUACAACUACAUUGUGGAUUCUAUUAUGUUAUGUAUGAGAAGGGGAGUCUUAUAUUUAUAAAGUUACAAAACCCUUUCUCUGAGAAAGAAGAAACCUAAUAGGAAAGAGAAAUUUUCCAACAGGGAAACUUUUUCCUCCAAGAAAGACGUUAGCCAAAUAUGGAAAAAAAUUAUAUUUUUCUUUUAGGAAAAGUAAAAAUAACUGUGGUAUUACUUUUUUUUCCUUCUAAGAAAAUUAAAAUUUAAAUUUGGUAAAAAAAUCAGAGAAAAUACCCUAACAAAUAUCCUCUUUUCGGCUUGAUUUUCUGGAAAAAUAAUCUUGAUUUUUCACUUUCACACGAUCUUCAUAUAUCGUUGCUGCUUACUAUGAUUAAAAGUUGAUAGGGUUAAAAAUUGGAGAUCUAUACAGUAAAAAAUAAAACAUGGGCUUAUAUUAUUGGAGCUAUUGGAGCUUUGUGCAUUGAAAGUGACCACAAGUUAAAAGUGGAGCUCAUGCGUUUAAAGUAUAUAUGCUUGAGUAUAAAGGACCCAAGCAUAAAAGUUAGAAAGGGUUGUAAGUUGGAGACCAUGAAUUAAAGCAAGUAUGGGUUGAAAAUUGAUUUUUAUUUUAAAGAUGGAUUAGCAGUAUUGUUGAAAAUUUGUGUGAAACUUUUUCUCCACAUGUAGUAUCUUGACAUUUUUUGACAAAACCUUCAUUAUCGUCAAUUGGUUGCAACUUUAAUCUCAACAUGUCCUCAAUCUGAAUUACCGAACCACUGAACCAUAGGCUUUGACAACAUUUGUUGGGUUCAAAAUUGGUUGGGCGUUAUGCAGAAGCUUAUAGUUUGCAAACUAAGAAGGUGAUAAUUCAUGUAAAAACUAAAAGUAUACUAAAACAUAAUAUUAUUGAUAUGAUUUGGCAGAUUGGCCUACACAAGAAAACUAAUAUUAAGGAAAACAUAAAAACUGUUGGCAGAAAAUCUCCUCCUAAACAAAACUCUUAAAGGACUAUAUUAUGGAUACUAUUAUGUUAUUAUAUGAGAAGGGGAGUAUUCUAUUUAUAGAGUUACAAAAUCCUUACUCUCAGAAAGAAUAAACCUAAUAGAAAAUCUAAUAGCAAAGUAAUAUUUCUCAACAAGGAAACUUUUUCCUCCCAAAAAGGUAAUUUAAUUAUGGUAGAAGAUUUUGUUUGAAACUUUUUCUCCAUAUGUAGAAUCUUGACCUUUUUUUGACAAAACCUUCACUAUUGUCGAGUUGGUUGCAACUUUAAUCUCAACAUGUCCUCAAUCUGAAUUACCGAACCACUGAACCAUGGGCUCUAACACCACUUGUUGGGUUCAAAAUUGGUUGGGCGUCGUGUAGAAGCUUAUAGUUUGCAAACCAAGAUGGUGAUAAUUCAAAUGAAAAAUAAAAGUAUACUAAAACAUAAUAUUAUUGAUAUGAUUUGGCCGAUUGACCUAUAAAAAAAUUAAUAUUAAAAAAAUAUAAAAACUGUUAAGAGAAAAUCUCCUCCUAAACAAAACUCUUAAUGGAUUAUAUUGUGGAUACUAUUAUGUUAAUAUACGAGAAGGAGAGUCUUUUAUUUAUAGAGUUACAAAACCCUUCCUCUCAGAAAGAAUAAACCUAAUUAAAAAUCUAACAGGAAAGAGAUAUUUCCCAACAAGGAAACUUUUUCCACCAAGAAAGAUAAUUUUAAUUAUAAUGGAAAAUCAGGCAAAGUAAAAAAUUCAAGGAAAAUACUUACAGUUAGAGAAGGUUAUAACAAACUCAAUGGAGAGCUACAAUGACAACUAGUUACAAAAAAUUUUCACACCUCCUCUCUUCUUCUCACUCCUCUCUCAUCACCUUUUCUCUUCUAUUCAUUCCUUCUUAUUGUUCUCAUAUCUAUUCUAAAUUUCAAUUGUAGGUCAGUAUCAAUGGAGUCUGCAAUUUUGUGAACUUUUCUUUUAAUUCAUGUUUCUUUUAAGUCUUUCUCUUGUAAAUUCCAUUUUCAAUCAAUAUAAAAAAGAAAUUGUCCCAAAAUAUCUCAUCUUAUUUCCUUAUAGUAAUAUAGAAGUGAAAUGCUUUGACAAUUGAAGAUUGAAGUGAAAUGCUUUUACAAUUGAAAAUUGAAGUUAAAUACUUCAACCAAUUGAAAGUCAAUGAGAAAGUGCAUUAGCAUUUGAAUAUUGGAGAGAUAUUCUCCAACACAAAUUAAAAGUUGAAGAUUGGAGAGAAGUGCUCAAUUCAACAACAAUAUAACAAUAAAAGGAAAGAGUAUAGAACUUUGAAUUAAGGAAGAAAGUUGAAAAUAAUAAUUCAAAGAUGGAAUAAGAAUUCUUAAUUGUUUAGGAUUAAUAUUUGGUAUUAUUUUAACUCAUGUCAGGCUUGGAUUAGGAUUUUUUUAUCCUUGUUUGUAUAGGAAUAGGUUUUCAAAUCCUAGUUUAAUUUGGUCGUUAGUAUCAUAAAUAAGGUGUUCUGUUACAUACUUGAUUUAAGGAGAAUAAAAGAGAAUUAUUUUAGUUUAUUAAUAAACUAUUUGCCUUCAAAAUCUGUCACAACCUGAAUCGGAGCCCUGGUUAUGACGGGCAGCCCAAGCCUACCAAGGCUGAGAUGACCCCUUAGCCAUACAUCAUAAGCAUAGUCAUAAUUGAAAUUGCAGAAACAAGACCAUAAGAAAAAUAAAUUCAAUAUUUAAAUAACAUAAUAUCAUAUCUUAACAACAAAAUCCUAACCAAUUACCCAACACUAUCUACGAAGCCUCUAACUUUAAGAACAUUCUUAAUUUGAGAAAUGGCUCCGACGAUUUCAUAAAAACUAUAAAAUGAUAGAAUUGAAACAUAAGAGAAAUGAAAAAUUGCCUUCUGGGUGAUGGAGGGCUCACCACUUCAACAGUUUUACCAAACCAUCUAAAGCUGCACAGGGUCACAAGAAAAACCCUCGAAACCUACAUCAUGAAAUGGUGUAGCUUCCAGGGAUGGCCAAUAUGGAGAGUACUGACAUGCAACCCAAGGAGAAGGGUAAAAUAUGUAAUUUACCAAAAUCAGUCAUAAAAAACGUGCUUAUUAAAUCAUCAAGAUGAUAGAAUGUCAGGGUAGGGGCAAAGGACAUGAUACAUGAUCGUUAAAAGUUUAAUCAUGAACUAUAUAUCUUUUCACCUUCAUCUAGUAACCCAUGGACUAUAUGAGUUCGUAACUCCACAAUCUACAGGACCCAGUCCAUCUUGGCCGCACGUCCUAAGGUUAGGCAAAAGUCAACAAUCGACUAGAUCCACCAUAUAUAUUCUCAUCAUGUUAAGGACUAUCCUUAUGUUAAGGAUACUGUCUGGUCAUGCAGUUAAGAUGUGACAUCCUCUACUGGCAAACAUAGGUUUGGGAAUUGAUUAUGAGGACUUAUGCCUUCUUAAAAUAUUUUUUGCAUCAUAUUUAUCAUGAAUUCUUCCAUUAAGGCAUUCUUCCAUUUCCAUUAAAACAUUUGACUCCAACUUUCAUCCUAAGAUACAUAAUCAUAGACCCAAAGGGAUUUCAAAAGUCAUAAACAAAGCCCCAUGGGCUUUCAAAAGUCAGUUAAACAUAUUUCCAUAUUUACCAUGCAUUAUUUAAAAGAUGAAGUAAAAUUCAUAGUUUUCAUGCAACAUUAAGUUUUGAAAGGGCUUGAGGGUCGUAUUUUCAUUAUGCAAAACCCUUUAAAAGUUGUGAAUCCAUAUUACCAAGUCCACAUUUUCAUAUAAAAAAUUUAUGUGUCAAAAUCCUUUAAUCAUGCAUAGAAAAACCAUUAUAUUAAGAGAAAAACCAACAUAAAGCUUUCACAACCAAACCCCUCAACCCUAGUUUCAAACAACCAUUAAAGAAUACAUAAUUACCAAGUAAAUUGACAAAAUAUAGUAAUACUUAAAGUAAGGAGGGUACAACGUGCCUUUUAUAUGAACCAAAUUUGUGACACCUUGACUCUGAUCCUUGAAAGUAUGAGUUUUGAGAAUAAACCCUAACCUUUCUCACCUGAGAGUGGAAAGGAAAACGAGUAUUGACAACUCACUAAUGAUUGGUAAAUAAUUCUUACUGAAUGACUUAAGUCAUGGGGGAGGAGUUUAAGGUGAGUAUUAGUACAAACUACCCCUAAGAAAACUUAAGAAAAUGUGCAGGAAUUUCUCAGUUGACGACGAAAUUGAAAGACCGUCAACUCAAAUCAUCUAUCUCUCACUGAUUUAGAUAUUUACUAGUCAAGGUUGACGACAAAGUUGACAUCCCAUCAACUUGUUGGUAGCUCAUCACUUAGGUCAUCAAUCUCUAAAUGAUUUAAGGCCUUUACUAUUUAAGGUUAAUGAUGGAGUUGACAUCUCAUCAACUAGUUGACAGCUCAUCGGCUCAGGUUGUCAACUUUUGGCGGAUAGACAAUCUUAGGAAAAAAUAAGUAUAACCUUCUACUCCGGCACUGGAUUAAGGUGAAAUUGGAUGCGUUGGAAAGAAGACUCAAGAAUCUUUCAUUUGGUAUAUAGCAGGUCACCUAACUCAUUAUAUUUCAGGGGUAUUGGUCAUUGAAAGUUGACCCAAGUUAAAAUCCAUUAAAACUCAUCCGGUAGAAAAGUUCUCAACUUAACAUUGAGUUGGGAGAUUUUUAUGACCUCAAUUCAUAUCUGAAUAUGUUCUGACACUAUAGAAUUGGUCAUAACACUUAUAUUUGCAUUAAAAUCAUUGGGUUUGGGUUUAUGCACGUAGGAAUGAUGGUUCAAACUCUAGCCCAAAAAUGUGGGGUGGCACAUUAUAUCCCCCUUGGUAACAUUCGUCAUCGAAUGAUAGGUAGAAAAUUAUUGAAGAUUUAGAUGUAUGGAAUAAAGGAUGUAAAUUCACAUUAGAAAUUCUACCUCAACAAGACAUAGGCAUCAAAAAGAAAAGAGCUUAAUAACAUCACCAAGUAAAUCAUUGAAGCACAAAUCAUUAGAUAAUAAGACUUGACAUAGACAUUGAUCUUGGGCAUGAGUUCUAUGGAACAUAAUCAUAACAACAUAAGGCAUAAUUUUUUUCUUAGAAUCCUCGGCCUAAUUAAGAUUGAUACAAGAUACGAAAUGAAAUUUUUAUGGGACAUAAGAAUAGAAGCAUUCUCCACCUCAAAUGAUAUGUCUAAUAUCCCUUAAAUUUAGCGACACUUCUCCACAAUGCUUUUACUUAUAUAAUGCCAUACUGUUUCCAUUUAACCAUUUAAGCUCCAAUUUUAUAUUUUUGAAAACCCCAAUACAAAACAUUUUCCAUUAAUGUAUGAUAAUGUUUCCAAAGAGUGCGUUGAAUACUACAAAAUCCCCUUUUAAAUUCUAAUUUAUGCAAUAAGAUUUGAUUUAUAUCUUUACCAUGCCAAAACCAUACCCAUUAUGAAACCACAUUACUAAAUUUAUCCUUUUAUAAAUAACAAUUCUGAUAACACAUUAAUUAAACCAUUAAGACAAGGAAAAACUAAUGCAAGCGUUUAUCAACAAAAAAUCCUCAACCAUAGUUUAAAACAAUCAUUAAAACAUUGUAAUAUCAAAUAACUUUCACAAUGUAAAGAUAAUUAAAAACAAGGGAAUGUCCAACAUGCCUUUAUGAUGGGAGAAUUUUGAGGAGAACUUGAAAUUUAGAGUCCUAAAGGUUGAAUUCUUCGGAAAGUACCUUAAUAGCUUUCUUUUGGGAGUUGAGAGAAGGAAAAACGGUGUUAAUCUUUGAUAACUAACGGGAAAUAAUGAUUAAGGAAAGUAUAAAGUUGGUUAAAAGGGUACAGGACUAAAAUCCCUCAGUCCAAAUAAGAAAUAAGAAGGAUAUACAUUUUGGACACUUGGUUGUGGCACACCCUUAUUAUGCUAGCCCAAGGAUGUGGUACGCCCUUAUCGUGGAGCAGUAAAAGCGUGGCUCACUCUUAUCAUGAACCUUCACUUCUUUCCAUGACAAGGAUGAUAUGGGUAUAGCAGCUGUCCAACUAGGUCAAGGCCAUUCACACAUAGCCAAGCUCGAGAGUUAUAAAAACUCCAAGCCCCAUUUAUGCAAAUAGCCGUGUGUGAGUGUGUGAUUGAUCCACCUAAGAUAUUAAAUGUUCUGAUGUGUGAAUAAGGGAUUUGAAGUGUAACAAACUUACACUCCAAAGCCGCCCCAUGACCAAGGAUAGGAUGGUCAUUUCUUUUUUAUUUUGUGGUUUAAUAUAAAUAUAUAAUAUUAAGGUUAUUUCUUGACUUAGUUCAUUGAUGAUAUUUCACAAAAACAAGUCUUGUAAUAUUGAACAUUGCUCUCCAUUGUUCUUGAGAAUGGAAAUCCAAAACUUGAACAACAUAGUGUAGCAACACUUGUGUUGUUCCUUGUCUAGAAACUCCAGUUCAUGAGGUGUAGGAGGUCUUCUUGAUCUAAGUAAGAGAUUGAUUUUAACAUUCUUUAGUCUUAGGGUACUCUUAUGGUGUUAGGGUUUUUAGAUGCUAGAAUAUUAUAUGUCAAGUUGUCUAUCCACCAUUUGUAAUCUGUAAUAUUGUUGUUUGUAUCUUGAAAUAGUGAAGUAGUGUAGGACCAUCUUUGAUUCACUAUAGUUUCUUCCAUCCUGUUGUUUGAUUGUUUUCUUGUUGUAUACUUUUAUCUUGUAUCAUUUGGUAUCAAAGCUCAAGGCUUGAUUUUGUUCCAAUAAAAUCAAAUCUUGGGAAGAUCGUACCAAAAGUAGUAACAUUGUGUUCUUGAAGUGUCUUGGUCGAAUUUUAUAACUAGAUCUAGUAGGUUUUUGUUUGUCUAGUGUGUCUCUUGUGUUUGUUUCUUUCUCACUAGCACAAAAGGUAUUUAAAUCUAAAGUUCAACUUAUAAUAUUGACAUUGUUGUUGUGAACUUAAAGAGGCCGUGUGUUGAACAUUGAAGUUGGUCGUAUUGUGUGUUGUUGUUUGGCGUUGGAAUGGACAUUGUUGGUAUGUUGUUAUGGUUUUCUUGAAGGUUGUUGUUGUGUCCAUAUUGUUCUUCACCUAGUCUUAUAAUUUGACCAACAAAAUGUGCAAAAUUGAUUCAAAAAGGUGAAGAUAAAAGUUGUAAAGUUUGUUUGUGAGAAGACCUGAACCCAUCACUUCCUACACUUGACAUCUACUUUUCAACCACUUUUCCUUAUUUCAAGGGCCUAGUUUUGUGGGACUAGUACAAGUUAAGUCUCGUCUUUUUGAGAUUGGACUUACAAGGACUCAAGAUUUAUAAUUUCCCUCCAAAACCAAUUGUCUUCCAUUCCCAAAUUGUGUGAAGGUUGAAAAUUCAAAUUUGUGACUAAAAUUGUAUGGGACCAAAGCUAAUUGCAUGCUACCAUACCCUUGCUACUGUACACGUUAAUAUUAAGCUCAAGUUUGGACUUUCUAGUUUCUAAUUGUUGAUUCUUAGUUUCAUUAGUUGAUCCUAGAACUAAUUAACAAGCUAAUAAACUCCUACUAGGCUGUCAAUUAGUCCUUUGAGUUUUUUUGUUCGUGUCAACAUUUACUCGGGUAGUUUUAUCUUUUGAAUAUGUUGUUACUUCUUGGUCCUAGUCUGAUGAUAAUUAUUUGAGUCUUCAAAAAAGAAUCUACUCCGUACAAGAGCAUACUCAUACGUGAGAAUUCAGGGGUUACUAGCCAAUUUACAACACUUGUGGAAAUAAAAGUGUGAGGUGAUCCAAAAAAGUGAGUGAGGAGAGGUUUACACUAACUUGUUUGUUGAUUUUAAUAGGUAAUACCUUAAAAAUAGAGGGAAACACAUCUCAAACCGUGGAUACCAAUAAUCUUGAGACUAUGAGGGUUACUCUUGAGGCUAUUACUCGAUCACUUGAAAGGUUGAAUACGAAAGUUGGAGCCGUGAAAGGGGACUUGACAUCAAUUACGGGGGAUGUGUCGAUCAUAAGUGAGAGAUUAGAAUAAGUGGAGAGUCAAAGGAACUCUCGUCCUUCUACUCCUCACCAUGUUUCUUCAAGUGGACAUAAUAGAACUUCCUUCGCCACCGUUACUCCCAAAACAUUGCACCAAAUGCAAAAUCCACUGCAAGCUCCACUAAAUGUCACAAACCAAACUACCCUUUUUCCAUCCAAACUGUGAUUCCAAUAGACCAAUCUAUUCUCAAGAUCCUCAAGUCCCACAAUAAGGAAUUUUUCAUCAAUUACCUCUACCAAAUACGAACCUUCCCACCCAAGCUCUACUAAACCAAAGACCACAACCUCAACAAAAUCCAAUUCCUCCAAACCAAGUUCCAAAUAACCAAAACCAUCCCAUACACUUUGAGGAAUAUGGUAUAGAGGAGUAUGAUAGGUAUGGAGCCUUUGAUGAUGCUUACAUAAGAGAGGAAGAUAUGAGACGGGGCUAUAUGGAUCUAAGGAGAUACCAGGGGUAUUUUGUCCGAACCCAAAAUGUCCACAAAUACCCUCCACGUCAAGAAUCUUAUAAGUAUCCUAAUCGUAAAGGGUUCCAAUAUUUCAAGUGCCAAGGUUGGGGACAUAAAGCUAAUGAAUGUCUAAGACUACACAAUGUGAUCCUAAAGGAGUGGAGAUUGUAUUACCUUGGUGAGGAGGUGGGUCUUAAAAAAGUAGAUAAUGAGGCUGAGCCUUAAGAUAGAAAGGAAACCGAGGGUGAUCCACAUGAUGAUGAUGAUGGGGAAGAUUCAUAUCCAUAAGAAGGAGAGUGUGUGGUUCCAAAUUUUGUAGUGAGGCAUGUCAUGAUUAGUAAGGCAAUAAAUGAUCCUAGCCAAAAGGAGAAUCUAUUACAUACUAAGUACCUUGUAAAAGGUAGUAUGUGUACGUUAGUUAUAGAUAGUGGUAGUUGUGCGAAUGUUAUUAGUGUUGCUAUGGUGAACUUUUUGAAAUUGCCAACUACACCUUAUACUAGUCCUUACAAGUUGCAAUGGUUGAAUGAAUGUGAUGAAUUAAAGGUCACAAGGCAAUGUGUAAUAUGGUUUAAGGUGGGAAACUACCAUGACAAAGUUUUUUGUGUCGUGAUACCAAUACAAGCGUGUCACUUGCUGUUAGGUAGACCUUGGUAAUAUUAUAGGUCUACCAAGCAUGAUAGGAGGUCCAAUUGAUAUACACUUGAGAAGGAUGGCUGAUAGGUCAUACUUCAUCCUUUCUUGCCUUCACAAGUUAAUAAAUUGCAUCAAAAGAUGAGGGAAUUGAAAGAAAAAGGCAAAAAAACUGAGAGUAAAAAAAGAGGAGAACCUGAGAGUGGGGCAGUAAGGGUAUCCGAGGAGGUUUCAACCUCCAAAGAGAUGCAAAAUAUGGUGAUGUUGGCUAUAAAUAAAGAAUUAUUCAUAUAUCAUGAUGAAAAAAAUCCCUAUGCUUCUUUUGGCUCAUUAUUUUAACACUAACCCCGCUAAUGUUUCCAUUUAUCCUUCUAUUUAUCUUGCCUUGCAUGAUUAUAAUGGUGUCUUUCCAAAGGAGCUUCCACAAGGGUUGCCCCAACUUAGGGGUAUUGAGCACUAAAUAGACUUUGUGCGAGGAUCAUAAUUGCCUAACAAAUUGGCUUAUAGAAGCAACCCUACAGACACAAAGGAAUUGCAACGUCAAGUUGAGGAACUUCUAAACAAAGGGUACAUCAAGGAAAACAUAAGUCCAUGUGCGUUUCAGAUGCUACUAGUGCCUAAGAAGGACAUAAAUUGGCAUAUGUGUAUGGAUUGCCGAGCUAUCAAUAAGAUUACGAUAAAAUAUCAUCACCCUAUUCCUAGGUUUGAUGAUAUACUUGAUGAAUUGAAUGGUUUGUGUUUAUUUUCCAAGAUUGACUUAAGGAGAGGCUAUAACCAAAUAACAAUGCAACCACAUGAUGAGUCAAAAAUUUCCUCAAGACCAAAUUUGGUCUCUAUGAAUGGAUGGUUAUGUCAUUCGUCCUAACAAAUGCUCCAAGUACUUUCAUGAGGCUAAUGAAUUACGUAAUGAAUCCAUUUAUUGGAAAGUUUGUUUUUGUCUACUUUGAUGAUGUCUUGGUUUAUAGUAAGUCCUUGGAUGAGUAUGUAAAACAUUUACAAUGUGUGUUUGAUGUCCUCCGAAAGGAGAAAUUAUAUGCUAAUAUAGAAAAGUGUUCCUUUGGUGUUAAUGAAGUUAAACUUCAUGGAUUUGUGGUGAGCUCAAUAGGAUUCAAAGUGGAAGAAUCCAAGAUAACUGCUAUUAAAAAUUGGCCAACCCCUCAAACCAUUCAUGAAGUAAAAAGCUUCCACGGGUUGGUAUGUUUUUAUAGGAGGUUUUUCAAAGGGUUUAGCACCAUUGCUGCCUCUUUGACCGAUAUAAUACGGAAAGACCAACCCUUCAAGUGGGGUGAAGAGCAAGCUAAGGCCUUCGAUUCCUUGAAAGUUAUGCUCAUCUCAGCACCAUUGUUGCAAUCGUCUAGUUUUGAAAAGAUGUUUGAAGUAGAGUGUGAUAUUAGUAAGGUAGGCAUAGGCACGAUUUUAAUGUAAGAAUUGAAGCCUAUUUCUUACUUUAGUGAAAAUCUCAAAGGUGAUCUCUAAACUACUUUGUAUGAUUUAGAGUUGUAUUCUUUUAUUAGAGCAUCGAGCAAUUGGUAAUACUACCUGUGGCCCAAUUAAUUUGUGAUUCAAAUGGACCAUGAAUCCUUGAGCAUCUUCGAGCACAAGAAAAACUUAAAAAAUGGCAUGCCAAAUGGAUUGAGUUUAUUAAAACCUUUCCUUAUGUUAUUCAAUAAAGAAAGGGAAAGGAUAGUGUGGUAGUCGAUGCUUUGUCUAUAAAACAUGUUCUUGUGUCUACUUUGUCUUAAAAAUUAAUGGGUUUUGAAAGCUUAAAGGUGUUGUAUCCCAAGGACCCCCACUUCUCUUAUCUUUAGGGAAUGUAAAGAAUUGGGUUGGGAUAAAUGGGUUUUAGAUAAUGGUCCGAAUUCCUAUGCCAAGUUUGAUGGUUACUUAUUUAAAGGUAGACGAUUGUGUGUUCCCUCUAGCUUAUGAAGAGAGUUGUUUGUAAUGAAAGCAUACAAUGGCAGUCCAAUGGGUUACUUUGGGUCAAAAAGACCCUUGGGAUAUUGGAGGAGUAAUUCUAUUAGCCAAGAAUGCCCAAGUAUGUGGCUAGGAUUUGCAGCCAAUGUGUAGAUUGCAAAGGAGCCAAAUCUCGACUCCUACCUCAUGUGUUGUACACCCCAUUGCCCACCCCUUUACGUCCUUGUCUUGAUAUAUCUAUGAAUUUUAUGUUAGGAUUGCCAAGUAAUAGAUGAGGUCAGGAUAGUAUCUUUGUUGUAGUUGAUCAAUUUUCUAAGAUGGCACACUUUAUUCCAUGCUCUAAAUGUGUUGAUGCACCUAGCGUGGACUCUUUGUUUUUUGAUAAUGUUGUCAAGUUGCAUGUUGUUCUGAGGACCAUUGUGAGUGAAAGGGACUCUAAGUUCCUAACCCACUUUUGGAAGUCCAUGUGGGGUAGGCUUAGUACCAAGUUAUUGUUCUCCACCUCUUGCCACCCAUAAACCAAUGGCCAAACGGAAGUAGUAAUAGGACCUUGGGUUCUAUGCUAUGUUCCAUGGUUAAGGGAAAAAUGACUUUUUGGGAGGAACACCUACCAUUGAUUGGGUUUUCCUAUAACCAUUUCAUACACUCAAGUACAGGAAUGACUCUCUUUGAGUGUAUGUACAGCCUCAACCCCUUACCCCUUUGGAUUUAACUCCAUUUCCAAGUGAUCUUAUGAUAAGUUUCAAUGGGAGAAACCGGGAAGAAACUAUGAAGAAGCUACAUAAAAAAGUUAGGCUACAACUUGAGAAGAAAAUCCAAGAAAUAGCAAGGAGAGGUUUCCAUCCCAAAGGAAAACAAAAUUGAUUCCAAGAGGUGAUGGUCCAUUCCAAGUACUUGAAAGAAUCAAUGAAAACACCUAAAAGAUUAACCUUUCCCCGAAAUAUCAAGUGCACAACACUUUUAAUGUGUGUGAUCUUUCUCUAGUGGAUUAGGUUGAGGAUGACCAAACAUUAAAUUUGAGGUCAAAUUCCUCUCAAGGUGUAGAGGAUGAUACGUGUAUAGCAAUUUGUCCAGCAAGUUCAAGGCCAUUCACACAUAGCCAAGCUUGGGAGCUACAAAAACUCCAAGCCAUGUUCAUGCAAAUGACCGUGUGUGAGUGUGUGAUUGAUCCACCUAAGAGAUUAAAUGUUUUGAAAUGUGAAUAGGGGCUUUGAAGUGUAACAAACUUACACUUCAAUCCGCCCCAUGACCAAGGAUAGGAUGGUUAUUUCCCUUUUAUUUUGUGGUGUAAAAUAACUAGAUAAUAUUAGGGUUAUUUCUUGACUUAGUUCAUUGAUGAUAUUUCACAACAAGUCUUGUAAUAUUGAAUAUUUAUCUCUCUUUUUCUUAAGAGUGGAAUUUCGAAACUUGACCAACAUAGUGUAGCAACACUUGUGUUGUUCCUUUGCUAAAAACUUAAGGUCUUGAGGUUUAUGGGUUCCUCUUGAUCUAAGUAAGAGCUUGGUGUUAACAUUCUUUAGGCUUAGGGUCCUUUCAUGUUAUUAGGGUUCUUAGAUUCUAGAAUAUUAUAUGUCAAGUUGUCUAUCCACCUUUUGUAAUCUUGUAAUAUUAUUGUUUGUAUCUUUAAAUAGUGAAGCCGUGUGGGGCCAUCUUCGAUUCAUGAUAGUUUCUACCAUUUUGUUGUUCUUAUUGUUUGCUUGUUUUAAUACCCCGAACUUUCUUUAAGUCAAAUCUAGUCUCUAGAAGAGUUAGUGAUGACUUCCUAAAUUAUUAGUGUUUAAAUAAGAUAAAAUUUCUCCAAUUUCGACUUUUUAUCAUAUGGGAAGUUGAAUUAUAUUUCCAAAAAUAUCAAUUUUGUCCAAAUCUGGUAUCGAAGUAAAAAGUUAUGGACAUUUUAUAGAUAACUGUUGGAACUGCCCAAAAGCGACGGUCAGGAUGACGGACCGUCGAGCUAGCGAUGGACUGUCGCCCAAGCCAUUGUGACUAAGGUAGUGAACCCAACUUCUGGUCAAGUGCAAUGUCCAGGACCAAUGGACCAUCAAUUUAGCGAUGGACUAUCGCCCAAACCAUCACAAACGAGGCAGAAAGUUUAGGUUCUGGCCAAGUGCGAUGGUCAGGACCGACGGACCAUCGAGCUAACGAUGGACCGUCGCCCAAACCAUCGCCACUUCUGAUCAGUGAUUUUAAUCUAUUUUUAAAAGGGUAUUUGGGUCUUUUUCUACCCUUUUUAACCCCUAAUUAUACCAGACCAGAGCUCAUAACUUCUUUAUUCAUCUAUAACACCAAAUUAGGGUUUCUCUCAAAGAUCAAUCCCUAAGAAUAAGAAACCCUGGGUGUUUAAUCCCAAGCCAAGUAUUUAAGCUUUUGUCUACCAAUCUUCAAGAAAUCAUCCACCCAGGUAUGUCAAGUAUUAAUUUAUGGGUUCCUUUUACCCAUGAAGCUCAAGAAACCCUAUUUGAAAUAUAAACUUUGGAUUCUAUGGUAUGAAUUAAAUUAUAUCCAUGUUUAUGUUGUUGUUUGAUUUCCAAGUUGAAGUUUUUAAUGACUAUCAUGAAAAUAUGUUAGCAUGUGGUUGAAGUUCUUACAUUGGAAGUGUAAAAUGUUUCCAUGAUGUAUUAUUUCAAUAUUCAUACCUAAAGAUAUGCAUGCAAGGUGUUUGAUAAAAUGCCUAAGAGAAUAGAAAUUAUGCCUUAUGACUCAUUUGUGACCAAAAUUGAUGAAUCCAUGUUUAUUCCUUAUGUUUGAUAUGAAUCCCACGCUAUUGUUAUGCUUUGUAAUGGAUUGAUGUAAUUCUCAUGAAAUUAGGAUUAUGAAAUUAUGAUAUGUUUACAUGCAUUCCUAUUCAUGUGUAAGCUUAUAGCAUGCGAAUACGUCAUGAAAAUCCCCAAUGAUUGGACUAUGAAUUGUUAAUUAUGGUCAUAUGUCAAGAAGUGUCAUGUCUUAUUAGUUUUAUUCUAAAAGUUCUGGAGGUACUUGUACCCAACAAUUUAGCUGUGUGCCUAGAGGUAGUGUCAUGUUUUCCAGAUACUCUCAGUCAAGACAUGAUUCAUAGAACUCAGUCAGUCAUGUGACUCAGGAAAACUUAGUAAACUCAGUAAUUUUAGAAAUUUAGUACUCUCAGUAGUGUUUCGUCAGUCAAUGGAACUUAAUGAAUGUAGUACAGUCCAUUUCAAUUAAUCAAGUUUAGUUUCUUUCAGAUGAGAGUAGGAUUCAGCACCAAAUGAGCCCAGGAUGGGAACUCACUUGUUGUUAAGGGUUGUGAUUCUUAGAAGCCAUCCAUGCGCUCCAGAACUACGUAGCCAGCGUAGUUUGAGACAUCAAACCUGUUAGUUGAGGGUAGAUGAGGUAGCUUAAUGUAACAGCCCAAUUUUUCUAAACCAGAAUGCUACAUGGUGCUUAUGACCUCGAAGGACCACAAUCUAACCCAUGAGUGAUAUCUAUACCGGUACACUGCAUAAUAUACAUGUAAAAUGUGAAAAACAUGAACAAUAGGCCAUAAGGUUUAACUGAAUAAAGUAUCUGACAAAACAUAAUAUCCAUAUGGGUGACAAAUACCUAAACCAACUGAAGUCUGAAUCAAAUCUGAGCUAAAUCUGAAAGCUUCUAUGUACUGUCUGAAAUAAGGAAUUGAAGGAACAUGUCUCCAACGAACUCCAUCUGGCAAAACUGAACUGAAAUAAUGAAUGAAAAAAAAUAAUAUCGUCCUUUGAUGGAUGAGGACUCACUGCAACCCUGCGUACUGGAAUGAUACUGCUACUGCUGAUCUGAAACUUGUGACUCUGAAGCUAUGGUGUAACAUAAAAGAAGGAACCAUAGCUCAAAUCAUCAAUACAACUAAAAGUACUGAGUAUACGAGUGGGGUAGGCUAAAUUCAAGGGUUUACAUGCAUGAACAAUGCCCACGAACGGUAUAAUAUGAACGUGAGAGUGCAAACAUACAUACAUAGUAACUAAAAUCAUAAAUGCAUAAUAACUUGAUCUAUACGCUAAUACAUGGUUUACUGAUAUCUAACAUAAUUGGUACUGUAAUUCUAAUAACAUAAAUGACUAUGUCUGACAGUCCUAAAUAUGAUGGAACUAUUUGUGCUCCGUUCUAUAACUAAAUUAACUGUAUCUGACAGUCCUGAUAUACUGAAAUCUGAAAAACCAUCUGAGUUCUUUUAUUGAGACUGAGUAUGAAAUUGUGGGAGGUAGUUGUUUAACCCACAUGCCCUAAAAACGUGUAUAGCUGAGUUAGGGUCCAAUCUCUGCCCCAACUGGAGGGAUCUCAAUACCACGUCACUGGUAAGGACAGCUGUGAGUGACCCUUGUCUAUUAGGUACUCAAAAUGAGAAUGGUGGGAACCCUAAACUGACAUGUUAAGACACCUCAUCAACCCUAAUUUGAUAGGUUAAGAUGUCUCAACCUACGCUGGCAACGUAGUUCUAGAACACAAGGAUGACUGCUAAGAAUCACACCCUAAACUGGCAGGUGGGGUUCACUCGGUGCUAACUUCUACUCCCAUCUGAAGAGACUGAACAUGAUUUAACUGACUAUACAUGGACUGAGUAACUGACUUCUGUUGACUGACAGAAUAGUAUUACUAUCUGAGAAUUAACUUAGAUCAUGAGAUUUCUGAGAUUUUCUGAGUCACGUGACUGACUGAGUUCUAUAUAUCAUAGCUUGAUUGAGAUUAUCGUGAUAACAUGACAUGGCUCUAGGCACAUAGCUACAUUUUUCGGGUACAAGUUCCCCUAGGACUCAAUGGAAGGAAACUGACACACAUGACUGGCCUGAUUGUAAGAGUAGAGUCCACAAUUUACAAUAUCAUAGGUAGGGGAUUUCACACUAAGCAUAGUUCUCAACAUCUUAAUACAUAGAAGGGAAAUUUAUACAACAUAUGUAUACUUGCAUAGCAUAAAUAUCAUACUCAAUCCAUAGCACAACAAUAAUGCAUAUCAAUUACGUAGAAUUCAUGUGAAAUCAUAAAGCAUAAAGCAUGGACUGGUUAUUUAAGUACUAUUAAAGCAUGGGACAUGAAUUCGAUCAUCCUAGGAAAUUUAUCAAACACUUUGCAUGCAUUCUUUUAGCAUAUGUGUGUGUUCAUGAAUUUCACAAUAUUAAGCCACCAAAGAACAUGGGUUUCAACUAAUAACCACAAAUACUUCAUGAAAAACACCUUUAGAUAUUAUCUUGAAACUUAAACAAUAAUCAUCAACAUAUAAAUGCCCAUAUCACAACAAAAUAUAUCAUAAAAUAGUAUUUAAAACAUGGUUCUUGAGCUCUAUGAACGAAAUAGAUCCAUAGAUGAACAUUAUGCAUACCUAAGAUUAAGAAUCCGUGGAAUUUACUAUGAAAUCGGCUUGAAUCUUGAAACCCCCAAUUGAACUCUAGACUUGUUAUUGGUUGUUCUUGAGAGAAUUUCAGCAAAAGUUGUAUAUUUUGGUGAAAAUGGUAUUAAUCUCGUGUUUUGAGUAUAUAUAGUAGUAGGGAAAAGGACCAUUUUGUCCUUAAGUUUGUGACCUGGACGCUUGAAAAUUUUGGGAGCGUGCGAUGGAGUGUACAUCGCAUGCUCCAUCCCUUUGCAGAAUAGCAUGCGCCGCACGCUCUAUAGCAUGCAAGGGCCAUGCGAUAUAGCAUGUGUCUCAUGCUAAUCAUAUGAUGCUACUGUUUUGAAAUCCAAAAAUGCUCUAAAUGGAUUCCAAAACUGCUGAAACUCACCUGGAAUGUACCACAACCUUGCCCCAUCGCAACGCAACUUGAAAAUCCAAAAAUGAAGGUCGGGAAGGUCAUCAAAUAAAUCCCCAAAGUUUGGAGGUCUAAAAUGAGACUAAGUGUUGAACACUUAUAAAAUUUUCUAAGUCUUGAGGCUUGUAAAGCCAAAUGAGCUGAAUUUCAAACUUAGGAUUGUAUGGGAUAUUACAAUAUCUCCCCCUUGGGAACAUUCGUCCUAGAAUGAGAAUCAACUGAAAAGGGGAUAAAAGACAAGCUGAACAUGAACUGAACGUGAAUGACUGAGGCAUGACUUCAUGACAGACAUGCUAAAUAUACUGAACUCAUGCAUAUCUGAUGCAUGGAUAAUUGAUACAUAAAUGUGUGACUGUGUGUUCUGAUAAUCUGAGUUUCUCAAGAUGAGAACGCAUAGAUGAUGCAUAAUUUUAUAGCUAAACUGAUAUAUGAAUGCAUGAAUGAGUAUGCAAUGGUAGUAGAUACCUCACAAAAGAUUCCACCCUUGAAUUGCUAUCCUAGUUACAAGUUUCAUCUUUUCUCAAGUAGAGAGAGGACUUUGGUAUUUCAAAUGUCAAGACUUACAACAAUAAUCAACUAAGUAAUGAAAAUCCAUAAUACUAAACUAUAUAUAGUCUCCUUAUUACACAAAUGAUGAAAUACCCAAAAAAAACCUUAAUGAAAAGGGGGCGCCCCUCUAGUGUAACAAAUGAGCAAAUAGGGAGGCUUUGGUGUAUCUUUGAUCUUUCUCACGUCUCAAAAUUUCACUUCCUAGGAUGAUCCUUUGCUGCACUUGUACACACAUUGAUCUUCAUAGUCUCACUUGUAUAAUCCUCUCUAUCUUGAGAUGAAUUUGCCCUCAAAUUAAAGUAAUCAUCACCGGCAAGUUCUCCUCUUUGUAUCAUCUCUUCAUUGCUCUUCCUAAGGUUAGGAUAUUCAACCAAGGGUCCUAUGAGAUCAUCAAUCAUGAUUAUUGGAUUUAUAUGUUCUACAACCUGCACAUACGAAGAUUUGAUACUAGGCAAAGUGCUAGUAUCUCGGUUAGUAAUCCACAAAGAGUCCUUGUGGGCACAUCUCACAAUCCCAACUCUUGGUUUCUCUCCUUCUUCAUCCUCCUCACUCUCAGAUUCUUAUUCCAUACCCUCACUAAGCAUGAAUUUCCUUUUCAUAUACAUAGGCACUACAAUCUCACCUUCACACGGCCAAACAUCUUCCUUAUCCCCCUCUUUUGGCUCCUCGUGUUCUACCUUCUCUCCAUAUUGAGAUUGUUCAUCAAUCUCCUUUGGUUCAAGUCCCACCUCCUCCCCAAGAAAUUAAAAUUUUCCCUCCAUUAGGAUCACAUUUCUCCUAUUUGGAUACUUGUUAGCCUUGUGUCCCCAACCUUGGCAUUUAAAAAAUUGAAAACUCUUAGAACUAGAAGGGGAAUGCGGUUUACCUUCAUUUAUUAAAGGGUACCUUUGGUGAGCCUUGUUUUCGACUUGGGCAGCCUUGUCCUUGGUUUUAUCCACAUUGUAUAGGUCAUUUUUAUCCUUGUGCCAACCCGAGGGAGAUUGCCCUUUGAGCUUGACACUCGGUUUCUCCCAUAAUUCCUUCUCAACUUCCAAGGUAGCUUGGAAGAUGGAAUCAAUGGUGUCAAAAUUUUGAAGUCAACCACGAGGCAAUGUACCUAUUCAACCCCACCUUGAAUCAAAUGAUUUCCUUUCUUACUUUCUCCCCUCAGUGAUCAAGUUUCAAAAUGAGUUGUUGGAAUUCAUCAUAGUAAGCCACGACGCUUUUGUUUCCUUGUCUCAAGUUAUACAACAUAGCAAGGAGCUCUUGAUGGUAACUCUAGGUUAAGUACCAUUGUCGCAUGAGGUACCUUAACCUAAACCAAGGAGGGGGCUUCCCCUCAAUCAAAACAUUGCCAAAUUUCUUCACAUACUCCUACCAAGUAGUAGCAUAACCCUCAAAAUGUGCAAUCGCAUAACAACUCUUUUUCUCCUCGAUAAGGUUAUUAACUUGGAAGAUUCUCUCACAAGCGGACUCCCAAGCUAUAAAAUCUUCCGGAUCACUUUCACCUUUGAAUGUUGGAAGCCCAUCUUGAUGGUAUUUAGACCUACAUCACGGUUUUGGUUCCCUUGUUGGUUCCAAAGACCAACUCUUCCUUCUCAGUCAUGAACUUUCCUUGGAUCACCUUACCUACCCCUCAUCUCCUCUCUUCUUAUGUAAAUAUCAUUAUAUGGUCCAUAACCAGCAUAUUGUUCUUCUCUACUAUACCCCUUAACAUGGACAGGUCUAUUUGGGUUAAGUGAAGCUUGUAGCAGCGGGAUUGGAUUUGGAUAGUGAGGUCUUUGGUCAAGUGGAUUUUGGAUGGAAGGGCUCGGUUUUGGUGGUGGUAUUUGGGUUCCAAGUCCUUCUUGUUGGACUUGGUUAAGUAGAGGGUGGCUUGGUCUAUCAUGAUCUCAAAUUUGGGAGUGAGGGUUGGUUUGAUUUGUGGCAAUAGGUGGAUAUUGCAUUUGGUGCAUGGCCUCGAGAGUACUAGUUGGUGAAAUAUGUCGAGGGGUAGAAGGUAGGAUUCUUUGGAUUUCCACUCUCUCCAAUCUUCCACCCAUAAUUGACACUUCACCCUUCAUUGAUACCACAUCCGAGUUUAUUUUUUCAAUACCCGUGGUCAUCCUAGCCAUGUCUCGCGACAUAGCUUCAAGGCGAGCCAAAAUGAUACUAGUAGCAUUGUGUUCCCCUGUGGGUUGAGAGUGUGAGGUCUCAGGUUCCAUUCACCAAAAACAGUCCAAAAUGUCACACACAACACACCAACAAAGGUUCAAGUAUUUGAACCACAAGAAACAAUACCACCAAACGGCAACAAGAAAACUAAACAAGUUUACAAGACAAAAACACACUUUGUUGUUGAAGAGAAUUUGUUCCAAUACUUUGAUGUUCAAUAAUACACCUUUGAGGAAGAUAUUUCGGCUAUGGUAUAGGCUUACAAGACUUGAGACUCUCUUUUCAAGAUUCAAAAACUUUCCAACAACUUUUUACCAACUUGCACUUUUUUGGCAAGACAACUUUUUGGGGUAGUCUUGUCUCUUUCCUAUUUUGUCUAAGUUUGAAAAGUGCCUUACUCCUUUUGGUAACUUGCUUUUUGGAGGGCUCUUUUUCUUUUUCUACUUUGGUGUUUUCUUGGAUUGUUUUCAAGACAAACACAAAGUCUUAUACUUCUUUUCUCUCUUCAAGAUCAAACAACAACUUCUUCAACACAACACAACACAAGAACAAAAGAUGAACACCAACAACAACAACUAGAAAUCGUUCACUUAACACCACAACACAACUCGAAUCUUGCUCAAGAACGUGGGUUGUAGACUCAAUAAGUGUUGAGAAGAAAGAGAACCAACACUAGAAACAAACUAAGACAAAAACACACACUAAAUUCUAGACAAAAAUCUCGGCCAAACACAACAACAACAAGAAGAACACCCGACCAAGAACAAGAACACUUCAAUACUUUUUUUUUAUUUUUGACUAAGAGAGCCCAAGAUUGGUAGUGUAGGAACAGAACCAGCCUUAGCUAUGAUACCAAAUCAUACCUUACAACCCCAAAAAGACACAAGAAAGCCCUAAAAAAUGUCACAAAACACACCACAAAUCGAGAGCCUAAGAAACCAAGUCUCGUCCAAGAAUGAUAACAAAAGAAUAAAAAGAAAAUCCGAGAAUGCUUCAACAAUGGAGAUAUAAUAACGUGUAUAACCAAAUCAAAACAACAACAACACUACAUUAAUGUGAUGAACCAUAAGCUUACAAUAACAACAACCAACAAUUACAAGAGGACAAGACACAACUACUACAAGAUGACACAAAAGUAAAGGGAUAGAUAGUUAGACAAAGGUGGUGUAAAUCCUAGAAACCAAAGAGUACAUUAAACUCUAAGACCCCUAACACCUCCACACACGAUCACCUAACUCUUACGAUGAAACAAGAGAGGAUCCACCACUCAAGAGCCAAGGUUUCUCAAAAACAAGCAAUCACAAGAGAUUCCACCCUUGAAUUUCUAUCCUAGUUACAAGUUUCAGUUUGCCUCAAGUAGAGAGAGGACUUUGGUGUUUCAAAUGUCAAGACUUACAAAAAUAAUCAACUAUGUAAUGAAAAUCCCUAAUACUAAACUAUAUAUAGUCUCCUUAUUACACAAAUGAUUAAAUACCCAAAGAUCCUUAAUGAAAAGUGGGCACUUCGUGUAACAAAUGAGCAAAUAGGGCGGCUUUGGUGAGUCUUUGAUCCUUCUCACAUCUCAACAUUGCACUUCCUAGGAUGAUCCUUUGCUACACUUGUACACACGUUGAUCUUCAUAGUCACACUUGUAUCACUUUUAAUACAUAAACUUAUAUACUUUUGUUUACAUAUAUUUUAUAACAACAUAUAUAUUAAUAUUAUUUGAAUACAUAUUUUAUAGCUGUAUAGAUUUGUUUUUCUUUUCUUUUUCUUUUGUUAGUUAGGCAAACUUAGGCCGUUAAUAUUUACACCAAUAAAUUAAAUCAAUCAAUUAAUUUACAUCAUAAACAUUGUGAUUUUUUCUGUUAAAGUAAAUCUUUAUUUUUUUUUGUAAAUUUUAAUCAAAUAAAGAAUAUUAUUUAAAUAAUUUUUCUUUUCAUGGCAUAUCAAGAUACAUUUCUUUUCACAUGUAAUUUAUAUAUCUCUAAAUAUUAUAUAUAUACCUUUACAUAGUUUUAAACAUGUUUUAAAGGAAUAUUAUAUAUAUACCUUUAUGUAAAGGAAUAUUAUAUAUAUACCUUUACAUAGUUUUAAACAUUUGUAGUUUUCCAAAAAAAACUAUUUUAUACUUAAUACACACACUUUUUACGUUAUUUUAAUUAUAUAUCUUUCCUCUUUGAUAAAUUUAGUCUAGCUGGAUACCAUAGUUAGGGAUCCCGAAGGGUGCCUAAUCCCUUUCCUUCGGGAUAAUUUGAACCCUUACCUAGAAUCUUAACUGAUUUUCGCAGGCUAAAACAUAAAUCGCAUAUGUUAAUAAUUCAAUAGGUUUCCUUAUUUUCCUUAAAAAUUAGGUGGCAACUCUGUUCAAAACUUUAAUUCUCUUAGAGUCCAAUAAGUCAUGUUUUGUUUAACCUUGGCGAAAAACAGGGCAUGACAGAAUGGAGACUUCACUGGGGACUAACAACAGGUUCUAACCAUGAUAGACUCAAUUUUUAAAUUCAGGGAGGUAUUUUUACAUUUUUUUGCAUAUAUUAAUUCUUUGAUUCUUUAUCUUUUUUACAUUGUAAAUUGUGUAGACUUUUUCUUGAAUUCUUUACAUUAUUUGCGCAAAUUAAUUUUGUUCUCUUAUCAAUUCUUUUAUUCAUUAUUUGUUUAAUACAUUGUAUUUGUAUAUUGUAAAAAUGGUUACACAUUAUUCUUUAUUUUAUUUGAUCAUAAAUCACAAUUUCAUCGAGUCUUUGGCCGUACACUUCACACACUGUGGUUCACGCGGGGAGUGUCUUACGCAGGGGUGUCUUAAAUUCCUCCAAAGCUUCUUUGAAUUUUAUAAUUUCAGAGUCGGUGCAUUUAGGUUAGUGUGUCUUCUUGCAAUCAUUCAGUCCUACUUUCAACCAUUUAGGAAAGUUCCUAUUUUGGAAAUAGAUCACGCAUUGUACAAACUCACAAAUAAGUUUGAACUACAUUUCAGCCUAAUUCUUGUCUUGACGAGAUACGUAGGAAACUCUAUAUUAGGGUUCGGUCUCUUCACUAUUUCAGAAUAAUUUCUUACAUAUUUAAAUUGGGACAAAUUUUUCUAUAACAGUUCAAAGAUGCUCUCCAAAGGUCUUCAAAGAGCGCAAAUAAAUAAUUUCUUGAAUUCAAAUCUCAAUAACAUUAGUGCCUAGUUAGUCUACUUUCAAAUCCUCACCUGAUUCUAGUUCGAGAACACCUAGCUUCUUCUUUUAAAUGUCGUAAACUAUUAAAUUUAUGGCAUAUCGAUCCCCAUUUUUAAAGCGAGGGUUAAACAUUCUUUCAUUCAUAACAAUCCUUGCCAACUGUGGUGAAAUAAUGCCAUAACUUCUUCAAUGUCUGACCUUUUUCAAUCUCGUCGACAUGUUGAAGUAAUUUCAAAACUCUCUUCAUGCUUGACAUCCUUUCUCUCGAUCGUCUGAUUGAAAUAAUUUUGAUGCUACAAGCAAUUCCUUUCUAGUCAUCUUUUAUAUCAUAUUCAAGGAUAACCACCACUCUUGUACAUUCAUAAAGGCUACAUACAAAUAUAUAAAUUUACCUGAACUACGCAUACCUGAUUCUUGUUUUCACAAGAUACGUAGGCAACCCCCAUUCGGGUUCAGUCCCAUUAUUUGUCUAAAUAAAUAAAAAAUAGAAUUUUGACAUGGAUGGUACCAACACAAUUAGGAUUAUGCAUUAUAAAGAAUAAAUUGGUAUGAUAGAGAUGACCGACGUCAUGGUAAACCAUAGAUUCCUUUGGUACCUUUUAAUCAAACCUGAGUAACAUUAAAAAAUUCUCACGCAUACAUUUAGGACAAGAACAAAACCAACCUCAUCGUUUCAAAAGCAUUGUGUGGUUACCUUUAGACUAGUUAAUUACAUUGCACUGUUGAUCCAGAACUUGGACUGAAUGUCUGUUGUGGCAAAAUUUUGAGUUACACUUAGUUUGGGAAAAGAUUAUAGGGCUUCUUUGACCCGAUUGUGCCUUUCACAGCCCACCAAAUUACAUCAAUCCUUAGCAUUUCCUCCUUUGGGCAUGAAACCUUUUAUUUGUAUAACUACAUCUGAGCCUAAACCUUGUGAGUGCUUAUAUGCACUAUCCCUCUUUUGGCCCACCUCCUUGAGCGCACCAAGUACGUGUAAGUUGUGAAUGAAGAUUCAAGAUCAAAGAUUCCAAAGGAAAAGGAUGUAUAGGCCCAGAAGAACAAAUAAAAGAGGACUUCAAAAGAAAAGGAGCAAAAACCCCUACAAAAAAAAAACUCCGACAAAGGUGGAGAAUCAUCAUCACCAAGAAAAAGGGGAAAAUAUAUCAAAAAAAGGGGAAAAACUCUAGUACAAGAUUCAAAAGAAGUCGAACCAAUUACUAAACAAGGGGAAAGAAUCACAACAAAGAAAAUGGAACGUCAAAAUACAACAAAUAUCAAAAGCACAAAUAUAGUGCAACGCUCAUUGAGAAAUUAGUUAUUUUCAACCAAAAUAUCAUCCUACCCAUCCCCAAGCCUAUAUUACAAGCCAAUAGAAAGUUCUACAAGAUCUUAUACUAAGUGUUCUCACAUUAGUGGUUACUUACACGAAGGCCAAGCCUAUGGUAUCUCAAUUGCAUUCAUUGAACUUCUUUCUAAGUAUGAGUGUAUAUCUUUGGACGACUCUACAUUCAAAAAAAAUAUACUCAAAUAAGUGUGACAAAGAGACAUUCUUUCUGGAGAGGGCACUUGAAACAUGAGAAUAGGCACAGUUCAAAAUACUUGUUUGAAGCAAGAUGAACAAAUCCCGUUGAUACACAGGUAUGUCUGAGAUACUGCUUGAAACUAUAAGAGUUACCCUCAAGUCGAUCUCGGUUCGUUGGAAAAGAGAUAGGAGAAUUCUUAUACACACUACUAAUUAUUGGUACCAACUAUAGUAAAGGCACGAUUUUUUUGAAUUUCAACUUUCAGCAUUUCUCACAAAAGAAAACACAAAAAAGUUUUCUACAUUUUUCAACUUUCAGCAUUUCUUACAAAAGAAAAUACAAAACAAUUUUGUUUCAUUGUUGAACACUUUUUACAAGGAAAACACAAAAUAAUUUUCUACAAUUUUCACCUUUGAACAUUCCUCACAAAGAAUAACUUAAAACAAUUUUCUACAUUUUUGACUUUUAGCAUUUCUUAUAAAGAAAAUACAAAACAAUCUUCUGCAUUUUCACCUUUUCACAUUUCCCCCAAAGAAAACACAAAGCAAUCUCCCACAUUUUUCAUCUUUCAACACAUUUUUUACAACAAAAAUGCAAAAAAUAAUUUUCUUUCCUUUCAAAAACAUGUCUUCACAUACAUGCAUUACACUUUACAAGCAAGAUGCCCAUCUCCAAAUACAGACAAUUAACUUUUCUUUUUAAGUUCUCACAUUCAAACACAUACAUUUUACUUUUCUAUUAGGUGUUCUACUUCUAAUAUUGCUUCUACCUUUCUAUAAACCCACCAGUCGAGAGGCUAUUCCCUCAAGUUAUUCCACCAAUAGAGAGGUGUAAUACCCCAAACUUUUCUUAAGCUUAAGUUCGCCUCGAGUAGGUUAAGGAAUGACUUCCUAAGUGAGUGUCAUUUUAACCAUGUAGAAUUUCCCUAAUUUUGAAUUUUUAUCACAUGGAAAAUUUGAUAAGCUUUCCGUCAAUAUAAGGUUCACCCAAAUCCGAUACCCGAGCAAGAAAUUAUGCCUAAUGUAAGUCUUAGUUGUAAAACACCGACAUGUUAAGGCUUGGCGCGUCGCGGAGGUGGUCUAAUUAAUAAUUAUCAAAUUCCAGUAGCCUAGCGCGAUAGUGGCACAUCGCGCCAAAGUUUCGGGUCCCAACCAAUGAUACAAUGUGAUGGCUCCGCAUCGCGGUGAACCCAAGAAUUCCAUUUAUCAAUUUCCAGUGAGCCACCGCGAUUGUGGCGCGUCGCAGUGGACCAUAAAAUCAAGUUUCCCAAUUAUAUUUUUCUAGUUUCAUUCAGAAGUUAAAAAGGGCAUUUUGGACUUUUUCCUAGCCACUUAAAUCUUCCAAACACCUGAUUUAAGGUCAUUACAAACAUCCUAUAUCAUUUUUUUUCAAGAUCCCUCAACCAAAAACCCUAGUUCAUCAAACUUCUCCUCCAAGAAACUUAAUAUUUCUCUAUCAAUUCUCCAAAUUGAGUCAAGAAUCCAAGUUCUUAGUAUAAGAAUUUCAAGAACCCUCAUCCAAGAGUUUCAAUAAUAUCCCAAAAGCAAGUCAUCCAUCAAGAUUCAUUGUUAAAGGUAUGUGGGGUUUGAACAACAACAUUCUUUCGUCGUUGUGCCCAAAAACUUACUUUAAGACAUAAAUUUUUAAAAUUUGAUAUGAUUUCCACGAAAUUUAAGUUAGGGUUUAUACCUCAUAUUGCUAAUUUCAUGAUUUUGAGAUUUGAAGUGAUUUGAAUACUGAACUAUAUGUCUAUUUUGGAGUACUUAAGCAUAUGAUCAUAUUUUUCAGAUUUUAAGUUGAAUUAUGGAUAAUUGAGUUCUAAAGCUUGAACUUUUUUGGAUUUCGAUAUGAAUUUGAAGCAUGGUAUUAUAGCCCUGAGAUUUUGUCUUGUGAUUUCCAGAAUGUGUAUGAUUAAAACAUCCCAUGAUUAGCUAUAUCCAUAUUUUGAUAAAGAAAGUUGAUCCUUUGAAACAAGUUAAGAUAGGGAUCCACAUUAUUCAUCAUCUAUGAUUUAAAGAAAGAAGAAGUAUAAUUGGUCUUUAUUUUUGACCCUUGUAUGGUUAUAAGGUGGAUUUCCUAAAAGUUCUGAGCUAAGUAAGGGAGUAGUAUUUAGCACCGAGUCGGACUUGAUUUCGAGGUCUCAUGCCCCAGAACUAUGAGCCACUGUAGGAUUCAAUUUACCCUAAGUGGAUUAAGUUAGUGAUCACUACAAAGUAAAGGUUCUACUCUGAUGGCAAGGAUAAAACAAUCCUCCCUAACGUAGGCAAGACGUUGGACUCCAUAUAGCUCACAUGGUUUAUGUCGGUUAGAAGAAACUCCCUAAAGAGGUUUCCUACUAUCUUUAAGAUAAAGUAUAUAUAUAUAUUUUGAAAGUUAAUAUUUUAAGAUCUCCAAAGUUAUAAAGUCCCAAGUUUUCCAAGUGUCCCAAGUCUUAAAACUUUCUAAAAGUCUUAAGUCAUUGAGAUUUAAAAAGGUUUUAUUCUACUGAAUUUUCAAGUAUGAGUAUUAUGAGUAUACGUAUUAUGAAAACUAUAGUCCUAAGCCGUCUCAAGUUUUUCCAAAGAUUUAAUUAUAGAUCUUGAAAGCUGAUGUUCUAAAUGUUCCAUUUACUUGCAAUCUUGAGAACCAAGAAAUAAUACAAGUUUAGAACAAAGUGACAUGACCUACAUGAUUUAUUUAUAUACUUCUAUUACUGAUUUAUGAGAGUUUACUCCAGCUAUGUGAGUCAUCUAUAUGUAUAUAUUCGCAUGCAUAUUUGCUGUACAGAAUAUGAUCUUGUCUUAUAUAAAUGCAUACAUCCCCAUAUACUCAGUACAUUCCCAAGUACUGAUCAACAUACUCAUUUUUAUGCUACAUUUUCUCAUAAUGUAGGUUCAGGUGCUUAGUACCAGCCUAGUCAGUGAUACCCGAGCACUUUAUCUAUAUUUCAGUAGUGGUGAGUCCUCAUGAUUCAAGGAUCGUUUAUCUUCAGACACUUAGUUUAUUUAGUAGUUAUUUAUCCUUUAUCAGUUGACUUUGAGUCAGUUGGGGACCUAUCCCAAUGGCUCUCUAGUUCUUGAAUAGUAGAGGCUUCGUUAGACUAGUUAUCAGAUUGUGAGUGUGUUGAAUUUCCAAUAUUGUGGUUGUUCGAAUAGAGUAUUUUCUUUAUAUUUCAUAUCAGUGGAGAUGACAGUACCAGUGCUUUAUCUAUUUUAUUUCUAAGUAAGUCACUAUAUGAAGUAACAUGAUCAAAGGGUUAGCUUUAGGGCUACUUGUAGCCUUAAGCACCAUAUGACAUCUCGGGACCCAAUUUUGGGGUGCUACAAACUUGAUAUCAGAGCCAGGUUUAAGGAGUCCUAGAGAGUCUGACAAGCCGCUUUAAGUAGAGUCUUGAUCAUCGGUGUGUAGCGUGUCAUAUCUAUGAGCAAGAGGCUAUGAAACAUUUUGAAAAAAGGGUCGCUUCUUUCUUUUAGAGUCUAUCGUGCUUAAAGUUACCUUUAUCCCAGCUAUUGAUUUGUGCUCUCUCUUAUGACAGUGUGAAAAUGCUUCCUCAUCGAGCCCGCAAAAACAAUAAUGAUCAACAACCUCAACCUGCUGAUUCCUUGAAUGAAAACAUGUCCUAUACUGAGUUUUGGAUAGCUUUUCAGGCGCUAUCCUAUGCUGUCAUUGCAAACGCUCAAGUUAACUAGACUGUAGCUUUGUAAUAGUAGGGAGGUGAUUUAGCUGCUGCCAGAAUUCAUAAGUUUAUACGGAUGAAUUCGCCAGAGUUUUAUGGGUCUAAGGUAGGUGAGGACCAACAAUUAUAUCUUAAUGAGGUGAAGAAGAUCACCCAAGUUAUGCAUGUGUGUAAGGAGAAGAGUGUAGAAUUGGCACCCUAUAGGCCGAAGAAUGUUGCUUAUGAUUGGGUUGUAAUGUGAAGGAGGAGUAGAGGGGAGAAUCCAGCUCCUAUGACUUGGCAGGUAUUCCAAGAUGCAUUCUUGGAUAAGUUCUUUCCGUUAGAGAUGAGAGAGGUGAAAAUAGAGGAGUUUAUAAACUUGAGACAGGGCUUGAUGACUGUUAAGGAGUACUUUCUAAAGUUCAACCAGCUAGCCAAAUAUUCUCCAUACUUGAUUUCUGACACCCGUACCAGUAUGAGUAAGUUCGUGACAGUUGUGUCAGGCUUUGUGUUGAAAGAGGGUCGAACUGCUAUGCUAAAUAGGGAAAUAGAUUUAGCUAGGCUGAUGAUUCAUACGCAGUAGAUAAAGACAGAUAAAAUAAGGGAGAGGGAUAGAGUGAGUGGUAACAAGAAAGCUAGAUCUGAGCAGUACAAGUAUGGUCAGACUAGAUCCCAUGGGGGAAACCGUCCUCAGUUUCAGAGCCAUUCGUCUAUGACUGUACCUUCGUCAGUUAGCGCCCCAGCGCCCAGAGGUAGGCAAGAGCAGAGAAACAAGCCUUCCAUGUCCAGGUCUCAGCAGAGCAUGAGUAACAGGCCUACUUACCCUCCUUGUGCUAAGUAUGGAAGGACCCAUCCAGGAGAGUGUUUGGCAGAGCAGCAUGGAUGUUUUGGCUAUGGAAAUAUGGGCCACAGGCUUAGAGAGUGCCCACAUGUUUGGCAAAGAAAUCGUGAUGUUCGCCCCCAGACCCAGGCUGCUAGUGCCCCAGUUCUCGUAGCUCAUCCAGCCCCUCUUCAGGAUGCUUCUUCUAGCACUGUGGGCGGACAGUGCCAAAACAGAUUCUAUGCCCUACCUUCUUUUCAUGAGCAGGAGGAUUCUCCCAACGUUGUUACUGGUAUGCUCCGUGUAUUUCACUUUGAUAUUUAUGUGUUGUUAGACCCCAGGUCAAGCUUUUCUUAUGUGACCCCACUUAUUUCUGUGAACUUUGAAAUGAGCCCUGAAAAUAUCCCUGAGCCUAUUCUAGUUUCUACCUCAGUUAGUGAGUUUUUUAUUUCUAAACAAGUGUAUAACAAGUGUCCUGUUACUAUUCUUCAUAGAGUCAUAUUGUCUGAUCUGAUAGAGUUGAAUAUGGUUGACUUUGAUCUUAUUUUGGGAAUAGACUGGCUUCACUCUUGUUAUGCAUCUAUAGACUGUCGUACCCGUGUAGUCAAGUUUCAGUUUCCUGAUGAACCAAUUUUUUAGUGGUCAGGAAGUUUAGUAUCUCCCAAGAGUCAUUUUAUCUCAUAUAUAAAAUCCAAAAACCUUAUAUCCAGAGGUUGCAUCUACCACUUAGUUAGAGUUAAAAACACAAAAUCUGAGGCUCCAACUAUUUAGUCAAUUAACAUUAUAAAUGAGUUUCCUGAUAAUUUUCCAAAAGAUCUCCUAGGGGUACCUCCCGAUAGAGAGAUAGAGUACAGGAUUGAUCUUCUUCUUGAUACACAACCUAUUUCUAUUCCUCCCUACAAUAUGGCACCUGCAGAGCUUAAGAAGUUAAAAAAAACUCAAAGAUCUUCUAGAUAAAGGUGUCAUAAGGCUAAUGUCUCUCCUUGGGGUGCACCUGUUCUAUUCGUGUGAAAAAAGAAUGGUUCUUUAUUUAUGUGUAUUGACUAUCGUCAACUUAAUAAGGUCACUAUCAAGAACAAGUACCCUCUUUCUAGAAUUGAUGACUUAAUUUACCAGUUCCAAGAUGCAAGUUACUUCUCCAAGAUAGACCUUAGAUCCGGCUAUCACCAACUUAAGGUCAGGAAAUGUGAUAUUCCAAAGAAAGCCUUCCAAACUCUUUAUGGUCAUUUUGAGUUUCUUGUCAUGUCCUUUGGGCUAACUAAUGCUCCAGCAACCUUUAUGGACCUCAUGAAUCGAGUAUUCAAGCAGUAUCUUGAUAUGUUUGUCAUUGUUUUCAUAGAUGAUAUUCUUGUGUACUCCCGCAGUGAGAAUGAUCAUGCAGAUCAUCUUAGAAUUGUUCUGCAGACUCUUAGAGAUCACCAGUUGUUUUCCAAAUUCAGCAAGUGUGAGUUUUGGCUAAGGUUCAUAGCUUUUCUGGGUCAUAUCAUUUCAACUGAAGGUAUUAGAGUUGAUCCCCAAAAGAUAGAAACUGUAAGAAGUUGGCUUAGACCUAUCUCUCUAUCUAACAUUAGGAGUUUCUUAGGUCUAGCUAGCUAUUACCGCCGUUUUGUUAAAGGUUUCUCCUCUACUGCGUCCCCCAUGGCCUCGUUGACCCAAAAGAAAGUUAAGUUCCUUUGGUCAGAUUCCUGUGAGAAAAGUUUUCACGAGUUAAAGACUCGACUUACUUCAGCCCCGAUGUUGACUUUGCAUGAUGGUAUGGAUGGUUUCGUAGUGUAUUGUGAUACUUCUAGAGUUGGUUUGGGUUGUGUGUUAAUGUGGAGAGGUAAAGUUUUAGCUUAUUCUUCUAGACAGUUGAACCUCAUGAGAAGAAUUACCCAACCCAUGAUCUUGACUUAGAUGUUGUAGUGUUUGCUUUGAAAAUUUAGAGACAUUAUCUGUAUGGUGUGCAUGUUGAUGUGUUUACUGACUACAAGAGCCUGCAGUACAUGUUCUCUUAGAAGGAGUUGAGUCUUAGACAGAGAAGGUAGUUAGAAUUACUAAAAAAUUAUGAUAUAAAUAUGUUGUAUUAUCUGAGAAAGGCCAAUAUAGUGGUAGAUGCCCUUAGCAGGUCAUCUAUGGGUAGUGUUUCGCAUGUGGAGAAAGGUAAGAAAGAGUUAGCUCAUGAUAAGAGUUAGCUCAUGAUGUGCAUUGUCUGGCUAGAAUGGGCAUUGGGUUGCUUGAUUCCGCUAAAGAGAGUAUGUUGGUGCAAAGUAGUUCCGAAUCCUCCUUAGUUUCGGAGGUGAAGGAGAAGCAAGACUUAGAUGCUAGUUUGGUCAGACUGAAGGAGUCAGUCAAGGACUAAAAGGUGGAGGUUUUCUCCCAAGGGGGAGAUAAUGUGCUGAGAUUGCAAGGUAGACUAUGCGUUCAUGAUGUUGAUGAUCUGAGAAAAAGGAUCAUAGCAGAAGUGCAUGGCACUCGGUAUUCUAUUUAUCCCGGUGCUACCAAGAUGUACCACGAUUUGUGGGAAAUCUAUUGGUGGAGUGGUAUAAAGAGGGAUAUAGCAGUGUUUGUGGCAAAGUGUGCAAGUUUCCAGCAGGUUAUGGUAGAGCACCAGAGACCUAGUGGUGUGAUUCCAGAGUUUAGUAGACCCACUUGGAAGUGGGAAGAGAUUAAUAUGGAUUUUAUGACUAGUUUACCUCUCUCCCGACUCCAUCAUGAUUCUAUUUGGGUUAUUGUAGACAAGCUGACUAAGUCAACGCAUUUCUUGCAUAUGCAUACAUCUUAUAUUGCUGAGGAUUAUGUGAGACUGUAUAUUCAGGAGUUAGUCAUGUUGCAUGGAGUCCCCUUGUCUAUCAUCUCAGAUAGGGGUACUCAGUUCAUUUCUCAGUUCGUGAGAGCUUUUCAUAGGGGUCUUGGUACCCAAUAGCAUUUGAGCUCCGCUUUUCAUCCACAAAUUGAUGGUCAGGCUGAAAGGACCAUCCAAACUUUGAAGGAUAUGUUGAGGGCGUGUGCUCUUGAUUUCAAAGGUACUUGGGAUGAGCAUUUACCGUUGAUAGAGUUUGCGUAUAAUAAGAGUUACUAUGCUAGUAUCAAGAUGGCACCAUUUGAGGCUUUGUAUGGUAAAAGAUGUAGGUCACCCAUAGGUUAGUUCGAAGUGAGUAAAGCUGCUAUGAUUGGACCUGAUGCCGUGUUUGAAGCUAUGGAAAAGGUGAGACUGAUUAGAGAAAGGUUAAAGAUAGCGCAGAGUUGUCAGAAGUCAUAUGCAAGGAGAAGGGAUCUUGAGUUCGAAGUUAAUGACUUGGUGUAUAUGAAAAUUUCGCCCUUGAAGGGGUGAAAAGGUUUGGGAAGAAGGGGAACCUUAGUUCCCGUUAUGUUGGUCCAUACAAAGUUCUUAACUGUGUUGGGAUAGCUUAUGAAGUUGAGUUGCCUACAGAACUAUCAGCUGUUCAUCCGGUCUUUCAUGUCUCCAUGCUUAGGAAGUGUAUUGGUGAUUCUAUUUUGAUAGAUCCUUCGGAAAGCCCCGAUGUUCGGGACAGUCUUUCAUUUGAUGAGAUUCCAGUUGAAAUCUUAGAUUACCAAGUCCGGAGACUAAGGAACAAAGAAGUUCCCUUGGUCAAAGUGUUGUGGAAAAAUUAGUCAGUUGAGGGUGCUAAGUGGGAAGCCAAAGCAGAUAUGAGAUCUAAGUAUCCGCACCUCUUCUCCGCGAGUUCAGAUCAAGUCGAAGGUAUUAUUCUUCAUUAAUUCAGUCCUUUUCUAAUCAAAGUUUCAGCUAUGCAUCUACCUUAUUAAGUUCAUGCAUUCUUCAAGUAUUCAAGAGUUUAGAAAGACAAAGAGUCAGGUUAGCGAGUUCUUAAAGAUUUACGUACUUAGUUUCCUCCGCACUCUUAGCUUAACUAGUGAUAUUCAAGGACGAAUGUUCCCAACGGGGAGAUAUUGUAAUACCCCAAAAUUUUCUUAAGCUUAAGUUCGCGUCGAGUAGGUUAAGGGAUGACUUCCUAAGUGAGUGUCAUUUUAACCAUGUAAAAUUUCCCAAUUUUCGACUUUUAAUCACAUGGGAAAUUUGAUAAGCUUUCCGUUGAUAUAAGGUUCACCCAAAUCCGAUACCCGAGUAAGAAAUUAUGCCUAAUAUAAGUCUUAGUCAUAAAACACCGUCAUUUUAAGGCUUGGCGCAUCGCGGAGGUGGUCUAAUUAGUAAUUGUCAAAUUCCAGUAGUCUAGCGCGAUAUGAUCCCAAGAAUCCCAUUUGUCAAUUUUCAGUGAGACGCCAUGAUUGUGGCGCGUCACGGUGGACCAUAAAAUCGGAUUUCCCAGUUAUAUUUUUUCCAGUUUUGUUCAGAAGUUAAAAAGGGCAUUUGGACUUUUUCCUGGCCACUUAAAUCUUUCAAACACCUGAUUUAAAGUCAUUACAAGCAUCCUAUAUCAUUUUUUUUCAAGAUCCCUCAACAAAAAACCCUAGUUCAUCAAACUUCUCCUCCAAGAAACUUAAGAUUUCUCCAUCAAUUCUCCAAAUUGAGUCAAGAUUCCAAGUUCUUAGUGCAAGAAUUCCAAAAACUUUCAUCCAAGAGUUUCAAUAACAUCUCAAAAGUCAUCCAUCAAGAUUUAUUGUUUAAAGGUAUGUGGGGUUUGAACAAGAUCACUCUUUCGUUCUUGUGCCCAAAAACUUACUUUAAGACAUAAAUUUUUGAAAUUUGAUAUGAUUUUCAUGAAAUUUAAGUUAGGGUUUAUACCCAUGUUUCUAAUUGCAUCAUUUUGAGAUUUGAAGUGAUUUGAAUACUGAACUUUAUGUCUAUUUUCGAGUACUUAAGCAUAUGAUCAUAUUUUUCAGAUUUUAAGUUGAAUUAUGGAUAAUUGUGUUAUAAAGUUUGAACGUUUUUGGAUUUCGAUAUGAAUUUGAAGCAUGGGCUUAUAGCCUUGAGAUUUUAUCUUGUGAUUUCAGGAAUGUGUAUGAUUAAAACAUCCCAUGAUUAGCUAUAUCCAUAUUUUGAUAAAGAAAGUUGAUCCUUUGAAACAAGUUAAGAUAGGGAUCCAUAUUAUUCAUCAUAUAUGAUUUAAAGCAAGAAGAAGUAUAAUUGGUUUUCAUUUUUGACCCUUGUAUGGUUUUAAGAUGGAUUUCCUAAAAGUUCUGAGCUAAGUAAGGGAGUAGUAUUCAGCACCGAGUCGGUCUUGAUUCCGAGGUCUCAUGCCCCAGAACUACGAGCCACCAUAGGAUUCAAUUUACCAUAAGUGGGUUAAGUUAGUCAUCACUACAAAGUAAAGGUUCUACUCCGAUGGAAAGGAUAGAACAACUCUCCCCAACGUGGGCAAGACAUUAGGCUCCAUGUAGCUCACAUGGUUUAUGUCGGUUAGAAGAAACUCUCAAAAAAGGUUCCUUACUCUUUUUAAGAUAAAGUAUAUAUAUAUUUUGAAAGUUAAUAUUUUAAGAUCUCCAAAGUUAUAAAGUCCCAAGUGUACCAAGUCUUAAAAAGUUUCUAAAAGUCUCAAGUCUUUGAGAUUUAAAAAGGUUUUAUUCUACUUAAUUUGCAAGUAUGAGCAUUAUGAGUAUACGUAUUGUGAAAACUAUAGUCCUAAGCCCUCUCAAGUUUUUCCAAAGAUUUAAGUAUAGAUCUUGAAAACUGAUGUUCUUAAUGUUCCAUUUACUUGCAAGCUUGAGAACUAAGAAAGAAUACAAGUUUAGAACAAAGUGACAUAACCCAUAUGAUUUAUUUAUAUACUUCCAUUAUUGAUUUAUGAGAGUUUACUCCAGCUAUGUGAGUCAUUUAUAUGUAUAUAGUUGCAUGCAUAUUUGCUGUAGAGAACUGUGAUAUUGUCUUAUAUAAAUUUAUACACCCUCAUAUACUCAGUACAUUCCUAAGUACUGAUCCACAUACUCAUUUGUGUACUACAUUUUCUCGUAAUGUAGGUUCAGGUGCUCAGUCCCAGCCUCGUCAGUAUACCCGAGCACUUUAUCUACAUUUUAGCAGUGGUGAGUCCUCAUGAUUUGAGGACCGUUUAUCUUCAGACACUCAGUUUAUUUAGUAGUUGUUUAUCCUUUAUCAAUUGAUUUUGAGUCAGUUGGGGACCUAUUCCAAUGACUCUCUAGUUCUUGAGUAGUAUAGGCUUCGUCAGACUAGUUAUCAGAUUGUAAGUGUGUUGAAUUUCCAGUAUUGUGGUUGUUCGGACAGAGUAUUUUCUUCAUAUUUCAUAUCAGUGGAGAUAAUAGUACCAGUGUUUUAUCUAUUUCAUUUCUAAGUAAGUCACUAUAUGAAGUAACAGGAUCAAAGGGUUAGCUUAGGGCUACUUGUAGCCUUAAGCACCGUGUGGCGUCUCGGGACCCGGUUUCGGAGCGUUACAAGAGGACAUUAGAAUUCAAUCACCUCACUAGUUGAUGAUCCUAGUCCUCAUAAACAAUUGAGAAUAGCCACCAGCAUCAAUCUCUAUAGACAAUUGGAGAUGUCAUCCGCCAGUCUUCUUAGACAAUUGAAGAUGACAAUUAACAUAGUCUUUAUAGACAAUUGAAGAAGACAUUCAACAUCCGUCUCCAUAGACAAUGGGAGAUGUCAUCAAGUCUUUUUAGAAAAUUGAAUACAUCAUCAUUCAACAUCCGUCUUUGUAAACAAUUGGAGAUUUCAUCAAGUCUUCGUAGACAAUUGAAGACACCAUUCAUCACAUUAGUCAUCAUAGACAAUCAGAGACAACCAUCAACAAUAGUCUCCAUAAACAAUUGGAAAUGUCAUCCGUCAGUCUUCAUAGGCAAUUGAAGAUGACAAUCAACAUUAGUCUUCAUAAACAAUUGAAGACAUCAUCAUUCGUCACAUCACUCUCUAUAGAUAAUCGAAGAUGGCAGUUAACAUCAGUCUCCAUAGACAAUUGGAGAUGUCAUUCACAUUAGUAUCCAUAGACAAUUAGAGACGAAAAUCGACACCAGCCUCCAUAGAUAAUUGGAGGUGUCAUGCAUCUGUCUUCGUAAAUAAUUAAAGACGUCACAUCAGUCUUAUUAUACAAUCAAAAACAAAAAUUAACACAACCCUCCAUAGACAAUUGGAGAUGUCAUGCAUUAAGUCUUCGUAUGCAAUCGAAGACAUCAUCAUUUAUCAUAUUAGUCUUCACAGACAAUCAGAGACAACCAUCAACAUCAGUCUCCAUAAAUAAUUGGAGAUUCCAUCCAUAGUAUUCAUAGACAAUUAAAGACAAGAAUCAACAUUAGUGUUCGUAAACAAUCAAAUAUAUCAUCAUUAGUUACAUCAGUCUCCGCAGACAAUCAUAAAGGACAAUCAACAUCAGUCUUCAUAGACAAUUGGAGACAUCAUGCAUCAAGUCUUCGCAGAUAAUCGAAGACAUCAUCAUUCAUCACACAGUCUCCGUAGAUAAUCGAAGAUGAUGAUCAACAUCAGUCUCCGUAGACAAUUGAAGAUGACAUCAAUUCUUCAUAUACAAUCGAAGACAUUAUCGUUCAACAUUAGUAUCCACAGACAAUUAGAGAUGUUAUGCAUCAAGUCUUCGUAGACAAUCAAAGACAACAUCAUUCAUCACACAGUCUCCGUAGACAAUCGGAGAUGACAAUCAAAAUCCGUCUCCAUAGAUAAUUGGAGAUGUCAUCAAGUCUUCGUAUACAAUCAAUAACAUCAUCAUUCAUUAUAUCAGUCUUCAUAGACAAUUAGAGACGACAAUUAACAUCAAUCUCCAUAGACAAUUGGAGAUGUCAUUCACAUAACUCUCUGUAGACAAUCGGAUACAACAACCAAUAUCAACCUCCAUAGACGAUUGGAAGUGUCAUGCAUCAAGUCUUUGUAAAUAAUCAAAGAUAUCAUCAUUCAUUACAUCAGUCUUUGUAGACAAUCAGAGACGACAAUCAACAUCAGUCUCUAUAGACAAUUAGAGAUUUCAUGCAUUAAGUCUUCGUAGACAAUCGAAGACAUCUUUCAUUCAUCACAUAAGUCCCCAUAAAUAAUCGGAGAUGUCAUUCAUCUUCAAGUCCCUGUAAACAAUCGGAGACAUCAUUCAUCGUCAAGUCUACGUAAACAAUCGGAAACGUCAUUCAUCCUCAAGUCUCCAUAGAAAAUCGGAGACAUCAUACAUCUUUUCAACAAAAAUACAAUUCAUAACAAUAACACAAUUUUGCAAAUCCCACACAUCAUACACUGGGGCAAAUUUUGAGAACCGUCUCAAAAUUUUCUCCUUUCUCAUUCCAAACUACAUUAAGCUAAUUCUUGUAACACUCGAGAUAUGUAGGAAGCUCUACGCAAAGUUCAGUCAUCGCAACACAAUAAUCAUUCUUUAUCCCCAACAAGUACAUAAUCUUACAUCCCCAGCUUCUCACAGCUUGAUACUAGGUAAUUUUGAAAGAAGCAUCGGGAAUAUGUGAGCACUUCCAUUCCCAUACAUUCCUCCUCUCAUUAAUUACUCUACAUAGUCGUCCGCCUCUAAUAACAAGGAAAGAGGUAGUUGCCUAUUUUCUUGAACUACACCCGAGCUGACCCUCAUGCAGCUUGAGGUAUGUAGGCAACUCUGAAUUAGAAUUCGGUCAAAUUUUCUUUAAAAAUAAAAAAAUAUAUCAUUUUUAUCGAGCAAAAUUGACUACACGUCAACGUUUUCAUUUGAAGACUUCUACAUCGUCCUCAAAUGAAAAGGGGCAAUUGUUGACACCCAAUUUUUGCUCUCAGUAACGUCUCCAGACUUCCUGAUCGUUAAAGGGCACAAAAUGUAAUUUUCACAUAUUUUUCACAACUGUUAACAAAUUAUUGAUAUUAUCCUUAUUUUAGGAUUUUAUCAAAUUACUUUAGAAUUUAAUCAAUUUACUUUCAUAUUUUUACUUUUUAUAAUUUGUUGAUAAUUCUCUGUAUAUUGAAAUUUUUUAUCAAUUGAUUAUAAUUUAAUAUUUUUACAAUCAUCUGCACACGUGCACGACAUGACAUCACGUUUUUAAAACACUUUCAAAUUAAUUAUGUAUCUUUAUAAUAUUUUCAAUAUUCUUUACAUUUUUUUCAUAAUUACAAAUCAAUUUAUACAUUUUACAGUUUGCAAAUGCUGCAUCGGAUCAAUUAUUCUUGUACAGUAUAAUAAUUCAAUGUCUUGCCACAUCUGACAAGGAUUGCACAAUAAUGUCUUGUCACAUCCGACAAGUUAUUGAUAAUUGUCAUCAUUUUAGAAUUUUUACAAAUUUGUUGUCAUAUUUUAAUUUUACAUAAUUAUCCUUAAUAUUGUAAAUUUUAGGAUUUUUAUUUGUUAAUUAUCAAUUUAAUAUUUUUACACAGUUAUCUGCAUACGUACACAACAUAACACUACAAUUCUUUUUUACAUAUUAUAAUUUUAAUUGUUUAUAGCGCAAUAUAUUUCUUCAAAGAUAAUUAUAUCUGUCUAUAUAUUUUUCUGUAGUUAUAUAUCGAUAUUUUUAUUUUUUGUACUUUAUUUAAUAUAGUCUACAGAAAUAAUAUUGACUUAUUUUAAUACACAGAAUAACAAAUCAGUCAAGGUCUCAUCAUUAUUAUGAUACUUGACUUUUCUUUCACCUACUUUCCUAAAUUUAGGGAUAUGUUGGAGAGUGUAGAUUUGAUAAAUUACCUUUUUCUUUUUAAAUACUAACACACAUACACACAACACAACACACGCAAACCCAUCAGAUUUCCUCACACACACUCUCUCUAAAAAUAUUUCUCCUCUCUCACUUUCUCUCUCUUCCAAAAACUAUCGCCUCAUCCGCUCCAUUUUUGGCCAAUGAAACUUGCUGGAAUCUGGCGACCACCAACAGCUUCGGCAGUCGAACACCACCACUAGCUAACGCCAUCACCCCGCUGCCACACCAAACCAUAUCUACCACUGCCACCGGCGUACUCCACAACAACCACUACUGCCGCCUUCAUAACUACCAGAUCGACCCUUCUCUCUCUUUCUUUUAUCACGCCAUGCGGAUUUGACCACUGGCUGGUAGGCUUUGGCCAAGUGCUUCACCAGUGCCGCCCCCUUUCAUGUUCCCCUUUUGUUUCUAUCAUUGCUCCGCCAGAGGUGAUGGUCGACGAAGCUUCAAAGGCCACAAACGUGGCUGCCUCCUAACUAUUGGCUCAAAAUGAGACAGAGCUGGUCGAAUUUUUGAGGCGUUGCUCCAGUGAAAUCCGUUGAAGCAACGCCAUUGCUUUGUCUUAUUGUAUACACAAAAUAGAAUUUUUGAUUUUAACUUACACAUAUAUAACUGGAGUUGAACUUUCCGUUGAAGCUUUACUGUUGUCAAUCUUUUACUGUUGAUUGUUAUAUUGUUUUCUUUUAUCUUAUUUGGUUGUUGCUGCUCAUUAGCCUUUUAGAUGAUGUUUAAGACACCUCUUGAAUUUGUUCGCUGAUGAUCCUAUUUUUUUGAUUAUUUUGUUGAUGAUUUUUGCUAUACUAAUAACGAAUAAAUACUACACUAAUUUGGCCAAUGAAAUUAUCUCUCAAUCUAGAUAUUUGAUGCCACCCCAUUACAAAGGCGGACUUUAUAUUUUCAAACUUAAUAUUUAUAUCAAAGGCCGACACAUGGCCGAUGACAAUAUUUUCCAUCGAUUUUCGAGGCCUUCCUAAAUAAAGACAGACAUUACGUAUACAAAUAUGUAAUAAAAAAUAAAUCACAAGCGAUGACGAAAUCUUUAUAACAUUUUAAAACUUUAUCUGAGUCCACUUUUAACAAAAAAAUUAUAUUUUAAAUAAGUAUAUGCACACAUACUUUUUCAGUUUAAUUUGAUUAUUAUUUAUUUGUUACUAACAUUUUUUACAAGUGUUCAUACAGGUUAUUGGGAAUACUUGUCGGAAAUGACAUUCAAAGAAGACUUUAAACUAUGUGCUUAUAUUUUUUAUAUUCUUGUACUUGUACAAAUGGUAAUCAUAGUGAAAGCUUUAUUUUUUUGGGAUGUUGGGUGGAAUAUUCAUUAUUUAAUCUUCACUACACGUUUAGGCAAAUUUAGGCCGUUAAUAUUUAUAUAAAAUUAUUAGAUUGACUUAGAUUAUUUAAUCAAAUAAUUUAUACUUUUUCCACUAAAAAAAUAUCACGCAGUCUUUUCUUUUAGAAGAAUUUUUCUUUUAUUCAAUCUUGUAUUUUCUUUUCAUACAUAUACUUAUAUACUUUUGUUUACAUAUAUUUUACAACAACAUAUGUAUUAAUAUUAUUUUAAUACAUAUUUUAUAUCUGUAUAUACUUGUUUUUCUUUUUUUUUUCUUUUAUUGGUUAGGCAAAAUUAGACAGUUAAUAUUUACACCAAUAAAUUAAAUUAAUCAAUUAAUUUAUACACUUUGACAUCAUAAAUAUUGUGAUUUUUUCUAUUCAAGUAAAUCUUUACUUUUUUUUCGUAAAUUUUAAUCAAAUAAAGAAUUUUAUUUAAUACUUUUUCUUUUUAUGGCAUAUCAAGAUACAUUUCUUUUCACAUGUAAUUUAUACAUUUUAUACAUAUCCUUUACCUGUGUUUCAUAACAAUAUAUUUUAUUCAUAUAUUUAAUAUAGAUAUACCUUUACAUAGUUUAAAACAUUUAUAUUUUUCAAAAGAAUUAUUUUAUACUUAAUACACACUUUUUACAUUAUUUUAAAUAUACCUUUUCCCUCUUUGAUAAAUUUAGUCUAGCCGAAUAUACAGUUGUGGAUCCCGACGGGUGCCUAGUCCCUUACCUUAGGAAUAAUUUGAACUCUUACCUAGAAUCUUAACUGAUUUUCGUAGACUGAAACAUAAAUCACAUAUGUUAAUCAUUCAAUAGGUUUCCUUAUUUUCCUUAAAAAUUAGGUGGCGACUCUACACAAAACUUUAAUUCUUUUACAGUCCAAUAAGUAAUGUUUUGUUUAACCUUGGUGAAAAAUAGGGCAUCACAAUUGCCUCAUCCUUAUUAGUAUGGCGCGCUACACACCCAUAAAUGAGACUCUACUCAACACGGCCUAUAAAUACCUAGUGACCCUAAACCAUACUUUGAUACCAAGUUUGUCACGAUCCGAAUCAGGACCUUGGCCGUGAUGGAUACCCCAAGCCAACCAAGGCAUGAGGUAGCCCCUUAAACUUACAUCAUAAGCACAAAAAUAUACAAAAAUUAUGGAAAACAACCUCUAAAAUGAAAGAGUUUGAUUAAUACUCAAUUAAAUUUAGAAGUUAAAUCCAGAAAAAAACACAACCCAAUACUACCUACAAGCCUCUAUCCAUAAAACAUCUACCAAGUCAGAACAUGACCCGACUAUGCCAAAAAAAAGAACCAAAGUAUGAAAUAUAGAGAAUGACUAAAAAGAAACAAUGCCUUCCGGAUGAUGGAGGGCUCACCACUUCCCAUCAACAGUCUAAUAAGAUAACGGUCCACCUAACGCUGUACAAGGUCAUAAGAAAAGGCCUCCGAACCUACAUAAUAAAAUGAGCAUCCGAGGAUGAUCAAUAUGACGAGUACUGGCAUACAUCCCAAGAAAAGGGAUAAAAUAUACAUUUAUCAAAACCAGUCAUAAAACAUAUGCUCAUAAAUCAUCCAGCUACUAGGAUACUGGGUAAGGGACAGGGUACAUGAGACAUAACCAUUAAAAUUUAUUCCAGAACUAUGUAGCUUACAACGACCUCCAAACACCCACAAGCUAUAUAGGUCCGACUCCCCCCACCAAAAGGGCCCAGUCCAUGUUAGUUGCAUGGACCGAGGAAUAGGCUAAAGUCACCAAGACAAUAGAAUCCCAAAAGAAUAAUUGUGUACUACUGCAUGAAGCAAGAACAUAGUGGUCAUCUAUAUUUCAGGACAAGACCUCUCAACGUCGACAAACUUGAUUUUCUGUGUUGGUCCCCCCUGGACUACACUUUCUCGGUGAAGCUAUAUAAUUCCUUAUAAGUCCAAUUAAAAUAUUUUCACAUACCAUUAUUCGUGGAGUUUUUCAUUAAUACAUUUUCAAAUUGGUAUCGUUAUACUAAGACUUGCAAGUCGUUCAUAUAAUGCCACCAUUUUCAUUUAGCCAUUUAAACUCCAAACUCCCAUUAAAAAAUCCAAUAUAAACCAUUUUCUAUUAAUGUCAUACCAUUUCCAUUUAACCAUGCAAUGUUUCAAAAGAUGAGUUAAACACUAUGAAGUGGGUUGCGGACUUGCGGUCCAUAUCCUUAUCAUGAAAAAGCUAUAAAAUUAUGAAAUCAUAUUACCAAAUUCCACACUUAUAAGUCAUAAUUUCAAUUUUUAAUCUACCAUUUUCUCCAUAUAAAAAUCAUCAUUCACACAUAGAAACCCAUUAAAAUAAGAGAAAAUUAACUUCAAGAUUUAACCACAAAACCAUCUCAAACGUAGUUUCAAACCAUAAUUAAAGAAUACGUAACAUCAGGUAAAUUGAUGCAAUACAGAAAUAAUUAAAAUAGGGAGUAUCCAACAUGCCUUUAUGACGGAAGAAUUUUGAGGAGACUUGAAUUUAGAGCCCUGAAGGUUGAAUUCUUGGGAAGGACCUUAAUAGCUUUCUCUUGGAAGUUGAGAGGAGAAAGAACGGUGUUAAUCUUUGAUAACUGAUGGGAAAUAAAGGUUGAAGAAUGUUUAAAGUUGUUUAAAUGGGUAAAGGACCAAAAAACCCUCGAUCCAAACCAAAAAUAAGAAAGAUUCGCGUCUUGGACCCUUGGGCUGGCACGCUCUUAUUGUGGCAGCCCAAGGGCGUGGCACGCCCUUAUCGUGGAGCGACAAGAGCAUGGUACGUUCCACUGGUUUCUGCAACAAAGGUGUGCCUCUCCUCCGUGGCACGCCCUUAUCGCGGACUCCUAAUUUUUUGGGGUACCAAAAAGUCGUGAAACGUAAUUGAAAAUUGUGAAAUGUAUCCCAAUGGUUCCAUUACCAUCCCUUAUCAUAAUUCCUCCGAAAAAUUAUUGCUAAACAUUAAGGAGGUAUCGAAUUAAGUUCAUCGAGAAAUAUAGGGGUUAACACACUUAGGCUUAUUUUUAAUGUGUUUUAGACCUCGUAACACCUGGGAUGCUACAUAGGCAUUCUUUGAGGAGCAUUAAACGUAAGAAAGGGGUAAGUGAGAUCUGUAUAUGAAGUUUGGAUAAAGAAAGUGUCAAAAAGAAUUUUUGUAACUACUUUUGGUAGUUGGAAUUUUAUGUAAUAAUAGAAACAUAGGUUGUAAUUUUAAGUAAUUUUUUCAAAAAUAUUUGGUACUUUAACAGGGCUGGAGAAUGUGUGCAGGUGUCUCUCUGUGUGUUUCUGUCUGAUUUUUUUUGUUGGAAGUACAUUACCCUCAUAAGAAAUAAUUAUUCUAAUAUUAUGAUUGAACAUUUAAACUUACAUUGUUUGUUAUUUUCAUUAUCAGGGGCAUAAAUUAUUAUGCUUUUACAACAUAGCUAGUGGAAUAUUAUGAUACAAAUAUAUAAGUUUAUACUCUCCAAUAGAGUAGUUGUUAUUUCGAUGUUAAAAUAUUUUCAAUUACUUCAAGUGCUGAAAGAUGAAAACUAAAAACAAUUAAAUUUGUAGACAAAAAUUAAACAGGGGCUUUUGUGCGAAUCACCAUGAAUGGAAUUAUUUCAAUAGCUUUAAUCUUGGAAUUAUUGGGGUUCGGGGAAAACGUAGCUAGGGGAAGACCAACUACUCCCUCCGUUCCGUUUCGUUUUAGUUGACNNNNNNNNNNNNNNNNNNNNNNNNNNNNNNNNNNNNNNNNUUUAGAGAAUUUUAUUAUGUUCCCCCAAUAUUAUCCUUAACAAUAAAUAUUUAAACAAAGUGUAUUUACUCAAAUUUAUAUUUUUAAAACAUAAUUAAUAAAACUAAUUUAAUAAAAUAAAUCUCUUAAUUAAUAUUUUCUUAAUGAGUGUGGUAAGUGCAUAAAUGUCAAUUAAUAUGAAACAGAGAAAGUACAAGUCUUCUUCCAAAAAGGGGAAAAAGUGACAGUAGAUAUUAAGUGUAAGCAUUAAAUGCAUUUUUAAUUAACUCGUUCAAAUUCCAUCCAACCUACUUAUUUGACAUUGAUAGAUAGUGAGUGUUGGAGUUGAUUCAAUUGUUUUUAACAGUAGAGUUAUUGGGUUUCCGAAAAUGGGCAGACGGGUUACAGGUCUGCAACUAGCAGCUUAUAUCAAAAUUGUGACAACAAAUUAUGACCUGUUUCUUGCAAAAAUUACUAAGUAAAAAUUAAGCUAGGAUAUGAGAAUUUAACAUAGUAGUAGAGGUAAAUAUGAUUUUUUUAGAAUACAAUGUCAAUUAUUAUGACCAUAAAGUUGAAUGAAAAGGAUAAAUAUGUUGAGGAGAGGAUUUGUCCGUAGGAGUAUAUAUGAUAUUUUAAAAAUACAAGGACAAAUAUGACUAAAAAGUUGGAUAAAAAAGCAAUAUAUUGAAAAGAAUAUAAUGACAAAUAUAACCUAUUUAUAAAAUUACAAGGACAAAUAUGAUCAUUUUCCGUAAAAAAAUAUUUAGCUAAUGGUAUAACAAGGUUGACUAUGACAAGCCUCACAGCAUCAUGAAUGGAAAGUCUAUAAAAUUUGUAUUUAUAUUUUAGGGUAAAAAGACAAAAUGCCCCUCAUUUUUAAUCCUUUAAUAAAAUUGGAUAUAAUCAAAAUUAUGGCAGAGUAUUCAAUGGGGCUGCUGCUUCUUCCUAAAAGGCAAAAAGUGUCCAUGGAAAAUUGCAAUUGUUAUUGAUUCUUCUUUUCCAAACAAACAAACAAAUUUUUGAGAAAAGUUGAAAUUAUCACCCACUAUUGAUAUGUCCUUAUGUUCAAUCCCAAUGAAUGAGUGAAGUCAGGCUGUGUUAUCACUGACGAAGAAAUUACUAGGAUAUUACCCUUCUUUUUCUUUGCAGCUUGAUCCACUUGUACUUUUUGCUAUCCAUUUUGUACAUAUUUUACAGUGGAGUUUGAGCCAUAUAGGCUGGUAUUCUAAUACAGUUCAAAGAGAAAUUUCGUACUACUUACUUCUCUAUUAUGAAUGAAUAAUAUUCAAUUAAAAUGUACCAGUUGACUUGUCGAAUACCAAUAAUUCCAUGGAGUGGACCUCAUCCUCAUCGAAACUUCUCUUUUUUGAAGUCCUAUAUAUAACUUUGUCCCAAAUAUCAUCAAUUUCAUCUCGUAUCAUACAAUCACAAUCUAUCCACACACUUCUUGUCUUUUUCUUCACAAAUUUUAACAACUUAACGGAAUUCAUGGCAUCAACUUCUUCUUCUGCAAGUAAUUCACAGCAGUGUCCUCUAUGGAAGUACGAUGUCUUCUUAAGUUUUAGAGGUGAAGAUACUCGUAACACAAUUACGGGUUACUUGUACGAACGUUUGACAAGGAGGGGAAUAAUCACCUUUCAAGAUAAUAAAAGGCUAGAGCAUGGCGAUUCGAUCCCAGACGAACUCUUGAAAGCUAUCAAGGACUCUCAAGUUGCUAUUGUCAUUUUCUCAGAGAAUUAUGCUACAUCGAGAUGGUGUUUGAAUGAACUAGUGAACAUCAUGGAAUGUACAAAGGACGAAAAUGGACAAACAGUCAUACCAGUUUUCUAUGGUGUGGAUGCAACUGAUGUUCGAAACCAAAGUAAAAGCUUCGCUGAAGCAUUUGCCAAACAUGAAUUAAUGAAUAAUGAUGAUGGUGAGGGGAUGCAGAAGGUGCAAAGAUGGAGGACUGCCCUAACUGCUGCCGCAAAUCUAAAAGGAUAUGUAUUCCCUAUCGGGUGAGUUAAACACACACAUAUAUACGUUAUUCUUGACUUUUUUAUUUCUAUAUAUUAGCAAAUCUUUUUUUUUUAGGGUCGAAUCAGACUGUGUCGAGCGUAUUGUUGAUGACAUUUCAUCCAAAUGCAAGACUUCAGGAUCUUAUUCGUACAAAGUUGUGGGAAUAGAUACUCAAUUAGAGAAAGUAGAAUCCCUAUUAGAGAUGGAAAUUGAUGAUGUUCGGAUUGUGUGGAUUUGGGGAAUGGGGGGAGUUGGUAAAACAACAAUGGUAAAUGCUAUUUAUAAUAAACUUUCGUCCAGCAAAUUUAAAGAUGCUUGUUUGCUUGAGGAUAUUAAAGAAAACAAACAUAGAAUGUACUCUUUGCAAAAUAUACUUCUCUCUAAACUGCUCGGGGAAAAAGAAAAUUGCGUGGAUAAUAAGGAGGAGGGGAGGAGCAUGAUGGCUCGUAGACUUCGGUUUAAGAAGGUUUUAAUUGUGCUUGAUGACAUAGAUCACAGAGACCAGUUGGAUUACCUAGCAGGGGAUCUUGGCUGGUUUGGUAAGGGAAGUAGGAUUAUUGCAACCACUAGAGACAAACGUUUGAUAGGGAAGAAUGUAGUGCAUGAAGUGGAAAAACUACUUGACCGUGAUGCUGUUAAACUGUUCAAUCAAUAUGCUUUCCUGGAAAAAGUUCCGGAUGAGUGUUUUAAAGAUCUAACGUUGGAUAUAGUAAGUCAUGCUAAAGGCCAUCCUUUAGCCCUUAAAGUGUGGGGUUGCUUAUUACAUGGAAAGGAUAUUAUUGUGUGGAGAAGUGCUCUAGAUAGAAUAAGGGAAAAGUCUGGUUCAGAAAUUAUUGAAAACCUCAGAAUAAGUUAUGACGGGUUAGAGCCUGAAGAGCAAGAGAUAUUUCUGGAUAUAGCAUGUUUCUUCCGAGGAAAAGAAAAAAAAGAAGUCAUGCCGAUCCUUGAGAGUUGUGGUUUUCCAGCUGAAUAUGGAUUGAGCGUACUAAUCGACAAAUCUCUUGUGUUCAUCUCUGACCAUAAUAAGAUUCAAAUGCAUGACUUAAUACAAGAUAUGGGUCAAUAUAUAGUGAAAAUGCAAAAGCAUCUGGGCGAACGUAGCAGACUAUGGAAUGCUGAAGAUGUCAAAGAAGUGAUGGUCGACAAUACGGUAAUACAAUGAUAUUCAGUUUCUAGUUUUCCUAUUCAAAAGCUAUAUAGGACAGUCAAUUUCAGUUAUUUGUUCCAAAUUGUUUCAUAUUCUAGCACGUAUUCCCUUUAAGUUUUUUACUUUAUUAGGAGACGCAAAAGUAACAUUAGUUGCCUAACGUAGCAAUCUAAUUCAUCAAAUAGCCACUUCGAAUUAAUUAAAGCUCCCCAAUCCGUUUAUCUUAUGUUAUCAUGACUUAUGUUUAUCCAUUUUCAAUAUUUGGAUUCAUUUGUAAUUUGUAUGAUAUUUUGUACGUACUAAACUCAUAAAAUUUUAAGUUAAUAUCACCCAAAUAUUUACCCUGGGUUACUUUUUCUAUCAAUAAUGAUAACCAGAUUGUACACAACAUCUAAGUAAUGAUUUGUUGACUCAUGAUCCUUUUCUCAGGGGACCAUGGCAGUCGAAGGAAUCUGGUUUACUUUUAUUCAAAGACUAUGCUUCAGCAGAGAGGCAAUGAAAAAUAUGAAAAGGCUAAGGAUAUUAUACAUAUGUAGCUUCAUCUCUCCAAUUGAUCGAGAAGAUGCUGUCUGCGACUCCAAUUGCGAUGAUGGCUCCAUUGAAUACCUGCCCAACAACUUGCGUUGGUUUGUCUGGCAUGAAUAUCCUUGGAAGUCGUUGCCAGAAAAUUUUGAACCCCAAAGGCUUGUUCAUCUUGAUCUACAGUGGAGUUCAUUGUGUGAUUUAUGGACCAAAAGAAAGGUACCGUCUUACUUGAGAUACUUUCUAUUUUUGCAGAAUUCAGUGUAGUGUAGACCUAAGCUUGUGUUGUUUUCAUUAUGCGCUUUGUUAUCAUUUAUCCUUGUGACAAGUCUCAGGUUGAGAUCCACGCCACCACAUGGCAUUUUGAAAUAAUGACUAUCCCUUUUUACCUUUUCCAGUUUUGAACCAAAAUUUUGAACUACAUGCUGGAAUUCCAUCAAAUACACAGAUGGAACUCUACUACUUGGCUAAAUCUCUUUUUUUUUUUCAUUGGAUAAACACGAUGAAAUUUUAGCUAAUGGUCAAGUUUAAGGAGUUUUAGUUAUUCUACCUUCUAUUUAUAGUAAUAACACUUUUAUUUAGUUUCUGAACAUGUGAUUUUUCAUAUAAAAAUGAAAAUAAUAUCUUUUUAAUUUCCCACAAAAUGUUUUGUUGACUCUGAUUAUCUAUCAAGGGAGUAAAUUAAACAAUUUCUUUUUGUGUUCUAAGUAGGAGAUUUUGCCGUCUCUACGAUGGCUACAUCUCAGCUACUCUGAAAAUCUGAUGCGAACACCAGAUUUCACGGGGAUGCCGAAAUUGGAGUAUUUGGAUCUGGGCAACUGCACGAGACUUGAAGAGGUUCACCCUUCCUUGGAAUGUUGUGGAAGACUCAUCCGGUUAAAUUUGUAUUGUUGUAAAAACCUUAUGAGCUUUCCAUGUGUUAACGUGGAAUCUCUUGAACAUCUGAAUCUAGAGGAUUGCUUUAGAUUAGAAAAAUUUCCAGGAAUCCUCGGAAGAAUGAAGCCUAAGUUAAAGAUUAAGAUGAGAGGCUCUGGUAUAAGGGAACUGCCAUCAUCUAUUAUUCAGCACCUUUUAUAUCUUCUUCCAGAGCUAGAUUUGAGAUUUAUGAAAAACCUUGUAGCUUUUCCAAGCAGAAUUGGCAUCUUGAAAGGUUUGGUGAAGCUAAACUUGUCCUACUGCUCAAAACUUAAAAGCUUGCCCGAAGAGAUCGGUGAUUUACAAAACUUGGAGGAGCUUGAUGCCAUCUAUACUCUAAUUUCACGACCUCCAUCUUCCAUCAUCCGCUUGAACAAGCUUAAAUUCUUGAGUUUUUCACAUCAAAGAUCAGGAUUAUACUUUGUGCUUCCUCCGGUGAAUGGAGGGUUACGCUCAUUGGAAUAUCUGAAUCUCAGUUGCUGCAAUAUAAUAGAUGGAGGACUUCCGGAAGACAUUGGAUGCUUAUCCUCUUUGAAAGAAUUGAAUCUCACUGGAAAUAAUUUUGAGUAUUUGCCUCGAAGCAUAGACCAACUUGGUGCUCUUCGAUCCUUGGAAUUAUUAGAUUGCAAGAGGCUUACACAGUUGCCAGAAUUUCCACAGCAAUUAGAUGAAAUAGAUGCAGAUUGGAGCAAUGAUUGGAUCUGUAAUUCGUUGUUUCAAAAUAUCUCAUCAUUGCAGCAUGACAUCUCUGCUUCAGAUUCAUUUUCACCAAGAGUGUUUACCAGCUGGGGGAUGCAUAUCCCAAGUUGGUUCCACAAGUGGAGAACUGCUACAAGCGUAUCAGUUAAUUUGUUUGAAAAUUGGUAUGUAGGUGAUAACUUCUUGGGAUUUUCUGUAUGUUACCAUGGCAAAUUAAUUGACACCACAGCUCACUUGAUUCCCUUAUGUGAUGAUGGGAUGUCGUCAAUGACCCAGAAACUUGUCUUUUCCAACCAUUCAGAAGAAUAUUCAUACUUCACCAAUCAUUUUUGCUUCGUACCUUUUGCUGGCUUAUGGGAUACAUCUAAGGCAAAUGGAAGAACACCAAAUGACUAUGGGCACAUUAUAGUAUAUUUUUCGGAAGAAUUGAACGAGUUUGGACUUCGUUUGUUGUAUAAAGAUGAACCAACAAAACAUGAUGAUGAAGUCCGUUGCUCCUCUUUGAAGAAACAUUCUAAUAUUCGUGGGAGAGUGGGCAGUUUCUUCAGAAACUUUUCAGCUCAUUAAGUAUUUGUUCUCCGUUUAACUAUGUGCUGCAUUAGUUUACGCGAAGUAAAGUUUUGGUGGGUUUUUAGGCUCUGUGCAGCUGCUGAGGAGGUUACGCGGCAGUACUGAAGAUGUUGACAAAGUGAGCACUCUUGAUUUAAUUUGUACAACUAAACUUGAACGGCAUUGAUACUUACUAUUGUAAUAGCAAUCUUAUCCGAAAGAAACAACUCUCAUAUAUUCUCCUAAUUCUCUUCCCAACCCGUCACCCCCCAUCCCCACAACCAAAUCCACCACCAGCAGCCCCCUCCCCCAACCUUAAACCAAUUACUCCUCUAAUUACCAAAUCUGUUACCCUCAUCUUCAAUUUCUUCUCCUUCAACAACUUAAAUCAAUAAUAAAAAAAAAAAAAAAAAAAGAAUGAAAUUGAUUUUGAAAAUUAAAAAAUUGGCAUAAUUUGCAUGUUUGGUUAUUGAUUUUAGAGAACUUGUUGUUGAUUUUGAUAGAAUUUAUAAGGUGGGUUGGAGUAUUUGAUUCAAAUUUUGAGAGGUGGAGAAAUUGGUGGUGAUGAGUAUAUAUAUAUAUAUAUAUAUAUAUAUAUUAUGUGGUGGUGGUGAGGUGGUGUGGUUGGUGGACGGCGGGGGAGGGGUGGCGACAGUUUUUAUAUACGGAAGUGGGGAUGUUCGCAGGGGUUGGGGGAGGGGAGAGGAUGGGUGGUUGUGAAGAAGAUGGAAAAUGAGGGGUUGGGGUAAUUUUCUUAAUUUAAUUUUAUAUAUAUUUAAAAAUAUGUAUAUGUAUAUUAUGUGGUGGUGGUGAGGUGAUGUGGUGGUGUGAUUGGUGGAGGAAAGGGGAGGGGUGANNNNNNNNNNNNNNNNNNNNNNNNNNNNNNNNNNNNNNNNNNNNNNNNNNNNNNNNNNNNNNNNNNNNNNNNNNNNNNNNNNNNNNNNNNNNNNNNNNNNNNNNNNNNNNNNNNNNNNNNNNNNNNNNNNNNNNNNNNNNNNNNNNNNNNNNNNNNNNNNNNNNNNNNNNNNNNNNNNNNNNNNNNNNNNNNNNNNNNNNNNNNNNNNNNNNNNNNNNNNNNNNNNNNNNNNNNNNNNNNNNNNNNNNNNNNNNNNNNNNNNNNNNNNNNNNNNNNNNNNNNNNNNNNNNNNNNNNNNNNNNNNNAAUUUUUAUAUAUAUUUAAAAAUAUGUGUGUGUGUGUAUAUAUAUAUAUAAUAUUUAAAAAAUACUUUAUUUACGUGGCUCCGACAUGGCGCUGACGUGGUGCUAAUGCGUCAGCGAGUGUGAUGCACUCUCCCCCAUGAGAGUGGUAUUAUAUAUUAAGAGAUGAAAUUAAUUCACUUUAAAGAUGUUAAGGGGGUAAAUAAAUAGAAGGUUAGUUUAAGUGCUAAAGUAAGUUGUCGGGACAAGUUUACGGGGGUUUUGAUGUAUUAUCUCUUAAAGAUAUGAAAAUAAGACCAUAUUAAAAAGGGUUCAACAUUUAAAUAAAAAACAUCUGUCUUAAAAACCAAAUUCAAACAAUUACCCAACACUUGUCUACAAAGCCUAUAACUUUUUAAAUAACUUCUAACCCAGGACAGGACUUCUGACUAUAUCAUAAAAAUCAUAUAAUACUAGAACAGAAAUAUAAAUGAAAAGUAACACUGACUUUCGGAUAAUGGAGGGCUCACGACUCCUCAACAGCUGUCAAAGCGAGAAUGAACACCGUAGUGAUGCGCAUAGCAUCCGGGGUCGGUCAGUACAGUAAGUAUUGGUAUUUAACCCAGGGAAAGUGAAAUAAACAUUUUAUAGGUAAGUCAUAACUCAUUUAAGCAUCCAUAAUAAAGUAGGGGAUUGAGGACAUGGGACAUAAAAACAUAACCAUUUAAAACUUAAUCCUGAACUAUGUAGUUUUUUGAUACAAGACUAAGUGUGUAUCAAGAGAUUCAAGCCAACAAAAGAGCAACAAGCUUAACAAUAAGGUGCUAGUGAAUCGAAAUAGGCCACUCACGGCUUCACUAGACUUUAGAUUUAGUUUUGAGCAAGAAAAGAGAUGAACACAAGAACAACAAUGCUAGUGAAUCAAAAAAGUCCCACACGGCUUCACUAGACUUCAAAAACCAACAAUAAUACAAUGUUAACAAAAGAGAUGGAUAGAUAGUUUGACAUAUAAUAUUCAAGAAUCUAAGAACCCUAACCACAUGUAAGGACCCUAAGAUUAAUGAAUGUUAACACCAAACUCUUAUGUUGACAAAAGAGGGACUUUACCUCCCUAACAACGUAUCAAGCCAACGAUGCAACAUAAGUGAUAUCCACACUUGGGCAGCCCUAGUUACAGAUUGGUGGAUUUUUCAAGCCCUACAACUAAGGGGUGUUACACUCCUCACACUAGAGAGAGAGUUUGUCUUCCAUCAAUAAACAACUAAAUCCUAAAACCCUAUCUUGUUCUAUUUAUAUUACAUUACAAAAGAAGACAAAUGACUACACUACCCUUAAUAAGAGGGGUGGCCAUGGAGUGCAUUUUGGACAAAGUGAAGUGACCAAAAUGCCCUCAAUGAAGAUGGCCCAAAAAUCGUGAGCUAUUAAGUGUCCAAAAUUGUGAAUCAUCAAGUCUUCAAAGCUCCAAGAAAUCUUCCACUCAUGGCCUUGAUGAAUGAUAUGCUCAACGGUAGGCUCAAAAUGGGUCUUCCUUACAUAUUCUUGUACCCUCGGGGUGAUCAAGUCUUGAGCCUUUAAGUGAUAGUCUCCAAUCCUGUCUUCAAAAAUUAGGUGGCCAUUUGACUUAUAUCAUCCCUCCCUUCUUGAAAAGGGUUCCUUGUAAGAACGAAGAGAAGACAAACAAGUACAACAUCCCCAUGACAUGUGGGUUAGAGCUAGUACAAUAAACAACAUCAACAUGCCAAGAAGGUACACACUUGAGAUAUAGCCACACAUCCUUGACUUUAAUCACGAGGGGCUUAGAAAAAAUAUUACAAAGAGGUAGUGACCUAAUUGAAAGUAAAGUCCACACAACACAUAUAGCAAUAUCACUCAAACAAGUGAACCAACCAAUAACUAUCUGUCCUUCAUACCCUAAGAAGUUACCGGGGUCAAAUGGAAGACUUAACCAAGGACUUAGGUCUCGGCUACUCUCAUUCUCCCCUAGGGUGCCAUCCUUAAGGUUAAGCAAGCCCUCUUUAUCACCAUUGGAAAUAUCAUGCACAAAAAGAGUGUUGAAAAAGGUGUUCCACAAGCCAACUUCAAAUCAAGGGUUCUCAUGCAUGCACUUACUACUAGUUUCAAAAUCUCCACUAGGAAUAUGUCCAACAUAAGAAACACUUAAAGAAGAAGUAGAUGGAAUUUCUAAGCACACAUCCCCUUCUCUUUCAAAUGAGCAAUCCUCACUUAGACGCAAACCACCACGGGCAGCCAAGGGAUCACAAGCAAAACCAUCUUUACCAAGGCAAUCACAAUUCGAAUUUCCUAAAUAAUCAAGCACAUCAAGGUCUUUUCUACCCGAUUGAUCAUUGUCCAUAUUCUCACUAGUUGUUGGCAACUUAUCUACAAAUGUAGACUCACCUUGUUUUUCACAAGGGUCAACUAGUGUGUGAAUAUUCUCGUCACUUGGUAAUGGAACCUUAGUCAAUUUAUAAGUGCUAGCACUAGAUGGACAUAAAUCAUUCUCACGCGGAGAAUCAAUUUCGUUAUCUAAAGGAUCAACUAGUGCUUGCGUGCCUACAACAAGAGUUUGGUCCUCAUGCGACCUAACAAUACCAAGAGUAUCAUAAAAGGGAGACUCAAGCACCUCUACCCUAGGCAAAGCCACAACUACACCCAUUUGGCUCCUACUAGCCACAACACAAUAUUCUAAGUCGAUAGGAGUGUAGGAAAUAACGUUUUUACCUCAUAGAUCACAUGAGCUAUGGCCUUCCUCUCAAAGUGUGUCCAGGAAGCCUACUUUCACCCUUCGGCCUACCAUACAAUCUAAUCUUUUAUUUGCCAUAACUAGGUCAUGGGACAUAGUACCAAGGUAGGCCAAAAUGACAUUGGUGGCAUUGUUGUCCAUGUGUUGAGAGGUUAAAGCUGCGGGUUCCCUUGAAAUUAUUUCUAAAAAACAAAGAAAAUUAAAUAACAAGACUACAAAGCAAAACACAAGUUAGUUUGAAACAACCUCACCACACUCUCACACACUUGAUCAUCUUACACUUGGAUUCACAAAUGUUGUAAGUCGGCUUGUAGUUCGUGAUGAGCCGAUGAGUGAGUCUACUCCUUGGUUGGAAUAGAUUCUUUGUUUGAAAACGCAAUGAAGGUAAUGUCCGAACUUAAACCAAGAAGUACUACGAUUUUAAAAACGACAAAAGUACAAAAGAAAGCAGAGACGAACAAUGGAUUCAAAGGACUAAUUGACAAUUUAGUAGAAGUUUGCUAGUUUGUUAAUUAGUACUAGGAUUAAUUAAACGAAAUAAAGGAUCAACAAAUUAGAAAAUAAGAAAUAUAAAAUUUGAGCUUAAAUAUGUUGUGUGAACAGUAAAAUGUGAUGAUGUGGCAGCACGUAAUGGUUGCGGUUUUAGACAAGUUGUUAUUUUCCAAUUUGGAAGUCUUGGUCAAUUUUCAAUUUGACAAUCGGGGAAUUUGUUUGAGGAGGAGAAUUCAAGAAAGUCUUGGAGCCUUUUUAAAAUUCAAAUUUCAAGACUUGACUUUCUUGUAGUCCAUGUGUUGAGAGGUUAAAGCUGCGGGUUCCCUUGAAAUUAUUUCUAAAAAACAAAGAAAAUUAAAUAACAAGACUACAAAGCAAAACACAAGUUAGUUUGAAACAACCUCACCACACUCUCACACACUUGAUCAUCUUACACUUGGAUUCACAAAUGUUGUAAGUCGGCUUGUAGUUCGUGAUGAGCCGAUGAGUGAGUCUACUCCUUGGUUGGAAUAGAUUCUUUGUUUGAAAACGCAAUGAAGGUAAUGUCCGAACUUAAACCAAGAAGUACUACGAUUUUAAAAACGACAAAAGUACAAAAGAAAGCAGAGACGAACAAUGGAUUCAAAGGACUAAUUGACAAUUUAGUAGAAGUUUGCUAGUUUGUUAAUUAGUACUAGGAUUAAUUAAACGAAAUAAAGGAUCAACAAAUUAGAAAAUAAGAAAUAUAAAAUUUGAGCUUAAAUAUGUUGUGUGAACAGUAAAAUGUGAUGAUGUGGCAGCACGUAAUGGUUGCGGUUUUAGACAAGUUGUUAUUUUCCAAUUUAAAAGUCUUGGUCAAUUUUUAAUUUGGGGAAUUAGGGAAUUUGUUUAAGGAGGUAAAUUCAAACAAGUCUUGGAGCCUUUUUCAACUUCAAGUUUCAACACUUGACUUUCUUGUACACCCUUAAUACACGGCCCCUUGUAUCAUGGAAAGUUGUUGGAUAGUGGUUGUUGAAGUCUUUGGUGGUUGAGAAGUUUUGCAAAACUAACAAAUUCUUGCACCUUUUCCUUCACCUUUUUAGAUCAAAUAAGCACUUUAGUUUUAACAAGGUAUGAAGGUUGUGAAGAACAUCAAGAACUAUAACAACAUUCACUAAGAAUAACAACAACAAUCUCAAGAACAACCAACAAUUUCCACACGGCUCCUUCCAAAUCCACAACAACAAUAUCUUCAACACUUAGCCAAGACAACUACAACUUCAACAAAGAUGUCCUUAGGCCACCAAUUAACAACAAUAUAAUGUGGUCAAGCUUACAAAAACAAUAAUUUGAAGAAUACAUGGCCAAAAUAGUCCACCACAACAAUGUUCAACAAGAAGCGAACAAGUCUUAUAUUCACAACAACAGCAACACUUCAAGCUCAAACUUAGAUAUAGACUCAAUGUGUUAUUUAAAAACAAAACUAACACUUAGAGAUAAAAAAUACAAGUAAAAUAUUGGCCAAUACACAACAAGAACAUAAUUUUCGUCCAAGAACACAAGAUGGACAGAUUGCUCUUUUUACUAGAAUUUUUAGUUUCAACAAUAAUUUUUUUUUUUUUUGAAUUUUACAAGAAAGCUAUCCCAAGAUUGAUCUUGUGGUAAUAAAAUCAAGCCACUCUUUGAUACCAAAUGAUAAAAGACUAAGUGUGUAUCAAGAUAUUCAAGCUAACACAAGAGAAACAAGCUGAAAAACAAGGUGCUAGUGAAUCGAAAUAGGCCACUCACGGCUUCACUAGACUUUAGAUUUAGUUUUGAGCAAGAAAAGAGAUGAACACCAAAAAACAAUGCUAGUGAACUGAAAGAGCCCCACAUGGCUUCACUAGACUUCAAAGACCAACAACAAUACAAUGUUAACAAAGAGAUGGAUAGAGAGCUUGACAUACAAUAUUCACGAAUCUAAGAAUCCUAACCACAUGUAAGGACCCUAAGAUUAAUGAAUGUUAACACCAAACUCUUACGUUGCCAAAAGAGGGACUUUACCUCCCUAAUCACCAACAUAUCAAUCCAACGAUGCAACAUAAGUAAUAUCCAUACUUGGGCAGCCCUAGUUACGGAUUGGUGUCUUUUCUAAGCCCUACAACUAAAGGGUGUUACACUUCUCACACUAAAGAGAGAGUUUGUCUUCCAUCAAUAAACAACUAAGUCCUAAAACCCUAUCUUGUUCUAUUUAUAUUACAUUACAAAAGAAGACAAAUAACUACACUACCCUUAAUGAGAGGAGUGGCCAUGGAGUGCAUUUUAGGUAAAGUGAAGUGACCAAAAUUACCUCAAUGAAGAUGGCCCAAAAACUGUGAGCUAUUAAGUGUCCAAAACCUUGAAUCAUCAAGUCUUAAAUUCUCCAAGUAAUCUUCAACUCACGGCCUUGAUGAAUGAUAUACUCAAUGGUAGGCUCAAAAUGGGUCUUCCUUGCAUAUUCUUGUACCCCCGGGGUGACCAAGUCUUGAGCCUUUUAGUGUUUGUCUCCAAUCAUGUUUUCAAAAAUUGGGGUGGCCAUUUGACUUAUAUCACUUUUCACCAUCAUUUAGUAACCCAUGAGCGAACCCACCCGACGGAGCCUCAAUCUAUGUUUUCCAUACGUACUGAGUGUAGGCUAAAAUCACCAAUAGACUAAAGCCACCAUAUUAUCCUCAUGUUAAAGAUGUUGUUCAUCAUCCAAUUAAGGUAUGACAUCCCUUUGUCGACAAAAUAUAGGUUUCGAGAAUUUUUCACGAGGACGUCACCUUCACGGUGAAAUUACAUAAUUUACUUUGAUGUACAAUUAAAAUAUUUGUACACACAUUCAUAUCCAUGGAGUCUUUUAUUAAGGUAUUCCGAUAUUGGUAUCUUCAAAUCAAGACUUACAAGCCAUUAAUAACAUGCUGAACUAUUUUUAUAUAAUAUUUUAGACUCCCAAAUUAGUCUUUAAAGUUCAUAAGCAUAACCUCAAAGUGUUUUCAAAAGUCAUUAACCUUUAAUUCUUUCAUCUUAUACCUUAUUAAAAAGACGUUGUGAAAAAUCAUAAUUUUCAUAAAGAAAAAACCAAGUUUUUGAAGUGAGUUGAGGGUCAUAUUUUCAUCUUACAAAAUACUUAAAGGUUGUAAAUCCAUGUUGACAAAUUCACCAUUUUUAUAGAACAUAUUACAUCUCAACCCCAUUAAUGUGCUUAGAAACCCCAUAAAAUAAGAAGAGAAAUCAAUAUAAAGUUUUUUACAAUAAUCUCCUCAACUCUAGUUUCAAAUAGUCAUUAAAAACACAUAAUUACCAAAUAAAUUGAUAAAAUAUAGUAAUACUUAGAGUAAGGAGUGUCCAACAUGCCUUUUUGAUGAAUAGAGCUUGAAUAUGAGCCUCAAAUCUUGAACCCUAGGUGUUCUUGCCUCUUAGAAUAUUUUGGGGAGAAGGAAGAGUUUCUAAUGUAUUCUUUUUGAGAAAGAUCAUAACUACGAGUUCAAAAAGAGGUUUAACCAUAUAAGGACCGGACCUCAUAAAGAAAAUGACAAAAUUGCCCCUAAGCUUACCUAGAAACAGGUUCCCACGGCUUGAAUUAUGGAUCGUAUUUUGAACCUACAGGCUGUAAGUAAGGUCGUGGGAAUCAAACCUCAUUUUUCAACUCUUAGGACCUAUGUACGGCCUCAACCAACGGCCUUGUAGGUAAGGUCAUAGGAAUCAGACCCCUUUUCAUCUCUCAUAAAGAUACUUAUGGCCUCAACCUACGACCCCAUAGGUUGAACCUACGACCCAUAGGUUAGGGUCGUAGGUGGUCAGACAGCUUGACAGGGCUUCAAUAAACUGGUCAUAACUUCUUACUCUGACUUUGGAUUAAGGAAAAACUGGAUGUAUUGGAAAGUUAAUUCAAUUAUAUAUCAUUUGAUGGGUCUUGAACUCAAGAGCACUAUAUAUUCUAGGAGUUAUGAUCAUUUAAAGUUGACUAUAGCAAGACACUCCAUGAGAAGUCAAUCGGUAAGGGAGGUUUUUUCUUUAUCAAGAGUUUGGAGUUACUUGAGGCCUUAAUACAUGUAUAAAUCACUUCUAAUACUUCAAAGACAUGAAUUUUGUUUUCACAUGUACUUGAAUUUUAUACAAUGUUGGGUGCACAAAGGUUCUAAUGUUUUUAGGGUAUUACAUUAUCCCACUUUGGGAUCAUUCAUCCCUGAAUGAGAACUUAGGAUACUUUUAACAUGAUACGGUGAAGAAGAACAUAGAAGAACCAAAUGUAUGGAAUCAAAUAAAUUUGAGAGAAAAUUUAGGAUUUGUACGCCAAUCAACAUCGUUUGAAGAUAAGAAGGGAUAUCUAACUUUCACAUACAUCUCUAAUUCCUAAGUAGCUUCCUCCAUCCUUUGGUCCUCCAUAGCACUUUUACCAAAGCUAUCUCAUUGGUACUUAACUUCCGAACUUAUUUGUCAAGAAUUUUUAUAGGAGCUUCGUCGUAGUAUAAAGAAUCCUCUACCCUAAUAUCUUCUACAGGCACCACCAAGGGAGGUCACCCACAUAUUUUUUGAGCAUGGACACGUGAAACACAAGAUAAACUGAUACUAUGAUCGUUGGUAAGUAUAAUUCAUGAGAAAUAUUACAAUCUCUUAGAAUAUGAUAUGGACUAAUACAAAAAAGAUUGAGCUUCCCCUUUUUCCCAAAUCUCAUAACUUCCUUUAUAUGAGAGUCUUGUAGGAACACCCAUUCACCAACCUAAAGUUCUAGUUCUCUCCGUCUCACAUUUGAAUAAGACUUUUGGAGACUUUGAUUGGUCCUAGGUCUUUCUUCAAUAACCUUGACUUUCUCAAUUGCUUGAUGCACAAGAGUAGACAUAAAACACCCACCUCAUAUCAUCUUACACCUUCUACUAAAAAGGGCUUAAAAAUGGCUAUUUGAAUGAUAUAAUGGUAACUAUUGUUGUAGGAAAACUCAAUAAACGGCAAGUGAUCCACCCAACUACCUUUAAAGUCAAUCACACAGCCCUUAGUAUAUCUUUUAAUUCCUGAUCCACUUGUCCAUCCAUUUGCAGGUGAAAAGUGGUGCUAAGGUUUACCUGAGUCUCCAACCCUUUCUGAAAAUAUUACCAAAACUAAGAAGAAAGUUGAAUACCUCAAUCAGAUAUGAUAGAAACCGAGGCCCUAUGGAACUGAACUAUCUCUUAAAUGUAUAAAUUUGCAUAAUCCUCUCUCGAAUAAUUAGUUCUCACAAGCAGAAAAUGGUCAGACUUGGUCUUUCUAUUAAUAAUGACCCAAAUAAAAUCAUAAUGGUUCUGGGACCACGAUAGAACAGUAACAAAAUCUAUAUUAAUCAUAUCCCACUUCCAUUUAGUAAGGCUAUUUCUUAAGAGGUGCUACAUGGUCUCAAAUGAUCAACCUUGACCUGUUGACAUUCAACACUUGGAAACAAAAUUAGCAACUUCUCUUUUCUUGCUAUUUCACUAAUACAUCUCUUUCAAAUCAUGAUACAUUUUUAUUUGAAAUGGGCUGAACUGUACACGUACACAUGAGCUUUGAUCAAAAUCCUCUCUCACAGCCCAUCCUUUCUCCCUUGAUACCUUAGGCCACCAUCUCUCCCAAUUCAAAAGCCAUUACUUUUUACGAACCAUAUCUUUCUUGAUUUGCAUAAGUAUAGGAUCAAACACCUAUUUCUCCUUAACUUUGGCCCCAAGAGAUGACUUAUCCACUUAUGGAAAAUCAUACCUCUAUCCUCAGAGUUUAAAAUUUGGACUCCCAAAUUUUCCAGUUGAUGAAUGUACUUCACACAACCUCUCUUUUUUUCCUCAACGUAGGAUACACUCCCUUUGGACAACCUGCUAAGAGCAUCAACAACAACAUUAGCUUUACUUGGGUGUUAGUGCAGUAUCAUGCCAUAAUCCUUUAGAAAUUUAAGCACCUCCUUUACUUGAGGUUCAAUUCUUUCAGGGUGAAUACAUAUUGCAAGCUCUUGUGAUUUGAGUAGAUAUACACACACACUCCAUACAAAUAAUGACUCAAAAUUUUCUAUGCAAAUACCAAACCCUUUAACUCAAGAUCAUGAGUCCGAUAAUUUCUCUUAUGAACCUUAAGUUUCCUAAAAGCAUAAGCUACAACCUUUUUAUGUUGCAUCAUAACACAACAUAGUUCCACCCGAGACACAUCACAAUACACAACAAACUUCUCAGUACCUUCAAGAAGUGUCAAGAUAGAGGUAGUAAUCAAGAUAUCCUUUAAUUUCAUAAAAAUGCUCUUGCAAGAGUCAGACCAUAGAAAAUUUAUAUUCGUCUGAGUCAAUAUCAUAUGAUGAGAAGUUGUAGAAGAAAAAAUUUCCAUGUACAAAUCUUAUAUAAUAGCCUGUCAAACCCAAGAACUUCCUAAUGUCAUUUGAAGUCGUGGGUAUAGGCCAUUUAUUCACCAUCUCAUUCUUUUGGGGAUCCACUUUAAUCCCUUCACUAGAAACAACAUGCCCAUGGAAAGUCACAACACUCAACUGAAAUUCACACUUAAAAUUUUUUGCAUACAGGUCCUGCUCCUUAAGGGUCUACAACAUAAUUUAAAGGUGAUUGUCAUUAGGGCAAAGGCUCAAAUAUGCCACUGAACUAUCAAAAAUGGCUCAUUUAUGUCAUCCGUUAAAAGUUGGGCUCAUUCAUGUCAUCGCCAUUACAAAACUGGCUCAUCCAUGCCAUUACUUUUAACAACCGGUUUUUAGAAAAUAGGUUUUCCACGUGGUGGCAUAUUAGAGGUCCACACAUUUUUUAAUUUAAAAAAAAAUAAUUUUUUUAAAAUAUUCUUUUUUAAAAAAAAUUUUGAUGCAUUAAAAAGAAUCCACCCAAAUUUUUGAUCCAUUAAAAAUUAGUUUGAUAUAUGCUUUUAAAAUUUGAGAUUAUUUGUAUAUUUCCCCAUAUCAAUAGUUUUUUUUUCUUUUCUGGCUUUCACGUAUGACUCUGUUCACAAUACAGAUCAAUAAUAUGAUCAUCUCCCUUUGAACUAAGUUUUACUUGAUUAAUUACUAUUAAUGAGUUAAUUUUGAGAUUAUUUGUGUAUCGCCUUAUAUCAUCCGAGUAUUUAUAGUUACCAAGCUCAUCGACUUUUUUUUUGGUUGUAUGUGGCUUAAAAUUGUGGUCAAAUAUAGUAAACUGAUCAAUAGACAAGAAAAGACAAUAAGACAAUACGUCUCAUGCCGUCACUCUAUCAUCCUCAUAUCUAUCCUGCAAAAAUUUCAGUAUUGUGGCAUUGAUAUCAAUUAUUGUGCUAAUUAAUUUCCAUAAAAUACUUUUAAUAUUGUAUGAUAUCAUUCGCUUUGAUCCAAAUUGAUAUUUUUUUCAAGAGACCUUAAAUAUCCGACAUUUUUAAAUAAUUUCAUUUCUUUUUUACUUUCAUGUGAAAAAUUGUUCUCUCAAACACUUAUUAUACUGCUCCAUUUCAUAUUUUUUAAUAUGUCGUUUAAUGUUUUGACACAAUCAUAUAUAAAGAUAAUUAUUUUAAAAUGAACAUUAAUCAUUGGAGGUAGAAUAUUUAUCUAAAUUACAAUUAUAUUUUUCUUAAAUUACAAUUUGAUUUAAUGAUAUAGUUACAUAAAAAUUGGUGAACGUCAUAGUUUUAUAUCCUUAUAUAAUUAAUUUUAAGUGGUCCCGUCCUAAUUAGAAAUUGAAUAAAAAUAAUAUAUAAGUCAUGCAUGCAAGUUACAACUCACAAGUAUUAUGUAUGUAUAGUCUUUAUCAUUUCAUUAUAUACUUAAUUCAAUGAAUUGAUUAAUUCCAAAAUUUUAUUGUUCUUUUCUUUUUAAUGAAAUAAAAUAUCUAAGAAGAAAGAAUAAAAUGAAGAUGACAUGGAAUUUGUAUAAUAUAGUCUAAGGCCAGUUGACAUAUAUAAAAACAAAAGUAAAUCCAAUAUAUUUUUGAUAAGUUAGAUAACAUGAGAGUAUAUAUUUGUGUGGAAGUAUAAAAUAAAUUAAUGUAUAUUUUGUAUAUAUAUAUAUAUAUAUAUUAUAAAUAUAUAUGUUCAUUGAUUUCUUCAUAUAUAUUGUUAUGUUAUUUUAAAAUCUUUUAAUGAAAAUUUUGACUCUACUAUUAACCUAAUCGUCAUAGAUCAAACUAAUUUUUAAUGGAUCAAAAAAUUGGUUGGAUUCUUUUUAAUGGAUUAAAAUAAAUUAAAAAUAAUAAAACAAUUAAAAAAAUAAUGUGGACCUCUAAUAUGUUGCCAUGUGGCAAAGUUGUUUUCUACAAAUCGACUGUUAAAAGUAAUGGCAUGGAUCGGCCAGUUUUGUUACGGCAAUGGCAUGUAUGAGCCCAACUUUUAACGGAUGACAUAAAUGAGUCAUUUCUGAUAGUUCAAUGGUAUAUUUGAGCCUUUUCCCUCGUCAUUAUCCUCCUCACUUUUAGAGAACACCAAAAUAUCAUCGAUAAAGAAUAUGUUGAAUAAAUCCAGAAACUUUCUAAACACCAAGGUCCAUGAAAGUAGCAGGAGCAUUUGUAAUACUCCGUACUUUUUCUAGCUUAAUUUCGCUCCUAGAAUGUUGAGGAUUAUCUUAAAAAGUGAAUAAGAUUUAUUACAUAUGGAAAUUUUUAGAUUUGUACCCUCUAUUGUGUUGAUAAUUGAGUAAGCUUUCCAUCGAUACCAAAUUCGCCCAAAUCCGAUACUCGGUUGAAAAGUUAUGGCACUUCUAGUGUUGAAAAUGUGCCACCUGGUCAGUCACCGCAUCGCUGAGGUGGUUAAAUUCAUAAUUGUCACAUUUCAGUGGACCACCAAGGUUGCCCCGCAUCGUGAAAAGGUCUAAUUUUCCAAUUAUUGAAAUCCAGUAGACCAACGCGAUCUUAUCGUGUCGCGUUAGUUGCCAAAAUGGUAUUCUAGUAGAGUACCAUGAUGGUGGCGCAUCGCGGAGAACUUCUAGUUCCCACUCAUUAUUUUCUAGUAAGCCAACGCGAUAGUGGCGCGUCACGGUGGCUUGCAAAAUAGGAAAAUCCUUUAAUUUCCAGUUUUGAAUAAAAUUUUAAAAAAGGUAGUUUGGUCAAUUCCCAAGACCCCUAUCCAUCUAAGACACAAGAUUAACCCAUUCUUAGCCUAUUAUGCUCAUUAUUCAUCAAUUCUCUCUCAAGCAAAAACCCUAGAGUUCAAAGCUUCUUCGCCAAGAAAUCAAAUUCCACCAUUGUUUCUUUAAGAAAGCUAUAGAUUGAGGAUUCCUAAGACAAAAUAAUCAAGAACCCAUCUCCAAUUACUCAAAUAGGAAAAAUAAUUCAAGUUUCUUCAUCUAAUCAUCAAUCAAGAUAUGUGGGGUUUAUGAGCAAGGAUCUUCUUCCAUCCUUGUGCCCAAAACUAAGUUUUAAUUACAAUUUCAUAUGAUUUUGAAUAAAUAUACAUGAGAUUUGAAUUAGGGUUCAUACCCGUUAUUGAUAUUUGCAAGAUUACGAGUUUUUGACAGAUUUUGAAGAUGAAUUGCAUGUCUAUUUUCAUAUUUUCAUGCAAAUUAUAGAAAUUUCUAGAUUUUGAUCUAUGGUAUCUUAGAAAGUCACUUCAACAGACUUAGUCUAAUUAGAGAUGACCAAUUUUGAUGUCAUUCUUAACAUAGAAUGGAUUCAUUCCUAAAACCUGCUAUGCCUCAGUCGACUGCAGAAAUAAAACUAUCCAGAUUUAGUUCCCAAAUGAGCCCGUCCUAGAGUGGAGGGGUAGUGCUUCAGCACUUAGGGGUCAGCUUGUUUCCUACCUUAGCGCAAGGAAAAUUAUAUUUAAGGGAUGUAUCUACCAUCUCGUUCAAGUCCAGGACUUUAGAUCAGAAACCCCUACUCUUGAGUUAGUAUCAGUAGCAUGUGAAUUCCCAGACGUAUUUCUCGAAGAUCUCCCUAGAGUUCCUCCCAAAGGAAAAUUAACUUCAGAAUAGACCUUUUUCUAGAUACUCAUCCUAUCUUCAUUUCUCCAUAUAGAAUGGCUCCAUCAGAACUCGAAGAAUUAAAAAAAUAGUUGAAGGAUCUCCUAGAUAAGGGAUUCAUCAGACCUAGUGUGUCCCUGUGGGGUGCACCAGUUCUAUUCGCUUGUAAGAAAGAUGGUUCCCUCAGAAUAUGUAUUGACUAAUGUCAGUUAAAUAAAUUCAUGCUCAAGAAGAAGUAUUCAUUUCCCAGAAUCAAUGACUUGUUUGACUAACUUCAGGGUGCCAGUUACUUUUCUAAGAUAAACCUCAGAUCAGGCUAUCAUCAGCUUAGAGUCAAGGAAUGUGACAUUUUGAAAACAACCUUUAGAACUUGGUAUGAUCACUUUGAAUUCUUAGUCAUAUCAUUUGGUUUUACCAAUGUCCCAGUAGCUUUCAUGGAUUUGAUGAACUAUGUGUUUAAAUAGUACUUAGAUAUGUUCGUCAUAGUCUUCAUAGAUAACAUCCUUAUCUACUCCCGUAGUGUGCAUGAUCAUGCAGAUCAUCUCAAAAUAGUAUUGUAGACUCUCAGAAACCAUCAACUAUUCACAAAUUCAGUAAGUGCAAAUUUUGACUAAGGUUAGUAACCUUCCUCGACCAUAUUAUUUUUGAUAUUGGCAUUAGAGUUGAACUCCAAAAGACCAAAGCAGUGAGAAACUGGCCCAGAACUAUCUAUCCAUUAGAUAUAUGGAGUUUUUUAGGCUUGGCAGCUAUUACCGAUGGUUUGUUGAGAGAUUUUAAUCUAUUGCAUCCCCCAUGUCCAGAUUGACUUUGGAGAAAGUCAAAAUUCAGUGGUCAGAUUCUUUCGAGAGGAGUUUUCAGGAGUUAAAGACUCGGCUAAUCUCAGUCCCAGUUCUUACCUUGUCAGAUAGUUCAUACAUCUAUGUUGUGUAUUGUGAUACAUCCAGAGUAGGUUUGGGUUGUUUCCUCAUGUGGAGAGGUAAGGUUAUAACCCAUGCCUCUAGACAACUUAAGCCCCAUGAAAAGAACUAUCCAAUUCAUGAUCUUGAGUUACCAGCAGUGGUAUUUGCCUUAAAAAUUUGGAGGCAUUACUUGUAUGGGUUACAUGUUGAUAUGUUCAUAGAUCACAAAAGUCUUCAGUAUGUGUUCUCUCAGAAGGACUUGAAUAUGUGUCAGAGAAGGCGGUUAGAGCUAUUGAAAAAUUCUAACAUGAGUGUGCUGUAUCAUCUGGGCAAGGCCAAUGUAGUGUUUGAUUCUCUUAGUAGGAUGUCUAUGGUUAGUAUUGCUCACGUGGAUGAUGGUAUAAAGAAGUUAGCCCAGGGAUUUCAUCAGCUUGCUCGACUAGGUAUUUGCUUAGUCGAUUCAACAGAAGGUAGUGUAUGGGUGAUGAAUAGUUUAGAAUCAUCCCUGGUUGUCCAGGUGUAGGAAAAGCAGGAUAGGGAUUUUAGUCUAGCUAAGUUGAAAGAAUCAGUUAGAGAUCAGAAGGUAGAGGUUUUAUCCCAAGGGGGAUAUGGUGUUCUACGUUGUCAAGGUCAACUAUAUGUGCCAGGUAUAGAUGACCUAACACAACAGAUUUUUGCUGAAGUGCAUGGUGCGCAUUACUCUAUUCAUUCAGGGGAUACUAAGAUGUACCAUGAUUUGCGAGAGAUCUAUUAGUGGAGUGGGAUAAGGAGAGACAUUACAGAGUUUAUAGCCAAGUGCUUAAUAUCUCAGCAGGUUAAGAUCGAGCAUAAAAAACCCAGUGGGUCUACAGGAGUUUAGUAUUCCCACUUGGAAGUGGGAGGAGGUAAACAUAGAUUUUGUGAUGGGUUUGCCUCAGACUUAUAAUCAACACGACUUAGUUUGGGUCAUUAUAGAUAGAAUGACCAAAUCAACUUAUUUCCUACCAGUCCAUACCUCUUUUUGAGUCGAGGACUAUGUCAAACUCUAUGUUAGAGAGUUGGUCAGAUUGCAUAAAGUUCUGUUAUCUAUUAUCUCAGAUAAAGGUACGCAGUUCACCUCUCAUUUUUGGAAAGCCUUCCAAAAGGGUCUUAGUACCCAAGUCCAUCUCAAUACAACCUUUCACCCUCAUCUAGAUGGUCAAGCAAAAAGGACCAUUCAGACUUUAGAGGAUAUACUAUGAGCGUGUACGAUAGACUUUAAAGGUAGUUUGGAUGACCACUUGCCUUUGAUUGAAUUUGCAUAUAACAACAGCUAUUAUUCCAGCAUUCAGAUGACCCUGUUUAAGUCGCUUUAUAGGAGGAGAUGUAGGUCUCUCAUUAGUUGGUUUUAAGUAGGUGAGGCCGCAGUGGUAGGUCCUGACUUGGUGUUUGAUACCUUAGAAAAAGGAGAGGCUUAAGAUAACUUAGAGCUGAUAGAAAUCGUAUGCAGAUGUACACAAAAAAGAUCUCUAGUUCGAGAUUGGUGACUGUGUAUUUGAAAAUCUCCUCUAUGAAAGGAUUGAACAGGUUUGGCAAGAAGGGAAUCCUAGUCCCUGAUAUGUCGGUCCUUACCGAAUUCUCAUCUAUUUUGGAAAGGUAACUCAUAAGCUUGAGUUGCCUUCAAACUUAGCUUCAGUGCAUCUAGUGUUCCAUGUCUCUUUUCUUAAGAAGUGCAUAGGUGACCCAACAGCCGUAGUCCCUAUAGAGGGUCUAGAUAUUCAAAACAGUCUCUCUUACGAAGAGGUUCCAGUCGAAAUCCUUGAUUAUCAAGUUCGCAUACUGACGAACAAAGAAGUCCCUCUAGUCAAAGUUCUUUGGUGGAACCAGUCAUUUAAGAGAGCUACUUGGAAAGCAGAGGCAGAUAUGCGAACCAAGUAUCCUUACCUGUUCUCCACAAACUCAGACUCAGCCCAAGGUAAUAGUUUUUCCUUGAACUUACUCGGAACUAUGCUCCGAUUUCCCUUAUAAACUUGGUACCAGUUACCAAUGCAUAUUCAUUUGUGUCUUCAUGCAUUAAUUAUGUAUGUUCAAAUGAGAAACUCAACUUAUGAGCAAUCCCAAUCAUGUAUUCAUGAAUCAUGUUCAGCUAUGUACUCAUGCAUUAGAUAUGCAUGUUCAGUGUGAAAUUUUAGCAUAUCAGUAGUUUCAGUUGUGAAACCAUGUUACAGUUGUGCAUUUUUAGUAUCUAAAUUCAGUCUAUGAAUAUUAUCAGGUUAGUCAGUCUCAUUCAAGUACGAAUGUUCCCAAUGGGGAGAUAUUGUAAUACCCCACAAAAAUUCUAAGCUUAACUCAGUCUUUAAAGCUUGUUAAGGGUCCCAGACUUAGAAAUUCUAGCUAAGUAUUUAGACUUAGUGUUAUUUUACCUUUUGUAAGUUGGUGACUUAAUUUCACGACCCUUAUAACCUUAAAGUAUUGAUUUUUAGAUUGAAUCAUGAUUAGGAAUGUCAGUAGGUAUUCUUGGAUAAGUUUUGGAUUUUUUGGACUUUAUUUGAAACACAUUUGAAAGCUCAAAGAAGUGGAUCGACGCGGCGCAUCGCCCAUCGCGUUGAUGAAAAUUUUUCCUUCAGCUCUCAGUGCAAAUUCCAGUGAACCGACACAGACUCAAUGCAGCGCAUUGGCUAUCACGUCAAUGCCAACAACAUAGCGCGUUGCUAAAUUAGUUUCAUCCAUUAAAAAUCCGCAUCCUUAGGGGUAAUUAGGUCUUUUCCCACCUUAUGUCAGCCCCCAAAACACGAGAUUAAGCCCCUUUAGAGGCAAAAUCCAUUUAUCUUUCUCAAAAUUUAUCAAGAAGCGAACCCUAGGACCUCCAAUUCAAGAUUCAGCCUUCAAGAACACUCCAUCAUUCUUUGCAAAUUUUUAUACCAAGGUAUGUGAAGUGUUCAUCCAAGGGUUUUCUUCCACCCUUAGAGUUCAAGAAACCUUUUUGAAAUAUAAGUUAAUGGAUUUAAUGAAUUUCAUGAUUUGAUUUAAAUGUGUUCAUGACUAUUAUGUUAAUGGAGUUCUUAAUCCAUGAUUAGUUGCAAGAUUCAUGUCAUAUUAUUUAUUAUGUAUGUAGUAUCAUGUGAAUUCAUGCUAAAACCAUCAAGUUGUGAAUUUGAUAUUUGAAAUUAUGAUGCUCUCAUGUUGUUUAGUAUUAUAUGCCUAUACUAUGCCCUCCAAGUGUUUGAUGAAUUGUGCAUGUGAGGUGAAUAGUGAAUUUAUAUCAUGUUAGCAUGCAUACCCCUUCAUGUCAUGCAAGUGUUUGUCAAAAUGCUCCAAUGAGUGAAUGGUCACCUAGUAAUUAGUUAUCAUGUUUCAAGAUUUUGCUAUGUCUUGUGAUUUUAUGCUAUCGAGUUCUAGGGGUAUCUAAUACCUUAGAAUUUAGCUAGAUACCUAGAGCCAGUGUAAGUUACAGAAUAGUAUCAGUCAAAUCAUAAUCAGUAGUUCAGUAAUUAAUUUCAAACUUAAUCAGUAACCAGUUCAAAACUCAGUUAGAAAUUAGUUCAGAACCCAGCGAACUCAGUUCAGUUCAGUUAACAGAGUUAGUAAUGAUUCAGUCUAGCCUAGAAUAGUUUAGAAAUCACUCCAGUGUCUAUUCAGUUGGGAGUAGGAUUCAGCACCUAGUGAACCCAAGGAUGGGGACUCACCUGUCAGUAGCAGGUAUAUUCCUUAGAAAUAGUCCUUGCAUUCCAGAACUACGUAGCUAACGUAGGUUGAUACAUCAACCCGUCAGUUGAGGGCUGAUGAGGUGUUUUAACCUGUCAGUUGAGGGUAUCACCAUUCUCAUUCAGAGCAUCUGCCAGAUGAGGGUGACUCAGCUUGUCUUUACCCAUGGCAAAGUACUGAUACCCUUUCAGCUGAGGUUAUAGGUUGGACCCCAAUCUGCUCAAAGAGGGGCAUGUUAGUUAGAUGAUUACCUCUCACAGUCUCAGUUUCAGUUUCGGUCUCAGUAUAGAACUCAAUUUAGUUCUACAGAAAUCAGGACUUUCAGAUAGAGUCACACAGUUUAGUACGGAACUCAGAAUUGUUCUAUAGAAUCAGGACUGUCAGACACAGUCACUUAGUUAACAGUAAUACAGUAUCAAUAAACUCAAAUGUCAGUAAGUCAGUAAUUCACAACUCAGUAUCUAGUGUUUUCAUGACCUCAGUUACAGUUUACAUAUUUAAGCAUGUACUCUUAUUUAGUUAUGUUCAUGUAUUCAGUCCGUUAUUGCUCAUGCAUAUGAACCCAUGCAUAUCAGCCUACCUUACUUAGCAUACUGGUACAUUUAAAGUACUGACGCAUACUUUUCUUUUAUGCUAUAAUGUCUUAUAUCAUAAGUUCAGACGCACGGGCUCCCGGCUGUACUUAGCAGCCCAAACCUUUCAGUAGUAGAUUAGUGGUGAGUCCUCAUAGUUUGAGAACAUGAUUAUUCCUUUAGUAUCUUAGUUUAUCAGUUUUCAGUAGUCGGGGUUAGUUGGGGGCUUGUCCCAUAAAUCCCUUAUUCAAAUGGUAGAGGCUUUUUAGAUAGAUGUAUCAAUAUUCAUUUUUCAGUAUUCAGUAUUCAUUAUUUACUUUUAGUUUGAACCUUAUAGUAAGUUUCCGCCUAAUUUUUGCAUAAUUAUAGUUUUAUUAUUCAGUUAUUGCAGCAGAUACCAGUCAUGGGUUAGCUUGUAGUCCCUCAGGAUUAUGAGCACCGUGUAGCAUCCGGGGUACAGACUCAGGGCGUUACAUAUACUUCCUCAGGUAAAAUAUUUUAAUUUAUUUUUGUAGGUUCUACUAAUAUUAUAUUUUCUUACAUGUUUCUACUUAUCUAGGUAUGGCUUUCUCGCAUUUGAUCUCCUUAAGUAGUAUUUUUUCUUAGGAUGAUAGUCUCUUUUAUAUGAUUUUUAUAUUUUUCUUCUUAUAUUCUUGAUCAUAAUGUUGUGUGGUAUAUAUGUUUUUAUAGAAAUCUAUAUCGCUUCUUUUUAAUUAUUUUUGUACUUGUACAUUUUUCUUGUAAUAUUUUCAUCACGUGCUGUAUUCUUUUGUCCUAUUGACCAUUUUGUGUCUAAAUUUGCAUUACUCCUUUUCUUUUGGACCACUUUUCUUCUAUUUCUCUUCCUAGGGCCCCUAAUAAUUUAUUAAAUAAUCUUUUUCCUAGAGUCCGAUCAAAUGAGGUUCCACUAACCUUACAAUAAUAAAAAUAGUCGUUUAGAAAUUCCUUAAUUCUUGAUUAAUUAUUAAUACUUAGUUGUUCUAAAUUUAUCAAAGCUCUUUACUGUAAUACUACUAAUCCACUAUUGGGAUCUUCUCCUAUUAGUUGAGUAUGUACUUUGUUUUCAAAAUUGUAUGGGUUUUCCUCCAUUUCUAUUAACACCUAGAAAUCUUCUAGGAAUAUUGUCUUGUAUGCUUUCCAUAGUGCUUUAGUACUUUCUCCUAAAAAUGUUUCUAGAUAUCUAUGUUAGAAUUAUUUAUUUUAUGUAGACUUAACAUUAAUUUUUAAUUACGUUAAAGUAAAACGGGUUGAUUUUAUUAGUUGGUGGACAAGACACAGGCCGUAUAUUAAUGCAGAUUCCAUAUGGGCCUAUAUCCAUUUCAUGUUAUUGAUGUGGGUUGGCAAUAGUGUAGGCCUGUAGUAGACUUGUGAUCCCAUAAUGGGGAGUGCACUAGGUUAAGGCUUUUAAGCCUAUAAAUAUAAGGCUAGAUCACCUUUCUUGGCUUUAACAUAAGACGUACUCUCAUAAUCUGUCAGCCAUCAUAAGCAAAGGAGAGGAAGACUCAGCCUUGUUCGUCUUCGGUUAUGUGAUACAAUGGCGGACAAAGUUACACACCUUUCCUUGCACAUAUUUUGCUACUUUAUAGGUGUUCUUGGUUUUAUGUGAAUCUGUGGUGUGUUUCUAUUUUAAUAUAACACUUGGUAUCAAAGCUUUCCACAUAGAUCUUGAACCCUAUUACUCAUUUCCUGAUAAAAAUAGCUGGAAAUAAUGAUCGUGACGGACUUCGUCUUAAACUUAAAUCUGAAAUGAUUUCCUUUGUCAAAAGUUUCUAAAUAUGUUUUAAAGUAUAUUGUUAGUAUUUGUAAAUUAAAAUUAUUUUAGAAGCUUUUCACUAUCUUAAAGGGCGAAACUGUACUUUAAAAGACAAAAUAAGAAGUAUGAUGAGUAGAUCUAACUUACGUGAGUUCGUAUGAGUGAAGGUAUUAAAACAUCCAUGUACAUUCUUAAUCGUGUCCUUAAAACUCCUUUUGAGUUGUGGCCCAAUAGAAAAUUUAGUUUAAAUUAUUUUCGAGUUUGGGGAUGUCCUGCGGAAGUAAAAUAUAUAAAAUUGAAUCUAGAACCUUGCUUGUUUUUUUUUCAUUGGUUAUCGAGCUCAUUCUAAAGGAUAUGGGUUCUACUGUCCUACAAGGCAAACCAAAAUAGUUGAAUUUUAAAAUGCAAAAUUUCUUGUAUGUGGGACUAUCCUAAACUCCAUGGGCAUAAAUUUAUCGAUUAAACAAGCAUUUAAGGUAAUUAAUUUCGUAGAUUUUGGAAUUAUUAACUUGAAAAGUUGUAUGAGAGCAUGAUUUGCAUAAUUACCUCUCUUGUUACGAAACUCAUUAUCCUAACAAAUUAUGGAUUGUUAUUGUUUUAUAAACAAAUGAAAGGGUUUCUUCCUUGAUUUACAAAUGUUCAUAUUUCCUAAUAAAGAAUUUGCAUGUGCUUGAUGAAAAAGAUGACCACCGUAUAAUAAACUAUUGAAAAGGGAGUAGUUUGCAUAAGUUUUCAUCUAUUUUGAAACAAGAACCCCCUCAUGUGAUGUUUAAAUAUUUCGGGUGGUCAUCAACAUGCUUUUGAAUUAAAAAAAGGGUCAGGAUAACAAAAGGCAUGGUAAAGAUCAGACUGAUUAUCUUGGGACUAAUAACAUGGUUAAGGGGGAGGACACUGUGAUUGAAUAUAUACCUACCGAUUUGAUGUUUGUUGAUCCACUAACCAGGGGCUAAGACCAUAGUUUCUUUUGCAACAUGUUCAGAAUACGGGUGUUGUUGAGUCAUUUGAUUUGCUGGGUUAGUAGGAGUAUUUAAUAUUAUUAUUCAUUUGUCAUUAGACUACUCGUCUUAUUAUUUUGGGCUUAUGGUGAUAUUAUCUCUUGAAUUGACAUUUAUAUUAUGGUAGAUUUUACUAUUAUUUAUGUUGAUGAUAUUUUACUUGCUAGUAAUAAUUUAGGAUUGUUUUGAUGAAAAUAAACAUUCAUUGAACAGAAUGUUUGAUAUAUCUAGGAGACACAUCAUUUGUUCUGGGCAUUGAUAUUCAACGAGAUAGAUCUCGUAAGUUAUUGGGGCUUUCACAAAAGGCCUAUAUUGACCGUAUUUUGCAAAAAAUUUCAAAUGGAAAAUUGUAAGCCCGGUGAUGUCCCUGUGGUGAAAGGUGAUAAGUUAAGCUUAAACUUGUGUCCCAAAAUUGAUCUUAAGAAAUAUUCUAUCAAAGAUGUGCCUUAUUGAAGUGUUUUUCCGCUGCAUUUCUUGUUUACAGAGUGUUAAUUUUAUUUAUUUUUUGAUAUUGGCUGAAGUAAAGUCAGCUAAACUAAAGUCAUCUUAAGAAUGUGUUCUGGCGGCUAUGUUAUUAAAGAUUCAUUCAUUUAGUUAGUUUCAAAUGCUUAGAUCAAAUAAUAUAAAAGGUUAUUUAUUUUAUGAUUUAAAAAAAAUUAUGCUAUCAUUUACAAAAGAUGUCGAGUUGCUAUUUAUUUAUUUAUUUAUUUAUUUAUUCUAUUUGAAUUUGGUUUCAUUUGAAUUGUAUCUAAAUCAGAUUUAUAAUACUUUUAAUUGAAUGGAUACUUACUGUGUCACAUUAGCAAAUCAAGAAAUGACAUGUUGAAUCCCUGAGAUUGAAUUUGUUUUGUAAAUUAGGGUAAAUAGUGUACACCAAAGUGACCUAUUUGCUUUAUUUUAUGAGAAUUGUUUAAUCCAUUUUGAGGGAUAUCACUAAGUUAGAACAUACAAUGAUCUACCCAAAGGAGAUUUAUUGUGUGUUUUAAAUUAGUAUUAUGAUGAGCCCCAUUAUGUGAAAUAUUUUGAUUUUAAUAAAUUUAUCUGCCCAAAGGGGAUCGAUUUCUAAUAUUGAAAAUAUUUUCUAGCCUUGCCCAAAAGAGGGUUACUUGUUGAUGCUGCGGGACUCAUCAUUGUGAUAAUAUUAUUGUUUUUAUGUCUUGCUAGUUUGAUAAAUUCAUUCAUGAUAUGUUGUGAAAAGUUACCAUUUAUUUGAACAAUAACAAUGCUGAAGUUGUGGUUCUCUCGGGCUCUAACUUUAAGCUAUAUAAAGAUAAUCUUGAAUUGCUUUGGGCAUGGCUAUAUAGAUCAAACCUUGCGUGAGGAUAAGCCUCCAACUCUCACUAAUUCUAGUACAAUGUUGAAAAAUAACUUUAUUCUAAGUGAGGGAGAUUUAAUAAGCUAUGCAUCCUUGCCUUUAGGAGGUCGUUUGUUGAGCACCUUAAAAGUGACUUGCCUAAAACUACCAAUGCCAAAAAGGUUUUUGCCUAAGUGGAAGAAAGGUAUCUUGUAUCCAAUAAUGCUAAGACUUGAGAUCUAAUGAAUAAGCUUGCAGGGAUAAGGUAUGAAUUUACUGGGGGUGUUAGAGAUUACAUACUUAAGUUGGUCCACAUUCAGUACAAACUGAAAACUCUUGAAAUAAAUCUUCCUGAAACUUAUGUUGUUCACUCUACUCUUAACUCUUUGCCUGCUGAGUUUAGCCAAAUGAAAACUGCCUAUAAUACUCAGGAUGAAUCUUGGUCAAUUAAUGAUCUCAUCUCCAAAUGUGUUGUUGAAAAAAAAAGAAUUAAAAGAGAGAAGGGUGAGGUUACCAUGUUAUCUUCUCAUGAUUCCAAAGAAAUCUCUUGCAAGGGACCUAGAAAGUUUGAAAGAUCUAAUAAUCAUACUUAUAAGAAGGACUCAAAAGAAGGUAAUCACCUAGCUUUUAUUUGUUUUGAGUCACACUUUGUACAUGUCCCCAUUAAUUCUUGAUGGUUUGAUAGUGGAGCUACUUCACUGUAACGCCCCGAUUUUCUGAACCGAAAUGCUACACGGUGCCGGUGACCCCGAAAGACCACAAGCUAACCCAUGACUUAUAUCUGUACCUAAGCACUGAAUAACCAUACUGUAAAAUAUAAGAAAACAUAAUACUGUAAGGCCAUAAGGUUCAAAUCUGAACAAACAUCUGAUAAAAUAAUAUCUAAAAAUGGUAUAACAACACCAACAUAAAUCUGAAAUAAUUAUCUGACAUGCUGUAGUCUGAAAACCUCUAAACUGAACUGAAUAAGGAGUUGAGGGGACAUGUUCCCAACUAACUUCGUCUACUAAAAUAAACUGAAAAAUAAAAUAGUGAUAUGAAUAAUAACAUAAUUGUCCUCGAAGGAUGAGGACGCACUGUUAAUUACUGCUGCUGGCUGACUCUAAAAUUGUUAAGGGAGCUCUAGAUCCCGUGCGUCCAAACCUAUGGUAUAAGACACCAUAGCACAAGAAAAGUAUGCGCCAGUACUUUGAAUGUACUGGUAUGCAAGUGAGGUAGGCUGAAUGCAUGGGGUUCAUAUGUAUGAACAAUACUGACUAACAUGAACAUGAGAAUACAUGAUAACUGUAACUAAAACUGUACUAGUACUGGAUAUUGAAUUCUGUGUACUGAUUUACUGACAUCUGAGUUUACUGAAUAAAGAGGAACUGAUGUUAUAUUACUGAUAAAAAUGACUGUUUUUGAUAGUUCUUAUUAUGAAGAACUGAUCUGAUUGACCGUAUAUAACAAUCUUGAAAUUGAGCUCGUGAUAACAUGACUACUGAGUAUGAAUACUGAUGACAUGUAUUUACUGAUAACAUAUCAUGACUGAUAACUGCAUUUUGAUAACUGAUAUAUCUGAUAAAAUGAGUUCUAAUAACUGAUAGCAUGAAUGAAUGUAUCUGACAGUCCUGAAUCGGAUGGAACUAGCUGAGUUCUGUACUGUAUCUGUGUUUACUGUAUCUAUCAGUUCUGAUAUCCUGAAGAACUAUCUGAGUUCUUUUACUGAGACUGAUACUGAAACUAUGCAAAGUAGUUAUCUAACCGACAUGCCCCAAAUAUGCUAUAAUAGCUAACCUGGGGUUCAAUCUUUGCCCAGAUUAGAAGGGUGUCAAUACCGCGCCACUAGUAAGGACAAGCUGUGAGUGACCCUUAUCUGGCAGGCACUCUAAUGAGAAUAGUGGAAACCCUCAUCUGACAGGUUAAGCCACCUCAUCUACCCUUAACUGACAGGUAUUGAUGUCUCAACCUAUGCUGGCUACAUAGUUCUGGAAUGCAAGGACUGCUUCUAAGAAUCACACCCUCUACUGGCAGGUGAGUUCCCAUCCUUGGGUUUGCUCGGUGCUGAAUCCUACUCCCAACAGAAUGACACUGAACUGAUUAUACUGAACUGAUUUCCUAGUUCAUACUAGAAUUAAGUAAACUGUUACUAAUUGUUCUGUUUAACUGAACUGAACAUGGACUGAGUUUAUUGAGUUCAUAUGAUUAGUGGAACACUACUAAAUUCUGUUAACUGACUAAAUGCUACUGAGUUCUGUUAGCUGACUGAGUUUACUGAUGUCUGAACUGAAUACUGAACUAAACUGUACUAAUACUAAGAUUUACUAAAUUCCAUAGACUGAUGGAAUAUUACUGAGAUUACGUAGAUUACUGAGUACUGAGUAAAACUGAACUGAUACUGCCUUUACAUGAGUUUUCCUGAGUCAUAAGACUGACUGAAGUCUACUGAACAUGGCUUGACUGAGAGUAUCAUGAAAACAUGACAUGGCUCUAGGUACCCCGCUAUAGUUUUUAGGUACAAGUACCCCUAGGACUUGAUGGAAGAAAACUAACACAUCAUGAAAAUUCCUGAUCAUAGGACUAAAGUCCGUAAUUCAUAAUACCAUAAGUUGGGGAUUUCAUGAAAGCACUUGAUAAUUAUAAUCUUGUACAUGAAUAGGAAUGUAUCCUAAUAUAUCAUAAUUUCACAAUUUUAAUUUUACUUGCAUGACAUGAACUUGUAUACAUGCUAACAUAAUGUAGUUUCAUUACUUAACUUUCAUGAACCAUUUGUCAAACACUUGCAAGACAUAGCAUCAACAUGGAAAUCAUUUAGAUCAUGUAGCAUUAACAUGAAUUCAUUAUUUAGAUCACCAAUGGACCACAAGGCACAAUUCAUUCACAUGAACAUUUUCACAAACACAUGAAAGGCAUGAUUUUAUACUUAGGCAUACAUAACAUGAUCCCAAUUCAUGACCAUAACCACCAAUUCACAUCUCAAGGUUUUCAACAUAUGAUGGUCAUGAUUCAACACACAUGGGAAACAUGGAUAUUUUAUUCAUCAAUGAACAUAUAUCAAUAUUAUGGGUAUAACAUCCAACUUGCAAAUCCCAAGAACUCAACAUAAAUCUCAUAUGAAUAAUACCACAAAUAAAUUAGUUUUCAUGAUUCUUGAAAUAACUCAUGGAAUUAAAACUCAAUUUAACAUCAACAACAUGAUUAUAAAUAUCCCACAACAAAAUAUUCAUGAUACAUAACUUAAAACUUGAUUAUUGAGCUCCAUGGAUGAAAAGAAUCCAUGAAUGAACACUAUGCAUACCUUAGAUUGAUUAUCCGUGAAAGUUAACGGUGAAAUUGGCUUGAAUCUUGAAACACCUAAUUGAACCCUUACUUGUUCUUAAUAAUUUUUGAGAGAAUUUGAGAAAAAGAGAGUAUAUUAUGCUCUAAAUUAGGAUUAAUUCCAUGUUUGAGCAUAUAUAUAGGAUGAAAAAAAAAACUAAAAUACCCCUAGAGAAAGAGAGAAAGACACAACUGUCCUAUGUUGUUUUCAGGAUGAUAAGCUGAAGUAAAUUGAUCAUAACUUUUUGCUCCGAUGUUUAAAUUGGAUGAAACCAAUUGCAUUUGAAAGAGGACUCAAAGAUAUUUUCAUCUAUGUAUAGAAGCUCUCACAGUUUAAAAUAUUCAAGAAUUUAUGAUCGUUUGAAGUUGACCCUGAAAUGCUGAAAAUUUUUGGAGCAUGCUAUAGAGCAUGCGAUGCAUACAAAUCUCAUGGUGCUUCUAUUUUGAAAUCCAUACACGCCCUAAACAGAUUCCAAAAUUUCAAAACUCACUUGAUAUGCACUCUUGACUUUUCCGAUCAUAACGCAACUUGAAAAUCAAAAAAUGGAGGUUGGGAAGGUCGUCAAUUAAAUUCCCGAAGUUCGGAGGUAUAAGAUGAAAAUAAGUGUUUCUAACACUUAACAAAAUUCUUCUAAGUGUUGGAUUUCCUUAUCACGCCUUAAGGAUCUGAAUUUGACUUAGGAUUUUUACGGGGUCUUACAUUCACAUAUUGUCAUUUCCUUGCAGGGGUUCAAAAACAAAAAGAACCCAAGGAAAGCCGAGUAAAAAAUUAGAGGCACCACAGAUGUUCAAGUUGAAGUAGAGUUCAUAGAAACUGUAGUUUUAGACUUAGAAACUAGUUAUAAGAUUGUUCUUGAAAACACUCUUUAUGUCCCGACUUUUAGACGAAAUUUGAUUUCUGUUUCAGUUUUACACAGUUUUGGUUAUGAUUUUAAUUUUCUUAAUGAAAAAGUUAAUUUGCUUUAGAACUCUCGAGUUGUUGGUCAUGGAAUCCUAUCUGAUGGUUUGUUUAAAAUUUCCUUGGCUUCAAAUUUUUAAUACAAUUCUUUUAGUUUUGAAAUAGUGUGUUUUAAACGAUAAUUUUAAUCGAAAAAUAGGGCAUGUGGUGGCAUAAGCGUUUAGGUCAUAUCUCUAAGGAUAGAGUUGAUACAUUAGUUAAGUCUAUUAUUUUACCUUCUCUUGAUUUAAGGGACAUAGGAAAAUGUAUUGAUUGUAUUAGAGGAAAUUUGAUAAAAAAAUGCUACUCCUAGUUAUGAUUUGUUGAAAAUCAUUCACACAUACAUAAGUGGUCUGUAUUCUACUACAAUAUGUGGUUCAAGUUACUUUAUCAUCUUCAUUGAUGACUUUUUUUGAUAUGGUUAUGUUUUUCUUAUUCAAGAAAAAUUAGAUUUUCUUGAAAUGUUUAAAGUGUUUAAAACUGAAGUAGAGAAACAACUGGGAAGUCAUUAAAAAAGUGAGGUCUGACUGAAGGAGUGAGUACUAUGAUAGAUACGCAGAGGAUAGGCAACAAAUGGAACCCUUUGAUCUUGAGCUACAUCAGAUAGAUGUAAAGAUAGCUUUUUGAAUGGUGAUAUUAAUGAAGAGGUUUACAUACAAAAACCUCAAAGUUUUUUUUUUUUGAUAAAGACAGUGAGCAUGUCAUGUGUAAGUUGAAGAAAUAUAUCUAUGGCUUAAAGCAAACUUCUCACUUCUCGAUAGUGGUACUAGAAGUUUAAGGAAAUUAUCACUUUUAUGGGGUUUGUGGAGAACAAGACUGAUCAUUGCAUCUACUUAAGAUUAGUGGGAGUAAGUCCAUCUCACUCUUUAUGUUAUUGAUUGUUAUUGUCCACACUUUAAUAUUAUUUAUUAUAUUAAGGCUUUUGCCUUACGUGUUGGUUAUGCCUCAUAUUGAUAAGAUCAUAUUGUUGUUUUAUUUCUUUUGGAGACAUAUAUAGUAUAUCAUUCUACCUUGUGGAUUUUCUGGUUGUUGCACCAUGUAAUAUGUUUUUAAUACCCAUAUUUUUUUCCUUGCUUGAAAUCAUCUCAAGGAUGUUAGAACUUGCUUUAAAAUACAUAUCCAUUUUUGUACACGUGGUAUUUUUAAUAUUUUCACUUUCUGUCGCGUGAAAAAUUGAAUAAGAUUUCCAUCGAUCCUAAUUUCACCAAAAGCCGAUGCCAGAUGAGGAAGCUGUGGCCAAAAUACAGAAGGCAGAAAAAUUACCCAGGUGCGAUAGUGCAGCCGACGGACCGUCGGACAAACGAUGGACUGUCGACCACAACCGUUGCAUCGAGGCAGUGAUUUAUUUUUCUAGAUGAGUACGAUGGCGAGGUACGAUGGACCGUCAACCCAGUGAUGGUCUAUCGCACCCUACCAUCGCUUCGAGGCAGUGAAUUAGUUUUUUGGCUACGUACGACGGAGAGGUCCGAUGGGCCGUUGACCUAGCGACGGAUCAUCGUACCCCACUAUCGCUCCAUGGCAGUAAGUCCUAGUUCUGGUCCUAGUCAAAUGGUGAGUUCGAUGGAUCGUCGAUCCAGUGAUAGACCGUCGCACCCCACCGUCUCAUAUUUCAGUCAGUUAUUUUAAGUCAUUUUAAUAAGGGUAUUUUGGUCAUUUGCCACCCACUUAUAUAUACCUAGUUAUAUCCGACCUCGGCUCAUUUAUUCAUGAUUAUUUCAACAACAAUAAAACUAGGGUUUUUCUCUCUAAGAUUAAUCCCCAGAAUCAAAUCCAAAUUUAUUCCAAGAACUCAGAGAUCCAAAUUAAUCAAGUUCAAGAACAUCAAGAAACUUAACCUAGGUAUGCAUAGUUUUCAUUCAUGGACUCCUUUCGUCCAUGAAGCCCAAAAUCCAUUUUUCUAAGUUUAAGUUUAUGGAUUUUCCUUUAUGAAAUUCAUGUUGGGCUACUAGUGUUCAUGUUGAUAAAUGACCAAUUGAAUCUUUAUCCAUGUUUAGUGAUAUAUAUUUCAUGGGAAAUUGAUUAGUAUAUGUGUAGGUCCAUGUAAACCUAUAAUUAAACCUUUGAAUGAUGAAAUUAGAACUGAACCAUGAUGUUUAAUUGUUGUAAAAUGUUGUUUACAUAUACUAUGUCUACCAUGUGUUUGAUUGAAUGCCUAGAUGAAGGAAAAUGCCCAAUUAGCAUGAUAUCAUGAAAUCCCCAUGUAUGUACAAGUUUAUUGUAACGCUCCGAUUUUCCGAACCGGAACGCUACACGGUACUCAUGACCCCAAAGGACCACAAGCUAACCCAUGAUUAAUAUUUGUACCUAUAACUCCAUAAUAUACAUAUAAAAUGUGGAAACAUGAAUAAAGAGGGCGUAAGGUUCAAUCUUGAAUAAUAAAAUAUCUGAAAUAAGGUGGUAUCACAGUACCAAAAUAAAACUAAAAAUACUAAAGUCUAAAUAUGAAAACUCUAUAAUCGUCUGAAAGCCUCUAAACUGUCUGAAUAAAGAGUUGAAGGAACAUGUCUCCAACUAACUCCCUAAACUGAAAAUAAACUGAAAUACUGGAAUAAUAAAUGUAACUAUCAUGUCCUUGAAAGAUGAGGACUCACUGUUUACUGAACUGCUAAUGCUGAUCUGGAAUCUGCACCUCAGAACCUAUGGUGUAACAUAAAAAAAAGCACCAUAGUGUAAAUGUGUCAGUACAACUAAAGCACUGAGUAUGCGUGGGGGUAGGCUAAAUGCAUGGGGUUUAUAUGUGUGAACAUGCUGACUAAUAUGAAUGUGAGAAUACAUACAUACAUACAUACGUAACUGCUACUAAACUCAUGGAUAUACUGAAUACUUGAGUUUGAACUCUGACAACAUGAGUUUUGUGAUACUGAGAUACUAAAUGACUGAUAAUAUAGAUGACUGUAUCUAACAGUCCUAAUUCUGGGGAAAACUAUCUGAGUUCCAAACUGUAUCUGAACAUCUAAGUCUGAGAUCAGUCCUAGCUAACGAGUGAUCUCUGAAACUGAUAAUGAGAAUACUCGACUGAAUCUGAGAUUGAAAUCAAGCCUGUUUGUCAGGUGACCUCUAGAUCUAAUAAUAAGCAUCUGAAUAUGGGACAAAGCCUAUCUGACGGGAUGGUCCAGGAAUCAAUAGAACUAUCUGAGUUCCUUACUAAUAUCAAUGACUGUAUCUGACAGUCCUGAUGCCUGAUUUCUACUUUGAAGAUUGAUACUGAAACUGAAACUGUAACUGUGACUGUGGGAGGUAGUAACCUAACCGACAUACCCCGAUACUGUACUGGUGAGGUCUAAUAUUUACCCUAAUUGGAAGGGUGUCAAUACCGCUCCACAGGUAGAGACCUCUACUAUGGUCAAGCCUCUCUGACGGGUGACCCUGAAUAGGAAAUCAAGGCAAAGGCAAUAUAAUAGUCAAGUAUAGACUUAAUCUGAUGGGUGACUCCUAUCCUGCGCUGGCUACAUAGUUCUGGAGUACAUGGAUUGCUGCUAAUGGCUGCCUUUAUAACGGGAAAAACUGCCAUCCCUGCACUUGCUCGGUGCUAGUCCCUACUCCCAACUGAAAGACUUUAAAAAUAUUACCUGUGUUGAACUGACUAACUAAACUGAACUGAUUUAUAAACUAAUUAACUGAGCUGAUAAUAUUUUCUUAGCUAAACUAAGCUGAAUUCACUGAGUUUUGUUGACUGACGAAAAAGCUACUUGAGAUCUGAGGUUUGACUGAGAUUACUGAAACUAUUGGGACUACUAAACUACUGAGAUUUCUGAGUUUUUCUGAGUCACGUGACUAACUAUAAUCUAUGGAGAAUAGCUUGACUGAGGAUGUCUUGAAACAUGACACUAGCUCUAGGCACACAACUAUAGUUUUCGGGUACAAGUACCCCCAGGACUCGAUGGAAGGAAACUGACACACAUGACUGACUUGAUCAUAAGAGUAGAGUCCACAAUUCAUAAUAUCAUGAGUAAGGAUUUCAUAAUAAGAAUGAUUCUCAACAAACUAUCACAUGAUCGGGAAUGCACACAACAUGUAUAUACUUGCAUGGCUUCAAUAACAUGGUCAUUCCAUAUCACAACAAUAUCAUGAGCAUCUUAUACAACAUCUUCAAUUCAAGACAAUAGCUGGGGAUCACAUUGAUCAUAAACUUAGAACAUGGACUUAUUAUUUCAUAAAAGCAUGAUUUCUAUUCUCUUAGGUAUUUUCACAAACACCUUAUGGACAUCUUAGGCAUAGGUGGAUUCAUCAAGAUUACAGAUAUUCAACCACCAAUUUCACAUAUUGAUACAUUAAAUACCACCAUAUCCUCACACAAAACAUACAAAGAUCCCAUCUUAGGGAUCAUCAAACUCCAACCACAUGAACAUCAACCACCAACAACAUAAACAUCAUAAUACAUAAUUUGGAAGAUGGUUCUUGAGCUUCAUGGAUGUAAGGAGUCCAUGAAUCAACUCACGCAUAGCUUAGAAGGAAGAUUCUUGAUGAUUGAUGGAGGAAUUGCCUUAAAACUGGAUCUUCAAGCUUAAUUAUGCAACCCUAGUUAUUUUUCUCUUUUAGUGCUCUUGGAUGAUGAACUUAAGAUGCUAGUAGGGUUGUAAUGUAAUUAGGAGCUAUAUAUUUCGUAAGGUUAAGUUUAGGGACGUGUAAAGAGUGUUAAAAUACUUAAUUUCCCUCAAAAUAACUCAAAACGGAGUGUUCAAGUCACUUGAAACCAUAAGAUAUGCACCGCAUAUGAUAUUGCAUAUAUUUACAUAGGCGUCGCAUAUGAUAUCGCCUAAAUUUACAUAGGUGCCACAUAUGAUAUCGCCUAUAUCUACAUAGGUGCCACAUAUAUUAUCGCCUAUAUUUACAUAGGUGCCGUAUAUGUUAUCGCAUAUGCUUUCCAGUGGCCAUGUGUGAUUGGUUAGGCGACGCACUCUACUUCGCAAAGCCAUAACUCCUAGCUCGGGUGUCGAAUUUUGAUGAAAUUGGUAUCGUUGGAAAGCUAAUUCAAUUAUCUAUAAUUUUGUGGGUAGAAAUAUGAAGAAAUACCAUAUUAACAUUGAGUUAUACUCGUUCAAAUAUGACCCUUAUGAAAUCAAACACUAAAACUUGAUGGAUUAAAAAACUCUUAGCUUGUAUUACCUUAAGUGACUCAUAUGAACAUGCUUAACGCAUCAUAAGCUAUCUUAUAGCUAGGAUACUCAUUAUAAGUCAUGUACUCAAGUAUGAAUCACAGGAUAGGAGUUCAUAUGUAGGAAAAAUGGUUCGUCUCCUAGCUUAUAAACAUGCAGGGUAUUACAAUAUCUCCCCCUUAGGAACAUUCGUCCUUGAAUGGAAAUUAACUGAGGUAGGAAAGAUGAUAAGAUAAAGUACGUACAAGACAUACACUAUUAAAACAUGGGUUCAUGACUGAUAUGACUGAAAGCUGAGCACAACAUACUGAACAUGCAUAUCUGAUGCAUGGGAAGCUGAUUCAUGAAUAUAAGACUGAGGANNNNNNNNNNNNNNNNNNNNNNNNNNNNNNNNNNNNNNNNNNNNNNNNNNNNNNNNNNNNNNNNNNNNNNNNNNNNNNNNNNNNNNNNNNNNNNNNNNNNNNNNNNNNNNNNNNNNNNNNNNNNNNNACAUGAUAUGUAAAUGUAUGAGUGAAGAUACUGAUAAAUAGUACUUUCUCUACUGAACACGUAUAUCUAAUGCCUGAAUAUCUGACUGAGCUGACUCUUGAAAGAUUGACUGAUUAUGCCAUGGCACUUGAUAACUAAUUUAUAAUGGGAACAUGAAAUCAUCAAUAAAAGGUGGGGUAUCUCUCCCUUGGGACACUAUGUCCCUCUAGGAAUGUUCACCUUGCUGAGAUACUGGGGUGAUACACAGGGCAUCUACGAACUAGAUUAUAACUAAACAUUGGAGAGCUAAGACUAAUGCAUAAUGCAUGAACUGAACUAGACCUGCUAAUGUUACUGACUAACUCAUGUGGAAACAUAAGCUCAAAUGAGUGCAAGAUAUCUAACAAUGCAUACAAUGAUCAUGAAAAACUUGUAACGUACCCGAAUCUAGGUUGGGGAAACUUUCUAGAUUAUAGUGAGUCUGGAGUGAAUAAAGUAGAUUCUAACGCUGACCACUAUUGGUGCUGGGAUUUACGGCCUGCUCACGCGAAUCUCUACCUUUCUGAGCCAACACUCUACACUUCUGCAUUCUGUGGCCUGGCUUACCGCACCCAAAACAUACUUGACUAUUAGCUCUGUAUGAACCUAGAUUAUUCUUGCCACACUCACCACAAAGCAGAUAAGUACGCUCACUUCUAUCACUACUCUGGGCUUUAGAGCCUAGCGCCCUACCAUGACUAACAUCUCCAAAGUUAGGUAUGGGCACACUAGCUAAAGAUGGAAUAGGAUCUGAAUUUUUUUGACUAUGGUGAGAACGAUUACUACCCUGUGACCCAGCCAGAGAAAAUCUGUAACUACCUAUUCUAAAUCUCUUAUUAGAUCUUUCCCUCUCCUUAGACUUAUCUGCCUCUAUCUGCUGAGCAUGCAUCAUUAACCUAGCAAGGUCCAUGUCCCUAUUGAGCAUAGCUAUUCUACACUCUUUUAAUACUAACUCGGACACACCAGUCACAAACUUACUCAUACUCACUCUGGGAUCAGCUAUCAAGUCAGGAGCAUACUUAGCUAAUUGGUUGAACUUAAGACAAUACUCCUUCACUGCCAUGGAGACUUGUCUCAAGUUCAUAAACUCUUCUACCUUAGAUUCUCUCAUCUCUAAUGGGAAAAACUUAUCUAAGAAGCCAUCCUGAAAUAUCUGCCAAGUUAUGGGAGUUGCAUCUUCCCCUCUACUCUUCUUCCAUAACACUACCCAAUCAUGAGAAAUAUCUUUCAACCAAUAGAACCUAAUUCCACACUCACCUCCUCUAUCAGAUGCAUCAUUUGGGUGAUCUUCUUUACCUUUUCUAGAUAUAACUGUGGGUCCUCACCUAUUGCUUACCCAAAGAAUUUUGAAGGGUUCAUUCUCAUAAAAUUUCUGAUUCUGGCUGCAGCUGAAUCCCCAUCUUACUGGGGUGGGGCUGCAGUCUAUCGAUUUCCCUGAACACUAGUGGUCACAGCCUAGGCUAACGCCUGAAAAACUACUCAAAAUUCUGCAUGUGAUACAUUCUUAUUCAAAGGAUCUGUGGGCUGCGGGGCUGACUGAUUCCUUAUUCUCUUCUUAGGAGGCAUGUUUUGCAAACAAAAGAGGAACAAGGAUUAAACUGAGAGUUCAACUUAAGCAUCUGCUCACUGGCACAAUAUGAGUACUGAAAGAAAGGAAACUGUUCCUAAAACAUCUUAUAGCCUCCUGUACAUAAAUAUGGCGUACAACAUACCCAUGUACAAGACACUGCUAGAUGUGGCUUUCAAACUUCCUAGGACUCUAUUGAAUCUUAGGCUCUGAUACCAAGUUUGUAACGCCCUGAUUUUCUGAAUCGGAAUGCUACAAGGUGCUCAUGACCCCAAAGGACCACAAGCUAACCCAUGACUAAUAUUUGUACCUGUAACUGCAUAAUAUACAUAUAAAAUACAGAAACAUAAAAAAUGAGGGCGUAAGGUUCAAUCUUGAAUAGUAAAAUAUCUUAAAUAAGGUGGUAUCAUAGUACCAAAACAAAACUGGAAAUACUAAAGUCUAAAUAUGAAAAAUCUAUAAUUGUCUGAAGGCCUCUAAACUGUCUGAAUAAAGAGUUGAAGGAACAUGUCUCCAACUAAUUCUCUAAACUAAAAAUAAACUGAAAUACUAGAAUAAUAAAUGUAAAAAUCAUGUCCUCAAAAGAUGAGGACUCACUGCUUACUGAACUGCUAUUGCUGAUCUGGAAUCUGUACCUCAGAAUUAUGGUGUAACAUAAAAAAAGCAUCAUAGCACAAAUGCGUCAGUACAACUAAAGUACUGAGUAUACGUGGGGGUAGGCUAAAUGCAUGGGGUUUAUAUGCAUGAACAUGCUGACUAAUAUGAACGUGAGAAUACAUACAUACAUAUAUACAUAACUGCUACUGAACUCGUGGAGAUACUGACUACUUGAGUUUGAACUCUAACAACAUGAGUUUCGUGAUACUGAGAUACUGAAUGACUGAUAACAUGGAUGACUGUAUCUAAAAGUCCUAAUUCUGGAGAAAACUAUCUAAGUUCCACACUGCAUCUGAGCAUCUAAGUCUGAGAUCAGUCCUAGCUAACGAGUCAUCUCUAAAACUGAUAAUGAGAAUAUUUGACUGAAUCUGAGAUUGAGAUCAAGCCUGUCUGCCGGGUGAACUCUAUAUCUAAUAAUAAGCAUAUGAAUAUGGGACCAAGCCUAUCUGAUGGGAUGGUCCAGGAAUCAAUGGAAUUAUCUGAGUUCCUUACUGAGAUUGAUGACUGUAUCUGACAGUCUUAAUUCUUGAUUUCUACUCUGAAGAUUGAUACUGAAACUGUAAAUAUAACUAUGAAUGUGGGAGGUAGUAACCUAACCGACAUACCCCGAUACUGUACUGGUGAGGUCUAAUCUUUUCCCUGAUUGGAAGGGUGUCAAUAUUGUACCAUACGUAGAGACCUCUACUAUGAUCAAGCUUCUCUUACGGGUGACUCUGAUAAGGAAAUCAAGCGUAAGGCAAUAUAAUAGUCAAGUAUAGCCUUAAUCUGAUGAGUGACUCCUGUCCUACAUUGGAUACGUAGUUCUGGAGUACAGGGAUUGCUGCUAACAACUCUGCCUUUAUAAUGGGAAAAACCCCAAUCCCUGCACUCGCUCGGUGCUAGUCCCUACUCCCAACUGAAAGACUCUAAAAAUAUUAACUGUGCUAAACUGACUAACUGAACUGAACUGAUUUAUAAACUGAUUAACUGAGAUGAUAAUAUUUUCUUAGCUGAACUAAGCUUAAUUCACUGAGUUCCGUUGACUGACGGAAAAGCUACUUAAGAUCUGAGGUCUGACUGAGAGUAUUGAAAUUACUGGGACUACUGAACUACUAAGAUUUUUAAGCUUUUCUGAGUUACGUGACUAACUGAAAUCUAUGGAGAAUAGCUUGACUGAGGAUGUCUUGAAAAAUGAAACUAGCUCUAGGCACAUGCAAACAACAUGUAUAUACUUGCAUGGCUUCAAUAACAUGGUCAUUCCAUAUCACAACAAUAUCAUAAGCUUCUCAUACAACAUCUUCAAUUCAAGACAAUAGCAUGGGGAUCACGUUGAACAUAAACUUAGAACAUGGAAUAGUCAUUUAGGACUUAUUAUGUCAUAAAANNNNNNNNNNNNNNNNNNNNNNNNNNNACAAACACCUUACAUGCACAUCUUAGGCAUAGGUGGAUUCAUCAAGAUUACAAAUAUUCAACCACCAGUUUCACAUAUUUAUACAUUAAAUACCACCAUAUCCUCACACAAAACAUACAAAGAUCCCAUCUUAGGCAUCAUCAAACUCCAACCACAUGGACAUCAACCACCACCAACAUAAACAUUAUAAUACAUAAUUUGGAAGAUGGUUCUUGAGCUUCAUGGAUAUAAGGAGUCCAUGAAUCAACUCACGUAUAGCUUAGAAGGAAGAUUCUUGAUGAUUGAUGGAGGAAUUUCCUUAAAAUUGGAUCUUCAAGCUUAAUUAUGUAACCCUAGUUGUUUUUCUCUUUUAGUGCUCUUGGAUGAUGAACUUAAGAUGUUAGUAGGGUUGUAAUGUAAUUAGGAGCUAUAUAUUUCGUAGGGUUAAGUUUAGGGACGUAUAAGGAGUGUUAAAAUACUUAAUUACACUCAAAAUAACACAAAUUAGAGUGUUUAAGUCACUUGAAAUCAUAAGAUAUGCGCCGCAUAUGAUAUCGCAUAUAUUUACGUAGGUUCCGCAUAUGAUAUCGCCUAAAUUUACAUAGGCACGGCAUAUGAUAUCGCCUAUAUCUACAUAGGCACCGCAUAUGAUAUCGCCUAUAUCUAAAUUGGCGCCACAUAUUCUAUCGCCUAUAUUUACAUAGGCGCCGCAUAUGCUUUCUAGUGGCCAUGUGCGAUUGGUUAGGUGCCGCACUCUACUUCGCAAAGCCAUAACUCCUAGCUCGGGUGUUGGAUUUUGAUGAAAUUGGUAUUUUUGGAAAGCUAAUUCAAUUCUCUAUAAUUUGGUGGGUAUAAAUAUGAAGAAAUACCACAUUAACAUCAAUUUAUACUCGUUCAAAUAUGACCAUUAUGAAAUCAAACACUAAAACUUGAUGGAUUAAAAAACUCUUAGCUUGCAUUACCUUAAGUGAUUCAUAUGAACAUGCUUAACGUAUCAUAAGCUAUCUUAUCACUAGGAUACUCAUUGUAAGUCAUGUACUCAAGUAUGAAUCAUAGGAUAGGAGAUUUCAUAUGUAGGAAAAAUGGUUCAUCUCCUAGCUUAGAAACAUGUUGGGUAUUACAUUUAUGCAUAUCCCAUGUUUGAUUAAAUGCUUCAAUAAAUAAAUUAUGGAUUAUGAUGUUAGUCUUGUGUUCAAGUAAUUCAUGCUUUAUAAGUUUUUUUGUAUCGAGUCUUGGGGGUACUUGUACCUGAAAUAUUAGCUAUGUGCCUAGAGCCAUGUCAUAUUUUCACGAUACUCUCAGUCAACCUAUGAUCCUUAGACCUUAGACAGUCUUAUGACUUAGGAAAUCUCCAUUAUAUCAUGAACUCAGUCAGUUGUCAGAUAUCAAUAGUAUUUUGUUAGUUAACAAAAUUCUUUUACUCAGUCCAUGUUCAGUUCAGUAAAUCAUGUUCAGUGUCCAUUAAGAUGGGAGUAGGAAUUAGCACCGAGUAAACCCAUGGAUGGAAAUUCACCUAUUAUAUGAGGGUGUGAUUCUUAGAAGCAAUCCUUGCAUUCCAAAACUAUGUAGCUAGCAUAGGUUAAGAUAUCAUAGCCUGCUAUAUGAAGGUAGAUGAAGUGGAUUAACCUGUUAUAUGAGGGUUCCCACCCUUCUCACUAGAGUUACCUAUUAUAUGAGGGUUACUCACAUAUUGUCCUUACUAAUGUCGCAGUAUUGACACUCUUCCAAUCAGGGCAUAGGUUGGACCCCAGUUUAGUUAUUAUAGUGCAUAUGGGGCAUAUCGGUUAGAUAACUACUCUCCAUAGUUUUAGUAUUAGUCUCAAUAAAAGAAUUUAGAUAGUUCUAUAGAUUUCAGGGCUAUCAAAUAUAGUCAACUCAGAUACAAUACGAAACUCAGCUAGUUCCAUCAGAAUCAGGACUAUCAAAUACAGUCACUCAUGUUAUUAGUUAUAUCAGUAUCAGUAUGUCAUGUUAUCUGUAUUCAAAUUCAGUAAUCAUAUUAUUACGGUAUUAGUGUUAGUUAUUAUGUCUCAUGCAUGUAUUCUCAUGCUCAUGAUAGUUAGUUGUUAUUAUUAUUGUUCAUGCACAUGAACCCCUUGCAUCAGCCUACCUCACAUGCAUACCAGUACAUUCAAAGUACUGACGCAUUCGCGCUAUGGUGUCUUAUACCAUGGGUUCAGAGAUACGAGCUCUAGAGCAUCAGUAGAUUCUAGAUAUCAGCAGUUAGAGUUAGCAAUGAGUCCUCAUCAUUCGAGGAAAUGAUUAUUUCUCUAUUAUCUCAUUGAUUAGUUUAUUAGUUGGAGUUAGUUGGGGACAUGUCCCAUCAACUCCUCAUUCAGACAGUUUAGUUAAUCAAAGGCUUUCCAAACUAUUAUGAUCGGUUAGUUUAUUUUAGUUGUUUUGGGUAUUUCAUACCCCAUUCAUAUAUUAUGAUUUAUUAGAUCUUAUGCUACAAUUUUGAACCUUAUGGCAUUUCAGUUCAUAUUUCUGCAUUAUUCAGUAUUUUUUAUAGUAUACAGGUACAGAUAUCUGACAUGGUUAGCUUGUGGUCCUUUGGGGUCAUGAGCACUGUGUAGCAUUCUGGGUACCAAAUUUGGGGCAUUACAAACUUGGUAUCAGAGCCUAAUGUUCAAUAGAGUCCUAGGAAGUCUAAAAGCCGCAUCUAGUAGAGUCUUGUACAUGGGUGUGUUGCAUACUUUAUUUAUAAGAGGCUAUAAGAUGGUCUAGGAACAAUUUCUCAUUCUUUCAGUAUUCAUUUCAUGCCAGUGAGCAUAAUCUCAAGUCAAUCUCUAAGUCUAAUCCAUCUUUUCCCCUUAUUUUAGAACAUGCCUCCCAAGAAAAGAAAUCAGUCAGCCUCUCAGCCCAAAAAACCUUUGGGAGAUCAUGUUUCUCAUGUAGAGUUCAAGGCCGCAUUCACUACUCUUGCUCAGUCAGUUGCUGCUCAAAACGAAUGACUAGCUGUUGUUUCGGCCAACCUAGUGGCCAAUUUAACUGCAGCCAGGAUUCAAAACUUUACCUGAAUGAAUCAUCCAUCCUUCUUGGGUCUAAGGCAAAUAAGGACCCUCAGGAAUUCCUAGACUAGGUGCAUAAGGUUACAAACAUAAUGGGGGUUACUUCUAGUAGGAGUGCUGAUCUAGCUGCAUACCAGCUGAAGGAUGUUGCUCACACUUGGUUCAAGUAGUCGAAGUUAGAGAGGGCAGUUGAUCUAGGUUCAGUUGAGUGGGAGGAGUUUGCUUCUGGUUUUAUUGAUAGAUUCUUUCCUCUAGAGCUUAGAGAAGCCAAAGUGCUAGAAUUUAUCAACCUCAGGCACUGCAACAUGACGGUGGAAGAGUAUUCUCUUAAGUUUACUCAAUUAGCUAGAUAUGCCCUUUAUCUGGUUGCAGAUAGCAGGGCAAGAAUGAGUAAGUUCAUUUUAGGGGUGAAUGAUAGCAUGGUUAAUGAGUGCAGAUUUGCCAUGUUGAAUAGUGACAAGACUUUAGCCAGGCUUGUGACUUAUACUUUACAGAUAGAGGAGUAAAAGAUUAAGAUGAGGGAGAAGUAGAAUAAUAAAGUGAAGAUAGGUAGUUUUAACUUUGCUCAGCCUAAAUCAAAAGGAGAAAACAGCUCUCAAUUUUAUUCUAAGUUAUCAGUUCCAUCUUCUACCUCAGCUACUGAUCCAGUUCCUAAGUUUAGAGAGGGUAAAAAAGAUAGAGCGCCAGGUUUUAAGUCUCAGGGCAGUGUUAGCAGUGCCUGCACCUAUCCUCUGUGUCAAACUUACGAUAAGCACCAUCAGGGUAUUUGUAGAGCGGGCAGUGGUAUUUGUUUUGGAUAUGGCAAGCCAGGACACAGAGUUAGAGACUGUCCUCAGCCAGGUCCUUAGGGUCAGUAAAAUCGUCCUGCAGCUCAGUCCGGUCACCCAAAUCAGCAGGGUGCCACCUCCAGUGCUACUAGUGGGCCACACCCAAAUCAUCUUUGUACUCAUCAGUCCUGGAAAGAUCAAGAAAAUUAUCCUAAUGUGGUUCCUGGUACAUUACAGAUCUUGCAUGUACAUGUUUACGCUUUGCUAGAUCCAGGUGCUUCUUUAUCUUUUGUUACUCCCUAUAUAGCAGGCGAUUUUGGAAUUAGUCCCAAAAUUUUAGAAGAGCCCUUUUUAGUUUCUACCCUAGUAGGUAAAACCAUUAUAGCCUAGUGGGUAUACAGGAACUACCCGGUUAUGAUAUUCUAGAAAGUUACUUCAGCAGACUUGGUUGAAUUAAAGAUGACUGAUUUUGAUGUCAUUCUCGGCAUAGAUUGGCUUUAUUCUUUCUAUGCCAUAGUCAACUACAGAAACAGAAUAGUCCAGUUUUAGUUUUUAAAUGAACCCAUCCUUGAGUGAAAGGGUAACGUAUCUGCUUUCAGAGGUCAGCUUGUUUCCUACCUUCGGGCAGGGAAAAUAAUAUCUAAGGCAUUUUUCUAUCAUAUUAUUUAAGUUAAGGACUCUCAUUUCAAGACUCCCAGUCUUGAAUUAGUUCCAGUUGUAAAUAAAUAUUCAGAUGUCUUUCCCGAAGAUCUUCCAGGAAUUCCUCUUGAAAGGGAAAUAGACUUCGACAUCGAUCUUAUUCCAGACACUCAGCCUAUCUCUAUUCCACCAUACAAAAUGGCACUAGAAGAACUAAAAGAACUGAAAGAACAAUUGAAGGAUAUCUUAGAUAAGGGAUUCAUCAGGCACAAUGUUUCCCCAUAGGGCGCAUCAGUAUUAUUCGUGCACAAGAAAGACGAUUCUCUCAAAAUGUACAUUGACUACCGUCAGCUCAAUAAAGUUAUGGGAAAGAACAAGUAUCCACUUCCCAAAAUUGAUGAAUUAUUCGACCAACUUCAAAGUGCCAGUUAUUUCUCUAAGAUAGACCUCAAAUCAGGCUACCAUCAGCUCAGAGUCAGAGAAUGUGACAUUCCAAAAAUAGCUUUCCGUACUCGAUAUGGUCACUUUAAAUUUCUAGUAAUGUCCUUUGGUCUUACCAAUGCCCCAGCCACUUUCAUGGACUUGAUGAACCACAUGUUCAAGUAUUACUUGGGCAUAUUUGUCAUAGUAUUCAUAGAUGAUAUUCUAGUCUAUUCCUGCAGUGAGCGCGAUCAUGCAGACCAUCUCAGAACAGUACUCUAGACCCUCAAAACUCAUCACCUAUUCGCCAAAUUUAGUAAGUGCAAAUUUUGGUUAAGGUCAGUAGCAUUCCUUGGUUAUAUUAUUUUUGGUGAUGGUAUUAGAGUAUAUCCUCAAAAGAACAAAGCAAUAAGAAACUAGCCUCACCCUGUCUCUUCAUCAGAUAUCAGGAGUUUCUUGGGUCUGGCUGGCUAUUAUAGGUGGUUUGUUGAAGGAUUUUCUUUUAUUGCGUCCCCUAUAUCCAUAUUAACUCUGAAAAAAGUCAAGUUUCAAUGGUCAGAUCCUUGCGAGAAGAGUUUUCAGGAGUUGAAGACUAGACUCAACUCAGCUCCAAUCUUAGCUCUUCCAGAUGAUUCAGAUAGGUUCGUAGUAUAUUGUGAUGCAUCCAGAGUAGGUUUGGGUUGUGUCAUCAUGCAGCAUGGUAAGGUCAUAGCCUACGCCUCCAGACAACUUAAACCCUAUGAGAAGAAUUAUCCUACUCAUGACCUUGAGCUAGCAGUUGUAGUUUUUGCCUUGAAUAUUUAGAGGCAUUAUCUCUACCGUGUUCAUGUAUAUGUGUUCACAGAUCAUAAGAGUCUUUAGUAUGUCUUUUCUCAGAAAGAUCUUAAUCUUCGUCAGAGAAGGUGAUUAGAGCUCUUGAAAGAUUAUGACAUGAGUAUCCUUUAUCAUCCGAGAAAGGCCAAUGUAGUGGCCGACGCUCUCAAUAGACUGUCUAUGGAUAGUGUUACUCAUGUUGAAGACAGUAAGAAGAAGUUAGCUCAGGAAGUCCAUCAUCCUUCUAGACUAGGCGUUCACUUAGUCGAUAUAGAAGAGGGUAAUGUAUGGGUUCAAAGUAGUUCAGAACCAUCUCUAGUUUUCGAGGUAAAGAAAAGAAAGAUAGAGAUCCCAGCCUUGUCAAGUUAAAAGACUUAAUCCAGAAUUAGAAAAUAGAGGUUUUCUCCCAAGAGAGAGAUGGUUUUCUUCGUUGUCAGGGUCGUCUUUGUGUUCUAGGUGUAGAUAAACUAAGGAAGCAAAUUACUGUUGAAGUGCAUAGUGUACACUACUCUAUUCAUCCAGGGGCCACAAAGAUGUAUCGCAACUUGUGCGAGAUCUAUUGGUGGAUUAGGAUGAAGAGAGAUAUUACAGAGUUUGUGGCUAAGUGCUCUACAUGCCAGCAGGUUAAGAUAGAGCAUCAUAAGCCUAGUGGUCCUAUACAGGAGUUCAUUAUUCCUUCUUAGAAGUAGGAAGAAGUGAACAUGGACUUUGUGAUGGGUUUGCCUUGAACUCGUCUUUAGCAUAAUUCAGUUUGGGUCAUCGUACAUAGAAUGACCAAAUCAGCCCAUUUUCUUCCAGUUCAUACCUCUUAUUCAGCCGAGGAUUACACCAAACUCUACAUCAUAGAGUUGGUAAAAUUGUACGGUGUUCCAUUAUCUAUUAUCUCAUAUAGAGGUACCUAGUUCACCUCUUACUUUUGAAAAGCAUUCCAAAAGAGUCUUGGUAUCUAAGUUCAUAUUAGUAUAGCCUUCAAUCCUCAGAUCGAUGGUCAAGUAGAAAAGACCAUUUAGACUUUAGAAGAUGUGCUAAGGGCGUGUGCAAUUGAUUUCAAGGGUAUUUGGGAUAACCACUUGCCUUUGAUUGAGUUUGCAUACAAUAACAGUUAUCAUUCAAGUAUUUGGAUGGCUUCAUUCAAAGCUCUCUAUGGUAGGAGGUGUAGAUCUCCAAACGGUUGGUUUGAAGUUAGCAAGGCCUCAGUCAUAGGGCCUGACUUGGUAUUUGAUGCCUUAGAGAAAGUCCAGUUGAUCAGAGAAAGACUCUGAGUUGCUUAGAGCCGACAAAAGUCUUACGUAGAUGUUCGUAGAAAAGAACUCAAUUUUGAGAUUGGUGACUAUGUCUAUCUAAAUAUAUCUCCCAUUAAGGGAGUAAAGAGAUUCGGCAAGAAGGGAAAGCUCAGUCCCUGUUAUGUCGGUCCCUUCAACAUUCUUAGUCGAUUCGGCAAGGUAGAUUAUUAGCUCAAAUUACCUUCAGAUCUAGCCUCAGUUCAUCUAAUUUUCCAUGUCUCUUUGCUCAAGAAGUGCAUAGGUGACCCAACAGUUGUAGUCCCUAUUCAGAGCAUAGAUGUUUAGAAUAGCCUCUCUUAUGAAGAGUUUCCAGUCAAAAUCCUAGACCAUCAGACUCUUAGAUUGAGGAACAAAGAAGUCCCUCUAGUCAAAGUUUUUUGGAGAAAUCAGUUUGUUGAGGGAGCUACUUUGGAAGCAGAAGAAACCAUGCAUACCAAGUAUCCUCACCUCUUCUCUGCCAACUCAGAUCAAGCUCAAGGUAAUAGUUCUCCUUAAGCUUACUCAGUUUAAUGUUCAGUGUUCAUCACAAACUUGAUAUCAAGUACCAUUACAUAUUCAGUCAUGCUUUCAUGUAUCAGUUCAAUUAUAUAAUUAUGCAUCAGACAUGCAUUCUCAUUGUAAGAAAACUUAGUUUAUUAAAACACUCAGUUAUGCAUUCAUGAAUUAGCUAUACAUGUAACAGCUAUAUAUGUUUAGUAUAUUAUGUUCAGUUUAUCAGUCAUGUCAGUUAAGAGAUCAUGUUUCAGUUAUUCAUGUUUAGUAUGUACGUCAGUUUAAGUUCUUCCCCUCACUGUCAAUGUCAUUCGAGGACGAAUGUUCUCAAGGGGGAGCUAUUGUAAUACCCAUAUUUUUUUCCUAGUUUGAAAUCAUCUCAAGGAUGUUAGAAUGUGCUUUAAAAUACAAAUCCAUUUUUGUACACAUGGUAUUUUUUAGAUUUUCACUUUCUGUCAUGUGGAAAAUUGAAUAAGCUUUCCAUCAAUACCAAUUUCACCAAAAUUCGGUGUCAGAUGAGGAAGUUAUGGCCGAAAUAAAGAAGGCAGAAAAACCACCUAGGUUCGACGGUGCAGGCCGACGGACCAUCGGACUAGCAAUGGAACUUCGACCAUGACCAUCGCAUCGAGACAGUGAUUCAAUUUUCUAGAUGAGUACGACGGCGAGGUCCGACGGACCGUCAACCUAGUAACGGAUCAUCCCCUACCGUCGCAUCGAGGCAGUGAAUCAAUUUUUUGUCUAAGUAUGAUGGAGAGGUCCAAUGGGCCAUCGACCUAGCGACUGAUCAUCGCACCCCACCGUCGCUCCAUGGCAGUAAGUCCCAGUUCUGGUCCUAGUUCGAUGGACGAUCAACCCAGUACGGACCGUCACACCCUGCCGUCGUACUUUUUGUUCAGUUAUUAUAAGUCAUUUUAACAGAAGUAUUUUGGUCAUUUACCACCCACUUAUAUAUGCCCAGUUAUAUCCAACCUCAGUUUAUUUUUUGAUUAUUAUUUCAACAACAACAAAACUAGGGUUUUUCUCUCUAAGAUUAAUCCCUAGAAUCAAAUUUAAAUCUUCUCCAAGAACUCAGAGAUCCAAAUUCCUCAAGUUCAAGAACAUCAAGAAACUCAAACCAGGUGUGCAUAGUGUUCAUUCAUGGACUCCUUUCGUCCAUGAAGCCCAAAAGCCCUUUUUCUAAGUUCAAGUUUAUGGAUUUUCCUUUAUGAAUUUCAUGUUGGGCUGCUAUUGUUCAUGUUGAUAAAUGACCAAUUGAAUCUUUAUCCAUAUUUGGUGAUAGAUAUUUCAUGUAGAAUUGAUUAGUAUAUGUGUAGGUCCAUGUAAACCUAUAAUUAAACCCCUGAAUGAUGAAAUUAUAAUUGAACCAUAAUAUUUAAUUGUUGUAAAAUAUUGUUUACACAUACUAUGUCUACCAUGUGUUUGAUUUAAUGCCCAGAUGAAGGAAAAUGCCCAAUUAGCAUGAUAUCAUGAAAUCCCCAUGUAUGUAAAACUUUAUGCAUAUCCCAUGUUUUAUGAAAUGCUUCAAUAUAUAAAUUAUAGAUUAUGGUGUUAGUCAUGUGUUCAAGUAAGACAUACUUUGUCAGUUUCUUUCUAUCGAGUCCUAGGGGUACUUGUACCCACAAUAUUAGCUGUGUGCCUAGAGCUAUGUCAUAUUUUCAUGAUACUCUCAGUCAAUCUAUGAUCCUUAGACUUCAGACAGUCUUAUGACUCAAGAAAUAUUCACGACUCAUGAACUCAGUUAGUUGUCAGAUAUUAGUAGUAUUCUGUCCGUUAACAGAAUUCAGUAACUCAGUCCAUGUUCAGUUCAGUAAAUCAUGUUCAGUGUCCAUUCAGAUGGGAGUAUGAAUUAGCAUCGAGUGAACCCAAGGAUGAAAACUCACCCGUUAUAUGAGGGUGUGAUUCUUAGAAGCAAUCCUUGCAUUCCAAAACUAUGAAGCCAACAUAGGUUGAGACAUCAUAGCCUGAUAUAUGAGGGUAGAUGAGGUGGAUUAACUUGUUAUAUGAGGGUUCCCACCUUUCUCACUAGAGUUACCUGUUAUAUGAGGGUUACUCAUAUGCUGUUCUUACCAGUGACACGAUAUUGACACCCUUCCAAUCAGGGUACAGAUUGGAACCCAGUUCAGUAAUUAUAGUGCAUAUGGGGCAUGUCGGUUAGAUAACUACUCACUAAACUCAGCUAGUUCCAUCAGAAUUAAGACUGUCAGAUACAGUCACUUAUGUUAUCAGUUAUAUCAGUAUCAGUAUGUCAUGUUAUCAGUAUUUAGAUUUAGUAAUCAUGUUAUCACGGUAUUAGUGUCAGUUAUGAUAGUUAGUUGUUUUUAUUAUUGUUCAUGCACAUGAACCCCAUGCAUUUAGCCUACCUCACAAGCAUACCAGUAUAUUUAAAGUACUAACGCAUUCAUGCUAUGGUGUCUUAUACCAUAGGUUCAGAGAUACGAGCACCAGAGUAUCAGUAGAUUCCAGAUAUCAGCAGUCAGAGUUAGUAGUGAGUCCUCAUCCUUUGAGGAUAUGAUUAUUUCUCUAUUAUCCCAUUGAUUAGUUUAUUAGUUGGAGUUAGUUGGGGACAUGUCCCAUCAACUCCUCAUUCAGACAGUUCAGUCAGUUAGAGGCUCUCCAGUUUAUUAUGAUCAGUUAGUUUAUUCCAAUCAUUUUGGGUAUUUCAUACCCCAUUCAUAUAUUAUGAUUUAUCAGAUCUUAUGCUACAGUUUUGAACCUUAUGGCCUUUCAGUUCAUGUUUCUAUAUUAUUUAGUAUUUCAUGCAGUAUACAUAUACAAAUAUCAGCCAUGGGUUAGCUUGUGGUCCUUCGGGGUCAUGAACACCGCGUAGCAUUUCGGGUACCAGAUUUGGGGCAUUAUAAUAUUGCACAUGUUGAACCUUAAAAAUCAAGAUUUUCUGGUGGAGCAUAUGUUAUUUUAGUGCUCACGCUUGUUGUAACAGAAAAUUACGGUGACAAUUUUUCUAUGGUACGCAUGUUGAUUUUAAGCAUACAUAUUGAUAUGAAAAAUCUUUUGAAGGACUAACAAUGAAAUAGCCUUGAUUUGGAGUCAAUGCUGGCUAUUUCUGGUAGCACUACCACAUCAUUUGGUUUAUGUCUACAAAACUUCAGUGUUAGUAAUCGUGGACUGGUCUUGUGUCGUUGAUUGAAGCAAGUACUGUCGCAGUUCAACAGUUAUGUUUUGCUUGACUGAACUAUGUUGGAGAUGGCAUUCCACCACUGAAUACUUAUGGCCACUGUCUAUUCAGCCCGAGAGUCAUUUUCAUAAAAAUAAGUUUUCCAAAACUUUUCUUUAAAAGUUAACGUUGUCCAAGUGGGAGAAUGUUAUUAUUUAUUUUAUAAGGACUUAACAUGAACUUUUUAUUUAUGUUAAAGUAAAAUGGAUUGAUGUUAUUCAUUGUUGGACAAGACACAGGCCGUGUAUUCAUGCGGCUUCCAUAUAGGCCUGUAUCCAUUUCAUGUUAUUGAUGUAGGCUGGAAAUAGUGUAGGCUUGUAGUAGACCUAUGAGCCCAUAAUGGGGGGUGCACUAGGUUAAGGAUUUUAAUCCUAUAAAUAUAAGGCUACGUCCCCUCUCCUAGCUUUAACAUAAGAUGUAUUCCCAUAAUCUACUAGUCAUCAUAAGCAAAGGAGAGGAAGACUCAACCUUGUUCGUCUUCAGUUAUGUGAUACAAUGGCGGACAAAGGUACGCACCUUUCCUCUCGCAUAUUCCUCUACUUUAUAGGUGUCCUUGGUUUUAUGUGAAUUUGUGGUGUGUUUCUAUUUUAAUAUAACAAUCUAUACAUAAUUUCUGCAUCUAGUUCUUGAUUACCCUGUGUAUGUUGUAUGUAGUAAGUCUGCUACAACUACAUUCUUCUAUAUGUCUAUUACAGCAUUCCAUGCCUUAGGGUCAUGAGCUGCUAAAUUUGAAAUUUUUCCUUCCACCUUCUUGUAAUCUAAUGGGUUCUUCUAUUGACAUUCUUUUUCCUCUAGUUUUUAUGUCUUGUUCUAUUUGUUAUUUAGGGUUUACUCUAAAUACAAUAUCUUGGUAAAUUACCUUUUGUUACAUUUACUCUUUCCAUACCGGCUGUUCUCUAGAAAGGGCUUGCGGUACUCAUCGCACUCUCCAUAAAUUCUUUUAUACUUUCUAUCUCAUCUAUACUAUAAAUCAUUUUUGAAUCUUCUUCUUUUCAUUUGUUUUUAUGUGUAUAACCAUAAUUAUUGGUUCUUAGCUCACACUUUACAAAAUAUUUUUUAGCUUUGAUGAGGUUAAGAUUUCCCAUUUUACAGCCUAUACAUUUGAACGUUUUUUCAUUAUUUAUUUUGCAUAGGGCCUCUGCUUUCAUUAUAGCUUUAUUUACCUCAAAAUCUUCUUCUAAUAUGUCUAUAUUUCUAAAAUUAGUACUUUCACAUUCUUCAACUUCUUCAUCGGUUUCCUUUUCAUUCGUGUAUUGGUAGUCUGUAAUCUUACUGAAGUUUCUUCUUUAUUAUUUGUAUACAUUAAAUGAUUUGUUGUCUUUAGUGUUUCAUUCUUAGUAAAUUUUUCCAAGUUCCAUUAUAACCCUGCACAGUCUUAUGAAUUCAUCUUUAGGGGCUUCAUUAAUCAAAUACCUUUAUUUUCCAUUAAACUUACUACAUCAUCUAUCUUUAGGCUAAAUUUUGCACUACUAUUAGUGGCAAGUUUUCCUAUAAAUCCUACACAUAUUAAUAAAUUAUUCUCAUUAUUCAUUUCUUCAAAUCCAUUAGUCUAAAUACCUUAUCUUUAUAUUUUUCCAAAUUUUAAAGAAUUUAUCAUAUAGUCUGGAUUGCAAAAAAUAAAUUCCUCCAUUUGUUGGCAUGUCUACUUCCUUUAUUCCUAUGAUAGAUCUUUUAGAGUAUGACCAUAUAUUAUCAUAUAUUGUAACAAAUAUUUUAGCUCCUAGAUUUUUCCUAGUUAGUCCUUUUAGACCUACUACUAUGAGUCUCAUAUGCAUGAGGCUCAUGUUGGAUUUUGCAAGUUGUUUUAAAGAUUCUGAACUUAUUAGGUUUAUACUGGCGCUAGCUUUUCCAAUAAUGCACAUUUGUUCUUCCCUAUAAUGUUUAUAUAAUUGUGCUAUUGAAAAUAUUCCUUCAUUAUAUAGAGUCUCAGUGCUUAAUAAUUUUAGUUUGUUCUGUUGAAAAAGUUGUAUAUCUUUAUCCACAUCUACUAUCUCUUCUAGCUGUUGUCUUGAAUCAUUUUUGAUCUAUUUAUGAUUCUGGAUAACAUGUUGGUUUUUAAUUUCUUGGAUAAAGCUUGAUCUUGGUCUGUUUGUAGAUGUUGGAAAAAGGUCCAUGCUUUGGCAAAUCAAAAUGUACGAAGAUAGUAUAGAAUGGACAACUUUCACAUGUCUCUGUUAUUUGUCCACCCUUACAUCUGGUCUAAGUUUGAAAAUCAGGUUGGAUGGCUCAUAACUGAUGAGAUUGUGAGGCCCGAAAAUCAUCCUUUCUAACUUUGGAUGUUCCGACAUUGUAAGUAGUCUGUAAUGAGUGUUGCUCAUUAGCUUCUUUAAGUAGUCUUGACAAGAUGAGGCUUUAUGUAUAUAUAUAUAUAUAUAUAUAUAUAUAUAUUCCAACAACAUGUAUGUAUACGCAUUAAAAAGGUGUGAAACAUCACGUUGGGAUAAUUUCAUUUGACGAAUGACAAUGGCGUUAUACUAUUAUAUCAUACCACUACUUAACUUAUCAUAAUUGUUUAAAAUUUCAAUCCUUUUAAAUGAUUACAUAAAUUUCUAAUUUUACCUAAAAGCUCGAGUACAUCACAGGAGAAUGUGAUGUAUUCAGGUAAAAUUAAGUGAUGCACGGAAGAAUAUGAUGUAUAAGUGUAAAAUUAUGUGAUGAAUCCAGAAAAUGUGAUAUAUCCAAAAUAAUGCAACUCAACCAUAAAUAAAAUAUGAAGAUAAGAAUAUUUUAAACUGGUCGAGACUGAAAAAAGAAAAACAGCUUGUUGAGGGUGAUGAACUAUUGCACUGUAUAAAUAUUGUAUUACAAUGUAUAUGAGUAUAUACACAUCUCCUACAUAUAAUUAUACAUCAUAUAUGCAUACUUCUACAAUAUUUAUAUGAUAUAAAUACAAUUUUGAUGCAUUUACGUAAGAAGCAUAAAAAAUAUAAUAGUGCGUCACAUAUUAUUUGGAAAAACUCAAAGAGAAGGAUAACUCACUCUUUCAAAAGAUAUAUAUAGGUGAUCUGCGGUGAUCUGCACCUAAACAUUAAUCAUGAGUUUAUAGUUAAAAAAAACUCAUGAUUUAUAUGGUAAAGUACUUUCUUUAAUUUUCAUUUUAUAUGUCCUUACUUAUCUAGACAAAUAAAAAUAUAAUAUGCCAUUCCUAUAAGAAAAUGUCAUUAAAAAUAUGUCACAUGCAAAACUUUUUUCAAAAAUUCAAAAUAAUAAAAAAUCUAGAAUGCAGGGUAGUUUGUAUAAUCAUGUUUGAGAGACCAUCUCAAGAGAUCUUGAUGUUUGUUGAAUUCUCUUUUGUCGGAAAAUUAAGCACAAAGAAACUUUAAUUAUACCAACAAAGAGGACAAAAUUGCUAUUUACAGGUCAUGGGCAGUGGCGGCAAAACCAAAAAUUUCGUUAAUAAUGUAAUAUAAAUAUGUAUGAACAAUAACUUUUAGUUUAUAUAAUUCAUAUAAAUCUUAAUAUAUAUAAUACCUAAUCUACAUGUGGCUGCGCUACUAGUUAUGGGUUCAACUAUCAAGUAGGACACUUAAAUAAUUUUAAGUUCCUUUAAUGAUAUUCCGGCUUUUUGCUAACACCCAAAUAUAUCUUGAUUCGGUCAAUCUCUUGUGAAUACACAAAUUCAAUGAUUUUCUAUAUUUUAUAUAUUUCAUUUUUCUUUAUUAUUCACUUUUUUCCGACAUAUUUCCGUUAAUACAGAAGGAGUUUUGCCGUGUUUUUUGUGUAUGUUGUGGCCAUCCAUGUAUAGUUUCUAUAGAAUCAAGCUUCUCGUGAUUUUGAAGCUCCUAUGUCAAGAUGAGGACAUUUUGGUGAAAUUAUGCAAAUGUAAUACAGGCAAGAUUGUAUGCCAACUUCAAAAAUUGAUUUCGGUCAAUUAGGAUGAAUUUUUGCCUUAAUUUUUGGAUAUGCUGUAGCUUUCAAAGUUUGGUUUUGACAAAAUUAAGCUGCUCAUCAUUUGGACGCUCCUACAACAAGACAGGAAUAUUUUGAUAAUAUUAUGGAAAUAUGUUAGAAAAUAGGUCAGGUCAAAUAGGUCAGGUCAUAGAUCGACUUCAAAAAUAAAUUUUUGUUAAUCCAGAAGGUGCUUUGACUUGAUAUUUAGAUAUGCUGGUCUUUUGAGUCUUAUGCCUACAGAGUCAAUUCGCUCAUAGUUUACAUGCUCCUACACCAAGACAGGAAUGUUUUAGUGAAACUGCACAAAUCUGAAAAAAAAAAAAAAAAAAAAACAGGGUCAGCUACACAGUCAUACAUGUUUAUAAAGAAAAAUCAUCAAAAUUAAAAAUUUGGCGCAGCCACAUCCUUUACCCAUUCCCAGUAGCCACACGUGUAGCAGACGUUGCUAAAUCUACAAGAUGGAACACUCCAAUUGCUAAGACAUCCCUUAGUGUGAGAAGAUUCGGUAGGCGCAAUUUCCUAAUGAAUUGCGGAUUUCAGCAGAGGAACAUUCAUAUUAAUGACCUUGCCCAAGAAAUUUCAAAUGACGGCUUUGGUUUCUAUUUUCAACCAUUGCCCAAGAAAUUUCAAAUGACGGCUUUGGUUUCUAUUUCUCAACCAUUCUUCAUGAUGAAGAAAUUUGGAAAACAGCCCUUUUGUCAAGCGAGAAGACACUGAUCCUUGGAGGCUGAAUCUCCAUUGUAAGGAUUUUGGCAUUCGGAUUUCGUUGGUCACUCACUGUAUCUAGAUCGAUAAGGAUGCGGUGUAUUGUGGUCUCAAAGGUGUAAGCCUCUAAUUUUGACCCUCCCAAGAUCAAAUUUUACCAUUUACCCCGUUUUAUCACACACCCUUACACACCCUUAAUCAUUUGAUAAGUUCUACACAAGAAAAUAACAAAUUCAAAACCAUUAUUUGACACCUAAUCCUAAUAAAUUUCACCAAUUCCAAACCACCCCAACCCCCUACCCCACAUACCCCUACCUAUCCCAUGUACCCCUAGACCCACCCGCUUGACACCUUUUUUCCCACUCAACAAUCCACACUCAUAUUUUACAUCUCACAAUUAACACACACACUAUAACACAUAUAGGAAAAGACUACACUCUCACAAUACAUACACAUUCAUCUUGCCAUUAACGCACACAUACCUCUCUCAUAAUUCACACACAGUAAUAAUUAACACACUCAUCCAUUCCAAAACACCAUCACAUAUACAUACACACACCAUCACCGAGAAAAAGACCCCCACCUUGAUACGUACACACACAAACUGGGUAGACAGAGAAUAGAAAUUGAGAGAGGGGAGAAAUAGGGAGCAAAUAGGAUAAACCAGUAAAAAGAGUUGAAAUGUAGAGGGAUAUAAAGAGAAGGUGAAAUAGAGAGAGAAAAGCAGACAAAAGCUGAAUUUUUCGGUGAGUUCUUCUCUGAAAAAUGCUGCUGUCGCACAAAUUCGAGCUAUGGUUCUCUGUUUCUUUGCUAUUGCUGAGCUUGCUGGAGUUUUGGUGAAGUGGAAUCAGUGAACCCAACUUCUGUUUUGACCCAAAUCACAUCACGUAUCUACACCAUCCCCUUUUUUGACAAAAUUUGCCAGCAAACGACGUCACUAGCUCCAUUUUCCCAAAACCCUACCCGAAACCGUGCUAGCAUUUGGCAAAAAUAGAAAAAUGAAAACUGGGAUUGGCCAUUGUUGAAGUUCGACUCGAGGUUUCGAACGCGAGUUUUGCCAUAUUUAAUUGUAGUAAUACAUCGAUUUUGAAAGCUUCUUCUAAGGUCCAACUCUUCAACUCCUUCUCUUUAUUUUAUUUAAUUCGAUAGGUUGAUGAUAUGAUUUUGUGGUGUGUUUGAAUAUGCUUUGAGCUUUCAUAAUUUUCUUGGUUUGAUUGGUUGAUUUUAUAUAAGAGUUGUUUAAUCAUGGGGUCGAGAAUGAAGAGGGCGAAAAUUGAAAAUUGAUAAAGAUGAAUGUAGACACAUAAUUUUGUCCCUCCCCAAAAUCAUUUUUACUUAUUUACCACCUUACCAUAAACCCUUUUUAGUUGAUAAUUUUUCUAUAAAAUGACAAAAAAUAGCAACCAACACUCAACAAAUUGAUAACAAAUUUUAUCUUAUCCCCUACCCUACCCCACUACCCCUACCUCCAUCUCACCACUCCUAUCCCUAGCACGUCACCACCCCAACACGUUUUUUAUAUUUCCACUCACACCUCCAUCUCACCACGCCUAUCCCUACCACGUCACCACCCCAACACGUUUUUUAUAUCUCCACUCACAGAAAUACACUAAAAAAAGAUUCCCACAUUCAUCACACACAAAAGAGAAGCGGGACCCACAAGGAUUAUUCCAUCAUACUACUCUAUCACUAUAUACACAAUUCACACACCCACCUUAGAGGAUAUUGAUUCACGCACACCAUCAGGAGAAAAGGACACACAACCUCCAUUUCUUUCCAUCAACAACAUACACAUUGCCACCAUCUUCUCCACUGGAAACAUACACCCAAGGCCAUUACACACAAACUUUCUCCAAUUUUUCUUAUACAGACAGAGCCACACUGAGGUUCACACCAUCGAAAAACACAACACACACCCACAAAAAGGGGAAGAUAAAAAUAGAGAGGUAAUUAAAUAAUAGAUCAAGAUAAAUCUAAAUUUAGAGAGUUAGAUAUGGAGAGAGGGAGAUGGAGAGAAUCAAAAGAGAAAAGGCGAGAGAGAUAGGAAUGCAGAGGGAGACGAAAAAUCCCACCGUUGUUACUGUUCAGGUGAAUUUUUGUCAGAGAAUGACCUGCCACUCCUGAUUUCUAACCAAACUGACCCCCAUACAUUUGAUUCGGGCGAUAUUCCGUCGAUAAUCAUUUGUGAACCAUUGUUCGUCUUUCAUGUCUUUGGAAAACCUACAAAACCCAGUUACCAGAUUGUUAAGCCGGUGUGGGUCUGUCUUUCUCGUGAAAUUAUUAGUUUGUGUAGGUGAUGAAUAGUAAAGGAUAUAUCGAGCUCAUUUGUUCGUGAUUGAGGUUCAAAUUGGGGUUUUUUUUGGACGGAUUCCAUCUUUGAUAUAUCAAUAAUUGAGGUCCAAUUCUAUUCUUUUUCAUCUUUUUAUUUUAUUGUUUAUUACAUUUGAUGUGUUGGAUUGAAUAUAGUGUGUUGUUUGACCCUUAUUAGUGGUGAAUAGUUGCUUGAUGUUGAUUUAUUGUUGGUUCCAUUGGUUAUGUAUUGUGUGAUAAAAAGAUAUCUCGUUUAAGAUUUUAAAUCGAGAUUUUAAAUUGGUAAUUCAAGAAUAAAAGAGGGGUAGGAAUUGAAAAUUAACAAAGGUGAAUAUUGAUUAGUUUGAUUCAUUGAUGGUUAUCCGAUUUGAAAUAAACACUGAUUAUGUUGUUGAACCCGAUAGUGACAUGUUUUAGGCUGAAAUCGAUAAGCAAAUUUUAGGUUUUGGGGUAGGUAACUCAUAGGACUCUAUAUCAUUGAAUGUGUGAAUGUCUGUGUUGAAUGAUUUCUUGAUUUUUAUUAUAUUUCAUCAAAUGUAUUCAUUCGUCAGGGAAUGCCCUGAUGUAUCAUGUACGCAAAAGAGGUUCGUGAUGAAGGCUCGAAGCACUAGGUAAAAGCAUUGGAGCUUAGUCUAGGACUAGUUUAAAAUUGGAUUUAAAUUUUGAUAUUUUUAUUUUUGGGACUGUAUAACUCGGACUGGACAUUAUUUUGGUUUUGAACUUUGAUUGAUUUGUUUGUUGCUUGUUUUAUGUGGCUUAUACAUUCAUAGUAUAAAAUUAACCGAUAUAAUUCACGAAGUAACCAUUAUCGAACCACGAGAUCGAGGGUUGCCUAACACCUUUUCCUCGGUCAAUAGAAUUCCUUAACCGAAAUCUCUGUUCGUGGAUCAAUUUAAAAGAGUCAAAAAUAUUUUGAAAAGAAUUUCCAAAGGUGAUUUAGCACACCUGACUUAUGCCAAGUGACGACUCUGAGUUUUGAAUGAUAAAAGUCCUUUUCGAAACAAAUUUUAAUUUUGUCACCUAAUAAUAAAAAACCUUUCAAUCUUAAAAUGAAUUCAUUUUGGUUGAAAAAAGGGUGUGACAAUGAAUGUUGGUUAUUUUAAUUUGUUGAUGAUUAUUUAAUUUGGAAUAAGUAUUGAUGUUGUUAAACACAAUAGUAUCAUGAUGUCGUUGAAUGCAACUAACCCAGGGAAGUAACUUAGUUUCGGGGCCAUUAACUCAACUAAUUGGUGGAAAGUUUGGAUGAAAAGAUCGGAUAGCUUAAUCAAAAUUCAUGUCAUAAUCAUUAGAGUUGACUAUUAUUUUCAGAUGAGUUUUCUUUUCUCUUUUUCAAAUGCGGACAUUCAUUUUUUCCUCUUUAUUUUUAUUUUCUUUUCUUGAGUCAGUUAUCCAAAUAAAAAUUUAUUAUCAUCUUUCUCUUGUUUUUGAGUCAAGUCCAUGUCAAAACAAAUGAGAAAGGAUUUCAAAACUAGCUAUCAGCUUCUUUAAUUGCACAAAGCAAGAUAAAAAACCAACACAUAAAAAAGAUAUGAUUAUGAGCUGAAAUAAGUCAUACAGAAAGUUUUGUCGAUAGGCAAGUCUGGGAACCCCUGAAAAUACCAAGGUUCAAGAGGUGUAUCUGAGAAAUAUGGAAAAGCAGAGAUAACCGCAUUUAUUUCAGAGUCACUCUUAAUAAUCUGAAUUCGGAUUAAUGAUGCAGCAAGUCAAUGGCAUAUGCUAAUGGUUGGUAGCAAGAUUAAAUGUGAUGGGGGCAAGAGCGAUUCUCGCAAAAGCUAAAGCCAUAACCCAGCCACCGUGUUUUUAAACUUAUAGGCUUUCUUUGUAUGAAACAGGAACACAUGCUACCUUCAAAUCAAGGAUUUCAAAUCCUAAACAAUCAAAGGCCAUAAUUUCUCACUUUUACAAAUACAAGAAGCAAUGUUGCUGCAUAGGUUUGUUAAUCAAAACCACAGUAAACUCAUAAUUCAAUAUCUUUAGGAGACGCAUCUCCUUGUAUGGGUAAUUUAAGUGACAUUUGUAAGGAUAUGCAUUUCCUUGAAAAAUUCAAGUGGAAUUUGUAAUGAGACGCACUUUCUUGUUUGGGUAAUUCAAGCGACAUUUGUAAGCAAAUGCACUUCCUUGUUUGGGUAAUUCAAGCAACAUUUAUAAGGAUACACACUUCCUUGUUUAGGUAUUCAAGUAGCAUAUGUAAGGAGACAUAUUUCCUUGUUCGGGUAAUUCAAGCAACAUUUCUAAGAAGAUGUAUUUUCUUGGGUAAUUCAAGUAGCAUUUGCAAGGAGACGCAUUUCCUUGUUUGAGUAAUUCAAGUGACAUAUGUAAGGAUACACAUUUCCUUGUUCAGGUAACUCAAGAGACAUUUGUAAGGAAACACAUUUCCUUAGGUAAUUCAAGUGGCAUUUGUAAGGAGACGCACUUCCAUGUUUGGGUAAUUCAAGCGGCAUUUGUAAAAGACGCACUUCUUUAUUUUGGUAAUUCAAGCGGCAUUUAUAAGGAGACACUUCCUUAUUUGGGUAAUUCAAGAGACAUUUGUAAAGAGACACUUUCUUAUUUGGGUAAUUCAAGCGACAUUUGUAAGGAGAUGUACUUCCUUGUCUGGGUAAUUCAAUCGGCAUUCGUAAGGAGAUGCACUUCCUUGUCUGGGUAAUUCAAGUAGUAUUCGUAAGGAGAUACACUUCCUUGUUUGGUUAAUUCAAGCAGCACUUAUAAGGAUACAUACUUCAUUGUUUGGGUAAUUCAAGCGGCAUUUGUAACGAGACGCACUUCCUUGUUUGAGUAAUUCAAGCGGCAUUUGUAAGGAGAUGCACUUCUUUAUUUGGGUAAUUCACGACAUUGAUAAGGAGACACACUUCCUUGUUUUGGUGAUUCAAGCAGCAUUGGUAAGGAGAUGCACUUCCUUGAAGGGAUGAUUCUAAUUUUACUUGUUAGGUGAUGUACUUCAUAACUUAAGUUUUGACUACUAGACAAUGUACUUCCUAGUCGAGUCAUUCUACUUGAUUCCUAAGAAGAUGUACCUUCUAGUCGAGUCAUUCCUUUGAUUCCUAAGAAGAUGUAUAUCCAAGUCGAGUCAUUCCUCUUGACUCCUAAGAAGAUGUACCUCCUAUUCAAGUCAUUCCUUUGAUUCCUAAGAAGAUGUACCUUCUACUUGAGUCAUUUCUUUAAUUCCUAAGAAGAUGUACUUCCUAGUCGAGUCAUUCCCCUAAAUUCCUAGAAGAUGUACUUCUUGGUCGAGUGAGUCCCCUUGAUUCCUAAAAGAUGUACAUUCUGAUCGAAUUAUUGCACUUAACCCUUAGGAGACACACUUCCUUGUCAAUUUUUAUUUGUCAGGUAACACACUUCCUAAUUUGAACUUUAUCUCUAGAAGACGUACUUUCUAGCCGGAAUUGCUCACUUUAAUUCUUACGAGACGCACUUUCUAGUCUUGGUCAUUUAAUUUUAAUAUCAAGAGAUGCAUUUCUUGGUCAGAGUCUUGAUUCAUCCUUGCAACAUACAAGUAAUUAUGAUUGGAUUUGACAUUCACAAAAGUCCUCUGAUGUUAAACUGGGGAAAAAAUUUAAUUAAUUUUGUUUGGAACUUCACUUUUCUAGCGAAUGAAAUCUCUCUAUGUAAUAACAUUUGUUUGGGAUAAUUUUCUUUCUAAUUUUGAUGUGAUUUCAGGAGUCCGCUCAAAGAAUAGAGUGAAUAAAUGGAAAGUCAAGCAACAAAGUGAAGAAGUUGAAAGUCAAGCAACAAGGUGAAGAAAUUGAAAGUAAACAUAUUGAAAAAUAGCAAGUCAGGAGCCUGCCUGGAGAAUAGGGUGAAAAAAUUAAAAGCCAAGCAACAUUGAAGAAAUUGUAAGCCAGGAGCCCGCGCUGAAAAAAUUAAAAGCAAAUCAACAAGUUAAAGAAAUUGCAAGGCAGGAGCCCGCCUGGAGAAUAGGGUGAAGAAAUUACAAGUCAGGAGACCACCUGAAGAGAAUAGGGUGAUGAAAUAGUAAAUCAAGAGUCAAGGGAAGUUGAAUAGAUAAGACUUUUGUAAUUUCAUUUAUGUUUUAACUUGUAAUAUUUAUUUUUGAUGCAAUGACAGAACUACGGACCGGAACCUCGAUGGACCUCACUUGACUCCCCAACUCGAUAUAGUCUCUUUCCUUCCAACCCUUUGAGAUACCUGCGACUUGACUCUCACACAACUUGGGAUAGGUAGGAUGCACAAAAUCAAGACUCGGUUGCCCUCCUUCCUUCUGUUUCUUUCUUCUGAAUAACAGUCAGGACAAAAUUACAUCCGUUGUCUAAUUUAUUUCUCUGAAAACUCUGUGUUUAUACCCAAAAAAGGGCAUGAUUUGGACACGUAAUUAUGUCUUUUCUUUACCUAAAAUCAUUUUUACUCAUUUACCACCUUACCAUAAAUCCCUUUUGGUUGAUAAUUUUUCCAUAAAAUGAAAAAAUUAGCAACCAACUCUCAACAAAUUGAUAACAAAUUUUAUCUCAUCCUCUACCCUACCCCACUACCCCUACCCUCACCUUACCACCCCUACCCCUACCAUGUCACCACCCCAACACGUUUUUUAUAUUUUAACUCACUAAAAUACACUAAAAAAAGAUUCCUACAUUCAUCACACUCAAAAUAGAAGUGGGACCCACAGGAAUUAUUCUGUCACUAUAUACAUAAUUCACAUACUUACCUUAGAGGAUAUUGAUUCAUGCAUAUCAUAUGGAGAAAAAGACACACAAACUCCAUUUUUUUGUUCAUUUUUUUCCAUCAACAGCAUACAUAUAACCUCCAUCUUCUCCAUUAGAAACCUACACCUAAGGCUAUUACACACAAACUUUCUCUAUUGUUUAUACACACACAUAUAACCACACCAAGGCACACACCACUGGAAAACACAACAUACCCAUAGAAAAAAGGGAUGGGAAUAACAGAGAGGGAAAUUAAAUUAAUAGGUCGAGAUAAACUUGAAUUUAGAGAGAUAGAGAUGGAGAAAGGGAGAUAGAGAGAAUCAAAAGAUUAAGGCGAGAGAGAUCAUAACACAGAGAGAGACAAAAAACCCCACCGCUGUUACUAUUCCGGCAAAUUUUGCUGGAGAAUGACCUGCCACUCCUAAUUUUUUACCAAAAUGAUCCCCAUACACGUGAUUUCGGUAAUGUUCCAUCGAUAAUCAUCCGUGAACCAUAGUCCGUCUUCCAUCUUUUUGGAAAACCCACAAAACCCAGUGACCAGAUUGUUAAGUCGGUGAGAGUCUAUCUUUCUUGUGAAAUUAUUGGUUCGUGUAGCUGAUGAAUAGUAAAGGAUAUAUCGAGGUAGCUUAAUUCGUGAUUGAGGUUCAAAUCUGGAUUUUUCAAACGCGAUUCUAUCUUUUAUAUAUCAAAAUUGAUAAUUGAGGUCCAAUUCUAUUCUUUUUCAUCUUUUUAUUUCAUUGUUUAUUAUAUUUAGUGUGUUGGAUUGAAUAUCGUGUGUUGUUUGAUCCUUGUUGGUGGUGAAUAGUUUCUUGGUGUUAAUUUAUUAUUGGUUCCAUUGGUUAUGUAUUGUGCGAUAAAAUGAUAUCUCAUUUGAGAUUUAAAAUUGGUACUUCGAGAAUAAAAGAGUAAUGGGAAUUGAAAAUUAAUAAACGUGAAUAUUGAUUAGUUUGAUUCAUUGACAGUUAUACGACUUGAAAUGAACACUGAUUAUGCAGUUGAACCCGAUAGUAUCAUAUUUUAGGCUGAAAUUGAUAGGUAAAUUUAAGGUUUCGGGGUAAAAAAUUCAUAGGAUUCAAUAUCAUUGAAUGUGUGAAUGUCUGUGUUGAAUGAUUUCUUCAUUAUUAUUAAAUUUCAUCAAAUGUAUUCAUUCACCGGGAAAUGUCCCGAGGUCAUAUUAUACUUAUUUCCUAGAGAAUACCUCGACGUAUCAUAUACGCAAAGGAGGUUCAUGAUGAAGUCUCAAAGCAUAUGGUAAAGCAUUGGAGCUUACUCUAGGAUUAGAAUAGAAUUUACAUUUUCGUAAUUUUUUAUUUUUGGACUGUAUAACUCAGAUUGGACUUUAUUUUGGUUUUGAACUUUGUUUGAUUUGUUUGUUUUACGUGGUUUAUACAUUCAUAGUGUAAAAUUAGUCUAUUUUAUGUGGUUUAUUCAUUUCAUAGUGUUGUACUAGUUGAUACACUCUAUAUAGCGAUCGUGAUUGAGCUACGGGAUCGAGGGGUGCCUAACACCUUUCCCUCUGUCAACAGAAUUUCUUAACCGGAAUCUAUAGAUCAGUUUUUGAAGAGUCAAAUUGAUUUGAAAAGGAUGUUCAAAGGUGAAUUGGCAUACCAAACCCAUGCCAAGUGGCGACUUUGAGUUCAACUGAAAAGGAAUCCUUUUUGAAAUAAAUUCUAUCUUUUAUCACUUAAUAAUAAAAAUCCUUUCGAACUUAAAAUAGAAUUUGUUUUGCGGAAAUUUUGACUUUUGAGAGUCGCCACUUAAUUUUGAAAAGGAAUUAAGAAACCUUUAUAAAAGUUACUUCAAACAAUUCAAAACAGAAAAAUCAUUUUAAAUUAGAGAUUCUAGAUAAGCGGUUCCUAUUAACAUUUUAGGAAAGUGUUGGGCACCUAAAACGUCCACUAACUUGCGGUUAUCCGGACUGUUUGAAAAUUAUCUUUGACUAACUUUGGAAAAAAGUUGAUUUUUGCAAAGAAAAGUAAUUUUAGUGAUAUUUUAGUGUUUAUGCAAUACCAGUUUUUAGGCGACUUAGUUACGGAUUUUAACUAAGUUCGCAAAGAAACAUGUAAAUAAGUAAACGAAAGGAAAAGGGGAGAAAAGCGGGGAAGUAGUGAUUUAGGCUUUCAAGCCCAAACCAUCGGCCCUGUCCUAAUCUAGUUGGGUUUUUAACCCAUUUCACCUGUCUUAGUCUAGUUUUCGAGCCUUUGGCUCGAGUCUCGCUCCACCUGCAUUAAAUUUACAACUUUGGCUUCGAGGCCCAAAUGAAAUAAAGGAACAAAUAAAUAAAAGACGACAAAAUGAAUAAACAAAUAAAAGAAAAGAAACGUUUUAAUACCUUGGCCACUUCAAAGAUGGGAUUUUAAUCCAUUAUUCCUCUUUCGACUUCUCGUAUCCAUAUGCCACGUGCUCAACUUUGGGCAUUCAUCCGGGCUUGACUCGGAAGGAUAGGCCUCAUUAGCCCAUUUAUGAAAUGCAAAGAGAGAAGCCCAUUUGGGCUCCAAGGGAGGUGCAUGCAAAGAAAAGAUACAUGAAUUAAUACGCGUUCAUAAAAAUGAAUUACUUUUAUAACAAAAAAAAUUCAGAAAGUUCAAAGCUGUUAAAAAAAAUCACUAUUUCGAUACAUAAAAGGAAACUUAGCUACUAGAUUAGUGAUAUAUGCGACAUGACAUAGAGAUCAAAGAGAACACACCAUAUUAUGCUGGACUUUGGCAUAAAAGUAUGCAUAUGCAUGAAAGAAUUCUAGUAAAAGUUCACUUUUCCUAAUCGCAUGUGAUGACCAUUAGAUGAAACCAUAGGACGUAAUGUUGGUUUUUUUUGUUGUAGUAGAGGGAUGCUAUAAUAUUUGUUAAAGGACCGUACAUUAAUAGUAAAUCACAAUCCAUUCCUUCUGACAAAAUGAUAGGUUCCGGUGCUUACUUAUGAGAAGGAAUACACAGAAACUAAGAAAAUUGUAUCAGUUGGCUAUCAAACCAUUCAACUGGAAUACAAAAUUGAAGAGUUGAAGAUAAUUCCCAAAAAUAGAUACUUAAAUUUAUGCUCCAGAUGAACCAAGAUAAAUUUGUUUCACCUCUUUUCUUGUACGUAUGUUGUACAGUGUAUACAGGACAAUCUAAUCAACAAAAGCAAAGAGGGUUUCACUUAAAUCAAGAACACUAUUAAUUUCCAACACUAAAAUCGAAAUGCAGUCAUGCACUUCAAAUAAACCAACCUAUACCACACUAUAUGAUACUCUCAAGUUAGUAGAGAUGAAGAGAAAAUGAUUUGCUAGUUGUUUCAGGGAUUGCGUGAAUAAACAUAGCCUUCCCCCCCAUCCUAGUCAAGAGACAGAGUGAACACGAAAAUAAGCGAGGUGGACGUAUAAACAUAAAUUUCAUCCAAUCAGCAGAUAUUCAAAGAAACCAAAAACUGUGACACUCCGUUCAUGUAAAGAAAACAAAAUUAGACUAUUUUCUUUAAAAAGACUUACUCCAAAUUCGCAACUAGCGCAUCCAUCUCCCUAUCCCGACCACAUAUUGGCAACGAGUUCAAGAGAAAAAAUAAAGCCAAAAGGGAUAGAUGGGCACAAAUAUCAACCUCAUCCUCUUUUGACAAAAUCAAAAUGAGUUUUAACAGUCAAAACGAUCAUCGAGGAAUCAUGGGAUUCACUACUUUUAUCAGACAUAUCCUCGUGUUCUUUGUCAUAAGAGAAGCCAAAGACUCAAGAGGAAGUCCGAUUAAUGACACUACUAGUUCAACAACAUCAACUAAUGACGACAAACAUGAUGAAGUCAAAUACGCACAAAACACCCUUGGUUCGAACUAUUGAAUAAGAUCAAAGCAAAAAUACCAAGGCACCAUUGAACUGAAACUAACCAAACACCAAACUUUAACAUAGGAAUCAACUAUAACAAUAUACCUUCAGCCCAAAAAUCGUCAAAACAUGCAACUUUACGGUAAAGUCAGCUACAACCGAAUACCACCAAUCCGAAAAUGAAAAUGAUCAAACCAUGAAAUUUGACAUAAAGUCAUCUAAAACCACAUAUUAUCAACCUGAAGACUAUUAAUUCACGACACUUAAACGAGGUCAGCUGCACAAACCUUAAGUUGUUACACAAACAUGAGAGUAUUCGAUCAAAAAUCAAUCAAUAAUAUUUUUUUUUCGUUAAGCCAACAACCUACAGUCUUCAAAACUUCUAACAAUAGGCAACCUAACAAGCAAUAUCGUUAUAAAACUUAUAACUACAGAAGAUUGAGAUGAAGCAGAAAUGAACGAAAUUCGAUGGAACGGGGAGUUACCUAUUUCGUGGCAGCAAACACGACUCGAAAUUUUGUCAAGAUUGCAACUACCACCACUUAGAAUUUUUCCCAAAGAAUUUCUAAUUCCAGAAGAGAAAGAAAAGAAUCAAGAAGAUCCCCUAAAUAGUGACUAAAAUUCUUCUCUCCUUAGAUUUCUACACCCUAGAAGUUUUGAACCCUCCUCCUUCAAGCCCUGAAAUUUUCUCCCUUUCCAGCUUUUAGGAGAACUCCUCACAGAGAACCUAGGAGGAAAAGAAAAGGAAAAAUUCCCCAAUUUAAAACCCUAGAACAAAAACUCUCAAAACCAAAAGAAAAAUUCUCGACCUAAUUUCUUCAAACAAUUUUCAAACCCUAACUUUUCUAACCCUCCUCCAGCCUUCAAUUUUUCCAACCCCCUAAACUGUGACCCCAAGGGUCUUUAUAUAGAAGAUGAAUUGGGGGGUAAAUUGGGGGUUUUUGAAGGAGAUUUUGAAAUUCAAAAUUUCCAUUCCCCUUUUAUUUUGGUUUGGUUUUCAUCUGCAAAAAUGGUACUCCAUUUUGAAUUUUUCUUCUCAAAUCAAAAUGGGUGGACCAAUAACAAAUUGGGAAAAUCAAAAUGUACCCCAAACCAAUGAAAAUCUACCAGAUAGGUACGAAUUCGUACCAUGGUACCUGAGAUUUGCAGAAUUGAUUCGUUGGAGAAGCCAACUCACCAAUUUUUGGAAGCUUCUAGGCUUUCACAAAUGAGUUUGCGUGGGACGCAUGGUGAGGGCUAAGGAUGGCAGGUUACGGGUUGGUUCGGGAUGGGUUGAUAAAGUUGUGAUGUGGGAUUUUUUCUUCUGCUUGUACACGUCCACUGCUGUUUUUGGUUUUCCCUUGGUUUGAAGAAAAGGAAAUAAGGGAUAAGAGAAUUGGGAUGGACCUGGUCGCGGGUGGUAUGUAUUGGGCUGUUGAGAGGGUUAGGUGGGUUUUAAUGGGUUGGAGUGCAUGUUGGGCCUCAGGAAAUUAGGGGUUAAUUUAAAAUAACCCUCAAUUAAAUUAGGAUAUGGAUAGAUUAGGCUAUUUAUUUAAUAGACAAAAAGAAAGAGACUUUAGGCCAUUUCAUUUAAAAUUUAGCCUAAUUAAACUCAAUCGACAAAUUGCAUUGAAAUUAUGGACGAAUUGAUUUCAAUUAAGGUUCAAAUUUAAAUAGAUUGACUAAAUUCAAUUGAUAUUAGAUGCAAAUUAAUCCCUUGUUAAAUCUUGAGCUUCUUGGUUUAAUAAAACCAAACAAGUAAUUCUCCAAAUAAAUUAUUUGUAAUAAUAAAUUAUAUUUAAAUCAAGAUUUAAUUAUUUAAAUUUAUUUUUCAAAUAAUCCUUAAUUCAAAGUUCAAUUUUGAUGAAAAUGUUCAUUUAAAUGACAUCAUUUAUACAAUCUCGUAAAUGCAAAUACGAAAAUAUAUAAUUAUCAUUUAAAUGACAAAUUUAGACCAAAUACCUAUUUUAAAAUGCAUUUAUUUGGAAAAAAUAAUUGUUGUGAUUUUAUUUGAAAAUCGAAGAAACUCAAAAUUAAAUUGGAUUAUGGAGGGCAAAAAUUAGGUGUCAACAACUGCCCUCUUCUUUUGGGUAAGAUGGAUGUGAGUAAUCCUGGGCAAAGGGAGGUUGACGUUUCUAAUUUUUGUCCGACCACAAAUUUGAAUCUGGAGGAGGUUGGUUUUCGCACGAGUUUCAUAGUUAUGGCCGAACCUUGGUAUCAGGUUUCCUACAUAUCUCAGGUUACAUGAGAAUUCAGGUCACUUGUAGUUCAUAAAGCUUGAUUUAAAGCAUGAUUUUCAAGAAAAUUCACCAACAAUCACGGUUUCAGAGUUUUUAGUUAAACCGAGAGGCUGGAGAAUAGAGGGAUUUUGGGGGGAGGUUGGAAUGCAGUCGACUUUUCUACAUAGAGUCCAGCCUACAUAUCCCCAAAACUCAAGGAAUCAAACUGCUUGUAGUUCGACUCGAUCGGUAGAAAAAAUAGUCUUCUAUUUCAGAUGAUCUUUGGCUCGAUAUGAGUAACAAGUUGAUCGAGUUGCGGAAAAGAGUCUUGUAACCUCUUAACCAUGAAUGUGGGAUCCUUCACACCCAUAGGAAAGAACUUAACUGGACAUAAUUUCCAAAACUCUAAGUGUAUUGCCACCCGAAUUUGAAAGGAAGAGAAGGUUACCCUCGGCAGGAGUUUAGAAAUAUUCCAAAGGUGAAGCUAAAACCAGAAUAUCCUGAAAUACCCACAUGCCUUCUAACAGGGGUGUGGUUGGAUGGUGGUGGUGAUCAUCCUUUAUCUCGCGUCCAAAGAGUUUGACAUCUCUCUUUAGACUAUGUCCCAUUUUACUGCUAAGAAAGAGUUCCACAUUGUGUUGCGUCCUAUUUGAAGUCAUCCUCACCUGUGGUUUUGAUUUAAGAUUUUCAUCCUCUCAGAUUCUCUCGUUAAUGCUUCAAGCAAAAAGUAUUAGUGCUAAACAUAAUUCACGAAAGAGGUAUAUAGUCUUUUACUAUAUCUCUACGUGAGUUGUCGCCUGAGAAGCAGAUUUAUCUCUUUGUGUACCUAUUUGGAAUGAAAUAACUAGAAAUAACAAACACAACAACCCUCUUAGUUGUUGUAUAAUUAUGACAUUUAUUGAUUGAAUAUGUCUUCAAAGUGGGGUGGCCCUUUUGGACACCGGUGAUACUUUAUGCAGAACGGUCCCUACAACUGUGUAAUCUUGUGCUGGUGCGAAAAACCUUUUGGUUACCUAUAUCACUUGUUGUAUGUGGAAUGAUAACCUCUCUGGUUAUAGCAUAUGAUCAAUUUAUAAAUUUUCCUUAAAUUUUCAAUCUUUGGAUAAUCUUACGCAUUAUUUGAUGUUGGAUACGAGGCGACUUAUAGAUAUCCUUUGAAUUCCUAGCUUUUAGGUAAUCCUACACAUUAUCCGACUUUGGAUAAGAGAUGGCUUACAAAUAUUCCUCCAAUCUCUAGCUUUCAGGUGUUUCUGCACAUCAUCCGACCUUGGAUACAAUAUGACUUAUAAAUAAUCCCUCAAAUUGUUAGUCUUUGGGUAAUCCUGCACAUAAUCGAUCUUGGAUAUAACACGGAUUAUAGAGAACCCUCAGACGUAUCAAUUUGAUAAUCUUACAUAUUCUUCGAUAAGGAUUUAGUUGCGACUUAUGGAUAACCUUCGAACUAUCAACUUUUGGGCGAUCUUGCACACUAUCUGGUUAGGAUGUUGUUGUGGCUUACAGAUGACCUAUAUUCUAUCAACUCAUAGGUGAUCUUGGACAUUAUCCGAUUUUAAAUAAUAUGACUUAUAGAUGAUCCUCAAAUUGUCAAUUUCUAGGAAACCUUAUAUAUCAUUUAUCCUUAGAUAAAGACUUAAAGACAUCCCUUCAAAUCGUGUGUUCUUGAUGCAUUCAGAUGCUGAUUCAUAAAAUGAUGAGACAUCCUCGACGCCAGCGUUGUGUCUAGCGCGUCAAUAGAUAUAUUGAAUGCUGAUGAUAUCCUCGACGCCAGCGUUGUGUCUAGCAUAUCAACGGAUAUUGAAUGAUGAUGAUAUCCUUGAUACUAGCGUUGUGUCUAGCGCAUCAACAGAUAUGUAAUGGCCUGGCAAUGAUAUGCAAUGACCCUCUUGGCAAUUUAAAAUAAUUUCACCUGAGUUUGUUUGUCUGCGUCUUACUUGCUACACGUACCUGUACUCAAGGUAGACGAUUAGUAGACACAAAGUCGCUUUUGCUAGCGACCGUUUUUUAAAAAAAAUUCUAAAUACAAUAUUUAUAAAGUUGGCAAGACACUUUUGUUUGUCCUCCAUGAUAUCAAGAAAUGAGAUGGUCAAUUCAAAAGGUUUUCAAUAAAUGGGUAUUAGACCCAAUUUUUGGGCUACCCAAAAAGUACCAUUAUUACUAUAUGCUCUGUUAUGGCUCCCGACUUUCUUGGGGAUUUUUCGAAAGAAACGCUCAUUUUUGUGUAUCGAUCAUUGCAUCCACAAAAAAAUAAUUAGUUUGAGUGAGACUACUCCGUGUUGACCUCUUUCGAUCCUUGAUUUGCCCCUCGCCAUCUUUCAGGUACUUCAUUAUGUUAGGACUUCCACCUAUGACUCUCCAUCCCAAUUGAUGUCUAGGCAAAUACUAAAUAAAGAUUUGUAUAGAUUCUUGAUUGUUUCGAAAGCUUAUAUAAACUUUAAAAGAUCUCUGCCAGUCAUGUCAUGUAAUAGCUCAACGAACAUCUGCCUCUUGAUUUUGGCUAUAUUUGAUAGAGGAUUUCCAAAACUCAUCAUCAUUGUUGGAGGGUUCUUCAAAUAGUUCUGUCAUAGCCAGAAAUUAAGUCUACAUAGACUUUGUCACAAUUGGUAGCUUCAAAAGCUUGGCUUUAACCUCUGGUGCUGGGGAAUUUGAAAUAUAUUCCAGUAUUUGGUAAAAAUUUUGAGGCCUCCCUCAAAAUUUCUGCCCCGUUUAAAGUAGUCUGAGAUGAUAUCAUAUUGAGUGGAUCUGAAGCCUUUGCUGAUCUUCUUUCUCUUUGUUGGACGUUGAUCUUCUCUUGUGAAUUUUUGAGAUUUCUUCUAAAAAAUUCUACCCCAGUUUUCAUUUCCUGGGGUUAUAUGACCGAUCCAUUGGAGCGCCUACGUAUCCUGUUGAAGCAGGAAUCAGGUCAAACGCAGUUCAAGACUACGCUAGGGCUAUACAUAGAAAAAAUCUAAUGGGCUGACCGAAGCCGACAUAGGCCGCCUACGUAUCCCUUUUUGGGAAUUCAGGUCAAACGUAGUUCGUACAUAAAAGAAAAUAAUAAUUUUCCUAAGGGGUUGACCGAAGCCGACAUAGGCCGCCUAUGUAUCCCUUUUUUGGAAAUUCAGGUCAAACGUAGUUCGUACAUAAAAGGAAAUGAUAAAUUUUUCUAAGGGAUUGACCGAAGCCGACAUAGGCUGCUUAUGUAUCCUUUUUUGGGAAUUCAGGUCAAACGUAGUUCGUACAUAAACUCAUAAUAUCCCUAAAAAUACUCUUACCCAUCUUACUAGGAUAUAAAUAAGUGCUUCUAUGGAUGACAUGAUGUUUGCAUUGCAUUUGUCUUGAUAGAUCAAAGGAUCAAAUGUCCAAUGGAGUCAUCGCCUUCCUAGUUAACCACCUUGGUUUCCUCUAGAUUAGGCUUCUUUGAUUCUUGAACUCUUUGACUCUUCUGUUGACUGUUCUAGGGCUACCAUUAUUUUUUUUCUUGACAUGACAUGACAAUGACAGGUUUUAAGUUACUGUUAUACGAUGGGCGAUAAGUCAUGAGUGGAGUGGAGGUCCAAUUCAAUAAUGUUUCCUCCAAUUAAUCUUCCAUGAUUUCGAUUGUCUUGGAAAAUUCUUCCCUCGCAUUUUCCCUUAUUCCAUCCUCGAGACUAUUGCUUACAUGGUUGAAAAAUGAUUAGUAGAGUCCAGUUUUACUACUAUUUAUUUUUCUUUUCCUGUAACAAAGCUAUAGUCAAGAAGAGGACCUCUUAUUCAUUUUGAUCUGGUGAAGUAGGGUCAUUUUGUGCCAGCACAGAGUAGUUUCUAUUAUCGGCAAAGUAAAAACAACUCAAAUACUGACGUGUUAGAUUUCAUUAGUAAUAAGUAAAACAAGAUGAUAAGGUAGGAAGUAAACACAUAAAGUUGUUUCUCAUCUCAUGCGAAUUGAUCCAUGAAAUAAUAAUGACUCGGGGAUUUCAAUGAACAGGAUUUUGCUCAAUAAUAUAGAUAGGUAGAAUUUAUUAGGAAGGUUCAACUCUUCUUCUUUCUUCAAGAAAGUGGAGGAUAACAGAGCUUUUGGAGAUAUGGGUCGGGCCGAAAGACUGCCUAUGUAUCUCAUGGAGGAGAAAUCAGGCCCUACGUAGUUCAAAAAUAUAACAACUUUUUCUAAUUCUAAAGUCAACUUUCCUAAAAUGGUAGCGAUCAUUUUGGAAGUUUUAAGAAUGACUAUGGACUUUUCUGAGAAACUUAGGAGACUUGGAGUACUUUUAGUCAGACUUUUGUAUAGUGGGGUAUAUUUCUACCUAGAGAUGUUCUAUGGAAAACGGGAUUGGAUCAUUUCGCCUUUGAUUCGAAUCAACAUAACACGUAUAAGCACAUAAACAGUUAUAUUACACAAGCAUAUUGUAAUAAAUGUGCAUCCUAAUUAGGUGACCCGUUUGAGCCAAGAGUUUAGGCCUAAUGAAUUUUGAAGAAUAUAUAUGCCUUAUUAAAGCCAAUCCAUUAUCCCCAAAAACCUUCAUAGGUAUACAUAAAUAACAUAAAUGUCUACAAAAGUUACACAAAAGGGAUACAAUCUGUAGGGAGAAAAGGAAAUAAUGUUCCACGUAGGAAAUACUAAUUACUGAAUGCUUCUUCUAUCAUCCUUCUACUUCUUAGCUUCAUCCAUUUCUUAUAUUGGUGAAAUCCGUUGACGUUCAUACUGUGCCUUAGAUGCAACCUCCUAAAUCGAUCAGUUUCUUGCUUAACUUGCUUCAAUUUUUCUCACGAAAGUUAGCAAAUUGAGCUUUUUCCCGACCUCAAAAGAUAAUGGAUUGAAUUAGACAGGCAUACAUUUUUUUCAACACAUAAAUAUGAUUCAUCUAUAAUUGACUCAGGAUCAAUAGAUGCAGGAUAGGUUUUCUAAUAGGCCCAAUACCCUGCUUAAGUAUUGGGUCGUCCUAGGCUCAUGCCUAAAAUAGGGUUUUGAUUUCAUUCUAUCCUAGAUGUCCAAAGUGGGUUUGAACACUGAUUCUCAAGCGGACAACUUGAGUUUGAAAAUAUGAACAGCCAUCAGACGACUCACAUGCUAAUAAGUCGUUCGUAUUUCCAACACAUUAUUAAAAUUGAACAAUAGAGGCCGAGAAAUCCACAAAACCCCACAACAAUUUAAAUAAUACAGGAAUAUGCCAUGAGAUGCGAUAGUUAAACUUUACAGAAUCAAAACAUAUAAACACAAACAGUUAAUCAAAAGAUGAAAUCAAACAUUUGAUUAGAACCUAAUUAAAAAUCCCCAACAGUCGCCAUUUCUGUUUUGCAAAAAUUUUGACUUUUGAAAGUCACCACUUAAUUUUGAAAAGGAAUUAAGAAACCUUUAUAAAAGUUACUUCAAACGAUUCAAAAUAGGAAAAUCAUUUUAAGUUAGAGAUUCUAGAUAAGUGGUUCCUAUUAACAUUUAAGAAAGGUGUUAGGCACCUAAAACGUCCGCUAACUUGCGAUUAUCCGUACUGUUUGAAAAUCGACUUUGACUAACUUUUGAAAAAAGUUAACUUCUGCAAAGAAAAGCAAUUUUAGUGUUUAUACAAAACCAAUAUUUAGGCGACUUAGUUAGGGAUUUUAACUAAGUUCAUAAAGAAACAUGUAAAUAAGUAAACGAAAGGAAAAAGGGAGAAAAGCUGGGAAGUAGUGAUUUAGGCUUUCAAGCCCAAACCAUCGGCCCUUUCCUAAUCUAGUUGGGUUUUCAACCCAUUUCACCUGUCUUAGUCUAGUUUUCGAGCCUUUGGCUCAUACUCGCUCUACCUGCAUUAAAUUUACAACUUUGGCUUCAAGGCCCAAAUGAAAUAAAGGAAUAAAUAAAUAAACAAAUAAAUAAAAGACGAUAAAAUAAAUAAACAAAUAAAAGAAAAGAAACAUUCUAAUCACUUGGCCGCUUCAAUGGGAUUUUAAUCCAUUAUUUCUCUUUCGAAUUCUCGUAUCCAUAUGCCGCAUGCUCAACUUUAGGCUUUCAUUCGGGCUUGACUCGGAAGGAUAGGCCUCAUUGGCACAUUUAUGAAAUGCAAAGAGAGAAGAAGCCCAUUUAGGCUCCAAGAGGUGUGCAUGCAAAGAAAAGAUAUAUGAAUUAAUACGCGUUCAUAAAAAUGAAUUACUUCUAUAACACAAAAAAUUCAAAAAGUCCAAAGCUGUUAAAAAAAAUCACUACUUCGAUACAUAAAAGGAAACUUAGCUACUAGAUUAGUGAUAUAUGCGACAUACAAUUGUGUUUAAUUGGUUUUGAACUUUUAACAUAGAGAUCAAAGAGAACACGCCAUAUUAUACUGGACUUUGGCAUGAAAGUAUACAUAUGCAUGAAAGAAUUCUAGUAAAAGGUCACUUUUCCUAAUCGCAUGUGAUGACCAUUAAAUGAGACAAUAGGACGUAAUGUUGGUUUUGUUUGUUGCAGUAGAGGGAUGCUGUAACAUUUGUUAAAGGACCGUACAUUAAUAGUAAAUCGCAAUCUAUUCCUUUUGACAAAAUGAUAGGUUCCGGUGUUUACUUAUGAGAAGGAAUACACAGAAACUAAGAAAAUUUUAUCAGUUGGCUAUAAAAACAUUCAACCGAAAUACAAAAUUGAAGAGUUGAAGAUAAUUCCCAAAAAUAGAUACUUAAAUUUAUGCUACAGAUGAACCAAGAUAAGUUCGUUUCACCUCUUUUCUCGUAUGUUGUAUAGUAUACAGGACAAUCCAAUCAACAAAAGCAAAGAGGGUCUCACUUAAAUCAAGAACACUAUUAAUUUCCAACACUAAAAUCGUAAUGCAGUCAUGCGCUUCAAAUAAACCAAUUAUACCACACUAUAUGAUACUCUCAAGUUAGUAGAGAUGAAGAGAAAAUGAUGUGCAAGUUGUUUCGGGAAUUGUGUGCAUAAACAUAGCCUUCCCCUGUCCUAGUCAAGAGACAGAAUGAACAUGAAAAGAAGCGAGGUGGACGUAUAAACAUAAAUUUCAUCCAAUCAGUAGAUAUUCAAAGAAACCAAAAAUUGUGACACUCCAUUCCCAUAAAGAAAACAAAAUUGAACUAUUUUCUUUAAAGAGACUUACUCCAAAUUCGCAACUAGCGCAUCCGUCUCCCUAUCUCGACCACAUAUUGGCAACGAGUUCAAGAGACAAAAUAAAGCCAAAAAGGAGAUGGAUGGACACAAAUAUCAACCUCAUCCUCUUUUGACAAACUCAAAAUGAGUUUAAAAGUCAAAACGAUCAUCGAGGAAUUAUGGGAUUCACUACUUUUAUCAGAUAUAUCCUCGUGUUCUUUGUCAUAGAAGAAGACAAAGACUCAAGAGGAAGUACGGUUAAUGACACUACUAGUUCAACAACAUCAACUAAUGACAACAAACAAGAUGACGUCAAAUAAAACACCCUUGGUUCGAACUAUUGAAUAAGAUCAAAGCAAAAAUCCUCAAUUACAAAACCAAGGCACCGUUGAACUGAAACUAACCAAACACCGAACUUUAACAUAGGAAUCAACUAUAACAAUAUACCUUCAGCCCAAAAAUCGUCAAAACAUGCAACUUUACUGUAAAGUCAGCUACAAUCGAAUACCAUCAAUCCGAAAAUGAAAACUAUCAAAAGUUAAGACAACAACCUACAGUCUUCAAAACUUCCAACAACAGACAACCCAGCAAGCAGUAUCGCUAUAAGACUUAUAACUAGAGAAGAAUGAGAUGAAGCAGAAAUAAACAAAAUUCAAUGGAACGGGGAGUUACCUGUUUCGUGGCAGCAAACGAGACUCGAACUUUUGUCAAGAUCGCAACCACCACCACUUAGAAUUUUUUCCAAAGAAUUUCCAACUCCAGAAGAGAAAGAAAAGAAUCAAGAAGAUCCCCUAAACAGUGACAAAAAUUCUUCUCUCCUCAGAUUUCUACACCCUAGAAGUUUCGAACCCUCCUCUUUCGAGCCCUGAAAUUUUCUCCCUUUUCAUUUUUUAGGAGAACUCCUCACAGAGAACCUAGGAGGAAAAGAAAAGGAAAAAUUCCCCAAUUUAAAACCCUAGAACAAAAACUCUCAAAACCAAAAGAAAAAUUCUCGAUCUAAUUUCUUCAAACAAUUUUCAGACCCUAGGGUUUCUAAUCCUCCUCCAACCUUCAAUUUUUCUGACCCCCUAAACUGUGACCCCAAGGGUCUUUAUAUAGAAGAUGAAUUGGGGGGUAAAUUGGGGAUUUUCGAAGGAGAUUUUGAAAUUCAAAAUUUCCAUUCCCCUUUUCUUUUGGUUUGGUUUUCAUCCGCAAAAAUGGUACUCCCUUUUGGAUUUUUCUUCUCAAAUUGAAAUGGGUGGACCAAUAAUAAAUUGGGAAAAUCAAAACAUACCCCAAACCAAUGAAAAUUGACUAGAUAGGUACGAAUUCAUACCAUGGUACCCAAGAUUUGCGAAAUGGAUUCGUUGGAGAAGCCAACUCACCAAUUUUUGGAAGCUUCUAGGCUUUCACGAACGAGUUUGUGUGGGGCGCGUGGUGAAGGCUAAGGACGUGCAGGUUACGGGUCGGUACGAGAAGGGUUGAUGGAGUUGUGAUGUGAGAUUUUUGCUUCUGCUUGUACGCGUGUUUUUGGUUUUCCCUUGGUUUGAAGAAUAAGGAAAUAAGGGAUAAGGGAAUUGGGCCGGACCGGGUCGCAGGUGGUGUGUAUUGGGCUGUUGAGAGGGUUAGGUAGGUUUUAAUGGGUUGGAGUGCAUGUUGGGCCUCAGGAAAUUGGGAAUUAAUUUAAAAUAACCCUCAAUUAAAUUAGGAUAUGGAUAGGUUAGGCUAUUUAUUAAAUAGUCAAAAAGAAAGAGACUUUAGGCAAUUUCAUUUAAAAUUUAGCCUAAUUAAACUCAAUCGACCAAUUGCAUUGAAAUUAUGGACGAAUUGAUUUCAAUUAAGGUCCAAAUUUAAAUAGAUUGACUAAAUUCAAUUGAAAAUAAAUGCAAAUUAAUUCCUUGUUAAAUCUCGAGCUUCUUGGUUUAAUAAAACCAAACAAUUAUUUCUCUAAAUAAAUUAUUUGUAAGAAUAAAUUAUAUUUAAAUCAAGAUUUAAUUAUUUAAAUUUAUUUUUCAAAUAAUCCUUAAUUUAAAGUCCAAUUUUGAUGAAAAUGUUCAUUUAAAUGACAUCAUUUAUACAAUCUCGUAAAUGCAAAUACGAAAAUAUAUAAUUAUCAUUUAAAUGACAAAUUUAGCCCAAAUACCUAUUUUAAAAUGCAUUUAUUUGGAAAAAAUAAUUUUUGUGAUUUUAUUUGAAAAUCGAAGAAACUCAAAAUUAAAUUAGAUUAUGGAGGGCAAAAAUUAGGUGUCAACAGAAUCUUUUUAGUAAAAAAGGGGUGUGACAGCUCUGGCAACUCCGCUGGGGAUUUUCAGAAUCGAGCUUUAUUUUGAGUUGUAUCGGCUUAGUGUGACACUAUUGGUGUAUAGACGCCUUAUUUUUGUCAUCGUUUGUGCUAUUUUUAUCAUUGUUGAGUGCCUACGUGCUACGUGUUUAUAGUUUUUCUCUUAUGUGUUACCGUUUUAUAUAUGUCAUCAUUUGCAUAACCCAAGUCCUUUCUUUCGCAUCAAGUCCCGUAGUACAUGUUGUGUCUACUACCUCUAGUUGAAUCUUCCUUAUUUUAGCAGAGGAAGCCGUCGGCUGGUACGGAGCAGAUGAAAAACUAUUGCGACCACUAUCGACCAUAUGCUCCCUCAAACAACCUUGUUAGUAGUCCCCAGUACAGACCAGCCGUUAGGUCAUUCUUAUAUGCAUCAUAUUGAGACCUUGCGGGACAUGUUUGGUCCUUUGUAGAAGGCUCUCUCUAAGCAUUCUAACGUGCUAGUUGUUGCAUCUUUAAGGGUAACAUAAUCAUUUGAUGGACCGAUUUAGGAAAAAACAUGUGCUAGAAUUAAAGGAAAGUCUGUAGACAAGGAAAAGUUCAAAAGAAAAAAAAAAUGAGUCAAAAACGAGUUUCGUAGUUUUUAGAGUUCUUUAUGAUUUUUUAUUUUUCUAUUUUUCACAAUUCAAAAAUUCAUUAUAUUAAAAGUUUACAAUAAUAUAAUUGGAAUCUCUCAACUACAUACGUGGGCAGAUCGUGGUAGAAGGAACAGGUUUAUCCAAACCCCUUUGUUCACGAAAAUAAAGAGUAUAUAUAUAGAGUUGAUAUAUAUAUAUAUAUAUAUAUAUAUAUUAAAUAUUAAAUAUUGAAUUCUCUUGACACAAGCCAAAAACUCAUUUUUAAACCAUUUAGCUUUUGGUAUUUUUUAAAAUUUUUAAUUCCUAGACAAAUUCUACAUCCAACUGCUUACUGGCUCUUUAAUUCAAGGAAAAAGUUGGUCGCAAAAAUUUUAAGAAAGUGAAGCUUAUUUUCCUUUUCUUGCAGCUACUAAUAUAAGAUUUUAUUGUUUGUGCAACCAACUAUUGAAGACAAUAAACUAAAACAAGGAGGGUCAAGAAAUUAAAAGAAGAAACUGCAUUAGUAGGCUACAAUAUUAUCUUCAUAUCUAAAGAAAAAUAAUAAUCCUAACAUAUAUAAUUCAGAUAUUAAAGAUUAAAUAAAAAAUAUAACAAAGUACAAACUUUCUAUAAAAAAUUGUUGUCAAGGAAAUUAAAUGUCGAUUUAACUCACUAAUAAUAAGUAAUAAAUAAUAAACAACUAGAGCAUUGAAAAAAAAAACUUUUAAAUUUAAGCUAAUAUCACCUAAAUUGAAAAAGAAAAAAAUAUCACCUAAUUAAAUCAAGGAAUUAAUUCAUCAACUUCUUGUUCCAUGACCCAUGAUCAAUAACCACCUUUUAAUUUUUCUCACAUGUUUUCUUCUCUUUGAUUUUUCAAUGACGAAAAUAUCCUUGUUGUUAAUUUUCUUGAUGUACUCGGCUGGCAAAAAGUAUUCUUUCAUGGGACACUUUUCGUUUUGAACUUUUACAUUUUCACUUUGAUACCUAAAACUUUCCUUAUAUCCAAUUAUAGUAUUCUUCUUUGAUCCAUCUGUAAUUGGAUCACCACUUGUUUAGCCCCUUUAAGUCCCUUUUCCAAUUGUUCUUUGAAUUUUUUGAUUGAAUUCUUGAAUAUCUUCAAUCGCGAAAAAGGUAACGUAUUUUUUAUCUAGAAGCUUCACAUAUCUUUCAUGGUUCGGAGUCUUCAUAUAUAUCUGCCACUUUAAUAACACCCGACCCAUAAGUGGUAAAAUUCCGCGAAGCACAAAAUUUUCAGAUAAUUGAUCAACUCUUUAUCUGUUGGAUGAAAUCGAAAACCUGACAUAAUUUUAGAUUCUAAUGGCAUUCUUUAUAUGAUGAGGGUUAUAUAGUGGGGGGUUUGGGCUGUAGGUGACAAAUGAAUUUUAAAAUGAUAUGGAGAUCUUCAAACAAGAACUUGUACUACAGAGUUUUUAACUUCGACAAAAUACCCCGUCCACAUGCUUAUGGCAACGCUUUGAGCUCAAUACAAUCGUAAAUAUGGAGCUGAAGUUUACGAGCACUCCUCUCAAUAUUAUUCGGUGAAAAAAAUAUGAAAUGACAUAUAGUGGGCAUAUUACUUCGGUGCCUCCGAAAGAAUCUUGGGUUGUUCCUGUAGAGCUUAUGGGGAGAUUAAUACCUCCUCCAUAUAUUGACCCAAGCACUAUCAAACCCGGAAGAAAGCCAUAUAAGAGGAGGCGUUGAGUCGGAGAAUCAUUUUCAAUAAGAAGAAACAAGUUCUCCGUAUGUAAGAGCGCUGGCCACAAAAGAACUACAUGCCCGAAUAGUAAUCCAGCAUGAUCAUUGUAAUUGCAGAAAAUUGUAUAGUUGUUUGUUAUGGGGUUUUAUAUAUUUAACUCAUUAUUGUGAACGUAAUGUUAUCAUUUAUUAUAUAUAAAAUAUCUUUUUAAUAACUUGUGCAUCAAUAAAUAGAGGCAAAACAUGAACUAUUAAACAAUACAGCAGACCACAUGUAUUUUCAACAGAUUACUCAUCUGUGGCAACAAAUGGACAUUAGCUGGAAGAACACAACACAGUUCCAUAAAAUUGGAAUGUUUUCCUCCAACAGAUGAUAAAUUUGUCGCAACGGAUGGAUAAUCUAUUGACAGAAACCCAACCGAUGACCAAUUUGUAUCAAUACAUGGUCCAUCUGUUGAAAGAACUCAAAAGCCAAAAUUGCUAUUGCUACUGGAUUUAAAAUUGCUCCUUACCUCCAACCAUCAAUAUGUUAACAUGUAAAAUGUUUAGAAGAAGAAAUAGACAGAAUGAAAAUUAAAUAAGAAUUAAAAAUCCAAAGUCGACUAAACAUAAUUUUUUUAUUAAACGAAAAAUAAAAUACAUUAGGUGUAGAUCUAAUAUACAAAAAUUAAAAUACAUACUCUAAAAGAAAAACACAUUCUAAUUAUUAUUAUCAUCAUCAUUAUCAUCAUUAAUGACAGCCGGCCAAUCAACUCGCAGCAGCAGGGUCCUCAUCAGCCUCUGUAACCUAUCUUUAAAGUUUCCACACUGUCGCACAGAAUAGCAAUGACAAAUGUAAAGAAAAGAGUCCAAAUAUAAUUCAACGUCUACUACAAACUAGUAGAUUUACACAAAAAAAAACUUACCUCAAUGAUAAAGGAAUAUGCUCUUUGAAGAAAAGUUGUUGAAGAUGUCAUACGAAAAGAAAUGCAAGAAAUAAAUAAAGUUUAGCAGAAUGAAGAUUAAGGAGGGACCUAUUUAUAGAGGAUUGAAUCUAGAUGUUUAAGGACAAAAAGAACGUCUGUUAAGAUUCAUUGUAUUAAUUACAUUCGAACUGGUGACAUUUUGUUUUUUUGUGACAAGUCAUGAAUUUUUUGUUUACAUUAAUACUUCUCACCUCUUCAAAAUGGUUUUGAGAAGACUUGAUAACAACCGUUAUUAUUGAGCUGUUGUAACAGAUCGUCCAUCUGCCAUAAUAGAUUUACCAUUUGUUGCAACAUAUAGAUUAUCUAUUAUGACAGAUGAACCAUCUGUUAGGGAUGUUUUGAUUUCUUCUAACACUAAUUCAUCAAUUACAACAGAUGGAUAAUUUGAUUCAUCAGUUAUUUUGAAUGUGUUAGAUAAAAAGUCACGACUCCACCUCUCUUUUAAUAGUCAUCACAUGCGUUCAGAUGAAUAAAUAAUGUCUGGUCUGUCGCAACAGAUUUAUAAUUAAUUGCAACAUAUGGAUUAUCUGUUGUGACAGAUGGACCAUAUAUUGGAGGAGAUGUUUUGAUUUCUUCCAACAGUUGGUUCUUCAGUUGCAACAGAUAGAGAUUUUAAUUCAUUAGCUAUUUUGAAUAUGUUAAGAUAAAAAAUUCACGACUCUUCACACCUCUUUUUUAAUAGUCAUCACGUAUGUGUAGAUGAAUAAACAACACUGUAGUGUCUUUGAAGGGGUAGGAAGAAUAAGGUGUGUGCAAUGGAUCCACUUUCAUGCGUGUGAGUUAUGUAUUAUUGAUCAUUCUACCGUGAUAGACAUACAUAAAGUCCAAUGAUUUUGUGAAUGCAAUUUUUUACCGAUUAGACAUUGAUCCUUCAAACAAGAUCCUACAUUGUAUACUUUAGUUUGAUAUGUGUGAACUGAUAAGGAUGAAGGGUUCUAAGACAGUGGUAUUGAUACCCUAUUAUGAUUUAAUUUCUGUCUAUGCUCAUGUUUUUAUGUCAAGAUUUGGGAAGGGUUCAAGUUUUUGGCGACAGUGUAAAUAUCUAAUAGUGAUUGGACCAGUUUUAAUGGCGCAAUAGACUUCUUGAAAGCCCUCUGAAGCCUCAAACUGCAGCAAAUAAUGAUGUAACCAAUAAAAAUUCCCCUAUUCCAAAUUUAUAUGGAUGAAUUACUGGAGGAGACUUUUAUACAGUAGAAGGUGCUUGGGAGAAUACCUUUGCGGGAAGGGGAAGGUGGAGAAGGCCAUAUAUCAUCUUAUACCUUGUUUAAGAGGAAACACAGGGAGCAAUCAAGUAAAUUCUAGUGAAUCUGGCCAAUGAAAUUGACAUGAGAAACGAAAAAACUGGAUGAGCUUCAAAUGUGGAAGUAUAUCCAAAUAUAAAAAUCCAUCAGUCGUUGAAAAAAAUGGUCAACAGAACUGGAGCUGGACACUUUGCUAGAGAAUUAAACUAGCGAGCGUAGCCUCAAUGAAGACUCUCACAAAGUGCAGGACCAGAACUCUAAGGAAGAAUUUUUGUGAGCACAGGAAAUUAAUAUGAUUGUCAGUUAAAAUUGAAACCUGAGCCAGCUACUCCUAAAUUAAAAAUACGAGAUCAAGCCAAGGUGGAAAUUUAUCAAGUUAAACUUGCAUGCCAUGACUUCUGUUUGUGGCUAUGAUCAGGUCAAUGGCAGUAGAAACAAAAAGGUUUGAAGUUGGGCAGAAAUUCCAUGCCUUGUUGUCUCCAUUGCCUUUGACCAGAACAGAGCCAUAAACCAGAGGCAUGGGAUGCAAGUUUAACUUGAGAAAUUUCCACCUUGGCUUGAUCCUAUAUUUUUAAUUUAGGAAUACUUGGUUCAGGUUUCAAUUCUGACUGAAAAUUAUAUCACUUUCCUAUGCUCACGAAACUUCUACCUUAGAGUUUUGGUCCUGCACUUUGUGAGGGUCUUCAUUGAGGCCACGUUCGCUAGUUGUAGUCUCUAGCAAAGUCAGCUAUAGUUCUCUUUUCCAUUCUUCUUUUACUUCAACGACUGAUGGAUUUUUAUUUUAGGAUACACUUUCACAUUCACAGCUCAUCCAGUUUUUUUAAUUUUUUAUGUCAAUUUUAUCAUCCAAUUUCACUAUACUUUCCUUUUUACCUUGUGUUUCCUCUUAAACAAGGUCUGAGAUAUUAUAUGGCCUUCUCAACCUCUCCCUCCCCCUCCCCACAUAGGUAUUCUCCCAAGUACCUACUACUAUAUAAUAUUAUAACGCCUCAAUUUUCUAUAAUUGGAACACCACAUAGUGCUUAUGACCCUGAGGGACCACAAGCUAACCUUUUCUGAUAUCUGUAACUGAGCACUGCAUAAUAUACUAAAAUUAAAUGCGGAAAACUGGCGGAAACUUGUCAUAAGUUUCAACAUAUCUAAAAUACUAAAUAGAAAACUAAAUACUGAUAUAUCUGUCUAAAAAGCCUCUAAAUGUCUGAACUGUAGAGCUGAUGGGAAAUAUCCCCAAUUAACUCCGUCUUCUGAAAAUAAAUUAAAUCUAAUUCAAUAAUAAAAUAAGGAUCAUCCUCAAAUGAAGAGGACUAAUUAUUACGUCUACUGCUGCUGACUGAGUCUGGGCUGAUAAGGGUGCUCUGGAUCUUGUGCCUCUGAACCUAUGGUGUAAAGUAAGACAUCAUAGUGCAAAUGCGUUGGUACAUGGGAAUGUACUGAGUAUGCAAGAUGAGGUAAGGCUAAAUGCAAGGGCUUAUGCAUAAAUAAUUACUUAACUGAAUAAUCAUGAGAGUACUAAAUGAGGACGUAUGCAUGAAUGCACAAACCAUAACUGAAAUCAUUGUGAAUCUAAAUACUGAGACUCGAAUACUGUUUUACUGAUAUCUGAACUCACUACUAAUUCUGAGGUACUGAAUAAUUAAAUAUUCUGUUAUUGAUAACUGGGUACUUAAGUUGAGAUUAGUUCUAUCUAGCGAGUGAUCUCUAAAUCUAAUGAUAUUGAAGCUGAUUAAUUGAAUCUACUCAUAUCAAUAAUUGAAUUUUGAGCUUGCUACUAUCGACUAACUAAAUCUGAGAUCAAACCUCUCUAACGGAUGAUCUCUGAAUCUAUUACCAAUAUAAGGAAUGAUUAUAUUUGAGAUCAGACCAAUCUAGCGGAAGAUCUCUGAAUUUGAUAAUGAGAAUAAUUAACUGAAUCUGAGAUUAGUCCUAUCUAUUGGGUGAUCUCUGGAUCUAUUAGUACUGAUAUUGAUUAAAUUUAUGUGAGACCAGACCUAUAUAGUGAGUGGUCCGUGAAUUUAUGGAACUAACUAAGUUCCUUACUGAGAUGAGUGACUGUAUCUAACAAUCUUGAUUUCUGAGUUCUACUCUAAAGACUGAUACUGAAACUGCAACUAUGGGAGUUCUCACUUAAUCGAUAUGCCCUAAAUCUAAACUGGUGGGGUUCAAUCUAUAACCCCAGCUAAAAGGGUGUCAAUACUGUGCCACAGGUAUAGACCUCUGCUAUGGUCAAGCCUCUCUAAUGGGUGACCCUGAAUGGGAAGUCAAGCUUAAGGCAGUACGAUAGUCAAGCCUUAAUCUAACGGGUGGCUCCUAGUCCUGCGCUAGCUUCGCAGUUCUUUAGUUCAGGGACUGUUACUAACAACUCUACCUCUUUAACGGGGAAGUCAUCAUCCCUGCCCUCGCUCGAUGCUAGUUAUUACUCCCAUUUGAAAGACUCUGAACUGAUUCUUACUGAACUUAGACUGAGAUGAAUUUCUUACUGAUCAUACUGAGUAACUGAGUUGAGCUGAGUUCACUUGGUUUCGUUAUCUGAUGGAAUACUACAGAAUCUCGUUAUCUAACUGAAUAAUACUGAAACUCUGAAUUGAUUACUUGAAAGCUACUUAGAUCUGAACUGAAUACUUGAAUGCUAAUAGAUCUGAGCUGAGUACUGAACUGAGGAUAGAAUGCUAACGAUACUGAGAUUACUGAGAUUUCUUAAGUCCCAUAACUGUCUGGGAGUACUGAGUUCUGUAACUCACUGAGUUCUAAGAAUCGUGGCUUGACUGAGAUAAUCGUGAAAACUGACACUGGCUCUAGACUUGCAGCUAAAUUAUUGGGUAUGAAUACCCCCAGGACUCGAUAUCAUAAAACUAAAUAUAACCAUUUUUGAAUAAUCAUGACCAUGAACUUUCAUUCACCAUUACAAUCAUUAAGCAUCUUUUCAAUCACUUGGAAAUCAUAAACAUGUGGUAGUAUAGGGAGCUAUGCUAUUGGCUCAUACUCCAUUCAAAAAGGUCUUGCAACAAACACUUAACAUGCAUUGAAGGGCACAUAGUUGGGGAAUUUCAUGCUAACAUGUCACAAUUCAUUCACUAAAGUUUUUCAACAAAAACUUGGCAUGCAUGAACUUACACACAAUUGGGAAUUUCUAGUCAACAUACUAUAAUGGCUCUAAUUCCUUCACAUAAACAUUUUAUAAAACAUAUGGGGAGCAUGCUUUGGUUAUUCAAAAAUUUAUACACUUAAUUGACAUAAACACAUCACUUAUCAUGCAACUUGAAGAGGGUUUAUCAUGAACAUCACAUGAAUAUUACCUAUUAGAAUCAAAUCUUGAAACUUUGUAAACAAAACAUGAAUUAAAACUCACAAAGAACAUGAACUUCAAUUUCAAUUCACAUGAAUCAUGAAAACUCAUAAAUUUAAGAUCUUAGAAUUUAGAAAAGGAUCCUUGAACUUCUUGGGUGGAAGGAACUCAAGAAUCAACAUCUUCAUAUCUUACUACUUGAUCCUCGAAAGAUUAAUGGUGAAACCUUGAUGAUUGGGGGUCUUGAUUUUGGAACCUUACCUCUUGUUCUUAAGGGAAAUUGAGAGAAAACAAUAAUAUUUGGGUUUAAUGUGGCUGAAUCUCAUGUUAAAGAGUAUAUAUAGGGAUAAAAAAAUGACCGUUUUGCCCUUGGAAUUAAAAUUCAGAAUCUAAAAAUCCCAAUUUUCCAUGCUGGUGCAACGCGGUGAAAUCGCGCCUGCUCACUGGAAACUGGACAAUUAGGAAACUGCUUGAUGGGGCGAUGCAGUGGAAAUCGCAUUGCCACCUUGGUUGCGAACUGGAAAGACACCGCGGUGCGGUGGAAUAACGGAGUCUUACUGGAUUUUGACAAUUGUCAUUUUGGCUGGCUCCGUGACGUGAUAAAGUACCAGGUGGUACACUGUCUCACUAAAAUGGCUCUAAUUCUUUGCCCGAGUGUCGAAUUUGGGCAAAUUUGGUAUCGAUGGAAAGCUUAUUUAAUUCUCUACAUGACAAAAAGUCAAUAUUGGGAAAAUUCUACACGGUUUAAAAUACUUCUUACUUGGGAAGUUAGCCCUUACUCCCCUUAAGGAUAAAACUUGACUUAAAGAAAAUUUAGGGUAUUAUAAAUAGUCUCCUUCAGUAACCCAUCCAUAUAAAUUUUGACCAGGGGAAUUUCUAUUGGUUCCAUUGGUGGUUUUUGCAGUGUGAGGCUUCAAAGGCCUUUCAACAAGUCCAUUGAGCCAUUAAAACUAGUCCAAUCACUAUUUGAUAUUUAUACUACCGCCAAAAACUUGAACCCUUCCCCAAAAUUGACACAAAAACAUGAGCAUGAACCAUCAUUAAAUUAUAUCAGGGUAUUGACACCACCUACUUGGUCCCUCAGCCUUACCAAUUCAAACCUAACAGUCUUAAUAGGUAAAGAACAAACAUUCACAAAAUCAUUGUACUGGAUGUGUGUUUUCACGAUAAAUUGAUCAGUAAUACAUACCUCCCACAUAUAAAGUGGUUCUAUCUGCAAGCAGCUUAUUCCUCCGAACCCAUCUUUACUCUAGCCUUUAAUGCUGGUCGGAAAAAAAUGGAUCCUGUUUCACUUCCUUUUAUCUACAAACAAAAGAAUAAGAAAAAGAACAUUACAAAAAGGUAACACAAAAUUGAGUGAAUCAACAUAUGACCAAUCUGAUGUAAUAGAUUGUCCAUCUACUCAACUGAUGAGGCAUCGGUUGUAAUAGAUAUAUGGCAUAUUGCAACAGAUGGGUCAUCUAUUAGAAUAAAUCAAACCAGCCUUGCCACUGGUUUGAUUUAUUAAAAUAGUUGCUCCGUCUGUACAAAAGGGUAACACAAAAUUGAGUGAAUCAACAGAUGACCAAUCUGAUACAACAGAUUACCCAUCUGUUCAACCGAUGAGGCAUUUUGCAAUAGAUAUUAAAACAAUGGUUUGUUCAUUCAUGACUUAAAAGUCACCUUUUCUUUAAUUUCUCAAUAAAUAGGAAACUGGCAAAUGGGUAAAUCAUCAAUAGCAAUAGAUGUAAAUAUCUAAUUUAAAUGACAUAUAAAGAAGAAAAUAAGAUGAAAAGAGCAAUAGUGAACCAUACCUGCAAUGUGAAAAAUACAAAGGGAUCAGAACAUCCAAUUCAGUCGAGAAAAGAUAUGGAUCGGUUGAGAUCCGAAAGGAUCCUCAUCCAAAAAAAUAGAGAAAAAUGAGUCAAAAAGAAAAUAAAGAGAUAAAGAAGAAAGAGUGGAUGAGUUGAGUUGAGUUGAGUCUUGAGUCUGUCUUAUGUUAUGGCUAAAGGAGAGAGUGAGUAUUCUUCUAGAUAUAGGUUUUAAAUAUUCAUUAAUAACUUUUGACUUUUGAUGGGAAUGAGGACAUAGUGACAUUAAAAAGACCAGAUAAGACUACUCACUCAGGAGAUUUUUGAGUUAUCCAAGUAAUAUUUUUUACCGCCUUAGUAUUUUAACUUUUUUUUUUUAUCUCAGAUAGGAAAUACCUAAAUUGCUUUUAAAAAAGAGGGUCUUAAAAUAUCUAAGUGCAACAGAUAAAAUUUUAAUUUGAAAAAUUUCAAAGCUCGGUCAUCCAUCGCAAUAGAUGUGUAAUAUAAUCCAUGCAUUAGUUAAUGUGUAUUGCUAGUACCUUGUUUGGUACGAGUUUUUCCCUAUGUAUAACUAAUUUAAGUAUUAGUCAUACACUCUAUUGUGUAUUGAAGUGUGUAUUAGUAAUAUACUCUAUUUCCUAUAUAUUGGUAAUACAAAGACUUUAAAUACAUGCAUUAAGUUAUUAAUUGACCUUAAUACCCUUCAAUUUCCCUCUCAAAAUAUUUUACCAUUCUUUUUCCCGCCAUUUUAAUUUGCACUAGUGAAUCUUUUCAAAAUAUUUCACAAUUUCUUUUCCCACUAUUUGAAUUUUUACAAUGAAUGGUUGAUUUAAAUAACUCUAACAUAUUUUUUCUUUGCUUCGAGAGUCUUUAAAAAUAUUUUACAAAAAUGAUACUAUUUCUUAAUUUUACGUCUUGUAUUUUAUUUUUGUUUCAACCAUGUUAAUCCGUCGACGUAAAAUUUUUGCGCAAAGACGAAUGUCUUGCAAUUAAUCCUAAACCUCUAUAUAAUAGUUCAACAAUAUUAAUUAUGUUUGAAAUAACAAAAGAACUUGUUUCAAAAAAGUGUACAAAAUCAAAGAAGGGUAUUUUUGUAAACAAAAAUUUAUUUUAUAGAAAUUAUGUAAGAUGUAUUAUUUCUUAUACAUCAAACCAAACAAUGUAUAUGAAAUAAUACAUACAUAACUAAUACAAGCAUAAAUAAUAUAAGUAUUAUUAAUGCAAGCAUUACUAAUACAGUAUAUUUUGCAUUGUUCUUAUACACUCUACCAAACGACCCCUAAUUGAUUAAUCUAGGACCAGGGGUGAGUUCUCACAUGGUCAACUACAACUUCAAUUGAGUCUUUUGGAAAUUGAAUGAUGAGACGGUAUUACGUUCCUCCCGACCAGAGUUGUCAAUCGAUCACUCUGAGUUGAACCGAUUCUUACUACCUCAUAUGUUAGAUCAAUAACUUAAUUUAUUAAUCUAAGACUAGGGGUGAGUUCUCAUGGGGUCAACUAAAACUUCAAUUGAGUCUUUUGGCAAUGAAUAGUGAUGCGAUAUUGUGUUUCUCCCGAUCAGAGUCGUCGAUCGAUCACUCUGAGCUCAACCGAUUCUUACUACCUCAUAUGUUAGACCAAUACCUUAAUUGAUUAAUCUAGGAAUAGGGGUGAGUUCUCAUAGGGUCAACUACAACUUCAAUUGAGUCUUUUGGCAAUUGAAUAAUGAGACGGUAUUGCGUUCCUCUCGACUAGAGUCGUCGAUCGAUCACUUUGAGUUGAACCGAUUCUUACUACAUCAUAUGUUAGACCAAUAACUUAAUUUAUUAAUCAGGACCAGGGGUGAGUUCUCAUGCGGUCAACUACAACUUUAAUUGAAUCUUUUGACAAUUGAAUGAUGAGACGGUAUUGUGUUCCUCCCAACCAGAGUCGUCGAUCAAUCACUCUGAGAUGAACCAAUUCUUGUGUAACUCUCCGAAUCUGGUACUUGAAGCGCUACACGGUGUUCAUGACCCCGAAGAACUACAAGAUAACCCAUGACUGAUAUCUGUACUAUAUACUACAUAAUAUACUGUAUAAAUGUAGAAAUAAAGGCUGUAAGGCCGUAAGGUUCAAAAUUGAGACAUAAUAUCUUAAAUGGGGUAUAAAUAUCCAAAACAAAAUUGUCUAAACAUACUAUAGUUGGAAAAACCUCUAAAACAUGACUGUUUCAAUAAGGAGUUGAUGGGAUAUGUCCCCAACUAACUCCAACUAAUAAAUUAAUUAAUGAGAUAAUAAAGAAAUAAUCAUGUCCUCAAAAGAUGAGGACUCACUGUACUCUCACUGCUGAGACUGGAAUGCUAUUGAUGCUCUUGAUCUUGUGCUUCUGAACCUAUGUUAUAAAAUACCAUAGCGUAAAUGCGUCAGUACAAUUGAAUGUACUGGUAUCCAUGUGAGGUAGGCUGAAUGAAAAGGGUACAUAUGCAUAAACUGAACUAACUAAUUGUAUAACAUGAAUGUGAGAAUGCAUCCAUGAAUAAGAGACUGUAACUGAAUUCGUGAUAACAUGAUUUUUGAGUCUGAGUACUGAUAAAAUAAGAUACUAAUAACUGUAUAACUGAAAUAACUGAUACUGAGUGACUGUAUCCGAUAGUCUAGGUUCUGAUGGAACUAGCUGAGUUUCGUACUGUUAUGAGUUACUAUGUCUGGCAGUCCUAAAUUCUGUAAAACUAUCUUAGUUCUAUUACUAAGACUGAAUAACUGUAUCUGACAGUCCUGAAUUUUGUAACUAAAACUGUGGGAAGUAGUCAUAUAAAUGAUAUACCCCUAAUAUGCCAUUAUGGCUGAGUUGGGGUCUAAUUUGUAAACCCAAUUGGAAGGGUGUCAAUACCGUGCCACUGGUAAGGACAAUCUAUGAGUAACCCUCAUAUAAUAGGUAACUCUAUUAAGAAUGGUAGGAACCCUAAUAUAACAGGUUAAGGCACCUCAUUUACCCUUAUAUAGCAAGCUAUGAUGUCUCAAUCUAUGCUGGCUACAAAGUUUUGGAAUGCCAGGAUUACUUCUAAGAAUCACACCCUCAUAUAACAGGUGAGUUCCCAUCCUUGGGUUCGCUCGAUGCUAAUUUCCACUCCCAUCUGAAUAGACACUGAACAUGAUUAACUGAACUGACUGGGCUGGGUUAACUGAGUUUAGUUGGCUGAUGGAAUAUUUCUGAGAUCUGAUAAUUGACUGAGAUUUACUGAGAUGUACUGAGUUUUCCUGAGUCAUGGGUCUGACUGAAUUCUACUAAACAUGGCUUGACUGAGAGUAUCUUGAAAACAUAACAUUUUCUCUAGGCAUACAACUAAAUUGUCGGGUACAAGUAUCCCCAGGACUCGAUGGAAGAAAACUGACAAAGCAUGACUUUCUUGAAUACAUGACCAACAUCAAUCACCCAUAAUAUAAUAAGUAGAGAUAUUUCAUAGGCAUUUGAUUAUCAUAUUUUGGUACGUGAAUAAGAUAGCAUGUAUACAUAGCAUAAUUUAAUAAGGCUAACUCAUGAGCAAUCCAACAACAAUUUCAAUACAUAAGAAGAACAUGGUUGUCAUUUUGAACAUAAAGUUUAAGUAUACAUUGUCAUUUGGAUCACAAUUUAGCUAUAGUGCAUCAUUCCUAUCCUUCUAGGCAUUUUAUCAAACACCUUGCAUGCACCCUUAAGGCAUAGGCAUUGGCAUAGUCAUCAAAUUGACACAUUAUAAAUAACUCAAUUUAUGGAUUUCACUCACUUGCUAAUAUAGUUUCACGAAAUCACAUAAAUAUUCCAACUUGGAAAUCAUAUAACAAGAUAAACAUGGUUACAACCAACCCACAACAUAAAUAUCAUGAUUUAUAAUUUGAAAUAGGGGUUUUGAGCUUUAUAGAUGAAAGGGAUCCAUAAAUCAAUAUUAUGCAUACCUCAAUUCUUGAUUAUAUGCAGAUUGACGGAGAGACUCUUGAAUUUGAGUAUUGAAUUUAAAUCCCCAAUUGAAAAUCCUAUCUUGUUGUUGAGAGAAACUUGAGAGAAACACUAGAUUUUGGGUGAAAAAUGGCUGAAUCAAGUGUUAUUGGUUUUAAAUAGGGGUGAUAAAUUGAACCCUUUUAACCUUGGGAUGCAUGUUUUAAAUUUUUUAAAAUUUCCUGAACUGGACCCCUGGCGCGACGCGGCAUUAUCACGUUGUGUCACUAGAAUUUGACAACUGGGAAAUUGGGGGAUGGUGUGGCGCGGAGCCAUCACGUUGCCACUUUAUUUGUGACCUAGAAUUUGGCAUGAUGUGCCACUAUCGUGGACCCCUACUGGAAUUUGACAAAGACCACUUUCUCUUGUAGCACGGCAUGCCACUACUAAUAUGGCGCUGUUUUAUGAUGGGAACUUGAAAUAGUCACAACUUCUUACCCGAUUAUCGGAUUUGGGCAAAUCUUAUAUCGAUGGAAAGCUUAUUCAAUUUUCCACAUGAAAAAAAGUAAAAAUCUUAAAAAUUCCCCAUGGAAUAAAAAUCAUUUAAUUUAUAAGAUAAUUCUUGACAUUCUUGAGACAAAAUUAGUUAGGAAACUUCGGGGUAUUACAUCUUACUACCUCAUAUGUUAGACCAUACCUUAAUUGAUUAAUAUAGGACUAGGGGUGAGUUCUCAUAGGGUCAAAUACAACUUCAAUUGAGUCUUUUGGCAUUUGAAUGAUGAGACGGUAUUGCGUUUCUCCCGACCAAAUUCGUCGAUCAAUUACUCUGAGAUGAACAGAUUCUUACUACCUCAUAUGCAAGACCAAUACCUUAAUUGAUUAAUCUAGGACCAGGGGUGAGUUCUCAUAGGGUCAAGUACAACAUAUGGCAGCCCCUAUUUGACAAUUUACAAUAGAUGGGUAAUCUGUUGUGACUUGUGAUAAUCCAUUUGAUAAUUUACAACAGAUGGAUAAUUUGUCACCAUAGAUUACUUAAUCUGUUUGAUAAUUUACUACAGAUGAGUAUCUGAUGUAACAGGUUGAAUAGUUGUUUUUAUACAAUUUCAAUUAAGUUCAUAUACCUAAUUUGAUUAAUCUAGGACCAGGGGUGGGUGAGUUCAUAGGGUCAACUACAACUUCAAUUGAGUCUUUUGGAAAUUGCAUGAUGAGAGGGUUAAAAAUUACGCAUAUCUUUUAUAAUUUUAAAAAAUAAUUAAGCUCAAUUCAUACCAAAUUAACAUUUUCAAAAUUUGUCAUUCUUUUCUAAAAUACAAAUCAACCCAUACAAAUCAUCCAUUUGUGAGACAAAUAUUUCAUCAUUUCAAAUCUCGUGUUCUCGCUCUUUUCUCCUUUUUCACUCAAUUAUACAGUACGGACAACAACUACAACAACUCAACAAAUUGCUCUACUCUUCACAACAGAUCAAUUUUCUUCUCAUUUUCGACCACAUAGGUGUUAUUUUUGACUUUAUUCUUGCUUGAAUCAAUUAUUUUCUCUGUCUUCAUAGGUAACAAAAUUCGAGAAGAGUUUUAUAUUUGUUAUUUUUUUCUAAAAAAUAAGGGCUUUUAAGUUAAUGAUGAAAAAGAAAACUUUUAGUUGUAUUAUCUUUGAAAAUGAGUUCACAAUUUUGAGUUUUGAUGGUAAAAUUAUAGGAAGAACUCAAGAAAACUCUAGUUUCUAUCGCAGUAUUCUGUUGACUAUCGUGGUAUUAUUGGAUAGUGUUUGUGGUAUUUUUAGUGGUAGUGGUAGUGGUCGUCAUCUUGGUGGCACUGGUGGUGGCUGUUGGUGGCAUUGGUUGGUGGUGUUUGUGGUGGCAUUAGUUUGGGGUGUUUAUGGUGGUUGUCGGUGGUGUCGGUAUUCAUGGUGUUUGUGGCAUUGGUUGGUGGUGUUUGUGGUGGUAGUGGCUGUAGGUGUAUAAUUAUCGGUGGUGUUUGUAAGGUAUUUUUAAAAAUUUAUGCAUACAUCAAUUGUACUAUAUUUUUUAUUUUUCUGUUGUUUGUAGGUAAAACAUGUCUCCCAAAAGAAAAGAACGUGAAACUGGAUCAACGUCUAGCCCCCCAAAAAAGGCUAUAGUACAGAGGGAUUCGGAGGAGCUUCCUGAACAAUAUCAGUCAGGAAAACAAAGUAAAGCUAAGUAGAAAUAUGAAAACAACAUUGAAAGAGGUGGACAAGGGUCUAUAGAUGGUGAUAAAGAAAAUAAAAAUAAGAAAUAGGAGGAAUUAGAGAGUGAGAAAGAGAAAGAGAAAGAGGAUGAUCAUCAAAAUGAUGAUAAUGGAUCAUCAAUGGGGCGUGAAUUAAUAUCGACAUCCUAGCAUGAUCCUGUCAAAACUUUUAGUAUUGACAAGUUUCAAGUUGCGAUGCCGAUAAAUGACAAAAAUGCAGAAUAAGAACUAAUUGGUGAUUAAAUUUAUUUGUUUUAGGAAAAUUAUGAAGGACGAAAAUAUAGACGGACUUUUUAAGAAGAGCUACUUUGGACUUUUUCUUGAACUGGCUGAGGAUGCCCCUGCCCGUUUCCUAAUGAGGAUGGCAUAUGGUCUACUCAAGCGCAUGAUCAAGUACGUGGGGAAUGAUGAAGAUCCGAAGGAGGGGGCAACAAAAAGAUGGAUGAAAUCUGGAUCAACUACUAUGGCAUGCCGAUUUGUUUUGGCUUGCAAGAGUUUGCCAUAGUGAUGGGCAUGAGAUGCCAUCGUCCAGAAGAACCACCUAUCGCCAAGGAAACACCCUACAAAAGAUCCAAGGCAAGAAAACGCAAGGGAAAAAUAGAUGGGUUGUUUGACAUUGCUCGACGUGGUUAUAAAGCAUCGGAUUUGUUGACAGAUCUCAUAGAUAAAACCAUACCAAAGCAGUUCAGGAAGAAAUUGUGCUUAGUUUGGUUUGCCCAUUUGGUUAAAUUGGCAAGAGAUGCCAAUAAGGUCAUAGAAGAUGAUUUAUUGGCGUGUGCUGAGGAUUUUGAUAAAUUCAACAAUUAUCCCUGGGGAUAUGACAGCUUCUACUUGACUGUCCAAUAUUUACUGACAAAGCUAUCCUCAGGGACGACCAUGUUAUUCGACUUUCCUUAGGCUUCCAUGGAAAAAUUAAUCACUAUUUUAACUUAUCCAUUAAGCUAUAUUGAAUAUAGUUAGUUAUUAUGACUUUUUUUUGCUUGCUUUUUGUUUAUAUUUUUUUAGGCUUGGGCAUUUGAAGUCAUUCCUUCCCUCUGAAAGCAGGUAAUGGAUUAUCCGGAUGAGGUUUCUCAUCUAAGGAUGUUUAGGUGGUUGGCUGCAAAGAGCAACACCAAAAUUAAGAAGGCUGCUCUCUUUAACCCUACAAAUAAUGCAGUACAUCUUCUUUAAGUAAAAUAAUUUUACUCAAUAAAAGAUAUUGAACAGAUGUUAUAUUUAAUGUAAUGAAUGUUAUAUAUGAUGCACCAGAUGGGACAUCUGUUGUGAUAGAUUACCCGUCCUGUGCCAACUGGUGCAACAGAUGGAUAAUCUGUUGCAACAGAAGAUUGAUAUCUUGCAUCAAAUUACCCAUCUGUUGCUUUGGUUCUCUGAACUCGACUUCUAACAGAUUAGCCAUCUACUACAAAUUAUGCAAUAGAUGUGUAAUCUAAUGUAACAUAUUAUUAAUACACAUAUAUAUCAUCUAUUGCAUAAUAUGUAGCCCAACAGAUUACCCGUCUUAUGCAACUGGUGCAAUAGAUUGGUAAUCUAUUGUGAUAGAUGAUUGAUAUUUUGCAUCAGAUUAUCCAUGUGUUUAUCUGGUUCUCUGAACCCGACUCCUAACAGGUUAACUAUCUACUGCAAAUUAUGCAACAAGUGUAUAAUCUGAUGCAACAUAUUGUUAAUUUCUUGCAGAAGUUGACUUUUAAAAUGUUAACCCAACUGUAAAAAUUAUUAUAUUAUAUGAUUUAAAUGUAUCUAUCUUUUUUUUCUAGGUUGUGCAUCCAUAGAUCGUGCCUACUGAGGAGGAAUCCUUGGUGACUUUUUAUAUUACUCUAUGUUAUGUUUAUACUAUAGCAGACCCAACGGUGGAGUUAAUAAGAAAGGAAUUGGCUGGAGCAACAACCAUAAGAAGAGUAGUUAGGCAAGGUCAGCCUAAUUUUGAGGCUCUUCAUGGCCAACCGACUAAGGCAGAUCUGGGUGCUUCUUUUGGUGGAGUUGUUGGUAUUGGUGGCAGGGAUGCUAAUGCUGCUAUCACUCAUCAUGAUGAGCAUUUUGAUGCUCAAUAAAAAAUAAAUAUGUUUAAAAGCACCCCUUUUCACCCCUACACAGGUUCCUCUCACCCCUCUUCACCCUCGUGUUCUUAUUGCGAAUGCUAAUAGUGCAAGGACAACCAAGAUAAAUUCUUUGAAAAAGUAGAGGCUAUCUUUAAAGCUGACAAGGAAUUAAAAUCUAAGAGGUGUGUCAUACCAUCUAAGAAUUUGAGGGAGUGAUACACCCCUACAUUAUUAGUUAGGAGGAAGAAAAGAGCAAUAACCGAUGUACUCUUCUGUCUGAAACAAAAAAUAAUUGCAACUCCUCCCUCUCAAAAAGUUGUUGAAGUUCAGGGGCCAUUCAAGAAGCUGUACAUAUAUGCAGAACUUGGCACCAAAGAGAAGAGGGAUCUGCGACAGGCCAAGAGUGCCAAGCCAGGCACACCAGAUUACCCUGGGCCUCUCUUCCCAACAAGACUUCCAGACUAUGACAAAUAUGCAUAUGUGUUACGAGGUUAAGACAAGUUUACUUUUCCUAACCUAGACUUCUAAUCUAAUCUAUCCCAUGAAAAAGAAGCUACGCAAUAAAUAUGAAAUCUAUUGUAACAGCUGGGUAUUCUGGUGCAACUGGUAGUGGUUCUGUUGCAACUUACUAUCCAUCUGUUACAUAAGUUAAGUUGGAUUAUUAAUUUAGAGAACCCUAUGAAACAGAUGGAUCAUUUUACAAUUACUAAUCUAUUUAAAAAUUGUCUUCUUAUAUCAUAGCAUGUUGACAAAAUUCUCUGCCUCAUGAGGAAAAGGCAAUUAACAUACUCGAAAGCUUAUGACGUUGUCCAUAGGAUAAUGGACCUCUACUUCUGCAAGAAGCUCAAGGAUAAGUACAAUCACCUCAAUAAUGCUACAUUAGACUGUGGAGUGAGAUUUGAUUUCGUAGUUUAUACGUUGGACUGAGAUGAAAAAGAAAUGAAAAAAUAUGUUUUAGGGGAGAGGCCAAACACACACGGCAAGAGCUGGACCGAGGAAAAGAGGAUUCUUGGAUUCCUCCGUUUGAACGACAUACAUUAUUGGGCUGUUGAGAUACUACUCAAGGAGGGAAAGAACAAAGUUUAUGACUGCAACGAACCUCUCAUCGAUGAUGUCGAUCCUUUUCUCCUCGUACAACCACUGAUGGAGAUGUUUCCCAUCUUGUUGAGGGAGAGUACACUGAUCAAUCAUUUGCCAAAGGAAGUAUUGAUAAAAAAUCAUAGGAUUUUGAAGGUCGACACAGGGGCAUGAACCUUCCAAAAAAUGAUGUCGGUUACGCGAGCGGCUCGCACGCUCUUGAACACAUAAAAUGUUUGCUGAUCGGCACAAAAAUGACCGAGGUAAUGACCUUUCUGUGCAACAAUGCUGCGGCAAACCUGUAAGAGGUCUGGGCUUAUGGGUACUAACUGGACGCUUGGAGCCUGUGUAUAUAGAAGAUCUAAUUUUUUAUUUUAAGUCACACUUCACUUUACUUUAAAUUACAUGUACAUGUAGUGGCAAUAAUUUUUUUCUGAUGAAUGAAAGUUGUGUUUUUUAUAAUGCAAUAGAUUGUUAAUUUAUUGUAAAAUAUAUUCUAUCUAUUUUGUCAGAUAGUUUAUCUGUUGCAAUAGGUUGGUCAUCUGUUGUAUUAUGCCAAUGUUAUUUCUAUCUAACCUAAGUCUAAUCUGUUGCAACAGCGGAAAGAACUGUUUGAUGAUUUCCAACAAAUGACCUAAAUUUUACAACAUAUGCCUAAAUCUGUUUGAUAUUUUGCAACAAUUACACGCUGGAAUAUCCAUAUGCUCGACAACACCAAACCAGUAGCAAAUACACCACUAUGAAAAUUUCAGAAAUUAGGCUUGAAAAUCCAUGUGUCCAACACCACCAAACCAGUAGCAAUAAUGACAACAAUGUAGUAUCUUCUUGCUGGAUUUUAUUUCUCUUCAGAAGCCUUGACUUUCUUCAACAAACCCAGAUUACACGAUUUGCUUGUGAAGGGUGUCAUUCUUCAUACCAAUCAAAGUAAUCGCAUCCACCCAAUUUCUAUAAAAGCAAGAACACAAUUACAAAACAAUUACAAGUCAAUUAUUAAUCAACUAAUUAAAUAAAAAAUAUUAUCUUUCAAAUCUUACAAGUAAAAAACCUAUGACCUAGAUUUUGUUGAGUCUUAAAAGUCUUCAAUAGAGCUUCAUGACCGUACUUUUAAUAUAAAAAAUCGUUAUCACAAAAAAUAGUGGAAGAUGCGCUCGACAUUGUCAAGCUCAGUUGGAAAAAAAAUGAAGAAAAGAAAGACCAAAUGCAAAUAAUUUGAAGAAUUUGGAUAGAUAAAAAAAAUGAUGACGAAGGAGAAGAUUUGGGAAUUUAGGGUUAAAUUUUAGGAAGAAGAUGAAUAUAUAAGACAUUAGGAGAAAAAAUGAUUGUUAGGGGCAAAAUCAGACGCCAAGUCAGCAAAAAGUGCCAACCUGACACAUUUGUGCCUAUUUUAUUUUAUGUGUUCAAAAUAAACAUUAUCUACUUGAUGACUAUUUUAUUUUAGGUGUUUGAACUGAACACUGUCAAUGGGUUCCAUCUUUUUUAUUUCAAUUCACUUUCACCUUUUCAUAUGUAGUGGCAAUUUUUGUAUGUCCAAUGAAAGUUGAAUUAUUAUAAUGCAACAGAUUCUCCAUCAGUUGUAACAGAUAUUCUACCUGUUCUGACAUAUAGUUUAUCUGUUCCAAUAGGUUGGUCAUCUAUUGCAUUAUAUCGGUGUUUCACGUUUCUAUAUAAGUCUAUCUGUUGCAGCAGUGCGAUGACCUAUUUGAUAAAUUUCAACAGAUUAUCUACCUGUUGCAACAUAUGUGAAAUCUAUUCGAUAUUUUACAAAAGAUAUUUCGUCUGUUGCAAUAGAUACAUUAUCAGUUGCAAUAUUUUAAUCUAGUAUUCCAUUUCAAUUAAUAAGUUCAAAUCUAAGGAAAAUUUAAAAUUCAUAGACAAAAUAAAAUAAAUCAAAACCUUAAGAAAUUAGAUGAAAUAAAAUCAAUGAAUAAAUGAAAUGUAAAAAAUUGUUAUGGGUACAGAUCUCAACAAAUACAUCAACAAUUUAAGUAUUGAUGCCAAGGAUUCCUGAGGGGUGAAGUUAUUACUUUGACAGACUCAACUCAAGCUAUAAAGAUCUACAUAAUAUGGACAAGUCGCUCUUCAUCUGGUGCUAUGAAAUUUGGUUUUUCUCAUCGUGGAUCUUUGUUGUCGCUUACUUACAGUUUCUACACUUUCUGUACUAUGUAUUUUCAUAAAAAGAGUAGAGUAGUAUAUUGUCAAUUUUGUUCAGCAGUAGCUUCUACAUCCACCUAGAAAGCCAGAAUUGGUCAAAACUAAUCACGAAGAUACAACAAAACGGAAAAGGAUAACUCAUCUAUUCUAGCAAAUUAAACAGGUAUUCCUUCUAUUUUAAGCUGUCCCAAAUAGAUUAUAUUUUUGUUGCAACAAUGAAUCAACUGUUGGGUCAAAUUUCUACAUAAGGAAGACCUAUAUGAUAAUUUUCAACGAAUGAACCAUCUGUUGUAACAUAUGACUCAUCUAUUGUAGCAAAUAGGUCAUCUAUUGGUACAAAUAAAAAUGGUACGAAGAGCUGUUUUAUUUGCUAAAAUAGAUGAGACAUAUAUCGCAAUAGGUACUUUCUCUGGUGAAACAAGUUAGUCAACUGUUGCAACAGAUGUAUAUAUCUGUUUGAUAAUUUUCAGCAUAUAUGUCAUCCGUUGAAACAGAACUGUGUCUUUUUGUUAGUUUGAAGACAUAUGUAUUCACCUUGUUCAGCUCGUUCUGCUCUCCUUUGGGUAUUGUACAUUACUCAGUGCAACACACAGAUAGAGGAGUUACAAUUUUGCUUUUUUGGAUGCUUGAUAAUGCCUUGGAAAUCACUUUUCUUCUCCUUUUAGCCUUAAUCUCUGAUAGAGUGGAUGGAAAUAAAAUCCUUUUUAAUUGAAUAACACCCUUCUUAGGUGUCAAUUUCUUUACAAAAGCAGUUAAUGCAUCAAUAACAUUAAUCACUACAUCAUGUUUCGCCCUGAAGUCUUGACAUUUGCAUGUAGAACAUUCAUUGAGAGAGGGAAAAUCUGUAUAACCAGUAUGAUCAUUCUCAUAAUGGUUUAUUUUAAAUACUGUAAGAGGAGCCUUAAUAGCACCAACAGCAGCACCACUACCACCACUAACGACUCCAUCACUACUAAGACCAUCAAUAAUAACUAGCCCGCCCUCUAAAAUUAUUUUUCUUGUAAUGGUUGUUGCUCUAAAAAUUCCAUUUUUAUUAUUUUGAUGACCUUAGAGUCCGAUAAAGUUUGCACAGAUCGUAUAGUAAGAAAAAACAAUAUCUUCAACUCUCAAUUGGUCGGAACUACCGACGGAUGCACAAUCUAACAUAAAUCAUUACAUAUAUUAGAAUAAUGAUUAGAUCAUUCAAAAAAAAUCAUUAAUUAAAAUAAAAAAAUUAAUUAUAAUUAUACUUACUGCAUCCUUCGAGGGGUUGAAAAAAUUAAGAAAUUUUGCAUUUUUAUCAGUUUUUGCCGACAACCAUCUCAAAAAUCUUGGAUAGGAAACUUCUUCCUGGUAGUUCACUUGUUGUCACAAAUGAGAAAUGGCUUCAAACGCCCAAGCCUAUAAAAUAACGCCAAUAUAUCAAAACCAUUAUUGAGUUAAAAAAAUGAAUGAUAUCAUAAUAAAAGAAAGAAAUGAAGCAUUUACCAUGGAAGCCCAUUGAAAGCCAUAUAAGUUGACAGUCUUUGGCGCUAACGGAGUCAACAAAUAUUAGACAGUCAUUUUGAAGAUUUCAUAACCCCAAGGAUAGUUGUUAAAUGCCUCAAGAUCCUCAGAGAGAUUUAUUAAACCAACGUUUACGUUGUUGUUAACGUCUCUCGCACAAAGAAUAUUAUGUACAAACCAAACUAAGCACAAUGACUGCUUGUUCUUCUUUGAAAGUUCUUUACCUUUCAAAACUUCUAUUAAAUUUUUAUUUUUGAAGUUUGGACCAAUAAUGAACCCCAGGUCAUCACGAUCACACGACUUGCCUUUGCCUUUUUUGGGUGUACGAGGUGUUUUUUUUUGGGUUAGAAUAGGUAUAACUUGAGGACGAGGAUAACAUUUUAGUCCAGUAACUAUGUAAAACUCCUUCCAACCAAAACAAACAGGCAUGCCACAGUAAUUUAUUCAUACCUCAUCCAUCUUAUCUUUGUUUUCAUACAUAAACCUACGGUUGAGAAGUUCAUAUACCAUUUUCAUUUGGAAACGAGUAUUGUUGUCCUCCGGCAAAUCAAGGUAUUUUCCAAAGCAGCUAUCCCUGAAAUAAGCAUCCAAUUUUUGUUGAAGGCGUUGAAAUAUUUUUUCAUUGCCGACUUAACCACGAAAUCACUCGUUAAAUCUAUGGCACCAUCGCCUGCAUUCUCACAGGAUAAUGAUCAAUGCUGAAGGUUUUGACCAACUCUUCGGUGAAAGGGCUAUUAGAAUUUGGAUCGUCUUUUUUGAAACAAUCGUUCUCCCCGUGUUCAUCAUAUUCUGCUCCUGAUUGAGAUAACGCUUUAAAGCAAGCUCAAAGAGCGGUGGAUGUAGCCUAGCUGCUUCACUUGUUCCUUUACUUGGACUUGAUUCGGCUUCUGUUCUUUUGGGUGCCAUAUUAUCUAAAAUUAACAGGAACAUAAAAAAAUGUAUUAUAGUUGAUAAAUGCAUCGUUUAAAAGGGAUAACAAUAAAUCUAACAAGCAAAAUAGUAAAAUAAUAAUUCCAAUAGAUCACUUAUCUGUUACACCAGGUAGUACAUCUAUUGCAAUAUAUAACAAAUAUGUUGCAGUGGAUGAGCAAUUUGUUGAAACAAUACAAAACAUAUCACUCAUCUUUUAAGAUAGAUGAAUGGUCUAUGCAACAAAUCACAUACAGUUGCAACAUGAGUGAUCUAUUGGAAUAGUUAAAUAACCUGUAGCAAAAGCUGAGUAAUCUGUUACGACAAUACCAAACAUAUCACUCAUCUAUUGAGAAAGAUGAAUGGUCUGUGUAACAUAUCAUAUAUCUGUUGCAACAUAUGAGUGAUCUGUCAAAAUAAUUAACUAACCUGCAGCAACAACUGAGUUAUCUGUUACGAUAAUACAAAAUAUAUCACUCAUUCAUUGAGAAAGAUGAAUGGUCUGUGCAACAGGUCACACAUCUGUUGCAAUACAUGAGUGAUCUGUUGGAAUAGUUAUCAUCGGUCAAUAUUAUUUAGAUUUCUUCCAACAUUGGAUCGUCUAUCGUGGCAGGUGAAUAUCAGUUGGAAAAAUCAUGUCUUGGACAUGUCCUAUUAGAAGAAUUGAUAGAAUUUUAUCCAACAGGAGGUUCAUCUGUUGCGUCAGAUCAUUAAUUCGAUGAUUCUUCUGUUGCAUCAGAUGGUUAAUCAUUGCAUCAAAUUUUUUAUCCGAUGCUUAAUAUAUUUCAACAUAUGGUUAAUCUGUUGCAUCAGAUAGUUAAAUUGUUGCAUCAUAUGCUAAAUAUGUUGCAUCAGAUGAUUAAUCCGUUGCAUCAUAAGUGUAAUCUGAUAGUUCCUCUGGUGCAUCAGAUGGUUGAUCUGUUGCAUCAUCUGAAAAAUCUAUUGCAUCAGAUGGUUAAUAUGUUGAACCAGAUGGAUAAUCUGUUGGAUAAAAUAAAAAAUAUUAGCAGGAUUUUGUUCAACAGAAAAAUAGCAACAUCAUUAUUUUUACCAAGAACAAGAAUAGAACAAAUCAACCCAAAUCAUUGUUUUGUUUUUAUAAACACAAACAACAAAAAUCAAACUUCAAAAAAAUGCAACAAACAACAAAAAAUCAUAAUUCACUUUGAAAAGAGAAGAGAAGAAAUACCAGAAAUUAGGGUUUUGUUCAGACCACAUUUUAAAUUAACGCAACAAAUAUUAAAAUUGUUAACCAAUACUAUAAGAGAAGUUGUCUCAAGUUCCUCGUUUUCUUCAAAACCAAAAAGGCCAUAAAUGUUUACUUGUGAAAGAAGAAAAGGAACGAUGAUAAAUUUGAAGCUGUUAUGGCCGGAGAGCAAGGCUGUCACGUCGAUUGAAGGUUGAAGAAUUCAAAGAUGUUGUGGCCAGAGAGCAAGGCUGUCACGUUGAUUGAAGGUUGAAGUCGAAAAGAAACUCGACGCCCAACUAUUUGUUGUCGGAUGUUGAAGUAGCCAAGGAUUGAAAGGAGAAAUUUGCAGAACUAUUGGUUGGGAGAGAGUUGAGAGAAGCUAGCGAGAGAGACGAGAAAGACUAGCUGAUUUGGAUUGAAGAGGAGUGUAUGUUGGGUUGAUUUGUAUUUUUUAAAAGAUUGGAAAAUUUUGAAAAUAUUAAUCAAGUUCACAAUUAACUUAAUCAAGUUUUCUAAUGAUGUUUGACCUUUUAAGUUGAUCAACGUCACCAAUCCUUCAUUCAAGACUUAAAAGACAUUUUUCCUUCAAUUUUCUCUAUAUAGUGUGGAAAUAAAAUAUAAUCCAUCUAGAUUUGGGAUAAUACAUUAUCAUAUGUUUAAAAUUAACCUUAGUAAAGUAGAAGUUGGAUUAGUGUUUUCCGUUAUACAUGUAUAAUUACGCUAACACAAAUGACAUUUCACAUCAAUUAUUUCCUCCCACGCACUCUAACAUGUACAUCUCAUUUGAUCACCCCUACUGACCUACCUCCCUUGCCCCAUCUCCAUAACCUCACACUCCGGCCCGUGUUCCACCUUUCAUAAUAUUUGUCUAAAUUAUAUAUACAUGUUUUAAAAUAGUAUUUCCUUUAAUUACAUAGCAAACAUAAAAAAGAAAAAUAAGAAACUCACUUAUUUUUUAAAAAAUUAUUUUCUUACGUACCGAUCAAAGACACCCUUGUUAACCCAACCAAUUUUAAACUUAGAUGUAUUAAGUCAUGAGGUUCUAAAAAAUGGAUUUAUUUCGCCACCUGUGAUUUCAUAUGGUCAUUAUGCUACUGGUAAAUUUCAUGGAAUAAAUAAUUUAUAUGUGGAAGACGUAUUCAAAGCUGGUCAUUUCCUGAAGCAACUCAUGUAAAGCUGGCAUUUAUUACAUUGAUCAAAUUUCCUGUUUUUUACUUUUGUUCUUGUAAGCUACUACUAUGUUCCUAAGUUAGACGUGUCACAAUCAUGAUAUCCUAUGAUGAAUUCAAAUAUUAACUUUUGAACUGGUAAAAUUAUAUUUGGUCAACACAUUGGUCUAUUUCAAGCAAAAUGAAUAAUAUAUACUUUUCCAUUCUAAAAUAAGUGACGUUUCAACAAAAACAAAAUUUUCCCAAAAUUGUUUUUUCUUGGUCAACACAUUGGUCAAUUUUCAAGCAAAUGAAUAAUAUAUACUCUCACAUCCUAAUAUACGCUUCAGAUUUUUCUUUUUCCAAUGCAUUGGGCACAAGUUGUUUUCAGGCCUAUGGCCGAGAAAGAUUGCACUUUGCAAUGAAUAAAAGGAAACAAAGUGACACAUUUUAAGUUCGUUGUCCUCCCACUGACCCCACAUAUAUUUUCUUCUUUUUACAAAUUUUUUUAAAGUAAUCUUGAUUAUAAGUGUAUAUUCAUCUAAUUUUUUUUACUUCUCUUAAUUUAAACAUCUCAUUAAUUAUCACAAAACUAUUGAAAUCAGCUAGGAUAUAUUUUGAAACGUGUGUGCCACAGAUAAGAACUAAAACUUUCAAUACAUAGAGAGUUAUUUCAGUUAGUUUUCUCAUUUAUAUGCUUGUACAUUUAGUUAUGACUAAAUUAAGAUUUAAUUUGAUUAGCAAUGAUGGUUGGCACAUGGUUAAAAUUUAUACGCAUUCGAUGUAUACAUUAAGCCAAUAUAUGCAUAUCAUAUGUUUGAAUUUAGAGUAGAUGUUACUUAACCAUGAUUAAUGAAUAUGCAUUUUACUUAAUUUAAUUACCUAACCAUGAAAUAAGAACAUUAGUUUUAUGCACACAUCGAGUACGCGUAAAUUUUUACCGUUGGCGCAUCAUAGGAGAUUUUUAUUUUCAGAUGCAACAAUAUUUGUGACGAUCUUCUUUUGAUCCUUGCUCCCCAUGUUUAGAAGGAUUAAAAUCAAUACUGAUGGAAGUCGAUUGGAUAAUGGUAUCAUUUGCACUACUUAAAAAAAAAAAUCUUAUUCAUUAGUAGGGGGUGCGGAUAACUAACUUGUGAAAUAGAUCUUUUAUAUGUAUAAUGAAUCUAUUUUUCUUUGUGCGUGGAUAUUUCUUAACUUUUCUAUAUAUUUUUAUUUUAAGUCUAUUUGUGUUAGUUUAUCGAUAUUCAUAUCUUGGGGGUGAUAAAUAUUCAAUUAGAUUAUCUUUCGUAAGUUUUUCUAAUAAUAUUAUUUCAUCCAUAUUUUGUCUCCAAUAUUUUAAAUAUUCGCAGUCUAUCAUUUUAUCCUGUAGUAAUUGCAGAGUUACAUAUUUCUGUAUAAUCAUUUAUCCUAAUUGUACUGUAAUGUAUAUCUAAUUCUAGAUUUUCAAUGUUAUUUAUUAUCUUGUGUUGUUCUUCUCAUAGCGAGUUUUUUAAAUUACAUACACUAUCACAUGUACUUUUUCCUAAAUUUUCUAAGGUUUCUUCUAUCCAUAUUAAUUUUUCUUUUAGAUUCUCCAUUAUUUUUCUAAUUCGGUUUCUAUAAUUAAUUUCUUCAAUUUCAUAGUCUAGUACUUUUUCUAAUAUUAUUUUCUUAAUAUCUAUAAUUUCUAUAUCUCUAAGUAUAUAUAAGAUUAAGACUUUAAGAUUAUCUAUCAUUUAAAAUUGACUAAAUAUUUUAUUAUAAUAUUUUGUAGUUGUUUGUUUUAGUCUUAGUAGUUCUUGCAUAUUUUCAUUAAGAAAUUCUAUAUAUUUUAUAUCUUUAGUUUCCAUGUAUUUGUCUAAAUUUACUUUCAUCUGUUUUUCUAUUAACUGUAUGUUUCUCAUAUCUUUUUCCAAAAAUUCUAGAUAUAUGUAAUUUAUCAUGGUAAGUAUUUGUAAGAGUAGUUAGGUAGGUAUGGUAUGUAAUUUAUUCUAGUCAUAUAAUAUUUACCAAAUGCUUUUUCUAAUAUGAUUUUUCUUAUAUCUACUACUUUUAUAUCCUUAAGUGCAUACAAAAUAAGUAUUUUAAAUUUAUCUACCAUCACAUCAGAUAAAUAAUUAUUCAUUUUCAUAAAAUUGCUAUUUUCAAAAUAUUCCCUUCAAUCAUGUACAUAACAAAAUAUGGUCAUCUUAGAUUACUAUAUACUAGAUUAUUCUUAAAUAACAUGUUCUUCGGUCACUAUUAGCAUGGUAAUGUGGAUACUUUUCCCUUAAACAGCGCAUUUACUCUGGUUACUCCCCACCACGGCUUCUUGCCUCAUUGGUUUCACCUUUAGGAUGACAUAGUUCUUAGGAAUUUUUUUCCCUUUCUACUUUGCUAAUAAACUUCUUAACAUAUUAUUCUUCGAAUAAUUCUACUAUAAAGUAACUAACAUGAAUUUAUUUUAUCAUACCAUGAUUGUUGGGAAUUAUGAAUUUAGCUAUUCAUAAUCAUAAAUAAAUAUACCUGUUCGGGUAGUUUUGAUAUUUCUAAGCUUUGCUCCUCCAUAGAUUUUUCCAUUGAAAUAAAUCUGUUUUUUAAUAACUAAGCAAAAUAUUUGUUGUGGACAAGAGAGAGUAUUUGUGCUUCAACUCCUGAAGGCUUGCUCUGCAAUACCUUCGGUUCAUCUUAUUUAUAGAUUGAAUCUUUACAAGAGUAUUCACAUUUCUUUCACGUUUCUAAAAUUAGUCUACAAAAAAGUCUCCUAAUAAGACAAAAAUUAUUAAUGCCAAAAGUAAUAGUCAAAAAGCCUAAAGCCUAAAAGUUUAGCCUAUACAAAAGUUUUCAAUAUUUUACGUAAAGUAAAUUGUGAAAGUUUACAUGUCGCUUUCACAAUUUAAUAGCUUGUCUUAUAUUAUUACUUCGUUGAUAUCUUCUCGUUGUCAUAUCUGCUGUUUUUUCAUAUCUCCAUUAUUGUUUCUUAUCUUGUAUCUUCCAGCUGGCGUUCUUAUCUACUUGGUUGAUUUUUCUUCUAUUCUAGCUAAACUUCUGGGAUAUCAUUAUCUCCUCCAUUACAUUUUAAACAUUUAUGAUCUGGAUAUUUAUGUCCAAUUGUCUUGCAAUAUCUGGUUAAUAAUUCCUCUGAAAUAAAUUUUUCUCUGAUAGCUCUGGCGAUAGGUUCUGUCGCUGGUUUGAGUAACGUCAGAAUCCAUUACCUAAUAGUUUUCAUAUCUGUUUCUCGUAAUUCCUUUGAAUUUAAAUAUAUUAGUACAUGAUUUCUUGAAUAAUAACUCCAUAUGGGAUUUUGGUUGCAGUAUGUGUUGGCUAGCUCUUGCAAAAUUAUAGAUGGUCCGAUAAUCCUCUUAUUCGCAUAAAAUUUUGAUAUCUCAAUUCUAGGUAUUUCUGGUUGUGGAAUAAUAUCUUGUGGUACAAUCAUGUCUUGUUUCAUUCCUAUCUUUACAAAUUGUAUGGGUUUUUUAACUUCAUCAUAUAAUAUCUCAGCUGGUGUCAUGUAAAUUUUUAUAAAAAAAUAGGGCACCUUUGGUUAUUCUUUUAAAAAUGCUAAAUGCUUCAUAUAUUUCCGGUAUAGUGGAUAUCUCAUUUCCGUCAGGGGUAUAUAUAGUACUGAGUAGUCCAUAUUCAUAGCAAGUUUUAACUAGACUUGGUUUGAUUUUAGGUAAAGCAAUUAGCUUAUUAUAUCCGGUCAAUCUUUGGGUUAUAUAGUUUGUAUCUGGUUCUUGGAUGUUUAUAGCUCUGGGGUUAGUAUUUAAAAAGGUUUGUACAUUGUAGAUAUUUUCUAUAUAUGUCCGGGCUGUGUAGUUGUAAGUCUUUUUGUCUUGGUUUAGACUAUCUCGGUAUGUGGUUAUUUGUGGGGGUAUAAACAUGGGAUCUUUUGAUGUAUUUGGUAUAUAUGGUUUAUCAAAUAGCUUGUUUAGGUUCAUAUUUGUGUUUUUNNNNNNNNNNNNNNNNNNNNNNNNNNNNNNNNNNNNNNNNNNNNNNNNNNNNNNNNNNNNNNNNNNNNNNNNNNNNNNNNNNNNNNNNNNNNNNNNNNNNNNNNNNNNNNNNNNNNNNNNNNNNNNNNNNNNNNNNNNNNNNNNNNNNNNNNNNNNNNNNNNNNNNNNNNNNNNNNNNNNNNNNNNNNNNNNNNNNNNNNNNNNNNNNNNNNNNNNNNNNNNNNNNNNNNNNNNNNNNNNNNNNNNNNNNNNNNNNNNNNNNNNNNNNNNNNNNNNNNNNNNNNNNNNNNNNNNNNNNNNNNNNNNNNNNNNNNNNNNNNNNNNNNNNNNNNNNNNNNNNNNNNNNNNNNNNNNNNNNNNNNNNNNNNNNNNNNNNNNNNNNNNNNNNNNNNNNNNNNNNNNNNNNNNNNNNNNNNNNNNNNNNNNNNNNNNNNNNNNNNNNNNNNNNNNNNNNNNNNNNNNNNNNNNNNNNNNNNNNNNNNNNNNNNNNNNNNNNNNNNNNNNNNNNNNNNNNNNNNNNNNNNNNNNNNNNNNNNNNNNNNNNNNNNNNNNNNNNNNNNNNNNNNNNNNNNNNNNNNNNNNNNNNNNNNNNNNNNNNNNNNNNNNNNNNNNNNNNNNNNNNNNNNNNNNNNNNNNNNNNNNNNNNNNNNNNNNNNNNNNNNNNNNNNNNNNNNNNNNNNNNNNNNNNNNNNNNNNNNNNNNNNNNNNNNNNNNNNNNNNNNNNNNNNNNNNNNNNNNNNNNNNNNNNNNNNNNNNNNNNNNNNNNNNNNNNNNNNNNNNNNNNNNNNNNNNNNNNNNNNNNNNNNNNNNNNNNNNNNNNNNNNNNNNNNNNNNNNNNNNNNNNNNNNNNNNNNNNNNNNNNNNNNNNNNNNNNNNNNNNNNNNNNNNNNNNNNNNNNNNNNNNNNNNNNNNNNNNNNNNNNNNNNNNNNNNNNNNNNNNNNNNNNNNNNNNNNNNNNNNNNNNNNNNNNNNNNNNNNNNNNNNNNNNNNNNNNNNNNNNNNNNNNNNNNNNNNNNNNNNNNNNNNNNNNNNNNNNNNNNNNNNNNNNNNNNNNNNNNNNNNNNNNNNNNNNNNNNNNNNNNNNNNNNNNNNNNNNNNNNNNNNNNNNNNNNNNNNNNNNNNNNNNNNNNNNNNNNNNNNNNNNNNNNNNNNNNNNNNNNNNNNNNNNNNNNNNNNNNNNNNNNNNNNNNNNNNNNNNNNNNNNNNNNNNNNNNNNNNNNNNNNNNNNNNNNNNNNNNNNNNNNNNNNNNNNNNNNNNNNNNNNNNNNNNNNNNNNNNNNNNNNNNNNNNNNNNNNNNNNNNNNNNNNNNNNNNNNNNNNNNNNNNNNNNNNNNNNNNNNNNNNNNNNNNNNNNNNNNNNNNNNNNNNNNNNNNNNNNNNNNNNNNNNNNNNNNNNNNNNNNNNNNNNNNNNNNNNNNNNNNNNNNNNNNNNNNNNNNNNNNNNNNNNNNNNNNNNNNNNNNNNNNNNNNNNNNNNNNNNNNNNNNNNNNNNNNNNNNNNNNNNNNNNNNNNNNNNNNNNNNNNNNNNNNNNNNNNNNNNNNNNNNNNNNNNNNNNNNNNNNNNNNNNNNNNNNNNNNNNNNNNNNNNNNNNNNNNNNNNNNNNNNNNNNNNNNNNNNNNNNNNNNNNNNNNNNNNNNNNNNNNNNNNNNNNNNNNNNNNNNNNNNNNNNNNNNNNNNNNNNNNNNNNNNNNNNNNNNNNNNNNNNNNNNNNNNNNNNNNNNNNNNNNNNNNNNNNNNNNNNNNNNNNNNNNNNNNNNNNNNNNNNNNNNNNNNNNNNNNNNNNNNNNNNNNNNNNNNNNNNNNNNNNNNNNNNNNNNNNNNNNNNNNNNNNNNNNNNNNNNNNNNNNNNNNNNNNNNNNNNNNNNNNNNNNNNNNNNNNNNNNNNNNNNNNNNNNNNNNNNNNNNNNNNNNNNNNNNNNNNNNNNNNNNNNNNNNNNNNNNNNNNNNNNNNNNNNNNNNNNNNNNNNNNNNNNNNNNNNNNNNNNNNNNNNNNNNNNNNNNNNNNNNNNNNNNNNNNNNNNNNNNNNNNNNNNNNNNNNNNNNNNNNNNNNNNNNNNNNNNNNNNNNNNNNNNNNNNNNNNNNNNNNNNNNNNNNNNNNNNNNNNNNNNNNNNNNNNNNNNNNNNNNNNNNNNNNNNNNNNNNNNNNNNNNNNNNNNNNNNNNNNNNNNNNNNNNNNNNNNNNNNNNNNNNNNNNNNNNNNNNNNNNNNNNNNNNNNNNNNNNNNNNNNNNNNNNNNNNNNNNNNNNNNNNNNNNNNNNNNNNNNNNNNNNNNNNNNNNNNNNNNNNNNNNNNNNNNNNNNNNNNNNNNNNNNNNNNNNNNNNNNNNNNNNNNNNNNNNNNNNNNNNNNNNNNNNNNNNNNNNNNNNNNNNNNNNNNNNNNNNNNNNNNNNNNNNNNNNNNNNNNNNNNNNNNNNNNNNNNNNNNNNNNNNNNNNNNNNNNNNNNNNNNNNNNNNNNNNNNNNNNNNNNNNNNNNNNNNNNNNNNNNNNNNNNNNNNNNNNNNNNNNNNNNNNNNNNNNNNNNNNNNNNNNNNNNNNNNNNNNNNNNNNNNNNNNNNNNNNNNNNNNNNNNNNNNNNNNNNNNNNNNNNNNNNNNNNNNNNNNNNNNNNNNNNNNNNNNNNNNNNNNNNNNNNNNNNNNNNNNNNNNNNNNNNNNNNNNNNNNNNNNNNNNNNNNNNNNNNNNNNNNNNNNNNNNNNNNNNNNNNNNNNNNNNNNNNNNNNNNNNNNNNNNNNNNNNNNNNNNNNNNNNNNNNNNNNNNNNNNNNNNNNNNNNNNNNNNNNNNNNNNNNNNNNNNNNNNNNNNNNNNNNNNNNNNNNNNNNNNNNNNNNNNNNNNNNNNNNNNNNNNNNNNNNNNNNNNNNNNNNNNNNNNNNNNNNNNNNNNNNNNNNNNNNNNNNNNNNNNNNNNNNNNNNNNNNNNNNNNNNNNNNNNNNNNNNNNNNNNNNNNNNNNNNNNNNNNNNNNNNNNNNNNNNNNNNNNNNNNNNNNNNNNNNNNNNNNNNNNNNNNNNNNNNNNNNNNNNNNNNNNNNNNNNNNNNNNNNNNNNNNNNNNNNNNNNNNNNNNNNNNNNNNNNNNNNNNNNNNNNNNNNNNNNNNNNNNNNNNNNNNNNNNNNNNNNNNNNNNNNNNNNNNNNNNNNNNNNNNNNNNNNNNNNNNNNNNNNNNNNNNNNNNNNNNNNNNNNNNNNNNNNNNNNNNNNNNNNNNNNNNNNNNNNNNNNNNNNNNNNNNNNNNNNNNNNNNNNNNNNNNNNNNNNNNNNNNNNNNNNNNNNNNNNNNNNNNNNNNNNNNNNNNNNNNNNNNNNNNNNNNNNNNNNNNNNNNNNNNNNNNNNNNNNNNNNNNNNNNNNNNNNNNNNNNNNNNNNNNNNNNNNNNNNNNNNNNNNNNNNNNNNNNNNNNNNNNNNNNNNNNNNNNNNNNNNNNNNNNNNNNNNNNNNNNNNNNNNNNNNNNNNNNNNNNNNNNNNNNNNNNNNNNNNNNNNNNNNNNNNNNNNNNNNNNNNNNNNNNNNNNNNNNNNNNNNNNNNNNNNNNNNNNNNNNNNNNNNNNNNNNNNNNNNNNNNNNNNNNNNNNNNNNNNNNNNNNNNNNNNNNNNNNNNNNNNNNNNNNNNNNNNNNNNNNNNNNNNNNNNNNNNNNUUUUUACAUAAUAUCUUUUUCUUGGUUUCUUGUAUUUAUAUUUUGAUUUUUUAUAUUUCUUAUAUUUCUUAUGUCUUUUUCUUUUCUUAUAAUAUCUUUCUUCACAUCCGAAUUGGGGUGCUAUUUUAUUUUUGCAACAUGCUAAAUUUCUUAUCAAUGUUUUUUCCAUUUGUAGUUCUUCUCUAUAUUUUUCACAUAAGUUUCUAUACCAUUGUUGUAAAAAUUUUAUUCUUGCUCCUAGAGUAUCUACUAUUUUUGCUUCUUCCCAAUUUUUUAUUAUCUUUGAACUAAAUGGUUCGGGUAAUUUAUUAAAAUAUAAUUUUCUUAUUUCUUUACUUUCUUCUAUAUUAUAUGAUCCUUUAUAAUAAUAUUCUUUGAAUGCGCAAGUAUAUUCAUCUAUAUAACACAUAUUACAUAUUGCUAAUUUUAACAUUAAAUUUCUAUUUGUAUCUUUUUCUUCAUCUUGUUCGUCUUCUAUUGUUGUAUCUUUUAUAGCUGUUUCAUAUUUUUUUAAUAAUUCUAUAAGUGUUAGUUUAGUUGUUGUUGAUGAUGUUCCUUCUGUAGGUUUAUUAGUUCUUAAUACCUUCUUGCUAUUUUUAGUUAAAUUUGAAAAUCAUAAUUUCACUGUUCCACCGUUUGUAGCGGCAGUAGGAUGAUAUUGAUGUCCGUUUGAAGGGAGCUUAGCUGGUUUGCUCGCCGACAGAUGCGGCUGGUGGCACCAGCUGGGAGGCACUGAUUUUAGUUGUCCAGCGGCGAGAUUGGUGGUUGGAGUAUUUUUUCCUUGGUUUCCCGGUGGCUGGCGAUAGAGAGGGGAGGGCGAUGCAGUGGCUGGCUUUUUCACCGGCGAUUGGUGGCAGUUGACGCUGUUAAUGUUGCCUCAGAGUCGCCGGUCAUCAAUUCUGAUGAAUCAGCGAUGAGAAUGAGAGCCGGAAGAGAGGAGAGAGAGGAAGCCAAAUUUUUCUCCAACCCAUGGUGGUUGCUCGGCGGUGAAAGCCGUGGUUAUGGUAUAGAGAGAAGUGAGAUUAGAGAGAAGGUAGAGAGAGAGAAAAAGACAAGAGAGGCAGAUGUUUUUUGUGUAAUGAGAAAUUAGGGUUUGAGUAUUGUUUAAGAUGGAAAGAGUUAGUGAUAUGAUCUCAGCCGUUGGAUCAAAAUUGAUCCAUGGUUGAGAUUAAAAGGAUUAUUAAAAUAGAAAAUGAAUUGAAAUGGAGUUAAAUGUAACUAAAAUUGUAAUAAGUUGGGUAAAAUUAGGCUAUAAUUGUCAUAAAUCGAAUAGAAAAAGGCUAGCAUUUCAAUGAACUAGGAAAUUGAAUUGAAUUAGGCUACUAUUUAACAGAUGUAAUAAUAACGAAAAAGAUAAUAGGGUGCCGAGGUUAAAAUAAAUUACGCAUGUAAAAUUAAUGUUACGUAAAAAAAUUUCAUAUAAGAUUAUCGUUAAUAAUAAUAAUAAUAAGCAAUGUAUUUAUAAAUUGUAAGUGUGCAUAUUUUGUGAAAAAAUAAUUUAAUAAAUAUUAAUAAAAUUAUGUAAAAUAUUGUAUCUGAAUUAAUAAAUUGUAAAAAAAAUAACAUCAAAAAUUAAUAAAAUAAUUUCUACAUUUUAAAACAUGAAUGUGACACGUCAAAAAUUCGUUUGAUAUAAGAAAAAUGUGUAGAAAAUACUGACAUUUAAAAAUUAAUAAUUUUGCUAAAAUAACAGCCUAUAUGUAAUAUUGGGAGAUCAAAAUUGAGUGUCAACAAUCAUUAGGCCUAAAGGUUCCUUUUCCUAUUUUCAAAUGGGGUUUCCAUAAGAGUAGAUCGGUAGAGAACAAAGUAAGUGAAGAAAAAUCUUUAGUUGGCUCUUAAGAGUCGGGAGUGGAGUCACACAAGAAAACUGAUAAGCAAAUAGGAAGGCAUCUAAUUGUGUCCUACACAUUUCCAGAUGGGAGGUUAAAGUACAUGAGUCGGAAAAUUUCUUUUCAAUUAAACAAGUUUGAAUGCACAAUAUUAAUACUCACUAAGUCCAUCUUGAAAAUUCCUUUGACAACUUAAGAUCAUUCAAGCUAGAAACCUAAGAGCCACAUCAAUCGAUUGAUAUAAUCCACAUGUAAGUGAUGAAACUGGAUACAAGUUACCAUCCACAAAACCCCAACCCAGGGAAUAGCGCACCACAAAGGAAAAAAAUAAAAAUAGAAAAUAAAACAGGAAGUGUUUUAGGAUAUAUCUAAACUAUAGCAUGUCUUAUCUGUAAUUUUCCCACGUAAAUAUAAAUCUAUGAUCAGGUAAUUAAAAAUUUUAAAAAGACAAAUCAGAAGUUCUUUGACUCAACACUUUGGUGGCAACAGGGGAACGUGAAUGGAAAUGACCUGUUCAAAGAGCCAUUUCUUCUGUCUUCUGCGUAGCAGAACGCGCUUGUUUCCUGCCAGCAGGUAGAUUAAUUGGCGCAACAGGAGCUGUUGUAGCAGGCUGAAGGAGUUGUUCCUCCCAUUCAGCCCCUAUCCUAUAGAUCUGCAGCCAUCAAGAAGGACUCGCAGUGUAGGGGAAGUUUGUACAAGAUUUUUGAAUGAUACACCAGAGGAUGAAAAGACAUUGGAACUAUUUUCGGGUCCGAGCAUCUUGGUAUCUCCAUCACAACCAUAGCUACACCAAGGAGAAUUUGUUAACUCAAGCAAGUGUGGAUAGAUCUAGAAUCAGCAGAAGGAGCUUACUUAGUCAUGUCUUUAUAGCCAGGGGACUCAAACUCUUAUUCAGCACCAAAAAGCAGCUCUAAAUCCCAAUACCGUAGAUCAUAUCUAGGAACAAUAACCAGAAAAAAUGAGAUGCAGAUGAAGAAAAAAAAAACAAAGGUAAAGAGGAUACUUACUCUGACAGCUAAUUUAUCAAAAGCAUAUACGUAUCACCCAUACGAACAACAAGACGAAGCUCAGAUUGAACUCAACUAAGAACAAUAUUUCUCAGGUUUUUGAAGAAGUGGCGGAUAAUUUUGGAAUUGGAUUAGGAAAUCGUAUCUUCAUGGGUUUUGUACUAAGCAGAAUAGGGUCGGGUCAGAUGUUUUAUUUUGGGCUUUCUGAUUUUAAAUGUUUGGACAAUGUCAUUUUAAAUGGGUUGGUCCAUUUAUAUAAAGACAAUGUCAUUUAGUCUUUAAAUUAAUAAAAAAGGAAAGGAUAAAAAUAACACCUAAAACUAAAAUAAUUCCACAAAACUAACACCUAAAUUUAAAAACUCGAGAAAUAGCCACUAAGGGAUGGGCGCACGCAAGAAGUUGGGAUAUAUUUGUCACUGUUCCACGUAUUUCCCUUAAUUCUACAACACAAUUUGACCCUUUUCGUUUUGGGUACUAGGCCCACUUUUCAUCUUUAAUGGUCCAUGCUUUUUUGGCUCUUUUUUCCCUUUCUUUUUUAAAGAUUCUACUCUUUUUUAUAUCUCACUAUUACUUUUACUUUAGAAUUGUCUUUUAGCUGAGCUUUAAAAAGCAGUUACAAUUAUAAAUGUCUUUUAAUUAUAUUAAUUACAAAUGUGAAAAAUUAUAUUAAUCUAAUUAUAUUAAUUACAAAUAUGAAAAAUUAAUAUUAGAUUGAACAAAGCGAUGUAAUAUAGGCCAAGGGCACUGGAACAAAUCUUUGUCCAACUUAAACUAUAUACAUGUUUUAGACAAUAGACGAAGUGUUUCACCUCCAUAGUUUGAUACAAUAAACCAAAAAAGUAACUAUAUAAUACAAUUGUUAAAGAUAUAUAUUUAUAUAUAAUAAUGAUACAAUUUCUAUAUAUAUACAUAUUCAAUAUAAUAAUUAUAGUAUUUUAAUACACAUUUUAUAUAAUUUUUAACUACAAUUAUUAUUUAGAUACAUAUUUUAUACGACUCUAUAUAGUUUCUACAUGCAUUCUAAAAAUGUAUCAAUCUAGUAUAAGAGAGUAUCAAUUGAGUAUAUGUACACUACAAGUAUGUAGUAUAGAAGUGUAUUAAUGUGGUAUAAAAGAGUAUCAAUUGGGUAUAGGGACUGCAUGUGCUUGCAUAGAAUUUUCUUUCUCUUUUUUAAAAAGUGUAUCAAUAUAGUACAAAAGUGUAUCAAUAUGGUAUAAAAGUGUAUCAAUUGAGUAUAGAGACUGCAUGUGCCCAAUUGGGCCAAAUGGCUAAAAAGAGGAAUUAAAUUGGGCCAACUAACUAAGGUUGACCGUCUUUUCAAUUAUGGGCCAUUUUUCUUAAAAAUGGUCAGCCCAUGUCCUUUUCCCUUAAUAAAAUCCCUAUUUAAUUAAAAAAAAAAAAAACUUAAGAGGGCAUACCUGGUAAACAAAGGCUGAGAGCAUUUUGACAAUCCGGAUAAUUGAUUUAAGAGUCUUGGUUAUGCAUCAGGGAUGAAGAAUUCAACUGCAGUCCUAUCAAGAAUUUCAAUUUUCGCACAACAUUAGGUCAUUUCUUAGAGUAUCGUAUACAAAAGUUUUAAUCUUUGUGCUUGGUCCUCUUUGGAUAUACUAAAAAAACAUAAAUGACUAUGUGAAAUUUUGGUGAAAUUUCAAUAGGUACUGAAAUUUGAGAAGGGUGGCUUUGAGGAACAGUAACGUAGACUGCAAAGAAUAAAUUGAAAUUCUUCUAGAUUUAUUUGGUAUAUCAAGGUUGGAAAGUGCUUACACGUAUCUAAAUCGAGCUUCAACACCAAUUUGGUAGAGAAAGAAGAUUAAAUUAACAUGAAGAAGAUGAAUUGCGUGCUUCUAGAUUUAUCUUCAAUAGUUACUUUCCUUCUACUGUUUUUUGAUGUUUCUUUUUCCUUUUGUCUUUAUGUUGACAUUUUCUGUUUUAUUGUUUCUUAUUGCUUAGUAUUUACAUUUUUUUAAUGUAUUUUGUGGUUCACAUCUAAAAACAAUAUAUAUAUAUAUAUAUAUACAUAUAUAUAUAUAUAUAUAUAUAUAUAUAGAGAGAGAGAGAGAGAGAGAGAUGUAAAUCAAAAAGUAUAUACAAGAAAAAAGUGAAUAUUUAUUUUUCCAGCAAAUGGUUACACCGAUUUAAUAAACAUAUUACAGUGCAUUCACAAAAAAAUUAUCACAAAAUUAUAAUUAAUUAAGAUGCACAAAUUUUUAUUUAAUUAUAAUUAAGUAUGAUUAGCUAUAAAUAGAUAUUUUUUAAAAAGAAAAUAUCGGUAAAUUAAAUGGUCCUUUGGUACGGUGUAUAUGAAUUAUAUAAAAUAUGGUGUAUUACUAAUGCUUGAAUAGUUAUGUUUGCAUAUUAUUUAGGUAGUUUUUUGUUUGGUGUAAAAUAUAAUUGUAUAAUUUCUAAAAAAUAUAUUUUUACUAUAUUUUAAAAGUACUAUAAAUUAUAAUAAUUAAUAAUUAAAUUUUUUUUAAAACAUAUAAAAUUUUGAUUAACGCCAAAUUACAUUUGAGACUAAAUAUUACUCCCUCCGUCGAUAUUUACUUGUCCAUUUUAUCAAAAAUAGAUCUGCAAUAAUAUUGUUCAAUUUAAAAAAUCAAUAGAUAAUUUUUCAUUUCUGCCGAUUUUACCAUUGAUAUUAAAUACGAUUCAUUAUCUAAUAAAUUUUUCAAAAUAUUAAAUUUAUUAUAUUCAAAAGAUAAUAUAGUAACAUUAUCCCUAUCAUUUACUAGUUUUAAACAUAUGUGUCAAAGUUAAUAGUGAACAACUAUUGAUGGGCCGAGGGAUUAUCAUAUAUUGAGCACAUACUAGCGCGGGCGCUCCGAUAUAUAGUCUUAUAAAUAUAAAUGAAAAUGAGAACACAUUUAAUAUAUAUUUUUUCUAAUAUCUUAGACAUGUGGGGCAUUUCAAAUAAAUGGAGCAUAUAUGAUUGUUCUUGAGGGAAUAUUACUCUAGCUUCUGUAUGUUUUCAAGACACAAUAUAAUUAUCAUUGAAUAGGGAUACUAUAGUAAAAUAAUUAUGUUAUUAAUUCUUCUUCUCAAUAGAUGUGUCAAGUAAAAAUGUGACAAGUAAAAACGAGCGAGUACUUACUACAUUUUAAAUUACGAUAUUAGUAAGGGAUAGAAGAAGGCAUCUCUUAUUGUAAAUAGAAUUCAUAUAGACUUCGACUUUUAUUUAGUGUCAAAAAUUAACUUUUAAAACGAAUAAAAUUCUUAUAUGGACUUUUGUUUAAAAGAAGUCGCCUAAAGAAGUUUGUAAUACAACAAACAAGACACAUAAAAUAUCUCUAAAAAAUAAAAUAAAAAAUAAACAUGACAACUAUCAUAAAACACAUAACCAAAAGAUGAUGAUCUUAUAAUUAUACCUAUGAAUUACUUCGUAUCCAAUAAUUACACUAUUCAACUACCAAAUCAAAGUUGUAAUUAUUUUUUUGUGAUAAAAUUUCAUUGUGAUUAAUUGCAGGUUAAAUAGUGACGAUAAUAUCAUUGUUGCUAAUUGUUUAAAUUAUUAGUUACAAAAACUAUUGUCAGAAUUAAAUAUAAAAUUUUGUAGCUAAAACUUACAAUAUAGCUUCAAACUUUAAUUAAUUAGUUGAUCAUAUUUAGCGCCGCUCUACUUAAAAUGUUUCUCAUAUGUACAAGAUUAACACACUGACUUUAUACCUUCCAAAAAAUUCAUUCAAUAAGUUCACUUCAACCUUCACACAAUUAGGUCGAGUCUUGUUUUAUAUAGUUAUAUCAAUAUACAAUUAAUUUUCUAUGAUCAUAAAAAAAAAUAGUCAAAGAUCAAUUUAUAUUUAGCUAUGAAAUUUUUUAAUAGAAAAAAUAACUAAAUUAUUCAGUUACAAAUUCCAAAUCAUCACUACUUAACGAUGACAUAUUUUGUGACAAAAUUAUGUUGUCACUGAAUCAUAGAUUAAUUAGAGACAAUAAAAUGAGCGUCACUAAUUGUUUAUAGUAUUAGUGACAAAAUUUGAGGUCACAUAUCAAAUUUUGUAGCUAAAACUUACAAUAUUUAACUACGAAUUCUAAUUUGUUGCUAUUGCGAUAACUUAUUUUUUAGGAUGAAUUUUUUUUUGUGUCUAAAAUUAUAACUAAUUCAAGACGAAAAAUAGUUUGUCGCGAAUUGAAUCCAUUAAUUAGAGACAAUAAAAUGAGCGUCACUAAUUGUUUAUAGUAUUAGUGACAAAAAUUGAGGUCACAAUUAAAUAUCAAAUAUUGUAGCUAAAACUUACAAUAUUUAAUUACGAACUCUAAUUUAUCGCUAUUGCGAUAACUUAUUUUUUAUGAUGAUUUUUUUUUUGUAUCUAAAAUUAUAAUUAAUUCAAGACGAAAAAUAGUUUUUCUCAAAUUGGAUCCAUUAUUGGUGAUUAAAAAGGGUGUCACUGAAAACUUAAAAUUAGUCACAAAUGAUACUCAAUAAAAUGGCACCAAUAUAUUUUUUAUUAGGAAACUUUAGAGGACAAAACUUUUCUACAAAACAUUAUGUUUGGUCACUAAAAGUAUGUUCUUCAUAUAUUUAGAUACAAAAUGUAAUUUUUUUCAUAAAAGGUGAACAAUUAGUGAUGAAUUUCAUCUCGUAGCUAAUAAUUUUGUAGAUAUAUAUCAAUUUUUUUUAUAGUGUACCUGAUGCCUCGGGCCUUGAUCACGAGCCUUAUUUGCAUACAACUUUCUCAGGAUAUUUCCAAGGUAAAAUAAUACAGAUACUUCAGGGCAUUUGCCGACCAAAUAGUACAAUUGAUCCAAAAGUGAUAAAACAAAAUCUUACAACACACAUUUCAAACAUUAAAUUUAGAAUUCUUAAAUUUGCCUGCCCGUAUCAUUUUUCUAGCGAUGCUCGGCCUAAAAUAUGAUACUAUCACGUUUAAUAUCAAUAUUUAUUUCGAAAUAAACCAACAAUAAUAAAUCAAAACUAAUCCAUAUUCAUUUUAUCGAUUUUUGAUCCCGACCCCAACUCAACAAUUUUAUUUAUCAAGUAGGAUACCCUUCAUCACGUAAUUCAUAACCAAAGAACUAAUACGAGAAAUCGUUCACUAACAACAAAGAUCAACCAAUCGCACAAAUAUUCAAUUCAAUGCACCAAAUAUAAUAAAUAAUGAAAUAAAAGAGGGUAACAUUAGAAUUGGAUGCCAACUUGGAGAUUUCAAUAUUACGUAAAUAGAACCGCGUCCAUAAAACCUCAAUUCGAGCAUCAAUACGAAACCUCAACACGAACAAACCCAAGAAUUGGAAUAACUCAAUCAACUAGACUGAUCCGUUUUACUAUUUUUGGUUGUUUUCCAGCGAGAUUUCGUUGGAAUCGAUUGAAAUGGGUCGGGCUUCGCUAAUUCAGUCACUUAUUUGCUACUUCUGGUAAAAUUUGGUGGGAUUUGGUUGAAUCGGGAUGGUUGUUGUUGAUGCUAUGUUGACGGCAUUCCGGUGAGUUCGGCGGUAGAUUUUCGGCGAGAACCCCCCGAAAAAUUCGGUUUUCCUUCUUCUCCGGCGACCCUCUACUUUUUCGGCCUCUCUCCCCAUUUCUCUCUCUAUUUCUCUCUCACUCCUACCAGAUCUCUUUUUCACUCCGACUAGCUCUCUAUCCUACUGUUUUCUCUACUCUAACUCUACUGUAUGUGUGUUUUCUGUGUGUGAGCUGUGUGUUUCAAUAGGAAGAAAUGAAAGAUGAAUUCUCUGUGUGUGUUCUUUCUGUGAAAUCCCAAAAAUGGGGAUUAUGUGUAUAUCCCCUCCCCCCAUAAUCUUCCAGUGAGUGUGUAUGUAUAUAUCAAUUGUGGUUCUGAGUGUGAAUUAUGUGAGAAAGAUUCCCCAUGGCCCCAAUGUGUAGAGUGUAUAUCUUCCCCCUUUUUUCCCAAUUCUGUUAUGGAGCAUGUGUAUAAACGUGAGGGGGUUAAGGUUGGGGGUAGGGGAUAUGGGGUGUGGUAGGGGUAGGUUGUUAGGAUAGUGGUUGUUGUUUUGUUAGGGUGAAGUGUUAAUUUGCUGGAAGUUUGUUUAUUUGGCUUUUAGUGGAGGGAUUAUCAUACGGGGUAGGGUCCAUGGUUAAACAAGGGUAAAAAUGGAUAAAUUGGACUUUCAUGAGGGACAAAAUUACGUGUCUACAAAUGGAACAUGCACCAUUCAUCUUAGGUAGUAGGAUUUCCAAGUACGCUCACAAACAAGGAUGAAAUUGAGAGGUGUUAAUACAUCCCUCUUCUAUGCCAAAGAAUACCCAGUCAAGGUACAUCUGUAUCAUAAAUUAUAUACAGGUUUCUGUCCAAAAAUAAAGAUCCUUCGCGAUUGCUUAUCCUAAAUGAGUAAACUUGGGACAUGUCCAUAGUUAUUCAUCCUCUAAUGUUUUCAGAAAUCUUGAAAUCUGGAAUAGUGAAUUGUACCAUUGCCUGGAAGUCCCCAAUUAGGAAGCUUGUAUACAACACCAUUACUUUCUAUGAAGGAAUGGUUAAUUUUCCAAACUUCUGUAUUUUUUAGAUUGUCUUGAAUGUUGUCUAUGAUGUCACAUAAGGUCCAAGGUUGGUUUUGCUUUAUUCUUAAUCCAGUCCAUCAUUAAUUUGGAGUAGCAUUCAAUUUCAAGUUUCUUGAUCCUUUUUUGAAUGCACCAGUCAACUCCAAUGUUAUUGUCGUUAUACCCCAUUGCUAUAUAUACUAUACGCAUUGACUAAGUGCCCGUUAUAUCCUUGAUGACCUCUUCUCCACCACAAGGGCUUGAAUUACCUUUGGAACAUCCAUCAGAACUAAGUUACACAAACCUGGCACUUGAUAUUUCCAUUUAAUUACAGUAGAAACUGACUGAUAUUUAGCAAGAUCCAUCAAUUUCCUAAAACAUUUUGAGAAAGCAAAAUAAGUAGUUGGUGAGCUAGAUGAAUGAUUCCAUUGGAAUCCUUGAUAAUCUUUUCAUAUCUAUUCUUGCACCUGGCCUUCCAUAUUUACCAAUUAAUGAUUGUGGGCAUACAUUGAAGAGCUUUUGGACCAAAAUAUCACUUAAGCAUGUCCUAUGGAUAGUUAGAUUUAAAGAGUUGCCAGAAACGGGUAAAAAAUAAGAAUCAAGCUACAAUUGAGUAUAUGUGCUUUCAAAGCCUAAAUUCAUGGUGAAAAGGGAACAAAGAAGGCUUUGAAAUAGGAGAGUGUUGAAUAUGGUUUAAUGUUAUCUGCAUAUGUUCUUACCUAUUAUUACUUGGAUAGAUGCAGUGACUUCGCAAGAUAUUACUUUAACUGUGUGUUAAAAUGCAAAUACUUGUUCAUUUGGAUGUUAGUUUCUAAACCGUAUUACUGUAAAUUUAGCUUACCCUUAGUUUCUAAACUGUAUUACUAUAAAUUUAGCUUACCCUAAAGAUUAUUUUCUCCUUUGCGUAAGUUGAACAUUUACAUUGGUGAUGCGGGAUAUUGCACCUCUUGAAACUAUAGCAGCUUAGAUCAAGCCCUCAUGAUAAUUUACUUCUAAUUAGCUUGGAAGAUGGCAACACUUCCAAAUAUGAAUACCAUAUUUUUGGCUCUUUUUCUUCGUUUUAGUUUACAUGUUAAUUAAGAACGCAUAAUCUUGUAGUUGCACUUUCUAAAUAGCAGGUACAUGUUAUACUUUUUGUAUAAUCUGUUAUCUAAGAAGAUAGUUUUUCCCCUUUUGGUGCAAAGUUUUUGCGCUGCUAACUUUUUUGUCACAAUUAUUGAAUCUUCACUAAUAAAAAUCCUUAAAUUUGUCAGAUCUUUGUUGAUCGAAACAUUGAACUUUCAAUUCAGACUUAUGAAAAUAGUGUAUUCUUCUACUUACUAUCGAGCUAAAAAAUGUUGUCAAAUAAUGUUGAAAUUUGACUUUUAUAUUUUCAUAAAAUUUCUAUUUGGUAAGGAUUAGCGUUAUUGGUUUAACCUAGUAGCCUGUAAUUUUUAUGUUUUUCUACCAUCACUAUAUGAAGAAUUAAAUGAAGUUGUUCAUCUUGCUGAUGUUGUUCAUACACUGACAGAAAGAGGUAUAACAAGUGACAUUGGAUAUAAGCGUUAAUUUUAGGUAUUGUUGGUGUUAGAUGUUGGCUUCUGUGUAGUCUUUCCAACAAUAUUUGAUUUUGAUAGUGGUUUACAGAAGAAUUCUUUCGCUCAUAAUUCUGUGAAUGAAAUUAAUGAUAAUGGGAACAUAUCUUCAACUACUUCUGGAAGGAAUUUUUGCACUCACUAUUCUGCUAAUGAAGAUAAUGACAACAAGAAUAGAUCAUCAACUAUCUAUGGUACUUCAAUGAAGGCUACAUUGGAUGCUUUAGGAUAAGCUCAACAGAACUUCAAGAAAAUUAUCCCUAUCAUCUGAAUUUAACAACAACGGGGCAUUUUUAUCAGCACCUUGUACAAGGACAUGUCCCAAAGAACCCGUACCAAAAGGAGUACUUUGUCGAUCAAAAAUCCCAUAUUUUGUUGACGUCCCCCAUUUGUUCCUUUAUUUGCUAAUUGAAUUAUAAAAAAAAAUUAAGUUCACAAGCCUUUGGCGAACCCCCUUUAAAUCUUUAUAUUUUGGUAGUUUGCCACACUUUGGGUGAGCUGCCUGAAUUUUUUUGUUAACACAUUUUAUUAAUGUUAUUUGAUGUUAUAUAUCUCAAAUGUCACACAUCCUUAGAGAAACAAAUUUUGCAUACCAAUUUAAUAUAACUAACGUAGAAUAUAACGUGCAACGCAUGUUUCGGGAAACUAGUUUAGAAAAAUUUAUCAGAGAGUUUCAUUAUUAAGAAAUGAUUUAAACUAAACAAAAUAAAAUAAAUGAUAUUGCCUUGAUCUAAAAAUAUUCUUUUGGACUGUCCACAAAAUUUAUUUACUUAACUCUUGGAAGGACGACAUAUGCCACGAUUGAUGAACCUUAAUUGCUAAGAACCUCUAAUUACAUGAUUUUGAAGCAAAUGUAUAAACAUGAAUCAAAGAUCAUUGAUAUUUGUGUUGUACACAUUAACACAACUAUACAAGUCAACUCAAGAGUUCGUUGAUGAAAGAAUUUAAAUUUAUACACAACGAUAAUAUUAAGAAUGUGAAAAUAAUUUAUCUGUUUUUUUCUUUCACCUCACUAAUUUUCACUUAUGUGGAAGCAAAUGCUUUUGUGCCGUGCCUCGCCCUUUCCCUUGACCAUUACCACCACCACCCCUACUCCCACCUCCACCUGGUUGAAUCUUUGGAGUUUUCACCUUAAACCACUCAUGCUUGAUCAUUUCACAAUGCUAAUUAACAAGUCGUUCUUUCAAUUGAGAUUCAUGAGUUCCUUUACGAAACAUCAAAGGGCUAUCACUACUGGGAAUCCUUCGUAAAGAAAUAUUUUGACAUAUAUUUUGUUGAUACUUCUAUGAAAACACAACUCUAUAGUUUUCUUGAAGAAGUCUGUUGGAGAGAAGAAGUUUUCUUUUACUUCUACACGCACAUGAAGUAAUGCACUUUUACAUGGGACACUAGAAGAGGAAGUUUUUAAGAUAUUUCCUGCAAGUCUUAAUCCCCCUUCUCCUAAUCACGUUUGCCUCCUCAGCAAAUUCCUUCAUGGCUUAAAUUAAGUUUCACGACAGCGGUAUGCUCGGCUUGGCGGUGCCCUUUGCUAUAAAGAGUACAUUGCUUCAUUGAACGACUAUUUACUAUUUUUCAAAUGAACUAGAAGUUUGAUCUCAAUUCUGUCAGUCUAAGUGGACCAUUUUCUAUUAAUAGGGGUCGAUAUUAUUGAGAUUGAUCAUAUUACUGAUUUUCUUCAUUCAAAAUUCAGACUACACCACAAAAUACCUCUAGACUUCAAGCAUCUCUGUAAAACUUCCGUCGGGACUUUGUUUGAUUAAUUUGAGGCCACUGGCCAGAGUUCACCAUGUUGAAGUAAUUAGGGGUUUGCUGCCAAAAAGGAUGUUUUUAAAAUUAUUUUGUCAAAUAGACGCAAGUUUUAAAAAAUUUGUCAUAUACCUACUUUAAUCCACAUCAUCACUAACUUCUUCAACUCAACAAAUUCACCCAUAAGUUUUAUAAUAAUUCACUUUAACCCAAUAUUUCAAUCUUAAUAAAUUCACCCACAAGUUUCUAAUAAUACACUUCAACCCACUCCAUCAUCCACCAUUAUAUAUAAAAUAUAUUGGGUUUCCAAAAAUAAUUAAAAAAAAUUCAAUAGCUUAAAAUAGAAGCUUUCAUUUUCCUCCAAAGAGCUCCGAUCUUGGCCAAUUUUCUGGCAUUAUUUUUCGGCGAUCAGCUCUAAAUCAGUCCACAAACAUCAUAAGUUUGUCCAUUGCAUCCAUUGUUACCCCAUUUGUUUGCUAUUUCCUCAAACACACUUUCCACCGUAGUUAAAAAGCUUUAAAUCACUAACAUAACUCAAAACCACUUUAGAAAGUACAUCACCGCAGCUCAGGCAACUCUAAGUUCAUUUCUCUAUUCCAUAAACCCAACGAUCAUUGAUUAGAAGCAAUAUUUACAAUUUUAAGAUUUUCGUACGGAUACCUGCCCAGUCAUCGACCACUCAUCAUCAGUCAUCGGCCGUGAAUAUAUCCUGACCAAGAUCAUAAGCAUAAUCGACUAUCGACCAAAGCAUAAUUCUAGGAUAUCUAUUGCAGAAUUUGUUCUGGUUUCUGGUGAUUUCAUGGGAGAAUAGGUAGAGACUCCUAAAUGUUGGAAAUGAAGAUCUUUUACCAAGGUGACACUUCCUAUUCUUGUUCGCCAUAAUAGUUCAUACACAGAAUUAGUUGCAAGCGUAAUGCAGAGUGGAGAUCUAGAUUGAGCGUCAAGCAACGUGGUGAUUAGUUAUCUAAUGCAUUCAAGGGAAAAUAUGAAUCCUAUGAUCAUAAAUAACGAUGUACGUGUGCUGAUGUACAUGAUAGAUGUUGAUACAGAUGGAUUUAGGCCUAUUUUGAGGAUAAAUAUAGUUGGGAGGUCCUUUGAAGGACCUUUGAAUUCAUCACCACUCCCACCUCGGUGCUCGACAGUUGACGAUAAUUUGAAUGAUUAUGAGAACGAUGAUGAUCAUCCAAUUAAUAUAGAAGAUGUUUCAUCGAACUAGCAAGAUGAUGAAGAAGACUGUGAAAUGGGAACAUAACUAGGAUACUCCUUCACCGAUGGAACUAAUUUCUAUAAUGAUCAAACAUUCGUCGACAAGAAAGAGAUGAAAAUGCUACUAGAUACAGCAGCGGCGAGGCAGUCUUUUGAUUAUUGUAUGGAGAAGAGCUAGACCAAAUUCAUGAAGGCAAACUCUUAUCUUGUGGUUGUGGCUUGUUGUUGCGGGCAAGAAAGUAUGAAACCUCAAACAUAUUUCACAUAUACAAGUAUGUCAGGUUGCAAAUGUGCGGUGUUGAACACGCAACCCGCAGGCAUAAGAGAAUCUCCUCCAAAUGAUUGUUUUACUAUAAGUAAAUCAUUUUCAGGAUGGUAAGGGUCCUAGCAUAAGAUAAAUUCAAAGGAUUUUGUUUAAGAAGAUGCUUGCAAUGCAAGAUAUUAGAUGUGUUGGAAAGAAAGUGUAAUUGCAAAAAACAUCAUUCGCGGGACACCGAAGCAUGGAUAUGCUUGCUUGCCGGCUUUUUUCCAUAUGAUGGAGUUAUUGAAUUCCAGGUCUUCUUACUCUAUCAUGGAAAACCGGAUGAAUGGAUCAUUCGUUUACUACUUCUUAGCAUUCGAAGCUUGCAUAUGGAGAUAUGCCCACAUAAAAAAGUUAAUUAUCGUCGAUGGCACAUAUUUGUAUGGCAAGUAUGGGGUGUGUUGCUAAGUAUCAUUGCAUAGGACACUGAAAAUCAUAUCUUUUCAGUUGCCUUUUGUAUCGUGGAUAAAGAGAACGAUACUUCUUGGACCUUUUUUGUUCGAUAAGUUAAAGUCUAUAGUAGAAGAUGAACCAGAUCUAUGUGUCAUAUUCGAUAGGCAUAUUAGCAUUGCCAAUGCCAUCUCAGUGUUUAUAGUCAUGCACAUCAUGGACUUUGCAUGAGUCAUCUUACUGAAAAUCUUCGUGUAAAUCAACACUGUAGAGAAUAUCUUUAUCUGUUAUACACCACGACAAAGGCUUAUACUAUUGAUGAUUUUAGCAAGCAUUUUGCAGAAUUAAAAAAUAAUUUUCCCAAGACAGCACAUGUCCUUGAAAAUGCGCUUGGUUUUGAAAAAUGGAGUAGAGAACACUUCUCAGGCAAUAGGUAGGAUGUGAUGAUCACAAACAUUGUUGAGUCACUCAACUUGGUGUUGUUGGAUGAAUGAGAGUACCCCGUGUCGCACAUAUUCAAUUAAAUUGCUAAAAAAUUUGGUGAAAAGUUUAGGAAGCGGCAUGCCUUUGUCGAUGGCAAAAAUAAUAAGUUUAUACCUUGUGCGGCAAAGAUCCUAAGGUAUAAUAAGAGUGCGAGCGAUUCCUUGUAUGUGACUAAUGUAAAUGAAGGUCUUGACCAAUUCACGGUGUUCAGCACUGGUGUUAUCGCCAAGGUCAAUCUCUUAGAGAGGAGUUGUUUUUGUCGACACUUGGUGAAAAUACUGUGAGAACAUAUGAUGGCAUCUUUACGAGUAAAGUAUGAAGAUGAUGUAGGUUAUAGUAACUCUAUCUAUGAGUACACUUUGCCAAUUUAUAAAGCUAAAACUUACCUCCUCACAUACUCAGAAGCUAUUAACAUUGUCCCUCCAAAGGCUGAAUGGAUGGUGCCACAGGAAUUGCAAGACACUAAGAUUUAUCCACCUCCCUACGAUCCCAAACUCGGAAAGAAGAAAGUCAAAUGCAUUAAGAACGUCGGUGAGACAUUCAAGACCAAAAUGAGGAAUAGGUGUUUAAUAUGCAAGAAAUUCGGGCACAAAAGAACCACAUGUAGCAUGACCAGCAAAUCUUAGAUAGGCUUUUUUUUUGUUCAGUUGUAAAGCUACUAUUUUGUGGGAUAACUGUGCAUUUAUGUAGAAUUUAACGUUCAGUUGUAAUUGACUCAAAGCUUUGUCUAUGGUAGACAACGUUAUUCUAUGGUAUAUCUUUCACACGAGCUAUAAAAUAUUAUGUAUUGGUUAUAUGAUCACUCAUCAAACACGCUAUGUGGGUUUCUUUACUGCCAUAUCUCUCCAGUCGAUGCAUUGAAUCAUUGUUUCCCACUCUCAUUUAAUUAAAAGCUAUAAAAAUGUCUGUUUACAAGAAAAAUUACUGGUAUACGCAAACCAAGCGUUUUCUAUUCUCACACGCGUCAACUGACCAUUGGGUGGAAAUAUAAAAGGCUUCUAUAGGUCUAUAAGUAAAGUGAAUAUUUCUAUGUAAGCCUUCAGUUGUCCCUAAACCCAAAACAUCAGAAACCCUCUUCUUUUUCCCUACAAUCGAAAUCAUGCCUGGCCACUGAAUUACCUUUCGCCCAAUCAAACGAAUUCCCCCUCGUCACUAUGAUUUACUGCCGUUACCAAAUAAUUUUUAUCGGCUAUUCCACGGCCUGGGCGAAGACCGAGUGUGCUUGGAGCGUGAGCUUUGAUGUAUUGCUCGUUUCCUCUGAGCAAUCCUUGAGAGGCUUGGAAUGGACGGCAAUGACUACUUCAGCCCCCCACCAUCCCCCUAAUUUAGUUUAUGUUUUUAUUUUAGUUUAUGUUUUUAAGUUUUUUGUAUUGUUCAUUGUUGAAGAAGCUUUUUCAGUAUUAUUUUGUUAGAAGAAAGCUUCUUCUAUUUUGCCUUUUUUGUUGAACUUAUAUGAAUGUAAUGCAAUGACCAAGUUGAAUAUAAAUAUUUUAGUUUCAAAAUUAUGUUUUUCCUGUUUUUUUUUCAUUGUUUCAUUUUGUGUUGGUUAUUCUUCUGUAAAAACAACUUUUCAAAUAUUUAUUCCUAGUUCAAUGAACACUAGUGUAGAUUGAAGAUUAAAUUCAGGAAGAAUAAAAAAUUAUAUAAAGUCUAUCAUCGAUCUUAUACUCCGUCAGUCCUCGACCGAACAUAGUAGUUGAUCAUAGACUAUGUGAAUCGAUGGGCCAUUAGUAGCUUGUAGUUUGAAAGAAAAAUGGUUAAAUUAAAAAUAAUUUAAAUAGACAAUAACAUGUUUUGGGGCUGGUGGAACAAAAUAAUUAAAUUAAAAAUAAUUUAAGCAGAUAAUAACAUGUUUUGGGGCUAGUAAAACAAAAUAAUUAAAUUAAAAAAAAAUUAAUUGGAUAAUCACAUGUGUUUGGGGCUGGUGGAAGAAAAUAAUUAAAUUAAAAAUAAUUUAAAUGGAUAAUCACAUGUGUUUGGGGGUGGUGGAAGAAAAAAAUUAAAUUAAAAAUUAUUUAAGCAGAUAAUAACAUGUUUUAGGGCUGGUGAAAGAAAAUAAUUAAAUUAAAAAUGAUUUAAAUAGAUAAUCUUGAACUGUUGGUGACACUUAAUAGACCGCUGUCGAUGUUGACCCAUGUCAAUUUCAGUAAAAAAAUAUACUUGUGCUUUGAGGGUCCAUCGAUUCGUUUGGUCUACCAUAGAUCUAUACCAUUAGGAGUGUAUCAGUUGAUCUACUGCUUAUGCGUAGACCACAGUGAUUUAUGUACACUGUUAUAGACCAACACUUAUGUUGUUCAAAAAUGAAUAAAAAAAUUAAAAAUAAAGGUACUAUGGGUUUCCACACAUGCUAAUGAGUGUAAACAAGUCACAUAAUCAUAUUAGAUCUUAUACAAAUUAGGGGUGGUAAAUCAAGGAGUGUAUGGAUGGAUGGGUAGUGGUUGAACAAACAAUAUCCUAAGAGUAAUGUUUGUCAAAGUACAAGUAUGUUUUGAGGAUGAUGAUUUUAUUUGAUGACUACCCAUUCCACAUACUACUUCAAUCACCAUCCCUGAAUCAAAAGAGUAUGUGGAAUGGAUAGUGGUUGAACAAUCAUCAUCUUCAAAGCAUACUUGUGCUUUGACAACCAUUACUCUUAGAAUAUUGUUUGUUCGACCACUACCCAUACACAUACUCAUUUAUUAAUCAUACCUAAUUUGUAUAAGCUCUAAUAUGAUUAUGUGACUUGUUUACACUCCUUCGUAUGUGUAGAAACUCACACUAUAUUUAUUUUUAAUUUAUUUAUUUAUUUUUAAACAACAUUCAAGCAUUGGUCUAUAGCAGAGGUCUAUGCAUAAUUAGGACAUCAAUCAAUGCACUCCUUACGACGUAGGUCUAUGAUAGACUAACCGAAUCGAUGGACUCUCAAAGAACAGGUAUAUUUUUUACUAUAGUAUUUUUUUAUUUAACAUAUUAUUGAGGGUCCAUCGAUUACGAUUGUUUAUGGGAGACUUUAUUAUCUUGUUGAUUACAUAUAUAGGUCAUGAUCUACGACAGUCUAUUAAGUGUCACCAAUAGUUCAAAAAAUGCAAUUACUGUUCCAACGGUAACAAACGGCUAAUUUUGUACUUCAUCAGUGUUAACACUUCUUUUUACUUCAUAUAUAAUGUCCUCCAUCCCUCAUUAUUUUAUUUCAUCCACUUUGUUUUUAUUUUAAAAUUCUACAAUGUCUCAAGCAUUCCAAACAUUCAAUUCUAAAAAAACUCUAAUUUUUCAUUCUGGAAACCGACUGUCUUGAGGACACCACGCACGAACUCAAAUUCAGGUCGCAAAUUUUAUAAUUGUGCGAUUGCAAAGGUGAGUCGUGUAUGUCCUUUUUUAUAAACUUAAGUAAAUCGUUAUGUGAUUAUUAUUUUUUUCUAGGAUAAUGGCGCAUGCUCGUUUUUUAAAUGGCUUGAUGAGGUAUCACCUCCAAGCAGUCCAUCAACGUGAGUUCGGGUCCCGAGACAUAAAAUUUUCAUGGCUUGGCAAAAUUUAAUCUACUACAAAGGCUCCGAGAAUGCAAAGAAAAUAAAGAUCUUCUCAUGACUUUGUUCAAAGAAGCAAAAGAGCAGAGAGAUCACUUGAAAGUAUUGCUGCAUGACACCUAAAUAGAGAGGAAUCAACUAAAACAAAAAUUUAUUUUGGCCAAAGAAAGAGAAUGACCUAAAAAUGAUGUUUUGUGCUAAAAUGCUAGUAUUCGUUCUUUGAAAAAGUGUAACAUGGAUGUACUGAUAUUGAAUAAAUAAAAAUACUUCUAUUUUUCUAUAAUGUUAAUACUGUUUUUCAUAGAAUCACAGUUGAUCAAACAACACAUUAACUUAAAAUCGAGUAGCAUGGUAUUGAUAGACCAUGAAAGCAGUAUACGAUAGAUUAAAUAUGCAUUCUAUGAUGUCAACUAUACACACUAUAAAUUAUGAAAACACAAUGCAUAUUCAAAUUCCAUGCAAAAAUACAGUUUGAUAGAAACAGAUUCAGUGCAGAAUCAUAACAAAUUUUAUAAAAUAAAAGAAUGUUUCUUAUAUCCUACCAACAGAUCCUUCGACUUUCAUAUUUGUCUAAUUAAAAGAAAUAUUUUUCAUAUCCUAACAACUGAUCAUUCAACAACACAUUAAAAAUAUUAGAAUUCAAAUGUCUUUUCCCCUAUUUUCCUCAUCAACACAAAUGUUACUGUUGAUUUCAUCAAUGAUAUCCAUGACCACAUCUUUUUGGUCUGCUUCUUCUUUUUCUUCUUUAUGUUCUCCUUCUUCUUUGUCUGCUGCUUCUUUUUUUUCAUCUUCAGUUUCAUCUUUUUUUUUCUCAACAGCUGCAGCUGCUGCUUCAUUCUCACCUUGUUCUCCUUUUUUUUCGGCAUCUGCAGCAAUUGCUGCUUCUUCAGCUUUCUUUUCUUCCUCAGCUUCUUCUUUUUCUUCACCUGCAGCAGCUGUUUCUUCCUCAGCUUCUUCUUUUUCUUCACUUACUACUUCUUUCUCGGCUUCUUCUUCUUCAUCAACAUUUUCUUUUUCCUUGCCUUCUUCUUCAUCUGUUGCAGCUUCUUUUUCAGCUUCUUCUUUAGCAACUGCUUCUUUUCCACUUUUUUCUUAGCUCUUAUCUUCUUCCAUUUCUUCUUCUCCAUUCUUCUUUUCUUUUUUAUUCUCUUCUGCCACAACAGUGGCCAAUUCAUCCAUUUUGCUCCCCUCCGAUUCUCGAAGGUUCACAUGCACUGUGUCAUCAUAUUACAAAGUGUUACUAAUAUUUAAGACUGAAAAUUCAUUAACUCAAUCAAUUAUUAAAUGAAGUUACCUCGCUCAUGUUGUCGCUCAUCAUUUUCCUUGUUCUUCAGUCUUUUCUCUUUGAUAUUGGUAACAAUAUCCAACACCAAUUCCUCAAGCAUAGCAACAUGCUUAUGAAGAUCCCCAGGGGAUGAUGUACCCGUUGCAUCUUUGGAUUUUCUCAAAGAAGAAUCAUCAUCAACGCGUACUCCAAUGGGGUUACCACCUAAAUCUCUGUCAUCAUCACUAUCCUAAUUUGAAGUAAGGACAGUCACCCCUUCUAACUCUUUCUUCAAGCCAUCGAGGACGUUAUUAUUUAUCUCAUUCGUAUAUGGCUUAAACAUAACCAUGUAAUCCAUAUUUAUCUCAUGAACAGUAGGGAUGAUGUACGGGUUCACGUUCUACAAAAAAUCAAUUGACAAUUAUAUAACAUUCGAUACAACAGUAGUAUUAUUGCAUAAUAAAAAUAAGUUCAUACCUCGAUAAAUUUUCCAUUAUACUUGAAUAGGUCGUUUUUGAUUGUCUUGUCACAUUUUAUAGUAUACCAUCUGAGGAUGCGGGAAAUGAAAAAGGGCUCAUUCAUUGAUUUUUCAAUAAAUUUUUCAAGAUGAAGAAAGGCCUCAUAAAUCCAAAUCUGUAAGCAGUACAGUAGUGAAAAAAUAACUCAGAGUUUAUGACAGAGUAUAAAUAAAACACGAAUCUAGGAUAAUCUCACUAAAGGGUUGUUGGUAGAUACCAUGAAUGCCUAGGGAAAUUCGAAUAGAGCAUAGGAUGUCUUCUGCUUCUCAUCAAAUACAUCCAUCUGCUUUUUCAGGUCAAUUUUCUUCUUUAGAUAGUCCAUGGUCAGUUGAAAUGUCUCUUUUCCCCAUGGAUAACUCUCGAAGAAACUCAAAAAUCGACCAUUCGAAUCAAUUUUGUGUCGAUAACUUUCGUCGAAUCUUUUGCAAGCAACAUGGUGUGCAAGAACCAUAGUAAAAAAUACUUAAGCUUCUGCUCCUCGUUCAGCUUAUUCCCUCUGAUCAGGUGUAACAACUUGGCUGCCGUAAUAUUUUUAUUUUUCGUCACCUUAAAGAAAAAAUUCUCCCUUUUGGCUAACACCUUCUUCAUUUUUUAUUCACUAGGGUAUGAUGACCAGUUCAACCCCGUAAUCAAAAAACACUCUUUCAAGCCAAAACAGUCAGGCUUGUUGUUAAUGUUGAACCAUAUCUCAUGAUGCAUUUUAUCAUUCUUAACGCGUCGCAAUAGCAAAUAAUGAACCAACUACCCAUUGAUUUUGAGAUAUUCCAGCAGGUUUCUCAGGUAUCCAAAAUAGGACUGCUUGAAUCUUUUCUUCAACUCCUGGUCGACAAGAACUUUCUUAAAUUCUCGAUAAGUAGUCAUUCUUGAUCUGAUCGAUAUCAUUGUCGGGAAAGAUCCAAACUCGUCCAUUAUCGUUUGAAGGUCAUAACACUCCACGAAAAUGAACCUUGAAAGAGAUGACACGGACGAGGGAUCAUUAUCCCCAUCAGCACCGUUUCUUCCACUUCCCUUGCUCUCUUCACUGUCUCCACUAGCACUACGCUUGACAACAUCUUCACUAGAAUCGACGUAUUCGCUUAUCUCUUUUAACUCCAAAUCUGAUUCGGACACUGCCUCUUCAAUUUUCUUAUUUUUUAAGACAUUUUCAAUUGCCUCAACUUUUCUUUUUCUACUACUACCAGUAGACUCAGAUGCGGUACUGGCUUUGUGUUUAGGAAGGGGUCUUUUUUUUACCCAUUUUCAAUAAAAUCUACUCCUAUAAAAUAAAUAUGCCAUUUUCAGUUCAUAGACCACAAGUCUACCAACAGAAAUUACUUAAUGCUCAAAUGAAAAAUUUCAAAAAACUAAGAAAUACCCUACCAUUAAAUAGUUCACUACACAAAAAUACAAUAACUGAACCAAAAUCCAACAUGUAGUAUCAAAACUCAAAUAUUGUUAAAAUCAAACUAGUGCUACAAAUCAAACUAAUUAGCAAUUAAUCUUUCAAUUUUCACUAUUUCCGCAAUCAUAUUUCAAAAGAAUUUCAUAUGUCUAAAAAUUGAUUUCAAUCUAGGGUAUUCUAAUUUCAUAGACCACGGGUCUACAGACAGAAACAGGUCACUGUUUGAAUUAAAUUGGCAAAAUAACUCUUAAAAUAAUAGUUAUCCCACCAUUCAACACUUAUUUGCUAUAAAAAAAAUAGAACUAAAUCAAAACUCCUAAACAAAAGUUUCAAAAUUCAACACCAUGAUCGACGAAAAAAUCUGUCAAAAAUGUCGAAUAAAACCUCAACCAUUGCUUCAAAAUCAAACUCAUUACCUAUAAAAUUCUCAUUUUUUAACUACUUAAUCAACCAAAUUUGAAAAUAAAAAUUCCUACAUCACUACGAAUUGAUUAGCAAAGAAACCCGUUUAAAUGGAUCUACAAAUGAUCGAAACUUGAUUUUAACUAAUCUUACGAAGCAACAACGAGCCCUUAGCAGCUGGAGAACAAGAAGAAACGAAAAUGACAUUUUGGGAGCAAGGUUCUCGAAAGCGGGAGUUGGGAGAGAAUUGAAGAGGAGAGAGAAGGUCUUUUUUAUAUUGGAAUAAGUGGAGGGUGUUAGGCGUAUCAUAUUAAAUUUGUAAAGUUAUAAAAAUGAUGAAAUGGUCUCUUGGCCCACGUGUAGGCCCCACUUUUUAACUUUUCCCCACUUUUUAUACCCUAACCCUAAAAAUUAAAUCAAAAAGAAAUUUAGUGGGUAUAUGACAGUAGUUUUGGAAAAGUAUCCUUUUGCAAAUUUUUCCCAUGUAAUUAACUCGCUUGUUUGAUCAAUUUUUGUUUAUACUUUUAAUAAGUAUGUUUUUAGUGCUAGUUUCUUUUUCUUUUUCUUUUUUUUUUUUGCGUAAAUCAUAUUUUCCUUUUACAUUUAACAAUCUAGCACAGGGAAAAUCACUACGAAAUGCAAAAACUUUUUCCUUUACCUCAGCAAAAUCAAAUGUUUUUUUCAUUAAACUUCUAAUAGUAGUACUGAUAUGUUUCCAUAUUUAAAAUAAGCUCCGAGAUUCCAAUAUCGGGAUGAACUAAUUGUUCCAACACCUUGAAGAGAGCUUUCAGAAGUUGUGAAUAUAUACUAGCUUAAUCGUGUUUUAUAUUAAGGUUAAUACGAUUUUGUAUAGAAGAUGGAGGAGAUGAUGAUGCCUUAACUAUAAUUAACGUGUAAGAAAAAAACCUGAUGAAGUUGGGAGAUUUUAUCAUAUAUAUGCACAUCCCCAACCAUAAAAAAACAAAUAAUUGAAACCAAAUUAAGAAGAAUUAAAAGAAGAAACUGCAUAGUCGAAGAAAAUAUUCAUACAACUACUAAAAGAUAAAACCUUUACAUUCAUGCUAUUAUCACCCAAUUAGUCCCAAAAAAAAAAAACACCUAAUACCUUAACUUUAUCUAAUAAUUUCCAGCAACUCAUCUGUCACGACCCUAACUAGGGCCUGGCCAUGACGGACAUCUCGAACCAUGAAGGUUCGGAAUGCCCUUCUCUAUCUAGUAAUCAUGCACAACAUUUAUAUAAUAAAAGAAGAUGCGGAAAACAUAAUUCGUUAUGAAAACAUCGUCAAUUCUAAAAUCAACCUAAGUAUGGGAACUAUAGAUCAACUACAUCUAAAUAACAUCUGACAUCAGUCUACGAAAUUUCUACUACAAGAAAAUCUGACAACUGUCUGAAUCUGGGACAAAGCCCCCAGUAGACCAAAACAGAAAUAAAUGACAUAAUCUGAAAAGACAGGCCUUCCAAAAUAGAGAAGGCUCACCAACUGGACACUGCAAAUCUGUCUGAUAAAUGCUACUGCUUUUCUGAACCCCUAGACUGAGCCUCAAAACUCGGAGGGAGGAGGGAAGGUCAAUACAGAUGUACUGGUACGCAAAGCAAUCCAAAAGAAUGCUUUUAUAUAAGUAAAAUAAUGAGAGAGAAAAUUUUCAAAAUAUCAUGUAUGAAAUAGUUCUAAAAAACAUGGGCACUUUUCUAUAAAAAUCAUAAAUCAUUCUGGACAAUGCAGUUCUGUUCUUUGUAUUAAUUCUGAGCUAGGUGGUACACCCCUACAAUUCUAAAAUCCCACGGGCUGUAUAGAAUCCGCCAUUGACUCGGUGGGAAAGCCCCCAACCCGAGUGUGCCGCAAGGGUUGGAGUUUCUGAUUCUGAUACGCCACAUGGCUGUAGGCCAGCGUAAUAUAAUAAACCCAGAUCGACAAAUCACGAUUUCAGGCAAUGAGUUGUCUGAACUCAUGCCUUCUUCGGGGAACCACCUAAGCUCUCUUUAUGCCCAAUUUUAUCCUGUUCUGGACCGUGCAUUUUUAUCUAGUUUCAACAUCUGGAAAGUCUGAUUUCAAACAAGCAUUUUAUUCUGUUCUUAAUUAUCAUGGCAUAAUCUGAAUUGGUGUCGUCACACUAAGACUUGCAAGUCCUAUUUCUGAGCCAUAAUGCAUCAUGCAUAAUUCUUUCAUGAAAAUACAGUUCAGACCACCCAAAUAUGCAAUUAGUAUAAGAGAUAUCAUGUUUCGAAACUCAAGUCAAAACUAUGCAAAAACUGUCAUCCAGCAUAUGGUGGUCAUGUAUUUUGGCAAGCAUGCAACUAUUUCAUUAAAUGAAUAUUCAACCUUUAUCAAUAUGCACAACCCUCUCUUUCGAAUUCAAAACCAUAAAUCAAAUUGAAGCAUAAAUCAAGAUAUUUCAUAUCAUGCUUUUCAAGAUACAUUCAAAAUAAUCCAUAUCAUAUGAAAAUUAGGAAAAAUCAUAUCAAGAUAGGGAUUCAUGUGAGUCGUGCUCUCAAUUCAUUCAUAAUUCAUAAAACAUAUGCAUACGUAUAUAUAUGUAAUUCAAAUCCAUUUGAGGAAGGCCUAAAGACCAAAACAAUGUCAUCAAGACUUCUAAAACAUAUUUAUAUUCGUAAAUCUAAAACCCCUUUUCUUAAAACAUGAUUUCUAUGCCCAUGAGAUUUUUAGAAAAAUCCCGCGUACCUCGAUUUCAGAGAAUAAUGGAUGAUUCUUGAAGCUUAUGGAUUGGGGAUUUCAAAUCUCUAAUUAUCUUCUAAAAUCCACGGUUGAAUCUUGAGUUAUUUGGGUUAUGAGUUUGAAACCCUAGAGACUGUUCUUGGUGGUUUUUGAGAGAAAUAUCAAUAAUGAGGUGAUUUAGGGCUUUAAUUUCGUGUUAAGGCUGAAAAAGGAAUAGAAAAUAUCCAAAAUACCCUUAAUGAGACGGAGUUUAAAAGCUAAAAAAUUCUCAGGCAUGCAGCAGACCAUGCAUCGCGUGCUAUAUCCCACCGCACUGGAGCAUGCAACGCAUGCUAUUUCGUAUGCUGCCACCUUGCAUUGGACCAUCCGACGUACACAUACUAUAUGGUUCUACUAUUUUGGGCAUCCAAACAUGCCCUAAACAAGGUCCAAAAAUUUUGAAACUCAACCGAGAUGUUCUACGACCUUGCCCCAUCGCAACGCAAUAAGAAAAUCUAAAAUCAGAGGUCGGAAAGGUCGAAAAUAAAUUCCUAGAAGAUUGAAAGCUAAAAAUGAGAUUAAGUCUCUUUAACACUUAGAAAAUUUUUUGACUCUUUCCAACUCUUUGAGCAUACUACUAGAGGCUAACAUAUACAUGAAUUUUACGGGGUGUUACAUUAUCUCCCCCUUGGGAUCAUUUGUCUCCGAAUUAUGGGUAGAAACUUGUUGACGCUUAAAGGUAUGGAAUAGCGAGGACAUAAUGAGUACUCUAAGAAAGAAUAUAUUGAUCUAAAACAUUUAAACUUCUAUCAUGGAAUUGAAUUCUAAGCUGACUUGACUUUACUUGCUUCAAGGAGCUUAUUCAUGCUGAGAGUUUAGGAUUCCCUUGAAGUGUCUAUGAUCCAAUCAUACAUAUUGAAUUGAGAAAUGAUAACUUAUGUAAGUACGAAUCUUGAGAUUACAAAAUUUAGAUCGUACAAAGGUCUUACAAUAUCAGAGCUAAGAUGCCUAGAAAGAUUUGAGACUAUGCGCUGAAAUCUUAUGAACUAAGUCAUAACUAAAUAGCUAAAUCUGAAACAUGAUGUUUGGACUGAACUAAAUUCACAAUUUACAUGGAUGGAAUAGAUUAUUUCUUGGGAUGGUCAUACGUAUAGGACUUCGGAUAGUAGGACUGGGCAAAAAGCUGGAAAACUACAGUAACUUGUCUUCCUGACUGUUAAACUAAACUAUACUCACUACACUCUGGGGUAUGGAAUACAACAAUACACGUCAUUAAUAGAACUUAACCUGAAUAACUACACCUGGGAGUGAAAAACCCACUGUGAAUACCACCUUCUGAGACACACUCUAUCAUUCUAUAGACCCAAUAGUCAUCACAUAAUACUAAGACACUUACUUCGAAUCUUCACAAGUAUCCCUAUAGUUAGAGUGUACAUCCUUUGGUGCUUCAACUCUUAUUUCUAUUAGCUCAAUCUUCAAAAACUCAAACUUAAAUUCUAACACUUAGCAUGGAUAUCACCAAGCCUCUGAUGAACCAUACUACUUCCGUCACAGCAUAUCAAUAUCGCGCUCCAACUUUUAUCUCCCUACCAUGAAAAUUCAAGAUCAUAUAAAAAAUCUCAACACUAUCAAUCAGAACUCCUUAACUUGGCUAUUUAGAAUACCAUAUACCAUCUAGCAACUCAACGGUACCACUAGCCACACACAAUAUGUAAUAGCCUUAGAAAAAUUACCGCCACCUCAUAACACCUUGGGUGUACUUCUACAUCAUACAUAUAACACCAUACUUCAUUACGAAUCAAACAAACUUAAGCUCUGGUAUACACUGUUCAAGCCUAUUAGAUCACUUCCAUAAGACUAAUAUCAUUAACCAAGAAAUCAUCACAUCCACCUUCAUGGACAUCAACUGUUCAACUUAAUGUCUAGUGCUAAACAUGAUUUACAAUCUAACCUGACACACAAUUCUCACAAAACAUUUAUCAUUAAUCUUAAGCCACUAUUCUUACAUCCACAUUUUACAUUAAAUUCAAGCCUACAGUCUAGCAUCAAUCAUCUACCACCACUAAAGAAUGCAACACAAUAUACUAGUCCAUCAAAUUAGGACAUUCUAACCAAAUACCUCAAAAAUCUACUACAUACCUUCUCACAAGUAGUACUAGUUUACAACUACCAACGGAAAGAAGGUCAAGGGGGGUAAAGUCACAUAAUAGACAUGGUCAACCUUAAUUUUAUAUUAUAACCCCUUACAAUCUUAUCUACUUAUAAGGUUUUCUCACAUAACACUUACUUGCCCAAGAGUACAUUUAGACUACCUUCAAAUUCCACCAGCAGCCAUAAGUCUAUAAUCAUUACUUACUGGCUCAUCUAGCCAUUUUCAUACUUCAAGCAGACAAUAAUUCACCUUAACUAAUAACUCAUUCUCUACCUUCUACAAAACUAACACACAUGGACGUAUCACUUUAUUACCAACUCAACCUCAUACGAAAAGAUUCGACUAUACAUAUAUUCAACCAACACAAGAACAACAAAUUGAAUAACAAGCUAUUAGUGAACCAAAAUAGGCUCCACACGGCUUCACUAGACAUUGAUUUUUGUGUGUUUGAACAAGAAAUGAGAUGAAUAACAAAGCAACAAUGCUAGUGAAUCAAAAGAGCUCCACACGGCUUCACUAGACUUUGAUUUUUCAAAACACCAUGAUAGCAAGAUUACAUAUUACAAGAGAUACAAAAUUAACACACAAUAUUCAAUGAUCUAAGGAUACACAUCUUACUCUGUAUAAAUAAAAAUAUGAGUCAAACACUUCCCCUACAGACUACAAUACAAUCCACACAUGCUACUAGCUACCACAUUAGUUUAUCACUAUAAAGUGGUAAAUCAUCUUCAAAAAUCGGUUAUUCAACUAAAAUGUUUAUUUACAUAAAAGUCACCCUCACUCUGACUUCUAACUUUGUGACUUCAUAUCACCAAGUUCUUGGUAUAAUCCCACUACCAAUAGGUCAUGACACCGACACUUUAACUUAUACUACUAAUCGGGUGGAAAUACAGUUCCAACAUUCUGCUACACAUCAUUUCCCCUGAAGCAUGACAUCUGCAACAUAAAUUUUUGAAAAGAGAUAGAAUGCUCUUAAUACCGUAGGACAAAAGCAUAAUUUCAUUAAAAUCAAGGUUCACUCUAGAACCAAUACAUUCUGAAGCACUAACGGACUCUUCUCAAGUCCUUUCAAAAAUCUUAUAUGAUUCGCUCAGAAAGAACCAUACCAUUCAGACUCUAGACUUCUGUACUUGAAUCGGCCCAACAAUCAAACAUGUCUGAGAAUAUCCAAGUAAGGAAAGAAUUGGGCUGACUGUUACUUUUGUAUGGGCGACACCAUAGCACGAAUUUGAGUAUGGAAGGUGAACAUUCUCAUAGCACGAAUUUGAGUAUGGAAGGUGAACAUUCUGACUCUAUUGCACGAACUAGAACAUGAAGAAGGGGAAAUAUUCCUAAAUUCCUAGUAGCCUCCUGCUUAUAAGUGUGGCGCGCUACACACCCAUAAACAAGACUCUACCCGACGCGAUUUCGUAGACACCCUGGGACCAUGAACCUGGAUUUGAUACCAAGUUUGUCACGACCCAAACUAGGGCCUGGCUGUGACGGACAUCCCGAACCAUAAAGGCCUGAAAUGCCCUUCUCUAUCUGGUAAUCAUGCACAACAUUUAUAUAAUAAAAGAAGAUACGGAAAACAUAAUUCUUUACGGAAACAUGGUCAAUUCUAAAAUCAACAUAAGUAUGGAAUUGUAGAUCAACUAUAUCUAAAUAACAUCUGACAUUAGUCUGCAAAAUCUCUACUACAAGAAAAUUUGACAACUGUCUGAAUUUGGGACAAGGCCCCCAGUAGACCAAAACAGAAAUAAAUAACAUAAUCUGAAAAGAUAGGACUUCUGAAAUAGAGAAGGCUCACCAACUGGAUACUGCAAAUCUGUCUGAUAAAUGCUACUGCUUUUCUGGAGCCCUACACUGAGCCUCAAAACCUGGAGGGAGGAGAGGGGUCAAUACAGAUAUACUGGUAAGCAAAGCAAUCCAAAAGAAUGCUUUUAUAUAAAUAAAAUAAUGAGAGAGAAAAUUGUCAAAAUAUCAUGUAUGAAAUAGUUCUAAAACACAUGGGCACUUUUCUGUAAAAAUCAUAAAUCAUUCUGGAUAAUGCAGUUUUGUUCUUCGUAUUAAUUCUGAGCUAGGUGGUACACCCCUACAAUUCUAAAAUCCCACAGGCUGUAUGGAAUCCGCCAUUGACUCGGCGAGGAAGCUCCCAACCCGAGUGUGCCGCAAGGGUUGGAGGUUCUAAUUCUGAUAUGCCACAUGACUCUAGGCCAGAGUAAUAUAAUAAACCCGAAUCGGCAAAUCACAGUUUUAGGCAAUGAGUUGUCUGAACUCAUGCCUUCUUCGAGGAACCACCUAAGCUCUCUUUAUGCCCAAUUUUAUCCUGUUAUGAACCGUGCAUUUUUUCUAGUUUCAACAUCUGAAAAGUCUGAUUUCAAAAAAGCAUUCUAUUCUAUUCUGAAUUAUCAUGGCAUAAUCUGAAUUGGUGUCGUCACACCAAGACUUGCAAGUCCUAUUUCUGAGCCAUAAUGCAUCAUGCAUAAUUCUUUCAUAAAAACACAGUUAAGACCACCCAAAUAUGCAAUUAGUAUAAGAGAUAUCAUGUUUUGAAACUCAAGUCAAAACUAUGCAAAAACUGUCAUCCAGCAUAUGGUGGUCAUGUAUUUUGGCAAGCAUGCAAUUAUUUCAUUAAAUGAAUAUUCAGCCUUUAUCAAUAUGCAUAAUCCUCUCUUUCGAAUUCAAAACCAUAAAUUAAAUUGUAGCAUAAAUCAAGAUAUUUCGUAUCAUGCUUUUCAAGAUACAUUCAAAACAAUCCAUAUCAUAUGAAAAUUGGGAAAAAUCAUAUCAAGAGAGGGAUUCAUGUGAGUCAUGCUCUCAAUUCAUUCAUAAUUCAUAAAACAUAUGCAUACGUAUAUAUAUGUAAUUCAAAUCCAUUUGGGGAAGGUCUAAAGACCAAAACAAUGUCAUCAAGGCUUCUAAAACAUAUUUAUAUUUGUAAAUCCAAAACCCCUUUUCUUAAAACAUGAUUUCUAUGCCCAUGAGAUUUUAGGAAAACCCCGCGUUCCUAGAUUUUGGAGAAUAAUGAAUGAUUCUUGAAGCUUACGGAUUGGGGAUUUCAAAUCUCUAAUUAUCUUCUAAAAUCCACGGUUGAAUCUUGAGUUAUUUGGGUUAUGAAUUUGAAAUCCUAGAGAGUGUUCUUUGUGAUUUUUGAGAGAAAUAUCAAUAAUGAGGUGAUUUAGGGCUUUAAUUUCGUGUUAAGGCUGAAAAAGGAAUAGAAAAUACCCAAAAUACCCUUAAUGAGACAGAGUUUAAAAGCGAAAAAAUUUUCAGGCAUACAGCAGACCAUGCGUCGCAUGCUAUAUCCCACCACACUGGACCAUGCGACGUAUGCUAUAUCGCAUGCUGCCACCGUGUGUUGGACCAUGUGAGGCACGCAUAUCGCAUGGUUCUACAGUUUUGGGCAUCCAAACAUGCGCUAAACAAGGUCCAAAAAUUCUGAAACUCACCCGAGAUGUUCUACAACCUUGCCCCAUCGCAAUGCAACAAGAAAAUCUAAAAUCGGAGGUAUUGGAAGCUAAAAAUGAGACUGUCUCUUUAACAGUUAAAAAAAUUUUCAACUCUUUCCAACUCUUUGAGCAUACUACUGGAGGCUAACAAAUGCACGAAUUUUAGGGGCUUAAAAAAUUUAAAAACUGAAAAAAAGUAAAAAAAUCACCUCAAUGAGGCACACAACUUCAAUUUUGAUAUUACAAACGAACAAAAUAUAACUCAUGUGACUAUCUGUUUUGUUUCCAUAAAACUGGAGUUGCUCUAAAUUAUUUGUUCUCUGGCCUACUUAAUCCGGGUGUUGGAUUGAACAUUUCAGUAGUUAACUCCAAUUCACAAGCUGCUUCCACCAUGUAACAUUUGACAGUGGAUGUCAAUGGAGACUACACUUCUUCAGUAGAACUUGAUGGUUGGUGAGUAAUUAUUUGAGAUAAAGAGUGUUGGAGCUACACUGGAAAUUAUUCCUGGAAAUAGUUCCCCUUUAGUUUGUUUGCAUUGUGUUGUGAGGUGACUUACUCCUUUCAUCCAUCCGUUUAAUCUCUUCAUAAUUAACCUCAUUUGCAACGGCGAAUCGGUUGUCAUCAUGGUUGGUAAUUACUUGAUGAUUAUCAGGAAUUCUUUCUAAUACAUAAUCAAUAAAUUCAUCAGCUUCUUCCUCCAUCACCUCAUCAUUAGUAACCCCCUUAUUCUUUUUCUCAUUUUUUCUCUUCUCUUUAAUUUUGCAAAUGACAAAUGCAUAGUUCUUGUUGCUUUUCCUAAAGUACUCAUCCCGCAAGAAGUAUUCUUUCAUGAGCCACUUGUUAUUAUUUUCAUCUUUUUCGUUAUCACUUUUAUACUUCAAACUUCUCUUAUAUCCAAUAGUAGUAUUCUUCUGUAAUCCAUCUUCAAUGCGAUUACCACUAUUUUGGCCCUUCCAAGUCCCUUUUCCAACUGUUCUUGAGAAUUUUUUGGUUGAAUUCUUUAAUCUCUUCAAUCGCGAAAGAAAAUAACGUGUCUUUUCCGAACCUGUCAUAAUCUCCCAAGGCUCCAAAUCUUCAAACUGGUCUGCUACUUUAAUAAAAUCCCUAGGUGGCAACACUCCGUGGAGCACGAAAUUCUUCAAAUAGUUGAUCAACUCUUCAUCGGUGGGGUGGAAUCGAAAACCUAACGAUAACAUUCUUAGGAACGUGAGCGAGUAUAAUUUUGGUUGUGGCUUGUGAGGGAGUCGUAGUUUGCUGGUGAGAGGGAGUAGUAUGGAUUAGUUAGUUAUAUAUAGUAGUAGAGAAGUUUAGGUUUUGGUUUUGUUGCCUUGUUCAGGCUAGGUAACGUGGGGGAGUAGUAUGUUUCAUUAGUUAUAUAUAGUAGUAGGCAAGUGUAGGUUUUGUUUUUUUUGGGGGGGAAAGGUUCUAGGUUAGGUUAUUUUAGGCUAAUAUUUUUUCCUUUUAUAAAUUUCUCUUUUUUGAAAAAAAAAAGACGCUUAUCCUAAAAUGUGACACUUUUGAUAAUUUUUAAAUAAUUUUAAAAUGACAUAAAAAUUACAAUGUAUAAUUUAUACCUAAAAGAAGGUAAAGUAUUUUUAACACUAAAAUGGUGCAAAUGUAGGUUUGAUAAAAAUUCAAGUGUCCUUUAGCAUGUCCCUCUUUAAUUGAGAAUAUGAAGAGUUUUCAAGCAAAGAGUUUCCAAAAACAUGUAUGUGUAAGCCUUAAAAAGGUGUGAAACAAAUUAAGUUGACAUAAUUUCAUUUGACGAAUGACUAUAUAAUGGCAUUAUACUAUUAUUUCAUAUCGCUACUUAACUUAUCAUAACUGCUUAAAAUUUCUAUCCUUUUAAAUAAUUACGUAAAUUUCUAAUUUUACUUAAAAGCUAGAAUACAUCACAGAAGAAUGUAAUGUAUUCGGGUAAAAUUAAGUGAUGUAUAUGAAAGAAUGCGAUGUAUAGGUGUAAAAUUACGUGAUGAAUCCAGAAAAAUGUGAUGUAUCUGAAAUAAUGUAACUCAACCAUAAAUAAAAUAUGAAGAUAAGAAGAAUAUUUUAAACUGGUGGAGAUUGAAAAAAGAAAAACAGCUCGUUGAGGGUGAUGAACAAUUGCACCGUAUAAAUAUUAUAUUACAAUGUAUAUGAAUAUAUACAUAUCUUCUAUAUAUAAUUAUACAUCAUAUGCAUACUUAUACAAUAUUUAUAAUAAAUAUAAUUUUGAUGCAUUUACGUAAGAAGCCCAAAAUAUAUAAUAGUGCAUCAAAUAUUUCAAAUAUUAUUUGGAAAAACUCAAAAGAAGGAUAACUCACUCUAUCAAAAGAUAUAUAUAGGUGAUCUGCACCGAAACAUCAAUCAUGUGUUCAUAGUUAAUAAACCUCAAAUUUAUAUGGUAAAGUACUUGCAAGCUUUUCAUUUUAUGUGUCCUUAUUUACCUGGACAAAUAAGAGUAUAAUAUGCCAUUCCUAUAAGAAAGUGUCAUUAAGAACUUUAACUUAACAAAUAGACACAUGCAAAACUUUUUUCAAAAAUUCAAAAUAAUAAAAAAUCUAGAAUGCAGGGUGGUUUCUGUAAUCAUGUUUGAGAGACCAUUUUAAGAGAUCUUGACGUUUGUUCAAUUCCCUUUUGUAGGAAAAUGAAGUGCAAAGAAACUUGUAUUAUACCAACAAAUUAAGAGGACAAAAUUGCUAUAUGCAGGUCAUGGGCCAUGACAGUGAAACCAAAAAUCUCGUCAAUAAUAUUCAAAAUAUAAUAUAUAUGUAUGAACAACAACUUUUAGCCUAUUUAUUCCGUAUAAUUCUUCAUAUACAUAACACCUAAUCUAUAUGUGGCUACAUUAUUAGUCAUGGGUUCAACAACAAAGUAGGACACUUGAAUAAUUUUAAAUUCCCUUGAUGUUAUUACAGCUUUUUGCUAACACCUACUAUGUAUCUUGAUUCGGUCGAUCUCUUGUAUCGGAACAAACAAAUUCAAUGAUUUUCCAUAUUUUAUUUAUUUUUUUGUUCUUUAUUAUUGACAUUUUCCCCACAUAUUUGCCGCAUCUUGAGAAAAUCAUGUCCAAGAAACUCGGUAAAAUGAUCUAGUAACUUCGGUAGAAGGAAUGCUCUCCUUUCUUUUGAUAAUUAGGAAAACACACACUAAAAAGUAUAGUGUUUAUUAAAAUACAAGACUCGACUACGAUAAAAAAAAAUAAGGUUUAAUCAAAACUAUUGGAACUAUUAUUAUCUUGGUCAUUUUGACCACCUUGACUAUUUGGUGUAGUAGCAACUAUGACAACAUGAGGAGUCUUGAUCUUGAACUUUUCAUUUCUCAUUUCAUCUCCAACACCCAAACUUCUCUUCAUGUACUUUGAGUUUUCCACUUCUUGUUCUUCUUUCUUAUAACAACCUUUAAUUUCUUGAACACCACCAUUCAAUUUUCACAAUUCAUUUUCUUACCAGAAGAGACCUUAAGCAAAAAAUAAAAACUAUAUAUUAUAGAACUUGCCAAUAAAUUUGUUAUUUAUGACAUUUUACAACCACCACAGGUAUAUUGAUGAGGUUUCUUUGUAAUCUCUGGUUAGGCUGGCCAAUAAGAAAAUUUAAGAAGAAAGUGAUACACAAACUAUAGAACAAUAUAAUCUAUGUAAAAUCUUCUUGAAACGUUUGAGGUAUAUCAGGAAUAUCUUGAACUGUGUACAAUAACAACUACUAAACAUAUACAUUUGGUCUGAUUUAAGGAUUACAGCGUGAGGCGGAAAAUGAAGGAGGCAUACUUGUCUCGUUUGUAGGGAAGUUUCAAUACUUCAGCUAAGGGUAGUCUGGGUACUACAUUGGGGCACAAGGUCGAGAAGGAAAAUGAGGGAGGUAAACCUGUCACAUUCGUAAGAAUAUUUCUCGAGAAUACUACCCUGAGGGUAGUUUUUGCACCACAUCUGGGGACAUGGGAUAGGUAGGAUAUGUAAAUUUACUAGAGAAGGGAAAAUGUAAAAUCGAGUUACGAUUAGACCUCAUUGAAGAUGGUAGGCCUACAUCAAAGUUGGAUUUAGAUAUAGGCCUGCCUGAAGGAGCUGAAGAAGAGACAUCUAGGAAAGCUCUUGGGGAAGCAGAAGUAAACCUAUUAGUUCGAGUAACAUAAUUUGAUCGACACUGCAUGUACGGUCUUGUAGAGAUUCUAUAGGUGGAAGGCUCAGGAGAAUAGUUUGCUGAGCUGAAUCUCGAGGGGAAUACAGGGUAGUUGGCGAUUGCAGUUGCUUAACUUCAAGGUGAAACUUUGUAGGCAUCAGUCUGAAAGAUGCAGAAUAGUGUGUUCCAUGGCUUUGAUUGGUGGACAGCCGUUGAUUUGUUUGCUCAAUGAAAGUUUAUCUUGUUCAAGUUCCCCGAGGAUAGAACCUAUACCAUUCGAAGUGUCAUGAGACACCAAGACAAGUUCAUAACCUGUUUGAAGAGCUUAUCCUUCUUGCAAACUGCUACCUUCAGAACACGAGAUGUUUGGCCAUAAUUUUCCAAAUAGUUUCCAUUGGACAUCAAACGUGCAACCUUUAAUGCUUGGGAAUCUGAUUCACAGUUCCGCUGCCUUGUUUCAUUUGUGACCAAUCUUCAUGACGAAGAGAUUUGGAAAACAGCUCUCUGUCAAGCGAGAAGACACCGAUCGUUGGAGGCUGAACCUCCAUGGUAAGAAUUUUGGCAUUUGGAUCUCGUUGGUCACUCACUAUCUCUAGACGAGGAUGCGGCGCAUUGUGGUCACAGAGUGCGUCAUGCAGAGGAAUUAAAAAUCAUUCCAAUGGAAAGCCAAGAAUAUAAGUUUGGGUUUUUGCGGCUAAUCAAAAGCUAACAUCAAAAAGAAUAUUUGAACAAAUAUUGAUGCAAUCUGAUUGUGGCAUUUUUAAAUGUGGUAGCUUUACUGAUUUUCUUUGCAACGCCGCAAACCACACGUAAUUUUGGUAUUUCUAUGCCAACAUAAGAUAUUUUCCGUUAGGCCACAAUAAGCUGGUGCAGUUCAGCUCAUCAGAAUUCAAGGAUGAGUUCAAAAAUUUACCAAGGAGGAUAUAGGAGCUCCUGAUCGUGAUUUUUGAAUACUUUAAAGCUCUACGAGUCUAGAAUCUGGAAUAUCAAAUGGAUCAAAAUUUCAGCAUUCGCGCAAAGCUAUGAAAAAAGUGAAGUGAAAUCAUAUUGUUAGAGUGCAUGCCCCACUGAUUUUAAUGUUUUACUCUAUUUGUUGCCUAUUAGUGGAACAAGUAAGUUAAUGUUGUUCACUUAGAUAGAGUAAAUAGGAAGACAGUAUUUUUAUGUGGAAAACACCCGGCUCAAUAAAAGUGUAAAAACCACGACCUGUACUGUUUUGCCCCUUUUUGAUUUCGAAGAGUUGGAAAAUAUUGAUUUUGACUUUUUAAACUAUUUCGAAACUUUAAAGAAAAAUUCGAAAUAAUCUAAGAAAUCACAGAGUCGGCACUUAAUUUUUAAAAAGAAAUUAAGAAAACUUUAAAACAAAAUCAUAAUUCUCAAAACAGAAAAAAGACUUAGGCUUUUAAGAAAAUUCUGAGUAAGAGGUUCUUAUUAACAUUUUAGGAAAGUUUUUAAGGUAUCUAAAAAGGCUUCUAACUUGCGGUUAUCCGAGCUAUUUGAAAACCACCUUUGAUUAACUUUAAAAAACAGAAGUUGGUUUUUGAAAAGAAAGUGAUUUAGGAAAAACUUGUAUAAAAUCAAUUUUGACGACUUAAUAGGAAAUUUAACCAAGUCUAAGAAAAUAAAUAGCAAAUAAGCAUAGAAAGGGGUAGGGAGAAAAUUACGUGAUUUAGGCUUUUAGGCCCAAACCCACUUGCACCUGUCCUAGACUAUUCAUUUGGGCUUUUAGCCCAUCUUCACCUGUCCUAAUCUAGAUUUUUGGGCAUUCGGCCCACAACCUGCUUCACCUGUAUUAAUUUACAACUUUGGCUUCGAGGUCCAAAUGAAUGAAUGAAUAAAUGACUAAAUGAAUAAAUAAAAAAGAAGACAAUAAUAAAAAUAGAGACUUUUUAAGUCUCUUAGUGACCUUAACAAUGAGUUUUGACCCGUUUUCCUUCUUCGUGUAUCUUCUAACACCCGCAUGCCAUAUAGUCGACCUUGGGUUUAAACUUCGAACUUGACGCGAAGAGGUGAGCGUCAUUGACCCAUUAUGAAAUGCAAGAAGAGAGGAGUCCAUUUGGACUCAAGACAUUUUUUGCAUGCAAAGAAAAGAUAAAGAAAUUAAUAUACGUUUAAGGCGUAAAAGUGACAUAGUUCAAAGCAAAAAAAAUUAUCAAGAAUCAAUUUUUGAAUGACAGUGAUAAGCACACUUGCACAAGAAUGAGAGUUAACAAAUAAAAUGCAAAGCAAAGACACCCACUUACAUGCCUCAUUAUUUAUGUUCAAAUAAGAAUGAAUAAAGGUAAAAGGAAGAAGAUCAUAUUCAAUGAAUUAAUGCAAGAACAAACAACACAAGUUUGCGAGAGUAAAGGGAUGAUGCGAUAAGAAAAAUACUCAUGACUUCUAAAAUUGAACAAACAUAGAAACUAAUCCAUAUAAUAAAAGAAAACAAAGCUAACUUUUCAAAAGAGUGAAUCUUUACAUUUCAAUUAAGGAGAAAUUAAUGAAGAUUCAUACAUCUAAGUCAUGGCCAACUUUAGGAAAAACAUGUUACGACCUAUGAUUUAUCAUUCUAAGACAUUGUUGAUUCCCUUUUGACAUUAUGACUCAAAAAGAGAUAUGAAUCAAGUCUUUACACACACAAAGAACACGUAUAACAAUCCAAAGGGAGUAAGAAAAUUAGAAUAAAAGUUUAGCAUUUCUAAAAGUGAAAUAUCGUUCAACAAUCAUACUAUGCAUGACUCAAAAAUAUCUAAAUAAUUCUAUGUAGCCACAAAAAUUCAAACUUUCUCAUCAUUUUAACAAAACAACAUGGGACCAAAAAAAACAAAGGAAUAAACAUCUUUGAUGGAAAAUAAAGCUAGCACUUCAUCUUUGAAAUCCAUUAAAAUAAUGAGCAAACAAAUGACAAGUUCUUGACUUAACCAAUUACUAUUUUAUUAAGGCAAAACAAACAGUAGUAACUAUUCUUUUUGAUAUAAAUAAAAUAACUUUACAUGUUAAAAACAAAUAUAUCCGCCAACAAUGAAUUUAAACAAAGCAUAAGAACGUCUUUUAAGCAAACAAACUUUAUCUAUAAUAAUCAAAGAAUAAAGUAAAAAAGGAGAAACAAUCAAUAUUAACUAUUCUUUUCAACAUAAAAAAACAACUUUACAUGCUAAAAACUAACAUAUCCGCUAACAAUGAAUUUAAACAAGCAUAAGAAUGUCUUUUAACAAAGAUUGAAACUUUAUCCAUAAUAAUAAAAGAAUCAAGUCAAAAAGGAAAAACAAUCAAUAUUAUCUAUUUUUUCAACAUAAAGAAAACAACUUUAAAUGCUAAAAACAAACAUAUCUUCUAACAAUGAAUUUAAACAAAGCAUAAGUACAACUUUUAAGUAAAGAUUUAAACUUUAUCUAUAAUAAUUAAAGAAUAAAGUCAAAAAAGGAAAAACAAUCAAUAUUAUCUAUUCUUUUCAACAUAAACGAAAUAACUUUACAUGCUAAAAAUAAACAUAUCCGCUAACAAUGAAUUUAAACAAAGCAUAAGUACAUCUUUUAAGCAAAGAUUGAAACUUUAACUAUAAUAAUCAUAGAAUAAAGUCAAAAAGGCCCAUACAACAAUUGCUAGUUCAUAAUAUUGAUACUACAACGUCCUAUGGCCUUUUAGACUGUCUACAAUAAACAAUCCCAGCAAAUAAAAUUAUAACUACGAACUAUGAAGAAGAAAAAGAUAAAGAAGAAAAUGAUAAUAAAAUUUAAAAAAGAAAAAGGUGUGUUUAAAAGGUGUGUUUACCUUUUUGGGGACAGCAAAACGGGACUACAAGUUUUUUUCAGAGUCUUGAUCACCACCGGAAAGCAUUCAACUCGAGAAAUUGGAUUAGCCCACAAAUUUUAUGGAAAAGGAAAACUUUUACUAAAAUAAAAACACUUCUUUGCUCAAAGCUUUUUUUCAACCUUGCGACUUUUUUUUCACUAAAAAAAAAUCUCAACUAUUUGCUCAAAAGCUUUUCAAUUCUUUGAGGCUUUGAGACUUAGUCUUUCUACCAAAAUAAUGGUAGUAUUUAUAGGAAAGAAUGGGGCUUCCACUCUUUUCAUCCACCAAUGUGGGAGAAAAAGCAUCUAGGAGUAUUUUUGAAAUUUUCAAAAAUUGAAGAUAAAGUGAGGUAAAAGAUAAUGUGGGGGAAAAUUAUACAAUGUAGUAUAAUUUUUGAAUUUAAAAUUAAAAAAGGACAAAGUUGGGGGGAAUUGUACAAUGUAGUAUGAUUUUUGAAAUUACUUUUGGUGAAAAUUGGUAGAAGUUAUGAGAGAUUUUGGAAAUUUGGGGGUUAUUUAAAAUAUAACCCCAAUUGAGAUUUAAAAUUUAAUCAAAUUUAUUUAUUUUGACCAAAUUAAAAAUUAAUUGGCGGAUUGCAUAGCAAUUAUGACCAAUUUGAUUUCAAUUCUGGCCAAAUCUAAUAGAUUGACUAAAUUAAAUUGAAAUUCGAUACGAAUUAAUACUACUUUUAAUUCCGAGCUUCUUGAUUUAAUAAAAUCAAACACUUAUUUAUUCAAAUAAAUUAUUUUUGAGAAUAAAUUAUAUUUAAAUCAGGAUUUUAAUCAUUUGAAUUUAUUUUCAAGAUAAGCCUUGUUUAAAAUCUGAUUUUUUAUAAAAUAAAUAUUUAAGUAAUAAAAUCAUAAUAUUUCAUAUAUUUGAAUACGAUAAUAUAUAAUUGCUACUUAAAAUUACAAAUUUACCUAAAUAAAUACUUUCAAAAGCUUUUUAUUCAGAUAAAAUAAAUUUUGUAUUUUUAUUCAAAAAUCGAAGAAACUUGAAAAUAAACUUAGUCGUGGAGGGAGAAAAGUAGAUAUUAAAAACUGCCCCCUCUCUUUGGGUAGGGUGGAUGCAAGUAAUUCUGGACAAAGGGAGUUUGACAUUUCUAUUUUUUCUCUGACCACAAAUUCAUUUAUGAAAAAGGCUGAUUUUCGCAAGAGUUUUGUGGAGUUAUGGCCGAACCUCGAUAUCAGGUUUCCUACAUAUCUCAGGUUACAUGAGAAUUCAGGCCACUUGUAGUUCAUAAAGCAUGACUUAAAGAACGAUUUCCAAAAAAAUCACAAGCUUUCUUCGUUUUGGAGUUUUAAUGAAAUCAAAAAGCUGGCGAAUAAAGGGAUUUUUGGGGAGAGGUUGGAAUGUAGUCGAGUUUUCUAUAUAGAUUCCAGCCUAUAUAUCCCUGAGACUCAGGGAAUCAGACAGCUUGUAGUUUGACUCAAUCGGUAGAAAAGAUAGUCUUUUAUUUUAGGCAAUCUUUGGCUUAAGAUGAGUGACUAGUUGUUUAAUUCAUGGAAAAAAGGCUUGUAACCUAUUAACCAUGAAUGUGGAGCUCUUCACAUCCAUAGGUAAGAACUUACCUGGACAAAAUUCUCAAAACUCUAGGUGCCCUAUCACUAGAAUUUGAAAAAAAAGAGAUGUUUACCCUUAGUAUGAGUUUAGAAAUAUCCCGAAGCUGAGAUGAAACCAGAAGAUCCCAAAAUUCCCACAUGCCUUCUAACAGGGGUGUAUUUGGAUGGUGGUGGCAAUCAUUCUUUAGCUCGCGUCCAAAGAGUUUGACGUCCCUCUUUAGACUAUGUCCCGUUUUGCUGCUAAGAAAGUGUUCCACGUUGUGCUGCGUCCUACCUAGAGUCGUCCGCACGUAUGAUUUUGAUUUGAGAUUUUCAUCCUCUUGGAUUCUCUUUAUAAUGUUUCAAACAAAAGUGUUAGUGCUAAAUAUAAUUUACGAAAAAGGUAUGUAGUCUUUUACCAGAUCUCCACGUGGGUUGUUUCCUGAAAAGAAAAUUCAUCCUUUCGUGUACCUAUUUGGAAGGAAAUAACUUGCAACAAAAGACAUAACAACCCUCUUGGUUGUUGCAUACUUAUCUCAUUUUUCGAUUGAAUAUGACCUCAAUGUGGGGUGAUCCUUUUGGCACCGAUGACACUUUAUGUAGAACACUCCCUGCAACCGUGUAAUAUUAUGCUGAGGUGAACCAUUUUGGUUACCUAUGAUAACCUUUCUGGUUAUUGACAAUAGUUCUUUGCAUGUGAACUCGGGUAAGUGCUGUGCAUCUUUUGUAUCGAUACGACUUAUAGAUUCUUCUUGAAUUAUUAAUAUUUGGAUAAUCUUGUGCAUUAUUUGAUAUUGGAUACUAGGAGACUUACAGAUAUCCUUUGAAUUUAUAGCUUUUAGGUAAUCAUGUACAUUAUCCAACCUUGGAUAAGAUAUGACUUAUAGAUAUCCUUCCAACCGAUAGUUCUCACGUAUUCCUGCACAUCAUCCGACCUUGGAUACAAUAUGACUUAUAGAUAUGUCUCAAAUUGCUAGUCUUUGGGUAAUCCUACACAUAAUCGAUCUUGAAUAUGAAACAACUUAUAGAGAACCCUUGGACUUAUCAAUUUGACAAUCUCGCAUAUUCUCCGGUAAAGAUUUAGUUGCAACUUACAGAUAACCUUUGGACUAUCGAUUUUUGGGUAACCUUGCACACUAUCCGGUUAGGAAUUUUUGAGGCUUAUGAAUGACCUAUGGGCUAUCAACUCUUAGGUAAUCUUGAAAACUAUCCCAUUUCAAAUAAUAUGACUUAUAGAUGACCCUCAGAUUGUCAAUUUCUAGGAAGUCUCAUAUGUCAUUCGCCUUCAGAUAGCGACUUAUAAACGUCCCUUUGAAUCAUGUGCUUUUAUUGCAUUCAGAUGUUUAUUCAUGAAUGAUGAGAAAUCCUUGAUGCCAUAGUAUUCUAUCUUUGUAUGUCAAUAGAUAUUAAAUGUUGACGAUAUCGUCGAUGUGAGCGUUUGUGUCUCACGUGUUAACAGAUAUUAAAUGUUGAUGAUAUCUUUGACGUCAACAUUUGUGUCUCGCGUAUCAAUAGAUAGUAGAUGCUGAUGAUAUCCUCGAUGCCAACAUUUGUGUCUCGCGUGUCAAUAGAUAUUAGAUGCUGAUGAUAUCCUUGAUACCAGCAUUUGUGUAUCACAUGUCAAUAAAUAUUAGAUGCUUAUGAUAUCCUUGAUGCCAACAUUUGUGUCUCGCAUGUCAAUAGAUAUUAGAUGCUGAUGAUAUCCUCGAUGCUAGUAUUUGUGUCUCGCAUGUUAAUAGAUAUUAGAUGCUGAUGAUAUCCUCAAUGCCAAGAUUUGUGUCUCAUAUGUCAACAGAUAUUAGAUGAUGAUGAUAUCCUUAAUGCCAAUGUUUGUAUCUCAUGUGUCAACAGAUAUUAGAUGUUGAUGAUAUCCUCGAUGCCAGCAUUAGUGUCUUAUAUGUCAACAGAUAUUAGAUGUUGAUGAUAUCCUUGACGCCAGUGUUUGUGUCUUGCGUAUUGACAAAUAUUAGAUGCGGAUGAUAUCCACGAUGCCAGCAUUUGUGUCUCACAUAUCAAUAGAUAUUAGAUGCUGAUGAUAUCCUCGACGACAGUGUUUGUUUCUCAUGUAUCAACAGAUAUUAAAUACAAUGUCCUCUCAGCAAUGAAAUAAGAUAAAAUGGCCCUCUUGGAAAUAAAGUGAUAUGAAAUGACCCUCUUGGCAUUGGCAUGAAAUGGUCCUCUCAGCGAUGAUAUGGAAUGACCCUCUUGGCAGUGGCAUGAAAUGGCCCUCUCGACAAUGACAUGAGAUGGUCUUCUAAAAAUUGAGAUAAAAUGGUUUUUUCGGUGAUUUGAAAAUAGUUUCAACUAAGUCCGUUUGUCUACGUUUUGGUUUCUAUAUGUACCUGUACUCAAGGUAGACAGUUAGUAGACACAAUGUUGCUCUCACUGGCGACUACAACCAAGCUUUAUGAUAGUUUAAUAACAAAUACUGAGCAUCAUAAUUUGAAUGACUUAUUUGACUAUUAAUCUUCUCUUUUUGAAGAAAUAAUUAAAUAGCAGAUCCACCGAAUGCAAGUAAAUGGGGCAAAACCCUUGUUUGGGGAUUACUCAAAUACCGUUUGCUUCACUUCAAGGCAAAUUUUAUAGAUGACUUUUUGCUCUUCCUUCUACUGGGUGAACCUUUGAUUGUUGUAUUUAUUGUGCCGACUCCCUUGAAUGUACCACACUCAAGGUAAAUAUUUAGCAGACACAAAGUUGAUUUUUCUAGCGACUUUUUUAGAAAAAUUAUGAAUACAAUAUUCAUAAAAAGAUAUGGCGCCUUUGUUUAUCCUUUAUGAUCUCAAGAAAUGAGAUAGACAAUUUAAAAGAUCCUCAAUAAAUGGGUAUUAAAUCCCUCUUUGGGGCCACCCAAAAAUACCGUUCUUGAAAAUAAUAUGCUUUGGUGUGGCUUGCAACCCGCUUGAGGAUUUUUUGAAUAAAGAUUUCCAUUUCUUGUGUACUGAUCCCUGCAUCCACAGAAAAAUGAUUAGUUUUUGGGUGAAACUACUCCGUGUUGAGCUUUUUUGAUCCUUGGCUUGCUCCUAUCCAUCUUUCGGGUACUCCAUCAUGUUGGGACUUCGACCCUGACUCCUCGUUCCAAAAGAUGGCUAGGCAAUUACUAAGUAAAAAGAUUUGUAUAGAUUUUUGAAAGUAGUAUUUUUUCAAUACAUCUAUAAAAGAUUUUGGAAAUCUCUGUAGUCAUGUCAUGCACUAGCUCAACAAACAUCUUUCUCUUGGUUUUGACGUAUGAUGGAGGAAUUCCAGGGAUUCAUCAUCGUCACUGAGAGUUUCUACCAAAAGUUCUGUCAUAGUUGGAAAUUUAGUCAACCUAGACUUUGUCGCAGCUGGUGAUCUCUAAAGCUUGACUUUGGUCUCCGGUGCUGGUGGAUUUGAAAUAUAUUCCUGUUUAUUAGUAGAAAUUUUGACGACCUCCUCAAAAUUUCUUGCUCAGUUUAAAGUUUUUGAGAUGAUCUCUAUUUUAUGAAUUUUCAAGAUUCCUUCUCAAAAAUUCUUCCCCAGUUUCUAUUUCUUGGGGUUAUAUGACCGAGCCUUUGGGGCGCCUACGUAUCCCGUUGAAGUAGGAAUCAGGUCAAACAUAGUUCAGGACUAUGCUAUGGAUAUACAAAAAAAUUUAAUGGGUUGACCGAAGCUGACAUAGGCCGCCUACCUAUCCAUUUUGGUGGAAAUUCAGGUUAUCAUGUAGUUCAUACAUAAAAGAAAAGAAUAAAUCCUUCUAAGGGGUUGACCGAAGCUGGCAUAGGCCGUCUACGUGUCCUUUUCUUAGGAAUUCAGGUCAAACGUAGUUUGUACAUAAACUCAUAAUGGCCCUAAAAUACUCUUAUCCAUCUUACUAGGAUAGAAAUUUCUAUGGAUGACAUGACUUUUGCAUUGCAUUUUUCUUCAUAGAACGAAGGAUCAAAAUUCCAAUUCCCUUAGUCAUCGCCUUCCUAGUUAACCACCUCGAUUUUCUCUAGAUUAGGCUUCUUUGAUUCUCAAACUCUUUGACUCUUUUGUUGACUUCUCUAGGGCUAUCAUUAUCUUGCUUCUUGACAUGAUAUGACAAUGGCAGGUUUUAUGUUAUUGUUAUACGACGGGCGAUGAGUUAUGAGUAGAGUGGAGGUCCAAUUCAACAAUGUUUCCUCCAAUUAAUCUUCAAUAAUCCCAGUUGUCUUGGAAAAUUCUUCUCUCACAUUUUUCCUUAUUCCAUCCUUGAAACCAUCUCUUAUAGGUUUGAAAAUGAUUGGUAGAGUUCAGUUUUACUACUAGUCAUUUUUGUUUUCUUGUAACAAAGCUAUAAUCAAGAAGGGGGUCUCUUAUUUAUUUUGAUUUGGUGAAGUAGGGCCAUUUUGUGCCAACACAGAGUAGUUUCUAUUACCUGCAAAGUAAAAACAACUCAAAGAUUGACGUGUUAGAUUUCAUUAGUAAUAAGCAAAGCAAGAUGAUAAGGUAGGAAGUAAACACAUAGAGUUGUUUCUCAUCUCAUGCAAAUUGAUCCAUGAAGUAAUAAUGAAUCGAGAAUUUCAAUGAAUAGGAUUUUGCUCAAUGAUAUGGAUAAGUGGAAUUUAUCAGGAAGGCUCAACUUUUCUUCUUUUCGAUCUUAUUGUUUCUAUCAAGAAAAUGGAGGACAACAGAGUUUUUAAAAAUGAGGGCUGGGCCGAAAAGCUGCCUAUGUGUCUCACGGAGGAGAAAUUAGACCCUGCAUAGUUCGAAACUAUAAUGAAUUUUUCUAAUUCUAAAGUCAACUUUCCUAAAAUGGUAGCGAUUAUUUUGGAAGUUUUAAGAAUGACUGCGGACUUUUCUGAGAAACUCGGGAGACUUGGAGUAUGUUUGGUUGGAUUUUUGUAUAGUGGGGUAUAUUUCUGUCUAGAGAUGCUCUAUGUUAUUGGAUCAAUUCACCUUUGAUUCGAAUCAACAUAGAACGUAUAAGCACAUAAGCAGUUAUAUCACACAAAAAUAUUGUAAUAAACGUGCAUCCUAAUUGGGUGACCCUUUUGAGCAAAGGGUUGGACUAACGUAUUUAAAGGAAAUAUAUGCUUUUUAAAACUAAUCCAUUAUCCCCCAAAAAUCUUCAUAGCUGUACAUAAAUGGCAUAAAUGCCAACAAAAGUUGCACAAAAGGGAUACAAUCUUUAGGAAAAGGGAAAAUAACAUAAGAAAAAGAACAAUGUCCCGCACAGGGGAUAAGAAAUACUAGCUCCUAAAUGCUCUUCUACCGUCCUUCACCUUCUUAGCUUAGUCCAUUUUUUGUUAUUGGUGACAUCCAUUGAUGAUCAAGCGAUUUCCGUAUAACUGUGCUCUAGAUGCAACCAUCCAAAUCAAUCAAUUUCUUGCUUGGCUUGCUUCAAUUCAUCUCUCAAUUGGCGUAUGAUUGAGGCAUCCUUACACGAAAGUAAGCAAAUCAAGCCUUCUCCCGAUCCCCAAAAGAUAAUAGAUUGGAUUAAACAAAAAUAUAUUUCUUCAACACAUAAAUAUGAUUCAUAUGUAAUUGACUCGGGGUCAAUAGAUGCAGGGUAAAUUUCUAAUGGGCCCAAUACCCACUUCAGGUCUUGGGUCGUCUAGGAUUAUACCUAAAAGGGUUUUGGUUUAGCUUUAUUCUAGGUGUCUAAAGUGGGUUUGAACCAGGUUCCCAAGUGGACGACUUGGGUUUGAAAAUACUAACAGCCUUCAGACGCCUCACGUGCUAAUAAAUUGUCAUAUUUUAAACACUUUAUUUAGAGUUGAACAAUAAGGGUCGGGACGUCCACGAAACCCCAAAAUAAUUCAAUAAUCAAUGCGGAGUUAUGCUAUGAGAUGCAAUAAUUAAAUUUUGCAAAAUCGAAACAUAUAAACACGUAAGCAAUUUAAACAGUUAUUCAAAUGAUAAUUUCAAACAUUUGGUUAGAACCAAGUUAAAAAUUCUUAGUAGAUUCGCUAUUUCUGUUUUUCCCCUUUUCAAUUUCGAAGGGUUGGAAAACAUUGAUUUUGAAUUUUUAAGCUAUUUUGAAACUUUAAAGAAAAAUUUCGAAACAAUUUAAGAAAUCACAGAGUCACCACUUAAUUUUUGAAAAGAAGUUAAGAAAACUUUAAAACAAAAUCCUAAGUCUCAAAACAGAAAUAAGACUUAGGCUUUUAAGAAAAUUCGGGGUAAGAGGUUCUUAUUAACAUUUUAGGAAGGUUUUUAAGGAACCUAAAAUGUCCGUUAACUAGCGGUUAUUCGAGCUACUUGAAAACCACCUUUGACUAACUUUGGAAAAGAGAAGUUGGAUUUUUAAAAAGAAAGUGAUUUAGGAAAAACCUGUAUAAAAUUAAUUUUGACGACUUAGUAGAGAAUUUAACCAAGUCUAAGAAAAUAAAUAGCAAAUAAGCAUAGAAAGGGGGUAGGGAAAAAUUUACGAGAUUUAGGCUUUUAGGCCGAAACCCACUUGCACCUGUCCUAGACUAUUCAUUUAAACUUCUAGUCCAUUUUCACCUGUCCUACUCUAAAUUUUUGGGCCUUUGGCCCAAAACCUGCUUCACCUGUAUUAAUUUAUAACUUUGGCUUCGAGGCCCUAAUGAAUGAAUAAAUAAAUGACUAAAUGAAUAAAUAAAAAAGAAGACAAUAAUAAAAAUCGAGACUUUUCAAGUCUCUUAGUGACCUCAUAAUGAGUUUUGACCCAUUUUCUUUUUUCGUCUAUCUUCUAGCACCCGCAUGCCAUAUAGUCGACCUUGGGUUUAAAAUUCGAACAUGACUCGAAGAGGUGGGCCACAUUGGCACAUUAUGAAAUUCAAGAGGAGAGGAGUCCAUUUGGACUCGAGAUAUUUUUUGCAUGCAAGGAAAAGAUAAAGAAAUUAAUAUAUGUUCAAGGCAUAAAAGUGACAUAUUUCAAAGCAAAAGAAACUAUCAAGAACUAAUUUUUGAAUGACAGUGAUAAGCACACUUGCACAAGAAUGAGAGUCAACAAAUGACAUACAAAGCAAAGACACCCACUUACAGGCCUCAUUAUUUAUGUUCAUAUAUGAAUGAAUAAAGGUAAAAGGAAGAAGGCCAUAUUCAAUGAAUUAAUGCGAGAACAUACAACACAAGCUUGCGAGAGUAAAGGGAUGAGGCGAUAAGAAAUAUAUCCAUGACUUCUAAAAUUGGACAACCAUAGAAAAUAAUUCAUAUAAUAAAAGAAAAUAAAGCUAACUUUUAAAGAAAGUGAAUCUUUAAAUUUCAAUUAAGGAGAAAUUAACGAAAAUUCAUACAUCUAAGUCAUGGCCAACUUUAGGAAAAACAUGUAACGACCUAUGAUUUAUCGUUCUAAGACAUUGUUGAUUGCCUUUUGACAUUAUGACUCAAAGUGAGACAUGAAUCAAGUCUUUAUGCUCACAAAGAGCACGUAUAACAAUCCAAAGGGAGUAAAAAUAUUAGAAUAAAAGUUUAGCAUUUCUAAAAGUGAAAUAUCGUUCAAUAAUCCUACUAUGCAUGACUCAAAAAUAUCUAAAUAAUUCUAUGUAGCCACAAAAAUUCAAACUUUCUCAUCAUUUUAAUAAAACAACAUGCGACCCAAAAAAACAAAAAGAGGAAUAAACAUGAUUGGAAACUAAAGCUAGCACUUCAUCUUUCAUAUGCGGAUUUUGAAAUUCAUUAAAAUAAUUAGCAAGAAAAUGACAAGUUCUUGAAUUAAUCAAUUACUAUUUUAUUAAUGCAAAACAAACAAUAGUAACUAUUCUUUUUGAUAUAAAGAAAACAACUUUACAUGGUAAAAACAAAUAUAUCCGUCAACAAUGAAUUUAUAAAGCAUAAGAACGUCUUUUAAUCGAAGAUUGAGAUUUUAUCCAUAAUAAUCAAAGAAUAAAGUAAAAAGGAGAAACAAUCAAUAUCUUCUAUUCCUUGCAACAAAAAGGAAACAAUUUUACAUGCUAAGAACAAAUAUAUCCGCUAACAAUGUUUCCCGACCCGAACCAGGGCCCUGGCCGUGACGGACAUCCCGAACCAUAAAGGCACGAGUGCCCUUCUAACUUGUAAUCAUAUACACCAUUCAUAUAUAAAUAGGAAAUACGGAAGUAAAAUCUGCUACAGAAACAUGGUUAUAAUCUAAAUUUAGUUUAACAAUGAGGAAUAAAAUCCAAUAUCAACUAAACACCGUCAGAAAAUCAUCUGUGAAAUCUCUACCACAUGAUCCAAUAACAACUGUAUGAAAAUUGAGACAAGGCCCCCAGUAGACCAAAACUAUAAUAAAUAGUAACUGUCUGAAAGAAGCUAGGCCUUCUGAAAUAUAGAAGGCUCACCAACUGCUACUCUUCAUUCCUAUCUAAUGAAAUCUACUACUUAUCAGGACCUCUAGACUGUGCCUCAGAACCUGAAGGGAGGGGGGUCAAUACAGAUGUACUGGUACGCAGAGCAAUCCAAAAUAAAGCUUUCAUAUAAAUAAAAUAGUUGAGAGCUAGUCAUAAACAUCAUGAAAGAUAUAAUUUUCAAAACACCGGGGCAUUCUUGAAAAAAUAUAAAAACCUUUCUGUCAAAAGUAGUUUCUGAUCUUUGUAUUACUUCUGAGUUAGGUGGCACUCCCUUACAAUUUUGAUAUUCCACGGGCGGUAUGGAAUCCACCAUCGACUCGGCGGGGAAGCCCCUAAUCCGAGUAUGCCACAAGGGUUGGAGUUUCUGAUUCUGAUAUACCACACGACACUAGGCCAGCAUAAUAUAAUAUACCCGAAUCGACAAAUUACGGUUUUGAAAAAUGAGUUAUCUGAACUCGUGCCUUCUUCAGGGAGCCACCUAACAUCUCUUUAUGCCCAAUUUUAUCCUGUUCUAAAUCAUGCAUUAUUCUAGUUUCAACAUCUAAAAAUUUUGACUUCAAACAUGCAUUCUAUUCUGUUCUGAAUUACUAUGGCAUAAUCUGAAUUUCUGUUGUCACACUAAGACUUGCAUGUCCUAUUUCUAAGAAAUAAUGCAUCAUGCAUGAUUCCUUCAUUAAAACAUAGUUCAGACCACACAAACAUGCAAUUUAACAAAGAGAAUUCAUGUUUCGAAAACAUAAGUCAAAACUAUGCAAAAUUCCCAUCCUUUCAAUAGACAAGUGGUGGUCAUGUAAUCCUUAAAAAACCAUGCAACCCUUCUCAUUAUAUGAUUAUGUUCAAUAUUCAUCAACAUAAACAACCCUCUCUCUNNNNNNNNNNNNNNNNNNNNNNNNNNNNNNNNNNNNNNNNNNNNNNNNNNNNNNNNNNNNNNNNNNNNNNNNNNNNNNNNNNNNNNNNNNNNNNNNNNNNNNNNNNNNNNNNNNNNNNNNNNNNNNNNNNNNNNNNNNNNNNNNNNNNNNNNNNNNNNNNNNNNNNNNNNNNNNNNNNNNNNNNNNNNNNNNNNNNNNNNNNNNNNNNNNNNNNNNNNNNAUAUAAUUUUAAAACAAUUUGAUAGAAGGGCUAAGGACCAAAUAAAUAUCAUCAACGCUUCUAAAAUAUGAAUAUAUUCAUAAAUUCGAAACCCCUUUCUUAAAAUCAUGAUUUCUAUGGCCAUGAGAUUUUUAGGAAAACCUCGCGUACCUUAAAUUAGAAGCUUUUGAAUGAACUCUAGCUUUUGGAAUGCUAUACGCAUGAUUGUUGAGUGCCUCUCGUAGACUCGUAAUGGGGAUUCCGAAUCUUGAAGAAUUAAGAAAAACCCACGGUUAAAUCUUGAGAUAUUUGAGUUUUUAGUGUGAAACCCUAGAGUUUGUUCUUGAUGAAUUUGAGAGAUUAGUCCCGUUUUAUAGCUGGAUAAGGAUGGAAGAUACCCAUUUUGCCCUUAAAAACGUGGAAACAGAACCUGAAAUUUUUAUAUGUGCGAUAGGGCGUGCUUCGCAUGCUUAUCACAUGAUGCUACUGUCUCAGUCACUAAAAUGGCCAUAACUUUUUCGCUCAGGUUUCAUAUUUAGGCAAAAUUGGUAUCGUUGGAAAGAUAAUUGGAAUAUCUUUCAUUUCAUAUAUAGUAUUCCCUCUAAUUCAUUAUAUAAUAAGAGUUAUGGUAGAUUGAAGUUGACCCAAGUUUCGAUGCUCACUCAACCUCGAAUGAUAGGAAAGCUUUCAACUCGUCCUUGAGUUAGGGGACCUCUAUGAUCUCAAUUCACGAUUAAAUAGGUUCACACACUAUAUAAUUGAUUAACAUGCCAAGUUUGCAUAGGAUUUAUGGCUUUUGGAUCAUCUAUGCAUAGAAAUGACGAUUUUUAUCCUAACUCAAAAUGUGGGGUGUUACAUUAUCUCCCCAUUGGGAUCAUUUGUCCCCAAAUGAUGGGUAGGAAUGUUGAAGUCUUAAAGGUAUGCAAUAACGUGGACAUGAUAUGCCUUCUAACAAAGAAUAUACUGAUCUGAAACAUUUAAAUUUCCAUCAUGAAACUGAAUUUGAGCUGACUUGCCCUUACUUGCUUUAAGGAGCUGAUUCUUGCUGAGAAUUUAGGAUUUCCUUAAGGUGUUCAUGAUCCAAUCAUACGUAUCAAAUUUAGAAAUGAUAACUUAUGUAAGUACAAGUCCUGAGACAACAAGAUUUAGAUCGUACAAAGGUAUUAUACUGUCUGAGCUAAAAUGCCUAGAGAGAUUUGAGACUCUGCACUGAACUCUUAUGAACUGAGUCAUGGCUAAAUAGCUUAAUCUGAAGCAUGAUGUUCGAAUUGAACUGAAUUUGCAAUUUACAUAGAUGGAAUAGAAUAUCUAUUGGGAUGGUCAUACAUAUGGGACUUCGGAUAGCAGGACUGGGUGUAAAGGUGGAAAACCAUAGUAACUUUUCUGCCUGACUGUUAAACUAAACUGAUGAUUAUACUGGCUAAAUUAUACUGGAAACUUAUACCUAACUGGAGUAUCUCUUCAAUACUCUUUAUAGUAGCAUUCGGGAGCAAAGAAUCUCGGGCAUAAGUUACACAAGACACCCAACUAAGGAAUCACAACAAUGACACUACUAUAUAGCAUGGAAUAUAGACAUAUAACUCAUAAACAAGGAUAGAAUUACCAGGACUUAGGCAAUGCAACUUCUUACUUUCAAUCUUAGUGCACUUCUCCAAUAUUCCCUUAACUAUAUUAUUCCCUUUAAAUACCAUACUCAUUUGAUUAAACUUAGAAUUCUUAUAUGGGCAUUGAUAAAUCUUUCUACUAAUGCCUAAAGUAACAUAAGUUCUCUCACCAUGANNNNNNNNNNNNNNNNNNNNNNNNNNNNNNNNNNNNNNNNNNNNNNNNNNNNNNNNNNNNNNNNNNNNNNNNNNNNNNNNNNNNNNNNNNNNNNNNNNNNNNNNNNNNNNNNNNNNNNNNNNNNNNNNNNNNNNNNNNNNNNNNNNNNNNNNNNNNNNNNNNNNNNNNNNNNNNNNNNNNNNNNNNNNNNNNNNNNNNNNNNNNNNNNNNNNNNNNNNNNNNNNNNNNNNNNNNNNNNNNNNNNNNNNNNNNNNNNNNNNNNNNNNNNNNNNNNNNNNNNNNNNNNNNNNNNNNNNNNNNNNNNNNNNNNNNNNNNNNNNNNNNNNNNNNNNNNNNNNNNNNNNNNNNNNNNNNNNNNNNNNNNNNNNNNNNNNNNNNNNNNNNNNNNNNNNNNNNNNNNNNNNNNNNNNNNNNNNNNNNNNNNNNNNNNNNNNNNNNNNNNNNNNNNNNNNNNNNNNNNNNNNNNNNNNNNNNNNNNNNNNNNNNNNNNNNNNNNNNNNNNNNNNNNNNNNNNNNNNNNNNNNNNNNNNNNNNNNNNNNNNNNNNNNNNNNNNNNNNNNNNNNNNNNNNNNNNNNNNNNNNNNNNNNNNNNNNNNNNNNNNNNNNNNNNNNNNNNNNNNNNNNNNNNNNNNNNNNNNNNNNNNNNNNNNNNNNNNNNNNNNNNNNNNNNNNNNNNNNNNNNNNNNNNNNNNNNNNNNNNNNNNNNNNNNNNNNNNNNNNNNNNNNNNNNNNNNNNNNNNNNNNNNNNNNNNNNNNNNNNNNNNNNNNNNNNNNNNNNNNNNNNNNNNNNNNNNNNNNNNNNNNNNNNNNNNNNNNNNNNNNNNNNNNNNNNNNNNNNNNNNNNNNNNNNNNNNNNNNNNNNNNNNNNNNNNNNNNNNNNNNNNNNNNNNNNNNNNNNNNNNNNNNNNNNNNNNNNNNNNNNNNNNNNNNNNNNNNNNNNNNNNNNNNNNNNNNNNNNNNNNNNNNNNNUGAAAAAUACUGAGAUAAGAAUGGGUUGAGCCUCACCCUCACCUCCUGAUGUUCUAUAUCAUACUGACAUCACUACUAGAAUCUGAGACCCUGUCUUGGUCACUUGUUUUAUGAUAUCCUCCUUAGCUUUAAGUCAUCAUCUUAACUUUGAGAAAUCCCUUACUAGACUCUAAACUGAACUAUACUCACUACACUCUGGGGUCUGGAAUACAACAAUACAUGCAAUUAAUAGAACUUAACCUGAAUGGCUACACCUAAAAGGGGAAAACCCACUGCUAAUCCUACCUUCUGAGACACACUCUAUCUUUCUAUAGCCCCAAUAGUCAAUCACAUAAUACUUUAACACUUACUAACUUCGAAUCCUCGCAAGUAUUCCCAUAGUCGGAGUGCACACCCUAUAGCGCUUCAACUCUUAUUUCUGUUCGUUCAACCUUAAAAAAUUCAAACUUAUAUUAUAACACUUAAUAUGGAUAUCACCAAGCCUUUGAUGAAUCAUACUACUAGUCUUUCUCUACCUAGAAACUCAAUGGUACUACUAUGUCUACUAGCCACAUGCAAUAUAUAAUAGUCAUAGAAAAUGGCGCAACUCCAUAUCACCUUGGGCAUACUUUUACCUCAUACAUACAACAUCAUAUUUGUUACUAAUCAAAUAAACCUAAUCUAUUGCAUACACCAUUAAAGCCUAUUAGAUCACUUCCAUAUAACUAGUAUCAUUAACCAAGAAAUCAUCACAUCCACCUUUAUGGACAUCAACUGUUCAAACUUAAUGUCUAGUGCUAAGCAUGAUUUACAACCCAACCUGACANNNNNNNNNNNNNNNNNNNNNNNNNNNNNNNNNNNNNNNNNNNNNNNNNNNNNNNNNNNNNNNNNNNNNNNNNNNNNNNNNNNNNNNNNNNNNNNNNNNNNNNNNNNNNNNNNNNNNNNNNNNNNNNNNNNNNNNNNNNNNNNNNNNNNNNNNNNNNNNNNNNNNNNNNNNNNNNNNNNNNNNNNNNNNNAUAUUGUAGUUUACAACUAACCAACAAAAGAAAGGUAAGGGGGGCAAAGUCACAUAAUAGACAUGGUCAACCUUAAUCUUAUAUUAUAACCCCAUAUAAUCUUAUCUACUUAUAUGACUUUCUCAUAUCACACUUACUUACCCAAGCGUAUAUUUAGAAUACCUUCAAAUUCCACAAAUAACCAUGAGUGUAUAAUUAUAACUUACUGGCUCAUCUAUCCAUUUUUAUACUUCAAGCAGUCAAUAAUUCACCUUAACUAAUAAUUCCUUCUCUACCUUUUAUUAAACUAACACACAAGGACAUAUCACUUCAUUACCAACUCAAUCUCGUGCGAAAAUAUUUGACUAUACAUAUAUUCAACAAAUACAAGAACAACAAGUUGCUAGUGAAUCGAAAUAGGCCUCACACUGCUUCACUAGACUUUGAUUUUUGUGUUUUGAACAAGAAGAUGAAAUGAAUAACAAAUCAACUAUGCUAGUGAAUCUAAAGAGCCCCACACGGCUUCACUAGACUUUGAUUUUUUUUUCAAAAAUACUAUGACAAUAAGAUUUCAUAUUACAAGAGAUAGAAAAUUGACACACAAUAUUCAAUGAUCUAAGGAUACACAUCUUACUCUGUAUAAAUAAAAAUUUGAGUCAAACACUUUCCCUAUAGACUACCAUACAAUCCACACAUGCUACUAGGUACCACAUUAGUCUAUCACUGUAAAGUGGUAAAUCAUCCUCAACUAUCGGUUAUUCAACUAAAAUAUUUAUUUACACAAAAGUCACCCUCGCUCUAACUUCUAACUUUGUGACUUCAUAUCACUAACCUCUUGGUAUAAUCUCACUACCAAUAGGUCAUGACAUCGAUACUUUAACUUAUACUACUAAUCGGGUGAAAAUACAGUUCUAACAUUCUACUACACAUCAUACCCCCUGAAGUAUGACAUCUGCAACAUAAAAUUUUGAAAAGAGACGGAAUACUCUUAAUACUGCAGCUCUAAAAGCAUGAUUUCAUCAGAAUCAAAGUUCACACAAAAAUCAAUACACUCUGAAGCACUAACGGACUCUUCUCAAGUCCUUGCAAAAAUUUUAAACUCUUAUAUGGCUCAAUCAGAAAGGACCAUACCAUUUAGACUAUGAACUUCUACACUUGAAUCACCCCAAUAAUGAGACAUAUUCUGGCAUAUCAAAGUAAUAAAAGAAUUGGGAUAACUUUACUUUUGUAUGGGCGACACCAUAGCAUGAAUUGGAGUAUAGAAGAGGAACAUUCUGGCUCAAUAACACGAACUAGAUUAUGAAGAAAGAAAAACAUUCCUAAAUGCCUAUUAGUGUCCUGCUUAUAAGUGUGGCGCGCUAGAUACUCAUAAAUAAAACUUUACUCGACGCGAUUUUGCAGAGACCCUGGGACCAUGAAUCGUGCUCUGAUACGAAGUUUGUCACGACUCAAACUAGGGCCCUGGCCAUGAUGGACAUCUCAAACCAUGAAGGCCCGAGAGCCCUUCUAACUUGUAAUCAUAUACACCAUUCAUAUAUAAAUAAGAAAUAUAAAAGUAAAAUCUGCUACAGAAACAUGGUCAUAAUCUAAAUUUAUUUUAAGAAUGAGGAAUAAAAUCCAAUAUCAACUAAUCAAUGUAUGAAAAUCAUUUGUCUGAAAAUUGGGACAAGGCCCCCAGUAGACCAAAACUAUAAAAAAUAAUAACUGUCUGAAAGAAACUAGGCCUUCUGGAAUACAAAAGGCUUACCAAAUAGUACUCUUCACUCCUGUAUAAUGAAAUCUACUGCUUAUCAGGACCCCUAGACUGUGCCUCAAAACCUGAAGGAAGGGGGGUCAGUACAGAUGUACUGGUACACAGAGCAAUCUAAAAUAAAGCUUUUAUAUAAAUAAAAUAGUUGAGAGCUAGUCAUAAAUAUCAAGAAAGAUAUAAUUUUCUAAACACAUGGGCAUUCUUGAAAAAACGUAAAAAUCUUUCUGUCAAAAGCAGUUUCUGAUCUUUGUAUUACUUCUGAGUUAGGUGGCAAUCCCUUACAAUUCUGAUAUUCUAUGGGCGGUAUGAAAUCCGCCAUUGAAUCGGCGGGGAAGCCUCCGACCCGAGUGUGCAGCAAGGGUUGGAGUUUCUGAUUCUGAUAUGACACACAACACUAGGCCAGCGUAAUAUAAUAUACCCGGAUCGGCAAAUCACGAUUUUGGAAAAAGAGUUACCUGAACUCCUGCCUUCUUCAGGGAACCACCUAACAUCUCUUUAUGCCCAAUUAUAUCCUAUUCUGAAUCAUGCAUUAUUCUAGUUUCAACAUCUGAAAAUUCUAACUUCAAACAUGCAUUCUAUUCUGUUCUAAAUUACCAUGACAUAAUCUGAAUUAGUGUCGUCGCACCAAGACUUGCAAGUCCUAUUUUUGAGCAAUAAUGCAUCAUGCAUGAUUCCUUCAUUAAAACAUAGUUCAGACCACCCACACAUGCAAUUUAACAAAGGGAAUUCAUGUUCCGAAAAUAUAAGUUAAAACUAUGCAAAAUUCCCAUCCUUUCCAUAAACAAGUCGUGGUCAUGUAAUUUUUAACAAACCAUGCAACCCUUCUCAUUAUACGAUUAUGUUCAACAUUCAUCAGCAUAAAAAACCCUCUUUCUUUUGAAAAUAAAAUCAUAAUCCAAAUAUAAUAUUUUUUAAGAUAUUUCAUAACAAGUUUUUUAAUAUGCAUUUAAAUGAUUUCAUAGUAUAUCAUAAGUAAAUGAAAAUCAUCACAAAAGAGGAAUUUUUCAUGAAUCAUGCUCUCAAUUCAAUCAUUAACGUUAAGACACAUGCUUACAAUAUAUAUAUAAUUUCAAAUCAAUUUGGGGGAAGGGGUAAAGACUAAAACAAUAUCAUCAACGCUUCUAAAACAUGAAUAUAUUCAUAAAUUUGAAACCCCUUUCUUAAAAUCAUGAUUUCUAUGCCCAUGAGAUUUUUAGAAAAACCUCGCGUACCUUAAAUUAGAAGCUUUUGAAUGAACUCUAGCUUUUGAGAUGUUAUACGUACGAUUGGUGGGUGCCUCUUAUAGCCCUCACAAUGGGGAUUCCAAAUCUUUUAGAAUUAAGAUAAACCCACAGUUAAAUCUUCAGAUAUUUGGGUUUUUAGUUUGAAACCCUAUGGUGAGUUCUUGUUGAAUUUGAGAGAAAAGAAUCAUAUUUUGGUGAUUUGGAAGUUUAAUCUCAUGUUAUAGCUGGAUAAGGGAUGAAAGAUACCCAUUUUCCCCUUAAAAAUGCAGAAACAGAACCUGAAAUUUUUGUACGUGUGAUAGGGCGUGCGUCACACGCUUAUCGCAUGAUGCUACUAUCUCAAUCACUAAAAUAGCCAUAACUUGUUUCUUGAGUAUCGUAUUUAGGUGAAAUUGGUAUCGUUAGAAAGCUAAUUCGAAGAGCUUUCAUUUGAUAUAUAGUAGGCCCAGUAAUUCAUUGUAUACUAAGACUUAUGGUAGAUUAAAGUUGAUCCAAGUUUCGACAUUCACUCAAACUCGAUUGAUAGGAAAGCUUUCAACUCGUCCUUGAGUUAGGGGACCUCUAUGAUCUCAAUUCUUGCUUAAAUAGGUUCACAAACUACAUAAUUGAUUAACAUGCCAACUUUUCAUAGGAUUUAUGACUUUUGGAUCAUCUAUGCAUAGAAACGACGGUUUUUAUUCUAGCCCGAAAUGCGGGGUGUUACACAGUGAAUUUGAACAAAGCAUAAGUGCUACUUUUAAGCAAAGAUUCAAAUUUUACCUAUAAUAAUCAAAGAACAAAGUAAAAAAGGAGAAACACUCAAUAUUAACUAUUCUUUUCAACAUAAAAAAAUAACUUUACAUGCUAAAAACUAACAUAUCCGCUAACAAUGAAUUUAAACAAAGCAUAAGAACAUCUUUUAACAAAGAUUGAAACUUUAUCCAUAAUAAUCAAAUAAUAAAGUCAAAAAGGAGAAACAAUCAAUAUAAUCUAUUUUUUCAACAUAAAAAAAUAACUUUACAUGCUAAAAACAAACAUAUCCGCUGACAAUGAAUUUAAACAAAACCUAAGAACAUCUUUUAAGUAAAAAUUAAAACUUUGUCUAUAAUAAUUAAUGAAUAAAGUCAAAAAAGGAAAAACAAUCAAUAUUAUCUAUUCUUUUCAACAUAAAAGAAACAACUUUACAUGCUAAAAACAAACAUAUCCGCUAACAAUGAAUUUAAACAAAGUAUAAGUACAUCUGUUAAGCAAAGAUUGAAACUUUACCUAUAAUAAUCAAAGAAUAAAGUCAAAAAGGCUUGUACAUCUAUUGCUAGUUCAUAAUAUCGAUACCUCAACACUCUAUCGCCUUCUAUGCUAUCUACAACAAACAAUCCCAGAAAACAAAAUUAUAACUACGAACUACGAAGAAGAAAAAGAUGAAGAAGAAAAUGAUUCUAUGCUAUCUACAACAAACAAUCCCAGAAAACAAAAUUAUAACUACGAACUAAGAAGAAGAAAAAGAUGAAGAAGAAAAUGACAAUAAAACUUAAAAAGGAAAAGGCGUGUUUACCUUUUUGGGGGCAGUAAAACAACACUACAAGCUUUUUUUUGGAGUCUUGAUCACCACCGGAAAGAAUUCAACUCGAGAACUUGGAUUAGCCCACAAAUUUCAUGGAAAAGAAAAUUAUUUUACUAAAAUAAAAACUCUUCUUUGCUAAAAGCUUUUUUAUUCAACCAUUCGACUUUUUUUCUACUAAAAAAUAAUCCCAACUAUUUGCUCAAAGGCUUUUCAAUUCUUUGAGGCUUUGAGACUUGGCCUUUCUUCCAAAAUAAUGGUAGUAUUUAUAGGAAAGAAUGGAGUUUCCAUUCUUUUCAUCCACCAAUGUGGGAGAAAAAGUAUCUAAAAGUGUUUUUUGAAUUAUUAAAAGUUGAAUAUAAGGUGAGGUGGAAGAUAAUGUGGGGGAAUAUUGUACAAUGUAGUACAAUUUAUGAAUUCCAAAAUUGUAAAAGGACAAAGUUGGGGGGAGAUGUUUAAUGUAGUACAAUUUUGAAAUUAUUUUUGGUGAAAAUUGGAUAGAAGUUAUGAGAUUUUUGUGAGAAUUUUGGGGUUAUUUAAAAUAUAACCACGAUUGGAAUUUAAAAUUUAGCCAAAUUUAUUUAUUUUGACCAAAUUAUAAAUCAAUUGGUGGAUUUUAUUGCAAUUAUGACCAAUUUGAUUUCAAUUAUGGCUACGUAUAAAAGAUUGACUAAAUUAAAUUGAAAUUCAAUACGAAUUAAUACCUCUUUUAAUUCCAAGCUUCUUGAUUUAAUAAAAUCUAACACAUAUUUAUUCAAAUAAAUUAAUUUUAUUAAUAAAUUAUAUUUAUAUCAAGAUUUUAAUUAUUUAAAUUUAUUUUCAAGAUAAGCCUUGAUUUAAAUCUGUUUUUUUGUAAAAUAAAUAUUUAAGUAACAAAAUUAGAAAAUUUUGUAUAAUUGCUAUGAUAAUAUAUAAUCGCUACUUAAAAUGACAAAUUUACCUAAAUAAAUACUUUGCAAAGCUUUUUAUUCACAUAAAAUAAAUGUUGUAAUUUUAUCCAAAAAUUGAAGAAACUCAAAAAUAAACUUAGUGUUGGAGGGUAAAAAUUAAGUGUCAACAUGUGUACCUCUGCAGGAUUGAAUUCUAACUUCACUACAACUAUUGAGCCUUAACAAUCAACAAAUUACAAGACUCUUGUAAACUAGAAAUUCCCCCAUUUUGAUGAUGACAAACCACAUAGCAUCACAACAUCACAAUAUUACCUUUUAAAUUCUUGACAUACUCAAUAUAGGAAUAAAACACAAGGAUACUAGAAAACAAGUUAGUCACUGAGUUAUAAACAUUGCUCAAUCUAAUACUUUCCCCUUUUGACAUCAUCUAAAAGAAAGGCCUAAAGCCAGAAAAAUAUUGUUUAAUAAUCCAUGGCCACUGGGGCUAUCACUAAAACAAUCAAAAAUUAAAGCAAAAUACCAACAUGCAUUAAGUAAAAUAGAAGCAAAACACAAGAAGCAAUUAAGUCCAUUUUAUUCAGAAGCAAGAUAUAACUAAGAGUACCAAAAAACUGAUAAAGAAGAAACAGGCAAAAACAAAGGCAAUCCUAGGUACUAAGGAGGUAAAUAAGGAGGGGAAACAGAGGUAAUAAGGGUAGUUAAAUUUUGCACGAUUUCAGCAUUUGUAGCUCUUUCACUCUCAAUGGAAUCUUGAAGAGAAGCAAUCUAAGCUUGAUGUGCCAGUUUUCCGCAUUAUGAGUUGCUUGAGAAGCCUCCAAUUUAGCAUGGGUAGCCUCCAACUCAGUAGUUUUAGCUGCAAGUGCAUUUCUCAAACGUUGGACAGGAUUAUCAAUACUCCUCAUUGAAACAAGUAGCUCCAUAUGCUUCAUAGUCCCUAUAACAUCUUUGGUAGUCUGUAUAGACCAUACUUGAAUAGGUACCCUAAACUCUUCAAAUAUAGGGGUGAGCAGAAAUUAAUAAGAAAGAGCAUGACCACUCAUAUCUUUCAGGAGAACUCUUUGCAUGUGCUGUAGAAUAGUCCUAGGCAGAUCAAUUUGCACCUCAGUAUCCAGCAACUCCAUGAGAGUAAGAUCGAGAAAAUUUAUUACAGUACUUCUUUCCUUCCUAGGGGUGAUCAUCUUGUAAAUGAGAUCAAAGUAGAGAUAAUGAAGAGGAGACAUCUCUCUCUUGAGAACCCUAUGAUGAUUGACAAGAUGAGGAUUACCAGAAAACUUACGAGAGAUUUCAAAAAUAGAUGCAAUAUUAUUAAGUGGAGGCCAAGUGACCCCAACCUCCAGAGGAAUAUUCAAAAUUCUAGCAAUAUUAACAGCAUAGAGAUUUAUAGUGACCCUCUAAUAGUGGUAGAAAAUAUCUCACCAAUAGCAACCUCAUUGGUAUAGAAGACACAUACCUCAGAUUUUGCAAACUUUAUUUGUAAGUCACCUCGAAGAAACAAGUGUGUCCACCUUUGGGCCUCUAAUUUGGUUAAUAGUACUUUCAUAUCAGCACCCCCAAAUCCACUAACAACACGUCCUCUAGUCAACUUGCGCUUUUAAAAGUGCAGAUAAUGGUCUGCAGGAGAGUCCAGAUUGUCAGAGAAUUCAUGAAGCUCAAAAUUUGAAUCUAACUCAGCAAGAGUAUUAGGAAGUAAGUCAGACUUAAAAGAAUCAGAGAGAAUAGUUUUGGUAACCUAUUUCUUUGAGCAUGUGGAUGAUUUUUAAGGAGUGGGUUUGGAAGAUGAGGAAGAUUUUGAGGCACGGGUGGACUUUAUCUUAGAUGAAGGUGUACAAAAAGUAGAGGGUUUUGGAAUCGUGUGUUUCACCAUCUUUCCCUUAUGCACAGAGAAAAGUAGUAUAUCUGGAGAGGAGGAAGGAGGAGGAGCAGGUGUAGCUACACAUUUUCUCUUGAUCGCUUAAAGGUUUUUAGAUAGAGAGGCCUCUUCAUGUUAUUUUUUCCCAUGAGUAUGAGGAGUUCUAGGAACGACUACAAAAAGACGAGCCUCAACAGGAUUUUGAUCUUCAACAACUUUAGGAGAGAAGGAAUGCUUUCUCUUUGAGUGAGACCUUGAUUUUAUAGAAAUUAAAUUUGCAAUUAAAACAUCAUCAGGAUUAAUAAUUUGUAGAGGAACAGGAGGUAGUGAAGUGGGUUCAGGGAUGGAUUAAGAACUGGAAGAGAUUUGAUAAAAAAGGUUUUUGAGAAUUUUGAAAGUGGUGAAAUCGGACAAUUUAAUUGGAAUGGUAGGUGGAAUAGGAGGUGUUCUGUUAGCAGUAGGAUGAAGAAUGAUAGCUGUGGAAGGAAAAGUAGAGAAAGCUAAAGAUGGAGCUGAAAAUGAGGAUGCCAUGGUGAGAAGGAAACAUUGAGUUGGUUUUGUUUAUGAGAUAGUGAAUGAAUAAGGUGAGAAAGAGAGAGAAACAAAUAUAUAAAAAAGGGAGAAGAAGUUGAAACUUAAAGGAGAGGGAUUUGAUGGGUAGCAGGAUAAUGAUGAAGAGUUACAAUGGUGAUGGGAUUGGUGUGGUAGCUUUUUUAAAAAUGUUGGACUCUUAAGAUUUGGUGGUUUAGAAAUAUAUAACGGACCAUAAGGGCAAACCUGUUUCUCCUUAGUCAAUUUAAGAUAAACUGAUAAUCAGACCUAAACUCCUUAACAUUUUGAACAGAAUUGCUUUAAGUGUUCCAACAUCAUUGUAAAAUAUAAAUACAUAAAGGUUAGAUCACUCAAAAUUCUGAAAUUAGGACACACAACUAAAUGUGCAAGAUUGGAUUAAUCAACAAAAACUCAUAAGAACAUCAACUUUUCUAGUUAAUUAUUGAGGGAGAUUUAUGCAAUCUUAAUCAUCCCCAAGGAUAGCCUAUUCUUUUCAAAGUGUUCCCUUCUUAAUUGUAAUGCCCCAAUUUUAUACCUCAGAUUACACACGAUGCUCAUAAUAUCGAAGGACCACAAGCCAACCUAUGACUAGUACCUACUGCAAUCACUGAAUAAUAACAUUGUAAUAAUGUGGAAAUUAGGUUGAAUCUACCAUAAGGUUCAUAACUGAAAUCAAGUACUAAUAACUAAAUACUGUAAAUAGAAUACCUGUCUGAAAUAAUCUGGCAUGAAAGCCUCUAACUGUCUGAAUAGUGAAGUUGAUGGGAUAAGCCCCCAAAUAACUCCGACUACUGAAUAAACUAAAUUCUGAAAUACUGAUAUAAUAUCUCUGUCCUUAGACUAUAAGGACUCACCACUAAAUCUUCUGCUGAAAGUCUGGGCUGCUAAGUAUGGUCAAGAGCCCGUGCGUCUGAACCUUUGAUAUAAGAUAUCAUAGCAUAAAAAAGGUAUGCGUCAGUACUUUAAAUGUACUAGUAUGCUAGGUAAGGUAAGGCUUAAUGCAUGGGUUCAUAUGCAUGAACAAUAACUGACUGAAUAACAUAAAUAUAACUGAAUGAGAGUAUAUGUAUAUCUGAAACUACUGUAAGUACUGAUUAUGCAAUGUUGUGUCCAAAUCUACUUUAUUGUUUCUAAGAUUACUGAUAGCUGAAUUACUGAUAAUUGGGUGACUAUUUCUGGUAGUCCUAAUUCAGUGGAACUAAAAUUAGUUCCAUACUGAGCUGAGUAACUUGUCUGACAAUCCUAAUUCUGGAAACUGAACUGAGGUUUCAUACUGAGUUAGAAAAUAAAACUAAAAUUGUGGGAGUGUUAAUCUAACUGACAUACCUCAAUUAUUGAUAGAUUUAGGGUCCAAUGUGUGACCCCAGUUGGAAGGGUGUUAGCACAUUGCCAAGGGAUACUAGCAAUGGCUAUGAAUUAACCCUCUCUAGCAGGAAGACACUUUAUCAACCCUCCCUUGCGAGAAAAUUCGUAUGAGAUGUAUCAACCCUAGUCUGACAGAAAGAUAUAUAAACCUAUGCUGGCUACGUAGUUCUGUAAUGCAGGGAUUGCUACUAAGGGUCAAACACUAUGCUGGCAGGAAUGUCCCCAUCCCUGGGUUCGCUCGAUGCAAAUUUCUAAUCCCAAUUGAAUAUACACUGAACUGAUUUCUAGACUGUACUAGGAUUUACUGAACUUAUUACAGAUCGUGCUGUCUAACUAAACUGAACUGAGUUCACUGAGUUAUAUUAACUAACUGAGCACACUGAAUUCUGUUAACUAACUGAUUAUACAGAAUUCUUUAACUGACUGAGUACUACUGGAUGUUAUAUCGCUGAGACUAUUCUGAAACUACUUUAAAUCUAGGUAAAAAGAUAGAUUGUUGGGUAAUAGAUACCCCCUGGAUUCAAUUACAUAACUUGUAAAACAUAACACAAUCUUGAAAGCAUGAUAACUAGACACUGUCACAAUUCACCCAUUCAGGCAUUAUAACAAACCCUUGCAUGGUGUAAACUUGUAUACAUACUAACAUGUCAUUAUUUCACUAUUUAACUCACAUGAACAUUAUAUCAAAUACUUGGGGAGCAUGGAUUAUUUCACAUAAUAAUAGUCAGAACGUAAACAUCACGGAUACAAUAAUCUUUUGUAGUUUCAAUGGUUUAACAUGCUAAUCACAUAAUUCGCCACACAUGCUACAUAAAUUUUAUUAGACUUGUAGUAAAUCAAAGAUUGAAAUCCAAAUCAUACCAUGAACGUGAAUACAAUUAAAUUAAAUAUGAGAUUCAUGAAAACAAUCAACUUGAAGUUUUUAAAAGAGGUUCUUGAACUCUAAGGGUGGAAGGAAACCCUUGGAUGAACACCUAACAUACCUUGAUUGUUAAUUCUCUGAAAGUUGUGGUGAAUUUCUUGGGGAUUGAAUCUUGAAUUUGAUGGGUUAGGGUGUUUUUUUUUAGAGAAUUUGUGAAUAAUGAGUGAAAUUUGCCUUUAGAAAGGCUUAAUAUCGUGUUUUGGGGCUGAUAGAAGUAGGUAAAAUGACUUAAUUACCCCUCUAAAUGCAGAAUUAAAGAGCAGAAACCAUGCCCUAUGAUGCGCAGACUGACUCACUGCGUCGAUGGGGUUGACGCAAUAGCUGACACAAUGCGUCGAUAUGGCGUUGGCUCAUUGGAAUUUGCACUGGGAGCUAUGGAAAAAUAUCUAUUGAUGCGAUUAGCAACGUGACGUGUCGAGAUCGAGUCUAUCCACUAUUUUGGAUUCCCAAACAUAUUUCAAACAAGGUUUGAAAAAUCCAAAAUAGGCCCGAAGUGACCUAUUGAUACUCUUGAUCAUGAUUCAAUCAAUGGAUAGAUAUUUUAAGGUCCUAAGGGUCAAAAAUAAGUUCAUGGAAAUAUGUAGGCCAAAAUAAAACUAAGUGUCAAUACUUAGCUUAAAAUUUUCUUAGUUUGGGGCCUCUUUUCAUGCUAUAAAGGACUAAGUUAGGCUUGAAAUUUUAUGGGGUUUUACAAUAUCUCCCCGUUGGGAAUAUUCAUCCCUGAAUGAGACUAGCUAAGCUGAGAAUACUGAUAGACUGGGUGUAUAUAUUGAACAUGCACAACUGAAUCAUGAUUACAUGACUGAAAAUACUGAUAUGCUGUAUUUUCAUAUUGAACAUGCAUAACUGAUGCAUGACUAAAUUCUGAAGACAUGAUGCAUGACUGAGAUGUUUCAUGAAGGUAUACAUGAUAUGAGAAUACUAUGCAAUUAAACUGAUAUCAAACUCAUAAAGAAAAUCUGAACAUGAAACUAAGUAAAUUCAAGGAGCACUGUUACCUUCAGUUGAAUUUAAGUUUGAGGAGAAAAGGUGAGGAUACUUGGUUUGCAUAUCUGCUUUUUCUUCUUAAGUAUAUCCCUCAAUGGAUUGAUUCCGCAAAAGAACCUUGACUUAUGGAACGUCUUUGUUCCUCAGUCUGUGAACUUGAUGGUCAAGGGUUUGACUGGGAUCUCUUCAUAAGAGAGGUUGUUCUGAAUAUCUAUACCCUUUAUAGGGACUACAAUUGUUGGGUCACUUAUGCUCUUCUUUAACAAGGAGACAUGAAAAAUUGGGUGCACUUAAGCUAAUUUUGAAGGCAACUCAAGUUCGUAAGCUACUUUUCUAAAACGGUUGAGAAUUUGCUAAGGACUGACAUAUCAGGGACUGAGCUUCCCCUUCUUGCCAAACCUCUUCACUCCUUUCAUAGUAGAGAUUUUCAAAUACACAUAAUCACCAAUCUCAAACUCAAAAUCUUUUCAUCAGACAUCUUUAUACGACUUUUGUUGGCUCUGAGCUGUCUUAAGCCUUUCCCUGAUCAACUGAACUUUUUCUAAGGUAUCAAAUACCAAGUCAGGACCUACCACUACAACCUCACCCACUUCAAACCAACCAAUGGGGGAUCUACAUCUCCUCCCAUAGAGCGCCUCAAAUGAAGCUAUCUGAAUGCUGGAAUAAUAACUGUUAUCAUAUGCAAACUCAAUCAAAGGCAAGUGGUCAUCCCAACUACCCUUAAAGUCAAUCGCACACGCUGUUAACAUAUCUUCUAGAGUCUGGAUGGUCCUUUCUUCUUAACCAUCCAUCUGAGGGUAAAUGGUUGUACUAAGGUGAACUUGGUCACUAAGACCCUUUUGAAGGCUUUCUAGAAAUGAGGUAAACUGCGUACCUCUAUCUAUAAUGAUGGACAAUGAAAAUCCAUGCAAUCUGACCAACUCUCUGACAUAGAUCUUGGCAUAAUUCUCGGCUGAAUAAGAGGUAUGAACUGGUAAGAAAUCAGUUGAUUUGGUCAUCUUGUCCACAAUGAACCAAAUCGAAUCAUGCUGGCGGCGAGUAUGGACAAACCCAUCAUAAAAUCUAUGUUCACCUCCCCCCACUUCCAAGUGGGAAUACUGAACCCCUGCAUAGCUCCACUAGGAUUCUGAUGCUCUAUCUUAACCUACUGACAUGUUGAUUACCAGCUACAAUCUCUGCUAUGUCUUUCUUCAUCCCACUGCACCAAUAGACUUUCCACAAGUCACGGUAUAUCAUGGUGGCCCAUAGAUGAAUUGAGUAGAGCGCACCAUGCGCUUUUAUAAGAAUCUAUUGGCUUACGCCAUCCACAUAUGGCACACAUAGUCUACCCUGGCAGCGUAACACACUAUCUUCCCCUUGGGAGAAAACCUUUACUUUCUGAUCUCUGACUAACUCCUUUAGUUUAAUGAAACUGUGAUCCCUAUCAUGCUUUUCUUUCACUUUGGAAAGCAGAGACAAUUCCAAACUAUUCUGCACCCUUACACUACCCUCUACUAAAUCGACUAAGUGGACACCUAGCGAGCAAGCUGGUGAACUUCCUGAAAUAACUUCUACUUAACAUCCUCUAUGUGAGCAACAGUACCCAUAGACAUGAUAUUGAGAGCAUCAGUCACUAUAUUGGCCUUGCCCGAAUAAUAUAGAACACCAUGUCAUGGUCUUUCAACAACUCUAAUUACCUCUUCUAACGUAGAUUAAGGUCUUUAUGAGAAAACACCUACUGCAGGCUCUUCUGGUCUAUGAACACAUCAAUAUUUACUCCUUACAAAUAAUGCCUCCAAGUCUUUAAGGCAAACAUUACAGCUGCUAACUCAAUAUAAUGAGUGGGAUAGUUCUUUUCAUGCAUCUUAAUCUAUCUAGAGGCAUAGGCUAUGACCUUACCUCUAUGCAUCAAAACAUACCCAAAUCCAACUCUGGAAGUAUCACAAUAUACCACAAAUUCAUCUGAACCAUUUGGUAGAGUCAAAACUGGGGUUGAAGUGAGUCGAGUCUUUAACUCCAGAAAACUCUUCUCACAAGAAUCUUACUGCUGGAAUUUGACUUUCUUCUGAGUCAAUCUGUACAUGGGGAAUGCAAUUGACAAGAAUCCCUCAACAAACCAUCGGUAAUAGCCAAUAACACCCAAGAAACUCCUGAUAUCUGAUAGAGAGAUGGGUAUGGGAUAGUUUCUCACUACUUCAGUCUUUUGAGGGUCAACUCUAAUGCCAUCAGCGGAAAUUAUAUGACCAAGAAAAGCUAUUGACCUUAUCCAAAAUUUACAUUUACUAAAUUUAGCGAACAACUGAUGGGCUCUGAGGGUUUGUAACACUAUUUUGAGAUGGUCUGCAUGAUCCCUUUUAUUGUGGGAGUAGACAAGAAUGUCAUCAAUGAAGACUAUGGAGAAUAUGUCCAAGUACUGCUUGAACACACAGUUCUUCAAGUCCGUGAAGGCUUCUAGGGAAUUGGUAAGACCAAAUGAUAGGACUAAGAAUUUUGUGACCAUACCGAGUUCUAAAAGCUAUUUUUCAGAAUGUCACAUUCUCUGACUCUAAGCUGAUGGUAGCCUGAUCUGAGGUCUAUCUUAGAAAAGUAGUUGAUACCCUAAAGUUGGGCAAAUAGGUCAUCGAUUAUGAAAAGUGUAUACUUGUUCUUGAUCAUGAAUUUAUUUAGCUGAUGGUAGUCUAUAAACAUUCUAAGAGAAUCAUCUUUGUUUUGUACAAAUAAAACUAGUGCACCCCAAGAGGAUACACUGGGUCUGAUAAAUCCCUGAUCUAGGAGAUCCUUCAAUUAUUCUUUUAACUCUUUGAUUUUUACUAGAGCCAUUAAUGGCGGAAUAGAGAUAGGCUGAGUAUCUGGAAGAAGGUUUAUUCCAAAGUUAAUUUCCUUCUUGGAAGGGACUCUAGGAAGAUCUUUGGGAAACACAUUUGGAAAUUUACAUGCUACUAAUGUUGACCUAAGAUUAGAGGUCUUUGAACUAGAGUCUCGAACUCAUAUGAGAUGAUAGAGACAUCCCUUAGAUAUCAUUUUUCUCCCCCUAAGGUAAGAAAUAAACUGACCCCUAAGUGCUGAAGUACUAACCCUCCACUCUGGAUAGGUUCAUUUGAAAACUGAAAUUAGACAAUUUUGUUUCUCCAAUCAAUUGAAUAAUAUCAUGAAUGAAUCAAAUCCAUGCCAUGAAUGAAAUUAAAAUUUGUCAUCUCUAGCGCUACUAAGUCUGUUGAAGUAACUUUCUAAGUUACCAUAAUCGGAUAGUUCCUCAAUACCCGCCGGGCUAUGAUAGAUUUACCCACUGGGGUAGAGACAGAGAAGGGCUAUUGAGAAGGGAUCUGCUAGAAUUUUGGGACUGACUCCAAAGUCAACAGCUAUAUAAGGAGUUACAAAUGAUAAAGAAGCUCCUGGAUCUAGCAAAGCAUAAAUAUGUAAAUGAUAAACUUGUGAUGUACCAGUGACUACAUCAUGAGAACUUUACUGAUGCUAUUGGGACUGGAGUGCAUAGAUUCUGUUUGGGCACUGCAACACUAGUGUCAUUGGAAGUGGCACCCUGCUGAAUUGGACGACUGAACUGAGUUGGGAGAUGAUUAUGUUGAAUCUACGAACCCACCCGAGGACACUCCCUAACCCUAUGGCCUGGCUUGACAGAUCUAAAACAUACAUCACUGCCAGCCCUGCAGACACCCCAAUGGUUUUUGCCACACUUUUGGCAAAGAGGAUUUAUUCGGGCACCGCUAACACUACCCGGGGGUUUAGGGCUUGGUGCCCUAUCUUUAUUAUCGUCUAUAAAUUUUAGCACUGGAGCACUAGCUGAGGAAGGAGCUGGAACUGAGGAUUUUGGGUGGAAUUAAGAAUGAUUUCCACCUUCCGACUUAGGCUAGGUGAAGUUGAAGCUAUUUGUUCUAGCUUUCUUGUUCUCCUUACCCUUUUCUUAUUCUUAGCCUCAUCUAUCUUCUUAGUAUGGACCAUGAGCCUGGAUAUGUCUAUCUAUUUAAUAAACAUUGCGGUACUACACUCCUUGACAAUACUGUUAGACAUACUAGACAUAAACUUACUUAUCUUAGAUCUUUUAUCUGCUACCACAUGAGGGGCAUAUCUAUCCAACUGAGUAAACCUGAGAGAGUACUCUUUUGCUAUCAUAUUUCCCUACUUUAGAUUAAUAAACUCCAAAAUGUUAGCUUUCCUCAACUUUAGUGGGAAGAACCUAUCCAAAAAAAUAGUGGCAAAUUCUUCCUAUUCUAUGGGUCCUGAAUUUUUGCCCCUAUCUAUCUUGCACUACUUAAACUAUAUAUGAGCCAAAUAUUGCAACUGAUAUGUAGCUAACUCGGACUCUCACUAGAAUUCACCCCCAUGAUAUUUGUGACUUUCUACACUAUGUUAAGGAAUUCCUAUAGGUCCUCACCUGACUUAGACCCUAUAAAUGAUGGAGGAUUCAUUUGGGCUGUAAUACCCCAUAUUUCCCUAGCAUAAUAUAAGUCCUAGUGCAUGAGUAUUCGUAUAUGAAAAUUUUGAAACACUCAUUAUUUUUUAGUUUAGUACCUGUCAUUUCAUAAGAUAUUGAAUUAGCUUUCCAAUGAUAUAAAAUUUUCCCAAUUCUGAUAACCGGGUAAGAAAUAUGGCAAUUUUAAGUUUCUAUCAUUAAACACCGUCAUUUUACCUAUCAGCGCAUCGUGGAGAGAGUUAAAUAGCAAUUGUCAAUUUUCUGUGAGGUAUCACAAUGUUGGGGCGAUGCACCAUAGGCCAAUUUGGUAUUUGUCAUUUUCUAGUGUUGUAGCGCGAUGCCACCGCGUCGCGGAGAACUUUCAGGUCCUAAUCAGUGAAGGAUCGCUAUUUACCCGCAUCGCACCCUAGAAUAGUUUCCCAAUUGUUAGUUUCUGAUGACACAACAUGAUAGCACCACGUCACGCCAGGGACCCAAAUCAAAAAAUUUUCACGAAAAUCUAAUAUUUCGUCCAGGGUUAAAGCAGUCUUAUCCUAUUUUUUUAUUAAUUUCUCCCAAAAUUCAAGAGCUUUCUCUCUAAAUUACAAACCCUAGCUCUCAAGAAACCAAGAGCAAUCUCAAGAAUUCACCCAAGAACUUUGAGAAAUUCAUCUGUUAAGGUAUGUUAGAUGUUCAUUCAUGGAUUCAUUUCAUCCAUGGAGCUCAACUAACCUUUUUAAUUAUAAAGUUAUGAUCUUUUUAAGUACUUUGAUUUUAAAUCAUGAUUUCAUCUAUUAAUCUCCAUGAACUUUGAUUUAAUACCAUUUUAUAAUGAAGUUAUUGUCGUUAUUUGAUUUCUUAUGUUUUAGUGUUAUCAUUUGUUAAAUUAAAUCAUGACUUAGUGUUUUCCAUGAUAAUUUUAUGUCAAUUAUGCCCGUUAUUUAGUAAUUCUAUGAUUAUUUUAAACCAUGAACUAUAAGUGUUUGAUAAAAUGCCUACAAGACCAAUUGAUUUAAUAAGAGUCUUCAUGCUAUGUCCUUCAAUGUUUUAGUGUCAUGCUACUGCUAUUGUUUUGAGUCAUAGGGGUAAGAUUUAGCACCAGGCGAGGGUAGGGAUGGCAGCUUCCCCGUCAGAUAGGCAGAGUCAUUAGCAGUAGUCUCUGUACUCCAGAACUACUUAGCCAGUGUAGGAUAUGAGUUGUCACCAGUCAAAUCAGAUCAAGCUUAACACCCUUAGUCCUUUGGACAUGAUAUCAGUUUAGUAGAUCCACACAGCCAGUGUUAGUACCAGUGGCAUACUAUUAACACCCUUCUAACUGGGAUUAUAGGUUGGAUUCCGAUUAGCUCAGAUUGGGGAAUAUUGGUUAGAUGAUACCUCCCACAGCCUCAGACAUAGUCUCAGUCAUAGUUCCAGUUCAGUUCUUCAGUCUUAGUAUUGCUUGACCAAAGCAUAAAGAUUCCAGUUAUUUAUAGUAUUUCAGUUUACAGAUUUUAUCCAGUUCAUGUCAUAUGCUUGGUCAUGCAUCCUCAGUGUCUACAGAUUUUCAUGUAUUUUUAAUAUUUUAUAGGCUUUCAUGCAUGUUUAGUAUCUCCAAAUUUUAUUCCCUCUAUUUAGUAUUCCAUACUUUAUAUGUAUAUUUAGAUAGAUCAUUACUCCUAUUCAUGAAACCUUACAUGUUAGCCUACCUUAUUUAGCAUACCAUUAAAUUCAAAGUACUAAUCGCAUACCUUUCUUUUUCCCUAUGAUAUCUCAUAGCAUAGGUAUUGAUGCUCAGUUCACGGAUCACCCUUAGACCCUCAAAUUCUCAGCAGUACAGUAGUAGUGGUGAGUCCUCAUCAUCCGAGGACAAACUAUCUUAUUUCGUGUCUUUAUUUGAGUAGUCAGUAGAGUUAGUUGGGGACUUGUCCCAUUAACUCUCAUUUAGUCGGUCUUAGUGUCUAUUCAGACAUUACAGUCAGUUAGUUGUUUAAUUUAUCAGUACUUUAUCAAAUUCAGACAGUCAUUUUCCUUGAUUUAUAUUUCAAUUUAUUUUAGAUAUUUUAAAACCUUCUGGCACUUUAGUUAUCCUUCCGCAAAUUCAUGAUUAUAUUAUUCAGUGCUCACAGUAGGUACCACCUCAUGGGUUGGCUUGUGGUUCGUUAGAAUUGUAAAAACCAUGUAAUAAUUAGGGGGUACUCUUGGGUUGUUACGAACUUGGUAUCAGAGCCUAAGGUUUUAAAGUGUCUUAAGAAAUCUAAAAGUCACGUCGAGUAGAGUCUUAGGAAAAGUUUCCCUUCUUUCAAGUAUUCAUGUUGUGCGAGUGAGCAUGAGCUCAAGUUAAACUCUUAGUCUAAUCCAUUUCUUCCUUCCAUUUAUAGAACAUGCCUCCCAAGAAGAAAUUAAGAAGAACAGGAACUUAGACAUCCCCUCAUCCUGUCCAAGCAUAUCCUCUGGACAAGUAUAUCUCUUACACAGAAUUCAAGACUGCGUUCACUACUCUAGCAAACUCUGUAGCAGAACAGAAUAAAUGGCUACCUGCUGUUCUGGCCAACCCAGUGACCAAUACUAUUGCAACUAAAAUUUAGGAUUUCACCCAAAUGAAUCCUCCUUCUUUCAUGGGAUCUAAGUCUGAAGAGGAUCCACAGGAAUUCUUAGAUAUAGUUCAGAAUGUCACGGAUGCUAUGGGGGUGAUGUUUAGUCAGAAUGUCGAGUUGGCUGCAUAUCAAUUACAGGAUGUAUCCCAUACUUGGUUUAAGUAGUGAAAAGUUGAUAGAGGUAUUGAUGUAGGGCCUAUAGAAUUGGAAGAGUUUGCCACGGUUUUCUUGGAAAUAUUCAUUCCAUUUGAGUUCAGAUAGGCCAAAGUGUUAGAGUUCAUUAAUUUAAGGUAAGGUAGCAUGAGUGUGAGGGAGUGUUCUCUUAAGUUCACUCAUUUAGAUAGAUAUUCUCCACAUGUGGUAGAUUACAGUAGGUCCAAGAUGAGUAAGUUUAUGUCUGGCGCAUCUGAUAGUGUGGUCAAGGAGUGUAGGAUUGCAAUCCUUAUUUAUAAGAUAGACUUAUCUAGACUGAUGGUCCUUGCUUAAUAGAUAGAGGAGCAAAAUAUGAAGGAGAGAGAGAGAGUAAACAAAUAGCUAGGACGGGUAGUUUUAAUUUUAAUCAGCCAAAGUCAGAAGGUGGUAACUGUCCUCAGUUUUAGUAGAGGUCUUCUGCCCCAGUACCUUCUUCAGAUAGUGCCCCAGUACCCAAAUUUAGAAACAACAGUUGCGAUAGGGCACUAGGCUGUAAGUCCUAGGUCAGUGUUGGUAGUUCUUAUACCAAUCCUUUAUGUCAAAAAUAUUGUAGACACCAUCAGGGUAAGUGUAGAACGGGUAGUAAUAUGUACUUCGGGUGUGGCAAGCUAGGCCAUCGGAUUUGGGAGUGUCGGUAGUUGCUUAGAAAGGUAGGUAUGCACACCACCAGGGCAAAUCCCAUCAUUCCUCAAUUCCAUUCGACCGCCCAACUCAGUAGGGUGCCACUUCUAAUGCUACCAGUGGUCAGCGUUCGAACAAAUUAUAUGCUCUUCAGUCCCAUCAAGAUUGGGAAAAUUCUCCUGACGUAGUUACUGGUACGUUGCAAGUCUUUCACUUAUAUGUUUAUGCUUUACUAGACCAUGGAGAUUUUCUUUCUUUUGUAACCCCAUAUAUAUUUGUCAAUUUUGGAGUUAGUCCCGAAACUCUAACAGAGCCCUUUUCAGUGCCUACCUCAGUAGGUGUUUCCAUCAUAGCCAGGCAGGUAAACAAGAACUAUUUGAUCACAAUAUCUUAAAAAUUUAGCGUAGUUGAUCUCAUGGAGUUAGAGAUGACAAACUUUGAUGUCAUUCUCGGCAUGGAUUGGCUCCACUCAUGCUAUGUCUUAGUUGAUUGUAGUAAAAAAAUAGUUUAUUUUUAGUUUCCAAAUAAACCAGUCCUUGAAUAGAUGGUAGUACUAUAACUCUUAGGGGUCAGUUGAUUUCGUACCUUAGAGCCAGAAAGAUGAUAUCGAAGGGGUAUAUUUACCAUCUUGUGUGAGUUAAAGACACUGACUCAGAAACUACUACUCUUGAGCUAGUCCCAGUAGUAAAAGAAUUCUUAGAUGUGUUUUCUGAAGAUCUUUGCGGAGUUCCACUCGAAAGGAUAAUCGACUUCGGAAUAGACUUUAUCCCAGAUACUAAGCCUAUAUCUAUUCUGCCAUACAAAAUAGAUCUAGCUAAACUCACAGAGUUGAAAGAAUAGUUAAAGGAUCUCCUAGAUAAGGGAUUCAUCAGACCCACCAUCUCCCCAUGGGGUGCACCUAUUCUAUUCGUGUGUUAGAAAGUUGGUUCUCUCAAAAUGUGCAUAGACUACUGUCAGUUUAACAAGGUCACAGUCAAGAAUAAAUAUCCACUUUCUAGAAUCGAUAACUUGUUCGACCAACUUUAGGGUGCCAGUUAAUUUUCCAAGAUAGACCUCAGAUCAGGCUAUCAUCAUCUUAGAGUUAGAGAAUGUGAUAUUCUGAAAUAGCUUUCCGAACUCAGUAUGGUUACUUAGAAUCUCUAGUCAUGUUCUUUGGUCUCACAAAUGCCCCAGCAACCUUCAUUGAUUUGAUGACCUGAGUGUUCAAGUAGUACUUGGACAUGUUCAUCAUAGUAUUCAUUGAUGACAUUCUUGUUUACUCCCGUAGUGAAAAAAAUAUGCAGACCACCUCAGUGUAGUUCUUUAGACUCUUAGAUCUUAUCAGUUGUUUGCUAAAUUUAGUUAAUGUUAAUCCUGGCUAAGAUCAGUAGCUUUCCUUGGCCAUAUUAUUUUCGGUGAUGGCAUUAGAGUUGAUUCUCAAAAGAUUGAAGCGGUGAGAAACUGUCCUAGACCUAUCUCUCCAUCAUAUAUUAGGAGUUUCGAAGGUUUAGCUAUCUAUUACCAUUGGUUUGUUGAAGAGUUCUCUUCUAUUGCAUCUCCCAUGUCUAGAUUGACUCAGAAGAAAGUUAAGUUUCAGUGGUUAGAUUUAUGCGAGAAGAGUUUUCAAGAGUUGAAGACUCAACUCACCUCAGCCCCAGUCUUGACUCUACCAGAUGGUUCCGAUGGUUUUGUUAUGUACUAUGAUGUAUCUAGAGUAGGUUUAGGUUGUGUCCUCAUGCAUAGAGGUAAGGUCAUAGUCUAUGCCUUCAGACAGCUUAAGCCUUAUGAGAAGAAUUAUCCCACUAAUGAUCUUGAGCUAGCAGUUGUAGUGUUUGCCUUAAAAAUAUGGAGGCAUUACUUGUAUGGGGUGCAUGUAGAUGUGUUCACAGAUCACAAAAGCCUUCAAUAUGUGUUCUGUCUGAAAGAUUUGAAUUUACAUCAGUGAAUAUAGUUGGUGUUAUUAAAGGAUUAUGACAUGAGUGUUCUGUAUUAUCUAGGCAAGGCCAAUGUAGUGGCUGAUGCUCAUAGUAGAUUGUCCAUGGGUAGUGUAGCUCAUGUUGAGGAUGGUAAGAAACAGUUAGCUCAGGAAGUUCAUCAGCUUGCCCGAAUAGGUGUCCAUUUACUCAAUUCAGCAGAACGUAGUGUAUGGGUGCAAAGUAGCUCAAAGUCAUCUCUUGUGUUUGAGGUGAAGGAAAAGCAGGAUAGAGAUUCCAGUCUUGUUAAGUUAAAAGAAUCAGUCAAAGAUUAGAAAGUAGAAGUUUUCUUCCACGGGGGAGGUGGUGUUUUGCGUUGUCAGGGUAGAUUAUGUGUUCCUGAUGUAGAUGAUUUGAGGCAAUGAAUUCUUGCAUAAGUGUAUGGGGUACGUUACUCUAUUCAUCCAGGGGCCACUAAGAUAUUCCGCAAUUUGCAGGAGAUCUAUUAGUGGAGUGGGAUAAAAGAGAUAUUGUAGAGUUUGUAGCUAAGUUCUCUACAUGCUAGCAAGUUAAGGUUGAGCACCAAAAGCCUAAUGGGCCCAUGCAGGAGUUUAGUAUUCCCAUGUGGAAAUGGGAGGAAGUAAAUAUGGACUUUGUGAUAGGUUUGCCUCGUACCCAUCAUCAACAUAACGCUAUUUGGGUUAUCAUAGACAGUAAGAUCAACUUAGCUCAUUUCUUACCAGUCCAUACCUCGUAUUCAGCUGAGGACUACGCCAAUCUCUAUCUUAGAGAGUUGGUUAGGUUGCAUAGUGUUCCCUUAUCUAUCAUCUCUAAUAGAGCUGCUCAGUUUACCUCUUACUUCUAGAAAGUAUUCCAAAAGGGUUUUGGUACCCAAGUCUACCUCAGUACAGUAUUGUACCCUCAAAUAGAUGGUCAAGCAGAAAGAACCAUUCAGACUCUUGAGGAUAUGCUGAGAGCGUGCGUUGUUGAUUUCAGGGGUAGUUGGGAUGACCAUUUACCUUUGAUUGAAUUCACAUACAAUAACAGCUAUCAUUCCAGUAUGCAUAUGACUCCAUUUGAGGAACUCUAUGGUAGGAGAUGUAGAUCUCUAAUUAGUUGGUUUGAAGUAGGUGAGGCUACAUUGGUAGGGCCUGACUUAAUGUUUGAUGCUUUAGAAAGGGUUCAGUUGAUCAGAGAAAGACUUAAGGCUUCCCAGAGAAGACAUAAAUCAUAUGUAGAUAUGAGGAGAAAGGAUCUCGAGUUUGAGGUCGGUGAUCUUGUGUUCUUGAAAAUCUCUCCCAUGAAGGGAGUGGGGAGAUUCGGCAAGAAAGGAAAACUCAGUCCCAGAUAUGUCGGUCCCUUCAGAAUCCUAAGUCGUUUUGGGAAGGUAGCUUACGAGCUAGAGUUGCCUUCAAAUCUAGCCUCAGUAUGCCUCUUUGUUGAAAAAGUGUAUUAGUGAUCCAGCUAUAGUUGUUCCCUUAGAAAGUGUAGAUAUUCAGAGCAGUCUUUCCUUUGAGGAAGUUAUAGUGGAAAUUCUUGAUCAUCAAGUUCGUAAACUAAGGGACAAAGAAGUUACACUACUCAAAUUUCUUUGGUGGAAUAAGUCCGUUGAGGGAGACACUUGCAAGGAAGAGGAAGAUAUGCGGACAAAGUACCCUCAUCUCUUCUCUGUGAAUCCAAAUUCAGUAUAAGGUACCAAAUCUUCUUAAGAUUUCUCUCUAUCAUGCUGAGUUUCAGUUGCACAUCAUAUUCAUGUCAGUCGUGCAUUCAUGAAUCAGUUCAGUCAUGCAUUGCAUGCAUCAAACAUGCAUAUUCAGUGUGUAAGCUCAGUCUAUCUAUUUCCUCAGCUUAACUAGGUUCAUUCGGGGAUAAAUGAUCCCAAGGGGGAGAUAUUGUAACACCCCAUAUUUUACUAACAUAAUCUAAGUCCCAGUACAUGAUUAUUCAUACAUGAAACUUUUGAAACACUCAUUAUUUUUCAAUUUAGAGCCUGCCAUUGCGUAGGAAAUUGAAUUAGCUUUCCAAUGAUAUAAAAUUCGCUCAAAUCCGAUAACCGGGUAAAGAGUUAUGGGGAUUUUAAGUUUUAGUUGCUAAAAAUCGUCAUUUUACCCAUUAGCACGUUGCCGAGAGAGUUAAAAUAGCAAUUUUUAAUUUUUAGUGAGGUAUCAUGGUGUUGGCACAUUGCACCAUAGGCCAAUUUGGCAUUUGUCAUUUUCCAGUGUUGCAGCGCGAUGCCACCACGUCCCGAAGAACUUACAGGUCCCAAUCAGUGAAUGAUUAUGAUUUCCUGCAUCACGCCAUAGACCAGUUUCCCAGUUUCCAGUUUCCUGUGACACGGCGCGAUAGCGCCGAGUUGAUCUAGGGGCCUUAAUCAGAAAAUUUUCAAAAAUCUAAUAUUUCAUUUAGGGUUAAAGAAGUCUUAUCCUAUUAUUUUAAUUCAUUCGGAUGGAAUAAUUAAUCCCUAAAAUUGUUUUAAAAGUUCAUUAUUUAUUAAUUUCCCCCAAAGUUCAAGAGCUUUCUCUUUAAAUUACAAACCCUAACUCUCAAGAAACCAAGAGCAAUCUGUCCUUUGGACAUGAUAUAAGUUUAGUGGAUUCACACAGCCAGCGUUAGUACCCGUGGCAUGGUAUUAACACCCUUCCAAAUGGGGUUAUAGGUUGGACCCCGAUUAGCUCAGAUUAGGGAAUAUCGGUUAGAUGAUACCUUCCACAGUCUCAGUAUAGUCUCAGUCACAGUUCCAGUUCAGUUCUUCAAUCUUAGUAUUGCUUGACCAAAGCAUACAAAUUUAAGUUAUUUUUCGUAUUUCAGUUUGUAGAUUUCGUCCAAUUCAUGUCAUAUUCUUGGUCAUGCAUCCCAGUGUCUACAGAUUUUCAUGUAUUUUCAGUAUUUUAUAGACUUUUAUUCAUGUUCAGUGUCUACAGAUUUCAUGCUCUCUAUUUAGUAUUCCAUGCUUUACAUGUAUAUUUAGAUAGAUCAUUACUCCUAUUCAUGAAACCUUGCAUGUUAGCCUACCUUAUUUAGCAUACCAGAAUAUUCAAAGUACUGAUCGCAUGCCUUUAUUUUGCACUAUGAUGUCUCAUAUCAUAGGUGCUGACACUUAGUUCCCGAAUAAUACUUAGUCCCUCAGAUUCUCAGUAGUACAGUAGCAGUGGUGAAUCCUCAUCACCCGAGGUCAAACUAUCCUAUUUCAUGUCUUUAUUUCAGUAUUCAGUAGAGUUAGUUGGAGGCUUGUCCUAUCGACUCUUAGUCAGUCAGUCUUUAAGGCUAUUCAAAUAUUAUAGUUAGUUAUUUGUUCAGUUUAUCAGUACUCUAUCAGAUUCAGACAGUUGUUUUCCUAGAUUUAAAUUUUAGUUUGAAUUCAGAUAUCUUAAAACCUUAUGGCACUUUAGUUAUCCUUCUAUAAAUUCAUGAUUAUAUUAUUCAGUGCUCACAGUAGGUACCAUCUCAUGGGUUAGCUUGUGGUCCCUCGGGAUUGUAAGAACUGUGUAAUGACUAGGGGGUAGACUCAGGUCGUUACACAGGCAAAGUCCCAAAUUUUAGCUGUAGAAGUAUUGGCUAUUAGGUUGGACUGAACGGUAGCUGGGCAUUUAUUAUGGUCUACCAUAGAUGAGCUAGGGUAGUGAAAGAUGCUCUAAAUUCUACAUGGGAAACAUGCUCGUCCAGGGGAUCUGCCUGAACAAGCGGAGGUGCUAGCUAAUUUUGUAUUCUUCUUCCGUUGUUCUUUUCAGGAGGCAUGUUCUGUAAAUGGAAGUAAGAAAAGGAUUAGACUGAGAUUUUAACUUGAGCUCAUGCUCACUGGCACAACACAAAUACUGAAAGAAUGGAAACUUUUCCUAAAUAUCUCAUAGUCUUUUAUCCAUAAAUAUGGCAUGCUACACACCCAUGCACAAGACUCUACUAGAACAUACAGAUUUUUGUACCCAGAACAAUAAUUUAGCAGAAGUAUAGAAGUUUUUUUGUAUUGCCUCGAGUCUGUACCCCGGAUGCCACACAGUGCUCAUAAUCUCGAAGGACAACAAGCUAACCCAUGACUGGUACCUGCUGCAUUCACUAAAUAAUAACACAGUAAUAAUACAGAUAUUAGGCUGAAUCUUCCAUAUGGUUCAUAACUAAAAUCAAGUAAUGAUAAAUAAGUACUGUAAACUGAACACCUGUCUGAAAUAAUUUAGCCUGAAAGCCUCUAACUAUCUGAAUAUAGAGUUGAUGGGACAAGCCCCCAACUAACUCUGACUAUUAAAUAAACUGAAUACUGAAAUACUGAUAUGAUAUCUUUGUCCUCGGACUAUAAGGACUUACCCCUAAAUCUGCUACUAAAAGUCUGGCCUUCUAAGUACAGUCAAUAGCCCGUGCGUCUGAACAUAUGAUAUAAGACAUCAUAGCACAAAAGAAAGGUAUGCAUUAGUACUUUGAAUGUACUAGUAUGCUAGGUGAGGUAAGGCUGAAUGCAUGGGUUCAUAUGCAUGAUCAAUAACUGGCUAAAUAACAUAAAUAUAAUUAAAUGAGAGUACAUGUAUAUCUAAAAUUGAUGUAAGUACUGAUUAUGCAAUGUUGUAUGCAAAUCUACUUUACUGUAAUCAAGAUUACUGAUGACUGAAUUACUGAUAACUAGGUGACUAUUUCUGAUAGUACUGAUUCUGUGGAACUAAACUUAGUUCCAUACUGAGCUGAUUGACUUUGUCUGACAGUCCUGAUUCUAGAAAUUGAACUGAGGUUUUAUAUUAAGUCUGAUAAUGGAAUUGAAACUAUGGGAGUAUUAAUCUAACCGACAUACCCUAAUUAUUGACUAAGUUGGGGUCUAACCUAUGACCCAGUUGGAAGGGUGUUAGCACCUUCCCAAGGUACUAAUAAUGGAUAUGAGUUAACCCUCUAUAGAAGGAAGACAUUUUGUCAACCCUCGCUGGCAGGAAAACUCAUACGAGAUGUAUUAACCCUAGUCUGGCAUUAAGAUAUCUCAACCUACACUGGCUACAUAGUUCUGUAAUGCAGGGAUUGCUAAUAAGGGUAAAACCCUAUGCUGGCAGGAAUUUCCCCAACCCCUGGGUUCUCUCGGUGAUGAUUCCUACUCCCAACUGAAUAGACACUGAACUACUUUCUAGAAUGUACUAGGCUUGACUGAACUUGUUACUCAUCGUGCUGUCUAACUGAACUGAACUGAGUUCACUGUGUUCUAUUAACUAAUUGAGCACAUUGAAUUUUGUUAACUGACUGAUUAUACUAAAUUCUUUAACUGACUGAGUACUACUGGACAUGAUAUCACUGAAACUAUUUUGAAACUACUUUAAAUCUAGGUAAAUAGCUAGAUUGUCGGGUACUACAUACCCCCGGGACUCGAUUGUGUAACUUGUAAAACAUAACACAAUCUUGAAAGCAUGAUAACUAGACACUUUGUCAUAAUUCGUCCAUUCAAGCAUUAUAGCAAACACUUGCAUGGUGUAAAAUUUUAUACAUACUAACAUGUCAUGAUUUCACUAUUUAACUCACAUGAACAUUAUAUCAAAUACUUAGGGAGCAUGGAUUAUUUCACAUAAUAAUAGUCAACACUUGAACAUCAUGGAUACAAUAAUCAAUUGUAAUUUCUAGAGUUUAACAUGCUAGUCAUAUAAUUCCCCAUACAUGCUACAUAAAUUUCAUUAGACUUGUAGUAAAUUAUAAAUUGAAACCCAAAUCAUGCCAUGAACGUGAAUACAAUUAAAUUCAACACGAGAUUUAUGAAAACAAUCAACUUGAAGAUUUUAAAAGAGGUUCUUGAGCUCCAGGGGUAGAAGGAAACCCUUGUAUGAACAUCCAACAUAGCUUGAUUGUUAAUUCUCUUAAAGUUAUGGUGAAUUUCUUGGGGAUCGAAUCUUGAAUUUGAUGGCUUAGGGUUUGUUUUUGAGAGAAUUUGUGAAUAAUGAGUGAAAUUUGCAUUUAGAAAGGCUUAAUCUCGUGUUUUGGGGCUGAUAGAAGUAUGGAAAAUCACUUAAUUAUCCGUUUGGACUCGAAAUUAAAAGAGUAGAACCCAUGCCAAUGAUGCACAGACCGAUACGUCGCGUCGAUGGGGUCGAUACGACACAUUGAGAUCAUAUCGGCUCACUGGAAUUUGCACUGGGAGAUGGGUAAAAUAUCUAUCAAUGCGAUUGGCAAUGGGACGCAUUGAAAUUGCAUCAAUCCACUAUUUUGGACUCCCAAACAUGUUUCAAACGAGGUUCAAAAAAUCCAAAACUUGUCCAAAGUGACCUAUUGAUACUCCUAAUCAUGAUUUAAUCCAAGGAUCGACACUUUAUGGUCCUAAUGGUAAAAAAUAAGUUCAUGGAAAUAUCAAGGACAAAAUAAAACUAAGUGUCAAUACUUAGCUUAAAAUUUUCUAAGUCUGGGGCCUCUUUUCAUGCUAUAAAGGACUGAGUUGGGCUUAAAAUUUUACGAGGUCUUACAUUAAUGCCUAAGUGAAUUUAUCAGCAAUUUGUUCUUCAGUAGAAUAGAAAAUGAUUGAUAUAAGACCUUUUUCAACAUUAUCUCUAAGAAAGUGAUAUCUAAUAUCAAUAUGUUUAGUUCUUUUAUGUUGGACAGGAUUCUUUGCAAUAUUAAUGGCACUUGUAUUAUCACAUAAAAUAGGAAAACAUCUAACAUGCACACCAAAAUCCAUGAGUUUUUAUUUAUUCCACAAAAAUUGAGCACAACAAGAUCCAACAAUAACAUACUCAGCCUCAGCAGUAGACAAAGCUACUGAGUUUUGUUUCUUAGUAGAUCAGGUAAUUAAACAUGAUCCAAGGAAGUAUGCCAUGCCUGUAGUGCUCUUCCUGUCUAAGAAAUAUCCUUCAUUGUCAGCAUCAGAAUAACCUACCAAGUUAAAAUUACUACGAUCACUAGUUCCUUUGAGAUAUCUAAAGAUUCUCUUCACCAAUUUCAACUUAGAUUCUUUAGAAUUUUCUUGAAACCUUGCACAUAGUCCCACACUGACCACAAUAUCAGAUAUGCUUUCUGUAAGAUACAAUAAUGAUCCUAUCAUCCCUCUAUAUAGCUUUUGCUCCACAUCAGUACUUGUUUUAUACAUAUCUAGUUUUGUGGUAGUGGCUAUUGGAGUGUUGAUCUCUUUUACCUCUUCCAUGAAAAAUCUUUUGAUAAGUUUCUUGACAUACUUCUGUUGAUGGAUCAUGGUUCUAGAUGCUAUUUGUUUUAUUUGCAAUCCUAAGAAAUAAUUUAUCUCCCCCAUCAUACUCAUCUCAAAUUCACAACUCAUGAGUUUUGCAAAGUCAUGUGUCAUGUUCAUGUUUGUGGAGCCAAAAAUGAUGUCAUCAGCAUACACCUACACAACCAACAGUUCUUUUUCAUUAGUUUUCAAGAAAAAAGUAUUGUCAAUUUUACCUCUAGUAUGACCAUGCUCCAGAAAUUUUUUUGAAAAUAUUUCAUACCAAGCUCUUGGAGCUUGUUUCAAUCCAUACAAAGCCUUGUCAAGCCUGUACACAUAAUCAGGGAACUCCUUACUUUCAAAACCUAGUGGUUGUUUGACAUACACCUCUUCCUUUAGAAUUCGAUUCAAAAAAGCACUCUUAACAUCUAUUUGAUAGAGGAUGUACUCCAUAUAAGCUGCAAAAUCUACAAGAAGCCUUAUUGUUUUUAAUUCUAGCAAUAUGAGCAAAGGUUUUAUCAAAGUCUAUCCUUUUUAUCAAAGUCUAUCUUUUCUUCUUGAUUGCAUCCUUGGACCAGUAGUCUUUCCUUGUUCCUAGUAACUGUUCCAUGCUCAUCAACCUUGUUUCUAUACACCCACUUAGUUCUAAUCACUGUUCUAUAUUUUUGAAGAGGAACUAAGUGCCACACUUUUCUUUUUUCAAACUCAUUUAACUCUUUUUUCAUGGCUAUGAUCCAAUCAGCAUCAAAGAGUGCUUCAGUCAUUUUCUUUGACUCAAUUUCUGACAAGAAUGCUUUGAAAGCACACAUGCUUCUCAACCCAGAUCUUGUUGUGAUCCCAGAUAUAAUAUCACUGAGUACAUUUUCAAUAGGAUGUGACUUUUUGGGACCAAUCCUAGUGAGCUUCUAGGAUUACUAUAGUAGUUCUGAGCUAGGGUAGUUUGUGGUUCAGUUCCCCUUGUCAAUGUACCUCCAGAAUUAGUUCUCUCUAUCUAGCUACCUCCAUUUUUGGUAACUCUAGUGGAUGGACCAUGUUGAAUAGCCUAUUCCCCUGAGUCACUUCCUUCCUACAAGUUAGUCUUGGCACAAGAUUCAUCAAAACUACAUGCACACUUUCUUCAACAAAAUUUGUUCUGUUGUUUAGAACCCUAUAUGUCUUACUAUGAUGUGAGUAUUCUAAGAAUAUUACCUCAUCACUCUUAGCAUCAAAAUUUUCCAAUUUUUCCUUUCCAUUCUUAUGAAUGAAACAUUUACAACCAAAAGUUCUAAUAUUUAAAAUAAUUGGUUUUCUUCCUUUUAGUAAUUCAUAAGGAGUCUUCUCUAGAAUAAGUCUGAUCAUGCAUCUAUUUAUGACAUAUGCAGUGGUACUAAUUGCCUCAGCCUAAAGGUUUUUAGCAAGAUUUCCUGCAAGCAUCAUUAUUCUAGCCAUAUCUUCCAAAGUUCUAUUUUUCCUUUCUACUAUCCAUUUUGUUGAGGUAUUCUGGGAGUAGAGAAAUUUUGAUCAAUACCAUUUGUAGAACAAAAUUUCAAAAACUUGACAUUUUUAAAUUCUGAGAAAUUAGGGAAGUGCCUAGUUUCUUUUUAAUUUUCUUAAUGAAAAUAGCAAAGACAUCAAAAACAUCUUAUUUGGAAGCUAGAAAUAGUGUCCAGGUAAAUCUUGAAUAAUCAUCAAUAAUCACAAAAACAUACCUCUUUCCACCUCUGCUUUGCAGUCUCAUUGGCCCACACAGAUCCAUAUGGAUCAGGUCAAGGCACUUACUUGUACUGACAUAGUUCUUUAACUUGAAAUAAUAUUAAAAAUGUUUCUCCCAUACACAAGUACUGCAAACCUUUUCUUCCUUGAAUUUGGUUUUGGGCAAGCUCAGUACCAUCUCCUUAGAAGAGAGUUUGUUUAAUUGUUUCAGGCUUGCAUGUCCAAGUCUCCAGUGCCAAAGAAGGGGAUCAUUUUCUAUAGAACUUAAAUAUGCCGGCUUUGUUCCUGGCGUUGUCAUUAUAUUAGCUUUAUACACAUUCUUGUGUCUUUUUGCAGUGAGUACAACCCCUUGAUGUCCAUCCUUUUGACUUUGACUCCUACAGAAGUAAAAACAACUUUGUUACCUUUAUCACACAGUUGUGAUAUGUUGAGUAGAUUGUGCUUCAAUCCCUCUAGAAGGUAGACAUACUCCAAUGUCCUUGACUCAGAUGUACCAAUCUUUACAACUUCUUUAAUGAUUCCCUUUUUUCCAUCACCAAAUAAAACUCCACCCCCACUUAUUUUGGAGAGUGAAAGGAAUUUUUUGUUAUCACCAGUCAUGUAUCUUGAGCAUGCACUAUCCAGGUACCAAUGCUUUUUGCUUCCUUUCACUCUCACCUACAAAAGUAAAUUAGGGGUUAGAUUUAGGAACCCAAACAAGUUUGGGCCCUUUUUAUGAGUAAAAGGAUGAAUCAGACUUCUUCUAGUCCAUGCAGGAAACAGGUUGCACGACCUAUUUCUUUUCAUAGUUUUUGUUUUCCUUAUAUUUGUUUGAGCUGGUUUAUUUGCCAGAUUUAUACUCCUAGACCAUCUUUUAGUAGGAUGUCUUGAAUAGCUACAUAUGUAACAAAAAUCUUGCAUAAUAUCAAUUCUUUUGUAAAAACCCAAUACAACUUUUCAUUGUGACUUUUCUCACUUAUUUUGUGAAUAAUUCUUGAAGAGUUUGUACACCUGUUUGCUCUCAAGAUCAGGCUUUAGUUUGGUAACUUCUUGACUCAAAUUAUUCAUUUUUUCUUUUGCAUCACUGCCUUCUUGUUUGUACUUGAUUAACUCAAGAUCAAACUGUUCUUGUUUCUUUCUUUUGCCAUUUUCCCCUUUUCAAUGAGUGUUAGUUUUAGUACUUCAGUUUUGAGUAUGACAUUUACAGAAUAAAGUUGUACAACCUGUUCCUUAAGAAUGUUGUUUUCUUUUUCAACAGUAUUCUUACAAGCUUUUAAAUCAAUGAAGUUGAAUUUGAGGCUUGCAAGGCUGUUGAAUAACUUAUCCCUAUCAGAAAUUAAUUCCUGGAAAUCAUCAAUGAGAGCACUCAUUAAGUACAUAAGUUUUGUUUUAGAAAAUAAGUGCAGUUUUUCUUUAAGCUCAAGAAUGCUUACCUUAGAAGUACCAUCUUCUUCUUCCAAUUUUGAAUCUCCAGUGGCCAUGAGUACAGUUUCAUCAAUUUCUUUAUCUUCUGAAUCAUCUGAAUCGGAUCCCCAAGUGGCUACCAUAUCAUAAUCCUCCCUCUCUUUAACCUUUUCUUUUAAUUUUUUUUAAGCUAGUUCCUUCUUCCACUCUAUUUAUCAUACAGGACAGUCAAUAAUUUGAUGAUCAAUCUUACCACACUUGUAGCAUCCAUUUGGAUUGUCAUUGGAAUGUUUCUUGCUACCUGUUCCUUUCUUCUUUUUAAGGAACUUGAUUAAGUUCUUAGUUAUGAAGGAAGCUUGUUCUUCAUCAAGUUCAACUUCUUCAUCACUGUCUGAUGCCUUCAAUGUAGGGAUCUCUCAAGAGCUACCACUUUUUUCUUUAUCCCAUCAAUUUGCAUUUCAUAGGUCUUUAGAUUACCUACCAGUUCAUCUAAUGUCAUUUGAUACUCUGUUGUAUUCAGCGGAACCUAAUCUACAUACCAAGAUAUUCUUAGCCUUAGCAUUCUUGUUUAAUGCUAGCAAGUCAUCAGCAGUAAACUCACUUCUUACUUUCUUGACACAUCCACCAUCAACCAGCUUCAUUGGAAUAGUAGGACCAUCAGUGAUCCUAUCCCAUAAUUUGUAGUAUUCCCCUUGAAUAAACAUUGCCAUCCUGGCUUUCCACCAGGCAAAGUGAGAACCAUCAAAGAGUAGAGGUCUAGUAGUUGACUGGCCUUCACUGUGACCAGUAGGAGGUGCAGAAUUUAUCAUAGUGAUCUUUCUUAGGUACUAACCUUAUUUAAGACAGCCUUGCUCUAAUACCACUUGUUAGAGUGUGUGCCCUACUAAUUUUAAUCUUUUACUCUAUUUUUUGCCUAUCAGUGAAACAAGUAAGUUAACGUGGUUCACUUAGGUAGAGUAAAUAGGAAGACAAUAUUUUUACGUGGAAAUACCCGGCUCAAGAAAGGUGUAAAAAAUCACGACUUGUACCUCUACGGGAUUUAACCUUAACUUCACUAAAACUCUUGAGCCUCAACAAUCAACAAAUUACAAGACUCUUGUAAACUAGGAAUUAAACUCUAACUCCUCUUUCUACAAUAACACAAAUCUUUCCAAGAUAAGUGUUCCCAAGUCUUUGAGUUCUCUAACUUGAAGAAACAACUGCUAACUUAGUUUAUACUUCACUGAGACUAGAAUUACAAAUCAUUAUAAAUGUUGAAAGCAUAUCUGAAUUUUCUUGCUUUUCCACUCCUGAAUUUACGUAUUAUUUAAUCAUUAGCCUUGCAUCUACUUCAAUGUUCUUCACAUGUGAGGACCAAUAUGACUUACAUGUUUUAUUCACAUAUGUCAAUCAUCAAAACUUCUUUGCUCUAACACAUAUGCUAUAAGAGAAGGAAUUACCUUAUGGAUACGACCUCAAUUGGACAAUCUCGCAAAUUGACAACAAAGCAAUAAUGCAUUAAAAACUUCAACUGUGUCAUCAAAUGAGUACGGUAACAUGGAAAAAAAGGGGAAAUCUUACUCCCUCUCAAAUUAAAUGAAUCAAUUCCAAGAACUAGGAGUGUUCACAGUUUGGGUAAAAUCGAUCCAAAUUGAUAAAUUGACCCAAAUUGAUUAAAUAAAUCGAAUUUUAUUUGGUUUGGUUUACAUGUUUAAAAACUGAUAAUUUUUAUAUAGUUGGUUGACCCAAAUUGAUUAAAUAAACUUCUUUUAAAUUCUUCACCCUCCUUGUUUUAGUUUAAUGUCUUCAAUAGUUGGUUGUACAAACAAUAAAAUCUUAUAUUAAUAGCUGGAUCUAAAGAAAAAUAAGCUACAUUUUUUUUCAAAAAAAAAAAUGCCAUAAACUUUUUCCUUGAAUUAAAGAGCCAGUAUACAGUUGGAUAUAGAAUUUGUCUCGGAAAUUAAAAAAAAUGCCUAAGGUUAAACGAUUUAAAAACGAGCUUUUGGCUGGUGUCAAGAGGAUUAUUAAUGAAUAUAUAUAUCGACUUUAUAUAUAUAUCUUUUAUUUUUAUGAACAAGGGGGUAUGGAUAAAUCCCUGAACGCUUCCUUCUAUCCGCCCACAUAUGUAGUUGAGAUAUUCCAAUUACAUUAUUGUAAACUUUUAAUAUCAUAUGUGUGAUGUGUCACAGCAGAAAUACAUACUACUAAUUAAAUGAUUUAAAGAGUGCAACCAAUGCAUUACUACUUAUCAAUAGGAAUCAAUAAAUAGACAUUCAAAUGAUUUUGAGGCAAAUACAAACACAAUUAAUUCUGUACCCAACAAGAGUUUUAGCAACACAUACAAAUAAGAGAAACUAGAUCAUUGACCUUUGUGUUGUACACAUUAACAUACCAGUCAACCAAAGAGUUCUUCCAUGAAAAAUAAUUAACUUAUACUCACUAACAAUAUAUAAAGAAUUUCUAUGUCAUCAGUCUAAUUAAACAUAUCAAAUUCUUUCUAUUUUCUCCAAAUAAUUAAGAUUUUCUAUAAGAAAUAAGUGAUUCUGCUUCUGGCAGCAACAUGUCAUGUCCCGCUUGUGAAGUCAAAUCUAUAUGUUCUAAAAAGAAAGACGAUUAGAAUACCAAUCUCAUCGAUAUCAUAUCAAAUCCUGUCAAUUGAAUCACUUUCAAGUGAUAAUAGUCUAUCUAUCGUAUUUUUCACAUACCCAAUUUCACUUAUUUAGAACCGGAUGCCUUCGUGCCACCUUGAACUGAGCCUUGGCCACCACUACCACCACCACCGCUACCUGAUAUACCUCUAGGGUUUUGACCUUAAAUUUCUCAAGUUUCAAUUGAGAUUGAUCAACAGCAAUUCCUCUACUCUUGUUCAAAGAGCCAUCAAUUGGACUCCUUUUGAAAGAAUUAAUCUUGAAUUUCUUUUCUUGAUCCUUGUUGUUUGAAAACACAACACCAAUUUUUCCAAAUAUGGGAAUGAAAUCUUUAUGAUGAAAUAGAAAAUUUUCUUGAAGAAUUCUCCCCUUUAGGUCUCUGAAGAAAUCUAGUACCAUAAUCAAUGUUGGAUGCACUUUCUUUCCUGAUUUCCAUCUUAUCUUCACUGGCUUUUCUCGAGUAUUUUCAAUAUUUUCAACAUCAAGAAUUGAAGAGGUGAUAGCUUCCUCGAGAUCUUCUAUUAAAAUGUGGUUAAUUUGUUGAGAUGACUAUAUAUGAGAGAACUAUAGUUGGAAUAAGAUAUGGAAGUUGAGGCUUGGAGCUAAUUCAAGUUUGGAAUGUUUCAUUAAAAAAAGUUGUCUGGAAUGUUUCAUAUAUAUAUAGAGAGAGUGCGUUCACAAACAGACGGUUUAAAUUAAAUUGGGACAGGUCAAUUAACAAUAUCAUGCUUCAACGUGCUCAAAAUUUAUUUGGAUUAAAAUAAAUUGAAUUAAGAUGAGUCAAAUAAAGAUUUAUUACUCAGCCGCCAAAUUGAUAGAUACGAUCUCCCCUCCUUUUUUACUUUUCUUUUUGCAGAAGAAAAAAACAUUGGUUAAUGUUUUUUUUCUUGAAUUAUUAUUAAUUAGUGUGAAAUUUUGCAUGAUCUCAAGUCUCCAAAUUCCAUCAUAUAUAUUUGGAAUUAGAUUACCUUUUAUGUGUGAGUUACAUAGGAAAAUUAGGUGGAAGGUCACAAAAAAGUCCUUAAAUUAAAAAUGGUGAUAACUUUGACCAGUUAAGGUUGAAGUUUUAUUUAAAUUCUAAUUACGUUAAUUAGGGUGUAAAGUGUAAUUUUCAAAAACUUUUUAAUUUUUUAAAAAGUUCUCCAACUCCAAAUUUCAAAUUUUAGAAUUCCCCCCUUUUCUUAUCUUUCAAUCUUUCUUCUUCUUUUUUUCUUUCUCGCUCCAAAUUUCUUUCUCCCCAUCUUCAUCUUCUUAUUUUUUCCUCUCUCUCUAGAUUUUUCUCCUCUUCCAUCUUCUCUUCUUUUUUUUUCUUUCUUUUUCAUUUCGUUUUUCUUCCUUUUUUAAUCUUCAUGGACUAUUUUUUAAAAAAAUAUUGAGAAGUUUGAAAAGAAUUUUUUUGAUUUCUUUUAAAAAUGAAUGAAGAAAUAAUUCAACAAAUUCAGCAACUACAAGAGUUGCUUCAGCAACUAUCAUAGUUGCUACAACAGUUAUGGUAAUUGUUGCAACAACUACUAUUAGUUGUUAUAUUACAACAACUAUCGAAGUUGCUGCAGCAGGAACUUCAACUGUUGCUGCAGCAACUUCGAUACUUAAUUUCUAAAAAAAGAUAUCAUUGGAGGAGGAGCCCAUGAAAAAGUAAUAUUUAUUGUAAAAAGAGAGGCGGUGGUGCUGGUGGUGACGCCGGAUGAGAAGAUGGUAUUUGUUGCGGCGUUGAUAGCGAUGGUGGUGGAGGAGUGUAACGCCCUGAGAAUACAUCCUGGGCAUCACACGGUGCUUACAGUCCCAAGGGACCACAAGCUAACCCAUGAAGUGGUUUCUGCUGUGAGCACUGAAUAAUACAAUAACAUAUGCCGAAGAACAACUGUUAAGCCAUAAGGUUUUAAGUAAUAAAAUUGAUUGAAUCUGUAAACCAACAGAUGAAAUAAUCUGACAAUAUCAACUAAAGUUUGAAUACUGAAUAACUGACUGUAGUGUCUGAAAGCCUCUAAACUGCCUGAAUAUGAGUUUAUGAGAUAGGCCCCAACAAACUACUACUAACUACUGAACUGAAAUCAUGAAAAUAAAUAAUUUGUCCUUAAAAUAUAAGGACUCGCCACUAUUAUGGAUGAUAGUCUGAUAAGUCUAUAUGCGAUCUAUAAAUUGGGCAUCUGAACCUAUAAUAUGAUACAUCAUAGCACAAAAAAAGAAUAUACGGUCAGUACUUUGAAUGUACUAGUAUGCUAAAUAAGGUAGGCUGAUCUGCAUGGUUUUAUGAACAUGAAUAAUAAUAAUUGUCUGUAUGCAUGGACAUAGAUAUAUAACAUGUAAAACUAGAUAGAGUGCAUGAAAUCUGUAGAUAUUGAGGAUACAUGAAGUCUAUAAAUGUCGGGAAUAUAUGAAAUUUGUAAAUACUGAAGAUGCAUGACCAAGCAUAUUAACCUAUUUUGAAUAUAAUCUGUAAACACUAAAAUACUAAAGUCUGAUAACUGAAUCACUGAUAUCUGUAUGCUAUGGUCAAGCAACUAAAACUAAAUUAUUGUACUGAGACUGUGGGAACUAUUAUCUAAUCGACAUGCCCCAAUGAGCUAGUUUGGGGUCCAACCUAUAACCCCAGUUGGAAGGGUGUUAGUACCAUGCCACGGGUACUAAUGUUGGCUAAAUGGAUCCACUAAACUGAUGUAUUAUCCCAAAGGACUAAGGGUAUAAAGCCUAACUGAUGAGUGACCUCUGCGAGGUAGUCAAGCCUAAUCUGAUGUAUGACUCUUCUUAUCCUACGGUGGCUGCAUAGUUUUGGAGUACAGACACUACUACUAACAACUCUACCUAUUUGACGGGGAAGCCGCCAUCUCCAUAUUCACUCGGUGAUAAAUUCUUCUCCCAACUGAACUGACUCAGAAUGCUUAACUAUUAUGAGUUUAACUAAUUAUGAUAUCUAACAGAACUAAUAUUGCUUAUAUUAUGUCUAAGACUAUUCUAACUCUUCUAAGACUAAAUAAACAGCUAUGUUUUCGGGUAUUCAUAACCCCCAGGACUCAAUAGUAAUAAUAGUAAAAUAGUACUAAUCUUUAAGGACAUAACAUGGGAACAUUUAUUUAAAAACCACUCCUGUAGGUAUUUCAUCAAACACUUGCGAUGUAUGGUGUACACUAAGCAUGAGAAUAGUUUAAAACUUGUAGUAAAAGCACAAUUUCAAUACCAAAUCACAAAUCAUAAAUUAAAUUAGCGGACAACAACAUUAAACAUGUGGAGUGUAAUAAUCAACAUCAAUUUCGUAAAAACAUGGUAUAGGACAAGAUUUAUGGGAUUUCAUGGUUAAAAUCACUAUUCAAAAACAUAAUAACUUGAAAAGAUCAUAACUUUGUAUUUAAAUUACAUACUUGGGCUCGGUUGGUGAAUAGGGACCCAUGAAUGAACACUUAACAUACCUAGGUGAUGAAUUCUUGAGUUUCUUAGUAAAAUCCUCAAAAUUUGAUCUUGAAUUGAAGUCUAGGGUUUGCUAAUUGAGAGAGAAUGUUUGGAUCUUGAGAGAAUUUAAGAAAAUAAUGACUAAUUAGAUUAUUUAAGGUAUUAAUCUCGUGUUUAGGACUAAUUAGGGUCGUGAAAAAAUACUCAAAUACCCCUGGAAUGAUUUAAAAACUUGGAACUUAAAACUAAAAAUCCUGAUUUUUGGCUUCGCCGUGACGCAGUGGCAUCACGGUGAGCCAUUGGAAAAGGGAAAACUAGGAACUAGGCCCUUGGCGCGAUGCGGUACAAUCGUGGUACCCCUUUGAUUGUGAUUUUGGCUCUUGGCGCAAUGCGGUGGAAUCACAGAGUCACACUAGAAAGUGAUAAUUGAGCACUGGAACUUCACCAUGAUGCGCUAGGAUCGUGGUGGUUCACUGGAAAUUGACGAAUGUCAUUUUUCCUAUCACCGCGACACGGUACUUGUGAAUUUGACACACUGUCUUACAAAAAGUGCCAUAACUUCUCUCCCGGAUAUCGGAUUCGGGUAAAUUUUAUAUUAUUGGAAAGCCAAUUCAAUUUUCUAAAUAUUGGUAAGUCUUAAACUUAAAAAUACUGAAUAUUUUGGAAUUUUUAUAUAGAGAUACCCAUGUACCGAGAGCUAAACUGAUCUACGAAAGUACGGGGUAUUACAAUAUCUUCCCCUUGGGAACAUUCGUCCUCGAAUGGGACUGAUUAAGCUGGGAAGUACUGCUGGUCUAAGUUUACGUACUGAACAUGCACAACUGAAGCAUGGUUGCAUGACUAAGACUAUUGAUAAACUGAGUCUUUCAUACUGAACAUGCAUAUCUGAUGCAUGAGUGCAUGGCUAAGCUGGUUCAUGAAUGUAUGACUGACAUGGGAAUGAUAUGCAAUGAUAACUAAAGCUUGUAACUGUAAUCGAACUUAUAACUGAGUAAAUAUAAUGAGAACUAUUACCUCAAGUUGAGUCUGUAUUUAUGGAGAAGAGCUGAGGAUACUUGGUCUACGUGUCUGCUUCUGCUUCCCAAGUAGCUCUCUCAAUAGACUGAUUUCGCCAAAGAACCUUGACCAAGGGAACUACUUUGUUCCUUAGCCUGUGAAUCUGAAGAUCAAGAAUUUUAACUGGGACCUCUUCGAAAGAGAGAUCAUUUUGAAUGUUUACUCUUUCUAAGGGGACUACUACUACUGGGUGACCAAUACAUUUCUUUAACAAAGAGACAUGGAAUACUGGAUGCACUAAAGCUAUAUCUGAAGGCAACUCAAGCUCAUAAUCUACCUUUUUGAAAUGAUUGAGAAUUCUAUAAGGGCUGACUUAUCAGGAACUGAGCUUCCCCUUCUUACAAAACCUCUUCACUCCCUUCAUGGGAAAGAUUUUCAGGUACACAAGGACGCCAAUCUCAAACUCAAGAUCCUUUCUCCUUACAUAUGCAUAUAAUUUUUAUCGGCUCUGGUCUACCUUAAGCCUUUCCCUAAUCAACUAAAUCUUCUCUAGGGCAUCAAAAACAAUGUCAGGCCCUACAACUACAGUCUCACCUACUUCAAACCAACCAAUCAGAUACCUACAUCUCCUCCCAUAUAGAACCUCAAACGGACCUAUCUAAAUACUAGAAUGAUAAUUGUUAUUAUAGGUAAAUUCAAUCAAAGGCAAGUGAUCAUCCCAACUUCCCUUAAAGUUAACUACACGUGCUCUUAAUAUAUCUUCUAGAGUCUGAAUGGUCCUUUCUAUUUGACUAUCUAUCUGAGGGUAAAAAUUUGUACUUAGGUGAACUUGGGUACCAAGACCCUUCUGAAAAGCUUUCCAAAAGUUAGAGGUAAACUGGGUACCUCUAUCUGAGAUGAUGGAUAUUGGGAAUCUGUAUAACCUAACCAACUCUUUGAGGUAGAUCUUGGCAUAUUCCUCAGUUGAGUAAGAAGUUUGUAUUGGCAAGAUAUGAGCUGAUUUGGUCAUCUUAUCUACAAUGACCCAAAUAGAAUCAUACUGAAGAUGAGUACGAGGCAAACCCGUCACAAAGUCUAUGUUCACUUCUUCCCAUUUCCAUAUGGGAAUACUGAUCUCCUAUAUUAACCCACUAGGCUUCUGGUGCUCAAUAUUAACAUGCUGACACAUGGAGCACUUAGCUACAAACUCUGUAAUAUCUCUCUUCAUCCCACCCCACUAAUAGAUCUUCUAUAAAUUGUGGUACAUCUCAGUGUCCCCUAGAUGAAUUGAGUAUCACACAUCAUACGAUUCUGCAAGAAUUCACUACCUUAAGUCUUCUACACCUAGCACACACAGUCUACCCUAACAACUCAGCACGUCAUCUCCCCCUUAGGAGAAAACCUCUACUUUCUGAUCUCUAACUGACUCUUUUAAAUUGACUAGACUAGGAUCACUAUCUUUCUUUUCUUUUAUUUCAAAAACCAAAGAAGAUUCUGAUGUGUGAGCCUAUGCUAACAUAUUUAAAACUUUUAAAUUAAAAUAAUUGUAAGGUUUUGAGCAACUUUAGUUGUUUUUGAUUAGUUUCCUUUGAUUUUGCAAUAAAUGAAGAGAGAAAAGGGAACCACUUAUAAAGGAAGAAAAAAGAUUGAAAUCUGAGCAAAUAAAUGGCUAAGUACGGCUGAUGAUAUCCUUGACACAUCGUCAGCCUGGUGAUAAGCUGUCAAUGAUGCCGUCAACCUUAAACAAAAGAUGGGAGUUGAAGAAAGUUUUGUGACAACCUUCAUAACAUGUCGUCAAGACGGUGAUAAGGCAUCACCGUCGCUGUCAAUCUUAGGCAGCAAGAACCAAAAGUAGCAGAGGAUCUGACGACAUCCGUGAUAAGCCGUCAGAAUCUUGAUAGGGCAUCACGGAUGCCAUCAUCUAUUCUGAGAAAAAUCUAAAACUUUAAUUUUAUUUCCUUCUUUAGGGUUAACUAUUUAAAGCCAUUUUUAGGGUUUUCUAAUGAUGAAUUGAUUUAUCUUUGACUUAACAAUAUUCUAAAACAUACGAUACUUUUCUCUCUCUCUCUCUAAACUAUUAUUUUGGGAGUUUUAUCUUGUGAAUCAAUUCAGCUUAUACUUUUGAUCUUCUUCAUCAUUGUAAGUUAAUCCCCUCAAUUAUGAAAUCAAUUUGUGUGCUUUUUUCUUGCAUCAUGAGUGGCUAAACACCUUUAACCUGAAUUAUGGGAUCUAGGGUUAGGUCAUGAUAAGGUUUUAAAUACUCAAGAAUCAAAAGGUGUUAGGAUUUCUUGAUAAUUCUGUGAUUAUAAUUGACAUCUGUUGGUUGCAAACACUAGGCGUAACUACUUUGAUUUUCUUGAGAAAUAAAUCAUAAACAGUAGAAAGUGAAUUAUCAACAGGGACUUCGAAAUACUUCUUUUAAUAAUUAGCAUUGUAACAAGGUUAAUUAACCUGGGGUAAAAUCUGGACAGUACGUAGCGAUUCCCUAAGUCCAAGAGGGUUAGGAAAUUAGACGCUUGACUAGGUCGAGAGACAUUUGAGAAUAUCAUCAAUAAAGAUAGCUUGUUAUAUAACCAUCAUGAGAAUCUUGAGUUAACUUUAAAAUUUGUCAUGUACCGUAAGCCCUAGUGAACAUAAUUCUGGUUUUUUCAUAAAAUAUUGGUUACAAAUGUUAAAUUCAAAAUGACAAACAAUUAUUUGUGAGACUUAAACCCCUAUUUUUGGAAAUAUUACACUAUCAGUAAAUUAAACUGCAAACAACUUGAGUUCACACCUUAUUCCCUAUGGGAUUCGACCCCAACCUAGUUGGAUUUUAUAUUGACAACGAUCGCUUACACCCAUUCAAGAGUGAAAUUUAAGCGUUAUCAAAAAUGGCGCCAUUGCUGGGGAAUACGGUUGUAAACUGAAAGUUUGUGUGCACUAAUUUGAUGUUUGUUAAGUUUCCUAGAUUUAUGUUUAUUUGUAGUUUUUGCUUAUUGUAGGCUCCUUGUUGUUUAUCCCAAAAACAAGAAGUUCCAGAGAACUGUUAUUGUCAAUUAAUCUGGAACCCCAGCUGAUCGGGAGAAUGACUGAACAACAAGAGGUGAAAAGACUAGCUACUUUGUCCAGGGCUCAGGUGAACGUACAAAAUCUGGGUCAACAAAUACGUCAUCCAAACCCUGAUGAUGAAGACUUGCAUGAUGAGGAAUUACCGAAUCCUCAAAACCUAAGGUGAGCUAAGAAAAUUGCUGCACCUGUGCAGAGAAAUGUCAAUAGAAACCGUCCAAUCAGAGGGAGGUAUGGUCAACAGCCUAUGCAAUAUGAGGCUGAUGAUGAUGAUGAAGAAAUGGAUGGAGCGGGUGCAACGGGUUCUAUCAUUCCUCCACUGUUGGCACCGAGUACGAAAUUCAGCAUAACCAGUACCAUGAUCCAACUCCUGAAUCUGAAGGGGUUGUUUAGAGGCUUGUAUGGUAAUGAUCUGAACAUGCAUUUGGUGAACUUUAUCACCAUUUACAAAUAUUUUGACAAUGCAGGAGUGAUCCAAAAUGCGAUACGGUUGAAAUUGUUUCCAUUGUCUCUGUCUGGAGAGGGAAUAAUAUGGUUGAAUGAGCUAGAGCCUAAUUCUAUAACCAGAUGAACACAGUUGAAAGAGGCAUUUCUAGAAUGGUUCUUUCCACCCUCCAGGAGGGUACAGUUGAGGGAAGAAAUCAGUAACUUCAGACAGCUCCCUACUGAAGCAUUGUACGAAACCUGGGAGAGAUUUAAGAAGAAGCUCGCACAAUGUCAGAACCACAAUAUGACAGACUUGCACUUGAUGGAGACUUUGUACAGAGCUUUUAACUCUGUGAUAAAUCUAAUUAUAGACAAUGCUAUAGGUGGUUCAUUCAUUGGCCUCUCUUUUCUAGAUGCUUCAGACAUGCUGAAUAGAAUGACCAAGAAAAGUUGGGCUUGGCACACCAAGGAUUCUGUGGUAGCUAGCCCAACUUCUUUUGGUGGUAUGAUUGCAGAGCAGUUUAGCAGGGAUGAGAAGUGAGACCAGGACAUGGCCCAUUUAAAGACACAGAUGGACUUGCUGACCAAGCACUUGUUAUCAGGUAAGAUCAAAAAGAUUAAGGCUGUGGAAUCUCAGGCUACUAUUGCUGCAAGUACUGAUAAGAAGGCAAACUAUGAGAGUAAUCAGGGGAGUUUUCUAGGAAAUAGCCAAAGGAACAAUGGUCGGAACUUUUAUGACAAACCUGAUUAUAAAGAUAGGGAACAGGGACACUGGAGAAACAAUAAUGACAGGAGUAGUUUAUAUGUUCCUCCUAGAAGUCAGGAUGCUGCAACAACUAGCUCUGGAAAGAUGUCUAUGAAGGAUAUGAUGGAAAAUUUGUUGAAAGGAGUUGAGGCAACCAACUCGGGGGUAACCACUAUGAAGAGUGAAUUCUCUAUGUUGAGUCAGUUGGCUAGUUCAUACUCCACUUCAAUCAAGCAUUUGGAGCAGCAGAUGAGCUAACUUUUUGCUACACUGAACUAGAGAAAAAAUGGUAAUUUACCUAGCGAUAUGGUUCAGAAUUCGUGGAAUGAUGGCUCAUGUAUGGUGAUUACCACACGGAGAGGUAAGAUGUUACUUGGCCCUUCUGUGGGCAAAUCUGUUGAUGAUGAUGUAAUUGUUGAUGAAUCUGAAGAAAGCAAUCCAGUAGAGUCUAUGAAGCUGGAUAAUUCUGUUGAUGUGUCAGAGAAAGAAAAAAAGAAGAAAGAGAAAGUGGUGUCGAAAACUAUCCCUACACCACCACCUCCCUUUCUUUAAUGAUUGAAGAAAAAGGUUGAUGAUGCAAAAUUCAGCAAGUUCAUGGCAAUGCUCAAGCAAUUGACAAUUAAUGUGCCUUUGGUUGAGGCACUUGAGGAAAUACCAAGCUACGCAAAGUUCAUGAAAGACUUUGUAACAAAGGAGCGAAAGGUUAGCCAUGAGCUGAAGGAUAAUCUCCUUUAUUAUGGUGCUAUUUCUACAAGGUCUUUAGUGCAGAAAAAGGUAGAUCUGGAAGCUUUCACCAUCUUGUGCACUAUUGGCCCCCUGAAAUUCACAAAAGCACUAUGCGAUUUGGGAGCCAGUAUAAAUUUAAUGCCAUUGGCUGUGUAUAAGAAAUUGGUUUUAGGGAAUCCUACCCCAACGAAUAUGCGGUUGGUAAUGGUAGAUAGAUCUAUGAAACAGCCUGUAGGCAUACUGCAUGGUGUUUUGGUAAAGGUAGUCGAUUUUGUAUUGCUUGCUGAUUUUGUGGUCUUAGAUUGCGAGGUGGAUUUUGAAGUGCCCAUCAUCUUAGAUAGGCCAUCACUUGCAACCGGGAGAGUGCUAGUAGAUAUGGAAUUGAACGAGUUGAAAUUCAGAUUCAGUGACAAAGAAGCACGCUUUAAAAUACACUCAUCCAUGCCUCAACAACAUGAGAUGAGUGUUUUCUCAAUCGUUGACGUCUUCUAUGAUGAUACUAAAGGGGUAUCAACAGGUUGUCUUGGCAAAGUCUGAGUAGUAAAGAUAAUCAAGUCGUUCUGCGACAGUAAAUCAGGCAUUAUUGGGAGGCAACCCAAAGUUUUUAUGUUUAAGAAAGUGUUUUUAUUUUUCUAACUAGGAUUUAAUACAGAGAAGGUGGAAAAAUUAGGAGGUGAGCUGAAAGGUCAUGACGACAAUCAUGAUAAGCCAUCACUACUAUGAUAAGCUAUCACAAUUGUCAUCAGUUAGACUAAGAUUGAGGCAUUCUCUGAUUAAGGGUGAUGACAUUCGUGAUAGGCUAUCACACUCGUGAUAAGCCAUCACCAACCAUCGUCAUCCCACAGCCUUAAAAGCUAAAAUCUUGGCCUAACUUAAAUCAGAUUCGACCCGAUCUAAUAGCAAAACCUUUUAAAAUUUCUACAAAUUUUAAUCCUUUUUCCUUAGUUUAUUUAUUUCCUUAGUUAGAUUAUUUCCUACUUUUUUGUUAAACACUCCAAGAAAAACCAAGUUCCCUUGUGUGUGGGUUUGCACUUUACAAUCAAGAAAAUUCUUCCCAUUUCAUACUUCCUCUUGUGCGUGACAUCAGUUUGAGAGCUCCAUCAGGUAUACUUUACUUUAACCAUUAUUUUGUUAUGGUGAGUAAUGGAUAGAUGAUAACCCAAGUCCCCAAGAUUCUUGAACCAAGUUCAACUUGAAAAGGAGCUAAAAUCGUACCUAGGGUUUGCUAUGAAAACCCAAGGUUUAAAAGUUAGCUCACAAAUUGGAAUUUAAGGGAAUUUUGAGAAAGAAGGGGGACCAAAAAUUGAGUAAAAAUCAAAAGUGGGUUGUGGUAGAAGAUGACGACAUUCAUGAUAGGCUAUCACAAUUAUGAUGGCUUAUCAGGAAUUUCUUCAAAGGCUGUUGAAAAGAAAUUGGACUCUAUUUAGGGUUGACAACAUUCGUGAUAGGAUAUCACAAUUGUGACGGCUUAUCAAGAAUUUCGUCAAUGGUUGUUCAAAGUUUGAAGGUUCUAUCUAAGGUUGACGACAAUCGUGAUAAUCUAUCACGAUUGUGAUGGCUUAUCAAGAAAUGUCAUCACACCUGGAGCCUGAAGAAUGAAUGAGCUUAAAUGAUUAAUGUAUUUGUAUUUGUGCUCUUGAGGGUUGACUAAUGUUCUUCUAUUGUCUCCAGGUACUUUAAAAUGGCAUUAAAAAGAAAGAGUCCCACAACACCGAAGAGCGUACAAAGAAAGUGUGUGACACAAGCUCAUCGAUGAGGAAUCUGACUACGAGAAGAAGAAACCCUUGCUCAGGAAGCAAAAGAAGCAAAGUACGAAGAAAUCUUCACCAUAUCCACCCAUCGAAGUGAAGGAUAGUGAUGACACUAAAACAACAAUAGCUUCUAAGAAAAGGGUUUUGAACAACAUAAGAAUGAAUAUGUUGACUCUGAAGAAGAAGAGCAGGAGGGAUCUGAGAAGUCUGAGUCUGAGGAAACAGCAUCAGGGUCCUCGUCCACUGAACAAAAUAAUGAAGAGUCUCCACCUCGGGGAACACUUAUCAAAUGUAAGAACCCCGAAGUUUGAGACAAUGAUAGGUGGUAGAUUCCUAAGGCAGAAAGCAUCUACAGUACUGGUCUUUGCAGAACUGACAGACAAAGAGCUAAACGACCACUUCAAGAAGAAAAGAUGAUUAUCACAAAGGGGUUGGACAGGUACCCUGAAGUGGAAAAGAAGUUCAAAAAGUAUGGCUUGGGACAGACCACAGAAAGAGGAGGUUUAUUUUACCCUACACUAGUUUAGGAAUUCUAUAUGAACUACCAGGCUCAUUUAGAAUACAUGUACAGGCCAAGUGAAAAAGUAGAAAACUUACCCCUGUUGGAUAGUGUUUAGGUGAGGGGUGUAAGAUUUGAUGUCUCGAUCAGAACCAUCAACAGAUUCUUGCAUGGCCCCAACUUUACUCCUUAGCCCACUGCACCAUUAGUUUAUGCUCGAAUUAAGAAUUGAGUGAAACAAUGUCGGUGGUUGGCCAACAUCAUAGCCAACAGAGAACCAGCAUGGGUGAAAAACCCAAAUGAGAGAAUCUGUAAGUCCUCUUUGAUAUAGGAGGCAAAGUUUUGGUGGGGUAUAGUGCGUGUUUGGCUGAUGCCCACUGAUGGAUACAAUAUUUUAGGUGAUGACCAAGCUAUUUUAGUAGUGAGUAUGGUGCAGUAGCUUCCCUUGAACUUCAGGGAAAUCAUUUCUGAUAAGAUAAAGAUUAGGAUGUCGAGAACUGACAUAGCUUAUCCUUUUCCUUAUCUUAUCAUAGAUUUGUGCCAAGCUGCUAAUGUUCCAAAAAUUGUAGGAGUUGAUGAUGAUGUUCCUGCUUGAAAGACUCAUAACCCCAUACAUUUGAUAAGAAUCUGCCACGAUUGAGACUUGAUAGAGGUGCAGAGGUAGCAGAAGAUCUCUUAGUUACAGAUGCAGGAGCAACACCUCAUAUGGGAAUGCAAGAUUUAGAGACUAGGCAGCCAACUUCUUCAGCACAGGCAAGUUCAAUGCUCGAGACUGAAGCCAGCCCCUCAGUUUCUAAAGCAUCAGCAGGAUUUGUAUUUCAGCUGAUUAAUAUUAGAAAAGUGGCUAAAUAAGCCAAGUGGUGUGAAGUACAACUAUAUUCUUUUUCCAAAUAGUUUGUUGUUGUUGUGGACAAGCGAAUCAAGGCUGACCUUGAGCCUUUUAUGACUUUUCCUGAGCGGGUUAUAGAUUUGGAGAACUGAUUUGAUGCCGAGCAAGAGAAAUAUUGGGAGUUGAUCUUGCUAAAUUCAAAGCAGCAGAAAAGGUAAAGGCAGAUAUUAGGGUGUUGCAGCAGCACCAGUUUAUGAUGCUAAUAGGUACGGCCAUGCAUGAAUCUGAGGAAGAAAUUCCAAUGCUUGACCUCACUUGAGACUCACCAAAGAAAAAGAAGAAGAAAAGUGAAAAGAAAGAAAAAGAUAAGAGAGAUGAGCCAAACAGUGAGGAAGAAAGGAGAGUGAAAAAGAAGGCUAAGAAAAAGGCUGAAAAGGAGGAGUUGAAGAGAGUAAGAAUGGAGUCCCUGACUGAUAUUGAGAAAUAGGAGGCAGCCAUCCGAGCUAGGGCUGCAGGUGAUUCAUCUAGCCAAGCUCCAACCACAGCAAGGCCAGAUGCUCAUGAUGGAGAGAAGACAGUAGAUAAUGCAGUAUCAGGUUCGGAGACCCAGGAUCUAUGUGCUUUAUUAUCUUCAGGUAUACCCUAACCCUUAGUGCAGUUUAUUUUUGAUUUUAAGUUGAGGGUGUAGGGUAGGUUGUUGUUGUAACAUAUUCUAUAGAUAACUAGGAGUAGUGCAAGUACUUGAGGCAGUUAGCUUAUUUUGUGAUUUUUGAAUACCUCUUCAUUGGUCUGAUAUAGUGUAUACUAUGCAAAUUGUAUCCAUUGUGACCACGAUAUAUCUUUUUGUGGCAUUAGUCUGGCAACUGACUAACCCUUGUUAAAUAAAUGCAUGAAUAGGAUAAGUAGUAAUAUGCUAGAUACUUGUGUGCCAUAUAUGUGUGAGGUAUUACUCAGUUCCCAUUGUGUGUUGAAUCUAGAACUUGCCCUAUUAGUCUUGCCAUGGUCAUAUGAUAGGCGUUAAGAAAGGAUUAUAGGCCAUCUUUUAUUUUUAACUCACUUUAGCCAAAAUGACUUUCCCUUCGUGCAAAAUAUCCCUUGAUCCCCUAUUGAGCCUAAUUAGCCUGUUUCUUUCUUAAACAUCUCUCACUUUCCCAUUUAUAUCACAAUGAACCUAUUUUGGCCCUGGUCCUUCUUGGAUACUAUACACCUUGACUCAGGCAAAUAACCUAAGUUGAGGAUAGCUAUUAUAGGGGUGCGUGAUGCAAAAUGAGUAUGAAGAGAGGAAUAAUAAGAGAAAUAAAUAAAAAUUUAGGUGCGGUGAAAAAGAAAUACAAAAAGAGAAAGCUAUGUAAAAGAUGAUCAAAAGAUAAUCAGACAAUUGAAAAGGUCGCACCGACCUUAAGCAUAUGUGAUCAAUAAAAGAAAGGAAGAAAAUAAGUUAAGAGUUGAAACCCCAAGAGUUAGAGUAGUGUCGUGGAGGCAUAGUCACUCUAAAAUAUCCAUGAAUAUUAUACCAUCCCCUGGCCUACAUUACAAGCUUAAGAAAAGUUUUAUAGUGAUCCUAACUGACCUUUCUGAAGACUGGGGUACUGAUUAUAAGGGCAAGCCUAUGGCAUUUGGAAUGCAAUGUUUAGAACUUCAUUCUUAGAGUGAGUCUUGUGUUUAUCCCUAUGUUUAUGUAUGCGACUUAUGACAUGAGUGAAAAAGGGAUUUCUUUGUUGUAAGGGAACACUAGGUAUGUUGCUAAUCACUGACUUGCUUCGAUAGUGUGAUUUGGGUAUGUGCUGGUUGUUAUUACUGAAUUUUUUCCAUAUCUUGAUCUUUGUGAGUUGUAUGGUUGUUUUCAAUGAUAGACAUAGUUGCUCUUAAUUUGACUGACCUUGGAGCUGGUAAAUGUAAUCUAAACUGAUAGAAGUAGUUAACUGCCAAAUUAUACUCUGAAUACUCUUGGUUAUGUUAUGGUUUCUUGAGGACAAGCAAUUGUUUAAGUUAAGGGUGUUGAUGUGUAAGCCUAUGCUAACAUAUUUGAAGCUUUUAACUCUACAUAAUUGUAAAGUAUUGAGCAACUUUAGUCAUUUUUGAUUAAUUUACUUUGAUUUUGCAGUAAAUGAAGAGAGAAAGGGGAACCACUAAUAAAAGAAGAAAAAAUCCUGAAAUAUGAAGCAAAUAAAUGGCUAAGUGCGGCUGACGAUAUCCUUGACAUAUCGUCAGCCUGGUGAUAAGCUGUCAAGAAUGCCAUCAACCUUAAACAGAAGAUGGGAGUUGAAGAAAGUUUUGUGACGACCUUCAUGACAUGUCGUCAAGAUGGUGAUAAGGCAUCACCAUCGCCGUCAACCUUAGGCAGAAAGAACCAAAAGUAGUAGAGGAUCUGACGACAUCCAUGAUAAGCCGUCAGAAUCCUGAUAGGCCUCGUGGACGCCAUCAUCUAUUCCGAGGAAAAUCUAAAACUUUAAUUUUAUUUCCUUCUUUAGGGUUAACUAUUUAAAGCCUUGUUUUAGGGUUUUCUAAUAAUGAAUUGACUUAUCUUUGACUUAACAAUAUUCUGAAACAUACGAUACUUUUCUCUCUCUCUCUCUAAACUAUUAUUUUGGGAGUUUUGUCUUGUGAAUCAAUUCAAGUUAUACUUUUGAUCUUCUUUAUCAUUGUAAGUUAAUCCUCUCAAUUAUGAAAUCAAUUUGUGUUCUUGUUUCUUACAUUAUGAGUGGCUAAACACCUUUAACCUACACUAUGGGAUCUAGGGUUAGAUCAUGAUAGGGUUUUAAAUACUCAAGAAUUAAUAGGUAUUAGGAUUUCUUGAUAAUUCUGAGAUUAUAAUUGACGUUUGUUGGUUGCAAACAGUAGGCAUACCUACUUUGAUUUGCUUGAAAAAGAAAUCAUAAAUAGUAGAAAGUGAAUUAACAGCAGGGACUCGGAAAUACUUCGUUUAAUAAUUAGCGAUGUAAUAAGAUUGAUUAACCUGGGAUAAAAUUUGGACAGUAAGUAGCAAUUCCCUAAGUCUGAGAUGAUUAGGAAAUUAGAUGCUUGAAUAGGUCGAGAGACAUUUGAGCAUAUCAUCCAUAAAGAUAGUUUAUUAUCCUAACCACCGUGAGAAUCUUUAGUUAACUUUAGAAUCUGUCAUGUAACUUAAGACCUAGUGAACAUAAUUCUGGUUAUUUCAUAAAAUCUUUGUUACAAACAUCAAAUUCAAAGUGACAAACAAUUAUUUGUGAGACUUAAACCCCCUUUUCAGGAAACGUUACACUAUCAGUGAAUUAAACUGCAAAUGACUUGAGUUCACACCUUAUUCCCUGUGGGAUUCAACCCCAAUUUAGUUGGGUUUUAUAUUGACAACGAUUGCUUACACCCAUUCAAGAGUGUAAUUUGAGCGUUAACAGAUGCUAAACUAUUCUAAACCCAAACACUAUCCUUGGCAGAAUCAACUAAAUGAAUACCUAAUUUGGUAAGCUGAUGAACAUCUUGAACUAACUUUUUCUUAUCAUUCUCAACAUGAUCAACACUACCCAUAGACAAUCUACCGAGAGCAUCUGUUACUAUAUUGGCCUUUCCCAGAUGAUACAAAACACUCAUGUAAUAAUCUUUCAACAACUCUAACCACCUUCUUUGAUGCAAAUACUAUUAUUUCUUAGAGAAUACAUACUGAAAGAUUUUAUGAUCGGUGAACAUAUCAACAUUUACCCUAUACAAAUAAUGCCUUCAAAUGUUUAAGGAAAACACUACAGCAGCUAACUCAAGAUCAUGGUUAGGGUAAUUCUUCUUAUGAGGCUUAAGUUAUCUAGAGGCAUAAGUUAUGAACUUACCUCUCUGUAUGAGGACAUAACCCAAACCUACUCUAGAUGCAUCACAGUACACAACCAACCCACCUGAACCAUCUGGUAGAGUUAAAACUGGGGCUGAGGUAAGCCGAGUCUUCAACUCUUAAAAACUCUUCUCGUAUGAAUCUUACCACUAAAACUUGACUUUAUCGUAAGUCAAUUUGGACAUGGGGGAUGCAAUAGAUGAAAAUCCUUUAACAAACCAACGGUAGUAGCCAUCUAAACCCAAGAAGCUACUAAUGUUUGAUGGAGAAAUAGGUCUAAGCCAGUUUCUCACCACUUUGGUCUUUUAAGGAUCAACUCUAAUGCCAUCAUCGAAAAUAAUAUGACAAAGGAAUGAUAUUGAUCUUAGACAAAAUUUUCAUUUACUGAAUUUAGCAAACAAUUGAUAGGCUCUAAGGGUUUGCAACACUGUUCUGAAGUGGUCUGUAUGAUUAUUUUUGGUAUGGGAGUAGACAAGGAUGUCAUCUAUGAAAACUAUGAAAAAUAUGUACAAGUACUGCAUGAACACUCAGUUCAUAAAGUCUAUGAAAUUUACUAGGUCAUUGGUAAGACCAAAUAACAUGACUAGGAAUUCAAAGUGAUUAUACCGAGUUUGAAAAGCUAUUUUUGAAAAGUCACAUUCUCUGACUCUGAGCUGAUGAUAGUCUGACCUGAGGUCAAUCUUAGAAAAGUUAAUGGCUCCCUGAAGUUGGUAAAACAAGUCAUCAAUUCUAAGAAGGAGGUAUUUAUUCUUGACUGUGACUUUGUACAACUGAUGGUAGUCAAUACACAUUCUGAGAGAACUGUCUUUCUUAUGCAUGAAUAGAACUAGUGCGCCCCCGGGGAAACACUGGGUCUCAUGACCCCCUUGCUAAAAGGUCCCUUAACUAUUUUUUCAACUCUUUGAGUUUGGAUGGAGCCAUUCUGUAUGGAAAAAAGGAAAUAGGCUGAGUGUCUAAAAAAAGGUCUAUUCCAAAAUCUAUUUCUCUCUCAGGAGGAACUCCAGGAAGAUCUUUGGAAAACACAUCUGAAAAUUCAUUUACUACUGGAACUGACUCGAGACUUAGAGACUCUGAACUAGAGUCUUUAACUCAGACAACAUGGUAGAUACAUCCCUUGGAUAUCAUUUUCCUUUCCCUAAGGUACGAAACGAAUCGACCCCUAAGCGUUGUAACACUAACCCUCUAUUUAAGGACUGGUUUAUUUGAAAAUUGAAAAUUAAUAAAUUUUUUCUACAAUCAACUAAAGCAUAGCAUGAAUGGAGCCAAUCCAUGUUGAUAAUGACAUCAAAAUCAGUCGUCUCUAACUCUACAAGAUCAAUUGAGGUGACUUUUUAAGAUAUCAUGACCAGACAGUUCCUGUAUACCUACCAGGAUACAAAAGAGACACCUACUGGGGUAGAUACUAAAAUGGGCUCUGCUAAGAUUUUGGUACUAACUUCAAAGUUGAUGGCUAUAUAAGGAAUAACAAAAGAAAGAGAAGCUCAAGGGUCUAGUAAAGCAUAAAAUAUAAAUAGAAGACCUGUAACAUACCAGUAACUACAUCAGGAGAAUUUUCCUGAUCACGCCAGCACUGAAUAGCAUAUAAUCUAUUUUGACGGUGACUAUUGGUAUCACUGGAAGUGGCACCCUGCUGAGUCGGGCGGCCGACUGGAACUGAUGACUGAUGGGUCUGGCCAUGUUGGCAUGAAUCUCUACCCUUCUGAGCAACUUCACGACAUUCUCGAAUCUAGUGACCUGGCUUACUAAACCUAAUGCACACAUAACUUCUAGCUGUACACUCACCCUAAUGGUUUCUUCCAUAUUUUUUGCUAAGAGUAUUUGUACGAGCGCUUUAACACUGCCUUAGGAUUUAGUUCCUGGUGCCCUAUCCCUAUAAUCAUUCCUGAACUUGGGUACUGGGGCACUAGCUGGAGAUGGAGCUUGCUCUAAGGAUUUUUGAUGAAACUGAGGAUGUUUACCACCUUCUGACCUUGGCUGACUAAAAUUGAAACUACCUAUUCUAGCUCUCUUAUUCUCUCUCUCUCUCUUCUUAACCUUCUGCUCCUUCAUCUAUUGAGCAUGGACCAUCAACCUAGAAAAGUCCAUCUCCCUAAUUAGCAUCGCGGUCCUACACUCCUUAACCAUGUUGUCAUAUAUACCAGACAUAAACUUACUCAUUUUAGACCUGCUAUCAGCUACCACAUGAGGGGCAUAUCUGGCUAAUUGAGUAAAUUUGAGAGAAUACUCUCUCACUAUCAUGUUUUCCUACUUCAGGUUAAUGAACUCUUAACACUUUAGCCUCUCUAAACUCCAGCUGGAAGAACCUAUCUAAGAAAGAAGUAACAAACUCUUCCCAUUCUACAAGCCCUACAUAUGCGCCCCUAUCUGCCUUCCACUUCUUAAAUAAUGUAUGGGAUACAUCUUGCAAUUUGUAAGCAGCAAAUUCAGCACUCUCACUAGAAUUUACCCCCAUAAUAUCUGUCACCUUUUAAACCAUGUCCAAGAAUUUAUGUGGAUCUUCUUUAGACUUGGAUCCUAAAAAGAAGGUGGGUUUAUUCGAGUGAUGUGCUGAAUUUUGGCUGCGGUAGUAUUGGCCACUGGGUUAGACUGAAUAGCGGUUUUCUAUGCAUUCUAUACCGCUACAGACUGGGCUAGAGUAGUGAAUGCAGUGCUGAACUUUGCAUGAGAAACGUUCUCAUUCAGGGGAUCUUCCUGAACGGGCUGAGGAGUUAGUUGGUUUACAUUUCUUCUUUCGUUAACUUUUUUGGGAGGCAUGUUCUGUAAAUAGAAUAAAGAUACAUUCACAUGACAUAAAUAUUGAAAGAGGGGAAACUUUUCCUAAACAUCUUGCAGACUCUUGUGCAUAAGUGUGGCAUACUACACACCCAUGCAUAAGACUCUACUUGACGUGGCUUUCUGGCUCCCUAGGAUUCUAUUGAACUUUAGGAUCUGAUACCAAGUUUUAACACCCUAAGAAUAUGCCCUGGUCAUUACACUGUGCUUGCAGUCUUGAGGGACCACAAGCUAACCCAUGAGCUAAUUCCUGUUGUGAGCACUGAAUAAUAUAAUAACAUACAUGGAAGAAUAACAGUUAAGCCAUAAGGUUUUAAGUAAUGAAACUAAUAGAAUCUGUAAGCCAACUGAUGAAAUAAUCUGACACUAUCAACUAAAAUUUGAAUACUGAAUUACUGACUAUAGUGUCUAAAGCCUCCAACCUGACUGAAUAUGAGUUGAUGGGAUUGGCCCCAACUAACUCUAACUAACUACAGAACUGAAAACAUGAAAACAAAUAAUCUAUCCUUGAAAUAUGAGGACUCACUACUGGUACAGCUGAUAGUCUAAUAGAUCCAUGCGUGAUCUGUAAAUUGGGCAUCUGAACCUAUGAUAUGAUGCAUCAUAGCAUAAGAAAAGCAUAUGCAAUUAGUACUUUGAAUGUACUCGUAUGCUAAAUAAGGUAGGCUGUUCUGGAUUGUUUCAUGAACAUGAAUAAUAAUAACUAUAUGUAUGUAUGUACGUAGAUAUAUAACAUGUAAAACUGGAUAGAGUGCAAGAAAUUUGUAGACACUAAGGAUACAUGAAGUCUGUAAAUGGUAGGAAUAAGUGAAAUCUAUAAAUACUGAGAAUGCAUGACCAAGCAUAUAACCUAUUCUGAAUAUAAUCUUUAAAUACUAAAAUACUAAAAUAUUGAAGUCUGAUAACUGAAUCACUGAUAUCUAUAUGCUAUGGUCAAGAAACUGAAACUGAAUUACUUGACUAAUACUGUGGGAGCUAUAAGCUAACCGACAUGCCCCAAUGACAAAGUUUGGGGUCCAACCUGUAACCCAGUUUGAAGGGUGUUAGUACCAUGCCAUAGGUACUAACACUGGCUGUAUGGAUCCACUAAACUGAUGUAUUGUCCCAAAGGACUAAGGGUGUUAAGCCUAAUUGAUGGGUGAUCCCUGCGAGGUAGUCAAGCUUAAUCUAAUGAGUGACUCCUAUUAUCCUAUGCUGGCUACGUAGUUCUGGAGUAUAGAGACUGCUACUAAUGACUCUGCCUAUUUGAUGAGGAAGCUGCCAUCUCCAUUCUCACUAGGUACUAAAUCCUACUCCUAACUAAACUGAUUUGCAAUGCUUAACUAUUAUGAGUUUAACUGAUUAUGAUAUUUGACUGAACUGAUAUUGCUCAUAUUAUGUAUGAGAUUGUUCUGACUCUUCUGAAACUAAGUAAACAGCUAUGUUUUUGGUAUUCAAAACCCCCGGGACUCGAUAGUAAUAAUAGUAAAAUAGUACUAAUCUUUAAGGACAUAACAUAGGAGGAUUUAUUUAAAAACUACUCUUGUAGGCAUUUCAUCAAACACUUGAUAUGCAUGGUAUACACUAAGCAUGAGAAUAGUUUAACGUUUAUAGUAAAAGCACAAUUUCAACACCAAUAUCAAAAAUCAUGAAUUAAAUCAGUGGACAACAACAUUUAAACAUCUAGAGUGUAAUAAUCAACAUCAAUUUCAUAGACACAUGGUAUAGGACAAGAUUCAUGAGAUUUCAUGGUUAAAAUCACAAUUCAAAAUUAUAAUAACUUGAAAAGAUCAUAACUUUGUAUUUAAAUUGGAUACUUGGGCUCCGUGGGUGAAUAGGGACCCAUGAAUGAACACUUAACAUACCUGGGUGAUGAAUUCUUGAGGUUUCUUCGUAAAAUCCUUUAAAUUUGAUCUUGAAUUGAAGGAUAGGGUUUGCUAAUUAAGAGAGAAUGUUUUAAUCUUGAGAGAAGUUGAGAAAACAAUGACUAAUUAGGUUAUUUAAGGCAUUAAUCUUGGGUUUAGAACUGAUUAGCGCCAUGGAAAAAGACUUAAAUACCCCUGAAACGAUUUAAAAACUCAAAACUUAAAAAUAUAAACCCCAAUAUUUUGCUUCACCAUGACACAAUGGCAUCACGGUGAACCACUGGAAAAGGGGCAAUUGGGAACUGGGCCCUUGGCAUAAUGUAGUACAAUCGCGGUACGCCUUUGAUUGCGAUUUUGGCUCUUGGAGCGAUGUGGUGGAAUUGUAGAGUCACACUGGAAAGUUAAAAUUGAGAAAUGGAACUUCACCAUGAUGCGCUAGGAUUAUGGUGGUUCACUGGAAAUUGACGAAGGUCAUUUUACCUGUCACCGCGAUACAGUACUUGUGAAUUUGUUACACAUUCUUACAAAAAGUUCCAUAACUUCUCACCCAAAUAUCGGAUUUGGGUGAAUUUUUUAUCGUUGGAAAGCCAAUUCAAUUUCCAAUACAUUAGUAAGUCUUAAACAUAAAAAUACUGAAUAUUUUGAAAAUUUUAUAUAGAGAUGCCCAUGUACUGAGAGAUAAACUUAGCUAGGGAAGUAUGAGGUAUUACAAAAAGAAGAAUAAAAAUAGGCGAUAGUUAUAUAGAGGGAGCAAAUAAUGGUGAAUCUAGAAGUGGUGGCAUUGGUAGUAAUAGUGAUAGUGGAGGGAAAAGAGGUGGCAGCGACGACGACAACAAAAAGGGUGUAUAGGACGACUGGUGGUGAUGGUGUAGGGAUCUUUGUGUAAAUAUAGUGUAGCGAUCUUUGUGUAAAUAAUGAAACUUGAGGGUUUUAAAAUUAGUUUCAUUAACACUAAUCUUAAAAUUGUCACCUCUUCUCAACAUUUAAGACUUGUGUCACUCUUUUUUAGUUUGAAACUUUUUUAUCACCCUUAAUUAAUUUGCUCGAGUUACAUGGGGCUUUGAGCUGUAGGUGACUCAAGUUUUAAUAAUUUAGUGUAGGUGACAAUUACUUUAUUAUGGAUAAAGAAAGUUGAAAAAGUUUAAAAAUAACCUACAAGUUCUUAAAUUUACACUUUGAUCCAUAUGUUAGUUUAUAUAACAGAAAAUGGAGGGAAAAAAAGGCGUGUUUCUCUCUCUUCUCAUCCGUUGUUUUCUCUCCCUCUUCACGAUUAUUAUUGUUCAUUUUUUAUGUUGCUUUAUUCAUCAUCUUCUACUUUAUUAUCAUCUUUAUCUUUUUCUUGUCGACCAUUGUUGUUGUUGUUACUACUACUACUACUACUAUCUAACUAAUUUCUUAGGUCAAAUUUUGUUCCCUUCAUUACUUCCCACUUUGGCAUUACUUCAUAGGUGACUUUGGUAAGUAAAAUUAUUAUUUUUAGUCAAAUUUGUCAUCUAGUUACACAACUACUGUUGUUUUUUUCAACAAUGGAUCGAACCCGAUCAUGAAUCCAAUAUAAGUACCCACGAUUUAAAUAAAUCACUCAUCUGUUGCAUCAAAUGAGUAAUAUGUUGCAACGAAAGACUAAUAUGUUGGAUUCAUGUUUAUGGUUCUAUAGUGCCCGUAGUGUGAAUCGAACAAAUGAAUAAUCUAUUGCAACAUAAGAGUUAUCUAUUGCAAUAGACUAGUUAUCUGUUGCAACAGAAUUAUUAUCUGUUGCAUCAAACUGUUUAUCUAUUGCAACAGAUGAGUAAUCUAUUUGGAACAACACAAAUCAACCCUUGUCACAAUCCCAAUAGAUAAACAAUAUGUUUCAACUCUUGCUAUUGCUACUGGAUUCAAAAUUAUUCCUUACAUCCAAUUUGACAUGUUUAAUGAGAAUAUAAUAGACAGAAUGAAAAUUAAAUAUGAAUUAAAACGUCAAAGCCGAUCAAACAUAAUUUCUUUAUUAAACUAAAAUAAAUAAAAAUACAUAGACUAAUAUAAAAAAUAAUCUAAUUAUUAUUAUUAUUGUCAACCGACCAAUCUUCAACCAGCAGCAGCAGGGCCCUCCUCAGCCUACGGAUCUUACGGAGCAUCCUUUCUCUCACUGCUCCCAACUCCCAUUGCAGGUCACGAACCUACAUCUGAAGUUCAUUCACGUCGUCUUACAAAAAAGCAACGCCCCCCAUUCGAUCAGUCAUAUCUAGAACACACAUGAAUUGACAAAACAUGUAAAAACAAAAUUAAAGAAAAAAAUUUGAAUAUAAUACAACGUAUACUACAAAUUGAGUAUAUUUACACACAAAGAAAGAAAAAAAAUUACCCGAGUCAUGAAAGAGAAAGUGGUGGAAAGUGUAAUAAUAUGAAAGACAAGAUGCAAUUAAUAAAUAGGGUGUAGUUGAAUUAACGAUUGAGUAAGGAGAGAUCUAUUUAUAAAAGAUUGAAUUUGAAUGAGUUAGGCAAAAGGCUCGACUGUUCACCUCUAUUUAUUAAUUAUAUUUUUAUUACUGUGAAAAAUUAUGACUUAAUUAAAUUAAGUAAUAUUGUGAUAAGUCAUGACUAUUCAGCUUAUUAUUAUUUAUUAGUUUUUUUUUUAAGAAUCGUUUUAUUUAGUUGUGACAACAGAUUUUAUAUUUGUGGCAUCAGAUAACCAUCUGUGACAAUAGAUAUAUCAUCUGUUAUAACAAAUAGGCAACUUAUUGCAUUAGAUAAUCUAUCUGUUGCAACAUAUAAUCUAUCUUUUUUACAAAAAUAUCAUCAUAUUAUUAAUCCAAAUUUGAUGAAUUUUUUAUUAUAUAAAUUAAAAAAUAGAAUUGAAAACAAAAUUUUUUUCUGUGAAAAGAAAUGACGCCUAUUUAAUAUUAACAUCAAUUAUUCAAAUUAAAUAACCAUUUUUUUAUCAACGUUAUUUUUUUAUUGUGUUUAUCAUUUAUUUUCUUAAUGUUUUUUGUAAAAAUAAAUGACUUUAUUAAUCAAGCUGGUGAGUUUUUUUAUUAUUCUGACAAGUCAUGACUUUUCAGCUUAUUAUUAUUAAUUAGUUCUUAAAUUUAAAUAACCUUUUUAUUAAUUUAAAAAUAGAAGACACCUCUUUUCAAAAAUCAUUUCUAUAAUAAAAUAAUAACCAUUUUUAUUGAGUUGUGGCAACAGAUUAUAUAUAUGUUGCAUCAGAUAAUUUAUCUAUUGCAACAGAUAUACCAUUUGUGACAACAAAUCAACAAUCUGUUUUAGGAGCUUUUUUUAUUUCUUCUAACAGAUGAUUCAUCAGUCGCAACAGAUGGGGAAUUUGAUGCGUCAGCAACAUUGUUGAAUAUGGAGACCCCUUGAAUGUGUUUGGACAAAAAGUCACGACUGUUCACCUUUUUCUUAACAAUCAUCAUAUAACUUAAUUAAUCCAAUGUUGUGUCUUUUUGUUAUUAUAUAAUAAAUAAAUAAUUUUUAAAAAUAUAUUUAAAAACAAAAAUGGUGAAAAGUCACAAUAAGUUAUUUAAAUUAAAUAACCAUUCUUUUACCAGUACAACUUGUUUUUAUCAUUUAUUUUCUUAUUAUUUAUUUACGAACCAUUUUUCAUAUUAAAUCAUCGGAAAGUCAUGACUUUUCACCCUCUCAAUAACAACAAUAACCCUUUUUAUUAAUAAUUGUCUAUUGCAACAUAUGAUCCAUCUGUUGCAUCAGAUUAACCUCUGUUGCCACAAAUGCUCAAUCCCUGCCUCCAACCGUCGACAUAUUGAUAAUAAGGAAUUAACAGAAUGAUAAUUAAAUAUUAAAUAAGAAUUAAAAAUUCAAGGUCGGCCAAGCAUAGAUUUUUGAAUCCAUUAUAUACAAAUAUAUACAAUAAAAAAACAUAUCCUUCGGUAGAUCCAAUAUUAAAAAAAAAUACAUACAACAAGAAACCCAGUGUGUUCCUACAAAGUAGGGUCUGGGGAGGGUAAGAUGUAUGCAAUCCAUACCACUACCUCUGAAGAAGUAGAGAGGUUAUUUCCGAUAGACCCUUAGCUCAAGAUAAAGAAUAGUAAAUAGGGUCAUAAUGAAACAAGCCACAGGAUGGAUGAUAUAAUAGAAAUAAGAGAUAAAAUAGCAAAAAUAGAAAUCAUAGAAAAUGGGAGAUAAAAGAAAUAAGAUCACUAAGAAAUAAGGACUAAGAAAUAGGACACCCACCAAGUAGGAACAUACACACAAAGACCUAAGACACCCGCCACACCCAAACUCUCCUGGCUAGAGACUCCUACCUAUGGACACAGUCAAAAGAAUACUAACCCGGCUACACAAGAAAAUUACCUAACUACUUUCUACAACCCACACACUCAUGCUAGCCUUUUAACCCUAUCCGCACCCUCCACACCUUCCUAUCUAGGGUUAUGUCCUCAUUAAGUUGUAGCUGCUCCAUAUCAUGUCUAAUUACCUCCCUCCAGUAUUUCUUCGGCCUACCUCUACUUCUCCUGAAGCCAUCCAAAGCUAUCCUCUCAUACCUAUGAGUUUGGGCAUCCGUACCCCUCCUCAUAACAUGCCCAAACCAUCUCAAUCUUCCUUCUCGCAUCUUAUACUCCACCGAAGCCACUCCCACCUUCUCUUAAAUAAUCUCAUUCCUAACUCGAUCCUCUCUAGUAAGUCUACACAUCCAACACAACAUUUUUUUUUCCACCACCUUCAAUUUUUGGAUGUGGGAGUUCUUGGCUGGAUAACACUCUGCUCCAUACAGCAUGGCCAGACGAACUGCCACUCUAUAGAAUAUGCCUUUAAGUUUAAGGGGCACCUUCUUAUCACACAACACUUCUGAGGCAAACCUUCACUUCAUCCAUCCUUCUCCAAUAUGAUUAGAGGCAUCCUCAUCAAUCUCGUCAUUCCCCUGAAUCAUACACCCAAGAUACUUAAAACUAUCCCUCUUAUAAAUAUCCUGGGAGUCCAACCUUACCAUAUACUCCAUCUUGGAUCUACUCACCCUGAACCCCUUAGAUUUAAGGGUUUGCCUCCAAACCUCUAAUUUUUCAUUCUCACCUUCCCAUAUCUCAUCGAUCAGUACUACACCAUCCACAAAAAACAUACACCAAGGUACUGCACCCUGGAUACUCCACAUUAACACGUCUAUUACCAAUGCAAAUAGGAAAGAACUGAGAGUCAAUCCCUGAUGCAACCCUGUCUCAACCAAAAAAUACUCUGAGUCUCCUCCCGUCGUCCUCACCCGAGUCUUCCCUCCAUCGUACAUAUCCUUAAUAGCUCUAAUGUACACUACCGAUACCCCUCUCACCUCUACGCAUCUCCAAAGAACUUUCCUAGGGACUUUGUCAUACUCAUUCUCUAGGUCGAUGAACACCAUAUGCAAAUCCCUUUUCCUUUCCCUAUACUGCUCCACUAAUCUCAUUACCAGGUGGAUUACCUAUGUCAUUGAGAGAUCAGGAAUAAAUCCAAACUGAUUCUCCUAAAUGGAAACCACCCUCCUCAAUCUUCAUUCCACCACUCUCUCCUAAAUCUUCAUAGUGUGACUCAAUAACUUAAUACCCAUAUAGUUUUUGCAACUCUGAAUGUCACCCUUAUUUUUAUAUAAAAAAAUCAUUGUAGUCCAUCUCUAAGCCUCUGACAUUCUCACAGACAUGAAAAUGUCGUUAAAUAAAUCGAUCAACCACCUUAAACCUGCUCAACCAGAAAACUUUCAAAAAUAUAUUAGAAUCUAAUCGGGCCCUGCUGCCCUACCCUUAUGCAUCCUACGAAUAGCCUCUCUUACCUCCUCAACCUCAAAACAUCUAUAGUAACUAAAAUCACGAAUCUCCUCCGAGUGCUCCAGCUCUCCUAACUCGAUGCCUCUAUCCCCCCUCAUUCAAAAGUCUAUGAAAGUACUCCUUCCAUCUUUUAUUAAUGUGAACCUUCUUCACUAGAACACUACCAUCCUUUCUCUUAACUCACUUUACUUGAUUGAGGUCACGACUCCUUUGCUCCCUCACCUUAGGAAGACUAUACAGCCUCUUUUCCCUACCUUUCUCCUCUAAGCCCGCAUACAGGCUCUCAAACGUUGUUGUCUUAGCAGCCAUAAUUGCUAACUUAGCCUUUUUCCUCACUACUUUGUAAGCCUCCCUGUUUACCCGCUUCUCAUCUUCAUUCUUACUCUUAACUAACUUAAUAUACGCCCUCUUCUUAAACUCUACUUUCUUCUUAACUUCUUUAUUCUACCACCAGUCCCUUUAUACCGUAUUGCUCGACCCCUCAAAAUACCCAAAACUUCUCUAUCAAUCUUUAUGAUGGAUCUAGCAGUCCUAUACCACAUAGUAUCCAUAUCCCCUAUACUCCCACAACCCUAUUUACGCCACCUUCUCCCCUAACUCCAGCGUACUAGCAAGUGUCAACCUACCUUACUUAAUUCUAGGUUGACCCUCUCUGGCCCUUCUCUUCUUGCUCUUCUUGCUCUUCUUGAUAAUCAAGUUCGUCACCAAUUGCCUACGUUCGUUUGAAAGGUGCUCACUCGGAAUGACUUUACAGUCCUUACAUAAAACCCUAUCCCCCUUCCUAAGCAGUAAAAAGUCAAUCUUGGUCUUGGCUAUCGCACUUCGGAAGGUAAUCUGGUGAUCCUCCUUCUUCGUAAAGCUCAAAUUUACAACAACCAGCCCAAAGGCCCUCACAAAGUCCAACAGAGCAGCACACUCACUAUUUCUAAAAAAAUUCAUAUGCUAAAAAACAUAACCUAAUUAUUAUUACUAAUACUAUUAUCAUUAUUAUCAUUAUCUUUAUUAGUAUUAGUAUUAGUAUUAGUAUUAGUAUUAGUAUUAUAUUAGUAUUAGUAUUAGUAUUAGUAUUAGUAUUAGUAUUAGUAUUAGUAUUACUAUUAUUGUCAUCUGGCAGCACCAGGGCCCUCCUUAUCCUUGCUCUCAGGUCACCCAAGUUCCUCUGGAUUUUAUGAAUCUGACUUUCAAAUUCCCCUAAGGACUCGAGAUGAACCACCUUGUACAAAUCUGGAUCAUCCAUAUCUAGAAGUAGAGUAGAAUAACCUAUUUAUAAAAGAUUGAAUUCGAAUGGGUUAGUCAAAAAACCAUGAUUGUUCACCUCUUUUUAAAUAAAAAUGCUGACUUUUAAGCUUAUGUAAAUUAAAAAAUGGAUCUAAAUACAACAUAUUAUUUUUAUUGUAUUUUGAAAAGAAAGAAAAUUACUUUAAAAUAAAUCUAACAGAUAAUAAUCUGUUGCAAAAUAUAUUCCAUCUGUUAGAUAACGUACAACAUAUGAUACAAGUCAAAUGGCCACCCUAAUUUUUGAAGACAUGAUUGGAGACCAUCACUUAAAAGCUGAAGACUUGGUCACCCUGAGGGCACAAGAAUAUGCAAGGAACACCUAUUUUGAGCCAACCAUUGAGCAUACCAUUCAUCAAAGCCGUGAGUGGAAGAUUUCUUAAAGCAUUGAACACUAGAGGAUUCAUGAUUUUGGAGACAUUAAGCUCACAGUUUUUGGCCAUCUUUAUUCAGGGCAUUUUGGUCACUUCACUUUUCCCAAAAUGCACUCUAUGGCCACCCCUUUCAUUAAGGUAGUGUAGUCAUUUGUCUUCUUUUGUAAUGUAUUAUAAGUAGAACAAGAUAGGGUUUUUAGGAAUUAGAUGUUUAUUGAUGUAAGACUUGAAACAUGAAACACCUUUAGUUGUAGGUAUUGGAAUAUCCACCACACCAAAAUGAGGUCAACAAGUGUGGAUAUCACUUAUGUUGCAAACUUAUGUUGCAAUGUUGGCUUGAUACGUUGGUGCUUAAAGGAGGUAAGGUUUCUCUUGUGUCAAUAUAGGAGUUAGGUUAACCGUUGUGUGUAGUGUUAAGGGUCCAAGAUUAUCAUAUGUUCUUGGGUUAUAAAUAUUAUACCAACCAAGUUCUAACUAUCUAUCCAUUUUGUUUAUGUUGUAAUCAUUUGUUUAUGUUCUUGUAAUACACACCCGUGACUUGUUAUUCUCGUUCCAUUGUUGUUGUUGUUCAUCUUGUUUUUGUUAAAAUAGCUUAUUGUUGGAUGUUUUUAGGUGUUAAACAUGACAAUACAUUGUGUUCUUAUUGUUGUUUUUUGAAUCUGAGAGGGGUCAUCCAAAAGGGUCCAUAGUUUCCUUGACUAGUAGACUAUUUUGGGUGCUUGUUUUGUGUUUUUGUUGUCAUUCUCAUAUCAUUUGGUAUCAGAGCAUGGCUUAAUCUUGUUCCCACAAGAUCAAUCUUGGGCUCAUAAACUUGAAAAUAAAAAAAAUUAUUGAAAAAAAACUAAAAAUUCCAGAAAAAGGGUGAAAUCUGUCCAUUUUUUUGUUCUUGGCCAAAAGUUGUUGUUCUUGUGAAGUUGUCUUGGCCGAUAUUUGUACUAGAUCUAGUAGGUUUUUUUUGUCUAGUAUGUUUCGUGUGUUGGUUUCUUUCUCACUAACAAAAAAGGUCUCUAGAUCUAAAAUUGAGCAUAUAAUAUUGACCUUGUUGUUGUAAACUUGAAGUGGUCAUAUGUUGUGAUUUGAAGUUGGACAUGUGUUAUGCGUUGAAGAUUGGAGGACGUUGUUGGUGUGUUUUUUAUGUGUCAUUGAAAGGUUGUUGUUGUGUUCAUAUUGUUCUUCAUCUCUUCUCAUACUUAAACCAGCAAAAAGUGCAAAUAGAUUCAAAAGGAGUGAAGAUAAAAGUAGUAAAGUGUAUUUGCGAGAAGACUUGAGCCAUCACUUCCUAGACUUGCCAUCAACUUUUUCAACUACAAUCCUUAAAUCAAGGAACCUUUUUUGGUGGAACUAGUACAAGUAAAGAUCAUCUUUUUGAGUUUAAACUUACAAAGGACUCAAGACUUAUACUUUCCCUCCAAAUACAAUUGUCUUCCAUUCCAAAUCGUGAGAAAAUUAAAAUUUCAAAUUUGUGAUUUAAGUUGUGUCAGCCCGAGACCAAUUACAUGCUUCCACAUCACCCUAAUUACUGUUCACCAUCAAUAUUAAGCUCAAAUUUGGAUUUUCCUAGUUUCUAAUUGUUGAUUCUUGGUUUCGUUAGUUGAUCCUAGAACUAAUUAACAAACUAAUAAACUCCUACUAGAUUGCCAAUUAGUCCUUUGCAUCCAUUAUUUGUGUCUACAUUUCUUUUGUACUUUUGUCAUUUUUAUAAAUUGUAGUACUUCUUGGUUCAAGUUCGAACAUCAUUUCCUUGAGUCUUCAAAAAAAGAAUCUAUUCCAUCCAAGGAUUAGAAUCACUCCUCGACUAAUCACGAACUACAAGCCAACUUGCAAAACUUGUGAAUCUAAGUGUGAGAUGAUCAAUUGUGUGAGAGUGUGGUGACGUUUUUUUGAACUAAGUUUUGUUUUUCCUUGUAGGCUUGUUCUUUUUUUUUUUUUCAGGUGCAAUUACAAUGGAACCCGCGACUGUAAGUGCUAUUUUGGCUAAACUUGAAGUCAUUACCCAUCAAUGGAAAGUGAUAAAUGAAAGGUUGGAUCACAUAGGAGUUCCAAGGGAGCAAGUGGGCUGCCCAAACACACGUCAAGAUGAAGACCGUAGCUCAUGUGAGCUAUAAGGUAAAAAUGUUAUCCCCUACACUCUUAUGAAUGUAGUUGCAGUUUUACCUAGUGUAGGAGUGCAUGAGUAUUCAUUUUGUGAUACUCUUAAUGUUGUUAGGUUGCAUGAGGUCCAAACUCUUGUUGUAGGGUACACAAGCACUAGUUGAUCCUUUAGAUGAUAAAAUUGAUUCUCCUCGUGAGAAUGAUUUCUGUCCAUCUAGUUCUAGAACUUACAAAUUGACUAAGGUUCCAUUACCAAGUGAUGAGAGUAUUCAAACACUAGUUGACCUUUUUUGAAAAACAAGGUAAGUCUAUGUUGGUAUGUGGAUUUCCAACAAUUAGUGAGGGUGAACAAAAUUAUCAACCGGGCGUAGAUAAUCUUGAUUUGCUUAAAUAUUUAGAAAACUCGAGUUGUGAUUGUCCUUGUGAAGAUGAUUUUUAGUAUGGUCCUUGGUUACCCGUGAUGGUUUGUAUGUAUGUGAGGACUACUCUUGUGAAAGAGAAGGUGAUAUGUGAUUAGAAAUGCCAUCAACUUCUUCUUUAUAUGUUUCUUAUGUUGGACAUAUUCCUAGUCGAGAUUUUGAAGCUACUAGUAAGUGCAUGUAUGAGAACCCUUUAUUUAAAGUUGACAUAAGGAACACCUUUCUCAACCCUCUUUUUGUUCAUGAUAUUUCCAAUGGUGAUAAAGAGGGCUUGCUUAAUUUUGAGGAUGACACCCUAGGGGAAAGUGAGAGUGGCCAAGACCUAAGCCCUUGGUUACGUCUUCUAUUUGACCCCGAUAAAUUCUUAGGGUGUGAAGGACGGAUAGAUACUGGUCGGUUCACUUGUUUGAGUGAUAUUUCUAUAUGUGUUGUGUGGACUUUACUUUCAAUUAGGGAACCACCCCUUUGUAAUAUUAUUGAUCAGCCCCUCGUGAUUAAAUCCAAGGAUGUGUGGCUAUAUCUCAAGUGUGUACCUCCUUGGCAUGUUGAUGUUGUUUAUUGUACUAACUCUAACCCUCAUCUUAUGAGAAUACGGUUCUUGUUUGUCUUCUAUUCAUUCGUGCAAGGUUUUGAUUUGUGGUUGAAUACUUUUCAAGAAGUGGAGGAUGAUAUAAGUCAAAUGGACACCCUAAUUUUUGAAGACAUGAUUGGUGACCAUUACUUAAAGGCUCAAGACUUGAUCACCCUGAGGGCACAAUAAUGUACAUGGAACACCCAUUUUGAGCCUACCAUUGAGCAUACCGUUCAUCAAGGCCAAGAAUGGAAGAUUGCUUGGAGCAUUGAAGACUCAAGGAUUCACGAUUUUAGAGACUUAAUAGCUCACGAUUUUGGGCCAUCAUUAUUGAGGGCAUUUUGGUCACUUCACUUUACCCAAAAUGCACUCCAUGGCUACCCCUCUCAUUAAGGGUAGUGUAGCCAUUUGUAUUCUUUUGUAAUGUAAUACAUGAAACACCUUUAUUUGUAGGGCUUGGAAUAGCCACCACACCAAAAUAAGGGCAACAAGUAUAGAUAUCACUUGUGUUGCAAUGUUAGCUUGAUACAUUGGUGCUUAAAAGAGGUAAAGUUCCUCUUAUGUCAACGUAGGAGUUAGGUUAACCAUUGUGUGUAGUUUUAAGGGUCCAAGAGUAUCACAUGUUCUAUGGUUCUUAAGAUUAUACCAACUAAGGUCUAACUAUCUAUCUAUUUUUUUAUGUUGUAAUAGUUUGUUUGUGUUCUUAUAAUUCAAACGUGUGACUUACUGUUCUUGUUCCAUUUUUGUUGUUAUUCAUCUUGUUGGUUUUAACAUAGUUUGUUGUUGGCUGGUUUUUAGGUGUUAAACACCACAAUACAUUAUGUUCUUAUUGUUGUUUGUUGAAUCUGAAAGGGGUCAUCCAAAAGGGUCCACGAUUUCCUUGACUAGUGGACUAGUGUUUGUUUUGUGUUUUUCUUGUCAUUCUUGUAUCAACAUAUUGAUAAUCUGUUAUAAUAGAUUGAUAUAUCUAUUUGAUUUUUCCAACAAAUAUGUCAUAUGUUGCAAUAGAUUGAUCAUCUAUCGUAAUAGAUGUCUAUAAUUAUUUGACAAUUUAAAUAGAUGUGGCAUCUGUUGCAACUUGUUAGUCAUAUGUUUAUUUAAUUUAAGCCAUAGAUGGGAUAGGAAGAAUAAGGUGCAUGCAGAUAGAUGGAUCUACUUUCAUGUGUGGGAUUUAAGUAUUAUUGAUAAGGUCAUCGGGACAAUACACACAAAGUACAAUAUUUUUUUUGAAUGUAAUUUUUAACUACUUAGGCAUUGAUCAUUCAUAUAAUAUCUUGCAUUGUACAGUUAAGUUUGAUAGGUUCAAAUUGAUAAGGUAAAGGGCCCCAUGAUAAUGGUGUCAUACCCUGUUACGAAUUACUGAUGGUUGUUGCUCAUGUUUAUGUGUGUCAUGUUUUGAGAAGGGAUCAAUAUUUUGUUUCAUUGUAGAGAUCCAAUAGCAAUUAGACUUAAAUUUAAGUGUGCAUUAGACUCUGAGAAGGCUUUCGAAGCCCUGCACUGCAUCAAACAAGAACAAAAAAUAAAUAGAAAUUCCCCUGGCCCAAAUUUAUAUGGAAGUGUUGUUUGAGAAGAUGAUUAUAUGCCAGAAGGAGCCGAAGGAGAAUGCCUUCAAGGGAAAGGGGAGUUGAUGAAAGAUUAUAUCAUCUGAGAGCUAAUUAAAGAGGAAAAAUAGGGUAGAAAGGAACUUCUAGCAAACCUGGCCGAUGAAACUGAAUUAGAACAUGAGAAAUCUGAAUCAAGUGCAAAUAUAAAAGUGUAUCUAGUAAUGUAAAUCUUUUUGUUUUUCUAUGAAAGAAAUAAUGCAGAUGGACACUUUGCUAGGGAGCUGCAACUAGGAAGCAUGGUCAGGAUGAUCACAUACAUAGAAAAUAGCAGAACACCAAGAAAGCAACCUUGUAAGUAUCGAGGGUUGAGAAAGAUGGGUGACAUUGAAAAGACAAGAUACGACUACUUAAUGAGAUUUUUGAGUUAUCCAAAAAAAUAUUUGUUACCACCUUUAGAAGUACUAUUUUAUAUAUCUUUCUUCUUUCAAACAAAAACUUGCUUUAAAAUUAAAAGAAAAAAGAUUUUCAAACAGAUAUAUCAUCUGUUACAAUAUAUAUCAAUAUUUGUUUGAAAAAAUCCAAUACCUCAGUCAUUUGUAACAACAUAUGCAAAUGUUGAUUUGAUAAUUAAAUCAGAUAUGGCAUCUGUUACAACAGAUAUCAAUAUUGUUUAAAAAUUUACAACAGCUCAGUCAUCUAUCAAAACAGAUGCAAAUGUCUAUUUGAUAAUUAAAUUAGAUAUGUCAUUUGUUGUAAUAGAUAUGAAUAUAUGUUUGAAAAUUUCCAAUAGCUCAGUCAUUUGUUGCAAUAGAUUUUAUUUCAAUUGAUUUAGGUAGAACUAGGUAUGAGUUCAUAGGGUUAAGUACAACUUCAAUUUAGUCUUUGCAAUUGCAUGGUAUUGGUAUUGUGUUCAUCCCGACUCGAGUUAUUGAUCGAUCACUCUAAGUUGAAAAGACUCUCAUUAAAUUAAUGUUAAUCUAGUACGUAAAUUAAUUUUUGUAGAACUAGCGAUGAGUUCAUAGGGUCAACUACAACUUUAAUUGAGCUUUUCCAAUUGCAUGGUGUUGGUAUUGCAUUCAUCCCAGCCCAAGUCAUCGAUCGAUUACUCUGAGUUGAAAAGAUUCUCAUUAACUUAAUGUUAAUCUGGUACCUAAAUUGAUUUAGUUAGAACUAAGGAUGAGUUCAUAGGGUCAACUAAAACUUCAAUUGAGUCUUUGUAAUUUUAUGGUGUUGGGAUUGCGUUAUUCCCGACUAGAGUCAUCGAUCGAUCACUCUGAGUUGAAAAGAUUCUCAUUAACUUAAUGUUAAUCUAGUACCUAAAUUGAUUUAGGUAGAACUAGGUAUGAGUUCAUAGUGUCAACUACAACUUUAAUUGAGUCUUUGCAAUUGAACAGUGUUGAUAUUGAGUUCAUCCCGACCUCAGUCGUUGAUCGAUCACUCUGAGUUUAAAAGAUUCUCAUUACCUAAUGUUAAGAUAGUGCCUAAAUUGAUUUUGGUAUAACUAGGGAUGAGUUCAUAAGGUCAACUACAACUUUAAUUAAGUUUUUGCAAUUGCAUGGGAUUGGUAUUGCGUUCAUCCCAACCCGAGUCAUCAAUCGAUCACUCUAAGUUGAAAAGAUUCUCAUUAAAGUAAUGUUAAUUCAGUACCUAAAUUGAUUUAGGUAGAACUAGGGAUGAUUUCAUAGGGUCAACUACAACUUCAAUUAAGUCUUUGCAAUUACAUGGUGCUGGUAUUGCAUUUAUCCCUACCCGAGUUAUCGAUCAAUCACUCUUAGUUUAAAAGAUUCUCAUUAACUUAAUGUUAAGCUAGAACCUAAAUUGAUUUAGGUAUAACUAGGGAUUAGUUCAUAGUGUCAAAUAAAACUUCACUUGAGUCUUUGCAAUUGAACAGUGUUGAUAUUGUGUUCAUCCUGACCUCAGUCGUUGUUCGAUCACUCUGAGUUUAAAAGAUUCUCAUUACCUAAUGUUAUGCUAGUACCUAAAUUGAUUUUGGUAGAACUAGGAAUGAAUUCAUAGGGUCAACUACAACUUCUAUUAAGUUUUUGCAAUUGCAUGGUGUUGGUAUUGCGUUCAUCCCAACCCGAGUAAUUGAUCGAUCACUUUGAGUUGAAGAGAUUCUCAUUAACUUAAUGUUAAUAAAGUACCUAAAUUGAUUUACAUAGAACUAGGGAUGAGUUCAUAGGGUUAACUACAACUUUAAUUGAGUCUUUGUAAUUGAGUGGUGUUGCUAUUGUGUUUAUUCCAACUCGAGUCAUCGAUCAAUCACUCUAAGUUGAAAAGAUUCUCAUUAACUUAAUAUUAAUCUAGUACCUAAAUUUAUUUUGGUAUAACUAGGUAUGAGUUCAUAGGGUCAAUACAACUUCAAUUAAGUCUUUGUAAUUGCAUGGUGUUGGUAUUGCGUUCAUCCCGACCUGAGUCGUAAAUCGAUCACACUGAGUUGAAAUUAUAGUAAUUAACUUAAUGUUAAGAUAGUACAUAAAUUGAUUUUUGUAUAACUAGGGAUGAUUUCAUAGGGUCAACUAGAACUUCAAUUGAGUCUCUGCAAUUGCAUGGUGUCGGUAUUCCGUUCAUCCCAACCCGAGUCGUCGAUCAAUCACUCUAUGUUGAAAAGAUUCUCUUUAACUUAAUAUUUUAAAAACUAUAUCAUUUAACAUUUUAAAAAUUAAUUAAGAUAAAUUCAAACCAAAUUAACAAUUUUAAAACUUGUCAUUCUUUUCCAAAAUUACAAAUCAUCCAUUUAUGGGAAAAACUUUUUCUCAUUUCAAAUCUAAAGUUCUCGCUUUUCUCUCUCUCUCUCUCAACAAUUCAGAUAAUAACUACUCAACAUAUUUCUCAAACCUUUAAAAUAGAUUAAUUUUCUACUUAUUUUCGACUACAUAGUUGUUAUUUUUGACUUUAUUCUCGCUUCUAUCCAUUUUUUUCUCUAUCUUCACAAGUAACAGAGUUCGAGCGGAGUUCUACAUUUGUUCUUUGUUCUUAAAAUUAGGUAUUUUUAGUUAAUGAUGAAAAAUAAUACUUUUGCUUGUAUUAUCUUUGAGAAUUAGAUAAAAAUUUUGAGUAUUGAUGCUAAAAAUGUCGGAAGCAACCGAGAAAACUCUAUUUUUUGUCACAGUAUUUUGUUGACUGUUGUGGUAUUGUUUUCUGGUGUUUGUGGUGUCGGUAUAGUAGUUUUUGUGGUGGUGUCGGUGGUCUUGGUGUUGGUAUUGGUAGUAUUAGUGGUAGUAUUGGCGUUCUUGGUAUUCUUGGUGGUCUUGUUGUUGGUAUUGGUGGCAUUGGUGGUAGUAUGGCGGUCUUUGUGGUGUUGUUGGCAUUGGUGGCAUUGGUUGUAGUGGUGGCGGUAGUGUUGAUGGUCCAUCUAUUGCAACAGGUGGAAGAUCUGUUGGGAGAUAUUAAAUAGGUCUUUAAAUAGAUUUCUCAUAUGUGCCAAUUGAUGGGUUAUCAAUUGGAGUAUUUUCUUGUAAUGUGGCAUAUAAUAAUUUAUUGAAAUUUGUCUUACCUUUUUCUAAAAUAUUAGGCAGACAUCAAAUGUAAUGUAUAUUUGUUUUUUUGUUGUUUGUAGUUAAAAGAUGUCUCCCAAAAGAAAAGAAACUGAAAGUGGAUCAACUUUUGACGACCCAACAAAAUAGGCAAGAGUACAGAUAGAUUCAGAGGAACUUCCUAACAAUCUCAGUCAGGGAAAAUUGAAAUUGAGGAAAUUGAGAACUUCUUGUCACCAAUGGGACGUGAAUUAAUAUCGAUAUCCCAGCAUGGUCCUAUCAAAUCUAUUAGUAUUGCCAGGUUUUGAGUUAUGAUGCCGAUAGAUUACCCUGCAGAAGUAACUGGUGAUCUUGUACUUAAAUGUCAGAUGGGGAAAGGUUUGAUGAAUUUAGGAGUAUUGUGAAGAAUGAAAACAUAGACAAACUUUUUGAGAGGAGCUGCUUUGCAUACUUUCUUAAGCAGCCUAAGGACCACACUCUCCGUUUCCAAAUGAGCAUGGUAUAUGGUCUUCCCAAGCGCAGGAUCAAGUAUGUGGCGGAUGAUAAAGAUUCGAAGGAGGGCAAAAAAAGAUGGAUAACUGGAUCAACUACUGUGGCACGCCGAUUUGUUUUGGAUUGAAAGAGUUUGUCAAAGUGACGGGCUUGAGAUGCAAUCGUCUAGAAGAACAUCUCAUCAUGGAAACACCCCACAAAAGUUUCAAUAAAUGCAAGGAAAAAAAAGAUGGGUUGUUGGACAUUGUUGGAUAUAGCUACAAAGCAGGGGAUUUGAUAGCAGAUCUCGAGGAUAAAGCCAUACCAAAGCAGUAUAGGGAGAAAUUAUGCUUAGUUUGGUUUGUCCAUUUCGUUAUAUUGGCAAGAGACGUCAGGAAAGUCAUAGAAGAUGAUUUGUUGGCGCUUGUUGAUGAUUUUGAAAAAUUCAACGAUUAUUCAUAGGGAUAUGACAACUACUAAUUGACUGUCAAAUAUUUACUAACAAAGCUAUCCCCGGGGAUGAUCACAUUAUAUGACUUUUCUUGGGCUUUCAUGGUAAAAUUAAUCACUAUUUUUACUCAUCCAUUAAUUUAUAUUGAAUAUAGUUAUUAUGACUUUUUUUUGGCUUGUAUCCGAUUUACAUUUUUUAGGCUUGGGCAUUUGAAGUCAUUCCUUCCCUCCGAAAGCAGUUCAAGGAUUACCCGAAUGAGGUUUCUCAUCCAAGGAUCCUUAGGUGGUUAGCUCCAAAGUGAAACAAAAAAAUUAAGGAGGCUGGUCUCUUUAACCCUCCAAAAGAUGCAGUACAUCUUUUUUCAACUAAAAUAAUUUACCUCAAAGAAAUAUAUUAAAAUAGAUAUGCCAUCUAUUGCAAUAGAUGGGUCAUCUAUUGCAACAGAUUACUCAUCAAUUGCAACUAGUGCAACAGAUGGGUAAUCUGUUGUGACAGAUGAUCCAUAUUUUACAACAGAUUAACUAUUUAUUGCUCUGGUUCUCUAAACCCAACUCAACAUAUUGCCCAUCUACUAUAAACUAUGCAAUAGAUGGGUAAUCUAAUGCAACAUAUUAUCAAUUUGUUGUGACAUACAGAUCAACUGUUGCGAUAGAUAGGUCAUUUAUUGCAUAAGUUGGUUGUGUUAAUAUGUAACCCAACUGACUUCAAAUUAUUAUUAUAUGAUUUAAAUGCCUUUUUUCUUUUUAUAGGUUUUGCAGCCUUGGAUCGUGUCUCCUGAGUAAGAGUUGGGGAUGCCUUAUUUUAUUACUCUAGGUAUUGUUGAUACAACAGUACACCCAAUGGUGUAGUUAAUAAAGAAGGAAUUGGCUGGAGCAACAGCUAUAAGAAGACUAGUUAGGUAAGGUCAGACUAAUGUUGAAGCUCUUCAUGACCAACCUACUGCAACAGAUCCGAGUGCUUCUUCUGGGGUUGUUGCUGGUGAAGUUGUUGAUGAUGGUGGCAGCCAUCCUAAUGUUUCUGCUACUUCUAUUCAUGAUUAUGAGCAUGUUGGUGCUCAGGAAAAAAUAAAUACAUUUGAAAAAACCCCUUGCACAUGUCCCUUUCACCCUUACACCAGUCCUCCCACCCUUACAGUGGUCUCUCUCACCCCUCUUUACCCUCAUGUUCUCAUUGUAAAAGUAAAGUAUGUAAGGACAGAGAGGAUAAACUCCUUAAAAAAUUAGAGGUUGUUGCUAAAGCUGCCGAGGAGUUGAAAUCCAAGAAGGGUGUCAUAUCAUACAAAAAUAUAAGGGAGAAAUACACUCCUAAAGUAGUGGUUAGGAGGAAGAGAAGAAACAUUAGCCAAAUACUCUCCAUUUUGAAAACAGAAAAAACUGUCACUCCUUCCGCUCCAAGAGUUGUUGAAGUUCAGGGGCCGCUAAAGAAGGUGGACAUAUACAUGGUACUUAGCGACAAAGAGAAGAAGGAACUGGGAAAAAUCAUGACUGACAAGACAAAACCUCCAUAAGAAUACACCAUGCAUUUAUUUGCUACCCAAGACUUUAUGAGUAUGAAAAAUAUACGUGAGUGGUACGUGGACAAUGUAAGUUUACUUUUGCUGACCUAGCCUUUGAAUAUACUCCAUGAAUAAAAAGCUACGCAACAAAUGUGUAAUCUGUUACAACAACUGGGUAUUUUGUUGCUACAUAAUACACAUCUGUUGCAUAAGUUGCAUCAGCUGGGUAACUGUGAACCCUCUACAACAGAAUAUUUCCACUGUGUUUUUAUUCCUUACAAUUACUAACCUAUUUAAAAAUUAUCUUCUUAUACCACAUUAUAUUGAUGAAAUUCUCUGCCUUAUGAGGGGAAGACAAUUAGCAUACCCAGAUGCUUAUGAUGCUGUUGAUAAGAAAAUGGACCUCAACUUCUAUAAUAAUUUCAAUAGUAGGUACGAUACUCUCCGUAGGCAAGCUGCUCCCGAUGGUAAAGGAUUUGAUGAGUUAGUUUAUACGUUCAAAUGAGAUGAAGACAUGAUUGACUAUGUUAGAGGAAAGAGGAAAUAUCCACAAGACAAGAGUUAGACCUAGGCAAAGAGAAUCCUUGCAGUCAUGAACGUGAAAGUCAAACAUUUUCUCGCUGUUGAGAUACUACUCAAUGAGGGAAAUAUUAAGAUUUAUGACUGCAACUUACCUGUCUUCAAGGAGGCCACAUUUUUAACCUACAUGUAGCCACUCUUGAAGUUGUUCCCCAAAUUUUUGACGCUGAGUAAACUGAUGGAUCAUUUGCCAGCGGAAGCCUUGAUGAAGAAAUCAUGGAAUUUUCAAAGUUGACAUAAGAACAUCCACCUUCAAAAAAAUAAAAUGGUGUUGUGUGCGGGCCAUACUCGCUUACAUACAUCGGGUGUUUACUGAUCAACAUAGAAAUAGCUGGUAUAUGCGACACCGUUGUGUAAAAGAUGCAAGUGGUCUGGGUUUAUGGGUACUAAAAAAAUGGUUGUAGCCUGUGUAUAAGUAAAAAUAUGUACAAAGACAGACACACACACGCUAACAAUUUUUUAUUUUAAGCCACUUUGUUCACUUUACAUGUAGUGAUAAUUUUUUAUGUCUGGCAAAAGUUGAAUUUUUAUAAUAUAAUAGAUUGUCUAUCUGUUGUAAAAUAUAUCAUACUUAUUGUGAUAGAUUAAUUAUCUAUUGAAAUAGGUUGGUAAUUUGUUUCAUUAUGUAGAUGUUUCUAUAUGUUUAUCUUAAUAGAUAUACAGUCUGUUGCAACAUAUAAUCUAUUUGUUGUAAUUGAUAGGUAAUCUAUUAGAAAAUAUCAAAAAGUAGGAAGACCUGUUAUAAAUUUCCAGCAGCUGACCUACAUGUUGCAACAUAUGCCUAAAUUUGUUUAAUAAGAUAUGUCAUCUGUUAUGGUAGAUGUAUUAUCUGUUGUGAUAUUUGAAUCUAGUAUUUCAUUUCAAUUAACAAGUUCAAAACUAUGGAUUAAAUUAUAUUCAUAGACAUCAUAAAAUAAAUCAAAUCCUUCGAAAAUUACAUGAAAUAACUUAACAAAUAAGUGAAAUGUAAAAAAAUUAUUAUGCGUACAAAUGAUCUACUCUACAAGUAAAUCAACAAGUUGACUAAGGAGGAUAGGUUAUUACAUUGACAAAUUCAAGCUAUAAAGAUCUACUCAAUAUAGACAAGUUGUUCUUCAUCCGGUGCUAUGAAAUUUGGCUUUGGUCUUCAUGGAUCUUUAAUGUCACUUACGUACGAUUUCAGAGCUUUUGCUUCUCUGUAUUUCCAUACAAGAUCAACAUAUCUGUAACACCCCGCAUUUUGGGCAACAAUAUAGACCAUGAUUCUGAUGUGUUGAUAAUCCUGAAGCCAUAAAUCCUAUGCCAAUAUGGCAUGUUAAUUAUUUGUGUAUUAUGUGAAUCCAUUCAACCUUGAAUUUAGACCAUAGAGGUCCUUUGACUCAAGGACGAGUUGAAAUCUACUUCGAUCGAUUAAGUUUGAGUGGACAUUAUAAUUUGUGUCAACUUCUAUCGACCAUGACUCUUUGUAUAUGUCAAAUUAGAGAGCUUACUAUGUGUAAAAUGAUAGGUUUUCGAGUUAGCUUUCCAAUGAUACCAAUUUUGCUAAAAUCCGGCACCCGAGCAAGAAGUUAUGUCCUUUCAAAGUAGUAUGCAUCGCCUAACCAAUCGCUCAUGGCCACUGGAAAGCAUAUGCGAUAGCAUAUGCGGCGCCUAUGUAAACAUAGGCGGUGCCUAUAUAAACAUAGGCAAUAGCAUAGGCGGUGCCUAUGUAAACAUAGGUGAUAUCAUAUGUGGCGCCUAUGUAAUGGUUUCAAGUGACUUAAAAACUCUGUUUUUGGGGUAAAAUGGUCCUUUUCCCACCCUUAUUCAGCCAUAAACACGAAAUUCAGUCCCCAAUUCUCCAAAAUACAUCCACAUUCAUCUAAAAAUUCUCAAGAACACUCCCAAGGAUGUCAAACAAAAAAUCCAAAUAAAUCAAGAUUCAACUGUGGGUUUUCAAAAUCGAUUAGAGAUUCGGAAUUCCCAAUCCACAGGCUUCAAGAAGCACCCAUUAUUUUUCGAAAUAGAGCUACGUGGGGUUUUUCUAAAUUCUCAUGGUCAUAGAAAAAUCAUGUUUUAGAAUGGGAUUUUUGAAUCUAUAUCAUAGCAUAUGAAUUGUUUUGCAAUGCAUCCUUGAAAAGCACUAUAUGAAAUGAUUGAACUCUUCUUAUGAUUUUAAGGUGGUUUUAAAUCACUAAAGAGGGAAUCUAGCAUGAGUGUUUAAUGUUCAUAAUGCAUGUAAUUAAAGAGUGCAUGCAUUUGCUAAAGGCGUUAGACCACUAUAUGUUGAUGAAGUUUUUGCAUGAUUUUGACUUGAGUUUCGAAACACAAAAUUUUCUAUAUCAGUUGCAUGUUUUUGGUAGUCUAAAUUAUGCUUUAAAUGAAACAUUUAGCUUAAUGUAUUAUGGCUCAGAAAUCAUGACUUUCAAGUCUUUGUAUGACGAUACCAAUUUAGAUCAAUGCCAUAUCAGACUCAGACUAAUAGAUAUUUUAGACUAUCAUGAUUUUAGACAUUCAAAAUAUUGCAUGUACAGAAAAGGUUAAAAAUAGGCAUACAGAGAUGUUAGGUGGCUUCCUGAAGAGGGCUUGAGUUCAAGCAACUCAUUGCCUAGAACCGUGGUUUGCCGACCUGGGUAUAUUAUUAUAUGCUGACUUAAGUGUCGUGUGGCGUAUCAGAUUCAGGAACUCCAACCCUUGCAGCACAAUCGGUUGGAGGCUUACCCAUCGAGUCAAUGGCGGAUUCCAUAUUGCUCGUGGAAUAUCAGACUUUUAGGGGAUACCACCUACCUCAGAAGUAAUACACAGAUCAUAGUUUGAAAUUUAUAGAUAGGUUACAUGUUUUCAAAAGAUGCCCAUGUGUUUUCAGAAACUAUUUUAUGCAUAAUUUUUGAUGAAAAUUUUCUCUCACGUAUUAUAUAUAUAUAUAUAUACAUAUAUGUUUAAUUAGUCUAUUUUGAAUUGCUUUGUGUGCCAGUACAAUUGUGCUGACCCCCCCUCCUUCCAGGUUCUAAGGCACAAUCUAGGGGUUUAGAUAAACAGUAGAGAUUUCAUUUCACAGACUGGAGUUUGCAGUGGUGAGCUUUCUAUGAUUCAGAAGGCUUAGUUAUUUCAUAUUACUACUAUUAGUUAGGUUUUGGUCUACUGGGGGCCUUGUCCCAGCUUUCAGAUAACUUUGAUUAGUUCAUGGUAGAGAUUUUGCAGGCUGAGUCAAACAUUAUUAUUCAGAUAUAUUUUGGAUUUCAAUUUUCAAUAUUGUGAUCACAUUCAGAUUGACCAUGUUUCCAUAUUAGAUUUCUCUUUUCGAAUUACCUUUUAUCAUAUGAAUUAUGUGCAUGAUUAUCAGAUAGAUAGAGAAGGGUAUUCCGGGCCUUCAUGGUUCGAGAUGCUCAUCACGGCUAGGGCCCCGGCUCAGGUCGUGACAAAAUUUGUAUCAAAGAACAUUUCAUUGUCCCAGGGUGUCUGUGAAAUUGCAUCAGGAAGAGUAUUGGUUAUGGGUGUGUAGCACGCCACACUUAUAACCAAGAGGCUACUAGGCAUUUAGGAAAUGUUUCCCUUCUUUGUGAUUUAGUUUAUUCUUUAGAGUCUGAACUGUCCCCUAAUCAAUGAUCUCUUGUAUUACAAAAACACAUUUAUGCCUCCACGUCCUAUCAUCGAUUAGAAUGCUCAGGAAGAUGAGGUCUGUCCCACCCAUGGGAUGCGGACCCAUAAUAGAGCUCACACUUUAGAACUUGUCCCUACUCUGGGAGUCCCUCCAGUCCCGACCAGUCCACCUGGGGCUCCACAGACUGAUGACAACCAUCCCUUGACUGCUUAGAGAGAUAUUUCAAAUAUAGAAUUUAGAUGGUCUAUUCAAUGCUGACAUAUUUUAUAGCUAACCAGGCUCAACGAUCAGAAGAUGUUGGUCUGCAUCUGUUACAUCAGAGGCUACCAGGGUUUGAUAUUUCAUGAAAAUGAACCCGCCUAAGUUCACUGGCACCAAGGUAGAGAAAGAUCCACAGGAGUUUGUGGAUGAGAUGGAAAAAAUCUUUUAGGUAAUGCAUGUGGAUGAGGUUGAAGGGGUGGAACUAGCAACUUAUCAGCUUAAGGAUGUUGCGAAUCAGUGGUAUGCCUACUGGGAGGAUGCAAAAGGUGAGAGUGCUGAGCCCACAGUUUGGGGCGAAUUUGUGGAAGUUUUCCUUGAUCAAUUCUUUCCUCUGGAGUUAAGGGAGGCCAAAGCAGAAGAGUUUAUGAAUCUGAAAUAAGGUAGUAUGAGUGUCUAGGAGUACACUUUGAAGUUUAAUAAACUAGCCCGCUGUACACCAAAGUUGACUAGUAAUAUGAGAGCCCAGUGAGGAAAUUUACAUCCGGCCUUUCUCAUAACCUGGUGCUUGAGUGCCAGGGGGCAAUGUUGAAUAAGGAGUUAGACUUUACUAGGUUGACUGUUCAUAUACAGUAGGUAGAAGAGAAAAAGAAGAAGAUCUUUGAAGCUAGGGAGGUGGAAAGACAAGCGAAAAGAGCCAGAUCAGCUGACCAGAGUCACAGUCAGCCUCAGGGCUGUAAGUGGAAAAAUAAAAAGUAGAAAAGGAAGAAUUGGGGUAAUGCAAAGUCUACUUCCAGUUCCCCAGUACCCUGACCACUAGCAGACAGACAAUCUUAGAGUUUUCGGACUAACCAUGGAACCAGAGCUCAGAAUAUUCAGUCACAAGGUAGUGUGGCUCAGAAGCAUCAUACUUUUCCAUGAUGUGAGACUUGUGGUAGAAAUCAUCCGAGAAGGUUUCAGUUGGGCUUGAUAGUAUGUUAUUCAUGUGGUCAGCCAGGUCACUUUCAGAGGGAAUGUCUAUCUGCUAGAAAGAAUAUUAGUGGUACCAAGUCUCAGGCAAAUUCUUCGGCACCACCCCCACCUUAGAAGGGCACCACAUCAGCUGUUGGGAACAGUCACAAUCGGUUAUAUGCUUUGACCAACCACCAGGAGGCAGAAGCUUCCCCAGAUAUUAUUACCUGUACGUUACAAAUCUUUUCCCAUGAUGUUUAUGUGUUACUUGAUCCCGGGUCUACUUUAUCCUAUGUGACCCCUUAUGUGGCUGUUGGUUUCGGGUUUGAGCCCAGUGUGAUUUCUGAACCCUUUUCUAUUUCCACCCCGAUGGGGGAUUCUAUUAUUACUAGGAAGGUGUAAAGGGGUUAUGUUAUGACUGUUGGUAGCCGGGAUACAUUAGCAGAUCUCAUAGAGAUAGAUAUGGUUGCUUUUGAUGUUAUCUUGGGAAUGGAUUAGCUCUAUUCGUGUUAUGCCACAUUAGAUUGUAGGAAUCGAAGGGUCACUUUUUCGUUCACAAAUGAACCAGUGAUAGAGUGGGAAGGACAUUCUUUAGCACCCAGAGGGAACUUUAUAUCCUAUCUCUGAGCCCGCAAACUUAUUUCUAAAGGUUCCUUGUACCACCUUAUCCCAAUUAAGGACUCUAAUGCCAAGAGUCUUCCUCUACAAUCUAUUCCCGUAGUAACAGAAUUCCCAGAAGUCUUUCCUAAUGAUCUCCCAAGAAUACCACCUGAUAUUGAGAUUGAGUUUGGUAUUGACAUGUUGCCAAACACUCGUCCUAUUUCCAUUCCGCCAUAUAGAAUGGCUCCUGCAGAACUAAAAGAGUUGAAAGAACAGUUAGCAGAUCUCCUAGAUAAGGGUUUUAUACACCCCAAUUUGUCUCCUUGGGGUGCGCCUGUACUUUUUGUGUGAAAGAAAGAUGGUUCCCUUCGUAUGUGCAUAGACUACCGUCAGCUGAAUAAGGUCACGAUUAAAAAUAAAUAUCCUCUUCCUAGGAUUGACGACCUUUUUGACCAACUUUAGGGUACCAAGUGUUUUUCAAAAAUAGACCUUUGUUCGGGUUAUCAUCAGUUGAAAUUUAGGGAGUCAGACAUACCCAAGACAGCCCUCCGAACCCGAUAUGGUCACUACGAAUUUCUAGUCAUGUCCUUCGGAUUGACUAACGGCCCUGCAUCCUUCAUGGAUCUUAUGAAUAAAGUAUUCCGUUAGUUUCUUGACUUGUUUGUCAUUAUUUAUUGAUGAUAUCCUGAUCCAUUCUAAGAGUAAAGAGGAUCAUGCUAAUCACCUCUGAAUUAUUCUUCAGACCCUUAAGGAUCAUCAGUUGUAUGCCAAAUUUUCUAAGUGUGAAUUUUGGUUAGAUGCUAUUACCUUCUUGAGGCAUAUUUUGUCCAGUGACGAGAUAAGAGUGGAUCCCCAGAAAGUUGAAUCAGUGAGAAAAUAGACCAAACCCAUGACUCCAAUCGAUAUUCAAAGCUUGUUGGGUUUGGCGGGGUAUUACAGAAGGUUCGUAGAGAGUUUUUCUUCCAUUGCUGCUCCACUCACUAAAUUGACUCAUAAAAAGGUGAAGUUUGUGUGGUCUGAUCUGUGUGAGAAUAGUUUUGAGAAGUUGCAAGACAAACUGACCACUGCUCCUGUUUGGACCCUUCCCGAGGGUGCAGAUGGCUCUUUGGUAUACUGUGAUGCAUCCUAUAUGGGAAUUGGUUGUGUGUUGAUGCAGCAUGGUAAGGUAGUGGCUUAUGUAUCUAGGCAAUUAAAGGUUCACGAGAGGAACUACCCCACCCAUGAUUUGGAGUUAGCGAUUGUGGUGUUUGUGCUAAAGAUUUGGCAGCACUACCUGUACGGUGUUUACAUUGAUAUCUUCAUUGACCACAAGAGUCUACAAUAUGUUUUCUCACAGAAAAAAUUAAACUUCAGGCAGAGGCACUGGAUGGAGCUUCUGAAAGACUAUGAUAUGAGCCUGGAUUACCAUCCGGGCAAGGCAAAUGUUAUAGCCGACGCCCUCAGCAGGUUGUCUAUGGGCAGCCUUUCUUAUGUAGAAAAAGGAGAGAAAGAGAUAGUGAAGGAUAUUCACCGCAUUGAAAAUCUGGGAGUGCGACUCUUAGAUUUCGAAGAUGGAGGGGUAUUGUUCAUGAGUUAGCUAAGUCAUCCCUUUGUGCUGAAGUUAAGGAGAAGCAGGUUGAAGAUCCCAUAUUAAUGUAAAUCAAGAAAGAUAUGGGUCAAUAAAAGGUUAUGUUGUUUGAAAUUGGUGGUGAUGGUAUUCUGAGAUUUUAGGGUAGGUUGUGCAUUCCGAAUAUUGAUGGACUGCGGGAAAGAAUCCUUGAUGAGGUGCACACUUUGAGGUAUAUCAUUCACCAAGGCUCUACUAAGAUGUACCAUGAUUUGAAGACCUUGUAUUGGUGGAAUAAUAUGAAAUGUGAUAUAGCUGAUUUUGUUUCCAAGUGUUUGAACUGUCAAAAAGUGAAGGUAGAACACAUGAAGUUAGGUGGUACUUCCCAAGAGAUAGCCCUGCCUUUAUGGAAGUAGGAGAUUAUAAACAUGGACUUCAUUAUAGGACGUCCGAGAUCUCGAAACCAGUAUAAUUCUAUAUGGGUGAUUGUAGAUGGUUGACAAAGUCAGCCCAUUUUUUGCCUGUGAGGACUAAUUAUUCGGGAGAGUGUUAUGCUAAGAUUUUCAUUGAGGAUAGAUUUUGGUUGCAUGGGGUACCAGUGUCCAUUAUAUCCAAUAGAGGUACGCAGUUUUCAUCUCAGUUCUGGAGAUCUUUUCAGAAGGGUUUAGGUACAUAAGUGAAUUUGAGCAUAGCUUUCCACCCUUAGAUAGAUGGGCAAGAUGAGUGUACCAUUCAGACCCUUGAGGAUAUGUUGAGGGCAUGUGUUAUUGAUUUCAAAGGGAGUUGGAUAGAUCAUCUGCCACUGAUUGAAUUUGCUUACAAUAAUAGUUAUCAUGUCAGCAUCAAGAUGGAUCCUUUUAAGGCUUUAUAUAGGAGGAGAUGUAGGUCUUCGAUAGGAUGGUAUAAAGUGGGUGAGACUCAGUUGUAUGAGCCUGAUCUUGUUCAUAAGGCGAUAGAGAAAGUGAAGAUCAUUAGAGAAUGACUCAAGACUGCUCAGAGUCAUCAGAAGUCCUAUGCCGAUGUUUGGAGAAGAGAAUUAGAGUUUGAAGUUGGUGAUUGGGUGUUUCUCAAGGUUUCUCCUAUAAAAGGAUUUAUGUGGUUUGGAAAAAGGAGUAAAUUGAGCCCUCGAUAUAUAGGGUCAUAUCAGAUUCUAAGAAAGAUUGGUGCAGUUUCUUAUGAGCUAGAAUUACCUGCAAGUUUGGGUUCCAUUCAUCCGGUAUUCCAUGUAUUCAUGUGAAGAAAUGCAUUGGAGAUCAUUCUUUGGUAUUGCCAGUAGAGGAUAUCAAAGUGACAGAUUCCUUGUCUUACGAAGAAGAGCCCAUUGAAAUUUUAGAUCGCCAAGUUUGAAAGUUGAGGAGCAAAGAGGUAGCCUCAGUAAAGGUAUUGUGGAGUAAUCAGAAAGUUGAAGAAGCAACUUAGGAGUCAGAAGAUGACAUAAGAAUUAGAUAUCCCAAUUUUUUUGCUUCGAUGGUUGAUGAUACAGAAGGUACUAUUCCUAUCUUAUCUUUCCUAGUCCUUAUUAUUCUUGAAAUCGUGUCUGUCUGUGUCCCGCAUCAUCAUUCAGGGACGAAUAAUCCUAAGGGGGGGAUAAUGUAACACCCUGUAUUUUGGGCUACAAUAUAGACCAUGAUUCUGAUGCAUUGAUAAUCCCGAAGCCAUAAUACUAUGCCACUAUGGCAUGUUAAUUAUUUGUGUAGUAUAUGAAUCCAUUCAAGCUUGAAUUUAGACCAUUAAGGUCCUUUGACUCUAGGGCGAGUCGAAAACUACUUCGAUCGAUUAAGUUUAAGUGGACAUUAUAAUUUGUGUCAACUUCUAUCAACCAUGACUCUUUGUAUAUGUCUAAUUAGAGAGCCUACUAUGUAUAAAAUGAUAGGUUUUGGAGUUAGCUUUCUAACGAUACCAAUUUUGCUAAAAUCCAGCAUUCGAGCAAGAAGUUAUGGCCUUUCAAAGUAGUAUGCGUCGACUAACCAAUCGCUCAUGGCCAUUGGAAAGCAUAUGCAAUAGCAUAUGCGGCGCCUAUGUAAACAUAGGCGAUAGCAUAGGCGGUGCCUAUGUAAACAUAGGUGACAUCAUAUGUGGCGCCUAUGUAAUGGUUUCAAGUGACUUAAACACUUCGUUUUUGGGACAAAAUGGUCCUUUUCCCACCCUUAUUCAGCCAUAAACACGACAUUCAGUCCCCAAUUCUCCAAAAUACAUCCACAUUCAUCUAAAAAUUCUCAUGUAUUAAAUGUUUUAACAUCAUUGUUUUGGUCUUUAGACCUUCCUCAAAGUGAUUUGAGAAUAUGAAUGUAUGAAAUCAUGUAUUUAAGAAUGAAUUCUUGUUGAGAGCAUGAUUUUUGGUGAAUUCCCUCUUAUUAUGAAUGUUUCAGAUUUCUCAUAGCAUAUGAAUUAUUUUGCAAUGCAUCCUUGAAAAGCACUAUAUGAAAUGAUUGAACUCUUCUUAUGAUUUUAAGGUGGUUUUAAAUCACUAAAGAUGGAAUCUAGCAUGCAUGUUUAAUAUUUACAAUGCAUGUAAUAAAAGAGUGCAUGUAUUUGCUAAAGGCACUAGACCACCAUAUGUUGAAGUUUUUGCAUGAUUUUGACUUGAGUUUCGAAACACGAAAUUUUUUAUAUCAGUUGCAUGUUUUUGGUGGUCUAAAUCAUGCUUUAAAUGAAAUAUUUAGCUUAGUAUAUUAUGGCUCAGAAAUCAUGAUUUGCAAGUCUUGGUAUGACGAUACAAAUUCAGACCAAUGCCAUAUCAGACUCAGACUAAUAGACAUUUCAGACUAUCAUGAUUUUAGACAUUCAGAAUGUUGCAUGUAUAGAAAAGGUUAAAAAUGAGCAUACAGAGAUGUUAGGUGGCUCCCUGAAGAGGGCUUGAGUUCAAGAAACUCAUUUUCUAGAACCGUGGUUUGUCGACCCAGGUAUAUUUUAUAUGCUAACUUAAGUGUCGUAUGGCGUAUCUAAUUUAGGAACUCCAACCCUUGAGGCACACUCGGGUUGGAGGCUUCCCCGAUGAGUCAGUGGUGGAUUCCAUAUUGCCCAUGGAAUAUCAAACUUGUAGGGGAUACCACCUAACUCAGAAGUAAUACACAGAUCAGAGUUUGAGAUUUACAGACAGGUUACAUAUUUUUAGAAGAUGCUCAUGUGUUUUCAGAAACUGUUUUGUGCAUAAUGUUUGAUGAAAAUUUGCUCUCACGUAUUAUAUAUAUAUAUAUAUAUGUAUAUGUUUAAUUACUCUAUUUUGGAUUUCUUCGCAUGCCAGUACAAUUGUGCUGAAACCCCCCCCCCCCCCCCCCCUCCUUUCUUUUUUUGUUGUACAUGCGUGUUUAGAUAAAUAGUAGUGAUUUCAUAUCAUAGACCGGAGUUUGUAGUGGUGAUCCUUCUAUGAUUUAGAAGGCCUGGUUAUUUCAUAUUACUACUAUUAUUUAGGUUUUGGUCUACUGGGGACCUUUUCCCAGCUUUCAAACAACUUUGAUUAGUUCAUGAUAGCGAUUUCGCAGACUGAGUCAGACAUUAUUAUUCAGAUAUAUUUUGGAUUUCAGUUUUUAGUAUUAUGAUCACAUUUAGAUUGACCAUGUUUCCGUAUUUGAUUUCUCUUUCCAUAUUACCUUUUAUCAUAUGAAUUAUGUGCAUGAUUACCAUAUUCAUAGAGAAGGGUGUUCCGGGCCUUCAUGGUUCGGGAUGAUCGUCAAGGCUAGGGCCCCGGCUUGGGUCAUGACCAUAUCUUUUUUGGAGUAAUCCGGCUUCAAGUCCAUCAUUUGGUAAUUGUAAUAUAUCGCUCAAAUACUCAUUAUAAGCGACAACAAAAGGACCACAAUCCCUGCUUUUUAAAUAAACAGAUGAUCCAUAUGUUGCAGUUCAUGUAAGCAUUGUGAAAUUUAUAAAAUGAGACUAAAUUAUGAUACUUAUACUUAGAAGCUACCAAUGAUUUUUUGGGAAAUUCCUUCAACAUAUUGUACAUCAAAUGGAUUACCUAUUUUAUCCCAAUAUGCUUCGAUCGUCAACCAAUCAGUACGAACCUUUUGGUCCAAAAAUCCACUCAUAUAUGUGUUAAUGUCAUGUUCUUACAACAAGAAUUGUAUAGAUCAAUAUCUUUAAAAUUGAUUUGUAUACCUACCGACAUGAUGCUUUAACAACCCAUUGGCAAUCCAUUCUGAAUAGUCAUUGAUCAACUUUGUUAGUUUUUUGGAGCCUCGUCCAAGAUGUUGAACCCUUCAAAUGGGUAAUUCUUUCAUUCUCCCAAACUAAUAUUCUCCAAUAUUUUUUCUUCUUUAGAAGCAAUUGUUGGAUUAUCAAUUGUGAUAUUGGGUAGUUCAACAGUAGCUUCUACUGUGACAUCAACCUAGAAAGCUAGAAUUGUUAAUGCUAAUUAUAGAUAUACAACAUAUUAUCUAUCUGUUGCCAUAGAUGAUUUUUUUGUUACAAUAUAUGGAUCAUUUGUUGGGACAAAUUCAAAUAGGUAAAAUAGAGCAGUACGAUAAUUUCGAAUAGAUGACCUAUUUGUUACAACAUAAGACUCAUUUGUUUGUACAAAUUAAAAUAGUAUGAAAACCUAUUUGAUUUUUUGAAACAGACAGACAUAUAUUACAACAGCUAACGCAUCUGAUGCAACAUGUUAGAAAAUAGUUGCAACAGAUUUAUAUAUCUAUUUGAUCAUUUUAAACAGAUGUAUCAUCUGCUAAAAUAGAUAUGUGCCUAUUUGUUUGUUGGAACAAAAGAUAUAUAUUCACCUUCUUCAGCUCAUGCUGCUCUUCUGUGACCCUUGUACAUUGAACAGUGGUGUAAGAUAAAGAUAGAAGAUUUACAAUUCUAGUAACAGACAGUAGCUCCAAAAUAAGCAAGUUCGUGUUUGAGGUAUCAGAGAGUGUGGUUAAGGAGUGUAGAACUACGCUAUUGAUUAAAUAGAUGGACAUAUCCAAGCUCAUGCUCCAUAUUCAGUAGAUUAAAGAGGCUAAGAAUAAGGAGGGAGAGAGGGAGAAUAAGGGAGCUAGAAUAGGUAGCUUUAAUUUCACUCAGCCUAAGUCAGAAGGGGGUAACCAUUCCCAGUUCCAUCCAAAGUCUUCAAUUUCAACUCCGUCCUCAGCCAGUUCUCCAGUUUCUAAGAUAAAAAACCAAGCUCUAAAUUGCAAGGUAGUGUCAGCAGUGCUUGAACGAAUCUUCUUUCUUAGAAAUGUGGAAGAAACCAUCAGGGUGUCUGCAGGGCUAGCAGUGAUGUUUGUUUCGGUUGUGGCAGCCAGGCCAUAAAAUUAGAUACUAUCCCCAUUCAGGUUCCCAGGGUUAGUACAAUCAUCCUUCAGCUCAGUUUGAUUUUCCAAAUUAGUAGGGUAAUGCUUCCAGUGCCACCAGUGGGCAACGCCCAAAUAUGCUCUAUGCACUUUAGUCCCGACAAGAUUAGGAAAGUUCUCCUGACCUGGUCACUGGUAUGUUAUAGAUCUUCCACUUAUGUUUUUAUGCCUCAUUAGAUCUAGGAACUUCUCUAUCUUUUGUAACUCCAUACAUAGCAGUCAACUUUAAGGUCAAACUAGAAAUCCUAAUAGAACCCUUCUCAGUCUCUACCCAAUAGGUCAGUCUAUCAUAGCUCGACGAGUACAUAGGAACUGUUCGGAUAUGAUAUCUCAAAAAGUCACUUCUGCAGAUUUAGUAGAGUAAGAGAUUAUGGAUUUCAACAUCAUUCUCAACAUGGAUUGGCUCCAUUCAUGCCAUGCCUCAGUUGACUGUAGAAACAAAAUUAUUCAUUUUCAGUUUCUAAAUGAACCAGUCCUUGAAUAAAGGGGUAGUACUAGGGUGCUUAAAGGUCAGUUGAUUUCAUACCUUAGAGAGAGAAAAAUGAUAUCCAAUGGAUAUGUCUAUCAUCUGGUGCGAGUCAAAGACUCUAGUUCAGAGACUCCUAGUCUUGAGUUAGUUUCAGUUGUAAAUGAAUUCUCAGAUGUGUUUCCCGAAGAUCUUCCUGGAGCUCCUCCCAAAAGGGAAUCAACUUUGAAAUAGACCUUCUUCCAGGUACUCAGCUUAUAUCUAUUCCGCUAUACAGAAUGGCACCAGCUAAACUUAGCGAGUCAAAAGAACAAUCAAAGGACCUUUUAUACAAAGGAUUCAUCAGACCUAACAUUUCUUCGUGGGGUGCACCAGUCUUAUUCGUACGAAAGAAAGACAAUUCUCUCAAAAUAUGUAUAGACUACCAUCAGUUGAACAAAGUUACGAUCAAGAAUAAAUGCCCACUUUCUAGAAUUGAUGACGUGUUUGACCAACUUUAGGGUGUUAAUUAAUUUUCUAAGAUAGACCUCAGAUCAGGCUAUCAUCAACUCAGAGUAAGAGAAUGUGACAUUCCAAAAAUAGCUUUCUGAACCCUGUAUGGUCACUUUGAGUUUCUAUUCAUGUCCUUUGGUCUCAUUAAUGCCCCAGCAACCUUCAUGGACUUAAUGAAUCACGCGUUCAAUCAGUACUUGGACAUUUUAGUUAUAGUCUUCAUCGAUGACAUUCUUUUCUAUUCCUGUAGCAAGAAUGAUCACAUAAAUCACCUCAGAAUAGUAUGUUAGACUCUUAGAGCCCAUCAGUUGUUCACUAAAUUUAGCAAGUGCAAAUUUUGUCUAAGGUCAGUAGCCUUUCUUGGUCAUAUUAUUUUCGGUGAUGGCAUUAGAGUUAAUCCUCAAAAGACCGAGGCGGUGAGAAACUAGCUUAAACCCAUUUCUCCAUCAGAUAUCAGGAGUUUCUUGGAUUUAGCUGGCUAUUACCAUGAGUUUAUUGAAGGGUUUUCAUCUAUUUCAUCCCCCACGUACAGAUUGACUCUAAAGAAAGCUAAGUUUUAGUAGUCAGGUUCUUAUGAGAAGAGUUUUCAGGAGUUAAAGACUCGACUCACUACAACCCCAGUUCUAACAUUACCAGAUGGUUCAUAUGGGUUUUUCAUGUACUGUGAUGCAUCCAGAGUACGUUUGGGUUGUGUCCUCAUGUAGAGAGGUAAGAUCAUAGCCUAUGCCUCUAGAUAGCUUAAGCCCCAUGAGAAGAAUUACCCUACUCAUGAUGUUGAGUUAGCAGUUGUAGUAUUUUCCUUAAAGAUUUGAAGGCAUUAUGUAACGCCCUGAGUCUGUACCCCGAACACUACAUGAUGCUCAUAAUCCGCAAGGACCACAAGCAAAACCAUGGCUGGUUCCUACUGUAAUAACUGAAUAACAAUAAUACUAAAAUAUGCAGAAAUCAGGCAGAAAACUGGCCAUAAGGUUCAAUACUAUAAAUAAUAUUGAAUAUGAUAUCACAAUACCAAAUCUGAACAUCAAUACUGAAAACUAAACAACUGUCUGACAAUACUCUAGUUUGAAAAGUCUCUAAACUAUAUGAACUGUGGAGUUGGUGGGACAAAUCCCCAACUAACUCCGACUACUAAAAAUGAACUGAAAUACUGAAAUAAAUAAUCAUAUCCUCGAACUAUGAGGACUCACCACUAACUCUGUAUGCUGAGAGUCUGAACUUCUAAGGGUGCUCGGGAGCCCGUGUGUCUGAACCUAUGAUAUAAGAUAUCAUAGCACAAAAGAAAAACAUGCGGCAGUACAUUGAAUGUAUUGGUAUGCUCAGUGAGGUAGGCUAAAAUGUGUGGGUUCAUAUGCAUGAACAAUACUAACUGAAUAUCAUGAGUAUGAUUGAAUGAGAGUACAUGCAUGAAUAUGUAAACGGGACUGAGAUCAUAAUAAUACCGAAUACUGGAUUACUGGUAACUGAAUGACUGAAUCUGACAGUCUUAAUUUUGUGGAACUAUACUGAGUCUCCUACUGAACUGAGUGACUGUAACUGAUAGUCCUGAAUCUGCGGAACUGAACUGAGUUCCAUACUAAGACUGAAUCUGAAACUGAGACUAUAGGAAGUAAUCAUCUAACUGAUAUUCCCUCCAUCUAACUGAUUUAGGGUCCAACCUAUAACCCCAUUUGAAAGAGUUACAAUACCGUACCACAGGUAAGGAAAAGUGCUGAGUCACUCUCAUAUGGCAGGUACUCUGAACGACAAUGGUGGUACCCUCAACUGACAAGUAUAUCACCUCAUAAACCCUCAAAUGGCAGGUUAAUGUCUCAACCUUGGUAGCUUCAUAAUUCUGGAAUACAAGGACUACUUCUAAGGAUUUCACCCUCUACUGGCAGGUGAGUCCCCAUCCAUAGGUUCACUCGGUGCUGAAUUUUACUCCUAACUGAAUAGACACUGGACUGAAUUCUAAACUAUGCUAGGCUAGACUGGACUGUUACUAAUCGUACUGUAUAAAUAAACUGAACUGAGUUCACCGAGUUCUGUGGAUUGACGAAAUACUACUAAAUUAUGUUAACUAACUGAGUACUACUGAGUCUUUUUUAAGUUCUCUAACUGACUAAAUUCUACUAAUUGAGACAUGACUAAUUUCACUCUAUGACUGACCAUGGCUCUAGACAAGCAGCUAAGUUGUCGGGUAUUAAAGGCCCCCAGGACUCGAUAGCAUAAACUUAAAAGACAUGACAUACACUUGAGACGUGGUAAUUAUCUACUUAGUCAUCAUUCAUUAAUUUGGGCAUACAAGCAAACACUUGUAUGACAUGAACUUGCAUACAUGCUAACAUGAUAUAAUCUCACUAUUCAACUCACAUGGACAAUUCAUCAAACACUUAUGGGGCAUAAUAUAUGUACCUAAUACUAACACAACAUGUAGGCAUCAUGAUUCAAUUUCAAUUAAAUAAUUCCAAGAGUUUCAACACAGAUUCACAUGAUAAAGGACACAUAUCAAUUAACUCUACAUGAAUCUUUGAAUAAAUCAUGAAUACACUUUAAUUCAAAUCAUGAAAAUCAUGAAAUCACUCUACAUGAACUUUAAAAGAGUUUCUUGGACUCCAAGGUUGGAAGGAACCCUUGGAUGAACACUUCACAUACCUUAGUUGAUGAAUUUCUGAAAGCAAAUGGUGAGUUCUUGAGAUCUUGAUUUGAAAUUUGAACGCCUAGGGUUUUUGAGUAAUUUGUGAAAGAAUGAAUAUAGUUUCUCUCCAAAGGUUUUAAUUUCGUGUUUUGGGGGUUAAAGGGCAUGGGAAAAAGUCCUAAUUAACCCUAAGGACACAGCCUUUUAAUGUCUAUAAACUAUGUUACUGAUGCACAGGCCGACGCCAACGUACAACGUCGAGUCCAUGUCAGUUUACUAGAAUUUGCACUGAAGAUGGGGAAAAACUAUCUUAUAGAUGCGAUGGUCAAUGUGACACAUUGAGAUCGCGUCGACCCACUAUUUUGGGUACUCAAACAUGAUCUAAACAAGGUUUGAAAAAUCCAAAACUUGUCUGGAAACACCUAUUGACAUUCCUGAUCAUGAACUAACUCAAAUAUCAAUAUUUAAUGGAUGUAAAGGUCACGAAAUAAGAUUUUCAACUUUUGAAGGCUAAAAUAACACUAAGUCUGAAUACUUAGCUAGAAUUUUCUAAGUCUGGGAUCCCACCCCCUAGCAAGCUUAAAGGACUAAAUUAAGCUAAGAAUUUUGCGGGGGUUUUACAAUUUCUCCCCAUUGGAAAUAUUCAUUCUCGAAUGAGACUGACUAAGCUGAGAGGACUAGUAGACUGAACUUACUAAACAUGGACACCUAAAACAUGAUUAUCUGACUAGCAUUACUGACAUACUAAAUUUCAUACUAAACAUGCAUGUCUAAUGCAUAAAUACAUGACUGAUCUAACUCAUAACAUAUGACUGAAUAUGCAAUGGUAACUGAUACCAAGAUGGUAAUGGAAAAUUUGAACAUGAGACUGAAUAAGCUUAAGGAAGACUAUUACCUUGAGCUGAAUCUGAGUUUACGGAGAAGAGGAGAGGAUAGUUGGUUCGCAUAUCUUCUUCUGCUUCUCAAGUAGCUCCCUCAACGGACUGAUUUUGCCAAAGAACUUUGACUAGAGGGACUUCUUUGUUCCUCAUUCUACGAAUCUGAUAAUCAAGGAUUUUGACUAGAAUCUCUUCGUAAUAUACGCUAUUCUGAACAUUUAUGACCUCUAUGGGGACUACAGCUGAUGGGUCACCUAUGCAUUUCUUUAGCAAGGAGACAUAAAACACUAAAUAGACUGAAGAUAGAUCUGAAGGCAACUCAAACUCAUAAGCUACCUUUUUGAAAUAACGGAGAAUUCGGUAAGGACCGACAUAUCGGGGACUAAGCUUUCCCUUCUUUCCAAAAUGCUUUAUUCUUUUCAUAGAAGAUAUUUUCAAGUACAUAAGGUCUCCAAUCUAAAACUCAAGAUCCUUUUUAUACAUAUCUGUAUACGAUUUUUGUUGGCUCUGAGCCCUCUUAAGCCUUUCCCUGAUCAACUGAACUUUCUCUAAGGUAUCAAAUACCAAGUCAGGCCCUACCACUGUGGCCUCACCCACUUCAAAUCAAACAAUGGGAGAUCUAUACCUUGACCCAUAAAGCACCUCAAAUAGAGCCAUCUGAAUACUGGAAUAAUAGUUGUUGUUGUAUGCAAAUUCAAUCAAAGGAAAGUGGUCUGAAUCUGAAUAGUCCUUUCUUCUUGACCAUCUAUCUAAGGAUGAAAGGUUGUAAUGAGGUAAACUUGGGUACCAAGACCCUUUUAGAAUGCUUUAUAGAAAUGAGAGACGAACUGGAUACCCCUAUCUGAGAUGAUGGACAAUGAAACACCGUGCAAUCUGACAAUGAGAGGUGAACUGGAUACCCCUUUUACAAGAAUCUAGUACCUCAAGUCAUCUAUGACUGGCAUACAUAGUUGACCCUGAAAACGCAAAACACCAUCUCCCUCUUAGGAGAAAAUCUCUACCUUCUGAUCUCUGACUAAUUCUUUCAACUUGACCAGACUGGGAUCUCUAUCCUACUUUUCCUUCACUUCAGAAACUAGGGAUGAUUUUGAACUACUCUGCACCCAUACACUACCUUCUAUUGAAUUGACUAAGCGAACACCUAGUCGGGCUAGCUGAUGAACUUCCUGAGCUAACUUCUUCUUACUGUCCUCGACAUGAGUAAUACUACCUAUAGACAUUCUACUGAGAGCUUCGGCCACUACAUUGGCCUUGCCCGUAUGGUACAAAACACUCAUGUCGUAGUCUUUCAACAACUCCAACCACCUUUUCUGAUGAAGGUUUAGUUAUUUUUGAUAGAAUACAUACUGUAGGAUCUUAUGGUUAGUGAACACAUCAACAUGCACUCCAUACAAAUAGUACCUCCAAAUCUUUAAGGCAAACACUAGUGCUGCUAGCUCAAGAUCAUGAGUAGCAUAGUUCUUCUCAUGAGGUUUAAGUUGCCUAGAGGCAUAGGUUAUGAGCCUACCUUUUUGCAUCAUGACAAACCCCAAGCAAACUCUGGAGGCAUCACAAUACACCACAAAGUUGUCUAAACCAUCUGGUAAGAUCAAAACUGGAGCUGUAGUGAGUUGAGUCAUUAACUCCUGAAAAUUCUUCUCACAAAAAUGUAACCACUGGAAUUUGACUUUCUUUUGAGUCAAUCUAGACAUAGGGGAUAUAAUAUGCGAAAAUCCCUAAAAAAAUCAUCGAUAAUAGCCGACCAAACCCAAGAAAAUCCUGAUAUUUAAUGGACAGAUGGGCCUAGUCCAAUUUCUCUCUACUUUGGUCUUUUGGGGAUCAACUCUAAUGCCAUCACCAAAAAUGAUAUGACCGAGGAAAGCUACUGACCUUAGCCAAAAAUUGCACUUACUAAAUUUGGUGAAUAACUGAUGAUUUCUAAGAAUCUGUAAUACUAUUCUUAGAUGGUCUGCAAGAUCAUGUUCACUACGGGAGUAAACGAGAAUGUCAUCUAUAAAGACUAUGACAAAUAUUUCUAAGUAUUGCUUGAAAAUGUGGUUCACCAAGUCUAUAAAAAUUGUUGGGGCAUUGGUAAGACCAAAGGACAUGAAUAAGAAUUCAAAGUGACCAUACCAAGUUUUGAAAGCUAUUUUCGAGAGGUCACACUCCCCGACUCUGAGAUGAUGAUAGCCUGAUCUGAGGUCUAUCUUAGAGAAGUAACUAGCACCCUAAAGUUAGUCAAACAAGUCAUCAAUUCUAGGAAGUGGAUACUAGUUCUUCACCAUGACUUUAUUUAACUGACAACAGUCAAUACACAUUCUGAGAGAACCAUCUUUCUUACGCACGAAUAAAACUAGUACACCCCACGGGGACACACUAGGUCUAAUAAAUCCCUUAUUUAGGAAAUACCUUAACUGCUCUUUUAAUUCUUUGAGUUCUGCUGGAGCCAUUUUGUAUGGCAGAAUAGAUAUGGGCUAAGUAUCUGGAAAAAGAUUGAUUCUAAAAUCAAUUUCCCUUUCGAGAGGAACUUCGGCAAGAUCGUCAGGAAAUACAUCUGGCAAUUUACAUGCUACUGACACUGACUCAAGAGUAGGGGUUUUUGAACUAGAGUCCUGGACUCGAACGAGAUGGUAGACACAUCCCUUAGAUAUUAUUUUUUUAUCCCGAAAGUAAGAAACAAGCUGACCCUUAAGUGUCGAAGUACUACCCCUCCACUCUAAGACAAUUUUAUUCAGAAACAGAAACUAGACAAUUCUAUUUCUAAAAUUGACUAAGGCAUAGCAGGAAUAAAGCCAAUCCAUGCUGAGAAUGACAUCAAAAUCAGUCAUCUAUAAUUUAACUAAGUUUGCUGAAGUGAUUUUUUGAGAUAUCAUAACCGGACAGUUCCUAUAUACCCACUGGGCUAUGAUAGAUUUACCCACUGGGUAUAGACUAAAAAAGGCUCUGUUAGGAUUUUGGGACUACCUCCGAAAUUGAUAGUUAUAUAAGGAGUAACAAAGGACAAAGAAGCUCCUGGAUCUAGCAAAGCAUAAAUAUGCAAAUAGAAAACUUGUAACAUACCAGUGACUACAUCAGGAGAACUCUCCUGAUCCUAUCAGGAUUGAAGAGCAUAGAGUCUCUUUGUCCAUUGCCCACUGGUGGCACUGGAAGCAUCACCCUACUGAUUUGGCGAUCGAACUCAGUUGGGGGACAAUUAUUCUGACCUUGAAAAUCUAACUGGGGAUAAUCUCUGACUCUGUGUCCUAGCUUGCCAUACCUAAAAUAGACAAUGCUACCCGCUCUAUAGAUACCCUGGUGAUUUUUGCCAUAUUUCUGAUAAAGGAGAUUGGUUUGGGCACUGCUAACAUGCCCUGGGGUUUAGGGCCUAGUGCCCUAUCCCUAUUGCCAUCUCUAAAUUUCAGUACAAGAGCACUGGCUGAGAACGGAGCUGGGACUAAAGAUUUUGGGCAGAACUGAGAAUGAUUCCCACUCUCUGGCUUAGGCUGAGCGAAGUUAAAACUACCUGUUCUUGCUCUCUUUCUCUCCCUCUCUUUCUCUUUCUUCUUGGCCUUCUCUAUCUUUUGAGUAUGGACCAUGAGCCUGGAUAUGUCUAUCUCCUUAAUAAGAAUUGCGGUCCUACACUUCUUGACCAUGCUGCUAGACACCCCUGACACAAACUUACUCAUUCGAGAUAUAUUGUCUGCCACCACAUGAGGAGCAUAUCUAGAUAAUUAAGUAAACUUGAGAGAAUACUCUUUCACUAUCAUAUUUUCCUACUUUAGAUUGAUAAAUUCCAGAACCUUUACUUCCCUCAACUCCAGUAGGAAAAACCUACCCAGAAAAGCAAUGGCAAAUUUCUCCCACUCUAUGAGCCCUGCAUCUAUGUCCUUCUUUGCCUUCCACUAGUUAAACCAUGAGUGAACCACAUCCUAUAACUAAUAUGCGGCCAACUCAGCCCUCUCAACAGUAGUAACCCCCAUAAUAUCAGUAACUUUCUUUACCUAAUCAAGAAAUCCCUGAGGUUUCUCAUCUGACUUAGACCUGGUAAAUAAUAGAGGGUUCAUUCAGGUAAAGUCCUGAAUCCUGGCAGUAGCAGUAUUGCCUACUGGGUUUUCCAGAAUAGCAGCUGGCCAUUCAUUUUAGGCUACCACAGAAUGAGAUAAGGUGGUGAAGGCUGCUCUAAACUAAGCAUAGAAGAUGUAUUCGUCCAGUGGAUCUGGCUGGAUGGGCUGGGGUUCUAGCUAGUCUCUUGUUUCUCUUCCCUUAGUCCUCUUUGGAGGCAUAUUUUUGUAAAUAGAAUAGAAAAAAUUAGACUGAGAGUUUAUCUGGAGCUCAUGCUCACUUACACGACAUGAAUACUAAAAGAAGGGAAACUUUUCCUAAAACACCUCGUAGCCUCCUAUCCAUAAAUAUGGCACGCAAUACACCCAUCCACAAGACUCUACUAGAUAUGGAUUUCAGACUUCCUAGGACUCUAUUAAACCUUAGGAUCUUAUACCAAGUUUGUAAUACCCUGAGUCUGUACCUCAAAUGCUAUACGAUGAUCAUAAUCCUAAAGGACCACAAGCUAACCCAUAAUUAGUACCUAUUGUAAUAAUUGAAUAACAAUAAUACUGAAAUAUACAAAAAAAUCAGGUGAAAAAUUGGCCAUACUGUUCAAUUCUAUAAAUAAUACUGAAUAUGGUAUCACAAUACCAAAUCUAAACAUCAAUACUGAAAACUGAACAACUAUCUAAAAAUACUCUAAUCUAAAAAGCCUCUAAACUAUAUGAACUGUGGAGUUGAUGGGACAAGUCCCAAAGUAACUUCGACUAAUAAAAAUAAACUGAAAUACUGAAAUAAAUAAUCACAUCCUCAAACUAUGAGGACUCACCCUAACUUUGUAUGUUGAGAGUCUGAACUGUUAAGGGUGCUAGAGAUCCUGUACGUUUGAACCUAUGAUAUAAUACAUCAUAGAACAAAAGAGAAAAAAGCGCCAGUACUUUGAAUGUAUCGGUAUGCUCAGUGAGGUAGACUGAAAUAUGUGGGUUCAUAUGCAUGAACAAUACUAACUGAAUAUCAUGAGUAUGACUGAAUGAGAGUACAUGCAUGAAUAUAUAAACUGUACUGAGAUCAUAAUAAAACUGAAUACUAGGUUACUGGUAACUGAAUGACUGUAUCUGGCAGUCUUGAUUCUGUGGAACUAUACUGAGUCCCGUACUGAGCUAAGUGACUGUGCCUAACAGUCCUGAAUCUGCGUAACUGAGCUGAGUUCCAUACUAAGACUGAAUUUGAAAUUGAGAUUGUGGGAAGAAAUCAUCUAACUGAUAUGCCCCUUAUCAAACUAAUUUAGGGUCCAACCUAUAACCCUAGUUGGAAGGGUGUCAAAAUCAUUCUACAAGUAAGAACAAGGUUGAGUCACCCUCAUCUGGCAGGUACUCUGAAUGAAAAUGGUAGUACCCUUAACUGGCAGGUAGAUCACCUCAUCAACCCUCAACUAGCAAGUUGAUGUCUCAACCUACGUUGGCUAUGUAUUUAUGGAACACAAGGACUACUUUUAAGGAUUUCACCCUCUACUGGCAGGUGAGUGCCCAUCCUUGGGUUCACUCGAUACGGAAUUCUACUCCCAACUGAAUAGACACUGGACUGAAUUCUAAACUAUACUAGGCUAGAUUGGACUAUUUCUGAUCGUACUAUAUAACUUAACUAAACUAAGUUCAUUGAGUUUUGUGGACUGAUGAAAUACUACUGAAUUCUGUCAAUUGACUGAGUACUACUGAGUCUUUCUUGAGUUCUCUAACUAACUGAAUUCUACUAAUCGAGACAUGACUGAUUCCACUCUGUAACUGACCAUGGCUCUAGACAAGCAGCUAAGUUAUUAGGUAUUAAAUAUCCUAGGACUCGAUAGCAUAAACUUAAAAGACAUGGCAUAAUCUUGAGACAUGGCAAUUAUCUACUUAGUCAUCAUUCAUUCAUUUGGGCAUUCAAGAAAACACUUGCAUGACAUGAACUUGCAUACAUACUAACAUGAUAUAAUCUCACUAUUCAACUCAUAUGGACAAUUCAUAAAACACUUGUGGGGCACAAUAUAUGCACCUAAUACUAACAUAACAUGUAGGCAUCAUGAUUCAAUUCCAAUUACACAAUUCCAAGAGUUUCAACAUGGAUUCAUAUGAUAAAUCACACAUAUCAAUUAACUCUACAUGAAUCUUUGAAUAAAUCAUGAAUAUACUUUAAUUCAAAUCAUGGAAAUCAUAAAAUCACUCUAUAUGAACUUUAAAAAAAAUUCUUGGACUCCAAGGGUUGAAGGAACCCUUGGAUGAACACUUCACAUACCUUAGUUGAUGAAUUUCUAAAAGUAAAUGGUGAGUUCUUGAUUUGAAAUUUGAACACCUAGGGUUCUUUUUCUUGAGCAAUUUGUGGAAGAAUGAAUAUAGUUGCCCUCCAAAGGGUUUAAUUUCAAAUUUGAGUGAUGAAGGGCGUGGGAAAAAAGACUUAAUUAACCCUGAGGACAUGGCCUUUUAAUACCUGUAAACUGUGUUACCGAGGUGCAGGACAACGUGCCAUGUCAUUGGCAUUGACGCUAUACCCAAUGCAUCGCAUCAAGUCUGUAUCGGUUCACUGGAAUUUACUCUGAAGCGGGGGAAAUACUAUCUUAUCACUGGAAUUGGGCUCUCAAACAUGAUCUAAAAGAGGUCUAAAAAAUCCAAAACUUAUCCAAAAAAAACAUAUUGACAUUCUUGAUCAUGAAUUAACUCAAAUAUCAAUAUUUAAUAGACGUAAAGGUCGCGAAAUAAGAUUGCCAACUUUUGAAGGGUAAAAUAACACUAAGUCUAAAUACUUAGCUAGAAUUUUCUAGGUCUGCGACCCCCCCUUAGCAAGCUUAAAGGAAUGAAUUAAGCAAAGAAUUUUGCGGAAUUUUUUAUACACUAUUUAUAUGGGGUGCAUAUAGAUGUGUUCAUAGAUCACAGAAGCUUGCAGUAUGUGUUCUCUCAGAAAGAUUUAAAUUUACAAUAGAGAAAAUGGUUGAGUUGUUGAAAGAUUAUUAUGAUGGUUAGAGUUGUUGAAAGAUUAUGAUAUGAGUGUCUUGUAUCAUCCGGGCAAGGCCAAUAUAGUGGAAUAUGCUCUUAGUACGUUAUCCAUGAAUAGUGUUUCUCAUGUUGAAAAUGAUAAGAAAAAGUUAGUUUAGGAAUUUCAUCAGCUUUCCAGACUAGGUAUCUGCUUAGUUGACUCAGUAGAGGGUAGUGUGUGGGUGCAGAAUAGUUCAAAAUUAUCUCUGGCUUUCAAAGUAAAGGAAAAAAAGGACAGAGAUCCCAGUCUAGUUAAGCUGAAAGAGUCAAUCAGAGAUCAAAAAGUAGAGGUUUUUUCCAAGGGGGAGAUGGUGUGUCGCAUUUCUAGGAUCGGUUAUGUGUGCAAGGUUUAGAUGACUUGAGGCAACGAAUUCCUGCAAAAGCGCAUGGUACGUGUUACUCUAUUCAACCAGGGGCCACUACGAUGUACCAUGAUUUGCGAGAGAUCUAUUAGUGGAGUGGGACGAAGAAAAAUAUUAAAGAGUUUGUAGCUAAGUGUGCUAUAUGUCAGCAGGUUAAGAUUGAGUAUCAGAAGCCUAGUGGGUCUAUGUAGGAGUUCAGUAUUCCCAAAUGAAAAUAGGAAGAGGUGAACAUGGACUUUAUGAUGGGUUUGACUCAUACUCGUCAUCAACAUGAUUUGAUUUGGGUUAUCGUAGAUAGGUUGACCUAAUCCACUCAUUUCUUGCCAGUUCAUACUUUCUAUUCAGUCGAGAACUACGACAAACUCUAUAUCAAGAGUUGGUUAGGUUAAACGGAGUCCCAGUAUCCAUUAUUUUUUAUAGAUAUACCCAAUUUACCUCGCACUUCUGGAAAGAAUUCCAAAAGGGUCUUGGUACCUAAGUUCACCUCAAUACAACUUUUUACCCUCAGAUGAAUGGUCAAGUAGAAAGGACCAUUCAGACUCUAGAAGAUAUGUUAAAAGCAUGUGUGGUCGAUUUUAAAGGUAUUUGGGAUAACCACUUGUCUUUGAUUGAAUUUAUAUAUAAUAAGAGUUAUCAUUCCAGUAUUUAGAUGGUUUCAUUUGUGGGUAUUUAUGGUAGGAGAUGUAGAUCUCCAAUUAGUUGGUUUAAGGUAGGUGAGGCUAUAAUGGUAAGGCUUGAUUUAGUAUUUGAUGCCUUAAAGAAGGUUCAGAUGAUCAAAGAAAGGCUUAGUGCAUCCUAGAGCCGAAAAAAAUCAUAUAAAGAUAUGAGGAGAAAAGAUCUCGAGUUUGAGGUUGGCGAUUUUAUGUUCUUGAAAAUAUCUCCCAUGAAGGGGUGAAGAGGUUUGGCAAGAAGGGAAAGCUCAUUCCCCGAUAUGUUGGUUCUUACAGAAUUCUCAAUUGUUUUGGAAAGGUAGCUUACGAGCUUGAGUUGCCUUCAAAUCUAGCUUCAGUACACCCAGUAUUCCAUGUCUCCUUGCUAAAAAAAUGCAUUGGUGACCUAGAAGUCAUAGUUCCUUUAGAGAAUGUAAAUAUCCAGAAUGAUCUUUUUUUGUAGAGGUUCUAGUCUAAAUUCUCGAUCGUCAUAUUCGUAGACUGAGGAACAAAGAAAUUUCCUUGGUCAAAGAUCUUUGGCGAACUCAGUCCAUUGAGGGAGAUACUUGGGAAGUAGAAGCAGAUAUGCAGACCAAGUAUCCUCUCCUAUUCUCCACAAACUCAGACUCAGUGUGAGAUAACAGUCAUCCUUAGAUUUACUCAGUCCCAUGUUCAGUUACAGCUAUAAAUUUGGUAUUCAUUACCGUUGCAUAUCAUCUUCAUGACUGUCAUGCAUUCAUGAAUCAGUUCAGCCAUGUACUCAUGCAUAAGAUAUGCAUGUUCAGUAAAAAACUCAGCUUAUCAGUAGUUUCAGUCAUGUAUUCCAUGCUUCAUUUGUGCAUGUUUAGUAUGUAAACUCAGUAUAUCAGUAUUUCUCAGCUUAAGUCUCAUUUGAGGAUGAAUGUUCCCAAGGGGGAGAUAUUGUAAUAUCCCAUAUUUCUCUAUCUUAAUUUAACUCUCAGUAUAUGAUAACGCUCAAACUACACUCUUGAAUGGGUGUAAGCGAUCAUUGUCAAUAUAAAAUCCAACUAGGUUGAGGUCGAAUCCUACAGGGAAUAGGGUGUGAACUUCGGGUUGUUUACGAAAUAAUUUACUGGUAGUUUACUGUUUCCGAAAAUAGGGUUUAAGUUUCAUAAAGAGUCAAUUUUCACUUCUGAAUUUAUUAUUUGUAACCAAGAUUUUAUGAAAUAACAAGAUUAUGUUCAAUAAGGCAUAUGGUACAUGACAGAUAGAAAAAUUUACUCAAGGUUCUCACGGUAGUUAGGAUGACAAUCUAUCUUUAUCGAUGGUAUGCUCAAAUGUCUCUGGACCUAUUCAAGCGUCUAAUUUCCUAAUCCUCUCGGACUUAGGGAAUUGCUUAUCACUAUACAGAUUUUACCUCAGGUUAAUCAACCUUGUUACAGCUGAUUAUUAAAUGAAGUCUUUUCAAGUCCCUAUUGAUAACUCACUUCCAACUGCUAUGAUUUCUUUCUCAAGCAAACCAAAGUAGGUAUGCCUAUUGUUUGCAACCAACAUACAUAAAUUAUAGUCUCAGAGUUAUCAAGAAAUCCUAACACCUAUUAAACCUUGAAUAAUUAAUUUAUCACCUUAUCCUGACCUAACCCUGGAUUCAAUAAUCUAGGUUAAAAGAGUUUAACUACUCAUGACGCAUGAAAUAAGUAUGCAAUUUGAAUACAUAACUGAAAGGAUUAACUUACAAUGAUGAAUGAAAUUAAAAGUGAACUUGUAUUUGAAUCACACGACAAAACAUUGAAAUAUUAUUCUUAAGAUAGGGAGGAAAGAAUAUCAUUUUUUCUCCUUAAUAAUAGAUGAUUCAUUGUCUGGUGGAUGGUAAUAAAAACCCUCAAACAAGUCUUUAAAUAGUCAAACCUAAAUAAGGAAAUAAAAUUAAAAUUUAUGAUUUUCUUCGGAAUAGGUGAUGACGUGUCAGACGUCUGACGGUGUGUGCAAGAUGUUGUCAAAGUUUUCAGUCAAUUGCUAUCUUUUGAUUCUUCGGACGGCAAAUCUGACGACGUGUCAAAAAUGUGACGGCGCGUGAAAAAUGUCAUCACAUCUUCACUGGAAAUCAGCAUAAUUUGCCUCAGGUUGACGGUAAUUUUGAUGCCUUGUCACAGAUUUGACAGCGCUUCCAAAAUGUCAUCAUAUUUCAUCUCAACUCCUCAGGUUCUGUCUAAGCUUAACGGCAACUUUGACAGCUUAUUCCAUGUCUGAAGGCGCUUCAGAAAUGGCAUCAACUACACUUUAGCUUAUUUGCACCAGAUUUUAGCUGAUUUAUUCUUCUUUUAUUUGGUUUCCUCCCCAAUCACUUGUAUUUGCAUUAAAAAAAUAAAAAUAAUCAGAUACAACAAAAUUUGCUUAAGACUUCGCAAUUAUUCUAGGUUAAAGGCCUUAAAUGUGUUCGCAAUUGCACACACAUCAACACCCUCAACUUAGAGCAAUUGCUUGUCCUCAAGCAACUUAAUCUAACUAUGUAAACACAUAGCACAUUCAGCACGCAUAGCUCAACACAAAGUUAUCCUUUCAAUGCCAAACCAAUGUGCAUAUCAUUGAAAAACAGUACUGUAACACAAAGGAAUCAAGCGGCAGCAUCAAUCUUGGCCGCAAUAACCAUUCACAUAUCAAUGCCACAUUGUCUAAACAAGCAAGUAGCUCGUGACAAUACCUGCAUGCCCUCAUAACAAAGAAAUCCCCUCUUCUCAUACAAGAAAUCCAACAAUACAAAUUGGGGUUUAUCACAAGACUCUCACUCUCAAAAGAAAGUUCCAGUCAGUGUAUGCAAAGUACCAUAGGCUUGCCCUUAUUUUCGUUACCAAAAUCCUCAGAUAGGGUAGCUAGAAUCACUAUAGGACUUCUUUUAGGCUUGUAAUAUGGUUUGGAGCUAGUAUGAUAUUAAAGGUUAUUUAGAGUGACUAUGCCUUAUUGACACUAUACUUCUUUCUUGGGCUCACUAAUUAUCCUCUUUCGUUUCUCCUCUUCUCUUGAUUAUCCAUAUUCAAGUUGGGUGCUGCAGCAACCACUUUUUUUUAGCAUUAUUAGCACCCAGAUUUUGUUCAUUCUCUUUUAUUACACCAUUCUUCAUACUACUCAUCUUACACAUACACCCCUAUGAUAGCCACCCUCAACUUAGGUUGUUUGCCUAGAUCAAGGUUCUUAGUGUCCAAGAAAGCCCAUGGGUAAACAGGUUUAUUACGGUAUAAAUGGGAAGGUGAAAGGUGUCAUACAUAAGAACUGGUCAAGCUAGGCUCUAAACAGGGGAUCAAAAGGGUGUUAUGCAUACAGAGGAGGAUAUUUAGGCUAAAAGUAGGUUAAUCAAUGAUGCCCUAUGAUCCUAUCCUAACUCCUAUCCUAAGACCAUGGAAAUACUAACCAAGCAAGUUAUGGCUUUAGCAUACAGAGGAAAGCAAGUAAUAGCUCACACACACUUAGCACACAAGUAUAUCAUAGACCACCACUUAUCUAGUUCAUGCAAUUGUUCAGUAAUGAUCAUCAAGCAGCUAUAAUUAAUGCCACAACAAGAUUCACAAUGGUCACAAGUAAAUGUAAUCCACAUAGUUUAUCAAGCAAGACAUUGGAAGGAGGGUCAAAUGUUGAGCAAGACAUGUCACUACCUUUUGUGCUUGCUUUUCUCCUAGUUACCAAAAACUAUGUUACCACAGCAGAAUACCAACUACCCUCAACUUAGAAUUAAAGCAAAAACUAGACUAAGAACUAGAGUAUACCUGGACUGGGUCAUUCUCAAGGAUCAUGGGUUGCCUUCCAUACAGCGCUUGAUUUAACAUCGUGGCACAACUCAGGUAUCUCGAUUACCUUAGACUUCAUCGAGACAGAUAAUAGUGAUGUUUUUCACUGAUUCUUUUGGGCCAAUGUAAAGCUUGACUCAUUGCCCAUUUACCUUGAAUAUAUUGCCAUCUUUGUUUUCAAGUUCCACUAAUCUAGAUGAGUGGACUUGAUUAACCUUAAAAGGAUCUGACCACUUAAAUUUCAGCUUCCCUUGUAACAAUUUGAGUCUGGAAUUGAACAGAAGCACCAAAUCCCCUUUUUUGAACUCUCGUUUCUCUAUUUUCCAAUCAUGGUACUUUUUUAUCUUUUCUUUAUACAUAUCUGCUUGUUCAUAUGUCUUGAGCCAAAAUUUAUCCAUCUCAUUGAGUUGCCCUAGUCUCAUCUCUACUACUUCCUUCCAAUUCAAAUUGAACCUUUUGAGCACCCAUAAAACCUUGUGUUCCAACUCUAUUGGCAGGUGAAAAGCUUUUCCAUAGACCAACUGAAAUGGUGACAUGCCAAUGGGUGUCUUGAAAGCAGUCCGAUAUGCCCACAAGGCAUCAUCAAGCUUUUGGGACCAGUCUUUUCAGCUAGUAUUCACCAUCUUAGAUAGGAUGGCCUUAACUUCACGAUUCGACACCUCCACUUGCCCACUGGUUUGUAGGUGGUACGAAUUAGCCACUCUGUGUUGUUUCACUCCAUAUUUUGGCAAAGCUGCUCAAAAUAAUUUUUUGCAAAAGUGAGAUUCUCCAUCGCUUAUGAUAGUGCGUGGUACUCCAAAGCGCGAGAAAAUGUUCUUUUUGAGAAAAGAAAUAACUCUCUUUCCUUCGUUAUCAGACAAGGCAACAGCUUUGACCCAUUUCAAGACAUAGUCAAAAGCAACUAAAAUAUACUUCAACCUAUAUGAGCUUACAAAAGGACCUAUGAAAUCGAUGCCCCAUACAUCAAACAAUUCCACUUCAAGCAUCUUAGUCAAAGGUAUCUUAUGUCUUUUAGAUAUUGACCCCUGUCUCUGACAUUGGUCACAUUUCUGCACAAACUUGUGAGCAUCCUUAAAUAAUAUUGGCCAAUAAUAGCCACUCUGCAACACUUUCCUGGCCGUUUGGUCACCUGCAUGGUGACCCCCAACUGGGGAAGCAUGACAUUCUUCCAGUAUGCAUAAUAUGUCUAUCUCCGACACGUAUCUCCGCAUGAUAUUGUUUACACAUCGCCGAAAAAGAUACGGCUCAUCCCAGAAGUUGUGUGUUACAUCAUGCAAGAAUUUCUUCCUUGGGUGAAAAGAAAGAUUUUUUGGGAUGACCUUAAUCAUAACUUAGUUUACAUAAUCUGCAUACCAGGGCAAUGUUUCCAUAGCAGUUUCCAAGAUCUCCUUAUCAGGAAAUGCAUCAUUUAUCUUUGUUUCAUCAUUAUCUUCUUAUUCACCUUCCAUUCUAGAUAGAUGGUCUGCAACCCAGUUUUCAUAAUCUUUCCUAUCUUUAACCUCGAAAUCAAAUUCUUACAGCAGCAACACCCAUCUAAUUAUCCUUGGUUUAGAAUCCAUCUUGGCUAUCAGGUACCUCGAAGCAGCAUGGUCAGUAUGGACCACCACUUUGGUCCCAAGCAGAUAAGCUCUGAAUUUUUCGAAAGCACACACCACAGCCAGAAACUCCUGUUUAGUUACUGUGUAAUUCUUUUGUGCUCCAUUCAAUGCUUUACUGGUAUAAUAGAUCAGGUGGAAUAGUUUGUCCCUCUUUUAUCCCAAUACAGCCCCAGGGCAACACUGCUUGCAUCAUACAUUAUCUAAAAUGGUUUAUCCCAGUCAGGUGCAAUAACAAUAGAGGCCUCAAUCAGCUUCUUUUUAAGGCACUUAAAUGCCUUCAAGCACUCGCAUUGAAGAAAAAUUUUACUUUGUUCUCCAAAAGUUUACAAAGUGGAUUUGCAACUUUUGAGAAGUCUUUUAUGAACCUUCGAUAAAAUCCUACAUGACCAAGAAAACUACCCACUCCCUUUACUGAAAUGAAAGGCGGUAAUUUCUCGAUAACUUCCACCUUUGCUCGAUCAACUUCAAUCCCUUUUUAGGAAUUUUGUGGCUAAGAAUGAUACCCUCUUUUACCAUAAAAUAGCAUUUUUCCCAGUUAAGCACUAGAUUAAAUUCAACACAUCUUUGGAGGGCCACAUUUAAAUUCUUCAGACACAUUUCAAAUAAAUCACCUACCACAGAGAAAUCAUCCAUGAAUACCUCUAUGGUGUCUUUCACCAUGUCAGAAAAGAUGGACAUCAUGCACCGUUGAAAAUUGGCGAGUGAAUUGCAUAGCCCAAAUGGCACCCUCUUAAAUGCAAAGGUGCCAUAUGGGUAGGUGAAUAUCAUCUUCUCCUUAUCUUCAAGAGUAAUGCAGAUUUGGUUAUAUCCAGAAUAGCUAUCCAAGAAAUAAUACCACCCCCUACCGGCUAACCGAUCAAGCAUUUGGUCCAUAAAGGGCAUUGGGAAGUGGUCCUUCAGAGUCCAACAGUUUAAAUUGCGGUAGUCCAUGCAAACUCUCCACCCAGUUACUGGUUUAAGUGGAAUAAACUCAUUCUUUUCAUUAGCAACCACCAUCAUACCCUCUUUCUUGGGCACGCAUUGAACUGGACUUACCCACUUGCUGUCAGAAAUAGGGUAAACCACUCUUGCAUCUAACCACUUAAUAAUAUCCUUCUUAACUACCUCUUAUAUUGGUGGGUUAAGACGGUGUUGAUGCUCUAUAGUUGGAGAACAGUCUUCUUCCAAUUAGAUUUUAUGUGUGCAGAUAUCAGGGGAAAUGCCAAUAAUAUCUGUAAUGGUCUAUUCGAUUGCUCUCUUAUGCUUCUAAAGUACUUAGAUGAGUGCAUUUACCUAUUGUUCUUCCAAAUCAGCUACAAUAAGAACAGGCAACGUGCUCUCUUUUCCCAAAAACACAUAUCGUAAGUAUCCAGGCAGCUUCUUUAACUCCAACAUUGCAGGUUCUUCAAUAGAUGGCUUGGCUGGUGGCAUUGGUUGAUUAGCCAGGUCAAGGUCCAACUUUUUAGGAGCAUAAGGAUAUAACCCCAUUCCAGUCAAGGAACAAACUAUCUCUUCAUACUCUUCAAUGCCUUUACUAUCAUAGUUCAUCAUGACCGCAGCCAAAGGUUCGAUAAUAAGUCAUUCAGUGAUGGGCACAUCCUGUACAUCUUCAAAAUACCUAUCAACUACUGAGAACACACUUAUCUCCUUAUGUUAUUUCAUUGAUGUGCCCAUAUCAAACCGUACCACUUUAUCGUUCACCCUGAAUAAGAUCUCAUUCGCUCUAAAAUUGAUCAACACACUUCCAGUUGUGAGGAAAGGUCGACCCAAGAUUAUGGGCACCUGGAAGUCCACCUUGCAGUCCAGGAUGACAAAGUCUGUAGGGAAUAUGAAAUUUAAAACCUUUACCAACACAUCAUAUCGAAUGCCAACAGGUCACUUUACUAACCUGUCAGCCAUCACUAGUCUCAUAUUAGUAGAUGUGGGAUUCCCCAGACCCAACUUUUUAUAAAUAUUUAAUGGCAUCAAGUUAACACUUGCUCCAAAAUCACACAGUGCUUUAGUGAAUUCCAUGGUUCCAAUUGUGCAGGGAAUAGUGACUACACCUGGAUUCGGAUUCUUCUGCAUCAAGGUCUUUAUAGAAAUGGCACUGCAAAGGUGGAGAUCUGCUUCCAAUUCUCAACUCACUGCUCUUUUAUAGGUAACAAGGUCCUUUAUAAACCUUGAAUAACCUGGAAUUUGCUCAAGUGCUUCAAUCAAAGGCACAUUUAUUGUCAAUUUCUUGAGCAUUGCCAUGAACUUGCUGAAUUUGGCAUCAUCGGCCUUCUUCCUCAAUCGUUGAGGAAAGGGAGGUGGUGUCUUUGGGAUGGUUUUCAACACUACUUCCUCUUCCUUCACCUUCUCUGAUGCAUCAACAGAGUUAUUUGGCAUCUUAGACUCUACUAGGUUAUUUUCCUCUGUUUAUCUGCAACUUUGUCAUUGUUUAAAGACUUGCCCACAGAAAGGCCAAAUAAGAUCUUACCACUCCUAGUGGUAAUCGUCAGACAUGAGCCAUCUGUCUUCUGAUCCUGAACUAUUUUACUAAGUAAUGUACCAUUUCUUUCUUGGUUCAGUGUUCAGAAAAGUUAACUCAUCUGCUACUCCAACUGCUUGAUAAAUGUUGAGUGUGAACUAACCAACUAACUUAGAGUAGAAAAUUCACUCCUUAUAAUAUUUACCCCUGAGUUGGUAUCCUUUACUCCUUUCAACAGUUCUUUCAUCAUAUCCUCCAUAGACAUCUUUCCCGAGCUAGUUACAGUAGCUUUCUGAUUUCCAAAAUGAACAUACAACCCACUCCUGUCAUUGUUGCUUCUCCAGUUUUCUUGCUCCCUUCCCUAUGAUCAGGAUUGUCAUACAUGUUCCGACCUUGAUUCCCUUGGCUAUUCCCUCGGAAACCCCUCUGAUUAUUAAUAUAGUUUGCUUCCUCUUCAGGCUCCAUAUCGACUCGGUCCUGAAUUAUUACAGUAUUUACCUUUUCCAUCCUUCCUAACAAUAAGUACUUGGUGAGCAGGUCUAUCUGAUUCUUUAGAUGGGCUAUAUCUUGAUCCUUUUCCUUAUCUCUUCCAUAUUAUUAAGCAUUCAUUUCAGUAGGAAUAGUUGGACUUGCCACCACAGAAUCCCUGGUGUACCAAGCCCAACUUAGUUUGGUCAUUCUUUUUAGCAUAUCAGCAGCAUCUUGAAAUGACAGAUCAACAAAUGACCCACUUGCAGCAUUAUCUAUAAUUGCCUGUGUCACAGAGCUAAAAGCUCUAUGCAAAGUCUCCAUCAAGUGCAAGUCUGACAUAUUGUGACUCAAACAUUGAGCCAGCUUCUUCUUGAACCUCUCCCAACUUUCAUGCUAUGCUUCAGUCAGAAUUUGUCUGAAGUUACUGAUUUAAUUCCUCAAUUGUACUCUCUUGAAGGGUGGAAAACACCAUUAUAGGAAUGCCUCUUUUAGCUGUCUCCAGUUAGUGAUAGAAUUAGGUUCCAGCUCAUUUAACCACAUUGUUCCCUCUCUAGACAAAGAUAGCGAGAACAGUCUUAAUCGGAUAGCACUCUAGCUCACCCUCGGGUUAUCAAAGGAUUUGUAAAUGGUGACAAAAUUCACUAGAUGCAGGUUGGGGUCAUCCCCAGGAAAGCCUCCAAACAACCCCUUAAGAUUUAAGAGUUGGAUAAUCGUACUUGUAAUGAUAAACUUUGCUCCAGGUGCCAACGGUGGAGGAAUGAUCGCACCCAUUGCACCUGCUCUAUCCACAUCGUCAACCUCAACCUCAUAAUGCAACGGUUGUUCUGCCAUGCUACCUAUGCAUUGGGGUUCUGGAUCGAAUGAUGCUUGGCGUACAGUUUAAUGAUCCUAUAAAUAGAAAAAAACAACAAACAAAAGUAAAUCUAGAAAACUUGACUAACAGCAAAUUAGCGCAUACAAACUUUCAGUUUACAACCAUAUUCCCCAGCAAUGGCGCCAUUUUUUAUAAUGCUCAAACUACACUCUUGAAUGGGUGUAAGCGAUUAUUGUCAAUAUAAAAUCCAACUAGGUUGGGAUUGAAUCCCACAGGGAAUAGGGUGUGAACUUCGGGUUGUUUAUGAAAUAAUUUACUGGUAGUUUGCUAUUUCCGAAAAUGAGGGUUUGAGUUUCACAGAGAGUAAAUUUUCACUUCUGAAUUUAUUAUUUGUAACCAAGAUUUAAUGAAAUAACCAGUAUUAUGUUCACUAGGGCUUACGGUACAUGACAGAUGCUAAAAUUUACUCAAGGUUCUCACGGUAGUUAGGAUGACAAGAUAUCUUGAUCGAUGGUAUGCUCAAAUGUCUCUCGACUUAUUCAAGCGUCUAAUUUCCUAAUCCUCUCGGACUUAGGGAAUCACUUAUCACUACACAGAUUUUACCUCAGGUUAAUCAACCUUGUUAUAGCGCUGAUUAUUAAACGAAGCCUUUAUGAGUCCUUGUUGAUAACUCACUUCCUACUAUUUAUGAUUUCUUUCUCAAGCAAACCAAAGUAGGUACGCCUAUUGUUUGCAACCAAUAGACAUAAAUUAUAGUCUCAGUGUUAUCAAGAAAUCUUAACACCUAUUAAACCUUGAAUAAUUAAUUUAUCACCUUAUCAUGACCUAACCCUAGAUUCCAUAAUCCAGGUUAAAAGAGUUUAGCUACUCAUGUCGCAUGAAACAAGCAUGUAAUUUGAAUUCAUAACUGAAAGGAUUAACUUACAAUGAUGAAUGAAAUUAAAAGUGAACUUGUAUUUUAAUCACACGGCAAAACACUGAAAUAUUAUUCUUGAGAUAGGGAGGAAAGAAUAUCAUUUUUUUCUCCUCAAUAAUAGAUGAUUAAUUGUCUGAUGGAUGGUAAUAAAAACACUCAAACAAGUCUUUAAAUAGUCAAACCUAAAUAAGGAAAUAAAAUUAAAAUUUAUGAUUUUCUUCGGAUAGGUGAUGGUGUGCCAAACGUCUAACGGAGUGUGCAAGAUGUCGUCAAAGUUUUCAGUGAAUUACUAUCUUCUGAUUCUUCAGACGGAAAAUCUGACGGCGUGUCAAAAAUGUGACGGCGCGUGAAAAAUAUUGUCAUAUCUUCACUGGAAAUCAGCAUAAUCUGCCACAGGUUAAUGGCAAUUUUGAUGCCUUGUCACAGAUUUGACGGCGUUUUUGAAAUGUCAUCAAAUUUCAUGUCAACUCCUCAGGUUCUGUCUAAGCUUGACGGUAACUUUUACAGCCUGUUCCAUGUCUGACAGCGCUUCAGAAAUGGCGUAGCUACACUUUAGCUUAUUUGCACCAGAUUUUCAGUUGAUUUAUUCUUCUUUUCUUUGAUUUCCUCCCCGAUCACUUGUAUCUGCAUUAAAAUAAUAAAAACAAUCAAAAACAAAAAAAAAGUUACUUAAGACGUCAUAAUUAUUCUAGGUUAAAGGCCCUAAAUGUGUUCACAAUUAUGCACACAUCAGUAUAUGAGUAUUCCUAUAUAAAAUUUUCAAAAUACUAAAAAAAAAAAUUAUUUAGAGCUUACCAUUGCGUAGGAAAUUCAAUCAGCUUUCCAAGGAUAUAAAAUUCGCCCAAAUUCGAUACCUAGUGAAAAGUUAUAGCAGUUUUUGUAAAGUAGUAUGCCAAAAUGGGCAUCACCGCGUCGCGGAGCCAGGCCAAAUGGCAAUUGUCAUUUUCCAGCAUCACAACGUGAUAAGGCUGCAUCACAUUGAGGUGUUAUUUCGCGUUCAUCUUUUUCUAGUGGACCAUCGCGAAAGCGCCAUGUCGCACCAAGGACCAAAUUCGCGUCCAAUGAGGCACUGCAAUGGCGCCGCAUCUCGCCAUCAGUCCAGUUCCCAGUUGUCCAUUUUCCCGUAAGCCAUCGCAAUUGUACCACAUCGCACCGACAUGAAAAAUUAGGAUUUUUAAUUUGUGUGAUUUUAUUUCAGGGACCAUUUGGUGAAUUCUCAAAACCCCUAAUCAGCUUAAGCACGAGAUUUAUGCUCUAAAUAACCUAAUUAGUCAUUAUUUUAUCAAAUUUUCCCCAAAAUCAAGAGCUUUCUCUCAAAAUACAAAACCCUAGCCUUCAAGAAACAAGAACAAUUCUCAAGAAUCCCUUCAAGAACCUUCAAGAAUGAAUCUUCUCAGGUAUGUUAGGUGUUCAUCUAUGGGUUUCUUUCACCCAUACAGUCCAAGAAUCCUUUUUUAAAACUACAAGCUUAUUGAUUCAUGAUUUACAUGCUUAAAUUGGAUUGUAUUCAUGUUCAUGACAUUAAUUGAGUUUCAAUCCAUGAUUAAUUGUAAAUUUCAUGAAAUUGAAAUAGCAUGUAUAUUAAAUUGUGUAAUUCCCAUGUUAUAACCCUUGAAUUUUCAUGUUUGGGCGUUGUAGUUACGAUGUUUAUAUGUUGUCCAUGAUUACAUGCAUUAAGUUGUGCUCCCCAAGUGUUUGAUAGAAUGUCCAUGUGAAAUAAAUGGUGAAAUCAAGACAUGCUAGCAUAUGUACAAGUUUAUACCCUACAAGUGUUUGAUAAAAUGUCUCUAUGAAUGAAUUAUGAACAAGUGGACAUUGUUAUGCUUUUCAAGAUCAUGUUAUGCUUUACUUUCCAUUCUAUCGAGUGUUGGGGGUAUUCAAUACCCAAAAAUCUAGCUGUUUAACUAGAGCUAUAGUAGUUACAGAAUAGUCUCGGUAAUGUCAUGAGCAGUAGUACAUUGUCAGUUAUAGAACUCAGUCAGUUACAGAACUCAGUGAAACUCAGUAUCAGUACAGUUCAGCUUAGUAUAAUAAUUAGUGUCUUUAGUUGGGAGUAGGAUUCAGCACCAGUGAAUCCAAGGAUGGGGACUCACCUUCCAGUAGAGGGUAUGAUCCUUAGAAGCAGUCCUUUCAUUCCAAAACAACGUAGCUAGCAUAGGUUGAGACAUAAACCUACCAGUUAAGGGUUGAUAAGGUUUUUCAACCUACCAAUUGAGGGUACCACCCAUCUCAUUCAAGGCACCUGCCAGAUGAGGGUGACUCUUUAGCUUGUCUUUACUUGUGGCACAGUACUGGUACCCUUCCAGCUGGGGUUACAGGUUGGACCCCAAUCUAUUUAGAGAGGAGCAUGUCGGUUAGAUGAUUACCUCCCACAGUUUCUGUUUCAGUAUCAAUAUAGAACUUAGUUUAGUUCUAUAGAAUCAGGACUGUUAGACACAGUCACUCAGUAUCAAUAAAUUAGUUAUCAGUAAUCUCAGAUAUUAGGGAAUCGGUACUAUAAAUUAGUACUGAUCUUCAGUUCAGCUAUAGUAUCAUGUAUAUGCAUAGUAUUGCAUACUCAGUAUUUUACAGUAGUUUUAGUUAUCCAUGUACUCUUAUGCAGUUAAUCUAUAUCAUUCAGUCAGUUACUGAUCAUGCAUAUGAACCCUUGAAUUCAGUCUUACCUCAUCUAGCAUACCAGUACAUUCCACGUGUUGAUGCAUACUUUCUCUUUACGCUAUGAUAUCUCAUAUCAUAGGUUCGAACGCUCAAGUUCCUGAUCGCACAUAGACAGAUUCAGUUAAUAGCAACAAAUUCAGUAGUGAGUUCUUAUUUAUCAAGGAUAUACUUUUAUUUUAGUAUUUCAGUAGCUUCAGUAUUUUUGUAGUCGGAGUUAGUUAGGGACAUGUCCCAUCAACUCCUCAUUCAGACAGUUCAGUUAGAGGCUUUUCAGACUAAACUAGUUUAAAAAGUAUUUUUAGUUUUCAGAUGAUGAUACAGUUGUUAUUCUUUACCAGUAUUCAGAUUUUGAACUUUAUGGCAUUUCAUCCUACUUUUUGCAUUAUUUCAGUAUUAUUAUACAGUUUCUACAAUAGGUACCAGUUAUGGGUUAACUUAUGAUCCUUACGGGUUGUAAGUACUGUGUGGCAUUCGGGGUACAGAUUAUGGCGUUACAAGUUGGAAGUAGGAUUCAACACUGAUAAAACCCAAGGAUGAAGGCAUUUCUGUUAGUAUAGGGUUUGACCCUUAGUAACAGUUCCUAAGUUACAAAACUACGUAACCAGUAUAGGGUAAAUCGUCUUUCUGCCAAGUUAAGGUUGACGUAACCAUAUACAUCUCAUGAGUCUUCUUGCCAAAUUAAGGUUGACUCAACCAGUGUUAGUAACCCGUGGCAUGCUGCAAACACCCUUCCAAAUGGGGUUACAGGUUGGACCCCAAAUCAAUCUAUAAUCAGGGUAUGUCGAUUAGAUGAUAACACCCACAGUUUCAGUAUCCAGUAUUCAAUAUGCAGUAUUCAGUACAGAACUCAAUUCAGUUCUACACAAUUAUGAAUUACAAUUAUCAGUAUUCAGUUACCAGAACUCAGUACUUCAGUUUCAGUCUAAUUCAGACAGAAGAUAUUUAUUUGGUAUUAUAUGUUCAGUAUUUGCAGUAGUCUCAGUCUUACAUAUACUUUCAUCCAGUUACUUCAUGAUAUUUAUUUAUUAUUACUCAUGCAUAUGAACCUAUGUAUAUUAGCCUAACCUCACCUAGCGUACUAGUACAUUCAAGGUAACAUUCAAGGUACUAACGCAACUUUCUUUGUGCUAUGAUUUUUCAUAUCAUAGGUUUGGACAUUCGGGUUUCUGACCGUACUUAGCCAGAUCAGUAGCUACAGUAGUGAGUCCUCAUCCAUCGAGGACGUGAUAUUUAUUUAGUCGUUGCAUUAUUUUAAUACUUCAUUAUUUUCAGACAGUAGUUGAAGUUAGUCGGGGUCUGUCCCAUCAACUUUUUUAUUUCAAAUGUUUAGAGGCUUUCAGACAUUUUCAGUUAGCAGUUAUUCCACGAUUGUACUCAGUAUUGAUUUCAAUUUGUGAACCUUAUGACGUUUUUAGUUUUACUUCCGCAUAUGCUUUAUGAUUAUUAUUCAGUGCUCACAGUAGGUAACAUGUCAUGGGUUAGCCUGUGGUCCUUCGGGGUCGUAAGUUCCAUAUGAUGCCCAGGGUGUAGUCUCAGGGCGUUAUAAUAUACAUCAAAAAGAAGGUUCAACUUUAGCCCAAAAGUGCGGGAUAUUACACAUAUGAAUCACCAUUAUCCAUAUUUCAAACUAACAUAUGUAUCAAUCAUAUGAAUCACUUUUAUGCUAUAAAUUCUCAAAUUUUGUUAUGCUUUAUCAAGAAAACACAAUGCACAGUAAGAUAAAUAUAUGAAUACCAAACUACAACACACAAUAUAUAGAUCUACGUUUAUAAAAGUAUCACAAAACUUAACAUAAAAAAUUGAAAUCAAUAAUGCUGGGUAAUCCAGAAAAAUGUAUACUACAGUUUCCAGAUGUAUCACAAAAAUAUAAAAUUAAAAAUUGAUGAUGAACAGCUAAAAUCCAACCUCUAUUUGUCAUAUCUCUCAGCUUUGAAAUUGAACAUGUGCUUGAUUACAUAGUUAUGCAUUACCGAUACAAGAGUUACUUUAUUUUUAUACUUUUGUUUCACCCUGACAACGUCGUUAUUGCAAUCAGUUAUUAGUUCUUCACUACCCUUAUCAACAACUGACAAAGAUUUAACAUUACCAACUACAGCUAGUCCAGACGACUCAAUAAUAUCAUGAGACUCAAUUGCUAUAUCAUCUGCAUCGAAAGUAUCACUAUCAACUACAAUAUCAAAUGUUGUAAUACACAGUGGAUACAUUCCGAAUCCAGGUACAUGUUUCAAAAUCUCAAGAAAAAAAUUUACAUCCAUAUCAUUAUGAAUCUCCAAUACUGAUGAAUUACCUUAAACAAUGUAUUUGGCACGAUUUUUUUAAGAGAUACAUCAAUUUUCAAUUGAAUUGAAAUAGCAUCCAUUAAAUCUCGGUACAAAGAUUUUUCAUGAAUGACAAUAUCGUUAACCCGAUAGUUAUCAUAUACAUGUUUCAAAAUCUCAAGAAAAAGUUUCACAUCCAUAUCAUUAUGAAUCUCCAAUGUUGAUGAAUUACCUUGAACAACGUAUUUGACAUGAAUUUUUUUAAAAGAUACGUCAAUUUUUAAUUGAAUUGAAAUAGCAUCCAUUAAAUCUCGGUACAAAGAUUUUUCAUGAAUGACAAUAUCGUCAACCCAAUAGUUAUUGUACCUAGUCUCUAAAAUCCAAACCCUGAAAUGAUGCAAUAAGACAGUAAUGAGCUACAUUGAAGUUAAUCAAAAAAUUGGAGAAAGAAGAACGAUUAAUUUUUUUGAUAUAAUUCAAAACGUUACAUAUGGUUUGCUUCAAAUUUGAGAGUUGAAAGAGGGGAAUCAUUGAUUUUGUGUUAAUUAGUAAUCCAAAUUGUAACCGAUUGAGCGUGAUUUGCUCCGCAGAGUAAAACAAAAUCCGUUACUUCCUAAAAUAAAUAUCUAUUAUGUUUUAUGUAUCACUAUUUAUAUGUAUCACAUUAUAACAUAUGAAUCACAAUUUUAAAAAAUCGAGAUAUGAUGUAAUUAAAUAAAUUAUCGAGAUAAAAUGUUAUAACACUUAAAUAUUAAAAAAUUUAUUUAAGUUACCCUAUUUUUUAAGUCAAAUCGUUUGCUUUAGGUGAUGAAGAAAAUCAUUACCAUAAGGGAUAACUACAUAUUUUAGCAAACAUAGACAACUAAUUAUCCUAUUUAGCCUAAAUUUCAAUUAAUUACAAUUCAUAGCCCCCUUUUGCCUAUUAAUUAUUCCUAAUUACAAUUCAUAAUUUCUCUCAUGUAUUUUCUCUCUUUUUCUAUUUUCUAUUAUUCUCUUCUUCUUUUUCCUUUUUCAAUUUUUAUUCUUCAGUUUUUCUUUUCCUUUUUUGUUGUUUUUUUCUCUUUCUUUUUUAUUUUUUCACUUUUUUCUUUUCUAUUUUUUAUUCAUUUUUUUAUUUUUUUUCUUUUCAUUUUUUCUCAUUUUUUUUAUUUUAUUUUUUUAUCUAUUUGCUAUUACUCUCCCUUUUUUGUAUUUUUUUCUCCUUCUUUUUCUCUCAUUUUUUCUCCUUCUUUUUUUCUUUUUUUUUUCAAUUUUUCUUCUUCUUUUCAUUUGUGCGAAUAAGAAACACAAAUAUAAGUGCGAACAAUAAAAUACAAAUAUAAAUGCAAACUAUAACAUACAAAUACAAGUGUGAACUAUAAAAUACAAAUACAAAUGCGAACUAUAACAUAUUAAUAUAAGUGUGAACUAUCAUUUGUAUUUUUUAAUUAUUGAAAAGGAAUGAUUGAUUUUCUUUCUACGAAUAUUUAUUUGUAUUUAUUUAUACGAGUUGUAUUUAUUGAUACAAAUAAAUACAACUCAAAUUUUUAUACAAAAAUAAUAUAUACAAAUACAUAUUGUAUUUGUAUUUGUAAAAUCAUUUGUUUUAUUUGUUUGUCAUUGUAUUUAUAUCAAGUGAUAUUUGUUUAUUUACAAAUAUGAAUGAAAUUUUGAUAUAUAAAUACAAAACGGUAUAUUUGUAUCAAAUGAUACAUUACAUAUUUAUAUAUUUUAGAAUCAAGAAAAUAUAAUUAAAUGCAUUUACUUGUUUGUAUACAAAUACAAAUAAUAAAUUGUACAUAGUCACGGCUAAAUACAAUAUGCAAUCAACUUACAAAUACAAAAACAAAAUAAUUUUUAAAAAAAUAAAAAGGCAUCGACGAAAAUAGAGUACAAAUACAAGUAUAAUCCAAAUAUAAUCUAAAUAUACAAACACAAUAAAACCAUAAUAUAAAUAUAAUUCAAUAUAAUAUGCAGUCAAUUAAAAAAUACAAAUACAAAAUAAUUCUUUAAAAUAUAAGUGCGAAUUAUAUAAAAUAUAAAUGGUAGCGCAACCUAACAAAUACAAAUACAAGUGUGAACUAUUAAAUACAAAUACAAAUGUGAACUAUAGAAUACAAAUACAAGUGCGAACUUUAAAAUAAAAAUACAAAUACAGUUGUAUUAAUGAAUACAAAAAUAUAAAUAAUGGUGUGACUACAAAUACGAUAAACAAUUGUGGUAUUUACGUUAUCAUCCAUGACUUGUGCUCGACUAGUCAUAUUUUUUUGAAAAUACAAAAAAUGUAAAAUAGCACAAAAAAAUGAUAAAGAAAAUAAGUACAAAAAAUUUUUUAAAAAAAUCAAAGAAGAAAGAAAAUUAGAAGUUAGAGAUUAAAGAGAGAAAAAAAAUAAAAAGAAAGAAACGAAAAAAAUAAAAAUAGAAAAAAAAAGAAGAAAAAAUGAAAGAAACACAAAAAAGAAAAAAAUUUUAAAAAAAAAGAUAAUUGUAGUGUUAUGCUAGAAAAUAUCCAGUUCAACGAGAUAAGCGUGAUUAAAAAAUUUUUUCUCUUUAAAAAUAUUGAAUUUUAUUUUUGGCGUGAUUAAAUAGGGACUGUAUUCAUGUUUUAUAUGAAUACAUACUAUCUAUAAAAUCGAAUACAGCGGGCGUAAAUCGAAUACAACGGCUAUAAAUGGUAAUUAUGUAAAAUGUGGCUAUAGAAGAUGGAUUUUAUAGCAAAGUGCUGCUAUUUUUUAUAGAUCCCUUAACAUAAUUGAGUUAAGGAGAGGGCCAGAUUAUUUACUUUUUCCUCUCUUUUGAAAAAAAAAAUUGUAGUGUCGUGGGAUUGUACUUUUAUCUAUCCACCAUGUACAUAUCAUACUGGACUUUUGGGAUCAUUGAAGGAAUUUCCUACUUCUAUGAAGAAGGAAUUUUCUAUGUGGCAUCCUAUGUGAUCAAUUCUUGUCAUACAUGGCGUCCUACAUGUAUUAUGUCACAUAGGACCUGUGUGUCUACUUAUUCAAUUUUAUACAACUUUAAGUGCCUACUUAUGCACAUCCAAAGUUGGAGGACGUAGAUGUAAUUUGAGGGCAGGUUAAAGGACAUGUUUAAGUAUUAUGCCAUUUAAUUAUCAUAUAAGUAUCAUGGUCUUUGAGCAGAUAAAUACCUCAAUUGUUAUUUCCUUUGUUCGAAUUGGUUUACUAGUCUUUUAUGAGGGCAUAUUUCAAAAAUUCUUUUGGGUGUAUUUUUUGUAGUACAAAGUUUCAAAUAAUAAAAUGAAACAUGCGGAAGUUAUCCCAUAAUGUAAAGAGUUUGAUAAAUAAUAUAAUGAAGUUCGAAAAUUCAAAUCCAGAAGCAGUAACCCAAUACUAUCUACAAGUCUCUAUUCAUAAAAAAUCUGCUAAAUCAGGACUGUUGACACUUAAUUUUGGCUUUUCAAACAUAAAAUUAACAUAAUUAGGCUCCCUUAUCGCUAAAGUGCAUAAAAAUACGAUUUUUCUUACAUUUUUACAAUUUUUAAUAAAUUAUUGAUAAUCAUUAUUAUUUUAGGUCCUUGUCUUGAGCUGGGGGUCUAUUGGAAACAACUUUUCUACUUCUUCAGAGGUAGUGGUAUGAACUGCGUAUAUCUUACCCCCUCCAGACCCUACUUUGUGGGAAUACACUGGUUUGUUGUUGUUGUUGUUGUAUUAUUAUUUUAGGAUAUUUUGUCAAUAUAUUGUCAUAUUUUAAUUGUACAUAAUUUAUUAAUAAUUGUCAUUAAUUUUGUAAAUUUUAAAAUUUUUAUCAAUUUAUUAUCAUUUUAAAUUUUUACACUGUUAUUUGCAUUCGUACAUAGCAUAUUACUGUAAUUUUUUUAUCGCACAUUAUAAUUUUAAUUGUUUAUAGAAUAAAAUAUUUUUAAAUUAUUUUAUUAUAUUUAUUAUUUAUAUUUUUUUAUAAUUAUAUAUAAAUAUUCAUAUUUUCAUAUGUUAUUUAAUAUAAUCUGUAAACGAUAAUAACGACCUAAUCAAGUCAAAAUCUGCCACUUUUAAAAAAAAUGACAAUUAAGAUUACUGAUUGCAUCUUUUAUCGUUUGGUUAAUAAAUAUUAUUUAAUAAUUAAAGAAAUAGUUUAUUAUUUUGGGUAGAAAAGGAGUUCCUUUUUUUUAUUAUAAGUAAAGAAGGGGUGGAUUAAUAUUUUCAACAUAUGCACUACACAUACAUGUAAAAAACAGCUGCACCUUCUUUUCUCUCUCCUCUCUUUUCCCUCUCUAAAAAGACGCCUCCCUAAGCCGCUUGUCCGCUGUCCCAGUCACCGGAAUGCCACCGACGCCGGCAGCCUCCAACACCUCCACAUUUUCUCUCUCGACUCUUUCUUCCACGCUAAACCAGCACAACCACCCUAUUUUCGGCCAGCCUUACUGCCGGUGACCCCACUACCAGCCACCGAAAAGCCGCCGUCUCCCCGCUCAUCGCUACCUUGCCUCGCUGGAAGUGAUGACCGGCGAAGCACCAUAACUCCCCACCGCUCUAUAUUUUUCCCUCCAUUAAUGGAGUGCUUAACCACAUCAAAUAGGGACGAAAUCUGCUUACCUCUCGUAAUUUUGGCGUUGCUCCGGCUUUCGCCGUUGAAGCAACGCCGGCGGCCUCAGUUGCAUUAACUUUUCUACUUCAAUGAAUUAAUAUACAUUAAUUGUGUAUGUUGUGUGUUUUAUUUUGCACAGAUCUGGCCGCUUCAGAUACUUCCCGACUACCCUCUUCUCUCAAACUAGUCACCAAUAGUCUAGGCACGGACCUAACAAAUAUUUUAUAAAAAUUAUUUUAAUUAAUAUAAUUUAUAAAUAUUUUUUAAAAUACAUAAUAAUUUUGUUAAUAAAUAUUUUAAAUUGUUACUUAUUGUAAUUUAUAAUACUUUUUAUAUAAUUUUCAAAUAUUAUAUAUCGCUCUCGUUGUUCAUACUUUUGUAGCUUGAUAGUCAAUUAUAUGCUUUUAAAUAGAUUAAGUUUAACAUUAUUGUGAUAUACGAUAUUUUUUCUUCUAUUUCAAUUUAAGUGUCAUGAUGUUUAGAUGAACACAAUAAUUAAUUAUAAGUAAUAUAAUAAAUUUACGUGUCUUAAUGACUCAUGAUGAUUAAUUAGAAAUGAUAUAGCAAAAUUAUUAUAAAAAUGCAUGUGAAAUUUUUUUGCUCAACUUAUCAUUUUAUAUGUAUUUUACAUUUUUAUCAAAUAUUACUAAUUGAUAUAAUGCUUAAAUGGUCAUAAUAAUCAAUUAGGAGCGAUAUAAUAAAAUUACAACUGAAACAGCGAAGCAAACACGUCUAAUUAGAAGUAAUAUAACAAAAUUAUUAUACAAAAAUAUUUACGAUAAAAAAUUAAAUGAAUCUCAUAUAAAACGUCAAGUAAAUUUAACAUUAAAUAUUAUUAAUUUUUUAACUACUUAAAUGACUUUAUAAUAAUUUUUUAAUAAUUAAUUAGACAUGAUAUCAUAAAAUUACGAAGGAAGCAAACACAAGAAGCUGGUAGGAGAAGAACACAUGUUGAUGGAGACCUGCCUGCUCCUCCUUCUCAAGGAUCCCGGUUAUACUUUCUCUUUUUCAGCUUUUGGAAAAUAUUUAUACAUUAUUAUGUCUCUCAUAUGUUACUACAAUGUAUGAGGUGAGCCAAUUUGCCUACAAUUAUGAAAAUAAAAAUUGAUGCCAUUAUUAUCUUUCACAAUUAACGUCAUUAAUUAAUGCACUAAUUUUAUGAAAGCAUGGAAAUAGUAACUGAUAAAUCAAAUUCAAAAUUAAUUAGUAAUGAUAAACUUCAAAUAUUAAUAUAAACAAAGUAGUAGACAUAAUAUUAUUAAUGUUUUAACUACUUAAAUGACUUUAUAAUAAUUUUUUAAUAAUUAAUUAGACAUGAUAUAAUAAAAUUACAGAGGAAGCAGAUUAUGAAGCAGACACGAGAAACAAACACCAGAAGCAAACAUGUUGGCAGAGACUUGCCUGCUCCUCCUCAUUGCAUCUUAUUAGAUAUUAGUGGCGGUGUGCUCGUAUAAAGCAGGAGCCCAACAUGUCUUCACAAAUGAAAUAUAAAAAUAAAUAUUCAUUAAAGCGUUUUUACAAAGUAUUUCUUUUUACAAAGGAAUAUCAUGAUAUGCAGCUAAAUCAUCAGACUUAGGCUCCAUUUGUUUUUUUUUUUAAGAUUCAAAUGUCUGAAUCUGAAUGCACAUCUGAAUGAUUAAGAUGUUGUUUCUAUAUCUGAAAAUUGAAUGAUUAAGACUAUUUAUUUUUCAAUAUCUAAAUAUGUAAAAACAAAAUUAUUUGUAUACAUAAUAAAAUAAAAAAUAAAAUUCAAAUAAAAAAUUAAUUAUAUAGUAAAAAGUAUGUAAUUUAAUACAAUAAAAUUAUUAGUAUUUCAUUAAGAAAAAAUAUUUAUGUUUGUUAGUGAUAGCGGAGAUGACUUAUAAUGAUGGUUGCGGUGACAAUGAUUGAUGUUAGUGAUUAAUAUUGUUGGUGGUGAUAAUUGUGAUGGUUGAUAUUGUAGUGACUGUUAUGAUGGUGAUGAUUGAUGGUGGUGGUGGUUAUUGUGAUGUGACAUUGCUUGAUGUUAGUAGUUUAAGGUGUUGAUUGUAUUGGCUAAAACAUGAAUGCAUGAUGAUUGACGAUGUGUGGGUGAUAGUUGGAGAUGUUAUUUGUUGUGAUGGUGGAGAUGGUUACUAGUAGAGAUAAAUUGUAGCGAUAGUACUGGUUGAAGCAGUGGUAGAUGUGACAUUACUAGUGACAAUGGUGGGGGCGGCCAAAGAAUAUGUAGAGGUUGUCAUGUAUUAGUGGUAGUUAGUGAUGGUGCUAGUUGUGAUAGAUGAGUUGGUUGGUAGUAGGGAUUGGCCGCUAGUGGUUAAUGAUUGUGGUGGUGGUGAAUAUAAUUAGAAUAAAAGGGGUAAUAGGUAUGGUAGCGGUUGACAAUUGUGAUUGGUAGCGGCAUUUUUUGUCAAUGGCGAUUGUGAUGGUGGAGGUGGUUGGUGGUGGUGGGUGCUGGUCAACAAUGGUAAUGAUGACAAAAGUGGUUAGUGGUGGUAACUGCAGAUUAUGAAUAGAGGUGAAUAUUAUCCAAUACCAAAAUUUCUCUUCAGACCUAUUAAGACUUAGUUCUAGAUCUGAAUUAUUAAGACCUAUUCAUACCUAUUAAGAGUUAAAAUCUUAAUAAAAAAAUGCACUUAAUAGUCUGAAGUCUGAACCAUUCAGAUUCAGACCUCCAUUAAGUGCAAACAAAUGGGGCCUUAGAGUAUCUGUUGUACAGGACGAAAUCAUCACCUAGUGGUAAUUCUAAAGUUCAUCCACUCCCUACUAACUGAAGUAACAUUUCCUAAUAUGAAAUCCAGUGCAUCACUACCCUGAGACAAAACAACUCUUAGAAAUCAUGCAGGAAUUGAAAGAUCAACAAGAAGUAGUAACAACUGAUAUUAGAGCAUACAGAGUCAAGAGAAGAUGCAUACCCUUUUCGUGGAUAUGAUAAGGACUUGUAUAAAAAGAAUCUUUUGUAGCGUAAAUGCAAGAAUUCAGUUUUUAUUACCUUUUGUACAUCUAUGAACUUAGGGCACUAUUUUGAUUGCAGCCUCAAUCCCAUCGAACUCUUUCUUGAAUAAAUGCAAUGGAAAAAAAAACAUAAACUAAUUUAAAUGGAGGAAAAUCUUUACAUAAUUAGUAAAGUUGUUGUCACGUGACCUAGAGGUCACGAGUUCAAGCUGUGGAAAUAACAUUCACGAGUUCAAGCUAUGAAAAUAACUUUUUGCAGAAAUGUAGGAUAACACUACGUACAAUAGAGACCUUUGCGUGGUCCGAUUCCUCCUCAAACUCCUAGCUUAACGGCAGCUUUAGUGCAUCAGGUUAAUUAAAGAAACCAUUUCUUUUUUCUGUUCUGUUCAGUGAUUCCAUUACUACUUGCUAAGGUAUAACCACUUUUUUUCUUGGCAUGAUUGUUAAUCCCAUUUGUUCUCGUAUAACAAGUAAAACUAGGAUUUUAUUGCUUCUUGAGCGAGCAAAAUGCAAUCCCUAUGCACAAGGAGCAAGAAAAUAGCAAAAAGUUGGAGGCUUUUUUGCUCAAGAAUUUGAUGCUCUGCCUCUUCUUGGGAUUUCCAAUAAAAGGUUCGAUUAGGAGUUUGUAGUGGAAGAUUUAUGGCAGAAUCUUGAAAGUAAUGAGUUUCAACUUUUUGUUGGAAUUAUGAGAUGUGCUUGCUUGAGAAUUUAUUGAAUUUCAGGUCAAUUAUGACAUUUACUGAGCUUUUUUGUUUUGAGUGGGUUUGCUCUCAAGUUUUCAAGGCAAUUUCAGAAGAUACGUAAGUUUAUUCUAUUAAAGGUGUCCUUAAAUUUCAAAUUGUUAGGCAUGAAUGAGAGCUUUUCUUCAAGUUUUAGGCUGAAGAAGGCUAGAUAGUCUUUGCCUGGACCAAAUUGUGGGUGGUGAUAGCAAAGAAAGCUUUUGUCUUAAUGGCUUAUUUUCUUUGGAAUUGGUUCUUUUUUGGUUGGUCAUUAGCUUAAAAGGUGUUGUUUAUAGUUGGAAGCAAGAGGUUUCAGAACCAAAUGAAGAUGAAUCUUAUUUUCUUCUUGAACAUUUCAAUGUCAGCAAGGAACAAAUUCAAGCUUUAGCUACCUUAUUCUUUGAAAAAAAUCAAGUAAUGCUCAUAUUUAACAUCAACAUCUUUCUGAAAACAAAGGGAUAACUAUGAAUUUCUUUACAGUAAAUAAAAAGAUUCUAAAAGAACAGAAAUACCUUGACUAAGUUACUGCUUACUACUAACAAUUAUUUUUUUCCUUAAGUUACUGCUUACUACAAAUAAUUGUUUUUUUUUCUUGAGUACCAUUAUGCUAUAAAGAUUUAAACUUUGCUCCAAAUCCUAAAAGAAAAUUUGCAACCCAACAUAUGUCACCCUAAUUUCCAUUUACAAGUUGCAACCAUAAGCACUGGCAUAAAAUAACUUCAACUUUCAUUUUAAAUAAGUUCCAACAAAAGAAAUUCCAACUUUCCUUUUCAGUAAGUUCCAACAAAAGAGAUUCCAAGGCUAACCUAUCGUCCGUAACAAUGGCUUCAUGGAAUUCAGCAUACUACAAUACAAAUCAUAAUUACUAAAAGUUAGAACUAAACAGAUAAGAGGAAAACUCAAAAACUUACGUGUGUAAUCAAGAGUAUAUUCCUUGUUUUUUCAGCUAGAAAUAUUUGAGUUUCAAAUUCCUUCAGAGUUGAAAGUGCCCAGCUAAUAUUUGCUAACACAGAGCAGCAUAAAUGACCAAUAAUGAUUUAGUAAUAAUAAACAACCAUGGGUGACAGUUAUUGACGGGAGAACAUAACAGUAGAGCUUAGUGUUGUCAUUCUAUGAUAGUUAAGUAAUACUUCCUAUAUAAAGUCAUUUUUGGUUGCAUCUUAAGGAAAAAUUUGAUGGUGAAGCUUAAUGUUCUGCAAUUUAUUCUCAUUUUGUUUCACUGUAGAAGAAUUGGUUGAAUAAGUGAAUAAGGAACUAUUUUGUUUCCUAGUUCCUGUACUUCUAUAAAUAUGAACCUACUACCCUAAUACAUGAUCUUUAAACUCUUCUAUGUAAGGCCAUUGUCCUCGAGUCCUCGAUAAGGUGGAGAUACAUCAGAUCCUGUCUAAUAAAUCCAAAGGUUAGGUUUCUAACAAAAAUCAGCGAGACAUCACGCUGCUAAUGAUGCCUCUUUUUCUUCACAAAGAGGUAGCAUAUAAUCAAAUCCAACAUAGUAAUAUAAAAAAGAAUCUUUCUAAUUCAUGGGGUUCCGAAUUAUUAUAAUAUUGUCAUUUAAAGUAGUUUACUUUAUAUUCUCAAUGAUUCUCUUGACUUUCAAUGUGCCUCUUAAAAUCAAAAUGGUGAAGCAACAUGAGUCCAGAUUUUUCCAUCUAAAUAACCCAAAUGUACUCAGAAUUUGUAUUAUUAAAUAGUAUUUCUUCACUUUUAAGUUGUUAAUUUCAUGGAAGCUUCCUCAUAUAUGAUCAAAUUUUCAUGUUUCUCAAGAAGAACCAAAAAGACCCAAAUUGAUUUCAUGGCCAACAACUAAACAUAAAUUAGAAAUACAUAUACACCCUACGCACAAAAUCCGACAAAAAAAUCAUGAAUUAUCAAAUCGGAGCAAGUGGCGACAUCAAACACACAAACGAAAACUCCAAAUCAAACUGUAAAGUUCAAAAUCAGAACAGUGAUGAAAGACAACUCGCAGAUAUUAACAACGAAGAACAAGAAUUGAGUCAGAAAAUCAACAAAAUUGAGAGAUCAUACUCCAAUUUUUCUCUUAAAACAUAGAGAGAAAAAACCCACCUAAAGCAACAAACUUGACACUGAAUUACUUGAAAUUCAACUCAAACACCCUUCAACCAAAUACAUAUCAUAACUAAAUUUGAUGAAGAAGGUAGAUUAAAAAAAUACAAAUAAAAUUACAAAUCAAGCCAUUAGACCAAAAGCAGAGCAAAAAUUGAGUAAGAACACAAAUAGAAAAAUCUGAAAAUGAAGGACAAACGCACAUGCAAAGGGAGAUGAGUAGCUUGAUCGAAGAGAAAAAGUGUGAAGUAUUUAUUUUCUUCUGAUCCAAAAAGAAGAAUACCUUAAGAAGUAAGAACCCCAAAUAUAGGGCACGUGUAACGCAGGAGGCUUGCCACAAAGUGUAGCCAAGUAAAAAGAUGAAAAUACCCUUAGGUGGUGAACCAGACAUGUCGUCCACCACCUGUGAGGUUAUCACCACUUAUACAUUAGUAUUAGAUAGUAGAUAAUAAUAUAUUGUGCAUAUACUUUAGUAGUUUAUUUUACUAGGUGGAAAAAUAGUUCAUUCCUAUGGUUUUAGUUUUGGCUCUUCUUUGUUUGUUGUUGGGUUUGAAAUUGUAAAUAAUUAUCUCUUUUAGCUGUCAAUAUGUCCACAUUAGAAAUCUUUUGGUGCUUGCUCCAUUUGAGCUCUUAUUCAUACAAUAUUUACUCUAUUUUUCACUAAUUUUGUGACUGAUUUUGCUCGAGAAAUUAACUCCAAUGUUGUUGUUACUGUUGCUAUGAGUGUCAGAUAAUUUCAGAGGGGAUUUAUGUCCUUCUUGUGUUUUUUUAGAUGUUCUAUACUUGUAAGAAACAGGAUAAUAAGCUAUUUGGCCGAUGAUAUUAUUUCUCCAUCUGGAUAUUUGAGGUCGUCCCAUCACAAAAGAUAGACUUUGUUUUUAUCAAAGUUAUUAUUUUAUAUUAAGGGCUGACACUUGGCCGAUGAAGAAAUUUUUCGUCGAUUUUCGAGGCCUUCACCAAUAAAAAGACGGAUAUUACGUAUAUAAAUACGUAAUAAAAUAAAUAUUUUGGGCGAUGACGAAAUUUUUAUAACAACGCAAAAGUUUUAUGAUUCUUAUCUUGGCAAGACGAUUUAGGAUGACUAAUAAAUCAACAACCACUUCGUAGCCAUGGUGUACCUAAAAAUUGAUCCGAGCCCACGCUUUUACUGAAAAAUUCUAUUUUUUUUAUACAUGUAUGCAUGCACAUCUUUUCAUUUAUUUGGAUAAUUAUUUAUUUAUUACUAAUAUUUUUAUUACAAGUAUUUGUACAGGAUCUCGAAAAUAUUUGUCGGCAAAGGCAUUCAUAGAAAACUUUAAAUUUUGUGUUUGUAUUUUUUGCAUUAUCACACUUGUACAAAUGUCAAUUAUAGUGAAAUAUUUAUUUUUGGGCGUUGGGUGGGAUAUUUUUUAUUUAUACAGUUUUCACCGUGAGUUAGGAAAAUCUAGGCCAUUAAUAUUUAUAUUAAAAUUAAUUUAGAUAUUUGAUUAAAUAAUUCACACUUUUUACACUAAAAAAUAUUAUGUAAUUUUUUCUUUAAAAAUAAUUUCUUUUUUUAUUCAUUCUUUGGCUUUCUUUUUUUAUAUAUCCUUGUACACAUUUGUUUAUACAUCUUUACUUGUGUUUAUAUAUAUAUAUAUUUUGCAAUAACAUAUGUAUUAUAUUAUUUUGUAUUUGCAGACAUUGAUUUUUAUUUUUAUCUUUUUUAAUAAUAAACCUAAGUCUGGCCGGUAACCACAUUUGUGGAUUCUAAAAGGUGCCUUAAUCCCUUUCCUUUGGAAUAAUUUGAACCCUUACCUAGAAUUCAAACUGGUUUCAUAUAUUAAAUAAAGUUAUACUUGUUAAAUAAAUAAAUAGGUUUUCUAUUUUUUCUUAAAAAUUAGGUGGCGACUCUAUUCAAAAUUAAUUCUUUUAGAGUCCACGUGCUUGGUGUGACCUUUGGUAAAAAUUGGGUGUGACAGUUUGACGACUCUACUGGGGAUACAAGGUUCUAACCAUUAUAGAUUUAGGUAAUUAUUUACGUUUUAUACAUUAUUAUUUAGUUCAUACUAAUUAUCUUGAUUUAUCUUGUUUAUGUGGCAUAAAUUAUUUAUUUGUUAUUAUUUUGUAUAGAUUGUUUAGUUGAUUAUCGCUUUAUAUAAAUUGGCAUUUCGUUUAUAUUUCUCCAUUUUAGAAUACUGACACUCACGUACAUUGUACACGCGGAUUGUACAUUGUACUUUCCCAAAAUUCUUUCAAAUCACCUUAUUUUAGAGAGUCGGUGCAUACGUGGGGUGAGCAAAAGUUGUACUGCUGCGGGACCACGCGCCUUCUCAUAUAGGAAAUCCAAGUUCGUUUCUACCCACUCUUAGUUAACAUAGGACAUAGCUAAAAUAACACUUUUUUAGGUGCAUGCAUCAUUUGUCAAUUUUAUGUCCGAAGGGUUUUACGACCCAAAUGACAUAUUAUUAUAGUCUUUGUACAUAUUUGAAAGAUUAUUGUAUCUGUAAAUAUUUGCUCUAAAUUGGUUAUAAUUUAGUAGGGAAGGUAUUUUUAACCUCUGUUUUGCAUGACGGAUCAGUUAAAAGAUGCAUCUUAGCAACAUCUCCACUAGCUGCGUAUAGGUUUGAACUACAUUUUGACCUGAUUCUUGUCCUAACAAGAUAUGUAAGAAACUCUGUUGAUACGAUUCAAAUGGCCGCCUUAUCUUUCUAUGACAUCAGUCGAAGUCAGUACGUGGGGCAUCAAGCUUUGGUCACAUUAAGAAAAUGGGAUCCUACAUGGACGGACCGAUUUGAAUACACCAAAGAGCAAUUCCACGUGUGAAAGAUUGCUGGGAGCAUUCAAGAUUGAGGAAUCACAAUUUUGGGCCUUCAUUAAGGACAUUUUGGUUACUUAACCUUGUCCAAGUAACACUCUAUGACCACCCCUUUUCAUUAAAGGUAUUGUGGUCAUUUUGUUAUGUAAUAAGUUAGACUAUAAAUAGGUUCUAUUAGUUCAUUUGCUAGUUAGUUUAUGAAAGAUGAAAGCUUGAAACACUUGAAAUCCUCUAUCUUGAGAGUAGACCACCUUAGUAUAGUCUUAGUUAGGACUUGAAAAAGUCAUCCUUAGUAUAGGGCUUGGAAAAGCCAAAAUUGUUCUUUGUUUGGAAAUGGUGGAUCUUGAGGUGAGUCGAUUACCUUGAGGAUCAUCGUAUGAGUGUGGUUUUGAUUAUUACAUUCAUUAGGGAUUAAUUUUGAAAUAUACUUGGUUCUUAAUCUUGUAAUAAUCUUGGUCUCACUAUCUAUCCUUUCAUUAUUUUGUAAAUCCGUGUGUUUUUGUGUUUGUCAUCUUGUAUCCCUUUGUGUUGCUUGCUGUUCUCAAGUUUUAUGGACUGUUUUGGCAUCUUGUUAGACUGAUUUGUAUCAUUUGGUAUCAGAGAAUGUCUUGAUAUUGUUCCCACAAGAUUAAUUUUGGGCUCGUAAACUUGAAAAUAAAAAAAAGGUGUUAGAAAAUUGUAAAAUCAAAAAGAGGCAAAUCUGUCCAUUUUUUGUGUUCUUAGCCGAAAUUGUGAUCUUGUUGUUGGUUUUUUGGCUGAGAUUUGUGUAAUUUAGGUGUGUUUUGCAUUUAGUAGUUAUUUCUAAGUGUUAGUUUUGUCUUCACUAACACCCUUGAGUCUAGAUCCUAGUUGAGGUUGAACAUUGUUGUUGGUAUUGUUGUUACGGUUUCAAGAACUUGAACAUUGUUGAUGUUGUUGUGUGGACCAAAACUUGAAGGUGGUUUGAGCUCUAGUUGUUGGUAUUUUUUAGUGGUUUUUAAUCUUGAAAAGGUAUUGUUGAUUGUUGGAGGUUCAACGUGAGGCUAGGUUUUCAAACUUCUAUUGAAAGUUCUUGUUAUUCUAGACUAUCUUCAAGUCUAGUUACAAAAAAGCUCUUCAAUAGUGUUGUUUGAUCCAAAAGCCAAGUGGAAAGAAGUGAGGCCUUUGUUAGUCUUUAAAACAAAUCCCAAAGACCUACCAAAAGGGAAGGGGGACAAAAAUAUCUACAAAAGACUUGGUACUAAAAGAGGAAAAAAACACUUUUCUAGGUGCCCAAAAGAUGAAAGCGCCACCAAUCCUUCAAAAAGGUUUCUUGCCCAAAAGGUGUUAGACAAGUCAAACCUUUUUGAAUGUGAAAAGGGGCUCCAAUCUUGAUAUUUUUCUUCCCCAAGGCCGAAAUACACUUCUUCAAGAAUUGAAAAUUGAACCAAAAUUUCAAAAUUGAAAAAUAAGAACCUUUCAAAAACCGCAACCAAUUCUAGACCGCCACAUCACCAAUUUUUGUACAAUACCAAAACUUAGGGCUUAGAACUUGGGUUCUUAGUUUGUUAUUGUUGUUUCUUAGUUUCAUAUUUUUUAUUCUUAUACUAAUUGGCAACUAGUAAAUACCUACUAAGUUGUAAAUUAGUUUUCGAAUACGUUUCUUUUGUGUCUUCGUUAUUUGUGUGCUUUUAUUGUUUGUAACUCAUAGUAACUUCUUUAUUUCAAGUUCAUAAGUGAAUUUUGUUGUGUAUUAAGUCAAUCAAAACAAGAAUCCAUUCUGGCCGCCAAGUAGGAUUUACAUCUUAUUGACUACCGUAGUAUAAGCAACUUUCAAUAUACGCCGCUACAAUUGUGAGAAUAACAAAGGUGAGUGUAUCAAGUGUUGGUAAGGAGAUUUUUGUUUUCUUUUGUUUGUUGUUGUCACUUUUUUUUGUUUUUUUAGGUACCAUGGCUGCACAUAAUUUCAAGGCCACGUGUGAUCGCAUCCAUAACGAUCUUGAAUAUAUGCAACAACACAUUAAAAUUAUACGCCAAUUGUUAUCCAAACUCUUCCCUCAAAAUCCAAUUGUCCAAACAACUAGCGAUAAGAGCUUUCUGAAGGAAAUUGCUGCCCAAUAUUGUGAAGGACGUUAACACCGAGGUAAAGACAAACAUACUCAUGAACAUCAAGAUAAAAUAGCUAACCCUUACACUUUUGUGCAUGUGAAUGGUAAUUGUGUGUCUAGUAUCUCAUUGAGUGUGAGUUAUAGCUUGCCUAUAUGUGAGUGUAUUAUUUCUUUGCCACUUUAUGAUGAUGUACUUUUUGUGAGUGUGGAUACACUAGUUGAUCCUAUUGAUGGCCGAAUCGACUCUUCUUGUAAGAUCGAUUUAUGUCCACCUAGUGUUGAAACCAUUGUGUCAAAUGAAAGUACAUCAUCUUAUGAAAUUUAUAUUGAUCAACUUUUAUGUGAAAAUUGCCUGUCACUUGACAAUAUGUGUGAUGUGAUUAAUGAAUAUCAAGUGUGUGAUGAUGUUGGAAAUAUUGAUCAAAGGAAUAGGAGUGACCUGAGAGCUAUUCUUGGGAUAAUCUUGCACUUGAAAUCUCUUUGAAACUUGAUAUUGAUCUUUUAGAGAGUGAUGAACGUGCUUGUUCUGAAUCUGCUCGUGAAAUAGAUCAUGCUUUCUUAAGGUAUAAUGUCUUGUUUUAAUAUGAUAUAACCACUGCUAAUGAACCUAGUGGUGGAAAUAAUGGUAUAUCUUUCCUUAGAAGCUAUAGCCGAUAUGCUAACCCACUAUGGUGUGACAAUAUUUCUCCUAAAGAUUGAAAUCUCUUCUUGGAAGAUGAGAGUACUCUUAAGAGUAAAGGAUGUGUGAUUUUGGAAACUACUUCUCCUUUUACUUUGUGUGACUUUAUUGUUGAGAGUACUCAUGGUGAUGAUUGUGAAACUACUAGUGAGUACACACAUGAGGGCACCUUAGUAGAAGUCGACUUGAGUGAUACCUUUUUCUACUUUCUAUUUGCUAUGGAUAAUAUGUAUGCUGUUGAAGAGAGUAUGCCAUUUAGUUUGGGUGGAGACCACGGGAAAGGGGAGUGUUGUCUAGACCCGUGUCUAUGGCCACUCUUUUUGUUUGACCCCGGUGCCAAAUAUAGAAUUGGUGAUGAUGGUGCACCCAACUUGUUGCUUGGUUUACAUGACAAGCAAAGUAUCAUUUUUGGUGAAUUCUAUAUCCAAAUCCUUUGUGCAUUAUUCAUUAAUUAUGUAAUAUUUAGUUCAAUGGGUCCUUGGUUAUAUUUUAAAUAUGUGCAACCUUGGCUUGUUGAGGUGAUUUAUCAUGCUUAACCUUACCCUCAUGCCAUGAGAAAUUUGUAUUUGUGUGUUCUUUCUUUGGUUUUUCAAGGUUUGGAUUCGAGGUCGAAUCCUUUUUAAGAAGGGGACGAUGAUACGAUUCAAAUGGAUGCCUUAGCUUUCAAUGACAUCAGUCGAAGUCAGUACAUGGGGCGUCAAGCUUUGGUCACAUUAAGGAAAUGGGAUCCUACAUAGAGGGGCCGAUUUGAGUACACCAAAAAGCAAUCCCAUGUGUGAAAGAUUGCUUGGAGCAUUGAAGAUUGAGGACUCACGAUUUUGGGCCUUCAUUAAGGACAUUUUGGUUACUUAGCCUUGUCCAAGUAACACUCCAUGACCACCCCUUUUCAUUAAAGGUAUUGUGGUUAUUUUGUUAUGUAAUAAGUUAGACUGUAAAUAGGUUCUAUUAGUUCAUUUACUAGUUUGUUUAUGAAAUAUGAAAGAUUGAAACACUUGAAAUCCUCUCGCUUGAGAGUAGACCACCUUAGUAUAGUCUUAGUUAGGACUUGGAAAAGUCAUCCUUAGUAUAGGGUUUGGAAAAGCCCAUAUUAUUCUUUGCUUGAAAACGGUGAAUCUUGAGGUGGGUCGAUUACUUUGGCGGUCACCAUAAAAUUGUGGUUUUGAUUAUUACAUUCAUUAGGGGUUAAUGUUGAAAUAUACUUGGUUCUUAAUCUUGUAAUAAUCUUGGUCUCACUAUCUAUCCUUUCAUUAUUUUGCAAAUCCGUGUGUUUUUGUGUUUGUCAUCUUAUAUCCCUUUGUGUUGCUUGUUCUUCUCACGUUUUAUGGACAGUUUUGGCAUCUUGGUGGACUGAUUUGUAUCAUCUAUAUUAAGGUUCGGUAUCUUUGCUGGUUUAAAAUAAUUUCUCCGAUGUUCAAAACAGGGGCAAUUUUCUAGAACAGUUCAAAAAUGCUCUAUAAAAGGCUUCAAGAGCGCAAAUCAAUAGCUCUUCAAAUCCAAAUCUCAUCGACAUUAGUGCCUAGCUGGCCUACCUUUAGAUCCUCACCUGAUUUUUGUGCAAUAAUACCUAAUUUCUUCUUUUGAACUUCGUAACCCAUUAAAUUUAUGGCAUAUCGAUACUCACUUUCAAAAUUAAGGAUUCAAUAUUUUUUUCAGUUAUAAUAAUUCUGCCAAGUGCAGAAAAAUAAUGUCAUAAUUCUUUCAAUAUCUAUUUUUUAAUCUUAUCAGCAUACUGAAGUUGUGUCAAAGCUCUCCCAAUUUUUGACAUCCAUUAACUCGAUCAUUUAAUCAGAACAAUUUUGAUGCUGCAAGUAGUUCUUUCCUGGCUAUUUUUCAUAUUAUUUUUUGAGAUUACCAUUUAUUUUUAUAAUCAUACAUUGCACAUACUAAUUCACAAAUUUGCCUGAACUACGCAGACUUGAUUCUUGUUUUCACAAGAUACGUAGGCAACCCUCAUUUGGGUUCGGUCCCAUUGUUUUUGAAAAAUAAUAAAUUUUUGACUUGGUUGGUACCAAUAUAGUUAGGAGUGUGCAUAAGAAAGAAAAAACUGGUAUGAUGUAAAGGAUCGAUUUCAUAGUAAACCAUAGAUUCUUUUGGUACCUUUUAUCAAACUUGAGUAACGCUUGAAAAUUCUAUUGCAUAUAUCUAAAACAGGAUCGAAACCAACCUCAUCAUUUCAUAUGCAUUGUGUUGUUUUCUUUAGUUUAAUUCAUUGUAUUGCAUUAUUGAUCUAGAACUUGAACUUAAUGUCUGUUGAGGAAAAAUUCUGAGUUGUACUUAGUUUAGGAAAGGACUGUAGGCCUUCUUUGACUUGAUUGAGCCUUUCAUUUCUCACCAAAUGACAUUAAUCCCUAGCAUUCCUUUAUUUUUUUUUAGCCUAAAACCUCAACCACAUCUGAGCCUAUAUCUUUUAAGUGCUUACAAGCACUAUUCCUCUCUUGGCCCUACCUUCUUGAGCAUACUAAAUAUGUGUAAAUUGCGGAUAAAGAUUCAAGAUCAAAGACGCAAAUUAUAAAUGAUGUAUUGUCCGUGUUUUUUUGUGUUUGUCAUCUAGUAUCCCUUUGUGUUGCUUGUUUUUCUCAUAUUUUGUGGACUGUUUUGGCGUCUUGAUGGACUGAUUUGUAUCAUCUAUAUUAGGGUUCGAUCUCUUUGCUAUUUUAGAAUAAUUUCUCUGGUGUUCAAAAUAGGGGCAAUUUUCUAGAACAGUUCAAAAAUGCUCUACAAAAGGCUUCAAGAUCGUAAAUCAAUAGCUCCUCAAAUCUCAUCGACAUUAGUGCCUAGCUGGCCUGCCUUCAUAUCCUCACCUGACUUUUGUGCAAUAAUACCUAAUUUCUUCUUUUUGAACUUCGUAACCCAUUAAAUUUAUGGCAUAUCGAUACUCACUUUCAAAAGUAAGGAUUCAAUAUUUUUUUUAGUUAUAAUAAUUCUGCCAAAUGCAGCAAAAUAAUGUCAUAAUUCUUUCAAUAUUUGAUUUUUUAAUCUUGUCAGCAUACUGAAGUUGUGUCAAAGCUCUCCUAAUUUUUGACAUCCAUUAUCUCGAUCAUUUAAUCAGAACAAUUUUGAUGCUGCAAGCAGUUCUUUCCUGACCAUUUUUCAUAUUAUUUUUCGAGAUUACUAUUUCUUUUUAUAAUCAUAUAUUGCACAUACUAAUUCACAAAUUUUCCUGAACUACGCAGACCUGAUUCUUGUUUUCACAAGAUACGUAGGCAACCCUCAUUUGGGUUCGGUCCCAUUGUUUUAGAAAAAUAAUAAAUUUUUGACUUGGUUUGUACCAAUAAAGUUAGGAGUGUGCAUGAGAAAGAAAAAAAUGUUAUGAUGUAAAGGACCGAUUUCAUAGUAAACCAUAGAUUCUUUUGGUACCUUUUAUCACACUUGAGUAACACUUGAAAAUCUGUUGCAUAUAUCUAAAAUAGGGAUGAAAUCAACCUCAUCAUUUUAUAUGCAUUGUGUGGUUUGCUUUAAUUUAAUUCAUUGUAUUGCAUUAUUGAUCUAGAACUUGACCUUAAUGUCUGUUGAGGAAAAAUACUGAGUUGCACUUGGUUUAGGAAAGGACCGUAGGCCUUCUUUGACUCGAUUGAGCCUUUUAUAUCUCACCAAAUGACAUUAAUCCCUAGCAUUCCUUUAUUUUUUUAGCCUAAAACCUUUUCUUUGGACAACCACAUCUGAGCCUAUAUCUUUUAAGUGCUUACAAGCACUAUUCCUCUCUUGGCCCUAUCUUCUUGAGUGUACUAAAUAUGUGUAAGUUACGGAUAAAGAUUCAAGGUCAAAGACGCAAAAUAUAAAUGAUUUGUUGUUCUAGAUGAAUAAAAACAUGACUUCAAAAGAAGCAGAAGCCCCACCAAAAAAAAUGAGAAAAUAAAGGUUCAAAAUAAGUCGAAGCAAAUAAAAAAUGAGGGGAAACUAUGCAUAACUAAGAAUAUCAUGCGUCAAAGCACAACAAACUUCAAAAGCACAAAUGCAGUGCAAUGCUCAUUUUUAUCUCAUAUAUCAUCCUGCCCAUCUCCAAGCCUGUAUUACAAGCCGAUAACAAGUCUUACAAAGUUCUAUUUCAAGUGUUCUCACAUUAGUGGAUACUGACAUGAAGGUCAAGUGUAAUACCCCGUAAAUUUUCCAACUCAUUAGAGCUUCCAAACCAUGCAAAGAAAGGCUUAACACUUAAAAAUUUGUUAACACUUAAAAAUUUGGCUAAGUGUUGAAACUUUUUUAUUUCUAUAAGCAUUCUGAACUUUGACGAAUUAUUUCAUGACCUUGCCAACCUCUGUUUUUAGAUUUUCAAGUUGCAUUGCGAUGGGGCAAGGUCAUAGUAUAUCUCAGGUAAGUUUCAGAAUUUUUUGAGUAGCGUAAAGGCACGUUUGGUGUGCCAAACCAGUAGCAAAAGGUGUUUAGACCGCACUGCCUAGCUUUCAGCACUACUGUAGCCAAGGCGUCGCCCUAGUUACAACACCGUUGUAGCUAGGCGCUGCCUAGGGUUCUCCCCUGGGCUAGGCCAAAAUUCACCAGUUCCAAUCAGUGGUUUCAAGGGCAAAAUUGUAACCUUCCAACCCUUAUAUAUACCCUUUAACAUGAGAUUCCUCAUAUUUUCACCCAAAUAUUGUUAGUUUCUCUCAAAAUUGUUCAAGAACAAGAGCUAGGGUUCAUAGUUCAAGACCCAAAUCAUCAAGGUUCCUCCAUAAAUCUUCCAAGAAUUUAAUAGCUAGGUAUGCAAGUAUUGAUUCUUGGGUUCCUUCCACCCAAGAAGUUCAAGAAUCCCUUUGUUUUAAAUUCAAGAUAGAUGGUUCAUGAGUUUUUCAUAGUUUAUGUGAAUUGGGUUUGAAGGUCAUGUUGUUGUUGAGUUUUACUUCAUGUUAUGAUUAUAAAGUUGAAAACUUUGACCUUAUUAUGUAGUAAUUAUGUGAUGUUCAUGAUAAGUACCUUCAAGGUGUAUGUUGAUUGAUUGUUCAUGAGAAUUAGGUGUGGAAAUUAUUAUAUGACCAAAGCAUGCUCCCCAUGUGUUUGAUAAAAUGUUAUAUGAUAAAGAGCUGCCUUCACUACUUUAGCCCAUUCAAUAGUUGCUCAGAACAGUUUGCAGAAUGUUUUCCUAACUAGGCUUUUGACUUACACUCAGCAGAAUAAGGGAAGAGAGCAUAGAAUGAGUUAGAGGGCUAGAACAAAUCACUCUAUGCCAAGAUGAAGGGGUAGUGACCGCUUCUAGUUCUAUUAGAGGCCCUCAACACCAGUUCUACUAUCAGUCCAGGCACCAGUACAUAAGUCUAAGGGUAUCAAUCAGGGAGGAGCACAAAGCUCUAGGUCACAAGAUCGUAGAAAAGGUGUUCUCACUUAUCAACUUUGUGGAGAAUAUGGUAAGAACCAUAAGAGAGUGUGUAGAGUGGGCAAUGAUUUAUGCUUUGGAUAUGGUGAGACAGGUCAUAGACUACAGGAGUGUAAAGUAUUGGCUCAAAGAGGUAAGGAUCCGCAUCAGUAGGGUGCCACUCCUAGUACCACUAGUGGUCAGUGUUAGAACUGACUAUAUUCACUUCAAACACGCCAUGAUCCAAAAAGUUUCCCUACUAGAUUUGGGUAUGUUAUGAGUCUUUUAUCUCUAUGAUAUGCUUUGUUAGAUCCCCUGCAUCAUGCAUUAGUUUUAGACUCCCGAGGUUCAGUUAUAAUCUAUUUCGUAGAUGCCCUGUACGUCGCCUCAGUACAUCAGGAAAGUAAGUAUUCUUAGAGGGACAUAGUGUCCCAAGGGGUAGAUACCUCAUAAUUCCCUAAUGCUCACAUGUUCCUAAGACCCAUUCAGUUUCAUGCUCAUAUUCUCAUUACAAGCUUUGCAUCAGUCAUUAUUGUGUAAUCAUUCACGCUUUCAAGAAUCAGUCCAGUCACAUGCUCAUGCAUUAGAUGUGCGUGUUCAGUAGAAAAGUUUAGCUUAUCAGUGUAUUCAGUUAUGCAUUCAUAAAAGUAACUCAGUCAAGUACCCAUGCAUCAGAUAUGUAUGUUCAUUAUGAGAAUUCAGCUUAUCAAUAAUUUCAAUCAGGUAUUCUAUGCAUCAGCUAUGCAUAUUUAGUAGAAGAUUGCAGUACGUCAGUAAUUCUAGUCAUAUAGUCAUGUUCAGUUGUUCGCAUCCCUUAAGUAAGUUUAGUCUAUCGGAAAUCUCAGCUUAGUCAGCCACAUUCAAGGACGAAUGUUCCUAAGGGGAAGAUAAUGUAAUACCCCAUAAAAUUUCCAAAUCAUUAGAGCUUUCAAAUCAUGCAAAGAAAGGCUUAACACUUACAAAUUUGGCUAAGUGUUGAAACUUUUUCAUUUCUAUAAGCCUUCCGAACUUUGUAGAAUUAUUCCAUAACCUUUCCGACCUCCGUUUUUAUAUUUUCAAGUUGCGUUGCGAUGGGGAAAGGUCGUAGUACAUCUCUGAUAAGUUUUGGAAUUUUUGGAGUAGCGUAAGGGCACGUUUGGUGUGCCAAACCAGUAGCAAAAGAUGUUUAGCCCAAGCUGCCCAGAUUUCAGCAUUGCUAUAGCCAAGGUGCCACCCUAGUUACAACACCAUUGUAGCUAGGCGCCGCCCAGGGUUCUCCCUCGGGCUAAGCAGGGCAUUGCCUAGGAUAUAGCCCUAGGCCAAAAUUCAACAAUUCCAAUCUGUGGUUCCAAGGGAAAAAUUGUAACCUUCCAACCCUUAUAUAUACCUUUUAACACGAGAUUCCUCAUAUAUUCACCCAAAUAUUAUUAGUUUCUCUCAAAAUUGUUCAAGAACAAGAGCUAGGGUUCAUAGUUCAAGACCCAAAUCAUCAAGGUUCCUCCGUAAAUCUUCUAAGAAUUUAAUAUCCAGGUAUGCAAGUAUUUAUUCUUGGGUUCCUUCCACCCAAGAAGUUCAAGAAUCCCUUUGUUUUAAAUUCAAGAUAGAUGGUUCAUGAGUUUUUCAUGGUUUAUGUGAAUUGGGUUUGAAGUUCCUGUUGUUGUUGAGUUUUAAUUCAUGUUAUGAUUAUAAAGUUGCAAACUUUGACCCUAUUAUGUAGUAAUUAUGUGAUGUUCAUGAUAAAUCCCUUCAAGUUGUAUAUUGAUUGAUUGUUCAUGAGAAUUAAGUGUUGAAAUUGUUAUAUGACCAAAGCAUACUCCCCAUGUGUUUGAUAAAAUGCUUGUGUGAAGGAAAUUGGGUCAUUAUAACAUGUUAACUUGAAACCCCCAAAUUUAGUAUAUGCCAUACAUGCCAAGUGUUUAUGGAAUGGCCAUAGUGAAUGAAUUAUUGUAUGUUGUGUGCAUUCCUAUCCUUGUGAAUUCCUUGUUGAAUGAAUUGUUAUAUGUUAGCAUGAAGUCCCCAAUUAUGUACACUUGAAUGUAUGUUAUGUGUUUAUUGUAAGACCUUGUGAGAUGAGUUAUGAAGUAUUGGCAUGCGUUCCCUUUGUAAAUAUAUUUUAGUAUUUUCAAGUGCUUGAAGGGAUGCCUUUUUGAGUGUAUGGUUAAUCUAUUGCUAUGAUAUUAAUGAUUUGUCAUGAAUUCAAGAGGUCAUGUUUUGUCAGUUUCCUUCUAUCAAGUCCUGGGGGUACUUGUACCCAAAAAAUAUAGCUGUAUGCCUAGAGCCUAGUCAUUCUCAAGAUAAUUUUAGUCGUGCUAUGAUCAGUAGAACUCAGUCAGUUAUAGAAUUCAAAACUCUUAGACAGUUAUAGAACUUAAGAAAUCUCAGUAAUCUAAGUAUCGUUAACAUUCCAGCUUCAGUUUAGUACUCAGCUCAGAUCUCAGUAGAAUUUAAGAAAUCAAUUCAGAACUUAGUAUCAUUCAUUCAGAUAAUAGAUUCUCUAGUAUUCCGUUAGAUAACGAAACCAAGUGAACUUAGUCAGCUCAGUCAAGUAAGAAAAUCAGUAACAAAUUCAGCUCAGUCUAAGUACACUUCUAAGAAUCAAGUUAGUGUUUUUCAAUUAGGAGUACGAUUUAGCAACGAGCGAGGGAAGAGAUGGCAACUUCCCCAUUAUUUAGGCAGAUUCAUUAGUAGCAAUCCCUAUACCUCCAGAACUGCAUAGCCAGUGUAGGAUAAGGAGUAACCCAUCAUAUUAUGCUUGACUACCUCCCUGGAGUCACCCGUCGUAUUAGGCUUGGCUCCCACCAGGUGUCACCCAUCAUAUUAGGCAUAGCAUCCUGGGUUCAGAUAGCAAUGUAUUUACCCGUGGCACGGUACUGACACCCUUCCAACUGAGGUUACAGGUUGGACCCCAAAUAAGCUAGAAGGGGUAUGUCGGUUAGAUGAAUACUUCCCACAAUCUCAGUUUCAGAUUCAGUUUUAGAAAUAGAAUUCAGUUGAGUAGUCACCCAUUAUAUUAGGCUUGACUACCACUCAGAGGUUACCCAUUAUAUAGGCUUGAUCUCAAAUUCAGACAAUCAUAUUCAUUAUCAGUAAACUCAGAGAUCACCCAUUAUAUAGGCUUGAUGUCAAUUCAGUUUAUCAAGUAUCAAAUAUCAUUACCAGUAAACUCAGAGGUCACCUGUUAUAUAGGCUUGAUCUCAAAUUCUGACAAUUAUAUUCAUUAUUAGUAAACUCAGAGGUCACUCGUUAUAUAGGAUUGAUCUCAGAUUCAGUUUAUCAAGUAUCAGAUAUCAUUACCAGUAAACUCAGAGGUCACCUGUUAUAUAGGCUUGAUCUCAGGUAUAAUAAAUCAGUAUCAGUAUCCAGUAAGAUUAGACAUCAAUCUCAAUAAACUCAAUUAUUUAGUCUCUCAGUAUUAGUAAAAUCAGACAUCAGUACUAGCAGAUCCAGUCAUCAGUAAGUCAGUAUUCAGAGAGCUGUAUUCAGUGUUUCUGCGAUUCCAAUUUUGGUUUGUGCAUUCAUACAUAGAUUCCUAUUCAGUACUCUUAUGUUAUUCAGUUAAGUAAUGUUCAUGCAUAAGCCCUUAUAUUUAGCCUUAUCUCAUCUUGCAUACUCAGUACAUUCCCACGUACUAACACAUUUGCACUAUUGCGCCAUAGGUUCAGAAGCACGAGCCCCAGAGCAUCCUUAACAGCUCAGUUUCUAUCAGUAGUAGUAGACCUAGUAGUGAGUCCUCAUCAUUCGAGGAUGAUUAUUAUUUUAGUGUUACAUUAGACUUAGUUUAUUUUAUUAGACAGAUUUAGUUGGGGACCUGUCCCAUUAACUCUACAGCUCAGACAAUUUAGAGGCUUUCAGACUAUAGAUUUUUCAGACAGAUGUAUUAGUAUUCAGUUUUUAGUUUUGAGUUUUUUAGAUGUUUUGAACCUUAUGGCAAGUUUUCGCCAGCUUUCCGCAUUUAUAUUCAUAUAUUAUGCAGUGUAUAGGUAUAGAUAUCAGUCAUGGGUUAGCUUGUGGUCCUUCGGGAUCAUGAGCACCGUGUAGCAUUUCGGUUCAAAAAAUUAAGGCAUUACAUCAAGCCCAUGGUAUCAUAAUUGUAUGCAUUGUAUUCCUUUCUGAGUGUGAGUGUUUUCUUGAUACGUUCCAAAAUUCAAAAAAAAAAAUACUCAAAUGUGUGCGAAAUAAGAUAUUCUUUUACUCAAAUAUAUGCGAAAUGGGACUUUCUUUCGGGAGAGGGAACUUGAAGCAUGAGAAUAAUCAUAGCUCAAAUCUUUAUUUGAAGCAAGAUGAAUAACUCUUAUCUAUGCUUAGGAAUGCAUAAGGUACCACUUGAAACUAUAGGAGUUACCCUGAAGUCGAUCUCGGUUAGCUAGGAACAAGAUGGGGGAAUUCUUAUACACACUGCUAAUUAUUGGUACCAACUGAUGUCAAGACACAAUCAUGUCAUCUUCAUCUUUCAACACUUUUUACCAAGAAAAUGCAAAAUUCUUUUUUUUUUUAAGACAACAUAGGGCAUUUCUAUUUUUUAUCUUUCAUUUAAGGCGUCUCACUUUACAUACAUGCAUUUUUACUUUUCAUUCAAGGCGCCUAAUUUUGAAAUAUGGGCAUUUGACUUUUUCUUUCAAGCACAUACCUUUAAUAUCGAUAUUUUACUCUUUUUGUCAGGCACUCAUCUUGAGUAUUUUAUAUUCUUUAUAGUAUUACCAGUUGAGAGGCUACUAGAGUUCAACCACUUCACUAGUUAAGGGUCUCUAUCUUCGUAGGCAAUCGAAGACGACAAUAAACAUCAGCCUCCAUAAGAAUUGGAGAUGUUAGGCAUCAAGUCUCCAUAAGAAAUCAGAGACAUGCACUUUUUUAAUAACAAGAUUUGUUUAAGUUCCUUUCAAAAAAGCAAUGUCAACAUAAAUAAUACACUAGGGCAAAUUUUGAGAGCCACCUUAAAAUUUACUCUAUUUCUUUAUUUUGAAUUACAUUGACCUAAUUCUCGUAAUAGUCGGGAUAUGUAGGAAUCUCUAUGCAGAGUUCGAUCAUGACAACCACAAUCAUUCUUUCUCACCAACAAGUACACAAUCUUGCAUUUUUCAGCAUCUCACAAUUUGAUACUAGGGCAAUUUUAAAAGCAACAUCGGCAAUAUGUGAAUAUUUUCAUUCCCAAAUAAUUUUUUUUCUCUAUAAUCAUUUUUUACAUGGGUUUGUCAACCCUAAAAUAGGAUAAUUGAGUAAGUUUGUCAUCCAAUAAGACAGUUAUGCAUGUUUUCCUUCAAUUAAAUAUUUAUGCUUGCUUGUCUUUACUUGCACAUAUCGUACUUUAUUUUUUUUGCACUGUAUGCUAUCUUUGCCUUUACUUGAACGCAUCACAAUUUAUUUUUUUUAUCAUUUGUUAUUUAAGCACUGUAUGUUUUCCUUGUCUUUAUUUUCACAUUUUGCAUUGCAUUUAUUUUAUUAUUUAAACACUGCAUGCUAUUUUCUCCUUUGCUUGCACAUAUCACAAUACAUUUAUUUUAUUAUUUAAGUACUGCAUGCUAUUUUCUCCUUUGCUUGCACAUAUCACAAUACAUUUAUUUUAUUAUUUAAGUACUGCAUUUUAUCUUUGCCUUUAUUUGCACGCAUCACAAUGCAUUUAUUCUAUCAUUUAAGCACUGCAUUUUAUUUUUGCCUUUUCUUGUAUGUAUCGCAAUGCAUUUAUUUUAUCAUUUAAGCACUGCAUUUUAUUGUUGUCCUUACUUGCAUGCACCGUAAUGCAUUUAUUUAUUUUAUCAUUUAAGCACCACAUCCUAUCUUUAUCUUUAUCUGCACGCAUCCCAAUGCAUUUAUUUUAUCAUUUAAGAAUCGCAUGUCAUUUUUGCCUUUAUUGGUACAUAUUGCUAUGCAUUUAAGCACUAUACACACAUAUUGCAAUGCAUUUAUUUUAUCCUUUAAGCACUGCAUGCCUCGCAAAUAUCGCAAUGCAUUUAUUUUAUCAUUUAAGAACUGCAUGCCUCGCAAAAAUUGUAAUGCAUUUAUCUUAUCAUUUAAGCACUGCAUGUCAUCUUUUCCUUUGCUGGAAACAAAUCGCAAUGCAUUCAUUUGUCAUUUAAGCACCGCAUUUUAUUCUUAUCUUUACUUGCAUGAAUCGCAAUGUAUUUAUUUAUUUUAUCAUUUAAGCAUCGCAUGUCAUUCUUGCAUUUACUCGCACUUAUCUGAAUGUAUUUAUUUUAUCAUUUCAGCAUCGUAUGUCAUUCUUGUCUUUAUCAGCGCAUAUUGCUAUGCAUUUAAGCACUACAUAUGCACAUAACUCAAUGCAUUUAUUUUAUCAUUUAGGCACUGCUUCCUCGCAAAUAUUGCAAUGCAUUUAUUUUAUCAUUUAAGCAUUGCACGCACAUAUCACAAUGCAUUUUAUCAUUUAAGCACUGCAUGCCUCUCAAAUAUCACAAUGCAUUUAUCUUAUCAUUUAAGCACUGCAUGUCCUCUUUGUCUUUGUUGGCAACAUAUUGCAAUACAUUUAUUUGUCAUUUAAACACUGUAUUUUAUUCUUACCUUUACUUGCACGUAUCACAAUGCAUAUAUUUAUUUUAUCAUUUAAGCAUAGCAUGUCAUUCUUGUCUUUAUCGGAGAAUAUUGUUAUGCAUUUAAGUACUACACACAUAUAAUGCAAUGCAUUUAUUUUAUCAUUUAGAAACUGCACGCCUUGCAAAUAUCGCAAUGCAUUUAUUUUAUUAUUUAAGUACUGUAUGCUAUCUUGGCCCUUUACCAGCAUAUAUUGCAGUGCAUUUAUUUUAUUAUUUAAGCACCAAAUUUUAUUUUUUCUUUUACUUGCACAUCGCAAUGCAGUUACUUGUUUGUACUUUGUAGAUAUUUUAUAUAUAUCCUCGGGUUAUAUGGUUAUAAACUUUUUUAUCUUUGCUCAAACUAUCUCGAUAUGUGGUAAUUUGUGGGGGUACGUACAAGGGGUCUUUUUGUAUUUUUGGUGUAAAUGUUUUUUGAAAUAUCUUAUUCAUGUUCAUGUUCUGAUAUCUUUGUCCACUUACUCCUUUUCUUGUACCUGCAAUUGUAGAUUGAUAAACGUUAUGGGUUUUGUGGAGUGUCCCAUCGUCUCCUUUUAACUCUGGAAUUUUAAUGUCUCCUUGUAUUUGCUUUUAUUCACCCAUUUUGAACAAAUAUUAAUUAUAGUGAAAUCUUUAUUUUUUGGGGGCGUUGGGCGAGGAUGUUCUUUAUUUAUACAAUCUUUACCAUGCGUUAGGCAAAUUUAGGCCGUUAAUAUUUAUAUUAAAAUUAAUUAGAUAUUUGAUUAAAUAAUUCAUACUUUUUACACUAAAAAAACAUUAUGUAAUUUUUUAUUACAAUAACAUAUUUAUUAUAUUAUUUUUGUAUUUGCAGACAUUGAUUUUUCUUUUUAUCUUUUAAUAAUAAACCUAAGACUAGUCGAGAACCACAUUUGUGGAUUUUGAAGGGUGCCUAAUCUCUUUCCUUCGGAAUAAUUUGAACCCUUAUCUAGAAUCUAAAAUUGAUUUAUAGAUUAAAUAAAGUUAUACUUGUUAAACAAAUAAAUAGGUUUUUUUAUUUUUUCUUAAAAAUUAGGCGGCGACUCUAUUCAAAAUCAAUUCUUUUAGAGUCCAUAAUAUAGUGCUCAUUUUGACCUUAGGUAAAAAUCUGGUAUGAAAUGUACAUAACCCCAACUAUAUGCCAGAACAAAAUCAAAGAACGAAUAUAAUAAAGUGACUAAAAAUUAACAAGGCCUUCGAAAUGAUGGAUGGCUCACCACUUCUCACCAAUUGCCCAACAGGAUAACGAACCACCUAACACUACACAAGGUCACAAGAAAAUGCAUCCAAACCACAUGAUGAAAUGAUGUAGCAUCCGAGACGGUCAAUACAAUGAGUGCUGGCGUGUAAUCCAAGAAAAGAGAUAAAAUAUGCCAGUACCAAAAGCAGUCGUAAAAUACGUGAUCACACUCCAUAAUAAUAAUAAAUUAAGGGGAAGGGGACAAGGAACAUAAAGAUAUGACCAUUUAAAAUUUAAUCCUGAACUAUGUAGCUUACACUGACCUUCAGUCACUCACGUACUAUAUGGGUCCGGUUCUCUCCACCCGAGGAUCCCUAAUCCCUGUUAACUGCAUGAACAGAGGUUUAGCAUAAAAUCACCUAUAGACAAUAACAUCCCAAAAGAAUAACUGUAUACAAAUGCAUGUAGCAAUCACAUAGUGAUCAGAGACUCCCAACGUCAGCAAAUAUGGCAUCAAGUGUUGAUCACAAGAACUACACCUUCUUGGUGAAGCUAAAUAAUUCCCAUUAAAGCACACUUAAAACAUUUUCUCACACCAUUAAGCAUGAAGUUUCCAUUAAGGCAUUCCCAAAUUUGGCAUCAUCAUACUAAGACUUGUAAACCAUCCAUAUAAUGCCAUACCAUUACUAUUUAACCAUUUAAACUCCAAAUUCCAAUUCAAAAAUUUGUAUACCUUUCCCUAAGGGCAAUUAAUGAGUUAUGUAAACCAUUUUCCAUUAAUUUCAUCCAAUGUUUCAUAGGAAGUGUUAAACACUAGAAAAUCCUCAUUAAAAACCAAAUUUAUAAAAUGGGUUGAGGCUCAUAUUAGUAACACCUUGAACUUUCAGGCUAAAGUUAAACCGUCUUUCCUAUGUUUAUGAACCCGAACUGUAAUACUCUGUACUAUUCUUAGAUUAAUUAAGCUUUUAUUUGCAUGCCUAAGGGGUUUCAGGCUCGAAAUUUUCACUAAGUAUUAGGGGCUUAGUCAUCUUCAAGACCCCAAAACUUCGAGGAUUUAUAUUUUAACCUUUAUAACCCUGAGAUGAUAGUUUUUGAGUUAAUUCAUGUUCAUGGAUGUAAAAAGUAUGUAUCGAGGUUUUUUCAAAAUUUUCAGACAAGGUUUGGUUCAUAUUUAGAUCACGAUUCCAGCAAGUCACUACGAUAACAUUUCCAUUGGCACGUACAUCGCAUUGCGUGAAGGUGUUUUUAUCUAGUUCUUGAUUUAUAAUUUGAAUGUAUGUGUCAUGAUCUUUAUCCUAGUUUUAAGUGCUUAUUAGGUAAAAAAUAUUCAUAGAAAUUACUUAGAACAAAGUUGAGCAAAGAGCCUUUGAUUCGUCCAAAAUUCGGUAUUCAAUUCUAUAAGGAUCAACUUCAAAUGUGUAUAACUUUUGAUAUUUGUGGAAUUUUUCUGAUCAAGACCCACCUAAUUUUAGAUAAUUAAAUUAGCUUUCCAACGAUAUAAAUUUCGCCUUAAUCUGAUACCCGAGAGAAAUGUUAUGACCAUUUUGUCUGAACCAAUAAACCACUGUGAUAAGACUGCAUCACAGUGGGCAUGUAAAAUGCAGUUAAGGAUUUAAAAAUGUCAAAAAGGAAAUUCGGUCUUUUACCCCUCAACCUAGUCAUUCAUAACACAACUUGGAGCAUCAGUUAGGAUAUUAUUUUCCCUUUUUUUCUAAUUAACUCUCAAGAAAAACCCUCCCUCUUCUCAAAAACACAUUCUAUUCCUUUAUCCCCCAAGAAAUAAGGAAUUCAAGAUUUCCAAGAUCAAGAUCCUUCAAGAAAGCAUCAAGAUUAGGGUUUCAUCCCUAAGUUAAGAAACUUAAGGUACGUGGAACUAUCCUAAAAACUCCAUGGGCAUGAGUGAUUGUCUUACAAAGUUUUGAAUGCAUAUUAUGAUUUUUAUAAAAAGGUUUUAAGCAAUUGAUUGUAUAGCCGAAUCAUGAAAUCCUUUUCCAUGAUAUAAUGUUUUGGUCUUGAGGCCUUCUCUUGAAUUUGAACCAUACUCAUGUAUGCAUGAACAUGCAUUUUUGUCUCUGAAAUUCGAAUUGAGAGCAUGAAUAACUAAACUCCCUCUCUUGUUGUGAGAUCCUUUGAUUUUAUGUGUUAUGAGUUGUUCCAUUGCAUAAUUGAAAGUAUAAUAUAGCCAUUUUUUACUAUUGUUUAAGGACUUGAUUUGGUUGUAAAUUAAAGAGAGGGUGUUUUCUAGGUUGUAAAUGUUAAAUAUGAUUAUUGAAAGAAUUGCAUAGUUUGCUACAAGGUAAUUGGCCACCACAUGUUUAAGAAUUGAAAGAGAGAAUCCUUGCAUAAGUUUUCAUAUAUUUUGAAAUACAAAUUCUCUUGUACUAUUUGAAUGAUUUAUUGGUCCAAACAUUAUGUUUUGAAUGAAAAGAUUAUAACAUGAUAUUGUAUGGCUUACCAACUUGCAAGUCUCGGUAUGACGAUACCAAAUUAGAAAAAUGCCAUAACAGACUCAGACCAGACUAGACUAUAGACUAUUUAGACUUUAGACCAUGUUUUGAGAAAGAUGAAUGUUUUAAAAGACUAAAAUUAGGAUUAAAGAGAGUCAGAUGGUUACCCGAAGAAGGCAUUUGAGUGUAAGGGCACAUUACUGGAAACCAAAUUUUGUCAACUCAGGAUAUAUGAUUGACAUUCUGAACACGUGAAUAACCAAUGCAUUCUUACCUCUGAGCACUGGUAUACUAGAAUAGUAUGUAGAACCUUGAUCCUUACGCAAACUUGGAUUUAGGUCUUGGCCAAUGAGUUAAUGGAGGAACCAUAUAGCCCGUGGGUACUAGAUUUAUAGGGUGUACCAUAUGGCUCAGAAAAGAAAUAAAGAGUUAAGUCAUGAUUUCAAGAAAAUGUAUUAAAGCUCAUCAAGUUAUGCCCAUGCAUAUCAAAUAUUUUAUGAUGACAUAUUUUUAUAUAAUUCUCUCACUUUUGUUGUAUAAAAAUAUUUUAUUUUUGGAUUAUUCUACGUACCAGUACCUUUUUGUAUUGAUCCCCUAUAUUUUAGCUUCUGUGGUAUGGUCCCAUGGUCCAUCACAUCAGUAGAGCACUUAGGAUAUGAUAGAAUUGGUGAGCCAUCCAUCUUUCAGAAGCCGUUUAUUUAUAUGUUGAGUUUUUCAAUAUAUGGUCCAGCCGAGGGCUUUGUCUCGACCUAGAUAGUUAGUAUUCAGUAGAGGCUGUGUAGACGGUAUUUGAAAUGCUGUAUUAUCAUAUUUUUUUAACACAGUUUGUAUUAUAAAUUCCCUUGAAUUUCAUCAUAUCUUCCGUACUUGAUUUAUUUAUGGAUUAUGUUCAUGAUAGCAUGUUGUGGGGUUUGUUGGGACUUUGUGGCUUGAGAUGCCCGUCACGGCUAGGGCCUCAGCUCGGGUCAUGACAAGAUUUGUAUCAGAGCCAGGUUCAUGAUCCCAGGGUGUCUACGAAGCCAUGUCUAGCAGAGUCAUACUUAUGGUGUGUUGUACACUACACUUAUAAUCAAGAGGCUAGCCGGGAUUUAGGAGUUAUUUCCCAUUCUUUCAUACUCUAGUUCAUUCUAUAGCAUCUUUUAUAUGAAAGUUAUCCAAAUUAUUUCCUUCUUCUAAUUUUAUAGGUCAGGCCUCAUUGUCGAGGUGAUACAAGUUCAAGAGUUUAAAUCCCUAACAAUGUGGUCCUUUCUGAUAGAGUUAUUUGUGAAGAUAUGAGAUACCACAAGGACUUGAGAGGAGUCCAUUAGUGCUUCAAAGUUAUUGAUUCUAGUGUAUACCUCUAUCUUAAUUAAAUCAUAUUUUUCAGCCUGAGGUAUGAAGUGUACUCAGUCCUUUUCAAAAUCCUUGUUAUUUCAUGCUUAAGGGUAAAGGUAUGUGACAAAAUGUUGGAAUAGUAUUUCCACCCGAGUAGUAGUAUAUGCUAAGAUGUCAUACCUUAUUGGUAGUAAGAUGAUCCCAAAGUUAUUUAUAUGAAGUCACAAGUCCAGAAGCUAGAGUGAGGGUGACUUUCACAUAAAUGAGUAGUUUUAAUUGUAUAACUCUUGACCGAGGGGUAGUUCGCUCAUUUAUGGUAAUUGGCUAAUGUUGUAUCAAGAUUUGUAGAUUGUAUAUAGUCUGUGAAGGAAAUGGUUAGCCAUGAUUGUUAUUUAUUCAAAACAGCAAAGGAGCUUAGAGUGGAUAGUUAUGGUGGUUAUAGAAAUCAUUUAUAGGCUGUGAAUAAAAAGGGGUAGAUUAGUUAAUAAAUUAUGGGUAGAGACUCAUUGUUGUAUAUGGAACUUGAAGGUAGUGGGGAUGUAUGUAUGGGUAAGUAAAUAUGACGUGAGAAAGUGGAAUGUGUUGAUAAUAUCGUAAUGGCUUAUAUUAUAAGAUUAAUAUCGACAACCCUUGUUAUGUGAUUUUACCCCUUAAUUGUCUUUUCCUAUAAUAGUUGUAAACUAGUACAACACGUGGGAAGGUGUGUGAGAGAGUCUAAGGUCUAGUAGUAGUAUUCUGGAGAGAAUGAACUUAUGGGCCACAGUUACGUGAAAUAAGAGACUUAGGUUGAUAUUUUUAUUCGAUUGGUUAGUAUAGUAUAUGGCAUGCUUCAUAUGAUGGGUGUUGUUAGGAAAUAGGCUUAAACUUUAGAUGUGGAGUGGAGUGGUAAGAAUAGUAACUCAAAAUUGAUAAUGCAUGUUUUGUAGGAAUGAACUAGUAGGUUUAAUGUGAGAUAUGAAAUGACCUAGGUUGGCAAUUUGUCAAAGAAAGAGUGGAUAAUUGUUAUCUAUGUACAAGGCUACAGUCAAAACAAUGAAUCAUGGUUGAGUCUUUAAGUGGAUAAGAAUAUUAGGUAUAUAAAAAUAAGUUGAAACCUCUAGGUAGAAUGUUAUUGGAUAAGGUUUGAUGUGUCUAAGUGUAAUAUGUACCUAAUUCAUGUUCUUGAAUUGUGUAGUACGGGAAAAACUAAGGAAUUAUUGUGUGAUGUUCUUUACAGCUUAAUUGAGGAAAUAUAGGUAGGCAGUAUGUGCCUUUAGUAUAGUUUUACAAUUUUGUUAAGAUUGUAAGUAUGUGAGUAGAGGUCUAAUAAUGGUGUUUUAAGUAGCAAAGAAUGAAUUAUUAUGUGAUAAGGAGUGUGGAUGUGUAUAAUCAUGAGAGUGGGAAUGAUAGGGUUAUGGCUAUAGUGGCUAGCAAAGGUUAAGAGUAGCAUUUCUAGAAAACAAACAAUGCCUUCAGAGUAUAGUUAUCAGGGUGGAGUAUAGCAUUUAUGUGUAUGGCAAUAUCCCCUUGUGUUGAGAGUUGUGCUUGUAGAUUUAAUGAGAAGAUAUGUCCUCAAGUAUAGGGUUGUGACUUUGAUCUAUGGGGGAGAUGAUGAAUUGAGGUAGUUCCCAAAUUUUCUCGAGGUGUCAAGUUUCAGGAAAGAGUCAUGAUAAAAUCUAUAUCUAUUCAAGAAAGCUCCUCCUACUUCAAUUUAAGAAGUCAUUCUACCAAUGUCUUAUCUAUUUUAAGUCCUGCCUAUGUCUAAGGUCUGAGUUCUCUAUGUAACUCAUGUCAUGUUCCGACCUCCACACUAGAAGCAAUAAUGUCCCAUAGUGAUCCAAUAUUCUAAGUAUCCAAGAUCUAUGUUAUGUUGCUUAUGAUCCAUAAAAUCUAUGCAUAAUAUAAUUUUUGGUUCUAAGAAAUUAUGCUUCCUAUGUGUUAUCAACCCAUUUUAUGUCAGUUCUAUCCCAAAGUGAUAAGGUGCAUGUAAACUCAUGACUAUCUUAGCUCUAAAAAUGAGAAGCAAUAGCUUCAAGUAUAAUUCUUGUCUCAAUCUUUAACUUCAUGAAUUUCGACCUUAUGUUAUACAACUCUUGAUAUGUGCACACAUGUUUCUCACUAUGCCCAGUACUAAAAACUCUUUUUGUGUAUGUUUAUGUCAAAAUAACUCUUUAUCUAUGAUCUAGACAUUGGAUUUGUAAAGCACUUCAUGCCCAUUGUAUCGUAUCUACAUCCCAUGCCCUAUCAUGAGUAAUGCAAUACGUAUAAGUUAUAAUAAGAUAGUGUUACUUCCAUUCAUGAUGUUUAUGCUCGUAUCCCUUAAUGACUCUCCGUAUGUUAGUAUGAUAAUGGUUAUGAAAGCAUAGUAAUGUCUUAGGUAGGGGAGUAAAUGUUCUUGAAUGUGAAAAAUUCUGAUGUGAUUUCUUUAGCUAAGGUUGUAGGUGAAAAAAAGGGGGAGGGGGGGUGAACUUUUAUUAUGUGAAAUAGUUAGGAAGGAGAUAUGUGGAGAAAAUCUUUGUGAUAAUGAUUGAAUUUGCUGGACUUAGUGGGGAGAUCCAUGAAGUGGGUGUAGUAAUGAUAGACUUGAAUGUUUUGAUUGAUGAAAACAAAAACCCAUGUACUAUGUUGCUAGUACUCCUUGAAUUAAAAUCCGAGGAUGUUUGGUGGUAGUGAUAAGGUGUAGUAACCUUCUUAAAGGGAUGUAGAGUAUGGAGUCCCACAGCUUACACUAGCACCUCUUUCUCCAAGUUAGGCUUCAACAUAGGAGUAUUAUACAGUGGGACUCAAACUCUUGUGGUUAGAUAUGUGAUGGGAGAAUUGUAAGUUGGAAAUAAUGAGGUAUGUUAUUUAUCAUUUGGGACAGAGCUGAGUAGUGUCUCUAAGUUUAAGUAUGUUCAUUGUAUCAUGUAAAGUAGAGAAUGCUUUUAUCCUAUCUCCCGCAAAAUCUCAUUUCAUGAGUGUACCAAUGGGAAUUAGGCCUAUUAUCACCAAAUUAACUCAUGCCUUGUGUUGUGAUGAUUAAGAUUCAUAGAACUCAUGUUCAAGAUUAUCCCUAUGAAAAGUUUCAUUACCUCAUGUUUUGGGCUUACACAUUUCACUAGGGGUUAUCAUGAAGCUCUUUUGAUGCCUAUGCAUAUUUGGUUGAGGUAAAAUGUUUAGUGCGAGGUUACAUUCUUUAUUCAAUACUUUUAGAGCUUCAACAAGUUCCUACCCAUUAUCCAGGGAUGAAUGAUCUUAAAAGGGAGAUAAUGUAACAGCCUGUACUUUUGAGCUAAAGUUAACCUGUCUUUCCUGCGUUAUGAACCCAAACUGUAAUACUUCGUACUAUUCUUAGCUUAAUUCAGCUUUUAGUUAUAUGCCUCAAAAUUUUCACAAAGUAUUGGGGGCUUAGUCUUCUUCAAGACCCCAAAACUUCGACGAUUCCUAUUUAGAUCUUUCCGACCCCGAGAUGAUAGUUUUUGAGUUAAUACAUGUUCAGGGAUGUAAGAAGUAUGUCUCAGGGGAGUUUUGGAUUUUUCCGACAAGGUUUGGGUCAUGUUUGGAUCAUAAAUCUAGCAAGUCACAGUGUAGGGCCACGUCGCGAUGACAUUUCCAUUGGCACGUACAUCACGGUGAAGGUGUUUUCAUCUAGUUUUUGAUUUAUAAUUUGAAUUCAAGUAUCAUGAUCUUUGUCCUAGUGUGUGAACUUCUUAUUAGGUGAAAAAUAUUCAUAGAAAUCACUAAGAGCAAAUUUGAGCUAAGAGCCUUUGAUUCGUCUAAAGUUUGGUAUUCGAUUCUAUAAGGGUCAACUUCAACGUGUAUAACUUUUGAUAGUUGCUGAAUUUUUCAGCUCAAGGCCCACCAAAUUAUAUAUAAUUGAGUUAGAUUUCCAAUGAUACCAAUUUCACCUUAAUCUGAUACCUGAGGAAAAAGUUUUGACCAUUUUUUUUGAACCAGUAAGCCACCACAAUAAGACCGCAUCGCGCUGGGCAUGCAAAAUGCAAUUACUGAUUUAAAAUAUCAGAAGGACAAUUGGGUCUUUUCCCCCUCAACCCAAUCAUUCUUAAAAUUACUUGGGUCAUCAGUUAGGGCAUUAUUUGCCCUUCUUCUCCAAUUAACUCUAAAGAAAAACCCUCCCUCUUCCUAAGAACAAAUCCAAUUCCUUUAUCCCCAAGAAAUCAAGAAUUCAAGCUUUCCAAAGAUCAAGAUCAUUCAAGAAAGCAUCAAGAUUAGGGUUUCAUCCUCAAGUUAAGAAAAUUAAGGUAUGUGGGCUUGCCCUAAAAACUCCAUGGGCAUGAGUUAUUGUUUUACAAAGUUUUGAAAGCAUAUUAUGAUGUUUAUAAAAGGGUUUUAAACAAUUGCUUGUAUAGCUGAAUCAUGAAAUCCUUUUCAAUGAUAUAAUGUUUGAUCUUGAAGCCUUCCCUUGAAUUUGAACCAUACUCGCAUAUGCAUGAACAUGCAUUUUUGGCUUUGAAAUUCGAAUUGAGAGCAUAAAUAACCAAACUCGCUAUCUUGUUGUGACACCCUUUGAUUUUAUGUGUUAUGAGUUGUUCUAUUGCAUAAUUAGAAGUAUGAGAUCACCAUUGUUUACUAUUAUAUAAGAACUUGGUAUUGGUUGUAAAUUGAAGAAAAGGGUUGUAAAUGAUAAAGAUGAUUAGUCAAAGAAUUUCAUGGUUUACUACAAGGUAAUUGACCACCACAUGUUUAAGAAUUGAAAGAGAGAAUCUUUGCAUAAGUCUUCAUAUAUUUUGAAAUACAAAUUAUCUUGUUUUGUUUGAAUGUAUUGGUAGUCCAAACAUUAUGUUUUGAAUGAUAAGACUGUAACAUGACAUUGUAUGGCUUAUUCAACUUACAAGUCUUAGUAUGACGAUACCAAAUCAGAUAAAUGCCAUAACACACUCAGACCAGACUAGACUAUAGAAUUUUCAGACUUUAGACCAUAUUUUGAGAAAGAUACAUGUUUUAAAAGACUAAUUGGGCAUAAAGUGAGUUAGAUGGUUACCCGAAGAAGGCAUUUGAGUGUAAGAGAUCAUUUCUGGAAAUCAAAUUUUGCCGAUUCGAGUAAUAUGAUUGGAUUCUGAACACGUGAAUGACCAAUGUAUACUUACCUCUGAACAUUAGUCUACUAGACUAGUAAAUAGGACUUUGUUCCUUGCGGUAAACUUAGAUUUAGGGCUUGGCCGAUGAGUAAAUAGCGGACCCAUAUAGCCCAUGGGUACUAGACUUGUAGGGUGUACCAUCUAGCUCAGAAGAGAAAUAAAGAGUUGAGUCAUGAUUUCAAGAAAAUGCAUUGAAGCUCAUCAAAUUAUGCUCAUGUAUUUUCAAAUGUUUUAUGAUGACAUGUUUUUAUGAAAUGCUCUCACUUAUGUUGUAUAAAAAUAUUUUAUUUUUGGAUUGUUCUAUGUACCAGUACCUUUGUGUAUUGACUCUCUAUAUUUCAGGUUCUGUACUAUAGUCCCAUGGUCCAUCACAUCAGUAGAGCACUUGGGAUAUGAAAGAAUUGGUAAGCCAUCCAUCUUUUGGAAGACAUUUAUUUAUAUGUUGAGUCUUUCGGUAUAUGGUCCAGCCAGGGUUUUAUUCCUGUCUAGACAGUUAGUAUUCAGUAGAGACUUUGUAGAUGGUAUUCAAAGUGUUGUAUUUCCAUAUUUUGUAGACACAGUUUGUAUUAUAAAUUCCCUUGAAUUUCAUCAUAUCUUUCAAAUUUGAUUUAUCUAUGGAUUAUGUUCAUGAUAGCAUGUUAUGGGGUCUUUCGGUCCUUCAUGGCUCGGAAUGCCCGUCGCGGCCAAGGCCUUGGCUCGGGUCAUGACAAAAUUUUAUCAUGCAAAAGCCAUAAACAUUAUGAAACUAUAUUACCAAAUUCCACCCUUAUUAUAAGACACCAUCUAAGUUUACAUUCAACUAUUUUCUUAGCAUAGAAAACCUUAGAAACAAGAGAAAACCAAUAAGAUUAGUUUAAAUCAAAAUCCCUUAAUCCUAACUUUAAACACCAUCAAAAUAUAACAAUAUCAAGUAAAUAUCACAGUUUAAAGAUAAUUAAAAUAAGGGAGUGCCAUGCCAACAUGCCUUUUUGAUGAAAGAACUUUGGGAAAUGCUUGAGUCCUUAAUUUUGAAGCUUGACUCUAGCUCGAAAUCAAUAUAAAGACUUGAAUUCAUUUUUCAUAGCCUUGAUGACAAAAUUAGUGAGAAAACAUUGACAAUAAAUCAUAAUCUUUGACCCAUCUUGAACUUUAGAUUGGGAGUUUGGGGUUUUUGGGAGAGAAGAUGAAUUGGAGAUUUUGGGAAUGAUUCUCCUACUUUGGGAUAAAUUUAGGAAUUAAAAAUGGAUUGGGGGGUUUAUAUGGGGUAAAAGGGAAAUUUUAACCUUGAUUUAAUAAGGGAAAAUGUAUUUUUAUGUCUAGGAAGUGAGGGGUCACGCCGCAGACCGAAUCACGCGGCAAAAGCUUUGCCUCGCGCACCGCACCCUAGACAAUGUCUACUAAAAUGCUCGUAACUUUUUACUCCAAACUCGGAUUGAUGAACAGUCAGUUGUUUUGAAAAGAAGAAUCGAAGGGAUUUAAUUUGGUAUAUAAUGGGCCACCUAACUAGUUAUAUUCUAGGAGUAAUAGUCGUUUAAAGUUGACCCAAUUUAAAACGUAUACUAAAACUCAAUUGGUAGGAAAGUUCUCAACUCUACUUUGAGCUAUAGGAGAUUUUUGUGAUUUCAAUUUAUAUCCAAAGAUGUUCCAAUAUAAUUGAUCAUCACACUUAUAUUAAGAUAGAAAUCAUUGGGUUCAGGUCUAUAUAUUUACGAAGGACGGGUUCAAAUUCCCCCAAAAUGUGGGGUGUUACACAAUUAGAGUUUGUGGGACAUAAAUGACAUUUACACAUUGGCAAACGGACUUAUUCUCUUGUUAACAUAUAUUAAAUCUUGAAGGCGCUUGAUGGAACAGUAAUGCUGGAAAACUAUUACAUUAAAUUAAGGAUGUUCUGUUGGUUUUUCUAUAUCUUUUCACGGUAUCUUUAGCGUUCUUUAAUUCCUCAUCUUGCAACCAAAGCUAGAAGGAUAGAGUCAUGUACCAUGGUAGUUGAUAGUCUCAUCAAGAUCAAUGUAUACUCUAUAUAUAUCGGCUAGAAAAACAUUGAAUUAGGCCUACUUGUGUAAAGAUUCAUUUUAACUUUUGCUGAAAAAUAAUGCAUCAGAAGAUAGUUAAGGCAAAUUGACUAAUGUUUCCACCGAGCUUAGUCUAGUAAGACUGGUGUGUUAUGUUUUUAGUGAAUCUGUGAAUGUCUAGCAACCCCUCCAUGAACCCUUUUGAUUAUACGUGAAUGUAUUAUAGUAUUUACCACACCCCAACAAAAUUUUGGAACUUCCGAUGUAAUUGUACGAGUGUUUCUGAUUCAGAAAUAGGACAUCAAAAGAAAUAGGUUAAAUUAUAACAAAUAUUAGUAAAACUUAGAGAUUUGUUUCUUUUUUUAAAAGAAAAAUCCGCCAUAUGGUGACGUUACCUUUUCAUAUCACCAAAAAUUAUAAUUAGGGGAGAUUACAUGUCCUUACCUCAAUUACAACGCAUGUAGGGACUAUAACCCCACAUAAAAAUGAUUAAUUAACUUAAUAUACAGAUGUACAGAAAACAGGGUGAAAAUAUCCAGUACGACUAAGACAAAAUUCUUCUAUAUCUUAAAGAGGGCAUUUGAAUCUGGUCCAAAUGAUAAGUCCAGCAGUUGUAGAGGGGAAAUCAGACAUAUAGAGGAUCCACAAGUCACCUUUGGUAAUACUCCAUUUAAGUAAGUGCAUUCGCAACUUGAUUAGUUUCAUGAUAACAAUGUUGACCCUCACAAUGUAUGGUCCUGAUCAUAUGUCUUAAAGGAGGCCAUUCGAAUCUGUUGGAAAUAAUAAUUUAAAGUUGGAAUAGGAUUCUUUAAUUGUUUAGGAUUUAAUAUUUAGUAUUAUUUUCAUUCAUGACUGGUUAGGAUUAGAAUUUGUUGAUCCAAGUUGGUAUAGGAAUAGGUUUUCCGGUCCUAAUUUUGUUGUUAUUAUUACAAAUUGGGGUGUUCUGUCAAAUGUAAGGAAAAUAAAGAGAAUUAUUUCAGUCUAUUAAAUAAAAUGUUUUCCUUAAAAUUGGUAUCAAAAACAAAGAGUCUUUAAUUGUUUAGGAAUUAAUAGUUAGUAUUAUUUUCAUUCAUGACUGGUUAGGAUUAGAAUUUGUUGAUCCAAGUUGGUAUAGGAAUAGGUUUUCCGGUCCUAAUUUGGUUGUUAUUAUUACAAAUUGGGGUGUUCUGUCAAAUGUAAGGAAAAUAAAGAGAAUUAUUUCAGUCUAUUAAAUAAAAUGUUUUCCUUAAAAUUGGUAUCAAAAACAAAGAGUUUCUGCGCUCCUACUAAAGAAUCAAAGAGCCUCCGCUACUAGCAGGCGGUUAUGACCAAUAUAUACCACCCAUCUAGCCUAUGACAAAUGCCAGGCCAGAGAAAAGUCAGAAUGAAGAAGAAUUGGAAGGUUAUUACAAUCAACAACGUUGAAUGUUGGUGACCAAGUGCAUCAACGAAAGUUGGAGAGAAAGUGCUCCAACAAGAGAAUGUUGAAGAGAGGUGCUUCAACUAUUGGAAGUCCGAGAGAAGUGCUCCAACACAAUCAAACAAAAAAUGGCAGAUGUUGAAGAUAAGUGAUUCAACUAAUGAAAGUUGGAGAGAAGUUCUCCAAUACAAUCAAGAUAAAACAAAGUGUUAGAUAUUGAAGAGAAGUGCUUCAACUAAUGAAAGUUGGAGAGAAGUGAUUCAACACAACCAAAAAAAAAUAUCAAAAGUUGGAGAAAAGUGCUCCAACAAUUAAAGGUUGACUGAAGUUUUAAUAAACUAUCCAAGUAAAAAAUUAAUUUGGAAGGAUCUGAGAAAUUAAAAUACAUGGACGAUCAGGAUUAAUUGUGAAUAAAUGAGAUCCUACGGUUCAGAUGAAGUUAGAGAAGGUUAUAACAAACUCAAGGGAGAGCUACAGUGGCAACUAACUACAAGAAUUUUUCUCACCUCCUCGCUUUUUCUCUCUCCUCUCUCAUCAUUUUUCUCUCUUACGUUCUUUCCUCCUUCUUCUUAUUCUCACCUCUAUUCUAAACCUCAACUGCAGGUCAUUAUCAAUAGAUCUACAAUGUCCUGAACUCAUCUUUUAAUUUUUAUUCCAUUUAAAUAUUUCUCUUGUAGUUUACAUUUUGAAUCAGUAUAAACAGAAAAUUGUCCCCAAAAAAAAUUUCAUCUUAUUUCCUAAGAGUGUUACAAAGUGGUAUCAAAGCCUUCAACCCUGAGACUUACUUCCACUAUGACUAUCAAUAAAGGCACUCGGUUAAUAAUCCUUAAUGAUAGGACAACGAAGGAUGAGGAAUCGAUAAUAAAGAACAGUGAAUUACUCGAACAGUUGGCGGGUCAAAAAGGUAAAUGACAUUUGCAUAUGUAACUCUGGCUCGUGAUCAUACAAAGGUUGCGCAGUCAUUAGAUCUAAUCAUGAUGAGACUUACAACCAUUUAGAUGCAUCAACAACGUGAAACCAGAGAAGGAGGUCUGGGUAAUGGACUAUUUCUAGUUCCUAACCCUAGAAUGCCAAGACAUAUACCACAUGGAUGAGAUCCAGAGCUUGGGGAGCAACCCAAUCUAGCUUUUGAAGGGCGAGAAAAUCAACAACUAGGUUGGUAACUUCCUAUUCCUAGAUUAGAAUUUCCUUUGUUUGAUAGUACUGAUCCCAAACUAUGGGUCAGAAGGUGUGAAAAAUUCUUUAGAGUUUUCAUAUAAGUAAGGAACAAAAGGUUGACAUAUUCGUAAUGCAUCUUAUUGGUACAAUUGAAUCUUGGUGCCAAUCAUAUUUUUUGAAUGAAGAACUAAAUAAUUGGAAGGGUUUAGUAAAGAUCUAUGUGAUAAAUUUAAUACUGAGAGAUCUGAAGAUGUAAUAGAAAGUUUUAAUGGCCUUUGGCAGAUAGGAUUUAUGGAUGAAUUUCUAAAAAAAUUUAAAAUCAUGAAAGCUCAAAUGUUGAUCACGAACCCUGGGCUUUACAAGUCACAUUUUCUCUUUAUUUUUAUUGGUGUCCUUAAAGAUGAAACAAAGAUGAAUAUGUGUUAUUUAAGCCAAAAACUUUGAAUGCUGCUAUUGAGCUAGAGAAGGUGCAAGAGAAGACUUUAGAAACUACGGCGAAGAAGGAAAAAUAGAGUAGCAGAUCAGUCAUGACUCUAGGGGUUCAGGUAGUUCACACACCCAAUACAAUUAUACCUGCAACUAGAGUUGGAUCUGGUAAACCUCCACAAAUAUAUAGGGUGAGCAGAAGUGUAUGAAUAUUGGAAAGCCAACUCCCUUUGUUAGAAGUAUGGGGAAACAUACAACCUUGGUCACCAAUGCAAGUAUCAAUAACUAAAAUACAUCAUAGGCGACAUAUGUGAAGUAAUUACGGAGCUUAAGGAUGGUAUUAAUGAUAUUGAAACCAAAUAAAAUAGUGAUGAUUUAGUUCAAGAGAUGGCAGAAGUUGUACGCAUGAAUGCUUUAUCAGGUGGCACACAAGGGGGAGUACUAUUAUGGUGAAAGGCUCCUGACUUUUAUGGUAGACUCUGAGAGUACCAAUAGUUUUAUUGAUGCUUAAACUAUCAAAGAAACUAGGUUAAAGCCUACUUUCACUUUACCUAAUAGGAUAACAGUAGAUAAUGGAAAUUAUAUGUACUGCACAUUUCAUUAUUUAGGCAUAACAAGGACCAUGAAAGGUAAGACCUUUAAGGAAGAUUUGGGCAUAAUCAACUUGGGUGGGUGUGAUAUAGUUUUGGGAAAUGAUUUUACGAAGAAAUACAACCCAAUCAAGUUUGACCAUGAGAAGAAUUGUGUCACUAUAGUUAAGAAUGGAGCUAAGGUAAUACUAAAA
rnacentral:lncRNA from 1 species